AAGGGUGUCAGGCCAUAGUCCUUCCCUUGGCAAAAUCGACCGGAGCUUAGGGCAACCGUAGAUUGCUAGAUUUUCAAGAGAGGUGAGGGUUUGGAGAGACAGGGAGGCUAGGGAUUCCAGAUUCUGGAAAUGUGAAAGGUCAAGGGAGGUGAGAGUUGUAGGAAAAAGAAUCGAGUGGGGGUCAUCCGAAAAGGAAGUUGCAUCUGGAAACAUGUCUCCAAUACCGAGGUAUUUAAGAGAGGUGAGUCUGGAAAGGCCCCAUUGGGAUAGGGGGGUCUUGAUAUUCUCACAAUUAUAAAUGUAAAGCGAUGUAAGACGAGUGAGGGUGUUGAGGCAAUCUGGUAGGGUUUUGAGAUUAGGAUACCUCCUGAGGAUUAAAGAUUGAAGUGAAUUAUUAGUAGAGUGAAACAUCUCCUCUGAAAUUGACUCGAGGUGUUCACAAUCCUCAAUGUGAAGUUGCCAGGCUUUGAAGAGCAGCAGCAUAUGUGGAAUCGUAGUGCAUUAUUCCCUCUGGUAGAGACUCCAGCUUUUCACAAUUACUUAUGUGGAGUUUCUUGAGAGUGAUACCUCUCGGAAAACCAAUCAUAGAGGGACACAUAUGUAGAUGUAAGUAUUCAAGGGCACACAUGUCCAUGGUGCUGGUGGUGGCGAUGGAAUUGCAGUGCAUCAUUCCUUCUGGAAGAGACUUGAGACUUGAGAUUUCCAAGGCUUGGAGAGCAGCAGCAUUGGUGGAAUGUUGGUGCAUUAUUCCCUCUGGUAGAGACUCUAGCCUUCGACAAUCAAUUAUGUGGAGUAUCUUGAGAGUGGCGGGUAACCCACCUUUCGGUAAUCCAAUAAGAGACUGACACCAUCUUAUCGAUAACUCUUCAAGGGCACACAUGCCCAUCAUUCCUUCUGGAAGAGACUUGAGAUUUUCACAAGCCCAUAUGUUCAGACUCUCAAGGGUGGUGGGUAAUUGCCCUUUUGGAAAGCAAAUGAGAGAUGGACAAAUCGAUAUCCUCAAGUUUUCAAGGAGACAACAUCAUGCCAUCAGGUAGACUCUUUAGACCUUUACAAUUUCCAACAGUAAGACUUCUCAGCUUUGGUGGGAAACCUACAUCUGGAAAUGACGCUAGCUUUGGACAUUCCUUGAUUGUCAAUUCUUCAAGGCAUGUUAGACUCUGCCAUCCAUUUGGAAGCCUCUCUAGUUUAUCACAUCCACUUAUUUCCAAAGACUGAAGAUUGCAUCCCAAGGAUACAAGUUGGUCACAAUCUCUAAUCUCAAGAGAAUGAGAGUUUUCCGAUCCAAAACCAUCCUCCCACAAAUAUACGAGUUCUUCGCAUGCCCAUACUUUCAAAACCCGAAGCCCUUGCAAAAAUUGCACAAAUCCUUCAUGCAAUUUGAUAAGCCCUGAAAUCCCAGAAAUUGUUAACUUGGUGAGUGAGGUGAGGUCAUUUCCACUGCUCAAGACCGCCUCAUUACAUUCUCCUACAUCUAAUUCGUUCAGCAGUGGAAGUCUUGAAAGUGGAGACUCCAAUUUUGGACAGAAGUGUACAGAGAGCUUUGUAAGAGAAGGUAGGUAAGUGGGUAGUUUCAUAAUCAAUUUGCGGCAACACUGAAUUGUAAGCUCAUGGAGACAAGGGAAUAAUGACUCUGUUGAGGAAGACCAAUCCUCCCAGUGCUCCCAUUCUGACAUGCUAUAAAACUGUAGAGACUCUAGUGAUGGGAAAAACUUACCUGCAGAAACACGAGUCUCUCCAUAAAACUCUGCACCCACUUUUUUUACUACAUCCAUUCCUUGGAUCCUCAACUGUUUGAGCGAUGGCAACUGCCCCAAGCAUGGUAAAGACGUGCACUUUCUGCAAUCUAUGAGACGUAGAUCCACCAUCUUAGAGAACAAGGCACCCCCUAUCCAACGUGGGAAUUCUGGACCACCAUACAACUGAAUGCAGAGUUUGUUCAGAGUCGAACAUGGUUGUAGAGAGUCAAGGACAUCCAUUUGAUUCCUUUCAUUCCCUGAACCAUCCAACUCAGAACUCCACUGCAUUAUCAAGCUUUCAAGGUUACGCUUCGAUUUUAAAUCGGCAUCCCUUGCAUCUUGAAUAUUCACCACAUUUUCCAAUUUCGAAAUGCAAAGUUCUCCUCGCAGAUGUGACAUGUCCUUCAACUCCUUGAUUGUCAAACCGUUGUUUUUGUCCACAAUGAAAUUAGACAAUAUCCGCAAAUCUUUUAGUUUGCCCAUUCCUAUAGGCAUUUCUUGUAAUUUUAUUGCACCAGCAACGUCAAGAUGUCGAAGAUUGAUUAGGUUACCGAUGGUAAUAGGCAACUUGAUAAGCUCUUUACAACAUGAUAAUUUCAAUGUCUGAAGGUAAAAAAGAUUACCAAUUGAAUCGGGUAACCAUUUUAUACUGGUGUGGGACAAAUUAAGGUAUCUCAAAUGUUUCAACUUACCAAAUGAAUCUGGUAUCUCACUUAUCUUGUAAUAAGCCAAUGAGAGCACCCUUAAGUGCCGUAACCUUGGUAUCAAUUCUUCAAGCACCUUAUUACUUAUGAAGGAAUGACGUCCACUAGUUGAUUCAUCAAUCGGCAAAGCUAUGAAUGUGCGCAAGCGCUCUUUCUUAUGAAAUCUUUCAAAUUUUUUAAAGAUAUCACAAAAAUGACGGAUGAAUGAUGAAUGACGAGUAUUUUCAGAAAUGGAGCAUUGCAAAUCAUUCCUCAACUCAUCAUCCAAAUGCAAGCAUGUGUCUCCAGCAAUAGAUUUAGCUAGAGCAUGGACAAGGUCAUGCAUCACGAAUCGUGAUCUAUUGCUGCUCGACGAUUGAAAAAAUGACCUUGACAAUAGCUCAUCAAAAUACUUAUCACCAAGAUCUUCCAUUUUCCUAUUAUCUUUUGUUUGUUGAAUUAACCCCUCCGCCAUCCACAGGAGGAUUAACCCUUGCUUUGUAAACUCAUAAUCCUGGGGAAAAUUUGCGCAAUAAGUAAAACACCUCUUUAAAUGUGAAGACAGAUGACAAUAGCUCAAUCUCAAGGCAGGGAUGAUGUCACAUUCCUUGUCUGUGAAAUCCCAUACUUUGCUGUACAAUACUCUUUCCCAUUCACAUUCACGUAGUUCAGAGCGCAAAAGGCCACCAAGGGCUCUUGCUGCUAAGGGCGAACCUCCACACUUCUCUACAAUUCUCCUACCAAUUGAUUCCAAAUUUGGGUGCUCAUCGAUAUUCAUAUGUUCAAAAGCAUGUGUUUGAAAUAUCUUCAAACAAUCAUCAUAAGGUAACUGUUUGAGCUCAUGUAAGAUCUUGUGUCCUCUCAUCUUGUUUGCAACAUUAUUAUUGCGAGUUGUGACUAGAAUUUUGCUUCCCUGUGCUCCCACCCAGAAAGGGGAGCAUAGCCUGUCCAACUCAAAGUAAUCAUCAUUCCACAAAUCAUCCAAAACUAUCAGAAAUUUUUUUCCCUUCAAUUCCUUCCUCAAAUUUUCUUGGAUUUGAUGCAAGUCUUGUGAAUCACUGCUUUGAGAAUUAGUCACCGAGUUGAGAAUUGUCUUUGUUAUUCUCACUGCAUCGAACUGAUCUGAGACACAAACCCAGGCUUUUUUAUCAAAAUGCUUGGUUUCAUCGUCAUCGUACACCAGUCUUGCCAGUGUGGUCUUCCCCAUCCCACCCAUGGCCACGAUGGAAACUACAGAAAAAUUGGUUUUACUGGGUUCAUUCCUAAGCAGCAUACCAAUUAUAAUAUCUUUUUCUGUCCCCCUGCCAUAGACCUGAGGUUCAUAUCCUAGAGAUGCAGUGACUGGCCUUCCCCAAGCAGAGUUGGUUAUCGCAGCCACCUUUUCUAGACGAAGCUCAGAUUUUUGAGCCGAAAUAUCUCGUAAGCGGCGAGUGAUUUCCCACACCUUGGACCUCAUUUUAAUAUAACGCAUAACCUCAGUAGGAUUGAAAAAGCCAAGCCAAGUUGAGAUGAGCUUGCGUACCUUGCUCGGCCUGCCUUGAUGAUCAGCUUCUUUGGCCGUGAGCUCCCGUUGCAAAGCUUCGUAGGCGAACUCAUCCAAGAUGUCCUCCAUAUCAUAAGCCAAAUCUUUCAGAUUGCCCAGCCACUCUUUCACAGAGCGAUCCGUGAUCUGCUUGUCCUCCGCGUCAUUAAGCUCUUCACGAAUAUCCGACAAUUCUAUCUCCCAUUUCUUGAGAUCAGAGUACACCCAUUGUUGGCGUGCAAAGUCGAGCAAAUUAGUGGAGGCCAACUUGUCAAACAAGAGGCCGAUGGCAGCAGAAAGAAGAGCGUCUCCCACAGCUUCCAUGGUUGGUUUGUACUUUGUUUGGAGAGAGAGAGAGAGCAAAUCAAGCAGUGGAAGCAGAAAGAAGGGAGUUUUGACCCAAAAUAGCGUGUUUUAAAAAAAAAUUUCAAAAAAUAAAGUUGUUUUCAAAAUAAUGCCCAAUCUAAUAUGUCUGUGCCACAUAAGCUGUCAUAUCAUAAAACCGUAGUUGGUGACUACGGUUUUAUUUUUCUAAAGUGGUUAGAAACCGUAGUUACCAACCACGGUUUUAACUUUAAGUUUAAAGCCGUAGUGGUCGUAGUCACCAACUGCGGUUUUAACUUUAUAUAUAUUUAUAUAUAACUUUAAUUUUUUUAAUAAAAAUAUUAUAUUAUUUUGAUUUUAAAUAUACUUAUUUCAUUAUUUUAAAAAUAAUAAUAUACGAAAUUAAAUAAUUGAUAUUUUUAAUUUGAUAUAAAAAUAUUUUUUUAAAUUUUAUUAAAACGCACUAUAUUUAAUAUAAAUAUAAUUAAUUAAUUAAAAUAAAUUAUAAUAAAUUAUAUUUAUUUAAAAUAAAUAAAUUAUAAAUACCUAUUUAGAAAAAUAAAAAAUAAUAUAAAUUAUUAUAUUAAUUAAUAAUUUUUUAUAUAUUAUAUAUAAGUGGUAUAUAAUACCUCUCACACACACACAUAUAUAUAUAUAUAUAUAUAUAUAUAUAUAUAUAUAUAAGUUUAAUUUGAGUUUAAAAUUUAUCACAUUUUUAUUUAAAUAUAUAAAUAAAUUUUAUUAAAACAAUUGACACUAUAUUUAAUAUAAAUAUAAUUAUUUAAUUAAAAUUAAAUAUAAAUAAAAUAUAAUAAAUUAUGUUUAUUUAAAAUAAAUAAAUUAUAAAUGCCUAUUUGGAGAAAAAAAUAAUAUAAAUUAUUAUAUUAAUUAAUAAUUUUUUUAUAUAUUAUAUGUAAGUAGUAUAUAAUAUCACACACACAUACAUAUAUAUAUAUAUAUAUAUAUAAAUAUAUAAAUUAUGAACUUAAAUUAAAAUAUGAUAAAUUUUAAACUUAAUUGAACUAUUAUAUACCACUUACAUAUAGUAUAUAAAAAAUUAUUAAUUAAUAUAAUAAUUUAUAUUAUUUGUUUUUUAAUAGGCUUUCAUAAUUUAUUAUAUUUUAUUUAUAUUUAAAUAUAAUUAACUAAAUAUAUUUAUAUUAAAUAUAGAGUAUAUCAUUUUAAUAAAAUUUUAAAAUAUAUUUAUAUCAAAAUUAAAGUUAUAUAUAAAUAAAUAAAGUUAAAACCGCAGUUGGUGACUACGGCUUUGACCAUUUUAAAAAAAAAUCAAAGCCGUAGUCACCAACUACGGCUUUAAACUUAAAGUUAAAACUGUGGUUGGUAACUACGGUUUCUAAUCACUUUAGAAAAAUAAAACCGUAGUCACCAACUACGGUUUUAUGACGUGACAGCUUAUGUGGCACAAACGCAUUAGAUUAGACAUUAUUUUGAAAACAACUUUAUUUUUUAGAAUUUUUUUUUAAAAACUUACUAUUUUGGGUCAAAGCUCAAAGAAGGGGUCUGUUGUGUGAAGGCUUUAAAUAUUAGAAACCCAUUUUCAUUUAAAUUUAUUUGAAGGUCCUUGUAGAGACAGCUGGAUCAUAUUUUUGGAGUUUGAGAUGGCCCGACUGCCCACCUGCAUGCCACUGUUGGAUUAUAUUUAUUUGUGUACUUUAAAUAUGUCUCAAUUUUAUUAUAAAUUUUUCUAAUUUUUUUAAUAUAAAUAUAUAUAUAUAUCUCUCUUUUAUUAUUAUUUUUUUAUUUGCAUGAUAUUUCUUUCAUACCAAUGAGAAGAAAUUUUUUUUAUUAAAAUUCAUAAAAUAUCUUGUUUUUGUUGCAUGGAUAUGUUUCAUUUCACUGUAGGAAAGUUAAAUAAAAAAUGAUUUUUUCUGAUUUUUAAUUUGUAACAUUUUUUUUCUUAUUUAUUUUAAUCUACCCGUUGAGAGAGAGAGAGAAAAGAAUAUUUUUAAAAAAUAUUGUGAGAUGAGUCCUACUCUUUCCGUCCGUUGAGAGAGAGAGAGAUAAAAUGAGAGAAUGACCAACAAUAUGUUUUGGACUAAAAAAACCCCUUUGAAUGAUUAUGUUGAUAGAAAAGAAUAUUUUGAAAAAUAUUUUGAGAUGAGUCAUAUUCUUCCCGUGAGAGAGAAUAAUAUUUUGAGAUGAGUCCUAUUCUUUCCAUUGAGAGAGAGACAUACAAUAAUCAACGAUGAUUUUUUUUGGACUUCAAAAAUUUUUAUUCCGUUUCAAACCUGUAUUAGAGUAGAACGGGUCGGAAUUUUGUUUGAAGUUCUAGUCAUCCUAUCUUAUUUAAUAUUUUCUGUUAUUUUUAUUAUUUUUAAAAUUUUGUUUUUAUUAAAAUAAAUGUAAUUUAUGAGUAAAUAAAUUAUUUUUCAUAAAUUUUACAUCCUAUCAACUUCAAUUUAAAUAUGUUUAAAGAGGGGAAAUGAAAAAAGAAAUUAAAUUAUUUUUAUUUAAUUUUAUUUAUAAAUGAGAUUGAUUAAGAUAAUACUUUAGAGUUUGUUUAACAAUAAUUUUAAAAAAUAUUUUUAGUUUAAAAAAUAUUUUAAAAAUAAAUAAAUUAAGGAUAUAUUUGAUAAUUAUUUUUUAAAAUAGUUUUUGAAAAUAGUUGUUUUUUAACAUUUUGUUAAACAAAAGUCUGUUUGAAAAUUUAAAAUAUUUUUAAUUAAUUUUAAAUAUUUUAAAUAUAUUUUUAAAAUAAUUUUUAUAUCUAAUAUUUUAUUUUUAAUUAUUCUAUAAAUAAAUGACAUUUAAGUAUAAAUAAAUAAAAAUUAAAUUUAGGUUAAUAUUAUGUGGUUGUUUUUAGUGGACCACCAACUAUUUUUAUAUUCCAUAGAAUCCUAAAUUUAAAUUGAGAUAUGCUAUCUUAAAUUUUAAAUUUUUUAAAAAUAAUUUUUAAGGGCAUGAACUAAAUCUAUAUUUUUUGUUAAGAAUUUCUAUUUUUUUAUUUGGAAGUUUUUUACCAAUUUUUGUUUUUAAAAACAAAAAAAUAAGAAGUACUUAAAGUGUUUUUUAUAGUGAUUUUAAAAAAUAUUUUUAUUUUUUUAAUAUUUAAAAAAUAAAAAUUUUAUAUAUUAAAAAAAUUAAAAACAUUUUUUAAAAUGAUUGUAAAGCCCAUUCUUAAUAUGUAAUCUUAUUAAUUUCUUCUCAUUUACAUGGAAUGAAGAGAGAUUUAAAUGAAUAAAACAAAUACAAGGAUAAAAAAUGAACUUAUUGUACUUUAUUAUUACAUCCUUUCAUUAGAUGCUUUACAUAGUUUUUGAUAAAUAAAAUUAUAAUUAUAUUGAUGGAGGGCCAAUUAGCUUUGCUUUAGGUGAGAAAGUAGAGAUAAGAUUGAAAUGGGCUCACAUGUAAAGCAAGAAUGAAAUCAAAAGUAAAGAGGGAGAUAAGAUUGAGGUGGGUGGACCAAAUAAAAAGUAGGAUAUGAACUUACAAAAGCUUUUGCACUCUUCCCAAAAAGUAAAAGCAAAGCCUAUUAGCAUAAAGUGUGAUGAAAUUAGUCCUAUUCAAGGCCCUACUUGCAUAUUUGAUAUUUCUAUGAAUUUUUAUUUAUUUAUUUCUAAUGUGAGGACUUUUAAGUUAAAAUUAAUUUUCAAAAAAAUAUAAUUUAAAAAAUUAUUUUCAAAUCUACAUAAUUAUUAUAUCUUUUACAAAAAUGAAAUCAUAUAUUGAAGCUUUGAUUUUAGACUAAAAAUCCAAAUCCAACCCACUUAUCUAUGUACUUUAUUGGCAUGGAAGGAGAAGAGUUAAAAAAGUAUUAUCAAAGAUAAAAGAAAAUUUGAUCAUAUGAUAAAUAGAGAUCUUCCAAAAUUUUGAGGUUCGAAGCAGUUACAUUGGAUACGAGAUGACAUUGCAUUGAAAAUUGAUAUUAAAUCUCAUUAGGUGAUUAUAGGAAUUCCUUUACAUAAAUAUAAGUAUUAAAUAUAUCUUACUUUUUCAAAAAGUUUAUGGCCCUUUGUGAAUGUGGGAUGAAUGCAUUUUCAAUUGAGUGAUAUUGUACAUAUAUUAUUAAAAUUUUCUAACACAAUGCUAAGGACACUUAUGAUAAGUUUUUUUUUUUAUUUGAUUUAGGCAAAUACAACUUGAUAUGAUUUUUCAAUAUGUCUCGAAUUCAACUUUUUUCUUUUUAGGGAUUUGAAUUAAUUAUAAUCAGUUUUAAAUCAAAGUUGCAUCAAUCUAUUACAUAUCUAGUUUAAAGUCAAUGUACAUAAUACAUAUUUAAUUUGAAUUGACUUAUUUAAUAAUGGUACCGAUAAACCUAAUGAUAACUUUAACUUAUUUAACUCAUAUUUUACAUCUUUAAUUUUUUUUCAAUAAAUAUAUCAUAAUUGAGUCACAAACAACAUAUUCAGAAGAGUAACUACAUAUUAUGUCAUUCAACAUUUAAUCUGAUUUGAUUAUUUAACAAUAUCUAAUUAUUAAAUAGGUUAUAAUAUAUUACCUAGUUGAUAAUUACAUUGUGUUUGAGUUUAUGUUUUUAACCUUAAUUAUUAUUCACGUCAUGUUUGAAUUGAGAUAUAUAGUUGAGAAUUUGAACUUUGAUAUGACACAAACACAAUCGACCAAUAUAUUGAGACAUUAGAAGAGUAAUUUUGAUAAAAGUUAAUAUUUAAGCACUUAAGUUAAUUUAAAUUAAAUUAUAUCGUAUAUUAACUUGAUUUAUUAAAAUUAUUGUUGAUUUUAUAUUAUAAUAUUAAGUUAUUUUAUCAAAGAUAUUGAAUAUUCUUAAGAAAUUAAAUUUAGUCAUUAAAUUUGACUUAUCAACAUCCUCUAAGGUCUUCUCAAUUUUUAAUAUUUAUUUGAUACACGUUUAAUAAGAAACAAGUCAAAAUGUGUUAGCUCAAAAUUUCAAUACAAGCAAGAGUUGAAAGAAAGCGGAAAGAAGGGCCUCUCCGAUAGCUUCCAUGAGAGAGAGAACAACUUUACAGUGGAGUAAUUAUGAGAGAGGGAGAGAGAACGACUUUACAGUGUAGGAAUUAUGAGAGAGAGGGAGCGAGAGUUAUUGCUGUGGGAUGUAGCAAUUAUUCAAUUUUGAGAGAGUGAGAGAGGGAGAGAGACGUUUAAGUACAAAAUAUUUCGGUCCGUUCGUUGAAAGAAAUGGUAAGAAUAACACCCGCAUGGAUUUGCGUUCUUAGAAAGAAAUAAUUAGAAAAAUAGGUACUUCCAAAUAUUCGCAAUUUUUUUAUCAAUCUAAUUAUUCACAUUUCAGUGUUUUAAAAGUUUCAAAAAUAUCCUAAAAAUCAUAUUUUACAAUUUUUUUAUCGAUAACUAUAAUUUCAAAAAUAUUUUAAACCAUUCCAUUUUGUAUUAUGAUUUUAAUAUUAUUUUUAAAAUAUUUUUAUUAUAAUAUUAUUUUUAAAAUAUUCUUUAUCAAAAAUAUUCUUUAAAGUUUAAAAAUGAUAUAAAAAAAAUAAUUUUUUUUAAUUCAUAUGUGAUAAAAUACAUAAAAUAAAUAAAUAUUUUAUUUAUCAUAAAUAUAUAAAAUUAUAUGGGAAUGCAUAUAGGUGAAAUUAUUUUCUCGAAAUUUCAAGGAAAAUACAAAGAAAAAAAUAAAACAAAUAAAAAUAUAAUUUUAAAAUAGUCGUAAAGAAAAAAUUUGUUAAAGAUAACUUGUUAAAAAAAUAAUUUUAUGUUGACAAUGGAAAAUCGUAAGAAAUUUUCCCUACUCCAAAACGAACUUUGGAACCCUACGUACAUUCUUAAGAAAAUCUGGUACAUCGUUAAAAAAUUUUGGUACAUCAAUCACUUCCCAAAGAUCCUUAUAGGUAUAAAUAGACUAUGGAUAAUAAAAUAGCAGUCUUGAUAGCUUAAGGAUUAAAUGUACUAAUCUUUUUUUUUUAAAAUGUAUCAAAUUUUUUCAAAGAUAUAUCUAAGGUUCUAAAGUCCGUUGUGGAAUAGGGAAUGACCUCCGAUUACUUUCCAAAGAUCCUUAAAGAAAUAAAUAGAUCUGGGUAAUAAGAUAAGGAUCAUGUACCAAAUUUUUUUAAGGAUGUACCCAAUUUUGUAAAUGAUGUACCAAAUUUUAUAAAGGAUGUACCAAGGUUGCCAGAGUUGGUUUUGAGGUGGAGAACGACCUCUAAUCACUUCCCAAAAGUUUUCAAAGAAAUAAAUGGACCAUGGGAAGAGAGAUAGGUGUCCCGUUAGCUCAAAAAUUGGAUGUAUCAAAUUUUCUCAAUAAUGUAUCUAGGGUUUCAAAAUCCAUUUUGGAGUAAGAAACGACCUCCAAUCACUUUUCAAAGAUCCUUAAAGGAAUAAACAAACCAUGGAUAAUAAGAUAAGAGUUUUAGUAGUUCACUGAUUUGAUGUAUCAAAAUUUUUUAAGGAUAUACUAAAUUUUAUGAAAAAUGAAUCAAAUUUUAUAAAUGAUGUAUUAAAUUUUGUAAAGGAUGUACCAAGGGGGCUAAAUUUCGUUUCGAAGUGGGAAACGGCCUCUAAUCACUUCCUAAGGUUGUCCAAAUGAAUAAAUAUACCAUAUGAAGGAAAAUAGGUGUCCCGUUAAUUUAAGGAUUAAAUAUAUCAAAUUUUCUUAACGAUGUACCAAUGGUUCUAAAGUUCAUUUCAGAGUAGGAAACGACCUCUAAUUACUUCAUAAAGAUCCAUAAAGAAAUAAACGAACCAUGGGUAAUAAUAUAGAAGUCUUGGUAGCUCAUGAAUUUGAUGUAUCAAAUUGUUUUAAGGAUGUGUCAAAUUUUGUGAAAGAUGUAUCAAAUUAUCUUUAAGAUGUACCUUGGGUUCCAAUGUCUGUUUUAGGGUGGAAAACAACAUCUAAUUUCUUCUUGAGGGUCCCCAAAUGAAUAUAUAAACUAUGAGAGUGGAGAUAGGGGUCUUAGUUCUUCUAAGAAUUAAUUUACCUAGGAUUUCAAAGUUUGUUUUCAGGUGGGCAAGAACCUCUAAUUACUUAUUGAGGGUUCCAAAGGAAUAUAUACACCAUGAUAAGUAUGAAAGUGGUUCUGAUUCCCUUAAGCAUGAAUUUACCCUUUUUUUUCUUUAAGGAUGUACUUUUUUUUUAAUGAAAUUUAUAUAAAAAAUUAAAUACAAUUUUUUUAAUGAAAAAUAUAUUUUAUUUUAAUUAAAAAUUAAAAAUUUUAACCAAACAAAAAGUUAGAUCCAUAAUCAAUUUGAAAGCACUAUUAGAAUGUAUCAAUAUGUAAUAUUUUUUCCCCAUUUUACAUUAAAAUUAAAAAGUAAAAAACAAAAUUCUAAAAUCUCAUAUCAUGAGGGUAAUUGUGAAACCAUUUGAAAAUACUAUUGAAAUACAUGAAUAAAUAAUAAUUUUUUCUCAUUUUAGACUAAAAUUAAAAAAAAAAAAAUUAAAAUCUCAUAUUUUUUUAAAUUGAUGUAUAAUUAUUCGAGUUCUUUGUAUUUAUGAAACCAUAAUUAGUAAUUAUGUUUUUAAAAAAUAUAAAACCAUAAUAAUAUACCGUGGCUUUCAAGAUAUUUUUACAAUUACGUUUACUAAUUAUGAUUUUAUGAUUAUUGUGAUAAAAAAUGUUUUAAAAAUAAUGUUAAAAUCACAAUACCAUUAAAAAAAAAAAUGAGCGGUGGCUGAGAGAGUGAAUUAUUGCUGUGAGAUGGCAUGCAACAACUUUAAAGUGUAGCAAUUAUUGAAUUUUGACCGAGAGAGAGAAAAUCAUUGUCGUGGGAUGGCAUGCAACAUCUUUAAAGUGUAGCAGUUUACAGUGUAGCAAUUAUUCAAUUUUGACAGUGAGAGGGAAUUAUUGCUGUGAGCUGGCAUGCAACAACUUUAAAGUUAGCAGUUAUUGAAUUUUGACCAACCAUAUCCUCAUCCAAAGUUCCCAACCCAUCUUGGUUACUUCAACAAAUUUUUAUCCCGUUCUAGAGUAGAACGGGGUCGGAAUUUUUUUAGAAGUUAUGGUCAUCCUAUCUUAUUUAAUAUUUUCUGUUAUUUUUAUUAUUUUUAAAUUUUAUUUUUAUUAAAAUAAAUGUAAUUUAUGAGUAACUAAAUUAUUUUUCAUAAAUUUUACAUCCUAUCUUUAUAAAAAGUAAAUUUGCAGCUUCAAUUUAAAUAAGUUUAAAGAGAAGAAAUGGAAAAAGAAAUUAAAUUAUUUUUACUUAAUUUUAUUUAUAAAUAAAAUGGAAUGAGAUAAUACUUAGAGUACGGUUGAUAAUUAUUUUAAAAAAUGUUUUUAGUUAAAAAAUAUUUCUUUUAAAAAAUAAAUUAAGAGUAUAUUUGGUAAUUACUUUUGAAAAUAAUUUUUGAGAAUAGUUGUUUUAUAAUAUUUUGUAGAAUAAAAAUUUGUUUGAAAACCUAAAAUAUUUGGACUAAUUUUUAAUAUUUUUAAAUAUAUAUUUAAAAUAAUUUUUAUAUAUAAUAUUAUAUUUUUAAUCAUUCUACAUGUUUAUAUAAUUAUUUUUAAAAAAAAUCAUUAGAAAAUAAAUUAAAAAAUAUAAAAAAUAACUAAAAAAUGUUAUUUAAAAAUACCAUAUUUUUUGUUCUUAAUAAUAAAAAAUAGAAAACAAUUUUUUAUUGUCAAAUGUAUUUUCUUGAUAUUUUGGAGAACAAAAAACUAUUUUAGAAAAUAGUUGUUAAACAAACAUUAGAUGUUAGAUAAAAUUUUAAAAAGACUUCUAAAAAUCUAAAAAAAUCACUUAUACUAUUUUUUUUAGAAAAUCACUUAUAGUGUUUUUAAAAAAAUUACUUGACAGAUAAUUUGCUAAAAAUAUUUCAAGUAAAAAUACUGUUAAACACAUUAUUAAUAUCAUUUAACCUAACCUUGGAGUUAAAAAAUGAUUUAUCAAAUUCAACCUCAAUCGGUUUAAACUCUCCCAAACCCAUUCCCAUUUGUAAUAUCUGGUUUUGAAAAAAUAAAAAUAAAAAUAAAAACAUAAUAUAAAGAGUAGGAGGAAUAUCAAAUAUAAAAAGAGGGUUAAAAAUGUUUUGUAAUGGUUGGAAGUGUUUUUCCUACAAAUAAUGAUGCAUUUUGAAAAUUUUUAGAAAUUAAGAGAAUCACUUUGAACUUACAUUCGAUACACACUUUAUUUAAAACCAUUUUUUAAAUUAUAUUUCUUAUGAUCAAAAACAUUUUUAAGACACUUCUAAAUGCUAACCUACAUUUAAAAAAAUGUCAAGAUAAUUUUUUUUUCUAAAAUAACUUUUAAUUUAUUAUACUUUAUUAUUACAUUUUAUUUUUUGUUUGAUGCUUUAAAUAGUUUUUAUUAAAUAAAAUUAAAAUUAUAUUGGUGGAAGGCUAAUUAACUUUGUUUUUAAGUGAGAAAGACAGUGAUAAGGUUGAGGUGGGUCUAAAAAAAUGAAAUAAAAGAAUGAAAAAAAGAAAAAGAAAAGAAGAAGAAGAUAGAGAUAAGAUUGAGGUGAGUCUGUAAUUAAAAAAAAAAAAGAGAAAAAGAAAAAGAAAUGCAGAGUAGGAGACAAAGUGACAAAAGCUUUUGCUUUCUUCAAAAAGUUAAAAACAAAGGCUAAUGGCAUCAUGUCAUCAAACUCUAUACAAGACACUACUUGAAUAUUUUUAUGAUUUGUUAAUUAAACUAGUCUUAUACAAGGACUAAGUUAAAAAUAAUUUUAAAAAAAAUAUUAUUUAAGAAAUUAUUUUCUAAUCUACAUAAUUGCUACAUCUUUUUUACUUGAUUUUAGUUCAAUUUCAUUAAUAUGAAAUCAUUUAUUUGAGCCCAAAAAUCCAAAUCCAAAUCCAAAUCCAACUCAUUUAUUUAUAUACUUUAUUGGCAUGGAAUGAGAAAAGUUAUAAAGUGAAAGAAAAUUUGAUCAUAUGAUAGAGAUUUCUGAAGUUGGAGCCAAUUCAAUGCCUAGUGGGUAUUAAAAGAAAAGAAAAGAAAAGAAAGAUGUGGAAAUUAAAGUGGAACAACCAAAAUUUUGAGGUUUGAGGGGAUGUCACUGCACCUUCCAAGUAACUGUCUAAGAAUGUGAGGUGUCAUUGCAUUGAAAAUUAAAAUUAAAUCUCAUCAAGUAACUAUAAGAAUUGCUUUACUUAAAGACAAGUAAUAAAUAUAUCUUGCUUUUUCAUAAAAUUUAUGACCCUAAGUGAAUAAAAUUUUUAGAGUGGGAUGAAUUCAUUUCACGUGAGUCAUGUCCUAGAUAUAUUUUUAGAAUUUUCUAGCAAGAUAUCAAGGGAAACUUUAUGGUAAGUGUUUUCUUUCUAGUGAAGGUGAGUACAGUUCGAUGUCAUUCAUAAACAUAUUUCAAACCCAAUAUACUUUUUUAGGGAUUUGAAUUAAAUAGAUUUGUAUUUAUUUUAAAUUCAUGUGAAUAUAUAUAAUUCAUUUAAUAAAUAAAUUAUUUUUAAAUUAACUCAGAUAACCCACAUUUGACUCCAAUUAACUUAUUUAAUAAUGGUAUUGAUUAAUAUAAUAAUAACUUUAAUUUAUUGAACUCAUUUAACUCAUUUAAAAUUUGUUUUUCAAUAAGUAUGCCAUAAUUGGGUCAUCAUAUAAUAUUAGAACAUUAAGCAUAUUAUUUCAUUCAACAUUUAACUUGAUUUGAUUAUUAAACAAUAUCUUAUUAUUAAAUUGGUUAAACAGGAAAUGAUGUAUCAGCUAGUUAAUAAUUAUAUAGUGUUUGAGUUUAUGUUUAUGUUUUUAAUUUUGAUUAUUAUUCAUGUCAUGUUUGGGUUGAGUUGUUUCGUUGAUACAACACAAACAUAAUCUACCAACAUAUUAAUAAAAAAUUACGAGAUAUUAGGAGAGUAAUUUUGGUAAAAGUUAAUAUUUAAUGAUUUAAGAUGAUUUUAAAUUAAAUUAUAUUUAAAUGAUUAAGUCAUAUCAAAUCAUUAACUUAAUUUAUCAAAAUCAUUUUUUAUUUUAUAUUAUAGUAUUAAGUUAUUUUAUCGAUCAUACUUAAUAUACUUAAGAACUUAAAUUUAGUCUUAUCAACAUUCUCUAAGGUCUUCUCAAUUUUUAAUAUUUAUUUGAUACAUAUUUAAAAAUAAACAAGUCAAAAUAUAUUAUCUCAAAAUUUCUAAUUCAUACUCCUACAAGAUUUUAAAAUUCAUUAAUUAAUUUGAAAGAAAUUUGUUUUGGAACAUGCAAGUGAUGGACAUAUCACAUAUCUUAAAUUUCUAACUAAAAAACCUCGUAACAAAAUAAUUUGAUGAAUGUUUUUCAGUUUAAAAAACUCAGAACCAUUUCACAAUGAUUUUGGGAAGUUAGAAAUGUUUUCGAAUGCUUGAAAAUGUUUUAAUAACGAAAAUUAAACAUUUGAUAAAAAUUAAAGUUCACAUUCUAAGUAAUUGAUAGUGCUUCUUAUAAUUUUUUUUUCUUUUCAUUAUAUAUAUAUAUAUUAGACAUCUAAAAGGUUUCACCAAUUAAAUGGUGUCACAUAUACAUUUUUAUAUAACAUGAAUUGUAAAGGUUUCAUCAAUUAGGUGGUGUCACACAUAUAUUUUUAAGUCUCAUAGUUUAUAUCAUUGUACCUUGGCCACAUUUGUUUAUACAUUUGUUUAACGAUUUAGAUCUCACUACAUAUAUUUAAUGGUUUAGAUCUAGACUUCGAUAGGUACCACUACAAAACCUUAGUAUUAUAUAUACAUAUACAUCAUACUAACUACUUUUUUUUAUAUCAAAACACUUACAAUAGAAAUGCUACAAAUUAGUUUUGAUCAAAAUAAUUUCCAAACCAACCAUAAUAUUUGCAUUAGCUUUAACAUAUAAUAUCUUUUAUUUUAGUUGUUGAUAUAGCUACAUAUAAGACCAACCAUUCAUAUGAUAAUUAUUAUGGAUCUUAUUUUAAUUUGAUAAAAAUAUCUACCGAAGCAUUAUGCAAAUAGGGACGACAAUGGGGUGAAAUAUGGACGAGUCGUUCCUAUCCCAACUUACCUCAUUUAUUUAAAAUAAUUCUCAUUCCCGUCUCAUUGAAGAAAUUAAAUGGAAUGGGAUAGGUAUGAUGCCUACCCCUUUUAAUUUCUUUUUGAAAAUUUUUAAUUUUUUUAAAAAUUAUUUUUAAAUUUGUUUAAAUACAUUAAAAUAAAUAUAUUUUAUAAAUAAUUUUAAUUUUAAUUUUUUAUAACUUAUUUAUUAUUAUUAUUAUUAUUAUUAUCAUUAUUAAAAAUAGGAAAAAUAACAAUUUACGUCUAAUUGAAGCAGGACAAGGUAAUACCUAAACCUGCCCCAAACUCGUCUUGAGUUUUAAAAAAAAUUUCAAAGAUGCUUUUAACUCAUUUAUUUAAAUUUCAAAUCCAUCCUAUUAGGGAUGGGGUGAAACUUGUCUCAUUGUCAUCCAUGUAUGCAAGUCAUAAAUAUAUAAUAAGAAAAAUAAUAAUAAAAUUAGUAUCUAUUUAGAUAAACUUGUUGUUUUUUGUUUUUAAAAUAAGAAAAUAAUAAUAACUUUUAUAUAAGAUAUAAGGAUAUUUAGAUACUUAUAUUAAAAAUAAUAAUAAUAGUUUUAAAAAUCAUUUAAAAUUUUAAGGUAUUAAAAAAAUUUUACUAAACCAAAUUUAAUUUUUUUUUAAAGAUAUGACAUAAAUUUAUAUAUAUAUAUAUAUUUUGUAUAACAUGUUCUACUUUCAUAUAGAAAUUUCUAAUUUUAAAAACAAAAAAUAACAAAUGUAUUAAAUGAACACUUAGCUUCUUAUUUUUUUAGUGGUUCACCUUGCCCCUUAGAUAAGAAGAUUAUGAAAAUUUUCAAUAAUUAUGAAAAAGAUAAAAGUACUAAAGGUGGAAAGACUUUGGACAAAAUUAUGUGUGAGAUGGUGUGCAUCAACUUUAAUUUGGACAAUUAUGUUAAUGGGAAGAUGUUAUCCUCGUCUCAAUCACUAACUUUAAAUUGUAGUACUUAUUGUAUUUUGGAUAAUUAUGUUAAUGGAUCAUGUCAUCCUCGUCUCAACUCAUCUUGAUUAUUUAAGUUAUAAGUUAUAGUCACCAUGUCUUAUUUAAACUUUUAUACUAUUUUUUAUUAUUUUUAAAGAUAAAUCUUAUUAAUUCAUAUGUGAUAAAAUACAUAAAAUAAAUAAAUAUUUUAUUUAUCAUAAAUAUAUAAAAUUGUAUGGGAAUACAUGUAGGUGAAAUUAUUUUCUCAAAAUUUCAAGGAAAAUAUGAAGAAAUAAAAUAAAAUAAAAAAAUAUAAUUUUAAAAUAGUUGUAAAGAAAAAAUUUGUUAAAAAAAUAAUUUUAAGUUGACAAUAGAAAAUUGUAAAAAAAUUUCCCUACUCCGAAACGAACUUUGGAACUCUACGUACAUUCUUAAGGAAAUCUGGUACAUCGUUAAAAAAUUUUGGUAUAUCCAAUCACUUUCCAAAGAUCCUUAUAGGAAUAAACAGAUUAUGGGUAAUAAAAUAGGGGUCUUGAUAGCUUAAGGAUUAAAUGUACUAAUUUUUUUUAAGGAUGUAUCAAAUUUUUUCAAAGAUAUACAUAGGGUUCCAAAGUCCGUUUUGGAAUAGGGAAUGACCUUCAAUCACUUUCCAAAUAUCCCUAAAGAAAUAAACAGAGUAUAGGUAAUAAGAUAGGGAUCCUAAUAGCUUAAAAAUUGGAUGUACCAAAUUUUUUUAAGGAUGUACCCAAUUUUGUAAAUGAUGUACUAAGGUUAUCAAAGUUGGUUUCGAGAUGGAGAACGACCUCUAAUCACUUCCCGAAAGUUUUCAAAGAAAGAAAUGGACCAUGGGAAGUGAGAUAGGUGUCAUGUUAGUUCAAAGAUUGGAUGCAUCAAAUUUUCUCAAUGAUGUACCUAGGGUUUCAAAGUCUAUUUCGAAGUAGGAAACAACCUCCAAUCACUUUCCAAAGAUUCUUAAAGGAAUAAACAGGUCAUGGAUAAUAAGAUAAGAGUCUUAGUAGUUCACGAAUUGGAUGUAUCAAAAUUUUUUAAGUAUGUACCAAAUUUUAUGAAAGAUGAAUCAAAUUUUAUAAAUGAUGUAUCAAAUUUUGUAAAUAAUGUACUAAGGGAGCCUAAUUCCGUUCCGAAAUGGGGAACGACCUCCAAUCACUUCCUAAGGUUGUCCAAAGGAAUAAAUAGACCAUAGGAAGGAAGAUAGAAGUCUCAUUAGUUUAAGAAUUAGAUGUAUCAAAUUUUCUUAACGAUGUACCUAUGGUUCCAAAGUUCAUUUUAGAGUAGGAAACGACCUCUAAUUUCUUCCUAAAUAUCCAUAAAGAAAUAAACGAACCAUGGGUAAUAAUAUAGAAGUCUCGGUAGCUCAUAGAUUAGAUGUACCAAAUUGUUUUAAGGAUGUGCCAAAUUUUUUGAAAUAUGUACCAAAUUAUCUUAGGAUAUACCUUGGGUUCCAGUGUCUGUUUCAUGGUGGGAAACAACAUCUAAUUCUUUCUUAAGGGUCCUCAAAGGAAUAUAUGAACCAUGAGAGUGGAGAUAGGGGUUUUAGUUUUUCUAAGAAUGAAUAUACUUAGGAUUUCAAAGUUUGUUUUGGGGUGGGCAAGACCCUCUAAUUACUUAUCAAGGGUCUCAAAUGAAUAUAUACACCAUGAUAAGUAUGAUAGUGGUUCCGAUUCCCUUAGGCAAGAAUUUACCUAUUUUUUUUAAGGAUGUACCUAUUUUUUUAUGAAAUGAAUAUAAAAGAUUAAAUAUAAUUUUUUUAAUGAAAAAUAUAUUUUGUUUUAAUUAAAAAUUAAAGAUUUUAACCAAACAAAAAGUUAGAUUCGCAAUCAAUUUGAAAGCACUAUUGGAAUGCAUGAAUAUGUAAUAUUUUUUUCUCCAUUUUACACUAAAAUUAAAAAGCAAAAAACAAAAUUCUAAAAGCUCAUAUCACUUUUGAGGGUAAUUGUGAAACGAUUUGAAAACACUAUUGGAAUACAUGAAUAAAUAAUAUUUUUUCUCAUUUUAGACUAAAAUUUAAAAAAAAAAAUUCUAAAAUCUCAUUUUUUUAAUUGAUAUAUGAUUACACAAUUUCCUUGUAAAGAUAUUUAUCAAAUCAUAAUUAGUAAUUAUGUUUAAAAAAAAUGAUAAAAUCAUAAUUAUAGACUGUGGCUUUCAAGAUAUUUUUACAAUCACGUUUAUUAAUUAUGAUUUUAUGAUUAUUAUGAUAAAAAAUGUUUUAAAAAUAAGGGAAACUUGUGUUUUAGGGCACUUAUAUAUAAAAUAUAUGGCAUUCAGACCCUAAGUUUAUGAAAUAUGGAAAGUAAUCAUUAAUGGACAAAAUAAUAUUAGAAUUAUGCACUCUGUGCUGAGUCAAUUUUAUCUGCCCAAAUUGCCCCUGAUGUCUUUUGCAUCAGCAACCAAAUAGCUUCCACAUCAUACUUAAAUAAAAAAAAAUUGUGAAACUUGACAAUUGCUGAAAAAACUACCCGACCCGACUUUAGUUGUCCCAUUCUCUCUUUCUCAUUUUAGCAAAAAAAAACCCUAACUUUCUUCUCAUAAACUUCUGUAGCCCUAAAUCCAUAUUUUAGUUUGUUAGCAACCAAAUCUGAGAUUUUUCCUAAGCCGAAAUCUAAAAAACUUGCCAUUUCAGAAGGUCAUUUGAAAUCUGAAUCAGCCAAAACCUUCAGUCCAACAAAUCGAACCGUUACCCAUCUUCCCAGUUUCUCAGAUUUCUCUGUUUGUCUCUUAACAUCUCAAUUAGUCGAACCUAUCUAUCUCUUAACGUCCUGAGUAGCCGAAGUUGAUGCCCAUCUUCCCAAUACCUUGAAGUAAACUGAACGGGAGACAUAUCUUGUUUUUGUAUCAUCAAAGUUGGAAUUUUGUUAAGGUUUCUCGAAACGGAAUUGGAGUUUUCCCAUUUGCGCGUGUUUUCCGAUUAAUCAAUCACAGGUGAGUUUUCAUUUACGGGUUUGUUUGGAUGGUGCGAACAUCUUAGGGUUUCAGGUGUUUUAUUUUGGGGUUUCUUGUAUUUAGCUUCAUUUUCGGUAGAAUGAAAUAUAGUAUAAAUUUUUUUAGGUUAAAGAUAUGUUCGUAUUUAGAGAAAAAAAUUAUUAUUAUUAUUAUUAUAUAUAAAUAUAUAUAUAUAUAUAUAUAUUUAUUAUUAUCACAUAUGCUUUCCAGGAAUUCUAUUGUCAUAAGAUUUUUGGGGAAAUUGGUUCAUCUGUAUUACUUGGAAAUUUUCUUUCAAUUUUAAUGGUAUAUAUGAGAGUUACUACUAGCAGCUAAACAGAUUAUUUGCUUGGUCAUUUGUCAUUGUUAUUGCUUUACUAAUUUUGAAUAUCGAUUUCAUUGUGUGUAUGCUUUUAUUAUUUUGUCAUUUGUCUUUGCAUGAUAGAAUUGAAUGUAUGUUGUUGUUGUUAUUGUUUUAUGAAUUUGAUUUGAGACAUGAUAAAAUGAUAGCAAUAAGCAUCUAAAAGAUGAAUGUUCACUACAAAUUUGGGAUGAAAAAGAAGUGACGGCUUUGUGAAGUGUUGGUCAUGCCUUAAUUUAUUUGCAUAUUUGAUUUAUUUUUGAAUUCUUCUUAUUUAUAUUUUAAAUGUUUAAUAUGUUGUUGAGGUAAGAAUUGGUAUGCAUUUUUUCUCAGUUAUGUUUUCGAGACCAUAUUACAUUCCUAAGUCUUUAAAUUUGAGAUGAGUAUAGUUUUGUAUUUGUCUUUUUAUGAGUGGAAAAUCGUAUUGUAUGUGAAGAAUUGUGGUGAUAGUGUUGUGAAAAGUUCGUGUAACACAAAAUUAAGUGUUGAAAUUUGAAGGAGAGAAUGAAUAAAGUAGACAACACCCCAUAUGGUAGAAAUGCAUGAAGAACAUGAUACCCAACUAUAGUCAAUGCAUUAAUGCUCUUUUGAUAGCUGUUUUGGAAUUUGUGGUACUGCAACAUAUAUUCGAAAAAAUGAUAAAUGAAAUGGGUUGACUGUUUUGUAAGUCAAUUUUUUUUUUUUGGUGAAAAGAGAGAAAGACAUGUAGUUUUUUGUUUGUAAGUAGUGAAGUUAGUUGUGUUAUCCCUUUAAUUUCCUCUUCUGAUCCUUUUGAUGAAUUUGGGUCAUGUCAAACUAUCUAUUUAUGACUCUAAGUUAAUAUUGGUCAGUUUUGUUUUCGGACAAGAAUGGACAAUACUUUGCAUAUUUACAAAUUGGGCAAAAUUGAAGGUACUGAUUGACAACACUAUUUAAUUGCAAAACUGUUGUGUCAUGUCUGUUAUUAUUUGGCUGGUAAAUGAGUCAUAUUAUUACCCUAUUGGUCCUUUAUUGGAGGACUUACCAAUUGCACAACUCUCCACUUAGUUUUUUGUAGUAUGAGUUCCCUCUAAAUGAGUUGUGCCUUUAUUUUCAUUGAAAAUGAAACAGUUAAAUUAUCUAUUGAAUGAGUUAGACUUUGACACUAUUUCUAAGCAUUUUUUGCAUGUAAGAUAGUAUAGGUUAGGACCCUUGUAGUUAAAAUUUUGAGUUUUUUGGUUGUUAGUUAAUUUUUUUUUAGCUCAUUUAUGAACUUAUAUUUUCUUUUAUUAGGAAUUGAACGGUGAAAAAUGAAUUGAAAAAGAUUAGGUUACAAUGGAUUCCACUUUAGAAGAUGAACAAAUUUGUAUUCCACAUUGACUUGCAUUUCAAGCGUGAUUUUAUAACCUUGGCAAUGUAGUGUUUGAUUCAAAAAUAAAAGUUUCAAAUACCUUCAAUUUUGGACACAAUAAACUGAAUUUUUCAUGAAAUUGUACUUUUGUUUCAUAUGAGAACUGUGGAUUUUAAGACAAUGCUCAUAACUGCCCUUGCUUUGUGACCUAUAGUUUAGUCUGCUUUUACUUGGUAUCCACUUCAAAUUUAUUUUAGCUUUUACUCGGUGGUCCUUUUAUACUUUUUGAUUGCUCAAGUAAAACUAAUCAUAGGCAAUUCAACUUUUGGUUUGUUGAUUAUGGGUUGGUUUAUGUUACCUUUUCCAGGUAGAGAACGAAGAAAAUUUUGGAGAUGGGACAAAAAAUGCUAGAGAUGGAGAAUUGAAUUCAGAAACUAGAGAAACAGAACCUGAAAGUGCUGAAAAAAUGAGGUAAAGCAGGUAGUAUUUGAGAAGAGGACAUAUGAAAAUAAAUUAGACUCAAAUGAUGACGAGAAAAAUAUUAGAACAAAUUCGAUUAAUAUAGAAUUGGAAAGUAUGAAUUUUGGCAUGUGAGCAUGUAUAUGCCAUAUGUAGUAAAUGAAUAUGUUUCAUUUUCAUUUCCUCUAUGUUUGAUGAAUAGUAUGUGGGGCGUUGCCUAUGCCAUUUGUUUGAAGAUAUUAGGACAUGUUUGAUGAAUUACUGUCCAUAGAUGCUAACAGUGUGUCAGAGAAGUAACUUUUUUUUCAUAAGAUUUACUGAAAUUUAAUUUAUGCUCACUUGAGUAGGAUAUCGUUGCUUCUUGCCCAAGUACUUUGAUUUAUAUUGGAAUGAGAUGACUAUGUUAUACAGAACAUAGAAACAAAAGUUAAAUUGAAAGGAUGACAAUUUUUUUUUUGCUUGUGUUCAGCCUAACAUAAUUACAUGUAGCUCUUAGGAGAACAAGAAGGAUAAUUAGAGUAAUGUUUCCAUGGUAGCAGUUUAAAAUGCUUUUGGAAAUUUUCCAACUAAUCUGAAGCUUACCAAAGGGCACAAACCUAAUACAAGCUUUGUGAAGCAAUAGUAGAAAGGGCACACGCUUGUGCUUCCGUGCAUUGUAUUAUCUUAACUUCUUUGAAAAUUUAUAUAUGCGUGUUUCAUUCGGAUAGUUAUGAACCAUUAUGAAUGUUAUAGGGAUAACAAAUUAUGUGUAAUGCAAUUAUGAUGUACAUCCAAGUAAUAGUAGGGUAGGACAAGUAGUUGUUAAUGGUGAUAAAUAUCUUUAUAUAGUUGUUCAAUUGGAGCAUUGGAAAUAUUCCUGUGCAUGUAUAUUUACCUAUGUAAAUUAUACAUAAAACACAAACAUGUUCUUGAGGAUGGACGAUGUUCAUAGAGAACAGGAGUAACAAAACUAAGAUAAAUUGCUUUUUUUUUUUUCACAUCUAACAUGUUUGAGUUAUAAAAAGCUUCCAUUACUUCCUAUCUUCUUAUUAUUAUUUAUCGACUAAUUGACGACUUACUUACCAAAGCAUUUUAUUUAGAUGAUAAUUAACUGGGUUGAAAACCAAAAAUGAAUUAAAUAUAGACGAACAAUUGAAAAAUGAAACUGAAAUGUGGAACUGAAUGUGCGAACGUAGCAUCAGUUUGGUAAAUCAGUAGAACAAUGCUUACCGCUUAGUAUUAAAAUUAGACUUGAGCCCGUUUGGCUGUGAUUCUAAUGGAAGGGUUUUUAUUGACAGUGUUGAGGUGAAUAACACUUUUAUGAGAAUCAGGAAAAUGAUUCUAAUGGUGUUUUAUAAAAUAUGUUGUAUAAAUAUAAAAACACUUUUAAUAUUAAUAAAUUACAACAAAUGACAUACAAUUGUAAUUAUGAAAAUGAAAAUAGUAUGAUAGACAAAAAACUUUUUAUUAUAACACUAUAAUAUCAAAAACUGGUUUAGAGUAUCCAGUGAUAGAGCUUUAACAUUGGGUCAAUCAGGCAGAAAUGCAAGCAUAUCAGGAGCAGAAAAUGAUAGAGCGACAAUAAAAAUUGAAAGCUAUUGUCAAGGUUCAUGGAGAAGAUGUCUUUUCAUUUUGGCUUGUAAUGACGAUUUAGAGAUCACUUGGCUGGUGCAUACCUAAUAAAAAAACAAUUACCAUUGGUUAAGGAAAGUUGCAAAUACAACAAGGGGACAAAAAAUGAAGAAAGUAAACCCAACAAAUGUGGAGUUCAAACCAAAAUUUGCAUAUAUGGAACAAAUGUUCAAAGUGUUGUAUACCACAUCAUCAUAUUAUUGUAUAAAAUUAUGCCAUCAUUAUAGUACCAAAUAAUUGUAUACAUAUCUUUAUAGUAAUAGAGAGAUGUGGAUGAAAAUCGGUAUACAGGGACUACCGAUCAUAAAAAUUGGUUAGUCUAAAAUGCUUAGCCAUAUACAGUGCAUUGAAGGCAGGUACUUCAUGAAAGGAAAAUGUGAAAUGAGUAUGACAGGUGACAUAGAUCAAGAGUUCAUUUUGCUGUUCUCAUGUUCUAUAGGUUAUAUAAAAAAAUUGUUGCCUUAAUUUCUCAUAACAUGGAAAACAAAAAGUAAUGUGCACAAUAAUGGAAAUCCUUAUCAUUGACACAUGUAUGACAACAAUUGAAUAUUGAAAAAUGAACAAAAUCAUAAUGAAAUGCCAUAGUAUAUAGGGUGCAUUAAGGUAGUACAUAAGGGACAUUACAGUAGUACCUAGGGUACGUUAAUAUAGUACCUAUGGUCCAUUAAGGUAGUACCUUCACACUAGUAUGAUUAGAUACGGUACAAACUGACUAACCAAUUAAGAUAGAGUAAUGCCAAAAUCGAAUCUGUAAUGGAAUGAAAUAAAUGUGUCAAAAUUAGUUCAAAAGUGCAAAAUUUCUCCAACAUGCAUUAAGGACAAUAACCAAUUGGACCUUACUACAUAAGGAGUAGUGAGAUAGCACCUACGAUGCAUUAAGGUUGAACCUAAAGUGCAUAAUGAUAGUAAGUGAAGUGCAUUAGGGUAGUACCUAAGGAGAACAUUCUAAAAAAUAAAUUAUUUUUAAAUAAUGCCAUAGACAAUUCAGGACACUGUGUACUAAGGGAAGAUGUUGGACAUAUAUCCAUUCAACGUCAAAUUAGGAUGGAAUUGAAUGUCAAACGUAGGUCCUAUGGUUGAGGAAAGUGCUACCUACGAUUGAUGAACAACCCAAGGUUCACGAACUCACUACCUAAGCUCCAUUAAGUUAAUAACUAAGGUUCACAAUGGUAGUCCUUAAGUUGCAGUAAGAUAGUACUCCUAAGGCUCAUUAGGGUAGUCCUUAAGCUGUAGUAAGAAAGUACUCCUAAGGUUCACUAAGGUAGUACCUUAGACACAUUAAAGUAGUACCUUAGGCACAUUAAGGUAGUACCUUAGCCAUAUUAAGGUAGUUAAUCAAGUGCAAUAAGGUAUGACCUAAGGUCAACGGGAUGCCUUACCUAUUACAACAUAAUAAUGUCAUGCUCAAUUAAAGAAAUUGUCAUUUUCAACCAAAUGACUUGGUUAUGUAUCAAAAUAUGAUGAAAUUGAAUGACAAAGAUACAUUCUAUGAUUAACCAUGGUAGUACCUAGGAUUCACAAAGUAACCACAAAGUGUUUAUGAAGCUAGUAGCCAAGUUGUGCUCGGGUGCAUCAUUAAAAUUCCUAAAUAUGGAGACAAUGUGGUAUAGUCAGGUAGUACCUAAGGGACAUUAAGGUAGUACCUAAGGGCCAUUAAGGUAGUACCUAAAGCACAUUAAGGCAAUACAGUAGGUACGUUAAGGUAGUACCUAAGGGACAUUAAAGUUGUACCUAGGGUACGUUAAGGUAGUACCUAAUGUACAUUCAGGUAGUACCUUCACACUAUUAUGAUUACAUAAGGUACCGAUUGACUAACCACUUAUAACAUAAUAAAGCAAUGAUCCAAUCUAGCAUGCAAUUUUUUAUAAAAUGUGUCUUUAGUAAAAAAGUGGAACAUUUAUCCAAUGUACAUUAAGGGGAGCAACCAAAUAGACCUUACUACCUAAUGAGUAGUAAGAUUGUAACUACGAUACAUUAUGUUACAUAGGUAAAGUACAUGACGAUAGUACCUAAAGUGGAUUAGGGUAGUACCUAAGGAGAACAUUCUAAAAAUCAUUUUAGAACAUAAUAAUCCCAUCUACAAUUCAGGAAAUUGUGUACUGAGUUCAGAAGUUCAACAUAUAACAAAUAAUUAUCAAAUUACGAUGGAAUUCAAUGCCAAAAAGACGUUCUAUGCUCGAGGAAGCUCCUACGUAGGAUUGAUAAAGUAAGUACCCAACAAUCAUAAACCAACUACCCAAGCUCCAUUAAGGUAAUAGCUAAGGUUCACAUAAAGAGUCCUCAUGCUGCAAUAGGAUAGUACUGUAGGUACAUUUACGUACUAUCUUAGGUACAUUAAGGUAGCCACAUGGGCAAUCUGCCCUUUGCCUUAGGUCAAAUGUUCACCUAUGCCAUUACAACAUAACAAUGGCAUGCUCAAUUAAGGAAACUGUGUAUUAUCUACUCAUUUCUUGAUUCAUCUUAAAACUUGGAUGGAAUUGAAUGCAAAAGAUACAUCCUAUGAUUGAACAUGGGUAAUACAUAGUAUUGACAAAGUAAACUACAGUUAGUUCAAAAAUUAAGUACCCAACGUGUGCUAGGGUAGGGCUAUAAAUUUCACAAUGGUCAUAUGUAUAGGACAUUAAGGUAGUACCUAGCGUACAUUAAGGUAGUAUCUAAAGUUUAUGACGAUAGUACCUAAGGGUUACUAAGGUAGUACCUAAGGUUCAGUCAAACAGUGCUUACAUCUAAGGUGAACAAACUCACAAAAAUUGCAAAACAUGAUGCCCACACACGUUGCAAAGGUUCAUAAAGGUUACAAGCCAAGGUGUGCUAACGUAUAAGACCAUAAAUAGCCUCAUGACUUCAUGUAGAGCAUGUAAGAUGUGUUUGACAUAUGGGAAUUGGAUUGGAAAUGGAACUGAAUCAUAAUAUUAUAUGGAAGAGAUGAAUCAAAAUUCUAGUAGGGGUAAGAGUAGGUUCCCGUCAAAAUGAAUACAUCAUUCAUAUUCUCAUAUUAUAAAACAAUCUAAACAAAUUAAUGCAUGGAAAAUGUCAUUACUUCCCAUUUCUCAUUCUCCAUUCUACCUUUACAAACAUUACCUUAUAGUGUUACUCAAGCAUUAUCGAAUUCAUAUUUCACGACAUUCAUACCACAACAAAAACAAAAGAGUAUCAUAUUUUUUUCAUUCUAUCUAACAAUAACCAUUGUAACACAUCAUGGAAGUUACCUUUGGUGCAACAUUCACAUUUCCAAAUACACCAAUGUCCAAAUACUCAACAAGACAGGGGAUUAAACCUGCAAGCAUGCGGUCUAAAAUCCACCUGCACAUAAAGCUAUCGCCUCACCACUGAACACAUAUUUCAGAGUCCAACAACCACUCUACAAUCGUCGAUAUGCUCCAUUAAAAACAAACAAACAAAACAACACUAAAUAAAAAUUAAUUACCGUAAGAUUUUUUAGUGGGGGUUAGGCCAAAAUACAACCCAAUCAGAUGAAGAGGAGAUUUCUUCUUCACGAAGCCAAUAUUUCACACUUUCCGUAUUCAUUCAGGUUCACUCAGUUGAACCAGAAUUUGAAUCACAUUGUUGCCUCUUCAAACCCUCUUUUUAACUAGACGUUGUUACCAUGAAGUGCUUUAUUUGCUUCUUCAGAAACUGCACAACAAAAAAAAUGUAGAUUGAGGUUUUCAAUUCACGGUUUCUUCUUUGAAAUGUGUGAAAUUUUGCAAAUUUGAACACGGUCUCCGCUCCGGCUGGUUGCGGACAUGAAGACGAAUGAGAGAAAUGUUCCCAAACUUUAAGAGGAUGAAGAAAAGAGAAAUUCCAAUCUGGGUAUCAGUUCGACUUGUUGGACAUGAAGGUUUUGACUGAUUCAGAUUUCAAAUGACCUUUUGAAAUGACAAGUUUUUGAGAUUUCGGCUUAAGAAAAAUAUCAUAUUUGGUUGUUGACAAACUAAAAUGAAAAUUUAGGGCUAUGGAAGUUUCUGGGAAGAAAGUUAAGUUUCUUUUUGCUAAAUGAGAGAAAGAGAAUGGGACAACCAAAGACGGGUCGGGUGGUUGUUUCAGCAAUUGUCAAGUUUCACAAUUUUUUAUUUAUUUAAGUAUGAUGUGGAGGCUAUUUGGUUGCUGAUGUAGAAGAUAUCAAGGGUAAUUUAAGCAGAUAAAAUUAACUCAGCACAGAGUACACAAUUCUAAUAUUAUUUUGUUUUCAUAAAUUUGGGUUUGAAUACCAUAUAUUUUAUAAAUAAGACCCUAAAACACAGGUUCUCUAAAAAUAAUAUUAAAAUUAUAAUACCAUUAAAAACAAAAAUGAGCGGUGACCAAGAGAGAGAAAAUUAUGGUUGUGGGAUGGCAUGCAACACUUUAAAGUGUAGUAGUGUAGCAAUUAUUCAAUUUUGACAGUGAGAGAGAGAGAGAGAGAGAGAGAGAGAGAGAGAGAGAUAUUGCUUUGAGAUGACAUGCAACAACUUUAAAGUGUGGCAAUUAUUGAAAUUUGACCAAGAGAAAGAGAGAGUUAUUGUCGUGGUAUGGCAUGCAACACUUUAAAAUGUGUAGCAGUUAACAGUGUAGCAAUUAUUCAAUUUUGACAGUGAGGGAGAGAGAGAGAGAAUUGUUGCUGUGAGCUGGCAUGCAACAACUUUAAAGUUAGCAGUUAUUGAAUUUUGACCAACCAUAUCCUCAUCCAAAGUUCCCAACCCAUCUUGGUUACUUCAACAAAUUUUUAUUCCGUUUCAAACCUGUAGUAGAGUAGAACGGGGUCGGAAUUUUUUUAGAAGUUACAGUCAUCCUAUCUUAUUUAAUAUUUUCUGUUAUUUUUCUUAUUUUUAAUUUUAUUUUUAUUAAAAUAAAUAUAAUUUAUGAGUAAAUAAAUUAUUUUUCAUAAAUUUUACAUCCUAUCUUUAUAAAAAGUAAAUUUGCAGUUUCAAUUUAAAUACGUUUAAAGAGGAGAAAUGAAAAAAGAAAUUAAAUUAUUUUUACUUAAUUUUAUUUAUAAAUAAGAUGAAUUGAGAUAAUACUUAAAGUUUGUUUGAUAAUUAUUUUAAAAAAUGUUUUUAGUUUGAAAAAUAUUUUUAAAAAGAAUAAAUUAAGGGUAUGUUUGGUAAUUACUUUCGAAAAUAGUUUUUGAGAAUAGUUAUUUUCUAAAUAUUUUGUAGAAUAAAAGUAUAUUUGAAAACCUAAAAUAUUUUUGAUCAAUUUAUUAUAUUUUUAAAUAUAUUUUAAAAAUAAUUUUUAUAUCUAAUAUUUUAUUUUUAACCAUUCUACAUGUUUAUAUAAUUAUUUUUAAAAACAAUUUUUAGAAAAUAAAUUAAAAAAAUAAAAAAUAACUAAAAGAUGUCAUUUAAAAUUACGUUUUUUUUUAAUAAUAGAAAACGAAAACAAUUUUUUAUUAUCAAAUGUGUUUUCUUGAUUUUUUGUUCUGAAGAACAAAAAACUAUUCUAAAAAAUAGUUGCUAAACAAGCAUUAGGUGUUAGACAAAAUUUUAAAAAAACUUCUAAAAAUCUAAAAAAUCAUUUAUACUAUUUUUUUUUUAGAAAAUCACAUAUAAUGUUUUUUAAAAAAUUACUUAAUAGGUAAUUUUCUUAAAAACACUUCAAGUAAAUAUACUGUCAAACACAUUAUUAAUAUUAUUUAAUCCAACCUUGGAGUUAAAAAAUGAUUUAUCAAAUCCAACCUCAAUCGGUUUAAACUCUCCUUAACCCAUUCCCAUUUGUAAUAUCUGGUUUUGGAAAAACAAAAAUAAAAAUAAAAACAUAAUAUAAAGAGUAGGAGGAAUGUCAAAUAUAAAAAGAGGGUUAAAAAUGUUUUUUAAUGGUUGGAAGUGUUUUUCAAAUAAUGAUACAUUUUGAAAAUUUUUAGAAAUUAAGAGAAUCACUUUGAACUUACAUUCGAUGCACACUUUAUCUAAAACCAUUUUUUAAAUUAUAUAUCUUAUGAUCAAAAACAUUUUUAAGACACUUCUUUUGAUUUGUAUCUAAAUGCUAACCUACAUUUAAAAAAAAUGUCAAGAUAAUUUUUUUUUAAAUCUUUUAAUUUAUUGUAAUUUAUUAUUACAUUUUAUUUUUUGUUUGAUGCUUUAAAUAAUUUUUAUUAAAUAAAAUUAUAAUUAUAUUGGUGGAGGGCUAAUUAACUUUGCUUUUAAGUGAGAAAGAUAGAGACAAGGUUGAGGUGGGUCAAAAAAAUGAAAUAAAAGAACGAAAAAGAAAAAAGGAAAAAAAGAAGAAGAUAGAGAUAAGAUUGAGGUGGGUUCGUAAUAAAUAAAAAAUAAAUAAAAAAAUAAAAAGAAAGGAAGAGUAGGUGACAAAGUGACAAAAGCUUUUGCUUUCUUCCAAAAAGUAAAAACAAAGGCUAAUGGCAUCACGUGAUCAAACUCUAUACAAGACCCUACUUGAAUAUUUUUAUGAUAGAGAUUUUCCAAAGUUGGACCCAAUUCAAUGCCUAGUGGGUAUAACAAAAAAAAAAAAAAAAAAAAAAAAGAAGAAAAAAAAGAAGGAAAGAUGUGGAAAUUAAAGUGGAACAACCAAUUUUUUGAGGUUUGAGGGAUGUCACUGCACCUUCCAAAUAACUGUCUAAGAAUGUGAGAUGUCAUUGCAUUGAAAAUUGAUAUUAAAUCUCAUCAAGUAACUAUAAGAAUCGGUUUACUUAAAAGACAAGUAAUAAAUAUAUCUUGCUUUUUCAUAAAGUUUAUGACCCUAAGUGAAUAAAAUUUUUAGAGUGGGAUGAAUGCAUUUCACGUGAGUCAUAUCCUAGAUAUAUUUUUAGAAUUUUCUAGCAAGAUACCAAGGGAAACUUUAUGGUGAGUGUUUUCUUUCUAGUUAAGGUGGGUACAGUUCGAUGUCAUUCGUAAAUAUAAUUAAAACCCAAUAUAUUUUUUAGGGAUUUGAAUUAAAUAGAUUUGUAUUUAAUUUAAAUUUAUGUGAAUAUAUAUAAUUCAUUUGAUAAAUAAAUUAUUUUUAAAUUAACUCAAAUAACCCACAUUUGACUUGAAUUAACUUAUUUAAUAAUGGUAUUGAUUAACCUAAUAAUAACUUUAAUUUAUUGAACUCAUAUUUAACUCAUUUAAGAUUUGUUUUUCAAUAAGUAUGCCAUAAUUGGGUCAUCAUAUAAUAUUAGAACAUUAAGCAUAUUAUUUCAUUCAACAUUUAACUUGAUUUGAUUAUUAAAUAAUAUCAUAUUAUUAAAUUGGUUAAACAAGUUAUGAUGUACCACCUUGUUAAUAAUUAUAUAGUGUUUGAGUUUAUGUUUUUAAUUUUGAUUAUUAUUCAUGUCAUGUUUGGGUUGAGUUGUUUCAUGGAGUAUCUAACCUUUGAUACAACACAAACACAAUCCACCAACAUAUUAAUAAAAAAUUACAAGAUAUUGGGAGAGUAAUUUUGGUAAAAGUUAAUAUUUAAUAAUUUAAUAAUUUAAGAUGAUUUUAAAUUAAAUUAUAUUUAAAUGGUUAAGUCAUAUCAAAUCAUUAACUUAAUUUAUCAAAAUCAUUUUUUAUUUUAUAUUAUAGUAUUAAGUUAUUUUAUCGAUCAUACUUAAUAUACUUAAGAACUUAAAUUUAGUCUUAUCAACAUUCUCUAGGGUCUUCUCCAUUUUUAAUAUUUAUUUGAUACGUAUUUAAAAAUAAACAAGUCAAAAUGUAUUAUCUCAAAAUUUCUAAUUCAAACUCCUAUAAGAUUUUAAAAUUCAAUAAUUAAUUUGAAAGAAAUUUGUUUUGGAACAUGCAAGUGAAGGACAUAUCACAUAUCUUAAAUUUCUAACUAAAAAACCUCAUAACAAAAUAAUUUGAUGAAUGUUUUUGAGUUUAAAAAACCUAGAACCAUUUCACAAUGAUUUUGGGAAGUUAGAAAUGUUUCCAAAUGCUUGAAAAUGUUUUUAUAAUGAAAAUUAAACAUUUGAUAAAAAUUGAAGUUCACAUCUAAGUAAUUGAUAGUGCUUCUUAUAUAUUUUUUUUCAUUAUAUAUAUUAGGCAUCGAAAAGGUUUCACCAAUUAAAUGGUGUCACAUAUACAUUUUUAUAUUACAUGAAUUGAAAAAGUUUCAUCAAUUAAAUGUCACACAUAUAUUUUUAAGUCUCAUAGUUUAUGUCAUUGUACCUUGGCCACAUUUGUUACCUUUGUUUAACGAUCUAGAUCACACUACAUAUAUUUAAUGGUUCAGAUCUAGACUUCAAUAUGUACCACUACAAAACCUUAGUAUUAUAUAUACAUAUACAUCAUACUAGCUACUUUUUUUUUUUAUCAAAACACUUACAAUAAAAAUGCUACAAAUUAGAAGUGUUUUUAUCAAAAUAAUUUCCAAACCAACCAUAAUAUUUGCAUUAUCUUUAACAUAUAAUAUCUAUUACUUUAGUUGUUGAUAGAGCUACAUAUAAGACCAACCAUUCAUAUGAUAAUUAUUAUGAAUCUUAUUUUAAUUUGAUAAAAAUAUCUAUCCAAGCAUUACACAAAUAGGGAUGACAAUGGGGUGAAAUAUGCACAAGUCAUUCAUAUCCCAACCUCACCCCAUUUAUUCAAAAUAAUUCUCAUUCUCGUCUCAUUGAAGAAAUUAAAGGGAAUGGGGUAGGUAUGAGAAUUUCAUGUACCCACCCGGCCUACCUCUUUGAAAAAUUUUAAUUUUUUUAAAAAUUAUUUUUAAAUUUGUUUAAAUACAUUAAAAUAAAUAUAUUUUAUAAAUAAUUUAAAAUUAAAAUUUUUUAUAAUUUAUUUAUUAUUAUUAUUAUCAUUAUUAAAAAUAGGAAAAUAACAAUUUAUAUCUAAUUGAGGCAGAACAAGGUAAUACCUAAACCUACCCUAAACCCGUUUCGAGUUUUAAAAAAAUUCUCAAAGAUGCUUUUAACUUGUUCAUUUAAAUUUCAAAUCCAUCCCAUUAGGGAUGUGGUGAAAACCUGUCUCAUUGUCAUCCCUAUAUCCAAGUCAUAAAUAUAUAAUAAGAAAAAUAAUAAUAAAAUUAGUAUCUAUUUAGAUAAACUUGUUGUUUUUUGUUUUUAAAAUCAAAAAAUAAUAAUAACUUUUAUAUAAGAUAUAAGGAUACUUAUAUACUUAUAUUAAAAAUAAUAAUAAUAGUUUUAAAAAUCAUUUAAAAAUUUAAGGUAUUAAAAAAAUUUUACUAAACCAAAUUUUAAAAAAUUUUAAAGUGAUUUUUAAAGAUAUGAUAUAAAUUUAUAUUUUUUUGUAUAACAUGUUCUACUUUCAUAUAGAAAUUUCUAAUUUUAAAAACAAAAAAUAACAGAUGUAUUAAAUGGACAUUUUAGCUUCUUAUUUUUUUUAGUGGUUCGCCUUGCCCCUUAGAUAAGAAUAUUAUGAAAUUUUUCAAUAAUUAUGAAACAGAUAAAAGUACUAAAGGUGGAAAGACUUUUGACAAAAUUAUGUGUGAGAAGAUGUUAAUGGGAAGAUGUUAUCAACUUAUGUGUGACAAAAUUAUGUGCAUCAACUUUAAUUUGGACAAUUAUGUUAAUGGGAAGAUGUUAUCCUCAUCUCAAUCACUAACUUUAAAUUGUAGUACUUAUUAUAUUUUGGAUAAUUAUGUUAACGGGUCAUGUCAUCCUUGUCUCAACUCAUGUUGAUUAUUUAAGUUAUAAGUUAUAGUCACCAUGUCUUAUUUAAACUUUUAUACCAUUUUUUAUUAUUUUUAAAUAUAAAUCUUAUUAAAAUAAAUGUAAUUUAAGAGUAAAUAAAUUAAUUUUUAUGAAUUUUAUAUUAGCAUUGAUAAAAAUUAUAUUUUCAAUUUUAUUUUAAACAUGUUCAAAAUGGGGGAAACGAAAAAAGAAACUAAAUUAUUUUUAUUGAAUUUUUAAAAUAAAAAUGAUUUAAUUUUAAUUUUAUAAAAAAAUUCUCAAAUAUAUCCCUAAUUUGUUUAAAUUUGUCCUAAAUCCUUCUAUAGUUGUCAUCUCUAAUUUUGACCAUAUAAAAAUUAAACCAAAAUAAGAAGGUUGAGGAAUAUCAAAUAUAAAGAGAGGUUGAAAAAAUUUAUAAUGCUUAGAGGUAUUUUUCUUACAAAUAGAACUUGUUUGGUCAUGUGAUUUAAAAACAAUUUUUUUCUUUUUUUUUUUUAAAUAAAAAAUUGUUUUUAAAAAUUUCUAACAAUGUUUGACCAUUGUUAUCUGGAAGCAAUUUUAAAAAAUAAGGUGAAAUAAAGAACAAUUUUUAGAGAAUAAAUAUAAAUUGUUUUUAUCAAUUUUUAAAAACAAAAGGAAAAUAUGAGCCAAUUUGACCAUAUUUUCUUAAACUUGUUUUUAAAAACUUUUUUAAAAAAAACACUUUUUAGAUUAAAAUCAUUUUUUAGAAUCACUACCAAAAUGAUUUUAAGUAUUAUCUCACUUCACCUCAUUUAUAUAUAAAAUCAAGUAAAAAUAAUUUAAUUUCCUUUUCCAUUUCCCCUUUUUAAUCAUAUUUAAAAUAAAGUUACAAAUUUACUUUUUAUCAAGAUAGAAUAUAAAAUUUAUGAAAAAUAAUUUAUUUACUCAUAAAUUACAUUUAUUUUAAUAAAAAUUAUUAUUAUUUAAAAAAAAACAAAAGGAAAAAUUGCCCCCAUUUGAUCAUAUUUUCUAAAACUUGUUUUUAAGUUAAAAAAUAAAAAACAGUUUUUAAAAACAAGUUUCAAAAAACAUGACCAAAUGAGCUGUAUAUAUUUGAAUUUUUUUUUAAAUAAUCUAGAGUAUCACUUUGAAAUAGCACUUAAUAGACACUUACUUGAAUAUCAAUUUUUUUUUCUUUUCUAUUAUGUAUCUUAUCAUCAAAAACGUUUUCAAACCACUUUUUUGGGUUGUAUCUAGGCACCAAUUAAUUCUUCACAAAAGCGCUUUUUUCUACUUAAAAGAGUUAUUGAUGUAAAUGAUAUAGGCUAAAAAAAAAAAGCAUAUAAAGCAUUUAUGAGAAUCAAUCCCAAUGGGUUUUAUAAGUUGUGUCAUUUAUCAAGGUUUUCUUGACUUUUUAUAUUAUAAUCUUUCAUAAUUAUGUAAUUCAUAUUUUUAAAGCAAAUUAACAAAUAUAUUACAUGUAAUCCAAUAAUUUACAUUUCUACCUUCCAUCAUCAUUAUAUGCUUUUAUUUUCAUAAUUAUUAUAUGGUAAUUAUAAAAUAAUCAAAUCUAAUUUUGAUAUAUUUAUGUUUAAGAAUUUAAGAUAUCUACCCUUAAUUUCUUGACUAUCCAAGGAAUAUUAUUUAUGUAAUUAGUAAUUAAUUGAUUUAGUUUUAUUCAACUUUCUUUGCAUAAAGAGAGAUAAGAUAAGUCAUAAAAGGUGAGUUUACAAAGAGAAGGAUAAGAGAUGAUAGUAGAAGGUGGGGUUAUUGAAAAUGAAGCUUCUCUAGACAACCAAUCCUAUCAACUUGUUCAAUGGACGCUUUGAUGUGAAAUGCAUUUUACUCCCUCUCUCUCUCUCUCUCUCUCUCUCUCUCUCUCCAAACCCCUCCUUACUUGUUUUCUUUCUUCCAAAAACAAAUAAAAACAAUUAAUUCCAAACCUCUCCUUACUUGAUAUAAAUAGGAUUUUAUAAUUCUAAUUUAAUGAACCAAAAAUAGAUCUACAAAACUCGAACUUAUAACAUUAUAAUAAAGAUCACCUUAUAUAAAUUGUUUGUAAUAUUGCAUUACUUUGGUAGCACCCUGUCACUUCGUGUUGAUAUUGGCACCUCGUAUCUUCCUUAGCCUUACUCUUGCACACUUAUGUUUGUACUCUCUCUCUCAACAAACCCCUCCUUAGGGAUGGCAAUGGGGCGGGGCGCCCCCCUCCCAAUCCCGCCCCAUUUAUUUAAACCAAUUCCCAUCCCCGUCCCAUUUAAAAAAUUAAACGGGGCAGGGCGGGGCGGGCGGGUAUGUUACAUUCCCAUACCCGCCCCGUUUAACUUUUUAUUUAAUUUUAAUUUUAAUUUUUUUUAAAAAUUACUUUUAAAUUUUUUUAAUUAUAUUAAAAUAAAUAUAUUUUAUAAAUAAUUAAAUUAUUAUAUUUUUUAUAACUUAUUUUAUUAAAAAUAAUUUUUUAUUAUCUAUAUAUUAAAAAUAAUAAAAUAAAAAUUAAAUUAAAUUAAUUUUAAAUUUUAAAUUAAAUUUAAUUUUAAUUUUAAUUUUAUAUAUAAUCGGGGCGGGGCGGGGCGGGGCAAUACCCAAACCCACCCCGGGUUUCAAAAAAAAUCCCAAACCCGUCCCAUACCCGUUUAAGAAAAUAAUAUCCCACCCCAUUAGGGGCGGGGCGGGGCGGGUACCCGAAAUGACCCGCCCCAUUGCCAUCCCUACCCCUCCUUAUUUGUUUUCUUCUUCCAAAAACAAAUAAAAACAAUUAAUUCCAAACCUCUCCUUACUUGAUGUAAAUAGGAUUUUAUAAUUCUAGUUUAAUGAACCAAAAAUACAUCUANNNNNNNNNNNNNNNNNNNNNNNNNNNNNNNNNNNNNNNNNNNNNNNNNNNNNNNNNNNNNNNNNNNNNNNNNNNNNNNNNNNNNNNNNNNNNNNNNNNNNNNNNNNNNNNNNNNNNNNNNNNNNNNNNNNNNNNNNNNNNNNNNNNNNNNNNNNNNNNNNNNNNNNNNNNNNNNNNNNNNNNNNNNNNNNNNNNNNNNNNNNNNNNNNNNNNNNNNNNNNNNNNNNNNNNNNNNNNNNNNNNNNNNNNNNNNNNNNNNNNNNNNNNNNNNNNNNNNNNNNNNNNNNNNNNNNNNNNNNNNNNNNNNNNNNNNNNNNNNNNNNNNNNNNNNNNNNNNNNNNNNNNNNNNNNNNNNNNNNNNNNNNNNNNNNNNNNNNNNNNNNNNNNNNNNNNNNNNNNNNNNNNNNNNNNNNNNNNNNNNNNNNNNNNNNNNNNNNNNNNNNNNNNNNNNNNNNNNNNNNNNNNNNNNNNNNNNNNNNNNNNNNNAAAUUUUAGCAAUCCAAAUCUGUAACUUCUGCAAAAGUUACGUAGUGUUGAGGGAACAACACAUCUUCUCUUACCAUUUUCAUCUUAUGCACUACAUAUCCCAUGUCAACUGCCACUUCCACUACACCUGAAUGAAGUAGGAACACAAAUGAACAUUUCAAGGCAUCAGAUUGUCUGAAAAUUAAAUUGGGAGAGGUAGAACUACCGAUGCUUACAUGGAACUGAGGAAAAGACAAACAAGAGCAACAAAAAUGGAAGAGAAAAUGCAAAUCCAUAAGCCUGUAGCUGCUGUCCAAAGCAGCUUCCUUGUCAAUUGUCAACAAAAAGUCCACUAUGAAAUUCACUGGUAGAGCCACAUAUAGAAAAUUGCAAUAAAUGGAAAAGUAAGAAAUCUGCGCUGGGAAUGGGUGAAGCUUAUUGAAUGUAAGGUUCUAAACAGUCUCUGACCAAACAGCAUUGGAGUAUAGAUAAUAGCUUUUAGAGGGAAGUGAGGUCUUGGUGACCCUGGAAGCUUAAGGCUUCCAGAUACUGGAAUCUUUGUGUGCAGAUAUACAUGAGAGAUGUAGGAAGGAAGAGGCAAGCCUGUGUCAUCUGAGCAGAGGCAUCUGGAAUCUUUGUGUGCCAUUAUUCAAUCCAAAGAGAUGUUGGGAGAGAUUUGUUCAGGAUUUAUGUGAUAUACAGGCUUUUCACAAUCAUAAAUAUGAAGGUAUUUAAGUAUGGCGUUUUGGAAUAAGGUGAUCUACCAGUAACAUAGAAAAUAAGGAGAUCACAAAGGACUACACAGUUAGCAUGUUUGGAAUAGUUGUGGUUGGUUAAUUUCAAGCCCAAGUUUUAGCACCUAAAAACAUGCCCAUUUUUUCCAGCCUGCACGGAAGCAUUCUCUGGUUGUUACAUACAUGGUGUCUGCAUGUCAAUCAACACAUUUUGAUGUUUUUUUCUUAAAUUCCAUAUUAAAGUUAUACUGGACACUUGAAUGUGAACAUGUCUGAUUAUAUCUUUUCUUUCCAGACAUGUUUCAUCUCUCCAGUGCACUGGGUUUGGAUGAACCUUAAAGCUCAGCUACAGAAUGAAACUGGAAUAUUAGUCAUGUUUUCUGUUCAUGGAUUGAUAAAAAUGUUGAGUAAGAUCAAGAAAGAUGUUAAAUGGGAAGAUGAUUUUCUUACUGUCAGUUUGUAUUGAAAAAAUGGUAAUCAGAAAAGAUAUUUUGGAUAGGAUUCAGAAAGAAAAUAUGUUGAUUCAAAAGUUAAAGAUAUAGCACCCAAGGGGCUAUGAUUCUGUGCAUGGAUUUUUCAUGCUUUAAGAUUGUGCAUGAAGUGCUGAUGUUAUAAGGGAUCAAGGGUGGUUUGUGGAGCAGUCCCCUCUUCAGAGUAUUGCAAGUAUUUAAAUAAUCCUGCAAUUCUGGAGUAGGCUUCUUCUAAUUUGCUCUGCACCCAAUCGUUCAGAACAGUGGAAAGCUUCAUUCAGCUGUAAUAAUUUAAUUAUUUAGAUUGAAUCAUAUUCAUUGGGUUUGCAGAUCAGGAGAAAGUGUCAUGGCUUUGAAUGUUUGUCUCUUUUAUAAUAUCACAGUGCAUUGGUCCACAGAGUUGGUAGCAUGACAGUUGAAUGAAAUGACUGAAAUGUAGCAGUCAAGGUUAUAUUAUAUGAAAAUAUUUAAAUAGACUUCACAUAGUGUGCUUGCAACAGUUGUGGACCUUUGAUGGUUGGAAUAUCCUUGCACAUAUGUCAUCAUUUUCUUUUCUUCAGCUCUGUUUUCUUUGUUUCUCCCUUCCUCGGUCAAGCCAAACAGUUUGGUGAUUCUUCAUUUCUUCUUCAUCCCAUCAAGAGAACAACAUCUCAUGCAUCUUUGUAUUGGGUUCCUCCAUCUCCUUCCACCCUAAGGAAAAACGGUAUCUUGCUUAGUUUGGACUUCUCUAUUUCUUUUAAUCAUUGUGAAAAGCAUCAUGAGAAGAGAUACAAUAAAUGUGUUUGUGCUGAAUUAUCCAAAACAUUAUUUUCACAAUCAUAAAUACCAAGGUGUUUAAGCAGCAGGUAAGGAAUCUCUUGAUAAUGAGGUGAGAGGUAGAAACAAGCAACAUACCUGUAUUCAAGAGAAAUUCUGUUCUUCUUUUGAAAUUUGACAACAUUCAUUUAGUCUGAAGUCAAUAUCUGGGCAACUCAGUAUCUCCACCUUCAUUAGGAUUGUAGGAAGCUGGCUUCUUGGAAAUACAUGAAAUGGGGGCAUUUCAAAAUCUAAAAGAAUUUCAGAGUCCUGCUGCAACUUUUGAAUUGCUCAAAUCAGUAACAACUCCAGAGAUAUAUACAUAUAUGCCCCAGGGAAAUAGAGGUGUCCUGGGCAUGCAACCAUGGAAGAUUAGCUCCCUAAUAGGCUCAAGGUUGUGGUCAUAAAAAAUGCACUGAGCGGGUGACUUGCAAUCGGUUGUGAGUCCCUCUUGGUAGCUUCUCAUUUAUUGCACCAUAUGAAUUGCAUUUUCCAACUGCCAAUUUCACCACCCCUAAAUGAACUAGGAGACAUGCUGAAAGCAAAGUUAGACAGCUCAUCAUAGAGUUAAUCCUGCAGGAAUACACCAAAAAGGAAAUCUUAUUAAUAUAAAUGAAUUCAUCCAAUUAAAGGAUAAGGUUGCCUGAAAAAUUAAAUUGAGAGAGAUGGAUAUAGUGAUGCUUACAUGGGACUGUGGGAAGGAUCAACAAGAGAAACAAACAUUGAAUAGCAAAUGCAAAGCCAUAGAGCUUGCAACUGCUGUCAAAAGCUGCUCCCUAGUGAAGUCUUUUAACAAUAAAUUUCAGUGCAAAAUUCGCCUAAUUGCUCCACUUGUAGGACAUUUCAAUAGUAUGAAAACAGGAUAUGGUGAACUCUCCCUGCUUCUGCCAUCAGUGAACUAAUAUGGAUCAAAGAUGAAUCUCGUCAUCUACAUCUAUUUUUACAUGGGAGAUGUGGGCAAUCUUGGGCCAAUCUCUCAUCAUUGGAUUUAGGAGUUGUCUCUGAUUUAUGGUUCUAAAAGCAUGACAGGAAACCCUUCACUUGCCAAAUACUACUGGAGCUUAGGUGAUGUCUCAAUGUGGGGAUGCUAAGGAUACCAGAUUCUGGAAUCAUUACAUGAAAAUAUACAUGAGAUCCAUAGGGAGAAAAUGCAGGCCUUGGUCAUUUGAGAAGAAAGCCACAUCUUGAAAUAUACCGCCAACGAUGAAUUGUCUGCGAGUGGUGAGUCUGUGAGGUUCCCACUGGGACCCGGGGUGUUUCUCACAUUCUUUCAAUCUUCAAUCUGAAGUAGCCACUUGAGCAAUUGUACCUCCAGGAAUGAGUCAUUUUGGGGCAGAUUGUUUUCAUUUUCCUUCACACCAUUGUUUCACCAUAAGGCACUAAAUGAUAUGUAGUUGCAAGACGAAUAGAGGCAGCCAUUAAUGAAAGCUUAUGGAAAUUCAAGACAAACAGAUCUUCAUGGAGAUAUGAGGUUUAGAAAUCCAAUAAAGAUUUGAAAAUCCAAACACAAGUUAUCCAAUGUACCUAUUGGUAACAGAGUUGGGCAGUAUUGUUCUUUCUACCCUUGGAAAAGGACAUCACAUAAGAAAUUCCACUAGUAAUGGGGGGCUUAAGUGAUGUGUUGGGGCUUGGGCAAUGCUGUAUCUUAAGUUAUUCAAGAGAUGUGUGAUCAUGCAUCAACCCUAAUUCUGCUAGCAUAAUCUGUUUUUCAGUCACAAAUAUGUAGUUAAAAUGUAUGGCAGGUCAUGCAUGCAUCUCUUGAAUUGUCAUGAGAAGUGGAGAUUGAGCAACAUACAUGAUUCAAGGGAUGUGCAACUGUUCUUGUGCAUCAAACAAUCUUCAUCUGAUACAGAACCCAGAUUUUUAGCAACUUGUGAUCUCCACAUUUUAACACAUUGGAGGAAGUUGGCCUAUUCAACAAACAAGACAGGACAUCUAGAAAAAAGCAAGAAUUCCAGACAUGUGUUGCUGUCAUGAAUUAUUCCAAUCAGUAAGGAAUCAAAGUGCUAUGAUUUUGAUUUGUGUAACUACUUAGCAUGGAUAACAGACCUAUCUUGGGGAAGUAACUCAAGUCCCAAGCACCAACUCAAUCCUGAGCUCUCUGGGAAACUUGAGGCACCAACUUGAUCAAAGCUGCUACUUGUUUCUAUGGCAGCUCAUCUUCCUCCACUGAUACUGGGGAAAAUGCAAAACAAAGGGAAAUGAAGUCAUGUUGUGAUCCUGUCUCCAUUCUCCUUGACAUAGAUAGAUGAUUUCCUUGCAACCGACAAUGUCUAAUGCUUUCACUUCAGUUCUAGCAUGUGUUUUGGGAAGAGAAUUAAGCUUUCAAAUAUUGCCAAUAUGCAAGGAAUUGAUAAAGGCCAGGUGGGCAGCUGCCACAGUUUACAAACCAAUGGCAACAUUGGAAGUGGAACAUGACACAAAAACUUCAAAAGACAAACCUGUUUUUCACAAUCAGAAAUACCGAGGUGUUUAAGCACAAGGUAAUGCAUCUAUUGACAAUGAUGUGUGACGUGGAGACAUUGUAAAGAUAAAUGGUAUUCUUCUUUUGCAUUGACAACAUGCAUCUAGUCUAGGUCCCAAAUUUUUAGCAACUCCAGAUCUCCACCAUCAUUAGGAUUACAGGAAGCUAACCACUUGGAAAGAGAUGAGAGUAACAUUAGAAAUCUGAAAGGAUUCUAGAGAGCUGCUGCAACUGGUGAAUCAUUCCAAUCAGUAACAACAAGGAGCCCUAUAUACAAUUUUGAACUGUCAGCCUUCAUAGCAUGAAUGAUAAACUUGUCCCUAGGAAUGAGAUGUGCCUUGGGCAUGCAACCUUCAAUUAUUAGUCAGAGUUACCCCUACCUAAUCCAUCUCGAUGUGUCUGGGAAAACGAGGUCCACCAGAUGUUAUGGCCAUUAUCUCAUGGUAGUGGAUGUUUUGAAGCAGAGUCUAAAACGAAGUCAUCACUGGAGGUUAUGGCCAUUAUCCCAUUGCAGCAGAUGUUUUGCACCAGAGUUUAAAACCAAGUCAUUGACAAAGGCCAUAGUGAUGUCAUUGAUUUUAUUUUAAACCUAUCAAAAACAAUAUGAGAUUCACUUUGAUUUCAAGUUAUGCAAGAUCUAUAUGAGCUCAAUUGUUUUGAAACUUGAUUGAUGUUUCGUUGGUCAGGUCUUCUUUAGACAUGAACCUAUAUUUUGUGCUUAACUUGAAGAAGCUGCCAAUAAGACUGAAUAGUCACAUAUCACUCAGAGAGUUGAGAAUCACACAACUUUUUCGUUUUUUUUAGGACUGGUUUGUCAUCAAGUCUUUUGCUCGGUUGUUGUGAUGGUUUGAAAUUUCUAUCUGAUGACUAUAAUCCAUAUAAACAACAACUUGUAUUCUCUUAUCUUAAGCAUUAUUUCGCAAAAAGAUUUUUAUGAGCACUUCUAUUUGGAUGUCUUUCUAACAGUCGUUAGUAUUCAAUAAAAAUGACCUUUACUAAACCUGCAGAUUUUUUCAGGUGAUAUUUUUUUUUUAUUGGUAGCAUAUCCUGAUUCAUAGAGUAUAAACCCUUGAAAAUUGAAAGAAAGACAAUUUACAUAUCAUUAAAGGGUGAUCUGUAAGCACUCUUAUAGGCCUACAUUUUCCUCAUUUGGAUUUGGAAUUUAACCUCUGAUAAGCGUUUACUUGUUUUUAAUCUGUUUUUUAGGAAGACAGUUAAUGAGAUUUUGCCAACCAAAAACAGAGGUUUGUUAGCCCUCCUACCCUCAGGCUGGUUCUCUUGCAUAUGCUUGAAGAAUAUUGGAAACCAAUUAAUUAGUCAUUGCAGUUUCAUAGUCUUACAAGAAAUCUUGUUAUGGUGGCAGGAGAACAGACUGCAACAUAGUCUCAUUUCCCUUCAUGAUUUAGACAUUGUAAAGAUCAAAAACCUGUUCCUGGUAAUAUAAGAAGAAGAGUAGCCAAAGAAUAGGAACAAAAUGUAUUGGAACCUUGUGGACUUGAAUAGUUGGUAUCCAGGUGGCAAAAAUACACAAGAAUGCACUUAACAAACUACUAAUCAACAGGCCAAGAUUCUACUUUCAAGAGACAGGUUUGUCAUCCAUGUCAAGAAGGCUUGCAAUUCAUUUUUGUGGGACUUUGGCAUCAACAAAUUUCUGGAAUUCUUUCAGGUUUCUAAAUGGAAUGGUUCAAGUCAUCAACACAUUCCUAGAAUUCUUUCGUAAAUGUCAUCAUCCUGGCCAACUUUCUUCAGUGUUGAAAGAGGGGGUGAUACCGUGUUGCUAAAAAUUACAGUCCAUAUGUACUAGAUGGACAAGAACUACAACACUUGUAUUAGAAACAUCUCUGUUGCCUGGAUUUGCAUUACCUGCCAUAAUUAAGCACCUUUUUAUUAUUGUAGCAGAGUGUUUCAGAGUCACCCAUACCUAAUCCAUCUUCAUGUCUCUCAAACAACUAGGUCCAUUGGUAGUAGAAGAAGAGCAACUUGAAUAGCUGGUCAUUUCCUUUUAUAAUUUAGGGAUAAAGGUUAAAAACUACAGCACUUGAAUAGCUGGCAUUCAGGUGGACAAGAACUACAACACUUCUUUUAGAAACAUGUAUGUUAUUUCUUCAACUCUUACUCUAUUCCCUGGAGUUGCAUUACCUGCCAUGAUUAAUCGCCUCCUAUUUAUUCUUGUGGAGAAACAGGUUUUGGUGUAUGCAAAGACUAUACAAUUAUUGCACCUCUUGAUUUUCAAGACUGCCCAGCCUCUCCUCGAGCAUCUGGAAUUGUCAAGCUGAUUUAUGGCUAACCUUCCAAGGACCUUAGGGGCUUCAUACAAGGUAGAUCUAGUGUAAGAGAUUCAGAAUUAUCUCUACCUAAUCCAUCUCCAUUUCUUUCGAAUAACUAGAUGCUAUGGCCAAAAUCUCACAUAAGGCGUCAGGUUCAUGUUGGGGCUCAUUCACAAGAUUAAGAUGAAUAUAGAAGGGGAUGUUGCUAAUCUACCACCAGCCAUGUUGUCAAGUUGUUCAAUUUCCUUGUGUUGACUAUGGCCACAGUCACAGUUGUGUGUCCUUUCCCGAAGGAAAUGUCAUUUUGAAACUUUUAAUGUCAACAACAGAACUUUCAUGUUUCUACAUUGAGGUACCUACAAAAAAUUGACUCCCUGUUAGCAUCCAAUGAUAGAAAGUAAUAAUCUGAACAAGGGAACAAGUGCUCUCCUUGCUCUUUUUCAGUAGAACACUAGUUCAUUUCCAAUCAAUUGAGGAGAAAACUAAUUCUAAACACGGAAGCCAGGUACUUGAUUUCUAUUUGACUAGUGGAACAAUUGAAAUGUAUUUACACAUUUAGCAUUAGAUAAGUUUAACAAAAUCACUAAUUAACCCCCAAACCUCUCCCCUCCACCCACCACAAAGGAAAGAAACAACGUUUUGGGAUCCUGGUAGCUUUAUGUUACAAGAUUCUGAUCAACAUAUGCUGCAAAAGUAUUAUGUUGGUCCAAUUCCACUACUUUGCAUUGCAACAAAGUAUAAGUGGGUUUUCUCUUUUCUUCAUCUUCAAAUGAAACAACCCUUCUCAAUAAAAGAAUACAAGAAAUUGAGAGCUAAGAUCAUUUCCUUUCAUUGUGCUCUGUUUACUCUUCUCCUUCUCUUGGUCUAGCCAAACAAUCUUUGGUUUGUCCAUUUCUUUUUCACCCCACAUAAAAAAGCAGCUUGUUAGGUUAUCCCAUCUCUUUAUCCCCUUGUCAAGACACAGAAUUUAAUGCAUUGUUGUCUUGGAUUCCUCCUAGUUAAAAGGAAGCUUGAAAUAUCUCCAGUGCUUCUCUGUUUCUUUGAGUCAAAGGAUAGAAUAUUGCUUUUCUUUGUUUCUUUGAGAUGCAAGAGGUUUGUACAGAACUUAGGUGAUGUAACUAUUGGUCAGUGAGGUAGGCAAAUUUGAAUUCCCUCUAGUCAUGCAGAGUAGUCUUAGAGAACUUUGGAGUCUUGGGCAUUACUGUUUAUUUAGAUAUUCAAAAUGCAUUAUUGCACAUCUUCUUGACUUCCCACAAAUGAACUUGUUUUUCACAAUCAUAAAUAUGGAGUUAUUUAAUUAUGGCAGGUAAUAUACCACCCAGAAAUUGAUGUGGAAGGUGGAGACUAACAACGACAUAGAUGUAUAUAAGGGAUUUACACUUAGUCUUGUGCAUCAAACAACCCUCAUUUAGUAUAAACCACAAAUUUUGGCAACUCGUGAUCCACAAUUUAAAGCAUGGGAGGAAGCAGACCUGUUGGAAAGACAGGAGGAGACAAUUAAAAACAUGCAAGAAUUCCAUAGAUGAGUUGUUGUUAUGAAUUAUUCAGAAUCCACUAGAAAAUUUAAAGCCCAUUAAUUUUGAACGAAAUGCCUACUUAGCAUGGAUCAAAAACUUAUUUUGUGGAAAGAAACCAAGUCUUGAGGACCAAUUCAAUUACCAAAUCUCUGGGAAACAUUAAGGCUUUUUUUAGUAGCUUCCCAAUUAGUGCAUAAGGUGGCAAUGAUAAUUGCUUUUGUGGAAGCUCUUCUUCUUCUAGUACCGAGGAAAAGGCUAUAAUCCUAAAUCUCCAUUCUCCAUGUACAGCUGUCUUCUUCUAUGCAUGUUGUCAGAGAAGAUGAGGAAGCUUCAGAAUGUUAGUUGACAAAUCAAUUGGAGCAAUGGAAUUGGAACAGGACACAAACUUCAAAACAUUAAAAGUCAGUAAUGCAGAUAAGGGCAUUUAUAUGUACACAUAUUGAUCAGAAAUAAACUCCAUCCUUUAGCAACCUAAAAACUCAAAAGAAAGAAGUAUAAUUUCAGAUAUGCAAGAUUUUGAUCAAUUAAAGUCCAAAGCAUUUUAUGUUCAUACAAAUGAGAAGACAGAAUGGCAGCUGGCUUUGAGGAUUGAAAGAAAAAUGAAUUGAUGCUACUUCUCAUUGCUAAUGCCAUUAAUUUGUUGCUGCUUUUUGUAGCCAUGUCGAGCCUGUCCAUCAGAUAAGGUUUGAAUCGCUUCUAUUAUUCUUGUUUAAGACAAUCCCUUCUUUUUUUUUCCAUUUUUUUUUCUUUACAUAGUCAAUCAUCUUGUUUCAUGUUUGCCCUAUAGUUGGUCUGCUGAUGGUAGGCUUCUUUUGAGUGGAAGCAAUGACUCUAUAUUGAAGGUAAAUUGUGGGAACUAUGUCUUUUGUGGUAUAGAUGGGGUUAUCAUAUAGUUGAAUGAUUCUAUUGCUUCCUCAUAGCUUUUCAAGGCACUAAAAAAGAAAAAAACAAAGGUAGAACUAGGAAAAAUAUUUCGUCCUGAUUUCAGGUAUACUUUUUCCUUAUGAAGUCUUAUUUUGGUAAAUUACAGUUAGAUAUAAUCACAUGGCAACAUUUUUUUCUUCCAAGUUUAAACAGUAAUUCGGGAGAGUGUAUUAUGAAAAUAUACUGAAAUAAAAAAUCCUAUGAUUGCAUUCUACUUUGGAUAUUUCUUAUGAAUCUUCCCCUGCACUCCUGACCACCACCACAGACACUCCCAUCACACCAAGCCUUGUAGCUGUCCUAAAUUGUUGCAAAUAUGUUAGAAACCAAUUACUAAUAUUAAGGACGGUCAUGUCUACUAAUUUCGGGCUAGAAUUUUUAGAGUAGGUGGGAAAUUAUGGUUGCAGUAGGGAAUAUGAGUGCUUCUGUUUUGCCAAGGUGGCUUUCCUUAUUCAUGCUAACAUCAACAACAUAGCAAUGAACUUGAUUUAAUAUUGUUUAUCAUAUAGGCUUGAGAUAUCCGAACACAAAAGUUAAAACAAGAUCUUCCAGGCUAUGAAGAUGAGGUAUUUUCCUCCUCUUAAGUACUAGUUAAUAUUCUUCUUUUGACAUUGUACUUGGUUUAAUUAAUGUUUUCCUUCUUUUUGUAUUCUGGAAAGGUUUUUAUUGUUGAUUGGAGUCUAGAUGGUGAGAAGGUAGCCACCGGUGGUAGGGACAGAGUACUCAGUUUAUGGAUGGGUUGAUGGCUAAAGGAGGAAGAGAUGUAUGAAAUGAAGAUUGACAUGAUUCUUCCACAACAUGAUGGACUUGAUAGACACUUAGCUUUUGCCUAUAGUUGAUAGUCUACCAUGUGUAACUUAAAGUUGUGCACUAAGUUCUGAUGUUAUGAAGGAUCGAGAGUGGUUUGUGCACUAAGCUCUUCUAAAAUAAUUUUCUUUAUUGAGUUGUAAUGAUUGUAUUAUUUGGAUUUAAUUGUAUUCAUUAGGUUUGCAGAUCACAAUAUGAUUAUUUUCCUCUUUGAUCAUGUAAAGUUUGGGAAGCAGUUAUGGGUUACUGUAAUAGCAUGGUAUAUUGAUGCACACGGUUUGUGGCAUGACAAUUUGAUGAAAUUACAGAAGUGUAGCACUCAUGGGCAUAUCAUGUGAACCUUAUUCAAUGUGGCAUUGACAGUUAAUUUAUAUUUACAUGGGUGUAAUGUCACACCAGUAUCCUCUAAUGAACCUUGGAUUCUUUUUUCUCUGUUUCUUCCUCUCUUGGUCAAGCCAAACAAUUUAUCUUCAUGACUUCCUCCUAUUACCAAAAAACAACAUCUUGUGUUCUCCAUCUCUUCAUCCCCUUGUCAUGACACAACAAUUUGAUGCAUCUUUGCAUUGGGUUGCUUCCUCUCCUUCCCCUCUCCUUCCUCCACGUCUCAUUACUUAGUUUUGGCUACUUUGUUUCUUUUGAUCAUUAUGGUAGAGCAUCAUUGCAAGAUGUACAAGAAGUAUGUUGUGGUGCAUUAUCCCCUUCUCUACCACCCGAAAUCUAUUUUCCAUGAUCAUUAAUACCAAGAUGUUUAAGCAUCGAGUAAGGCAUCUCUUGACAAUUAUGAGAGAAAUAAGAGACAAGCAACAUAUUGGUAUUCAAGAGAAGUUGAUUACUACUCAAAAAGGGUUAUUUGAUAGCUUGUAAUUAACUCUUUUAAACACUUUUGAGUAGUAGUUAUUACCUUUUAACUCAAUUAGCAUAUUAAGUACCUUUGCAAUCAUUUCUAAUCAAAUUGUGUAAGUUUUGGUGCUUUUGAUAGUAAUUUGAUCACCAAAGCAAUCCAAGAUUAAGGAGAGCUCUAUGGAAUCCAUGGCAAAGCAAUUGGAAGCUCAUUUACAUGAAGAACCUAAGCUUUGGAGCUUUAUAGUCCUUUGCCAUAAGCAAAUCAUGAAUGUAAGGAUGAAAGCAAAGAGAGAAAUCUAACAUGAAGAAUCCAAGAGGACAUCAACUGUUUGACACUUUUGGAGCACUUCCUAAAGUCCAUUUCAUGCAUACCAUAUGUCGUUUCGAAGCUUGGGAAGUCAUCAAUCGAACGCUUCAAACGGUUCACAAAUCGGAGUUGAAAUGAAGAAGUUAGAGCCAUUGGAAGCAGAUCACACCAAGCUGAAGGCCAAUUUCGCAGGCUGCGAAAUAAUUUUGCAGCCAUCUUGUACGUCUGCGAAAUUUUGCAGCCAUUUUAUGCGCCUGCGAAAUUCUCCUGAGUGCUUCCAGAUAUUUGUGACCGACAUUUUUUUAUAUUUUGCUUAAGAUAUUUGAUGUCUAAAUCCCAAUUUUCUCCUUGUAAUCCACCAAUUAUAGGAUUCCUUAGUUGUUAAGCAAGAACAAAAGGGUGAAUAACCUCAUAUAUAUUGUUUUGUAAUUUUCAUUACAGACACAUCUCGGGAGCUUGUUCUCAGAGAAUCAACUUUUUGUAUAGUUUGAAAGGAAGUAAAAUACAGAGCUUUGCUCUGCCUUACCUACUCAAUUUGAUUGUAUUUUUCAUUACUAGCCAAACAAGCUAUGAGGAUGUUUCCUCAGAGAAUGGGUGGCUAGGUUUUUUGUUUCUUGGAGCUAAGGUAGCCGGGUAAGGUGCCGAAUGCAAGAAUUGAGAGUUUUGUUGUUUCAGCUAUUAAUGAAGAUAAAGUGUAACCUGUUUAUGGUUUCUAUGUUUUUAGUUAACUUCAAACGCCUUCAAUUCACCUGGGCCAACACUUGGUAAUGCAAAUGAUCUCCGUCCACUGAGAUGCACUAGUUUACCUCUUGCGAGCCUUUGAGAGGUGACUUGAAGGUAGGAUUUUCAGGAAUUGACAACACUUGGUAAGCUUUUGGACUCUAAGGAGACAUCCAUUAGUUAUCUCUUGCGAGCUUGAGAAGAGAAGUCCAAGGUUAAUGAUCACCUUGAAUGGCAAAUGCUAGGUGAGAGGCACGAUCCAUUGCAAGAUGCAUCAGUGAGAGGGAAUUAGUGCUAAAAUUCAUAAAAGGAAAACAUUUGUACAACACCGGUUGGAGAAUGAACUAUAUGUUAAUUCUCCAAUGCGAGAAAAAGAACCAAAGUGACCGGAACUCUGUUUUUGCAUAAGGAGCCUGACCCCAGUGAUCCUAAAACUCCAAGAGACGCUUUUUCUUUAUAAGUAAUUCUCAUUACUUUCUUUUUAGUUAGCUUGAAACCAAACCUUUUUCAAUCAAAUUUUAUGUUUUCUUUUGAAGCUAUCCUUGAAAUGAAAAGACACCAAUUCAACUUUGAAUUGGUAUCAGUUGUAAAUUGAAAACCCUUCCCAGUGAACGAUCCUAGAGCUACUAUGCUAUGCUAGCUGAGGCUAUCCUAGUACAUGGUGUAAUAGGUUAUAAAUUUUGUUGAUUACUCCCAUCUGAGGACCAAAAUCAAGGUACACCAACUGGGCACGAAUCAGAAGUGAUGUUCUACAUUUGCAUUUGACAACAUGCGUUUAGUCUGAACUCCAAAUUUGGGCAACUCAAAAUCACCACCUUCAUUAGGAUUGUAGAAAGUUGGCUUCUUGGAAAAAUGUGGAAUAGGGCAUUUAGAAAUUUGAAAGAAUCACAGUGUCCUGUUGCUACUUUUGAAGCAUUCCAAUCAGUAACAACUCCAAAGAUAUAUAUACAAAUUUGUCCCUAGGAAGGAGAUCGAUGUUUAUUGGGCAUGCAACCAUCUCUCUUAACAGACUCAGGGUUCCACACCCUCCUGGUGGUUUCUUAUAUAUUGCACCAUAUGAUUUGUAGAUAUCCAAUUGCCAAUUUCACUACACUUGAUGAACUAGAAGCUAUGCUGAAAGUGAAGUUAAACAACCCAUCGUAGAAAGAAUCCUGUAGGAAUACACCAAAAAGAAAAUCUUAUUAACAUAAAUGAACUCAUCUAGUUAAGGAUAAAGUUGCAUGAAAAAUUGAAUUGGGAGAGAUACAAAUACUGAUGCUUACGUGGGACUGUGGAAAGGAUCAACAAGAAGAACAAACACUGAAUAGUAAAUGUAAAGUCAUAAAGCUUGUAAUAGCUGUCAAAUGCUACUUUGUAGUGAAGUUUUUUUAACAAUAAAGGUAAUUUCAAAAUUCACCAAAUAACUUCACUUGAAGGAAAUUUCAAUGGUAUGAAACUAGAAUAUGGUGAACUCUCCUUGCUUAUGCUAUUGUUGUGAGCCAUUAUAGAUCAAAGAUGAAUCUCGCCAUCUGUUUUCACAUAGGAGAUGUGGCCUAUCUUUGGGUCAUCUCUCAUCAUUGGAUUUAGGAGUUAUGUCUCUUAUAUAUAGUUUCACUUGCCAACUACAAAUGGAGCUUAGCAGAUGUCUCCAUGAUGUGGAGACCGAGCAACAUACAUGAUUCAAGGGAUGUGCAGUUGUUCUUGCAAAUCACCCAAUCUUCAUCUAAUAUAUAUAGACAAACAAAUUUUAGGAACUUGUAAUCUCCACAUUUUAGAGCACCGGAGGAAGCUAGCCUAUUCAACAAACAUAACACAAUUAGAAAAAUGCAAGAAUUCCAUAUACAUGUUGUGCUAUCAUGCAUUCCAAUCAGUAAGGAAUUAAAGUGCUAUAAUUUUAAACUAUGCAAUAAUAGACCUAUCUUGGGGAAGUAAAUUGUCUUGAGCACUAAUUCAAUUGCGAGUUCUUUGGGAGACUUGGACACAACUCAAUCAAAUCUGUUAGUUGUUUCUAUGGCAGCUUGUCUUCAUCCACCGAUAUUGGAGAAAAUGCUUUUGAAAACCCUUAAUCUUCAAAUCACAAAGGGAAAUUAGAUUAUGUUAGCAUUCGAUCUCCAAUCUCCUUGACACAAACUGAUGAUUUCCUUGUAACAAACAAUGGCUAAUUCUAUCACUUGUACUCUAGCAUGUGAUUUGGGAGGAGAAUUAAGCUUUGGAAUAUUGCCAAUAAACAAGGAAUUGAGAAAGACCAAGUGGGCAGCCACCGCAACUAGUUCACAAACAAAUGGAAGCAUUGGGAGUGGAACAUGACACAAAAACAAAACAUGUUUUCCAUAUUCAUAAAUACCAAGGUGUUUAAGCAUCAGUUAAGGCAUCUCUUGACAAUAAUAUGAGAGAUAGAGACAAGUAGCAUACUGUUAUUCAAGAGAAGUAGUAUUCUUCUUUUGCAUUUGACAACAUUCAUCCACUUUACACCCCAAUUUUGGUAACUUAGGAUCUCCACCUUCAUUAGGAAUAUUGUAGGAAGCUGGCCUCUUGGAAAUACAUGAGAGGACAUUUAGAAAUCUAAAAAAAUUCUAGAGACUUGUUAUUGCUUGAAUUUUGAAUCAUUCCAAUUAAUAACAACUGCAAAGCCUCUAUACACAAUUUUGAAUUAUCAACCUUCUUACAUUGGAUGAAAAAUCUAUCCUUAGAAAAGAGACGUGACUCGGGCCAUGCAACCAUCAAUUAUUAGCUCUCUAAGAGGCUUGAAGUUGUGCAUCCUCUUGGUAGCUUCUCAUUCAUUACAACAUAAAUUCCAGAUAUCCAAUUAGCAUGUCACUAUAAUUGAACAUAGUAGGAAACAUAGUGAAUAGGAAGUUAGACAACCUGUCACAAAAAGAAUCCUACAAUAAUACACCAAAUAGAACAUCUUGCUAAUUCAGUUAAAUAAUUGUGUGAAAAUCUAAAUUGGGAGAGAGAAAAACAUUGAUGCUUACAUGGGAUUGUGGGAGGGACCAACACGGGAAACAAACUUUGAAUAGAAAAUGUGAAGCCUUAAAGCUUGUAAUUGUUGUCAGAAGCUGCCCCCUAGUCAAGUUUUCAACAAAAAUGUUCAGUGUAGGGAUUCUCUAGUAGCUCAACUUGUAGAAAAUUUCAACAAUAUGACAAUUUAUACUCAUAAAAAGAAGCUACAAUGUAAUAAUUAUGUGUUGGGAAUAGAUGAAACUUACUGAAUAUAUGGAUAGAAUAGGGUGAACUCCACCAACUUCCAUUUUUGGAAUCCAAACUAUUAUGGAUCAAAGAUGAAUCUCUCCAUCUAUGUACAAAUAGGACCUAUGGGCAAUCUUGAAUUGAUGUCUCAUCAUUGGAUUUAGAACUGAUGUAUAGCUCUGAAACCAUGGCAGAGUUCUCCUUCAGUUGCCAAAUACCAUUGGAGCUUAGGUGAGGUCUUGGUGAUGUAGAGAAGUCAUGGAUUCUAGAAUCUUUACAUGAAAAUAUACAGGAGAUACAUUGGAAGAAAGGAAGGCCAUCUGAGAAGAAACACAUCUUAAAGUAUACCAUCAAUCAUGAGUUGUUUGAGAGUGAGGAGUCUUUGAAGGCCUCACUCAGAUAAGGGAUGUCUUUGACAUUUCUCACUCUUCAAUCUCAGGAAGGUACAUCAUCAACUAGAACUUUAGGAAUGUGAGUCAUCAUGGGACAACUUGUUUAUGUUCUUUAUUCUUUUCUCACCAGAGGAGAUUGAAAGAUAUGUAGUUUCAAGGGCAAAAGAUAUAGCCAGUAGUGAGAGCAUCAAACAAUCCUUCUCUAAUGCAAACCACAAAUUUUAGUAACUUGUGAUCUCCACAAUUUAGAGCACAAGGAAGCUGGACUGUUGGAAAGAUGUGACAUGACAUUUAGAAAUAGGUAAGAAUUCUAGAGAUCAUUCCAAUCAUUAAGGAAUCAAAGCCUUAUAAUUUGAAUAGGGCAUCUACUUGGCAUGGAUAACACACCUAUCUUGGGACAAAGACCACAUGUUGAGCACCAAUUCAAUUAUCAACUCUCUAUGAAACUGGAGAUACAAGGUACUAAUGUUAGUACAAAUUACCUGGUAGCUCUUCUUCUUUUACUGGUAUUGGGGGCAAAGCCUUGUGAAAAUCCUCAAUCUACAAAUUACUAAGGACAUGAGAUCAUGUUGUAUUCUUAUCUCCAAUCUCCAACUGCAAAUAAAUUAUUUGUUUCAAUUAACAAUCUUUAAUGCUUUCACUUGUAUCAUAGGAUAUGCAAUUUGGGAAAACAAGUAAGAUUUAUAAUAUUAGGAAUAUGCAAGGAAUUGAUGAAGGCCAUGAAUCUACUUAUAAUAAAAAUAAAAAUAAAAGAUUUUUUCACCCAUGAAUAUCGUAACCAACUUCCAAAAAGCAUUAGGUAUUGCAAUAAACAAAUGUUCCUUAGGUAUUAAAGUUAAAGUUCAAAGUUACCAAGAGUGCAUUUUUUGACCCAUGCAUAAAAUAAAAAGAAAAUAAGAACGCAUACCAUAUAACUCACAAUUGUGUCAAGUAUGAGUUCAGUUUAUGUUCGUGCACAAUUGCAUUAAGUAUUUGAAAGAUAAAUAAGGCUAUGUGCAAUUCAAAGAAUACCAUACAAUCCUCACAACUUAUCAUAGAAUGAGAACUCAAUUGUCUUUCUUCUAGUCAUAAGAGUUUGUGCUCUUUGAGCCUCUGACUUGCACAACUCAAGAUAGCAGGACAUGCUAAAAAGUCUCCUUCACCUUAAACAUUAUUCAAAUCUGCAAUAUAAAUCCUGAUAAGAAAAUUUUCUACAAAUAUAACAUGUUGCAAACAAAUAACAAUAUGUUAGUUUAAAAUUGAAGAGCAUUUCAAACCAAACAAAAUAGAAAAAUUUUCAAUGUUUAUCACUCACUUAAAAACUUGUAUGUUGGAUAAAAUUCAUGCUAAUGAAUCAUGACAAUUGUUUGCAAUCAAAAUUUAGUAAUGAUUUAUAAACAAAAAAAAAAAUGAAAUUACAUAAUUAUUUGGCAAUGUUCCAUGAAAAACACAUUGUACAUUGAUUGAGAAAUUAAUAUGAAAUCCACUAAUUUGAAAGACAUUAAAAACCAGAUGUUGUCUUGAGUUCUCCAUGUAUCAUAAUAGAUGCAUGUUGCUAUUCGAGCCACCACAGUCACGGAGUACGAGACUUCUCAACAUGGAAGGCAUACCAUAUUUCAAACAAGGUUCUCAACAUGCAAUUGUUUGCAACCUAUUUUUUUUAAUCAUCUAUGAAAUAAAUAAAGAGGUGUUACUUGCAUUCAAUCCAAACUUGUGGUCUCCAAUGUGAAAUCCAAACCUCAUUUUGUCAACACAAUAAGAGCAUUAAACAUACAACAAAUUGAAUCCUUCCUUUUGACAAUGUGAAAACCUGAAAGAAAUGAAUCAGGAUCAUAAAUAAUUAUACAAUAAAGAAAACUUUCAUUAUUCUUUCUAAAAGAAAAAUCUAUUAUUUCCUUGAUUACGGAAGAUAGAUAUUUUGACAUAAAGUGCACUUAUUAAGGUAAACUUUGUGCAUUAUACAUUGAAAUUAGAAAUUUGUAUUUAAAUCCAAUUAGAAAGGUACCACAAAAGAUGAAUAAUUGAAAUGACGACAUCCAUGCCAAUUUGUAACUGUUGUCAAAUCUGCCUUGACAUUUUACAUCCCAUGCCUGCGUGUCAAAUCUCCAACUGAGACUGCUCAAAGAGCACCUAAAAGAAAAUUACCAAGAUUUCAUCACAUGCAGAACUCAAGAUGCUAACAUUGAACCAUGGGAGAGACAAACAAAAAACAAAAUACUCACCCAUAAGUUUGUAAUUGUUGUACUCAAAACCAGCUUCCUAGUCAAACUUUCAACACAACUCCAUGGAGACUUUCACAAAUAGUUAAGCCACUAGUAGAAAACAACAUCAAUAUGAGAAAUUGACAAGGUACUGUGUAGAUAAAAGAGUAUAAAUGUGUGUUGAGAAUAAGAGUUACCUUAAUGAAUGUAAGGAUAGGAUAUGGUUGAAUUGGCUUUGCACCUAUUUUUGCAAUUUGAAUUUAUUACGGUUCAAAAAUGAGUUUAUGAUCUAUCCUCACUUUAGGGGAAGCGGGCAAUCUCCUUGAAACAUCUUUGAUUUAGAGAUUCAAUAAAACUCAAAAGACAACCUUUCACUUGGUAAAGAGGGCUAGAACAGGGCACCCCUCAGUCUUUAUAAGUUAAAGAGAUGAAGUCUUGAAGACUAAGGAAGGGAACUAGGGAUUCCAGAUUUGACAAUAGUUUCAUUGAAAUAUCAAUGAGAGUUAUAGCAAGAAAUACUGUCAAAAGGAAAUUGCAUUAAACAAUGUGCAAUAUAAAAUGAAUGAACUAAGUUUUUGGAGAGGUGAAUCUUUGGAGGGUCCACAAAGAUAAGGGGUCUUAAUACUCUUGCAAGUGUAUUCAUGAAACUGCUUUCUCAAAGAACUCCAGAACAUAAACAAUGUGCAACACAAAGUUGUUGAAGAGAUGUGAGACUUUGAAUCUGAUGAGGUAGGGACAAUUUGAUGAGGUAGGGACUUGAGAUCCACAUUUUCUUAUGUGAAGAAUUCUGAGGUUGUAGAGGCACACUAGUAGUUUCCAAAUUCAGAUGCUUCUCUUCAAAUACUCGCAUAAUGUACAUCUUCUGUGACAUUGCUGCUCCAACAGGAUGUGCAACCUAUUUGAGCAUACUACAUGUACAACAAAAAAUUUCAUUAAAACAAAAAUCUAAAGUUAAUGUCUAAGAAGAUAAGAUUUAUAUAAAGUGAAUGAGCAUGCUUGAUUUAGAAUGACCCUAAAAUUUAAGAAUAUCAUUACCACAAGUAGCUAAUUUACAUCAUUAAAAACUUCACAAGGAUUAGAUAGUUAGACAAUAAAGUAAUUCUAAUAAAUGAGUUAAAAUCGACUGAGCUAAGAAAGAUUAAAUCCAAAUAAGCAUCAAUCAUUAAGGAAUUGACCAACUAUGAAAGACUUCAAAUGACAUUUUCUUUGUAAUUUCUGUUCUUAAUUGACCCCAUUUGCUUGUACCAAAAUAUUAUUAACUUGCCUUAAAGGAAGUGGAUGACUUAUAUCUUUGAAAGGAUGUGAAAGGUGGAAAUCCCUCGAUUUCCAAUAAUUCAAGAAGAUAAUUCCUAUGGCUAUUGUUGUCAUUGUGCAUAAUUCAACUUGCUAUAGACUACAUAAUUGUACAAUCAUGAACACGUAGAUGCUUAAAUAUGGUAUGUAGUCCAUCUAGUGGAAAAACAAAUGAGACUUGGACAUCUCAAGAUUUUUGGGAAUCAAGACAAAUACAACUUCUUCUUGUUUCCUAUUAUAAUUCAUCUGGAUUGCAAUCAACAAGCACUAACACCAUUCACUGCAUGUUUUGAGUCUUCAACAUAAAACCCAAAUUCCAUUCUAUCAACCAAAAAAAAAUAAAAAAAAUCCUAAUAACUCCUUUAGAAACCAUUUUAUGUCUUAGAUUAUAAGAUGUAGGAUGUAACUAACUUCCAUCAUUGAGAAUGAAUUGAUAAAACUUUGCAAUACUAGCAUAUUCAGCUUCAUUAUGAUGACCUCAUUAGAAUUAGAAUAAGUGGAGUGAUAAUGUUAUCUAAUUAGUAAACCAAACCAAGUUAAUAAACUAGAACUUCCUCUAGUAUAGCCUCUAUGUAAAAGAAAUUUAAGGCUAUGUUUGGUUCCCGGAAAGUACAAAGGAAAGAAAAAAAAUGCUAAGGAAAAUGAUUUUCUCAUGUUUGGUUGUUCUAUAAAAAAUAUCAAAGAAAAUCAAAUAUAAUUAAAACUAAUUAAAAACUUAUGUAUUUUUAAAUUAUUUAAUCUUUAUAUUGAUGAGUUAAAAUAAAUAAAAUGAGUUUGAAGUAACAAAAAAAAUAAUUUAUCAACUUUUAAUCUAUUUUUUUAUUUUCCUUCACUUUUUCUUUCCUUCUACUUUUCCUUUGUAUUUUCUUUCCCUCGCAUUUUCCCUCAAAUUUUCCGGGAACCAAACAUGAAAGGUCUUGAUACAUUAGAUAUUGAAAUUGUUGGAUUAAAAUCUUAUUUAUUGCACAUGGCAAGAUAGAAGUAAUAAUGCUAAUUUCGAAUUAUGACAGAUUAUAGAGAAAAUUAGACACUGGGAAAAUACCAAGCCAGAAGCCAUGUCAAGAUCUGCUUUCUAGUUGAAAAUUUUAGCAAAAAAUUAAGUCCAAUUAAAAAAUUGCAAUAGUAGGUAAAAGAAAUUGAAAGUGAUGUUGAGGAGAGAAGAGAAAGAAAGAUGUUGGGAAUGAGAUGUAAUACCUGUUUUAUUGCUCAGAGAUGGAUUAGUCAUGUAUCUCCACACGGGGGAUAUCGGCAAUCUUGGGCCAAUCAUGUCCUUUCUCCUCUGAGUACAUUUGUUUAGAUGUGGACACCCCCAAAUCCGUAGUUCUGACAGGGAAUCAGGCACCAGUCCUUCCCUUGGAAAAAUCCACUGGAGUUUAGGGCAGUUGAAGAUCACUAGGCUUCUAAGCGAGGUGAGGAUUUGGAGAGAUAGGGAGGCUAAGGAUUCCAGAUUCUGGAAACGAGAAAUGUGAAGGGAGGUAAGAGUUGUAGGAAGAAGAAUCAAGUGGGGGUCAUCUGAAAAGGAAGUUGCAUCUGGAAACAUGCCUUCAAUUGAGAGGUUUUCAAGAGAAGUGAGUCUAGAAAGGCCCCAUUGGGAUAGGGGGGUCUUGAUAUUCUCACAGUGGGAGAUAAAAAACGAUGUAAGACAAGUGAGGUUUUUUAUCGGAGGCAAUAAUUCCAAAUUUUUAUUAUUUGCAAUAUAUAGAUCUGUGAGGUUGUAAAGGCAAUUUGGUAGGGCUCUGAGAUUAGGAUACCUCGCGAUGCUUAAAGAUUGAAAUGAAUUAUUAUUAGAGUGAAACAUCUCCUCUGAAAUUGACUCGAGGUGUUCACAAUCCCAAAUGUCAAGUCCCUCAAGGGUGGAGGGAAACUUGCCUCUUGGGAAGGAUGUGAGAGAUGAACAAUGAGAGAUAGCCAGGCUUUGAAGAGCAGCAGCAUUUGUGGAAUCGUAGUGCAUUAUUCCCUCUGGUAGAGACUCCAGCUUUUCGCAAUCACUUAUGUAGAGUUCCUUGAGAGUGAUGGGUAACCUACCUCUCGGAAAACCAAUCAAAGACGGACACAUAUUUAGACUUAAGUAUUCAAGGGCACACAUGUCCAUGGUGCUGGGGGUGGCGCUGGAAUUGCAGUGCAUCAUUCCUUCUGGAAGAGACUUUAGAUUUUCACACUCCCCUAUGAUUAAUUUCUUAAGGGUGGUAGGUAAUUGCCCUUUUGGAAAGCAAAUGACACAUGAACACUGCUUUAUUUCCAAGGAUUCAAGGACGCAUGAGUUGCUGCUGCCGUUACUAUUUCGCAUCAUCCCAUCAGGUAGACACUUGAGACUUUCACAAUUUCGAAGAAUAAGACUUCUCAGCUUUGGUGGGAAACCUACCUCUGGAAAUGACACCAGUUUUGGACAAUACUUGAUUUUCAAUUCUUCCAGGCAUGUUAGACUCUGCCAUCCAUUUGGAAGCCUCUCCAGUUUAUCACAGCUACUUAUUUUCAAAGAACGAAGAUUGUAUUCCGAUGGUACAAGUUGAUGGCAAUGAAGGCUUUCCGAUUCAAACCCAUCCUCCCACAAACACUUGAGUUCUUCACAUUCUGAGAAUUUCAAAGCCUGAAGCCCUCCCAAUGACCGCACAAAUCCUUGUUGCAAUUUGAUUAGCUCUAAAAUCCCAGAAACUCUUAACUCAGUGAGUGAGGUGAGUUCAAUUCCACUUCUCAAGACCGUCUCAUUACAUUCAUCGAUUGUUAAUUUCUUGAGAGAUGGUAGCCUUAGAAAUCAAAAGAUAGAGACUCUAGUGAUGGGAAAAACUUAUCUACAGAAAAACAUGUCUCUCCAUAAAACUCCGUACCCACAUUUGUUACUCCAUCAUUUCCAGAAAUCAACAACUGUUUGAGCGAUGAUAACUGCCCCAAGCAUGGUAAAGAUGUGCACUUUUUGCAAUCUAAGAGACGUAGAUUCACCAUUUUAGAGAAUGAGCCAUUCUUUAUCCAAUAUGGGAAUUCUAGACCACCAUAUCUAAAAAUUCUGAGUUCAUUCAAAUUCGAUGGAGGUUUUAGAUAGUCAAGGACAUUCAUUUGAUCCAUUUCAUUCCCUGGACCAUCCAAGCCAAAACUCCACAUUAGUGUCAAUCUUUCAAGUUUAUCCUUUAAUUUUAGACCUGCAUCCUUUACAUCUUGAACAUUCACCACAUUUUCCAAAUUUGAAAUACGAAGUUCACCUCCAAGAUUUGACAUUUCCCUCAACUUCUUGAUAUUCAAACCAUUGUUUUUGUCCACCAUGAAAUUAGAUAAUAUUUGCAAUUUUUUUAAUUUGACAAUUUGUGAAGGCAUUUCUUUUAAUUGACUGUUACCUUCAACAUCAAGAUGUCGAAGGUUAAUUAGAUUCCCAAUGCUAAUAGGCAACUUGGUAAGCUGAUUACACCAUGAUAAUAUCAAUGUUUGUAAAUUGCAAAGACUGCCUAUUGAAUCAAGUAAACAUUUAAUGUUGCUUUUAGACAAAUUAAGAUACCUUAGAAGUUUCAAAUUACCAAAUUCAUUUGGUAUCUCAUUUAUCCGGUAACCACUCAAGGAGAGCACCCUUAGGUGUCCUAAUCUUGGUAUCAAUUCUCGAAGCACCUUAUUACUGAUGAAUUGAGUAUCGAUAAAUCUUGGUGUUGAUAUAGCUAUGAACGUGCGCAAAUGCUCCUUCUCAUGAAACCUUUCAAACUUUUUAAAUGUAUCAUAAUCCUCACGAACAAACGAUGAAUGGCGAGUAGUUUUAGGAAUGAGAUGUUGCAAAUUAUUUUUGAACUCAUCAUCCAAAUGCAAGCAUGUAUCUCCAGCAACAUAUUUAGCUAGAGCAUGCACAAGGUCAUGCAUCACGAAUCGUGAUCUAUUGCUACUUGACGAUUGAAAAGAUGACCUUGACAGUAGCUCAUCAAAAUACUUAUCACCAAGAUCUUCCAUUUUCCUAUUAUCUUUUGAUUGUUGAAUUAACCCCUCCGCCAUCCACAUGAGGAUUAACCCUUGCUUUGUAAACUCAUAAUCCUGGGGAAAAAUUGUGCAAUAAGUAAAACACCUCUUUAAAUGUGAUGACAGAUGAUAGUAGCUCAAUCUCAAGGCAGGGAUGAUGUCACAUUCCUUGUCUGUGAAAUCCCAUACUUUGCUGUACAAUACUCUUUCCCAUUCACAUUCACGUAAUUCAGAGCGCAAAAGGCCACCAAGGGCUCUUGCUGCUAAGGGCGAACCUCCACACUUCUCUACAAUUCUCCUGCCAAUUGAUUCCAAAUUUGGGUGCUCAUCGAUAUUCAUAUGUUCAAAAGCAUGUGUUUGAAAUAUCUUCAAACAAUCAUCAUAAGGUAACUGUUUGAGCUCAUGUAAGUUCUUGUGCCCUCUCAUCUUGUUUGCAACAUCAUUAUUGCGAGUUGUGACUAGAAUUUUGCUUCCCUGUGCUCCCACCCAGAAAGGGGAGCAUAGCCUGUCCAACUCAAAGUAAUCAUCAUUCCACAAGUCAUCCAAAACUAUCAGAAAUUUUUUUCCCUUCAAUUCCUUCCUCAAAUUUUCUUGGAUUUGAUGCAAGUCUUGUGAAUCACUGCUUUGAGAAUUAGUCGCCGAGUUGAGAAUUGUCUUUGUUAUUCUCAAUGCAUCGAACUGAUCUGAGACACAAACCCAGUCUUUUUUAUCAAAAUGCUUGGUUAUGGUCUCAUCGUCAUCGUACACCAGUCUUGCCAGUGUGGUCUUGCCCAUCCCACCCAUGGCCACGAUGGAAACUACAGAAAAAUUGGUUUUAGUGGGUUCAUUCGUAAGCAGCAUACCAAUUAUAAUAUCUUUUUCUGUCCCCCUGCCAUAGACCUGAGGUUCAUAGACUAGAGAUGCAGUGACUGGCCUUCCCCAAGCAGAGUUGGUUAUCGCAGCCACCUUUUCUAGACGAAGCUCAGAUUUUUGAGCCGAAAUAUCUCGUAAGCGGCGAGUGAUUUCAUACACCUUGGAGCUCAUUUUAAUAUAACGCAUAACCUCAGUAGGAUUGAAAAUGCCAAGACAAGUUGAGAUGAGCUUGCGUACCUUGCUCGGCCUGCCUUGAUGAUCAGCUUCUUUGGCCGUGAGCUCCCGUUGCAAAGCUUCGUAGGCGAACUCAUCCAAGAUGUCCUCCAUAUCAUAAGCCAUAUCUUUCAGAUUGCCCAGCCACUCUUUCACAGAGCGAUCCGUGAUCUGCUUGUCCUCCGCGUCAUUAAGCUCUUCACGAAUAUCCGACAAUUCUAUCUCCCAUUUCUUGAGAUCAGAGUACACCCAUUGUUGACGUGCAAAGUCGAGCAAGUCAGCGGAGGCCAACUUGUCAAACAAGAGGCCGAUGGCAGCAGAAAGAAGAGCGUCUCCCACAGCUUCCAUGGUUGGUUUGUACUUUGUUUGCAGAGAGAGAGAGAGAGAGCAAAUCAAGCAGUGGGUAAAAAAGUGAAGCAGAAAGAAGGGGGUCUGCUCUGUGAAGGCUUUAAAUAUUAGAAACUCAUAAAACAUUUGUUUUAUGAAUUUAUUAUAUGCACCCAUUUUCAUUUUAAUUUAUUUGAAGCUCCUUGUAGCAACAGCUGGAUCAUAUUGGAGUUUGAGAUGGCCCGACUGCCCACCUGCAUGCCACUGUUGGUUUGUUUGUGUACUUUAAAUAUGUCUCAAUUUUAUUAUAAAAUUUUAUUAUUUUUUUUAAUGUAACUAUAUAUAUAUAUAUAUAUAUAUAUAUAUAUAUAUAUAACUCUUUUAUUAUUUUUUUAUUUGCAUGAUAUUUCUUUCAUACCAAUCAAAACUAUAAAGAGAUUUUUCUUAAAAUUCAUAAAAUAUCUUGUUUUUGUUGCAUCAAUAUGUUUCAUUUCAUUGUAAGAAAGCCCAGUAAAAUGUGAUAUUUUCUAAUUUCUGAUUUGUAACAUUUUUUUUUUCUUAUUUAUUCCAAUCUUAUAUGCAUAUUACACUAUUAGGCAAAGUUGUCAAUGACAAUGAUUGUUAUUUAUAAUGGCUUGAACUUAGAAGCAUCCUAGCUUAUGAUACUCAAUUAUAUUCACCUCUACAACUUAGUUUCAAAAUGUUGGAAUGCAUACCAAAUUCCUAAUUAAUCAAGGUUUCUUUUUUUGUAAAAAAAUGUUAUAUAGAAUAUUUACUUAGUUGAUACAUUAUUAUAAUAUUAAAUUUCCUUCUAGAAUAAGGAAUAUUAUUAGAAAUAUCUCUAUAAAUAUUAUAGGUAAAAGUGAACAUGAGCUUUUAGUGACUAUACGAAGUUGAUAGAGAUGUGAUGAAGAACAAAGAUACUCAGUAAAAUGAGAGGGCUCGUGGUUUAAGGUAUGGAUACAAGGAGUGACACAAAAUAAUUUAUUAACUCAAAAUCUAUUUUUUAUUUUUCUUUAUUUUUUUUUUCUUUCUAAUUUUCUUUUUCUCUAACUCCCUCAAAUCUUCUAGAAACCAAAUAUAGUCCUAAUGUGUGUUGGACGAUGAACUUGUUAUUUUAUAAACUUCAAAUAUUCAAUUUUCAUGGAGAAGGAAUCUCAUAUCUAUCUCAAGUUAAUUAUAUGCAUCCCAUUUUUACCACUAGCAAACCUUAAUCACCUUAUUAUAUGGAAAUUGGGUAUAACUAGAUGUAAUAAAAAACAAAGUUUUGUGAAUAAUGAAAGAACUUGUACAAGUAAAAAUAAAUUUUAAUAAGAUGCAAAAAAUUUUUGGCUUCCAUAUCUACUCAAAUAAGCACAGAACUUUUUUCUUCAACUUUUAAGUUUUUGAUUUCUCAAAAAUCAAUCUAAAUUGGAUUGAUAAAUUAUAAAAGGUUACAAUAUAAUAUUACAAUGUAUAAAUAUUAUUUUCACUUCUAUAUUUCCCAUGAAAUUAUUUAUUUAUUUAUUUAAAUUGAAAUGUCCUUUGUUAUUUGUUUCUACCUUUAAAAAGUAAAAAAAUUAUUUUAAAUCUUAGGUAUGGCAAUACUUAAGUAUUUAAUAAUUUUGAUUAGAUAAUUACAUUUUCUUUUACAUUUUACACAUAAAAUAAUUAAUUACAUUUUAUGUUAUAUUAUUUAAUUAGUGAUAUUUAAAUUUUAAUUAGUUUUUAAGAAUUUAAUUAAUAGUUAAAUAAUUAGAUUUAUUUAUGUUUAAAUCUAAUUAACAAUAAGUUCAAUGCAACAAGAAAAAAAUAGCUUAUGGUUAUUAUUUUGAAGUGGAUUUCAAUUUUAAAUUUUACAAGUAGACUUGUUUGACUAACCUUAUAAAUUAGUAGAAUUUAACAAGUUGCAAAUGGUUCCCUUACUAAUCUUUUAAAUUAAUCUUGAUGUUGACAAGCACUUUACCAACCAUAAUUAUAAAAAGACAAAUAAGUCAAGUUGAUUUUACUAAAUUGCAAGCGGGUGCCCUUACCUAAUCUUUUAAAUUAAUCUUGAUGUUCACAAGCACUUUGCCAACCAUAAUUAUAAAAAGACAUAUAAGUCAAAUUGAUUUUACUCAAUAGAGAUUAAUAAAUUGCAAGUGGGUGCCCUUUACCUAAUCUUUUAAUUUAAUCUUCAUAUUGAUAAGAACCAAAUCAGCCAUAAUUAUAAAAACAAGAAGACGACAAGCUAUGAUUACUUUUAUUAACUAAAAUUUAAUAAAUCAAAAUUUCUCUUACCUAACCUUUAGAUUAAUCUUGAUAACUUUGCCAACAGUAAUUAUAAAAAGAGAAAGACAACAAGCUAAUUUAAUUGGCUAAUUUUAUCAACUUAGGUUUAAUAAAUUUAAAGUAGGUUGAUCUCUUACCUAUCCUUUUUAAAUUAAUCUUGAGAUCAAUAAGAAUCAUACAGCCAUAAUCAUAAGAAGAGCUAAAACAUAAGUCGAUUUGAUAUUUAAUUAGUUAAUUUUAUUAACUAUAAGAUAUAAAAAUUUGGUAGGAGGUGUCUUAAAUCCCAAAUUAGAAUAUACUUUUUUUUCGUGAAAAGAAUAUUAUAUAGAAUAUUUCCAAAGUUUAUAUGUGAUUGUAAUUAAAUUCAAGUUAGUACAGAUAUAUUUAUAAAUAUUUUAAGACAUGAAGAGAAAAAUUUAUGGAAGAUAUGAAAAAGAGAUGCGAUCAAGAGUGAGAGAUGUUGAUAGAACAAGAGGGUUCACUAGGGAAGAGUGUAGAUGUGAAGAAGAAUGAGAAACACAUAGUGGAGCAAAAUGAUUCAUGGUUUAUGAUAGAGAUAUAAAGAGCAGGAAAAGUGGGAUGUUUGGGUUUUGGUAGUCGUCUAACCUUUGUAUGUGGUUUGCUUUAUUCAUGUGUUCUUCCUUUAAUAUGUUUAAAUUGAGGUUUUUGUAUUCCUUUUGGUCCUAAGAUGGGUUCUGUCAUGUAAUUAAUUAUGCCCGUCUCCAAUUUCAUUAGAAACUUGUGUUCUACGAUUUGACAAAUGAAAAUAAUUAUUUUUCUAUAAUUUUUUUAUUAUAAUUUUGUUAGUUAAUAAAAAAUAGAAUAUAGAUAAUAUUAGCCGUCAAAUAGAAAGAUAAAUAUGACAAUUAAUGUGUUUUCGCAUCAUAUUUGUACUUAGAUGGUUUUGCUUAUAUGAAGUAAUUUAAUGCAACUAUGAAGAUUUAUAUGAAGUAAACUUUAUAUAAUUUUAGAUUAAAUAAUCAGUUAAUUUUUAUUUGAAGAUACAAAGACAUAAAAUAAAAGUCUUGUUCGAAAACUAUUAUUGAAAACAACAUGAAAAUGGGGUUUUUUCACUUAGAAAUAUACAUUUGACAAACUUCUAAUAUAAAACUUUUUAAAAUAAGUUAUUUUUUAGAACAAAUUUGAAAUGUUUUUAAUUUUUUCACAACAAUUUAAAUAAAAAUUGAAGAUAUAGAUAAUAUAUAUUUUGGGAAAUUUUGUAUCGUAUUUAAGUAUACAAUUCCUUUGUAAAGAAUAAAUCGAAACGAGUAAUAGCUAUUUUCAAGAAUUGUUUUGAAGAAUUAUUUUCACAAAUGUUGUCAAAUAAGCUCAAAACUUUCUACAUCAUUUAUAUUAAUCUUGGAUUCAAUUAGAAUUUUGCCACAAUUGAAAAGAGAAAAAAAUGUUAAUUAAUUGGUUAAUAUUUACAAUCCUAAAAAAAAUUAAAAAAUAAAACAAUAAUUCAAAAAAUUUUAAAUAAAAAUCUUGCUAGCUAAAAUAAAAAUUCACCAUCAAAAUAAAAGAUUAUCUAAUAGUUUUCUAUUUUUGAAUCUAUAAUCAAGAAUGUUCAUAUAAUUUCUUUUACAAUAACAUACUAAAAUAGAAAGAAAUUAAAAUGGAAAAAGAAAAUGAUUAACAAUAAAAUUCAUAAAAAGAAAUGAAAAUUAAGAAGAUUUCAAUCCACUUCAAUAUUAUUUCAAUGAAAUAGUAUUGCAUUUAAAUUAUUGAAGGUCAUACCAAUUUAUUUUUCGUCCUUUUUUAAUACUUAAUUUUGUUAUCAAACAAUGAAAAUUUUACUAAUCAAGGAAAAUGAGAAAAGAAAAUAUUUUUCUUGAAAGUUAAUGAAUUUAUUAAGAAAGGAAAACAAAAGGUCUUUUAUGGGAUACUUUAUUAAAUUAAAUUAAUAACUUAAUUUAAAUCAUUAAAUAAAUUAAGUAUGUUUAGCAAAAUAACAUAAUGGUAUGAUUUAAAAUAAAAAAACUUUAAAUAAUAAAUAAAAAUAAUUAACUUAUUCUUAAAUUCACAUUUUUAUUUUACCUUUUUACCCCAAUUUGCCAUAAUUACCUCCACAAUUUCCUUUACUAUUCCACGACCUUUACUUUUACACGACCUCCUUUACUCUAGGUAUAAUUUAUGAGGAUAAAUAUGUCAAUUUGAAAAUUUAGAAUUAAUCAUAAGUUAGUUUUAUCACACAAUCUUAAUACUUAAAAUAAGAAUUAAGUAAUAAGUUUUAAGUUAACAAUUUAAGUAUAAUUUAACUAAAAGUCAACUUAAAUCAUUAAGUAAUUAGUAUUAAGUUUUAUCAAACACCUCCAUAUAAUUAGUUAAUUUUGAUUAAUCUAAUAAUAUAGAAAGUGAAAUAUACACAUUUUUUUAUUGGUUAGGUUGGUCUUGAACUUCUUUCACCAAAUCAUUUUUAUUAAUCUUAACAUCAACAUUAGCUAAUUAUAAUUAAAGAAAAGAAAACAAAAAAAAUAAAAAAUAAAAAGUCAAUUUGGGUGACCAAUCUUUGUUGAAAAAUUUAAAACCAAACAAAAUUUGAUCAAUACAAAAAAAAUAAAAAUAAAAAUGUAUGAAGUAGACAUUUUGUCUUUUUGAGAUUAUUGAUGGAAGUGUAAUAGACUAUAAACAUGUCUAUGAGAAUCAAUCCCAAUGAGUCCUAAAACAUAUCUAUGAGAUUAUUGUUGGAUAGAGAUUAAAAAUAAAAUAAAACCAUGUCAUAAAGAAAUGAUAUUUAAGUAUUAAUAAAUAGGAAUUGGAUACAUAUAAAUAAAAUUUAAAUUAAAGAAGAAAUGAAACUAUUUUUAUUAUGUGGUUGUUUUUAAUGGACCACCAAUUUUUUUUUUUAAAUUAUAUAUAUAUAUUCCAUAGAAAAAUUACUUUCUAAUACCAUAGAAUCACCCUAAUUUCAAAUUGAGAUUUACUAUCUUAAAUUUUAAAUUUUUUAAAAAUAAUUUUUAAGGGCAUGAACUAAAUCUAUAUGUUUUGUGAAGAAUUUAUAUUCUUUAUAUGGAAAUUUUUAUCAAUUUUUGUUUUUAAAAACAAAAAAUAAGAAGCACUUAGAGUGUGUUUGACAAUGAUUUUAAGAAGUGAUUCUAAUCUUUCUAAUACUUGAAAAAUAAAAAUUUUUAUAUGUUGAAACAAUUGCAGAAUACACUUUAGUAAGUAAUGAUAUUAAUUUCUUCGAAGAGAGAGAUUUACAUUUAGGAUAGAAAUUAAUAAAUAAAACAAUACAAGGAUAAAAAUUUAUUUUUUAAAAAAACUUUUAACUUCUUGUACUUUAUCAUUACACACUUUUUUCAUUAGAUGCUUUAAAUAAUUUUUAUUAAAUAAAAUUAUAUUGAUGGAGGGCUAAUUAACUUUGCUUAGGGUGAGAAAGAUAGAGAUAAAAUUGAAGUGGGUACACAUCUAAAACAAAAAUGAAAUAAAAAGUAAAGAUGAAGAUAAGAUUGAGGUGGGUUCACAACUAAAAAAAGAAUGAAAUAAAAAGUAUGAGAUGAAUUGACCAAAGCUUAUCCCUUCUUCCAAAUAGUAAAAGCAAAGCCUAGUAGUAUAAAGUGAUGACACUAGUCCUAUUCAAGGCCCCACUUGCAUAAUUGCUACAUCUUUUUGACUUGAUUUUAGUUCAAUUUCACUAAAAUGAAAUAAUUUAUUUGAGCCCAAAAAUCCAAAUCCAAAUCCAACCCACUUAUUUAUAUACAUUAUUGGCAUGGAAUGAGAAAAGUUAUAAAGUGAGAAAAUUUGAUCAUAUGAUAAAUAGUGAUUUUUCAAAGUUGGAGUCAAUCCAAUGCCCAAUGGGUAUAAAAGAAAAAGGAAAGAUGUGGAAAUUAUAGUGGAAUCUCGAAACAAAUUUUUGAGGUUUGAGGUGAUGUGACAACCGUUUCCAAGUAAUUGCCUAAGAAUGUGAGAUGUUGUUGCAUUGAAAAUUGAUAUUAAAGCUCAUUGGGUAACAGUAAGAAUUGCUUUACAUAAAGACAAGUAAUAAAUACAUCCUACUUUUUCAAAAAGUUUAUGAGUGAAUAAAACUUUUAGAGUAGGAUGAAUGCAUUUCACGUGAGUCAUGUAUUUUUAGAAUUUUCUAGCAGGAUGUCGAGGAAAACUCUAUGAUGAGUGUUUUCUUUCUAGUUAAGGUAGGUCCAAUUUGGUGCAAUUCGUCAAUAUAAUUCAAACCCAACAUAUGUUUUAAGGAUUUGAAUUGAGUAAAAUCAUCUUUAAAUUAAAUUAAUCAUAUGAAUCAACGUAACCUGUUUAAUAAAUAGAUUAUUUUUAGGUCAAUCUAGAUAACCCACAUUUGACUUGAAUUAACUUAUUUAAUAAUGGUAUUGAUUAACCUAAUAAUAACUUUAACUUAUUGAACUCAUAUUUGACUCAUGUAAAAUUUUUUUUUCAAUAAUUAUGUCAUAAUUGGGCCAUAAACAUGACAUAUUAGAAUAUUAACCAUAUUAUUUCAUUCAACAUUUAAUUUGACUUGAUUAUGAAAUAACAUCUUAUUAUAAAAUCGGUUGAGCCGGUUAUAAUGUAUCACCUAGAUAAUAAUUAUAUGGUGUUUGAGUUUAUGUUUUAAAUUUUGAUUAUUAUUCAUGUCAUGUUUGGGUUGAGUUAUUUAGUGGAGGAUCUAACCUUUGAUAUAACACAAACACAACCCACUAACUUAAAUUGCCAUCAUCACUUCUACUAGUAAGUGAUUUGUUUAUUAUAAUUAAGAAAAUUGAGAAGAUAUAAUUUAUUUUUUAAUUUUAAAUGCAUGAUUAAAGUUAAUUAUGACUUUUCAAAAUUUUAUAAUUCAUAUUCCAUCCAAACUAACAAAAUAUUAGAAAUCUUCAAUGUUUUUGUCUACAAUAAAUGUGUUGUGUUAAAUUAUCCCCUUCUCUACUAACCAAAACAUGUUCUUUCACAAUCAAAUAUCAACAUGUUUGAGCAGCCGGUGAGGCAUCUCUUGACAAUGAGGUGAGAGGUAGAAACAAGAAACAUACCUAUAUUAAAGAGAAGUGUUGUUUCUUCAUUUGCUUUAGACAACAUUCAUUUAGUCUAAACUUGAAGGCGGAUUGCUAGAAUCUGAGCUCUUGGAAAGACAUAAGAGAAGUACAUUUGGAAAUCUGAAAGAAGCCCAGAGACCUAUUGCUACUUGUGAAUCACAGUAAUCAGAAACAAUUCCAUAUAAUCUUGUAAUUCUGGACCUUUGAUUUGCUCUGUUUCAUUUUGCCAAGAACAAUUCUAGAAUGUUUUUCUUUAUUGAGUCGUAAUGAUUUUAUUAUUAGGAUUUAAUUGUAUUCAUUAGGUUUGCAAAUCGGUAUUAUGCCUAUGAAUAUUUUCCUCUUUGAUCAUGUAAAGUUGGAAAACAGUUAUGGAAUUCUAUGAUAGCAUAGUACAUUGAUCCACACGGUUUGUGGCAUGACAGUUUAAUGAAAUUACAGAAGUGUAGCACUCAUGGGUAUGUCAUGUGAACCUUUUUCAAUGGAGCUACUUGUUUAAAUUUACAUGGGUGAAUUGUCACACCAAUAUCCUCUAAUGAACCUUGGGUUCUUUUUUCUGUUUCUUCCUCUCUUGGUCAAGCCAAACAAUUUGUCUUUAUAAGGACUUCAUGUUACUAAUAAGUAGCAUCUUGUGUUCUCCUUCUCUUCAUCUCCUUGUCAAGACACAGUGAUCUAAUGCAUUUUUGCAUUGGGUUGCUUCCUCUCCUCUCCCUUUCCUUCCUCCUUGAGGCAAAAUUGCAUCAUUUCUUAGUUUUGAUUAUGUUUCUUUUUAUCAUUGUGAGAGAGCAUCAUUGUAAGAUGUACAAGAAACGUGUUGUGAUGCAUUAUCCCCUCCUCUACCACCUAAAAUCUAUUUUACACGAUCAUAAGGACCAAGGUGUUUUAAGCAUCAGGUAAGGCAUUUGUUGACAAUGAUGUGAGAGAUAGAGACAAGCAACAUACCAGUAUUCAAAAUACAUGAUCUUCUUUUUUUUUCAUUUGACAACAUUCAUUUAGUCUGAACUCCACAUUUGGGCAACUCAUAAUCUCCACCUUCAUUAGGAUUGCUAGAAGUUGGCUUCUUAGAAAGACAUGGAAAAGGGGCAUCUAGAAAUCUGAAAGAAUUCCAAAGGCCUGUUGCUACUUUUGAAUCAUUCCAAUUAAUAACAACUUUAAAAGAUAUAUACAAAUCUGUCCCUAGGAAAGAGAUGUGUCCUAUGCAUAUGCAACCAUCUCUCUAAUAGACUCAGGGUUGUGCACCAUCAUGGUAGUUUCUUAUAUAUUACAUCAUAUUAAUUGUAGAUAUCCAACUACCAAUAUCAUUACACCUGAAUGAACUAAGAGCUAUGCUGAAAGUGAAGUUGGACAACCCAUCAUUGAAAGAAUCCUGUAGGAAUACCCCAAAAUGAAAAUUUUAUUAGCAUAAAUGAAUUCACCCAAAUUAAGGAUAAAGUUGCUUAAAAAAAUGAAUUGGGAGAGAUAGAAAUAUUGAUGCUUUCAUAGGACUAUGAGAGGGACCAAUAAGUAGAACAAACAUUGAAUAGUAAAUGUAAAGCAAUAAAGCUUGUAACUGUUGUCAAAAGCUGCUCCCUAGUGAAGUUUUUUAACAAUAAAGGUAAGUGCAAAAUUCACCUAAUGGCUCCACUUGUAGGAAAUUUCAAUGAUGUGAAACUAGGAUAUGGUGAACUUGCUUCUGCUAUUGCAGUGAACUAUUAUAGAUCAAAAAUAAAUCUCACCAUCGGUUUUCACAUUAGAGAUGUGGGCUAUCUUUGGCCCAUCUCUCAAUAUUGGAUUUAGGAGUUCUGUCUCUCAUAUAUGGUUCCACUUGCAAAAUACAAAUGGAGCUUAGAAGAUGACAACACAUUUAGAAAAAUGCAAGAAUUCCACUGACAUGUUUUGUGCUAUCAUGAAUCAUUCCAAUCAGUAAAGAAUUGAAGUGCUAUAAUUUUGAAUUGUCUUAGGGAACACACCCCAAUUCAAUCUUACGAAAGUAAACUGUCUUGAGUACCAACUCAAUUUGAGUUCUUUGGGAGACUUGAGACACCAAUUUAAUCAAAGCUGCUAGUUGUUUCUGAAGUAGAUUGUCUUUCUCCACUGAUACUGGGGAAAAUGCUUUUCAAAACCAUUAAUCUGCAAAUUACAAAGGGAAAUGAGAUUAUGUUGUUAUCAUAUCUCCAAUCUCCUUGACAUAAAUAGAAAAUUUCCUUGCAACCAAUAAUUUCUAAUUCUAUCACUUCUAUUCUAGCAUGUGAUUUGGGAAGAGAAUUAAGCUUCAAAAUAUUGCCAAUAUGAAAGGAAUUGGAAGAGGCCAAGUGGGCAGCCACCAUAGCUAGUUCACAAACAAAUGACAACAUUGGAAGUGGAACACGACACAUAAACUUCAAAGACAAAACAUGUUUCCCACAAUCAUAAAUACCAAGGUGUUUAAGCAUCAGGUAAGGCAUCUCUUGACAAUGAUGUGAGAGAGAGACAAGCAACAUACCAGUAUUCAAGAGAAGUAGUAUUCUUCUUUUGCAUUCGACAACAUUCAUCUAUUCUACACCCCAAAUUUUAGCAACUCAGGAUCUCAACCUUCAUUAGGAUUGCAGGAAGCUAGCCUCUUGGAAACACAUGAGAGGACAUUUAGAAAUCUGAAAGAAUUGUAGAGACUUAUUGUUGCUUGAAUUGUGAGUAAUUCCAAUCAUAAAUACCAAGGUGUUUCAGGAUCAGGUAAGGCAUCUCUUGGCAAUGAUGUGAGAGAUAGAGACAAGCAACAUAUCGGUAUUCAAGAGAAGUAGUAUUCUUCUUUUGCAUUCAACAACAUUCAUCCACUUCACACCCCAGAUUUUAGCAACUCAGGAUCUCCACCUUCAUUAGGAUUGCAGGAAGUUGACCUCUUGGAAACACAUGAGAGGACAUUUAGGAAUAUGAAAGAAUUCCAGAGACUUGUUGUUGCUUGAAUUGUGAAUCAUUCCAGUCAUAAAUACUAAGUUGUUCCAAGAUCAAGUAAGGCAUAUCUUGGCAAUGAUGUGAGAGAUAGAGACAAGCAACUACCAGUAUUUAAGAAAAGAAGUAUUCUUCUUUUGAAUUCGACAACAAUCAUCUACUUUACACCCCAAAUUUUAGCAACUCAGGAUCUCCAUCUUCAUUAGGAUUACAGGAAGCUGGCCUCUUGGAAACACAUGAGAGGAUAUUUAGAAAUCUGAAAGAACUCCAGAGACUUGUUAUUGCUUGAAUUAUGGAUCAUUCCAAUCAUAAAUACCAAGGCGCUUCAAGAUCAGGUAAGACAUUUCUUGACAAUGAUGUGAGAGAUAGAGACAAGCAACAUACCAACAUUCAAGAGAAGUAGUAUUCUUCUUUUGCAUUUGACAACAUUCAUCUACUCUACACCCCAAAUUUUAGCAACUCAGGAUCUCCACCUUCAUUAGGGCUGCAAGAAGUUGGCCUCUUGGAAACACAUGAGAGGACAUUUAGAAAUCUACAAGAAUUCUAGAGACUUGUUGUUGCUUGAAUUGUGAAUGAUUCCAAUCAUAAAUACCAAGGUGUUUCAGGAUCAGAUAAGGCAUCUCUUAGCAAUGAUGUGAGAGAUAAUGAUAAGCGACAUACCAAUAUUUAAGAUUAGUAGUAUUCUUCUUUUGCAUUCAACAACAUUCAUCUACUUUACACCCCAAAUUUUAGAAACUUAGAAUUUCCACCUUCAUUAGGAUUGCAAGAAGUUGACCUCUUGGAGACACAUGAGAGGACAUUUAGAAAUCUGAAAGAAUUCCAGAGACUUGUUGUUGCAUGAAUUGUGAAUCAUUCCAAUCAGUAACAACCGCAAAGCCCUAUAUACAAUUUUUAGCUGUUAAACUUUUUACAUUGAAUGAAAAACCUGUCCCUAGGAAAGAGGUGUCUUGGGCAUGCAACCAUCAAUUAUUAGCUCUUGAAGAGGCUUGAAGCUAUGCACCCUCUUGGUAGCUUCUAAUUCAUUACAUCAUAUAACUUCCAGAUAUCCAAUUAGCACGUCACUAUGCCUAAAUGAAGUAGGAAACAUGGUGAAUAGGAAGUUAGACAACCUUUUACAAAAAGAAUCCUACAAGAAUACACCAAACAAAACUUCUUGUUAACAUAAAUGAAUUCACUCGAUUAAAUUAUUGUGUUAAAAUGUAAAUUGGGAGAAAUAAAAAUACUAAUGCUUACAUGGGAUUGUGGGAGGACCAACAAGAGGAACAGACUUUGAAUAUAAAAUGUGAAGCCUUAAAACUUGUAACUACUGUCAGAUGUUGCUCCCUAGUCAAGUUUUCAACAAAAAGGUUCAGUGUAGGGAUUCUCUAAUAGCUGAACUUGUAGAAAAUUUCAACUGGAUGGCAAUUUAUAUGUUAACAAGAAGAUAAAAUGUAAGAAUUAUGUGUUAGGAAUAGAUGAAACUUACUAUAUAUAUGGAUAGGAUAGGGUGAACCCUCCCUGUUUCCAUUUUUGGAACCCAAACUAUUAUGGAUCAAAGUUGGAUCUCUCCAUCUAUUAAAUACAACUGGAGCUUAGGUGAGGUCUUGGUGAUGUAGGAAAGUCAUGGAUUCUGGAAUCUUUACAUGAAAAUAUAAAUGAGAGAUACAUUGGAAGAAAGGGUAGGCCUUGGUCAUCUGAGAAGAAACACAUCUUAAAUAUACUAUCAAUCUUGAGUUGUUUGAGAGUGAUGAAUCUGUAAAGACCUCCCUCAGAUAAGGGAUGUCUUUGACAUUUCUCCCUCUUCAAUCUCAGGAAGGUACACCAUCAACUAGAACAUUAGGAAUGUGAGUCAUCAUGGGACAACUUGUAUAUCACUCACCUAAAAACUUGUAUGUUGGAUAAAAGUCCUGCUAAUGAAUCCUGACAAUUAUUUGCAAUCAAAAUUUAGUAAUGAUUUAUAAACAAAAAAAAAAAAAGGAAAUUACAAAAUUCUUUGGCAAUGUUUCAUGAAAAACACAUUGCAUAUUGAUUGAGAAAUUAAUAUGAAAUCCACUAAUUUGAAAGACACUAAAAACCAAAUGUUCUCUUGAGUUCUCCAUGUAUCAAAAUAGAUGCAAGUUUCUAUUUGAGCCACCACAAUCAUAGAGCACAAGACUUCUUAGCAUGGAAGGCAUACCAUAUUUUAAACAAGGUUUUUAACUUUCCAAGAGACAUAAGAACGUGGUAUGUUGUAGAAACUGUAGAAUAAAUAAAUGGAAGUUAGACAUAUGCACUUGCUACUUAGUUUUUUAAUCAUUUAUGAAAUAAAUAAAGAGGUGUUACUUGCAUUCAGCCAAACUUGUAGUCUCCAAUGUGAAAUCCAAAUCUCAUUUUGUCAACACAAUAAGAGCAUUAAACAUAUAGCAAAUUGAAUCCUUCCUUUUGACAAUUUGAAAACCUGAAAGGAAUGACUUGAGAUCAUAAAUAACUAUACGGUAAAGAAAAUUUUCAUCAUUCUUUCUAAAAGGAAAAUCUAUCAUUUCCUCGAUUACAGAAGAUUGAUAUUUAAACACAAAGUGAACUUAUUAAGGUAAAAUUUGUGCAUUAUAUAUUGAAAUUGGAAAAUUGUAUUUAAAUCUAGUUAGAAGAGUAUCACAAAAGAUGCUUAAUUGAAAUGAAGGCAUCCAUGCCAAUUUGCAACUGCUGUCAAAUAACACCCUUCGUCAUUUUACGUCCCAUGCUUGCAUGUCAAAUCUCUAACUAAGACUGCUCAAAGAGCACCUAAAAUAAAAUUACCAAGAUNNNNNNNNNNNNNNNNNNNNNNNNNNNNNNNNNNNNNNNNNNNNNNNNNNNNNNNNNNNNNNNNNNNNNNNNNNNNNNNNNNNNNNNNNNNNNNNNNNNNCUAAAAUAAAAUUACCAAGAUUUCAUCAUAGUUAGAACUUAAGAUGCUUACAUUGACCAUGGGAGAGAUUGAUAAGAAACAAAAUACUCAUCCAUAAGUUUGUAACUAUUGUACUCAAAACUGCUUCCUAGUCAAACUUUUAACAUAACUCCAUGGAAACUUCCAUAAAUUGUUGAGCCACUGGUAAAACACAACAUCAAUAUGAGAAAUUUACAAGGUACUAUGUAGAUAAAAGAGUAAGAAAUGUGUAUUGAGAAUAAGAGUUACCUUAAUGAAUGUAAGGAUAUGAUAGGGUUGAAUUGGCUCUGCAACCAUUUUUGCAAUUUGAAUGUAUUAUGGUUCAAAAAUGAGUUUAUGAUGUAUCCUCAUCUUAGGGGAAGCGGGCAAUCUGGGGCUAAUCUCAAUCAUUCUCCUUGAAACAUCUUUAUUUCAAAGUUUGAUAAAACUUAGAAGACAACCUUUCACUUGGAAAAGAGGACUAGAACAGGGCAUCCCUCAAUCUCUACAAGUUAAAGAGAUGAAGUUUUGAAGAUGAAGGGAGGAGGCUAGGGAUUCCAGAUUUGACAAUAUUUUCAUUGAAAGAUCAAUGAGAGCCGUAGCAAGAAAUACUGUCAAAAGGAAAUUGCAUUUAACAAUGUACAAUAUAAAAUCAAUGAACUAAAUUUUUAGAGAGGUGAAUCUUUGGAGGCUCCACAAAGAUAAGGGGUUUUAAUACUCUUGCAAGUGUAUUCGUGAAAUUAUGUUCUCAAAGGACUCUAGAACCUGGACAAUGUGCAACACAAAGCUGUUAAAGAGAUGUGAAACUCUAAACCCGAUGAGGUAGGGACUUGAGAUCCACAUUUUCUUAAGUGAAGAAUUUUGAGGUUGUAGAGACACUAGUAGUUUCCAAAUUCAGAUACUUCUCUUCAAGUAUUUGUAUAAUGUACAUCUUCUUUGACAUGGCUGCUCCAACAAGAUUUCCAAUAGGAUGUACAACCUAUUUGGGCAUACUACAUGUACAAUAAAAAAUUUCAUUAAAACAAAAAAAUUUUACUAAAACAAAAAUCUGAAGUUAAUGUCUAGGAAGAUAAGAUUUAUAUAUAGUGAAUGAUCAUGAUUGAUUUUAGCACAAAGGGAAUGACGCCAAAAAUAUUAAGAAUAUCAUCACCACAAGUACCUAAUUUGCGUCAUUAAAAAUUCCACAAGGAUUGGAUGGUUAGGCAAUAAAAUAAUUCUUGUAAAUGAAGUAAUUUCUAUAUAAGACAAGUAACGUCUAAUAUGAUUUGUCCACACCAUUCAAAUCCAACACAUUUUUUUUAUAAAUUUGAAAUGAGUAUAAUUGUAUUUGAAUAAAAAUAAAUUGUUUUUAAGUUAACUUUCAUAACAAACAUUUAACUCAAAUUGACUUAUUUAAUAAUAUUAACUUAAGUAUAACUUUAACCUAUUUAACUCAUAUUUGACUCAUUUAAAAUUUGAUUUUCAAUAGUGACAUCAUAAUUGAGUUAUAAACAUGUCAGUUUAGGACACUAACCAUAUAAGAUCAUACAACGUUAAACUCAAUUUGAUUAUUAAAUAACAUCUAAUUAUUACAAGAGUUAAAUAGGUUACAAUAUAUUACCUAGUUAAUAAUUAGAUUGUGUUCGAGUUUGUAUUUUUAAUUAUAAUUUAGUUGAGUGUUUGAUCUGCGUUACUCACCAACAUGAAUUAUUACUCAUAUUUCUAUUGCGAAACCAAAGAUUAGAUAAUUCUUAGUUUUGAUGUUAAUAAAAGAAGGUUCGGAACUAAUGUUUCAUCUUGAGUGUGACUAGGCAAGAUGAUUUUUAAAGUAGCAAUUACAAAGAUAAACCAAAACAAAAGAAAAAAUAAGAAAAAGAAGACCUUAAAGAGAAGAGCCUUCAAAACUUUUUAUAAGAUCUCUUUGUAAGGUUGUUGGUGCACUAGAUUUUACAUGCAUUUUAUUCAAGCAUCAAAGAUCAUCCUUGUGCAGUUUUGUUUUAAAUUUUUUUAUAAUUGGAUGAUUUUAUGUUUUUAAUUAAAACUUUAUGCCAAAUUUUUUUCUAAACUUUUUAAAAAGGUUUUAAAAGGGGUUGCAUGAGUUGCUAGAGGUUUGAAACCUAAAACCUAAGUAUUUGAGCACUUAAUAGUGCAAACAGUAAAAAGUCCAAGGAAUCGAUUAAAUAAUUUGGGCUCAAUCAGUUGAGGGGUGUUUUUACACACAUUUUCUCUCUUCAAGUGGUUUGUGUCACUAACAAAGGUUUUGCCUUUCUUGGUCAAGGUUUUGCCUUUCAUGGUCAAAGUCUUGAACCCUAACGAACACCUACUAAAAGUAUUAAUUGCUAAUUAUUUUGGCAUUAAUUGUUAACAAUUAGUGAAUCGGUCAAAUUGGAACUCCAUUGGUUGACCCCCUAAAUGUGCCUAACAACAAGUUUAGCCUUUCUACUUCUACAUAAAGGUUCCAAUCUUCAUUGUUGGUAAGUCUAACAUUCCCAAAUCUUUUAUGAAUAUUAUUUGAGCCUUGGGGGAGUGUUUUCUAGCACACCUUGCUGCAAAACUUGCACAUCAUUAGUUCACCAUAAAUCUUAAUUUAUCUUGUAUCAUUUGAGCUUAAAUUUGUACUAGGAAUGUGUGAGAUUAUAUUUCCUAUCAUUUUGUGUAAACCUUUGUAAGGGGAAAUCAAGUGUGGGGUAUUACUUAAAGGAAAAUUUAAGCAUGAGGUAUCACUUAGUGUUUGUCAAGUAUGGGGCAUCACUUGGGAAAUUCAAGAGUGAGGUAUCUCUUGAAAAAUUUGUAAGUGUCCACUGGAGUCAGUUAAUCUAAUUGUAAUGCUUAGAAACUUCGGAUUAGUAGAACCUCAAGUUUGGGAUUGAAGCUAUAGGAAAGUGAACGUAGGAUGGGUUGCACCAAACCACAAUAAAAAUAUUGUGUUUGUAUUCUCUCUUCCCUAAUCUUUAUAAUUUGUAUGCAAUUACUUUUCAUUGUAUUUAUUGUAUAUUUGUAUAUAAUUGUCUUUGGCAUUCAUAUAAUUUAAAUUUGUAAAAAGAAACCAUCACCUUAUUUACCCUUCUUCCCCCUUCCCCUCCCCCCGAGGGUGACUACCUUAGGUUAAUUUAGCAAAAAUCCUAACAUUUACUAAUAUAUUAUUUGCCUAUUAUAGUUAAGAAAACUACCAAAAAUUUUCAUUGAUAAAAAUUUCCAUGAUAAAUUCUAAAAACCACUUUAAUUCCAAUAAUCUUUUUCCCAAUGCAAUGUCUCCAUGAUUCGUAGGAUGAAAAGGAAUUUUUCUUGUCAAUAUGACUUUGGAUCCCAAAUUUUAAGGCAAUUUCAAUGCCCUAGUGGUGGGUCUAGAAGAAAAUAAAAAAUGUGGAAAUUAAAGUGGAAUAUAGACACAAUUUUUUACUAAUUGUAAGGUGAUGUUACAAUACCUUAUGUAGUUACCAUGAAAGGGACUUUGGAUUCCAAUUUUUGGGCUAAUUUCGAUGCCACAAAGAUGGGUCUAGAAGAAAACAAAAAAUAUGAAAAUUAAAGUGGAAUAUAAACACAAAUUUUUACUUGUGAAGUAAUGUUACAAUGCCUUAUGUAAUUAUUUUGAAAGUGAGAUAUCAUUGAAUUGAGAAUUGAUAUUAAAUUUGACCAACUAUCAUAAGGAAUUUCUUUCAAAAGAGAGAUAAGUAAUAAAUAUCUGUUAUUUAUUGGAAAAAAAAUAUUAUCAUACUAUUAAUGUGUUUAAUUUUAUUUUAUUUUUUAAAUAGAGAUUGUUAUAUCUUUUUGUAAAAAUAAGUUUCCUUAUAAAAUAAGAAAAAGUGGUAGAAGUAUUUCUAUGAAUAUUUUAUUAAGAGAAAAAACUAUAACAUGAAGAAAAACAUGUAAAGUUUAUAUUUAAAAGAUAGUGAUAUGGGAAAGAGUGGAAAACAUUUCUUGGAAUGAGGACAUGUGAUUCAAAGUAAAAUCUCAUUUUUGUUUUCUAUAGUCCUUAUGACUUUUGGUUUUUCUAUUAAGUGCCAAUAAAUAAAAGAAAAAACCCUCCUUUUUUGAAAGUUCAUUUGAACAGUUGUUUGAAGAAAAAAUCUUUAUUAAUCCAAACCCUAUCAACUUAUAUAUGACCUAUUACAAGACUAUGAAGUUUUUUAAAGUAAUUUUAAAGACAACCAAAAAAAAUUGAUAUGAUAAAUGAUUAAAACCACUUUAGAUUCCAAUAGUAUUUUCUAUCAUAUAACGUCUUAGUGAAAUGUUUCAUAACAAAAUGAAUUAUUCUAUGAAUAUGAAUUUGGAUUCCAAAUUUUGAACUUUAUAAUGUCUUAACUUAGUGGUGAGUCUCAUAGAAAAUGAAAGUUAUGGAGAAGUAGAAUGUGGACGUACUUUUUGACUUAAUAAACUGAUGUUACAACACUUUCAAGUAAUUACCUUAAAAAUGAUAUGUCAUUGCAUUGAAAAUGAUAUUAAAUUUAAUGGAGAGAUAAUUUAUAAAAAUAUCACUAAUUUUUAAAAAAGAAUAGUGUGAUCUUACUGUUGUGUUAGGUUGGAAAGAAAUUUAUGCUAGUGUUAAUUUAUUUAUUUAUUUAUUUUGCAUAUUGUAAGGUCUCAAACUCGUUUAGAAAUAUGAACAAUGAUGAAGAGUUAAAAAUUCAAAAACAUUAAAUGUAUGGUUAAAGGUAUGGUUAAAGCUAUGUUUAGAUAGUUGAAAUUGCAACCAAAAAAACAAGAAAAUGAAAGAAGUUCAAAUUUUAUUUGAUUAUCUUAAAAAUAUGAAAUAAAUUACAUAUAAUGAAAAUUGUUUAGAGUUUUAUAUACUUUUAAUAUUUACUCUUUACAAAAAAGAAAAAAAAGCAAGUCAAUUUUAAUGAACUUAUGGAAAAUAUUAAACUUAAGCUUAAUUUUUUAUUUUUCUUGAUUUUUCUUUCCUUCCAUAAUUUUCCUUCACAAUCUUUCCCACUUUAUUCACACUUUCCAUGGUCUAUACUUUAUACAUGUUUUAUCUCCUUUUUAAUUAAAAACCUUUAAAUUUUCCAAUUAAAAUUCCAAGAUAGGCUAAUAAAAACUUAAAAUUAAUAUUACAUUUUAAACAAACUAGAUUGAUUUGAUAGAUGAUUCAAAUCAAACCUAAAUUCAAACUUAACCCAAUCAAAUUUAGUCUCUAAUGUGAGGUGUUUGACCCAAACUUAGCUCAAACUCAUUUUUACCUACUAAAGUUAGGCUUAAAUUGACUCAUAGUACUUUUAGUUGAGUUGAUUAGGUUGUAUGAUCAUAACUAGGUUUGGUAAGGUUGAGUUAGUUUGAACCUAUUCAUAAUUUUUUUUCUUUUUUAUACUUCUUUUAUAUCAUAAUUUAAAAAAUUAAAUUGGAUAACUUUUCAACAUAAUAACAAAAAUAAAUAAAUUUAUGUAUCCGUCAACAAAAAUGAAAUAAUACAAUUAAAAUUCAACAUUUUUCUUUAAAAACUAAAAAAAAUAAAAACACACACACAUACAAAAUAGGUAUCAUUAUAUAAAAUAAUAUAAAUUAUAAAUAUAUAAAAUUAGGUUUGGGCUAGCUUGGGUUGUGAAACCUUAGCCUAAGUAGUUUCACGAUUCUCUACUACUUGUAAAAGUUUUUGGUAAAUUUUAUUAAAAUUAAUAAAAAAGAAAAAAGAAAUAAAAUGUUUUUAAAAAAUAUAAAUACAUAAUUAAAAUUAUGCUAAUGAAACAAAGGGAAGCAAACAAGAUCAAAAUUUUUCCCUCAAAAGGUGUAGUGUAAUGACUUCAAAUUUUAAGUUUUGAUGGUCAAUCUGCCUUCAAUUAUAGGGAUAAGAAGCUUGUAGAGAAUAAAAAAUAUAUAGCAAGUGGGUAUAUAUAGAUAUAAAAAAUAAUAUAUAUAUAUAUAUAUAUAUAUAUAUAUAUAUAUAUAUAUUGUAUGCAUCCCACUUUUGUCACGUGCAAACCCACUAGUAAACCUUUAUCAUCUUAUUAUAUAACAAGUGGGUAUAACUAGAUAUAAUAAAAAUAGGUCCUUGUUUAUUAAAUUCAAAAGUUUAUGAUCAUCACUUAGCAUUUAACAAAGUGGUACAAAUGAUGGUAAAAAUAGUAGUAUAGUCAAUAUUUUCCUAUAAAAAAAGUUACUUAAUAUAAAGAAUAUUAUAAUUGAUGUGUGAUUUUUAUUUUUAUUUUUAUCAAGAAGCAAUUUUAGAGAUAAGUUUUUAUCAAGAAACAAUCUUCAAUGUUAAUUUACCAUCAUUAUCUCUAAUAUUGUACCAUUGAAUGCAAUUGCAAAACAUCUAUGUAAUUGUUAGAAAAAAAAAUUUCAUGCUUAUUAUGCAAUAUUUGUUUUAAUUUUCAAGUUGCAAUUAUAUAGUCUAAAGGUUGAGGUUCUUAGAUAAUUAUUGUUUUGAUGAGAAGUCUAAUCAUGUUGUUGUUGUUCAUGUCACUUUAAUUAGACCAAGUUUAAUGAUACUUUAGACCAUAUUUAAGGAUCCUUUUCAAAUAUCUAUCUAACCUUUGAUAUGCAAUUUGAAAAGAGGAUGGAGAGAGGAUGGUUGUUCUCCAUAAUCCAUUAAUAAAUAAAUAAAAAUAAUUAUAUUUAGUAGGAAAAUGAAAAAUUAUUGAGAUCAUUAACAAGUAAUUUUGGUAAAACUUGAUAUUUAAUGAAGUAAGAUGACUCUAAGUUAAAUUAAUUGUAAUUAAGUCAUUAAGUCUUAGUUAUUAAGACGAUUUCUCAAAAUCAUUUUUAAAUUUAUUCUUAAAAUUAAGUCAUGAAAUUGAUUUAUUAUCACCCUCUAAAGUCUUUUCAAUUUUGUACAUUUAUUUGAUACAUAUUUAAUCAUAAACAAUAAAAAAAAGGUGUUACCUCAAAAUUUUUAAUUCAAACUCCUCCAAGAUUAUUCAUGACUAAAAUUCAUUAAUUAAUUUACAUUACAAGCUUUGAAAGAAACUUGUUUUAGAACAUAAAAUUGAUAGAGAUAGUACAUAUUUUAAACUUUUAAUUAAAAUAAAAAAAUCACAACAAAAUAAUUUGAUGGAUGUUUUAGUAUUUGAAAAGAUUAUGAGUCAAAUGGUCAUGAUUUUAGAAAAGUUAGAAAUGUUCGAUAAUGCUUAAAAACAUUUUUGUUACAAAAAUUAAGUAUUUGAUAAAGUUAAAAUUCAUUUUCUAGGUAAUUGGUGGUGCCUAUGAAAUAUUUUUUUUUGGUUAUACAAAUUUAUUAGUGUGAGAUGAUAUGCAACAACUUUAAAGUAUAGCAAUUAUUGAAGUUUGGACCAACCAUAUAUGUUAAAGGCGCUUCACUCCACCUUCUCAUUUUGUAUUAUCUUGUACCCUAAAAGAUUUGAAAUGAGUCUUAUUUAUAAGCAUUAUAAAUAAUGUUGUGGAGUCUGCAUUUCAGCUCAUGCGUUUUCCACUCGAUGGCGAGCUCGAUUUUUGUUUAAAAAAAUGAUUUUAUUUAUUAAAAAAAUGACUUGGAGUCACCACUUAUUUUUGUUUUAUUUUUAAAAGGGUAAACAAAAUAAGAAAAAAAACCCUAAGUGUGACUCCUUAUUUUGGAAAAGGUGGUCUAUGAAAAACCGGAUCAGCCUCGGGGGUCAGGUUACUCAUCAGGAAGGUACGAUAAAGACCGUAGCACCCCUCUAAGUCUCUAAAGUUCGGUCUCUACUAAUAAAAUGAAGCCGAUGUGGCGAUCAAUAGGAAAAUUAACGGAUACUCAAAUCGACCAUGCACACAUGGGAAUCAAAACAUGCAUAGAGAAUGACCAGAAUGUGAAUGGAUGCAUACCUGGGCCAUGAACGAGUAAUGUGCUAUCAUAAAAAUGGGGUCAAAGUAUAAUAAAAAGCACAAAACAUAUCACAUGCGUCACCAAAUAGAAAUGAAAACUGUUCAAGGGAAAACUUGAUUUUUGAAAUUUAUUUGAAAAUUGGAGUUUUAGAGAUUAUUUGAAAAUUGGAUUUUUAGAAAUUAAAUAUAAGAAUGAGAAUUUUAGAAAUUAAAUUUGAAGUAGAAACUAUGAAAAUUGAAUUAUAAAAAUUGGAAAUCUUGGAAAUCGUUCGAAGGCAGAAUCUUUAGAAAUAAAUGAAUAAAAUGAUAAUAAUAAUGAUAAUAAUAAAUAAGUAACGAAAUAAAUGCGAGAAUUGGAACAUUGGAAACUGAAAAAAAUUAAGUUCGGAAAUUAGAAAAUUAGAAUUUCAGAUAACUAAAUUUGGGAAUCGGAAUUUUAAAGAAUUAUUUAAAGACGAAAUUUUAAUAAACGAAUAAGAAACGAAUAAGUGAAUAAAUAAAUUAAUAGAAUAAUAAUAAUGACGAAAUAAUUAAGUGAAUAAAUAAAUUAAUGGAAUAAUAAUAAUAACGAAAUAAUAAAGAUUAGGUAAAUAAUUGCGAAAAAUAAAAUUUUAGAUAUUAGAGAUUGAAUUUAGAGAUUGAGAAUUUGAGAAAUUAUUUAGAGAUGAGAUUUUUAAUAAAUGAAUAAGUGAAGAAAUAAAUGAAUGGAAUAAUAAUAAUGACGAAAUAAUAAAGAUUAGAUAAAUAAUUGCGAAAAAUAGAAUUCUAGAGAUUGAAAAUUUGAGAAAUUAUUUAGAGAUGAGAUUUUAAAUAUAUGAAUAAGUGAAUACAUAAAUGAACGGGAUAAUAAUAAUAAUGAAAACAAUCAUUUAAACAACUGAAUGUGAAUAGUGGGAUUGGAAAUUAAAUUUGGAAAACAGAAUUCUGAAAAAUUGAACUUUAAUUAUUGGAAUUUGUAAAAUAAAUAAAUGGAAUGAUAAUAAUAAUAAUAAUGUUUAAACGAAUGAACGUGAAUAGUGAAUUUUUUUAUAUUGAAGAUUAAAUUUGAAAGUAAGAUUUUUGAAGAAUUGAACUUUAAUGAUUUGAAUUUUUAAAAGAAAUAAAUAAAUAAAUAUGGAAUAAUAAUAAUAAUAACCAAAAUAAUGUUUAAACGAAUGAACAUGAAUAGCGGAAUUUUUAAGAUUGAAAAUUAAAUUUGGAAAUCAAUUUUUUGAAGAAUUGAACUUUAAUUAUUAAAAUUUUUAAAAGAAAUAAAUAAAUAAAUAUAGAAUAAUAAUAAUAAUAAUAAUAAUAAUAAUAACAAAAAUAAUGUUUAAACGAAUGAACGUGAAUAGUGGAAUUUUUUAUAUUGAAAAUUAAAUUCGAAAAUCAGAUUUUUGAAGAAUUGAACUUUAAUCAUUGGAAUUUUUAAAAGAAAUAAAUAAAUAAAUAUGGAAUAAUAAUAAUGAUAAUAAAAAUAAUGUUUAACGAACGUGAAUAGUGAAAUUUUUUUGCGAUUGAAAAUUAAAUUCGGAAGUUAGAUUUUUGAAGAAUUGAAUUUUAAUGAUUAGAAUUUUAAAAAGAAAUAAAUAAAUAAAUGAAAUAAUAAUAAUGAAAAUACUAUUUAAACGAAUGAACGUGAAUAGUGGAAUUUUUUAGAUCGAAAAUUAAAUUUCGAAAAGUCAGAUUUUUGAAGAAUUGAACCUUAAUGAUUUGAAUUUUUUUAAAAUAAAUAAAUAAAUAAAUAUGGAAUAAUAAUAAUAAUAACAAAAAUAAUGUUUAAACGAAUGAAUGUGAAUAGUGGAAUUCUUGAGAUUGAAAAUUAAAUUCGAAAAUCAGAUUUUUGAAGAAUAGAACUUUAAUGAUUGGAUUUUUUAAAAGAAAUAAAUAAAUAAAUAUGGAAUAAUAAUAAUAACAGAAAUAAUGUUUAACGAAUGAACGUGAAUAGUGAAAUUUUUUAUAUUGAAAAUUAAAUUCGGAAGUCAUAUUUUUGAAGAAUUGAACUUUAAUGAUUAGAUUUUUUUAAAAGAAAUAAAUAAAUAAAUAUGGAAUAAUAAUAAUAACAAAAAUAAUGUUUAACGAAUGAACAUGAAUAGUGUAAUUUUUUUAGAUUGAAAAUUAAAUUCGGAAGUCAGAUUUUUGAAUAUUUGAACUUUAAUGAUUGGAAUUUUUAAAAAAAUACAUAAGUAAAAAAAUAAAUAGAAUAAUAAUAACAAGAAUAAUAAUUAAAUAAAUAAACAUGAAUAUUGGAAUUUAAAAUUGUGAAUUUUAGACAGUUACAUGAUAACAGAAUUUUUUUACAAAAACUAUAUUUUUAACAUAUCAAGAAGAAGAAUCAAGAGGGCCAAACACUUGGCCCAAUGGGGUCUACACCUAACAAGCAACGGACUAGGUCUAUAAAAACCGAAUAGCCUUCAGUAAAGCCCAAUCAUAGAGGGUCCAAAUGAACAUUACCAAUCCAAUUCAAGGUUCAACACACGGAUAGACUAUCAUCAUUCAUCAUUGUGAGAAAGCAGCACUUCACAACAAUCAAAUGUGCCAAAGAGAGGCACACAAAAGGUUCAUUGAGUUCCAUUUCAUAAGAGUGUUUGUUCCACAUUACCCAUCUCACAUUCUAUCCCAGUCUACUAACAUGAUAAAAUAACAGCAAAAAUAAUAAUGCAAGUCAACAAAUCUGAAUCUUCAAUCCUUAAAAAAAAAACCAGACCCCUAAAAAGGAAACUAAAAUAAAGCCCCCAUUGAAAGCAACUUGGUCCAUUCUCUAAAGACAGUAAACGAACAAACACAUAACUCAAAAUUUCAAGUUUGCUUAACGAACCUCUGUCUUCUCUCGCUGUGAUCUUCCCCUCUGGUCGUUCUCAUUCUCCUUCCUGUUAUGGAAUCUGCUUCAGCUCCAAGAAUCUUUUUUUUUUUUUCAGUUCCUUUCCCUUUCGUUUUCUGCAACCCUUCUCUUCUUGAAUCAGCCGACCCACAAUCCCUUCUCAAGAUACUCCAUUUUCAGUCCAGUUUCUCCAUAAAUAUCUCUCUAUUUCUUGCUUUCCUUUCGCUCCCCGAAAAAAAAUUCCUAUGCGCUCAACUCUCAAAAAAUUCCCUAGAACCCUCAAUCUUCAGAACUGAAAAUCUCCUCUGUUUUUCUUAUUCCUUCCUCAGCUGAAAAUCCCCUAGUCCCGAACCCAAAAAUCCUCCACCCAACUCUCCUCAUUUUUUUUCUCAAUCUCUUUUUUUUUCCCGCUACUUCUCGUCCUCUUCAGCCGCCCAAAUACUGCUCGCCCCCGUCCCAUCUCAUGGCUGCCCAAAGCAGCUCAUUCUGUCAUCUCUGGCCACCUCCAACGGCUGACCCUCGAGGUGGUAAAAAGAGAAAAAAAAAAUUAUGUCUCUAAAGGGGUCUACAAAUAUGCCCGUCUUCGAUAGAGUUCAUGAGUGUAAGGAGCAUGAACACUGAAGUGAAAAGGAAGUGAACUAUACUAAAGAACAAAGAAAGACCCCCGAAAGGUACAUAAGUAAAACACAAUCUCGCUCAAGGCUCUAAGCAAAAAGGCUCUAAUCCUAAGAGAAAAACAUCUCUCAAGGUGCCCCUAAAGCUACACCAAGGACCCAGACUCCCUCUAAGAUGUCUCCCAAAGUGACUCAAAUAAUCAAUGUCAAAGAUGAGUAAUGAUCAAACCUCCUCCGAGUACAAGAAAGAAUGCAUCCAGAGGGGACUCCCCUAUGUGAACUACGUGAGAAUGCUAAAUGCAGGGUGCCCAACAACGUGAUCGAAGUAUGUGCUGUGAACUCAAUGGACCAUGUCAUGUGCAAGGAAAAAGGGAAGUCUAGAAGAGCAUGAUGAAUAAGUGAUAAGCACAAGGUAACGAGGUGGGGAAAGACCAAGGAUGAACGCAAAACCAUGAAAGUAAGAUGCGCAAUGCCAGUGAAUAUGAAUGUUCGGAACCGUGACCCUGAAUGAUAAGCCCAAGAAGAAAUGACUCUGAAUGCCAAAAUAAUGAAAGAUGAUGACUCUAAAUGCUUGAAUGAGUACGCAUGAUAGCUCUGAAUGCCGAAACUAAAGGAAGAUGGCGGCACCAAAUGCUAUGUUGGAUGAUGGCUCUGAAUGCUAAAACGAAAACGCGACUCUGAAUGCCAAAAACUGAUGAAAGUAGCUCUAAAUAGCAAGAAUGACUCUGAAUGCUAAACUGAAAGAAAACGGCAACCCUAAAUGCCAGGAACGUGGCUUUGAACGCCAAAGUGAAGAAGAUGAAAGCUCUGAACGCCGAAAAUGUGGCAAUGAAUGCUCGAUCAUAGCGCCAAACUGUGAAAGGGGCAGUGACUCUGAACGUCAAACUGUGCAAGGAUAGCAACUCUGAACGCCGAACUGGAGAUGCAGCCUUGAACGCCAAAAUAAGAAGGGAUGGUGGUUCUGAACGCUGAAGCUAGAGAUGCAGCUCUGAAUGCCAAACUGGAAAGAGAUGGUGACUCUGAACGCUAAACUAGGCAGAAAUGGUAGCUCUGAACGCCAAAAUAAGAAGGGAUGACGGUUCUAAACGCUGAAACUGGAGAUGAGUAAUGGCUCUAAACGCCGAAAUGAAUGAUGCAACGACUCUAGAUGUCGAAAUGAAAAUGUACAUUGGCUUUAAGAGCCGAACUGAAGCUACGAUGGCCCUGGAUGUCGAAAUGAAAAUGCGGCUCUGAACGCCGAACCGAGGACGUACAAUGGCUCCGAACGUCAAACGAAAAAAUGGCUCUAGACAUCAAACUAAAGACAAACAACAGCUCUGAAUGCCAAACGAAGAAGAUGAUGGCUCUGAUAUCGAAAUGAAAAUGCAGCUCUGAACGCCGAGAUGGAGAUGUGGCUCUGAAGGCCAAAAUCAGAAACAUGGCCCUGAACGCCAAAUGGAAAAUGGAUAACGACUCUGAAUGCCAAAUGAAGAAGGUGAUGGGUCUGAUAUCGAAAUGAAAAUGCGACUCCGAACACCAAAUGGAAAAUGGAUAACGACUUUGAAUGCCAAAUGAAGAAGGUGAUGUCUCUGAUAUCGAAAUGAAAAUGCGGCUCCGAACUCCAAAUGGAAAAUGGAUAAUGGCUCUGAACGCCGAAUGAAGAUAUGGCUGCAAACGCCAGAUGAAGAUGUGGAUCUGAGUGCCGACCGAAGAUGUGGCUCUGAACGCCGAAUGAAGCAAAACAUGGCUCUAAACGCUGAAUGAACGAUGUAAUGGCUCUGAACGCCGAAUGAAGAUAUGGCUCUAAACACCAAACUGAGAGGCGAUGAUGAUGACUCUGAACUUCAAACUGAAAACACGAUGAUGGCUCUGAACGCCAAAACUGAAAAGUGAUGGUGGCUCUGAACGCCGAAAACUGAGAAUACGACUCUGAAUGUCAAACUGAAAAAUGUGACUUUGAACGUCAAACUGGAAACCGAUGAUGGCUCUGAACACCAAAACUGAAAAGUGAUAAUGAUGGCUCUAAACACCGAAACUGGGAAGUAAUGAUGAUGACUCUGAACAUCAACCCGAAAACACGAAGAUGGCUCUUAACGCCGAAACUAAAAAGUGAUGGUGGCUCUAAAUGACAGAACGAAUGAUGUAAUGGCUCUGAACCCUGAAUGAAGACGUGAGUAGUGGUUCUGGACGAUGGAAUGAAUGCUGAAAUGGCUCUGAACGUUGGAAUGAAGACGUGAGUAGUGGCUCUGAAUGCCGAACGAAGAUAAUUAGUGUCUCUGAACGCCAAAAUGAAACUAAACAUGGCUUUGAAUGACGGAACGAAUAAUGUAAUGACUCUGAUCUUGUCCGAAAUGAAGAUGUGAGUAGUGACUCUGAACGCCGAAACUGAGAAUGUGACUCUGAACGUCAAACUAAGAAGCGAUGAUGGCUUUGGACGCUGACACUGAGAAGCAACGAUGAUGGCUCUGAACGUCGAAACUGAAAAUGUGAUGAUGAUGGCUCUGAACGCCGAAACCAAAAAUGCAAUGAUGGUGGCUCACGAGGGCCGAAACUGAAAAUGCGAUUCUGAACGUCAAACUGAAAAUGUGAUGAUGAUGGCUUUGAACGUCAAAAACUAAGAAGCGAUAAUGAUGGCUCUGAACGCCGAAACCAAAAAAUGCGAUGAUGAUGGCUCUGAACGCCGAAACUGAGAAGCGAUGAUGAUGGCUCUGAACGCUAAGCUGAAAAUACGAUGAUGAUGGCUCUGAACGCCGAAACUGUGAAUGAACGGUGGCUCUGAACGCCAAACUGCAAGGAAAUGAUGAGGGGAAAAUAUGUCCCAAUGUAGCAUGCCACCAUAAUGCUCAAUCCAAUGUAAAUGACCGAAAGGGACUCUACGAGUCUCGAAUGAUGCUCCACUAGCGAGUUGGGAUAAUCAAAUCGACUGCGAACAUAGUCUCACAACCCUCCCAACUAAAUCAUGAAGUCUCAAUCUCAAAGUAACAUAUCCACUAAGGAGUCAUGGCUAGCAGGGUGAUCAAAACCCGAACGUCGUGCUCCACUGAAAGCUCAUCUCGACGAAAAUCACAGGAACAACGAUCAGUAAGGCAAAUACAAUAUAUCUCGGCCGAGUGAUGGAAACUGUAACGGAUCUGUGAGAGAACGAUCGUCUCCAUGGAUAAAUGAGGGAAAUAUGUCCCAGUAUAACGUCAGACUUAUCCUAUUUGUCAUGAUAACUCGAGAAUAACUCCAUGGGGGAUGUACAAAAGAUCUUAUAUGUACCCCACUGAAAUGAUGACGUGGGAAUCUAGGCAUGUGAGAUAACUCCGUGAUUACUACUCAAAAAAUGCUAUUUUGUAGCUUGUAAUUAGCUCUUUUAAACACCCUUGAGUAGUAAUUAUUACCUUUUAACCCAAUUAACAUGUUAGGGACCCUUGCAAUCGUUUCUAACAAUUGUGUUAAGUUUUGGUGCUUUUUGAUAGCUUUAUGCUCACCAAAGCAAUUUAAGAAUGAGGGAGAGCUAUUUAUAGUUCAUGGCAAAGCUUUUGAAAGCUUAAAUUUAUGAAGAAAUCAAGCUAUAGAGCCUCAUAAUCCUUUGCCUUAGUUGUUCAAAGUAUACAAGGAAGAAACAAUGGAGAAGAGGAAAACAGGGGAUGAAAACAGGGGACAUAGCUGCAGUCUUUCAUUGCACUUUUGGAGCACUUCACGAAGUCCAUUUUUUACAUUCUAUAUACCAUUUCAAAGCUCAGAAAGUCAAGAAUCCAACGGUUCAAACCAUGUACGAUUUGGAGCUGAAAUGAGAAAGAUAUGGCCUUCGGAAGACAACUGCAUCAAGCUGAGGGAUAAUUUCGCACGAUGGAAAUCAAGGUGCGAAUUCCUCAGUCCACUGUGCGAAAAUUUCGCACACCUCAAAUCAAAGUGCGAAAUUGGAACUCCAGCGUGCGAAAAUGGGAUAUUUUUGCCGACUCUUUUUCUUCUGAUAUUUUUGUGUCUAAAUUUCCAUUUUCUCCUUGUAUUCAACCACUCAUGUAAUUCCUUAGCUAGGAAGUAUCCAAGGAAGGGUAAAAUUACCUUCCUAUAUAAAUUCUCUUGUAAUCUCUGAAAAUGGAUAUCUUCGGGGAGCUUUCUCCAGGAGACCAAAUGAUGUAAAUUUGAUACUUAGUGAAAUACAGAGAUCUCUUUUACUUUCUUUUUCUCUCUUCUAUUUUCUAUUUUCUUGCAAGCCAAACACCCUCUGAGGAUGUUUUCCCAGAGGAUGAGAGGCUAAACAUUUAGUUUCUUGGAGUAAAGGAAGCUAGGUGAAAAGUCCAGAUUAAAACAUGGAAAGUUUCUGUGCAUUAAAUUCAGGUAGUUGGAGUCCAUAAAUGGUUUUUAAAGCCAAGGUUUUGCCUUAAAUCCCUUCGAAUCACUUUGACUGGCCAAUACAUGGUAAGCUUAAGGUCUCUGUGGAUGCUUAUUGCUAGAUCCAUAUCAGUCCAUUAGUUAUCAUGUACGAGCCAUUGGAAAGUGAUUCAAGGUGAUAGCCCAUAGUGUCUUAAGCCAUUAAUGGACCUUGACUACCAUCUCUAGUGACUUUUUAUGGAUUAAAACUUCAUUGUCAAACCUAUACCGGUUCGGGAAAUAACUAUAGGUUAAAUCCCCAAUGCGAGGAGAAAAAUCCGGAAUUUUCCACUUUGCAUCUGGAACUUGAACCUAGCAACCUUUAUCUCCGGGAAACUUUCUUUCUUCCACUUUUUACUUAGUUCUAUGUGAGUUUAGUUUAAAUCACCACUUUCAAAACAAUUUUAUUUUCUUUUAAAUUUCAAGUUUGUGCUAAAGGAAAUCAUCAUAAUCAAUUUCUAAUUUAGAGUCUGUCACUGAUAGAGUGAAAACCCAUCCCUGAGUUCGACCCUAGAACUGUUAUACUAUAGUAGCUUUGCUACGCCAGUAUAAGGUCAUAGGUUUUAUAAAUGUUUUUGAUUAAAAGACCCGGCUGGGCAUCGAAUCAAAUGGCGCCGUUGCCGGGGAUGGUGCCACAAUACAGUGAUACAACCUUUUAGAGGCUACUUGUGAUUUUCAUCACAACCAGGGUGAAUUCCUUUUUCACUAAUUUCAUUUUCUUUCAUUUUCCUUUUGUUAAUUUUAUUUUCAUUUUCUUCCUAACUUUAACCUUUUCUUUAGUUUCCUUUUGUUUUUACUAUUACAGGAAUUGUAACUUGUGCAUGCCCUAUUGGAUUAGGGACCAAGAGGGAAGAUUAGUAAGGAUUGAGAAUCCUCAAGACACAGAGUUGGAUAUCUGUGUAAAUAUCAUGGACCCUCCACCAGAGGAUCAGAAUUCUCAACAAGGUCAAGGGGGUAAUCCCAAUGCAUACCUAUCAAUGAGGGAUAGAAUGCAUCCCCCAAGGAUGAGUGCACCCUCAUGCAUCCUGCCCCCACUUGAGCAGUUGGUUAUAAGGCCCCAUAUUGUGCCCCUCCUACCAACUUUCCAUGGAAUGGAGAGUGAGAAUCCAUAUUCUCACAUCAAGGAGUUUGAGGAGGUGUGUAAUACCUUUAGAGAGGGAGGAGCUUCAAUAGACUUGAUGAGACUCAAGCUAUUCCCUUUCACUUUGAAGGACAAGGCAAAAAUAUGGCUUAAUUCUUUAAGACCAAGGAGCAUAAGGAAUUGGGUUGAUCUUCAGGCUGAGUUUUUGAAAAAAAUUUUCCCCACCCAUAGGACCAAUGGGUUGAAGAGACAAAUCUCAAAUUUUUCUGCUAAAGAAAAUGAGAAGUUCCAUGAAUGUUGGGAAAGGUAUAUGGAGGCCAUCAAUGCUUGUCCUCGUCAUGGUUUUGAUACAUGGCUCUUAGUGAGCUAUUUUUAUGAUGGAAUGUCUUCUUCCAUGAAGCAAAUUCUUGAAACCAUGUGUGGGGGAGAUUUUAUGAGUAAGAAUCCUGAAGAAGCCAUAGACUUUUUAAGUUACGUGGCUGAGGUGUCAAGAGGAUGGGAUGAGCCCAACUCAAGAGAGAAAGGAAAGUUUCCCUCUCAACAAACCCAAAAUCCAAAGGCUGGAAUGUACAUGUUAAGUGAAGACGUGGACAUAAAAGCUAAAGUGGCAACAUUAGCUAGGAGGUUGGAAGAACUUGAGUUGAAAAAAAUACAUGAAGUCCAAGCCAUUUCCGAUACCCAAGUCCAUGUUAUGCCAUGCACCAUUUGCCAAUCAUGUGAUCAUGUGGUAGAUGAGUGUCCAACCAUGCCAGCUGUGAGAGAGAUGUUAGGUGAUCAAGUAAAUGUUGUGGGGCAAUUUAGGCCCAACAACAGUGCAUCUUAUGGAAACACCUAUAAUUCAAGCUGGAGAAACCACCCAAAUUUUUCUUGGAAACUAAGGACACCUCCAUACCAACCACAAGGCCAAACCCAAGUACCUCAACAACCAUCUUCAGUGGAGCAAGCCAUUGUAAACCUGAGUAAAGUCAUGGGUGACUUUGUGGGUGAACAAAAGGCAAUUAACUCCCAAUUGCAUCAAAAGAUUGAAAAUGUUGAGAGUUCUCAAAUAAAGAGAAUGGAGGGGAUGCAAAAUGAUCUAUUUCAGAAGAUAGAUAAUAUUCAGUACUCCAUCUCUAGGCUUACCAACCUAAACACAGUGAUUGAGAAGGGAAAGUUCCCCUCUCAACCAAGCCAAAAUCCCAAGGGUGUUCAUGAAGUUGAAACCCAAGAUGGUGAGUCUUCAAAUUUGAGAGAGGUCAAAGCUGUGAUCACUUUGAGAAGUGGGAAGGAGGUUGAUCAACCCUUGCCUAACGUGGGGCCUGAUGAAGAACUCAGAUCAAAGAGACCCUUGAUUAAAGAGGGCAAUAACCAAGAAGAGCAGAGUGGGAAGAAAAGUGCAUCCAAAUCAAGCAUUGAAGAAGAACCAAGGAUAGUGAUUAAGGAGGAUAUGAUGAAGAAACAUAUGCCUCCCCCUUUUCCUCAAGCUUUACAUGGAAAGAAAGAAAUCAAGAAUUCAUAAAAAAUUCUUGAAGUUCUGAGACAAGUGAAGGUGAAUAUACCUUUACUUGAUAUGAUCAAGCAAGUCCCCACAUAUGCAAAGUUUCUAAAGGACUUGUGCACAAUCAAGAGGUUUACAGGUGACAAAGAAUGCAUUCCUCACUGAGCAAGUGAGUGCUAUCAUCCAGAGUAAGUCCCCAGUUAAGUAUAAAGAUUCGGGAUGUCCCACCAUAUCAGUCAACAUUGGAGGGACACAGUGGAAAAAGCUUUAUUAGAUUUGGGAGCAAGUGUGAAUUUACUCCCAUACUCUGUGUAUAAACAAUUGGGACUAGGAGGAUUAAAGCCCACAACCAUGACCCUCUCUUUAGCUGAUAGGUCUGUCAAAAUCCCAAAGGGAGUGAUAGAGGAUGUUCUAGUUCAAGUGGACAAAUUCUACUAUCCUGUGGAUUUUGUGGUGCUUGAUACUGAUUCCACUGUCAAGCAAGAAAAUUAUGUACCAAUCAUCCUAGGGAGACCUUUCCUAGCUACCUCCAAUGCUAUUGUUAAUUGUAGGAAUGGGGUGAUGCAGCUCACAUUUGGAAACAUGACAUUGGAAUUAAACAUAUUCCAUUUAUGUAAGAGGCAUCUUUACCCUGAAGAGGAGGAAGGAUUCGAGGAGAUGUGCUUGAUCAACACUUUGGUUGAAGAGCACUGUGACAAGAGUUUAGAGGAGAGCUUGGAUGAAAACCUGGAAGUCCUUGAAGAUGGGUUCCCUGAACCCUUUGAUGUGCUAGCCAUAAUGUCUCCUUGGAGGAGACGGGAAGAGAUCUUACCACUGUUCAACCAGGAAGACUCACAAGGAGUUACUGUGGAGGACCCUCCAAAGCUUAUUUUAAAGCCACUUCCUGUGGAUUUGAAGUAUGCAUACUUGGAGGAUGAUGAGAAAUGUCCAGUGGUAGUUUCCUCAACCCUCACUAGUGAUCAAGAGGAUAGUCUUUUAGGAGUCCUCAGAAAAUGUAAGAAAGCCAUUGGAUGACAAAUUUCUGAUCUGAAAGGGAUUANNNNNNNNNNNNNNNNNNNNNNNNNNNNNNNNNNNNNNNNNNNNNNNNNNNNNNNNNNNNNNNNNNNNNNNNNNNNNNNNNNNNNNNNNNNNNNNNNNNNAUUCAGGGUACUUCCAAAUAGAAAUUGAUUUGGAAGAUCAAGAAAAGACGACCUUCACUUGUCCCUUUGGUACUUUUGCAUAUAGGAGAAUGCCCUUUGGUCUAUGUAAUGCUCCUGCAACUUUCCAAAGAUGCAUGCUAAGCAUCUUCAGUGAUAUGGUGGAACGCAUCAUGGAAGUUUUCAUGAAUGACAUCACUGUAUAUGGAAGUUCUUAUGAGGAGUGUUUGAUGCAUUUAGAAGCUGUUCUCCAUAGAUGUAUUGAGAAAGACCUAGUGCUAAAUUGGGAGAAGUGCCAUUUUAUGGUACAAAAAGGAAUUGUCUUAGGACAUAUCAUCUCCAAAAAUGGCAUUGAGGUAGAUAAGGCAAAUGUGGAGCUGAUUGUUAAGUUGCCACCUCCCACAAAUGUUAAAGGAAUUAGGCAAUUCCUUGGACAUGCCGGGUUCUAUAGGAGGUUCAUUAAGGAUUUCUCAAAAAUCUCAAAACCUCUGUGUGAGCUUUUGGUAAAGGAUGCCAAGUUUGUGUGGGAUGAGAAGUGUUAGAGAAGUUUUGAGGAAUUGAAACAAUUCCUCACAACUGCACCAAUAGUGAGAGCCCCAAAUUGGAAAUUACCUUUUGAGGUAAUGUGUGAUUCAAGUGAUCUUGCUAUGGGGGCUGUUUUGGGGCAAAGAGAGGAUGGAAAGCCCUAUGUGAUCUAUUAUGCAAGCAAAACUUUGAAUGAGGCUCAAAAGAACUACACAACUACUGAGAAGGAGUUGUUGGCAGUAGUUUUUACCUUGGAUAAGUUUCGUGCUUAUUUGGUAGGGUCCUCUAUAGUGGUGUUCACUGACCAUUCUGCUUUGAAGUACUUGCUAACCAAGUAGGAUGCCAAGGCAAGAUUGAUAAGAUGGAUUCUUUUGCUCCAAGAAUUCAAUCUCCAAAUCAGGGAUAAAAAGGGGGUAGAAAAUGUGGUAGCUGACCACUUGUCCAGACUUGUGAUAGCACAUGACUCACAUGGUCUGCCUAUCAAUGAUGACUUCCCUGAGGAGUCUCUCAUGUCAGUAGAUGUAGCUCCAUGGUAUUCUCACAUUGCAAACUUUUUGGUUACUGGAGAAGUACCAAGUGAGUGGAGUGCUCAAGACAAGAGGCAUUUCUUGGAUAAGAUCCAUGCCUAUUAUUGGGAGGAACCUUUUCUUUUCAAAUAUUGUGCAGAUCAAAUUAUAAGGAAAUGUGUUCCUGAGCAAGAGCAAUCGGGAAUUCUUUCCCAUUGCCAUGAUAGUGCAUGUGGAGGUCAUUUUGCCUCCCAGAAAACAGCUAUGAAAGUGAUCCAAUCAGGCUUCUGGUGGCCCUCUCUUUUCAAGGAUGCCCAUUCUAUGUGCAAGGGAUGUGAUCAGUGUCAAAGGCUUGGUAAGCUAACACGCCGAAAUAUGAUGCCCUUGAACCCCAUCUUAAUAGUGGAUAUCUUUGAUGUCUGGGGUAUAGACUUCAUGGGACCAUUUCCAAUGUCAUUUGGACAUUCCUACAUCUUGGUAGGAGUGGAUUAUGUCUCUAAGUGGGUAGAAGCAAUCCCAUUUAGGAGCAAUGAUCAUAAAGUGGUACUUAAAUUCCUCAAGGACCACAUCUUUGCAAGAUUUGGAGUGCCAAAAGCCAUUAUAAGUGACGGGGGAACCCACUUUUGCAAUAAACCUUUUGAGACUCUUCUAGCCAAGUAUGGGGUUAAGCACAAGGUAGCUACACCUUAUCACCCCCAAACAAGUGGCCAAGUUGAGUUAGCCAACCGAGAGAUCAAGAAUAUAUUGAUGAAGAUGGUCAAUGUGAAUAGGAAGGAUUGGUCUAUCAAGCUCCUGGAUUCCUUAUGGGCUUAUAGGACCGCUUACAAGACCAUUCUAGGAAUGUCUCCCUAUCGCCUUGUUUAUGGCAAAGCGUGUCAUCUUCCAGUAGAGAUUGAGUAUAAAGCAUGGUGGGCAAUCAAAAAGCUCAACAUGGAUUUGACAAGAGCCGGGUUAAAGAGAUGUUUGGAUUUGAAUGAAUUGGAGGAAAUGAGGAAUGAUGCAUACCUCAAUUCAAAAAUUGCAAAAGCAAGAUUGAAAAAAUGGCAUGAUCAGUUGGUAAAUCAGAAAAAUUUUACCAAAGGACAAAAAGUUUUGCUUUAUGACUCUAAACUUCAUCUCUUUCCAGGAAAAUUGAAAUCCAGGUGGACGGGUCCUUUCAUAAUUCAUGAAGUGCAUCCCAAUGGAGUGGUGGAAGUAUUCAAUCCCACAGGCAAUCAAACCUUCAAAGUUAAUGGCCAUCGUCUCAAGCCAUUCAUAGAGCCUUACAGUACAGACAAGGAGGAGAUCAACCUCCUUGAACCACCACAACUCUGAGGGAAAGCAGGGUAUCGUGGGCUAAAUAAGUCCAUGAAUUUUUUUGUUAUAGUUUUAUAGUUAUAUCAUUAUUUUUAUUUCUUUUUAUUAUAAUUUUUCCUCAAUCUUAGUUUAUUUUGUCUUAAUUCAAGUCAAUUUUGAUGAUAAAUUUCAGAAAAAAAUCAUGAAAGAUGGGGAGAAUUCUUCAAAAGCAAGACAGGGGAGUAAAACCAAGGAAACAGAGCACCUGAUUUCAAGGUGCGAAAAUUUCGCACACCUGAUUCCAAGGUGCGAAAAUUUCGCACACCCCAAAACCAAGGUGCGAAAUCCUCGGGCCAAAGGGAGCCAUUUUUGCACACCCCAAAACCAAGGUGCGAAAUUUAUUUCAAGGUGCGAAAAAUGAUUUCAAGGUGCGAAUUCCCUAAAAACCAAUUUUGCACACCACUGUGCAAGGUGCGAAAAUUUUCGCAUUGUGCGAAAUCCCCUCCUGGCACACGAGUGCCAUUUUCGCACACCUCAAGCCACUUUUUGCACCGUGCGAAACAAGGUGCGAAAAUUUCGCACACCUGAUUUCAAGGUGCGAAAAUUUCGCACACCUCAUUUUAAGGUGCGAAAUCCUCAGUUAAAGGGGUGCCAUUUUCGCACACCUAAUUUCAAGGUGCUAAAUUUGCAGACCAAGGUGUGAAAAUUUCGCACGGUAAAAUUUUAAACGGACUUUUUAAAUUAAAAUUUUACCCCCGAAAUUAUGCCUAACGUCCAAAAACGACUUUUCGGUUGCCUUGGAAAAUUUUAAAACAUCAAAAACCCCCCUAAACCUCAUUCCUAUAUAAUCCCUUGAAGUCCAGAAGCUCAAAGGACUCCCCCACGAACCAGUUGAGGAGCCUCUGGAAUCCCGAACAGUCACCCACCUCCAUUUCGGCCAUGGCGAAGACCAGAGGAGGCCUUUCCGGCUCCCCAUCCUCACCGACACCUCGACCACAUCGAGCCGCCAUGGGAGCCGCAGCUUCGCCACCUGUUCAGGCCCCGGCCAUUCCCCCAUCUGAAGGGGAAGCCCCUUCUCAGCGCCGAUACCCCACCAGGAGACCACCCACGGACCCUGUGCCACCAGCCGAUCAAGCCACGAGCUCUGUUUCUCGGCCACCAGCGAAGAGAACCAAGUUCUCAGGUCCUGGAGAGCCAUCCCACGCACCUCAGUCAGAGCCACCUACAGAGGACUCUCGGAUUCCUGUGGGGAUUACUCCUGAGACCGUUAUCAGGCGUCCCAUGAUAGCCGGACCACCGAUAGAGGGCAACUUGGAUUGCAGAGAUCGAUCCUUCCAUUCCUAGACCUACUUUGAUACAGAGUCCCUCAGACAGCAGCCAGAGCUCAGAGAUUCAUUCCGACUACUACAGAGGUAUCACAUGGAGGAUCUUCUCACUCUUAGGCAAUUCUACUAUCCCAGAGUAGUUAUAGAUUUUUAUCAAUCUAUGACUACUCGAGGCCUCCGUAAUCCUACCCUCAUCCAAUUUACCAUAGAUGGACGCCAGGGUGCCAUUAGAGCUCGUCACAUUGCUGAGGCCCUCCGUAUACCUUAUGAGCCUGUGAUUCAGGCAGACUUCAGGGAGUGGUCCUCAUUCUCUCAGAGUGACAUGGUCCGCAUUUUGUCCAAGGGGACUUCUACAGCCUCAGUGUUGACUAGGAGAGAGCUUCCAUCUGGGAUGCUCCUUAUUGAUGUGCUCCUGCGUGCCAACCUUUUCCCCCUUCAGCACAAAGUUCAGAGGCGAUGAGCUAUACUUGAGGCGUUAUUUAGGAUUUCUGAGGGCUAUUUCUUCGGCCCUCAUCAUUUGAUUAUGACUUCUCUUCUUCAUUUUGAAGAGAAAGUCCAUCAGAAGAAGCUUCAAAGGGCAGAUGGCAUCCCAUUACUAUUUUCGAGGCUCCUCUGCCAGAUUUUAGAGCACCUGAGCUAUCCUGAACAGCCCCGCCUUGAGAGGCGCCGCCAUUGCCGAGAGGACUUCUCUCUCGACAAAUGGCAUCACUUGGUAGCCUACUUUGCACCCUAGGGAGCCCCAGCUGUGCCUGCACCUCCAGAGCUACCCCAAGAUGAGCAGAUGCCUCAGGCCCAGCAGGAUGAGAUUCUCACAGAGACCACACCUCCUGUCCCUGCAGCACACCCCUCAGAGCAUAUUCCUAAGCCUAUACAUCUUAUUUCUCCUAUCACUUCGGGUGCUCCACCAGUCAUGCCAGCUACCCCAGCACCUCCUCUUUCAUCUGAGCCCACUGUCAUCGUUUCUCUUACGGAAUUCAGAGGCUUAGAGCAUUCAUUGCGGACACUGAGCACUGCUCAGGAUUCUAUUAUCCACCAGAUGGCCACUAUUCGGGCACACCAGGAUCAGAUCAUUGCUACUCAGGCCCAGCAUACCACGAUCCUUCAUCAGAUUCAGCAGCAUUUGAGUAUGCAGACACCUUUUGGGCAUGAUAGGUCUGCACCAUCUGAGCCUCUAGUGCCAGAUAAGGAGAGCUUACCAGUUGAGCAGCCCAUACCAGAGGAGGAGAUCAGAGCAGAGCCAUCACAUGACACCCCUCAUAUUUGAUAUUUUUAUAUUUUACUUGUUUUUUAUUUUAGACUUGUAAAUCCCAUCUUUUGCAUGUGUUAUAAACUGGGAUUGGAAGUAUUACUUGAAAUCAUACAUUGUAUAUUUCUUUUACAAGUAAUAUAUAUAUAUAUAUAUAUAUAUAUAUCCUUUUUUAUUAUAUUCCCUUUUCUCAUUACUCUUUUGUCCUUGGAACAUGUGGUUUAAGGUACUCCAUACCUCCUUUACACUCAGACUUUGUCUCACUCAGGAGGUACCACUUCCUCCCUUUAUUUUUAAUCGCUUUCGAAACAUUGAGGACAAUGUUCAACUUGGUUGGGGGGAGAGUUGAGAAAGGAAGUUUUGUUGUUAAUACUAAGUUAUUUUGGUAUUUUAGUUGAUUUUUGCUUAAAAUUUAAAAUUUUUAAAAAGUUUUUUGAAUCAUUCUCUAUGGUUGUUAAAGAUAAUUUCUCAAAAAUAAAAUAGGAUAAGUCGAGUUUUAACUUAAUUAUUUAAGUCUUAGAGUUUGUUUUAUGCUUUCAAAGUUGAUAAUCUAUUGAAGCCUCUUUGAUUUCGAACUUUCUUCUUCCAUUUCAAGCUUUACACCACUGUGCACAUUAGAUCCCGGAUAUAUGAUGUAAAACUUUCUCACCUUCUAAGCUUAGGAAAAUUUUGACUUGGUUCAUUACUUAGCCUCUCUUUAAUAGUGUUGGGACACCUCAUAAAGACCAAUGAGUCUUUGAAAAAAAAAAAAAAAGAAGAAAGAAGAAUAAGCUUUUAUUCUUUCCUUGAAACCUAAGCAUGAUCCGAAGGGGUGGCGAAAGCCUUUAAAACCCGAUGCCCUAAACCUUGAUUGGUUGGGAGUCAUCGAUCCUCUGCUUGCUACAUAGGUGAAUGGGUUAAGAUUAGUGAGUAAAAAGAAUUGUGAAUAAGAAGGUGUGUUCCUAACCUAUUAAGAGUUGAUUAAUUUUGCCAAUGUUCGAGAAAAGCUUAGGUUGGAGGGUGAGGAUAGUUGUAUAUACUACAUCCGGAAGCUAAUCUCAUUAACACUUAGCUUAUUAUGGAAGAGUUUGAUUUGGAACCUUGAGAGUAGAAAUUCUUUUGAUACUUAAUUGCAUAAUCUCCACUCUUUGUACUUUUUGUUUAAGUUUUAAGCUUUGACAACUCCUAUUGCAUUUUGAAUCUUCAUAUCUUUAGUUCACCAGGUGAGAUGUGUUUGGAUAUCAGUCAUGCCUCUCAAUUAUUUUUUGGAAUGAAUUGCAUGACCUCUUUUAUGUAUAUUAUUACGUUUGCUUAGUUUUUCUCUCCUUAAUUGCUAAGGGACUAGCAAUAUGUCGGUUGGGGGGAGUGAUUACUACUCAAAACAUGCUAUUUUGUAGCUUGUAAUUAGCUCUUUUAAACACCCUUGAGUAGUAAUUAUUACCUUUUAACCCAAUUAACAUGUUAGGGACCCUUGCAAUCGUUUCUAACAAUUGUGUUAAGUUUUGGUGCUUUUUGAUAGCUUUAUGCUCACCAAAGCAAUUUAAGAAUGAGGGAGAGCUAUUUAUAGUUCAUGGCAAAGCUUUUGAAAGCUUAAAUUUAUGAAGAAAUCAAGCUAUAGAGCCUCAUAAUCCUUUGCCUUAGUCGUUCAAAGUAUACAAGGAAGAAACAAUGGAGAAGAGGAAAACAGGGGAUGAAAACAGGGGACACAGCUGCAGUCUUUCAUUGCACUUUUGGAGCACUUCACGAAGUCCAUUUUUUACAUUCUAUAUACCAUUUCAAAGCUCAGAAAGUCAAGAAUCCAACGGUUCAAACCAUGUACGAUUUGGAGCUGAAAUGAGAAAGAUAUGGCCUUCGGAAGACAACUGCAUCAAGCUGAGGGAUAAUUUCGCACGAUGGAAAUCAAGGUGCGAAUUCCUCAGUCCACUGUGCGAAAAUUUCGCACACCUCAAAUCAAAGUGCGAAAUUGGAACUCCAGCGUGCGAAAAUGGGAUAUUUUUGCCGACUCUUUUUCUUCUGAUAUUUUUGUGUCUAAAUUUCCAUUUUCUCCUUGUAUUCAACCACUCAUGUAAUUCCUUAGCUAGGAAGUAUCCAAGGAAGGGUAAAAUUACCUUCCUAUAUAAAUUCUCUUGUAAUCUCUGAAAAUGGAUAUCUUCGGGGAGCUUUCUCCAGGAGACCAAAUGAUGUAAAUUUGAUACUUAGUGAAAUACAGAGAUCUCUUUUGCUUUCUUUUUCUCUCUUCUAUUUUCUAUUUUCUUGCAAGCCAAACACCCUCUGAGGAUGUUUUCCCAGAGGAUGAGAGGCUAAACAUUUAGUUUCUUGGAGUAAAGGAAGCUAGGUGAAAAGUCCAGAUUAAAACAUGGAAAGUUUCCGUGCAUUAAAUUCAGGUAGUUGGAGUCCAUAAAUGGUUUUUAAAGCCAAGGUUUUGCCUUAAAUCCCUUCGAAUCACUUUGACUGGCCAAUACAUGGUAAGCUUAAGGUCUCUGUGGAUGCUUAUUGCUAGAUCCAUAUCAGUCCAUUAGUUAUCAUGUACGAGCCAUUGGAAAGUGAUUCAAGGUGAUAGCCCAUAGUGUCUUAAGCCAUUAAUGGACCUUGACUACCAUCUCUAGUGACUUUUUAUGGAUUAAAACUUCAUUGUCAAACCUAUACCGGUUCGGGAAAUAACUAUAGGUUAAAUCCUCAAUGUGAGGAGAAAAAUCCGGAAUUUUCCACUUUGCAUCUGGAACUUGAACCUAGCAACCUUUAUCUCCGGGAAACUUUCUUUCUUCCACUUUUUACUUAGUUCUAUGUGAGUUUAGUUUAAAUCACCACUUUCAAAACAAUUUUAUUUUCUUUUAAAUUUCAAGUUUGUGCUAAAGGAAAUCAUCAGAAUCAAUUUCUAAUUUAGAGUCUGUCACUGAUAGAGUGAAAACCCAUCCCUGAGUUCGACCCUAGAACUGCUAUACUAUAGUAGAUUUGCUACGCCAGUAUAAGGUCAUAGGUUUUAUAAAUGUUUUUUAUUAAAAGACCCGGCUGGGCAUCGAAUCACUUCGUCCAAGAAUCACAACUAUAACAGAGAGUAUGAAUCUGGCUGAAUGACUCAAGAGAGGCUCCUCGGAGUAUCAGGACAAAAUGAAAUCAUAUCAUCAACCUGAUGUGUAUUUCAAAACCGAGGGUGAUCAUGCAAAUCAGUGGGGGGUCUACGAAUCCCGAUCAAAAUGGGGGAAUAUGCCCCAGUAUGGCAUCAAAUGUGUGAUAGGUCAGAAAAACUAGAUGAGCUCAAAUCACCCGUCAUCGAAUGCGCGAUCCAAGUCAUCCAUGUCUACAACUGAAUCAAACCCAUAGAUAAAAAAGGCAUCUCCCGGAAGGAAGCAUGAUGACAUCUAAGUGUCAAAAAGUGCAGGCCUAACUGGGCAACUCCCGAGAGGCUCCCCUGAAGAAUCAUCGUAAAGAUAGUGAAUAGAUCAUCGUCUCGACAUACGUCUCGCAAAUGAGGAUAAGCGUGCAACGCCACCAAGAUCUAUAAAUCUCAUCCAGAACGGUAAUAUGCCCUAGUAUGGCAUUGAACGUAUGAUAGGUUAGAGAUCGGGCAACAUGAAAUCAUCUAUCAUCGAACAUGCGACAUCCGUGAAGAUCCAUAAAUCUCAUCUGAAAUGGAAAAUAUGCCCCAGUAUGGCAUCAAGUGCACAAUAGGUUAAAAGAACAAGUGACAUGAAAUCAUCUAUCGUCGAACAUGUAACCUCUGUGAAGAUCCGUAAAUCUCAUCUGAAACUAAAAUAUGCCCCAGUAUGGCAUCGGAUGUGUGAUAGGUCAGAAGAACAAGUGACAUGAAACCAUCUCUCAUCAAACAUGUAAUCUUGGUCAUCCGAAUCCAUAACUGAAUCAUGCCCACAGAUUCGAGAUGUACCUCUCGGAUGGAGAAGCAUGAUGGCAUCUAAGUGCCGAGAAGUGCAGGCCUAGCUGGAAGGCUCUCGAGAGGCUCCACUGAGGAAUCAUGAUAAGGUAACGAUCAUGUCCACGUCUCAGUGAGCAUCUAGUAAAUGAUGAUGAUCGUGCAAGUCCAUGAGGAUCUAUAAACCUCUAAAUGAAAUGGGAUAUGCCCUAGUAUGGCAUCAGAGGUACGAUAGGUCAAAAAUCGGGUGACACCAAAUCAUCUAUCAUCAAACGUAUGAUCCCAAUAAUCCGAACACAACUAAAUCAAACCUACACAUCAAAGAGGCGACUCCUAGAAGAAGAAGCAUAACGAUAUCUAAAUAUCAACUAGAUCUCAAACACCUGUCCAAAUAAAGGCUGUCGAAGACAACAUCUGAUCCCAUGGCCUCAGGGUGGUCUUAAGACACGAGACGUAACAUAGGCUAAGGUGAUAGGGUGAUAGAAAUGAAGGAAAACUAAGCUCAAAUACCCAAUGAUCAAAAACUCACGCCCUCAUAUAUGAAAUGCAAUAUGUAUAGUGAAUCCCAUGAGCCAUGGACCUGAGGAUGCCUAACGUGAAUAUGAUAUCGAUGAGGAGAUAAAUGAAGCAAAAUGAACUGAUAGUGAUAUGUGUAAUGAUGAUGCGAAGAGAGUAUCAAACCCGAGAUGGGUUGCUGUAAGAAAAGAAAUAAGACGUGAAGUGAAAAUGAUGAAUCCGUAGCGAAAACGACAAUGAUGAUGAAACAAAUAACACAAAGAGUAGUGAUCAACUCAAAUCAGACAUGAAGUGAAGUCACAUCAACAAUGAACGUAAUGAUGGAAAGGACAAUGACCUAGAGCUCCUAAGAGAAGGUCACUCAGCUCACUCUCAAAGAGAUGUGACAAAGCGAAUACAAAUAACAUAGGAUCUCAGAGAGCUCACAUACAAACUCUCAACAACAAACAUACUCGAUAAACAUGACCCUCAAAUAUCAAUAUACAUACUCAAUGAUCGAGAAUACUAUGCACAUACACACAUGUGCUUAUUUUUCUUUUCAUUUUCUUUUUCAUUAUCAUUUCAUUUUUUUCAUUUUUUUUUAUAACAUACAUACAGAUGCACAUACCCUGAACAUGAACAAAUGAACCCCAAGGAUGAUGUCGACAAUGGAUAGACACCAUCUCAAGUGCUAAGGUAGUAAAAACUCUCUGACGAGAUGACCUUCUCAAACUAAGGAUCUCUAAACCAAUGUCCGUGAGAUAGAUAGUGGAAAUGAUGUGACUAUCCCCCAUGCGAUGAACUGAGGAGGAUCACCACUUAGGGUGGAGAGAAUAUGGAACAAAACAAGUAGUAGAUAGGAUAAGAAGAAGAGAUGAGAUGAAAAUGCAGAGGUGCAGUGAUAGGAAAAGAUAAUGAGAGGAAUGUGCCCCUAGGUCCAAGGCUCAUGAAACUUCCAAACAAUGCAUGCAUACACUAAAGGGCCCCUAUCCCGGUGUGAAAAUGUGAGCGAGGCGAUAAGAAAUAAAGGCUAUAAUGCGCAUGGGAGGCUCAAUGGGCUAGCAAAGGACUAUAUAUCAAAAGGAAAUAACAAGGUAUAUGGCUAACCGAACUGAUGACCACCCAUCCUGCGACCAUGGUAUCAAAAAUAGUACCUCUUUAGCUGAUCCACAUUGGUCGACUCCGAGAAUCGGUUUCCAUCUAAAUCCAUCAACCAUGCAGCGCCCUCUGGGGUCAACUCCCUGAUGAAAUAAGGCCUGCUCCAAUUGGGCCUGAACUUCCCUCUAGGAUCUCUAAUCAAUCCCUUGAUGACUUUUAGAACCAAGUCACCUAUCUGUAAUGGUCUAGGCUUGACUCGUUUUUUGAAAGCACGGGCCAUCUUCCUCUGAUAUGAACGAACGUGGUUGACUGCUCUCAAUCUCCACUCAUCUAGGAGAUUGAGCUAAUCAAAUUGAGCUUGAGCCCAAUCUACCUUGAGAAUCUGCUGCUUUAGUGCCACUUUCAACGAACCCAUCUCAAUCUCAACUGGUAGCACCGCCUCCAUGUCGUAUAUCAAUGAGUAGGGUGUGGCUCCUAUAGAGGUGCGAAAAGAAGUCCGAUAUGCCCACAAUGCGAAUGGGAGCUUCUCUGACCAAUCUUGAGAAGUCUUAACCAUCCUCCAUAAUAUCCUCUUAAUAUUCUUAUUCGCGGCCUCUAUUGCCCCAUUCGUCUACGGCCUAUACGCAAACGACCUAUGAUGCCGAAUGUUGUAUCUCUGUACUAAGGCGUCAACCUUUGCUCUGAAAUGUACCCCUCUAUCUGAAAUCAACUCAUGAGGGACUCCGUAGCGACACAUAAUGUGUGAUCUGAUGAAACUAGCAACUCCAACUGAUGUCAGCCUCGCAUAUAAGGCAGCCUCCACCCACUUGGUGAAGUAAUCGAUGGCGACCAAGAUGAACUCAUGACCAUUGGAAGAUUUUGGUGAAAUAUUCCCGAUGAUGUCAAUACCCCAUACAGAAAAUGGCCAUGGCAAAGUCAGUGCAUGCAACUCCGAGGGCGGCACGUGAAUGAGAUCUCCAUGUAUCUGACACUCGGGACAUCUCUGAACAAAUUGGCAACAAUCCGUCUCCAUGGUCAACCAAAAAUAGCCAGUCCUCAUGAUCUUGCGGGCCAACAUAUGCCCUCCCAUAUGUGGUUCGCAUACUCCCGCAUGAACCUCUCUCAUCACUCUAUCGGCAAAGGCUCGAUCCAAGCACAAUAAUAACAUCCCGUCAGCUGAUCGUCUAUACAAUGUCUUGCCACAAAUCACAAAUCGGAUGGCUAACUGUCUCAAUGCCCUCAUAUCCUUGGUCGUGGCAACCUCAAGGUACACGCCAAGUCUCAGAAAGUGAUAUAUGUCAUGGUACCAAGGCAAACCAUCGUUUAUCUUCGUAUCAUCAAUUAGACAACAGUACGCAAGAGCAGAUCUCGACUCGAUCAACAAUGGGCGAACAGUGGCACCAGUAGGAAUGUCAAUCAUGGAAGACAUAGUAGCUAAGGCAUCAACAAACUGGUUCAGCGCUCUAAGCAGAUGUGUGUAUCUUAAAUCAUCAAAUCUCCCGACCAAUAGCUUUAAAUACGCGUGGUAAGGCCUAAGCUUCGCAUCUCUAGUCUUCCACUCGCUCUGAAUAUGUCUUAAUACCAGAUUGGAGUCACCAAACACCUCCAUCUAUCUAAUCCCGAGCUCGAGAGCUGUCUCUAAUCCCAAAAUACGAGCCUCAUACUCAACAAUGUUGUUCGUGGCAGGAUGUCGAUCCGAGAAUGCCAAACAAACAGAUCUGGGAAUGUGAUCUCCAUGAAGGGAUAUCAACAAGAUGCCUAUCCCGUAUCCAGAAUGGUUGGCUGCGCCAUCAAAGUACAUGCGCCAACCUGAUAACUGGUCACAGCUGCGACAUCCUCGUCUGGGAAGUCAUCAUCAAUGGCUCUGCCAUCGGAAAUCGGUAAAGAAGCUAGGUGAUCCGCGACAAUGCUCCCUCUAAUGGACUUUUGAGUGACAUAAUGGAUGUCAAAUUCAGUCAGAAGUACCAACUAUCUCAUGAGGCGACCGACCAAAGCGGGCCUAUCAAACAAAUAUCUCAAAGGAUCUAGACGAGAUAUCAAAUGCACUGAAUACUCAAUCAUAUAAUGUCUCAGUCGGCGAGUGGCCCAAAUCAAUGCCAAGCAAUAGCGCUCAAUCAUGACAUAUCUCGUCUCGUAGUCUAGCAUCCUCUUACUCAGAUAAUAAAUGGUUUGAUCCUUACCCGAAUCAUCGAGCUGAGCCAACAUGCAUCCCAACGCCACGUCUGAGACGAAUAGGUAUAGGAGUAAAGGACGACCUGGUGUAAGAGGCGCUAAGACUAGGGGUGACAACAAGUACUCUCGGAUCCUCUCAAAUGCGCGCUGACACUGAUCAUCCCAAAUAGUAGGUUGACUCUUUCUCAAGAGUCGAAAAAUGGGCUCACAGAUGUCUGUCAAUCUGGCGAUGAAUCUAUUGAUAUGCUGAAGUCUACCCAAGAAGCCUCUGACCUCUCUCUCUGUUCUUGGUGCAGGCAUGUCAAGGAUGGCUUUGAUCUUAUCCGGAUCUACCUCUAUGCCUCUCUCACUGACCAUAUACCCCAAGAGUUUCCUAGAAGUCACUCCGAAAGUGCACUUCUUAGGGUUCAGUCUCAAUCUGAACUGUCGGAUCCUCUCAAAAACCUCUCCAGAGCUGCUAGGUGAUCUGGUCUGUCUCGGGAUUUCACUAUCAUGUCGUCUACAUAAACCUCGGCAUCUCGAUGCAUCAUGUCAUAGAAGAGGGUGGUCGCCACUCUCUGAUAGGUGGCUCCUACGUUCUUCAGUCCAAAUGGCAUGACUCUAUAGCAAUAAGUACCCCACUCGGUAAUGAAGAACGUCUUCUCCAUGUCCUCUGAAGCCAUCAAGAUCUGACUGUACCCAAAAAAUCCGUCCAUAAAGGACAACAUCGAAUGACUUGCCGUACUGUCAACUAGCAUGUCGAUAUGUGGAAGAAGAAAAUCAUCCUUAGGACUGGCCUUCUUGAGAUCUCAAAAAUCAACACAAACUCUCACCUUACCGUCCUUUUUGGGAACAGGGAUGACAUUAGCCAGCCACUCCGGGUACUCGACCACUGAUAAGAAUCCUACACUGAGCUGCUCCUGAAUAUCCUCCUUGACCUGCAAGCUCCAAUGAGGAUGCAAUCGUCUCAACUUCUGCUUAACCGGUCUGGCAUGGGGCAGAAGUGGCAAACGAUGCUGGACAAUAGACGGAUCAAGGCCUGGCAUGUCCUCAUAAGACCAUGCGAAAACGUUCAAGUAUGCUCUCAACAACUGGAUGAGGCUAUCCCUCUCAUCAACAGAUAAAUUUGAUCCGGUCCUCAACUCCCUAGGCUGAUCUACUAUGCCAAAAUCAACAAUCUUUGUGUCCCCUACAGCAGGUGAAACUGUCUCAUCAACGGGAUCCGAAUCAGAAACAGAAGACGAGUCAUCGUCUGAAUCACGCUGUGCAAUCUCAUCAUCAAUGUCAAAAAUCUGUGAUGUAGGUGAAGAUGGUACGGAUAAAGCGAUAACAUGACAGAUAGGCAAAUACUCAAAGAUGCUCAAAUCCAUAAAUGAAAAGUUAUAAACAUAGUUAUGACGGGAGUCAAAUCCCGAUAAAACAUCAAAAGAAAGAGAUGGGUCCACAAAGUCGGGCGCUCCCUCAACUAGGCCAACAGGGCCAUCAAACAAACCAUCAACAACUAUAACAUCCUCAGCGAUCUCCGGAGCGGGGGCGACCUGGAUCUCCUCAACGACAGACACCCCGAAGAAAUCAAAUGGUGAAACGAGCUCAAGCGGGGCUAUCUCUUUGAUCUAGCUUAAGUUCAUCGCGAGCAUCUCAUCAACGUACUCGUCAUGUGGCGCGGCUCCAUCUACUAUGUCGCUGAUCUCGACAAAUGUCCCGUGAUCAUCGAUCUCAUCCGAGAAGCAAAACGUCAUAAGGCUCGUGCGAUCUAGGAAGGAAUGAGCGAUCAACGAAGAAGUCAAAGGGCUAAGGGCUCUGUCACUCAACCGUGAUUGCUGGACGAUGCGCUGAAGCUCGGCCUCCUGGGUGGUGCUGAGUCCUCCAAUGAUCCCAUCAGAUGGUGCAUGUGGCUCUGAUGCCCUCACAAAGUAAUAGGCUAGGUUCAUGGUGUAUGGGCGAACAGGAUAAUAAAAAAACGUAUGAGUCAGUCCAGCCUUCACCCUCUCCUUGCGCAAUCGCGUCAUAUAACGAUAAUCGACCUCAAUCGGAAUGAAUUCGAGCCCAAACGAUACGUCGUGAUCAGGGAAGGCCAAGAACUCACUAGGCUCGUGCUGACACCGCCCUAACCCCAUGCCGAGAAGAUAAGACAUGCUCCGCAUAAUAUCAAGCACCAUCGUGCUACUAUGCUGGUCGAAAGACAUGACUACAAAGUCUUAACAGAAAUCCUCCAUCUCCAGAGUCUACACCUCGUCAAAGGUGAAUCCGGUCAGAAAAAAAUCAUCAUCAGUGUGACUAAUCUCAAGUACAGGCUUGGCAGAAAUGAACAUAUCCCCCCAGACUGCACCACGAUGACCUGGCCAUCGUGAAUAAGCUUCACCUUCUGGUGAAGGGAAGAAGGAAUGGCCCCAGCUCUAUGGAUCCAUGGUCGGCCCAGAAGCAGGUUAAAGGAUGUAGGAAUCCUCAAAACCUAAAACACGGCGACAAAAAUGGUCGGACCAAUCAGUAGCUCAAUCUCUAGUGUACCCAUAACCUCCCUUCGAGUGCUAUCACACGCGCGAACAGUUGAGUGGAGGGACCGAAAUCUGAUGGUGCGUAACCGAGGGCAAUGGCGGUGGCCAGAGGACAGACGUUCAGGGCCGAGCCAUUGUCCAGAAGGACAUAUGGGACAAUGUGUAAUCCGAGCCCUCUGAUGGCAAGUCAUCAUCGGAGAAUACAAUGCAUGUGGCUCUACCGACCGUCAUCAUAUGAAUCAAUCCCUCGGGGGAGGUGGUAGUCUCGACUCUGAUCUUACUCAAAGCUCGAAUCAGAGCAUCACCGUGAGUGCUCGAGGAUGCCUACAGGCUCCAGAUGGAAAUAUGAGCCUGAGUGCUCUGUGGCUGUCUCAAAAUCUCAUCGUCCCCUGCUCUGACCUCCUUAGGAGUGGAUGUACCCUCAACUGGCCUAACUGCCACGGGAGGUGGUUGUUGCAUCACUCUACUUCCUCGGAGAAUAUACUGAACAUCUAAAGCAUGAGAAUCAUCAACAUGCGAAGCCUAAACCUCCUUAACAUUAGGGAUCAAGAUGAAUGGCGUCUGAACGUAAUAACGUGUGAAAGUCAGAGGCUCGGAAGUGGUCGCCCGUAUAGAUGCUGCCUCGAGAACUAAUCGAAAUGGAGCGGACAUCCGAGGCCCUAGAGUCACCCCACUCAUCUCAUAAAUCACAUCUGGCAUGAUGGGCUCUGGGUCUGAAUCGUCCCCACUCAACAUGUGGACGUGGUCGUCGAUCUCAUCGAAGUCCAAGAAAUGAAUACCAUCGGUUGGUGGAGGGAUUGCAUGUGUGGUGUGGGUCGAUAACGGGUUUGUGGUCACACUCGGCUGACCCAAGUGUACCAAACCCUGGUUGAUCAAAUCCUGGACGGCAUGUCUAAGAGCAGUACAACGAUCGGUCUCAUGUCCAGGCCCCUGAUGAUAUGCACAGUGCAAAUCCAUUCUGAACUGGGGUGGAAUCGGCUGAGGUGGCGGCUUGGGAGUGAGAGCUUAACAACCCUACCUUUAUGAGCUUCUGAAGAGCCUGGCUCAAUGGCAUGCCUAACUGUGAGAAUUGCCUCUGUGUCCUCAAUGCAAAUGUAGCAGAAGUCUGCUGAGCUCUAGGUCGGGGAUAAGGCGCUGUGGGUCUCGUAGUGAACAUAGCAACAUAGCAUGGCUGUCCUGCGGGUGUGUAGGAAACUGGGGGUCUCUCAAUGCCCUGGGUAGCAUAAUAAGGCAAAGCCAAAGUUUGUGGCACGUAGGACUGAUCAUAAGUCGGACGAGGCGCUCGCGGCCUAUACUGCUAAGGUGAAUAAGAAUGAUGAGUCUCGGGAAACCUUGGGACCGGCUGAUGACGUCUAGGAGGCCUCUGACUGGAAGAACUAAUGGCGCUCACAUCCACUGAUCUCUGUCCUCCAAAGGGCUUCUUCCCCUUCGAAUCAAAAGGAGAAGACUCAUACCAUAAUCCUCUAGCUAUGCCCUCCUCUAUACCGUACAAAGCCUGUACCAAAGAUCAAAAAUCUAUAUGUGGAAAUCCCAUCAAGUGCUGAGCAAAUCGAGGCUGCAAACUCCUCAUAAUCAUGCUGAUCUAGUCCCUCUCAGAUGGUCUAUCAAUGACCUGCGAAAUCUUCUCCCUCCAAUGGGAGAUAAACGAGGUGACCGACUCCUCCGGCCUCUGUCUCAAUGCCUCUAACUCCCUCCUCGAUAGGUCAACGAUAGUAUUAAAUGCAUACUGUCUCAAGAACUCUUGGGCCAGAUCAUCCCAAGUCCGACGACGUGAUACAUCCAAAGAAGCAAACCAACACUAUGCAGCGCCACUCAAGGACAUGGGGAAAAGCAUAAUCAUCUGAGCCUCGUUCAAUCCAUGAGCCCUCUUGAUCGUACUGUAAAGCCUCAAACAGAUGCGGGGGAACCCAAUCUCCAUUUAUCGCUUAAUGUCUGGCAUCCUGAACUUGGCCGGUAAACUAGCCACUGGUGCUCCAUCAAAAUCCUCCCAAGUAAUGGCUUUGUCUGAAGUCCACAACUGCCUCAACCUCUGCUCAAGCCUAUCCAUGCGAGCAUGUGGGUCCUCUGAGGUUAGAGUAGGCACGGUGAUGGGAGGCGGGGUAACCUCGCUCUGAUUAUGCAGAGUGAACGGCAUGGCCUAUGGUGCUGACUGACUGGGUGGAAGGGAUGGUGGCACUGUAGGGUCAUACUGGGCGCCAUCCUGAGGUGGGACCUACUAGGCCUGCUGCCCAUCUAUCCUCCGGCCUAGGCUAGCUAUAGCCUCCUGAAUCGAAGCCAUGACCUCAGCAAACUGAUCGACGGUAACUAUCUGUGAAUCCAUAUCUCACUUAUAUGAUCUCUGGUCUGACUGGUCCGAUACCCUGAUCAAUCUACCCCCAACUCUAAUCCAAGAAGUCGAACCCAAACCAAACGUAUCGAUACUCCUACAAUAGUGGAAAUACUAGAUAAGAUGCGGGGUAAGGGAAACUUCACAAAGAAUGUCUAUCAAAUGUGUCGAAAGGUAACCCGGAAGCAAUCAAACUGAUAUCCAGUCCUGAGCAGAUAUAUAAAAGACUACUGCGAAGGUAACUAAACCUGUCACUACUGAACUAGCUCUGAAGGCCCACAAAUGCACCCACGUGUUCGGGAAGGAAAAUUCUAAUUGAAAUGUCUAAGGCUCAAUCUACAAGGUCAAGGUGGCUCUAAAAGGAAAUAGGUGGACUUUAAAAGAUCCCUAGCAGAAGCGAUCGUACCCUCCGAUGGUACGCAACCCUCUACACGGCUCCGAAGAGACGGGCCGCUUCCAUGCAAGGUGGGCAUCACCUCAACACAUGUACUACCUCGAUAUCCAAAGGGGUUUCUUAUGGCGAAAUCACUCGAAACUCUCAACUCUCAGUGGUCAACUAGAGUGCACAAUGAGCGGUGCGGGUGCAUCCGAAAGCCCUAUGAAGCUAAAACAAAAAGAAAAAACACACUGGCUACACAAAUAUCCAUGAAACCUAGCUCAGGGCUAUACAGGUCUUCAAUGAUCGGACUUCAAUCAACAUCAAAGUGUCGAUCACCUCCAGAUGCUCCCAAACAUCGAUAUAGCCCGUCACUAGACUCUACUCCUAAUCUCUGGCUCAAUCAAAAUAACAAGCAUACAGAAGGCCUCGCACUUGCAAUAGUGAGAACCGAAAUGAAGGGAAUGACCGAGGCCAAGAGAGUUGGAGGUAAGGGGAUAGAUGUGUCACCCACAUGGACAGGCGACAUGCAAUCACGCAGAAGGAGGACAGUCAUGCAACAUGCAGUCAAGCAGAGUAUAGGAUAUAUCACUCAGGUCCACAUACAACUAUGACAAUCAGAUGAAAAGUGAUACAGACAUCAUGCUCGAAGACGAUCAAGAUAACAUACAAGCAAGAGAAUCAAUAAUGUCGAAUCAAACGCUAUGUAACAAUGAAUCCACAAAUGCAAGGCGAUCAGAACAAUCAUGACAAAAAUUAGAAUCAUUAUGCUAAGUAAAGCAAAAUAAGCAAUCAAUGUAAUCAACAUGUCAAUAUCCCAAACAAAUAUAGCAACGAAGAUGGAAGAAAUAACUAUCUCGAAAUCCUCAAUCAAGACAAAUCAAUCAACACGAUCAACAUGUCAAAUAUCUCAACAAAUAUAUCAAUGAAGCGCAAAAAGAAUCACUAUAGCAGAAUCCUCAAUCAAGAUGAUCAACCAAUACGAUCAACGUGUCAAUGUCCCAAGUGAAAACUCAGGAACUCUCAAUGUGCAAUCAAGAGACGAGUACCCACUGAUCGACUCAUCAAGCGCCACAUUUGCUUCAUCUUAAGUUCAAGCUUGACCCUCAUGAUCCCCCAGUGGAGUCUCCAUUUUGUGGACCCCGUAUUUUAGCUCAUGCGUUUUCCACUCGAUGGCGAGCUCGAUUUUUGUUUAAAAAAUGAUUUAUUUAUUAAAAAAAUGACUUGGAGUCGCCCCUUAUUUUUGUUUUAUUUUAAAAAGAGUAAACAAAAUAAGAAAGAAAACCCUAAGUGUGACUGCUUAUUUUGGAAAAGGUGGUCUGUGGAAAACUGGAUCAGGCUCGGGGGUCAGGUUACUCAUCAAGAAGGUACAGUAAAGACCGUAGCACCUCUCUAAAUCCCUAAAGUCGGGUCUCUACUAAUAAAAUGAAGUUGGCGUGGCGACCAAUAGGAAUAUCAACAGAUACUCAAAUCGACCAUGCACACAUGAGAAUCAAAACAUGUAUAGAGAAUGACUAGAAUGGGAAUGGAUGCAUACCUGGGCCACGAACGAGUAAUGCGCUAUCAUAAAAAUGGGGUCAGUGUAUAAUAAAGAGCACAAAACAUAUCACAUACGUCACCAAAUAGAAAUGAAAACUGUUCGAGGGAAAACUGGAUUUUUGAAAUUUAUUUGAAAAUUGGAGUUUUAGAGAUUAUUUGAAAAUUGGAUUUUUAGAAAUUAAAUAUAAGAAUGAGAAUUUUAGAAAUUAAAUUUAAAAGAAAUUGGAAUUUUGAAAAUUAUUUGAAAGUUUGGGAUUUUUUUUUUAGAAAUUAAAUUAUGGAAAUUGGGACUUUAAAAAUAAAAUUUUGAAAGAAAUCAGAAUUGAAAGUUAUUUGAGAAGUAGAAACUAUGAAAAUUGAAUUAUAAAAAUUGGAAAUCUUGGAAAUCGUUCGAAGAUAGAUUUUUUAGAAAUAAAUGAAUAAAAUGAUAAUAAUAAUGAUAAUAAUAAAUAAGUAACAAAAUAAAUACGAGAAUUGGAACAUUGGAAAUUGAAAAAAAUUAAGUUCGGAAAUUAGAAAAUUGGAAUUUCAGAUAACUAAAUUUGGGAAUCGGAAUUUUGAAGAAUUAUUUAAAGACGAAAUUUUAAUAAACGAAUAAGAAAUGAAUAAGUGAAUAAAUAAAUUAAUGGAAUAAUAAUAAUGACGAAAUAAUAAAGAUUAAGUAAAUAAUUGUGAAAAAUAAAAUUUUAGAUAUUGGAGAUUGAAUUUAGAGAUUGAGAAUUUGAGAAAUUAUUUAGAGAUGAGAUUUUUAAUAAAUGAAUAAGUGAAGAAAUAAAUGAAUAGAAUAAUAAUAAUGACGAAAUAAUAAAGAUUAGAUAAAUAAUUGCGAAAAAUAGAAUUCUAGAGAUUGAAAAUUGAAUUUGGAGAUUAAAAAUUUAAGAAAUUAUUUAGAGAUGAGAUUUUAAAUAUAUGAAUAAGUGAAUAAAUAAAUGAACGGGAUAAUAAUAAUAAUGAAAAGAAUCAUUUAAACAACUGAAUGUGAAUAGUGGGAUUUUUUAGAUUGGAAAUUAAAUUUGGAAAACAGGAUUAUGAAAAAUUGAACUUUAAUUAUUGGAAUUUGUAAAAUAAAUAAAUGGAAUGAUAAUAAUAAUAAUGUUUAAACGAAUGAACGUGAAUAGUGGAAUUUUUUAGAUUGAAGAUUAAAUUCGGAAGUCAGAUUUUUUAAUAAUUGAACUUUAAUGAUUUGAAUUUUUAAAAUAAAUAAAUAUGGAAUAAUAAUAAUAAUAACCAAAAUAAUGUUUAAACGAAUGAACAUGAAUAGUGAAAUUUUUAAUAUUGAAAAUUAAAUUUGAAAAUCAGAUUUUUGAAGAAUUGAACUUCAAUUAUUAGAAUUUUUAAAAUAAAUAAAUAAAUAAAUAUAGAAUAAUAAUAAUAAUAACAAAAAUAAUGUUUAAACGAAUGAACGUGAAUAGUGGAAUUUUUUAGAUUGAAAAUUAAAUUCGAAAAUCAGAUUUUUGAAGAAUUGAACUUUAAUCAUUGGAAUUUUUAAAAGAAAGAAAUAAAUAAAUAUGGAAUAAUAAUAAUGAUAAUAAAAAUAAUGUUUAAUGAAUGAAUGUGAAUAGUGAAAUUUUUUUGAGAUUGAAAAUUAAAUUCGGAAGUCAAAUUUUUGAAGAAUUGAACUUUAAUUAUUAGAAUUUUUAAAUGAAAUAAUAAUAAUGAAAAUAAUAUUUAAACAAAUGAACAUGAAUAGUGGAAUUUUUUAGAUCGAAAAUUAAAUUUGAAAGUCAGAUUUUUGAAGAAUUGAACCUUAAUGAUUUGAAUUUUUUUUAAAUAAAUAAAUAAAUAAAUAUGGAAUAAUAAUAAUAAUAAUAACAAAAAUAAUGUUUAAAUGAAUGAACGUGAAUAGUGGAAUUCUUGAGAUUGAAAAUUAAAUUUGAAAAUCAGAUUUUUGAAGAAUUGAACUUUAAUGAUUGAAAUUUUUAAAAGAAAUAAAUAAAUAUGGAAUAAUAAAAAUAAUGUUUACACGUAUGAACAUGAAUAGUGGAAUUCUUGAGAUUGAAAAAUAAAUUCGAAAAUCAGAUUUUUGAAGAAUUGAACUUUAAUGAUUGGAUUUUUUUAAAAGAAAUAAAUAAAUAAAUAUGAAAUAAUAAUAAUAACAGAAAUAAUGUUUAACGAAUGAACGUGAAUAGUGGAAUUUUUUAGAUUGAAAAUUAAAUUCGGAAGUCAGAUUUUUGAAAAAUUAAACUUUAAUUAUUGGAUUUUUUUAAAAUAAAUAAAUAAAUAAAUAAAUAUGGAAUAAUAAUAAUAACAAAAAUAAUGUUUAACGAAUGAACGUGAAUAGUAGAAUUUUUUUUAGAUUGAAAAUUAAAUUCGAAAGUCAGAUUUUUUAAGAAUUGAACAUUAAAUUUUUAAAAAAAUAUAUAAGCAAAUAAGUAAAUAGAAUAAUAAUAACAAGAAUAAUAAUUAAAUAAAUAAACAUGAAUAUUGGAAUUUAAAAAUGUGAAUUUUAGACAGUUACAUGAUAACAGAAUUUUUUUACAAGAACUAUAUUUUUAACAUAUAAAGAAGAAGAAUCAAGAGGGCCAAACACUAGGCCAAUGGGGUCUACACCUAACAAGCAACGGACUAGGUCCAUAAAAACCAAAUAGCCUUCAGUAAAGCCCAAUCAUAGAGGGCCCAAAUGAACAUUACCAAUCAAGUUCAAGGUUCAUCAUUCAUCAUUGUGAGAAAUCAAAUGUGCCAAAGAGAGGCACACAGAAGGUUCAUAAGAGUGUUUGUUCCACAUUCUAUCCCAGUCCACUAACAUGAUAAAACAACAGCAAAAACAAUAACGCAAGUCAACAAAUCUGAAUCUUCAAUCCUAAAAGGGAAACUAAAAUAAAGCCCCCGUUGAAAGCAGCUUGGUCCAUUCUCUGAAGACAAUAAACGAACAAACACAGAACUCAAAAUUUCAAGUUUGCUUAACGAACCUGUCUUCUCUCGCUGUGAUCUUCCCCUCUGGUCGUUCUCGUUCUCCUUCUCCUUCCUGUUAUGGAAUCUGCUUCAGCUCCAGGAAUCUUUUUUCUCAAUCUCCCUUUUUUCCCGCUACUUCUCGUCCUCUUCAGCCGCCCAAAUACUGCUCGCCCCCGUCCCAUCUCAUGGCCGCCCAACGCAGCCCAUUCUGUCAUCUCUGGCCGCCUCCAACGGCUGACCCUCGGGGUGGUAAAAAGAGAGAAAAAAAAUAAAAAAAAUUUCUGUCUCUAAAGGGUCUACAAAUGUAUUUAAAUAUUUGUUUGAUUCCUUAAAGAUAUUAUUUUUUAAUUAAUCAAAGCUAUUAUUUAGGAAGAUUUGAAAAUUCAUAUUUUGAUAGUCUUAAUCAUUUUAAAUAUUAUUCUUUAAUUAAAAAUAAUAUUUAAAAAGAUUUAGAAGAUUAUAUUUAAUUUAUUUCUUUAUAGGACUUGAUAAUUACCUUUUUUUAGUUAUUGAAUUUAUCAAUUUUUGUUUUUUCUAACCAUUGAGUGUGUGACUCAUGUUAUAUAGAUUUUUUGUUUAAAUAUUAUUUAAAAAAAAAAGGUAACUUACAAAAUAUUAAAGGUUCUACCAUAAAAUUGUUAACUAAAAUUUGUCUUAUCAAAAGAUGAGUUCAAUAUAAAAAAAUAAAUUUACAUUUUUCAUUGAACUCAUUUUUUAAGAGAUGAGCUUAAUAUAUAAAUACUAAACUCAUCUUUCCGAAAGAAAAGUUUGUUGAAAGAUACUAGACUUAGAUUUUCAUAAAACAAAUUCCAUGUAAAAAUGCUUGUAGACCCCCUUUGGUAGUGAGGACCCGGGAGGUUUGUUUUUUUUUGGAUUUUCAUUAUAUUGUUAGAAGGGGUAGGGGACCCCCAGCUAGAGAGGAGCAGAGACGCCAUGCUGAUGAUGAAGGUAGCCACCAGAUGGGACGUGUAGCAGGGGGCAGAGUGGCUUGCGGUGGAAGAUAGAAACAGGAGAGAAAAAGGAUAUACGAGGGGGGGAGUCUGAUGGGAGGGAGGGGGCCAUUAGAGGAAGCCAUUAGGGGAGUCACAGAGAAGGGAGCUUGCUGGUUCCAUUGAUCUUAGAGGAGAACUUACUAGAGAAGGAGAUAACAGAGAAAGAAGGCAGCUGCAGGUGAGUUUGGGGUGAGUCUCUUGCUCCCUUUUGAUUCAUAUUCUCCUCAUCCCUUUCUCAUUUUGGUUUGCUUUGCAUUGCUCAUCAGUCCGGGUUGGAUUUCAUGUUGAAUUUCAUUGAUUUUUUUGGAUCACUUGUUUGUUGUCGUUGAUCUUGCCGUUAUCCUUAUGGUUUAGUUUGGAGUUGAUGAGAUCUGUUUCUCACGUAUUUUGUGGCUCUGGCUUGAGAUCUUCCCACCUGUAUCUGCCCAUGGAUACCACCCGACAUGAGGCUUGAUACACUCAUGUUUUUCUACUUUAUUCCUUGAUUAUCUUUCCCUCGUUUUUUGUUGUUUUGGCUCCUAUAUUUGUGAUCCUUUCUAUGAAUGAAGGCCUAUACACAAAGGCUGUUUCUUGUAUUUGAUAAAACCGAUUGAGCCACCCAUGGUUUCAGAUGAAGCAGAGACGUUAACGAGAUGUAUGCUCUGUUUUUUAGGAUCUUUGUUCUUCUUUUAAUAUCUGUAAACAGAGAAGCUUGCAUGCAAAGAGUCAUCAUCCAAAACUGGCAGCGUGUUAGGCCUGAGGUUAAACAAGAGUGACAAAUGUAAGAACAGUGAGGGAAGAGAGCCAUUUUUUUCAGUCACUGGGCUGCCAUAUUUUUAUCACCGGGCUGUUGAUUUCUUUUCAUCACCGGACUGCUAUUCUUUUUCAUCACCGGGCUACUGACUUUUCUUUAUCACCGGGCUGCUCAUCCACCAUAGCAUCAACUCCAUGUCACAGCUGGUUCUUUUUCAUUCGUCGCCGCACCAACUGCACACCCCAUUUUUUUGGUACCUUCACGGCCAUUAGGUAUGUCAGCUGUUUUUUUACAUAUAUAUGCAUAAAGUUUCAGCAACAGUGAAGGCUCGGAGCAUUUUUCCAAGUAGAAUUAUUAUUAUAAUAGGGUAAGUGGUUUGACUUUAUUUACUAGCUCCAGCACACUUUUUUUGGUCUAUAUGGUCAUAUGGAUAUGGUUGCAAAGUAUGGGAUCACCUUAUUAUCCAAUGGACAAAAUUAUAAGUGGACCUUCCGGGAAGAGACUUAAAAAAAUAGGUUUGUGGGGCCUUUUCUUUCCAUUUAUUGAUUCCUCAUGUUGUGUACACGUUUUGAUGGUAAGCCACUUUUUAUUUUAUUUCAUUCUAUUAUUUUAUUAGUUUUCUUCAACUUUUGAUGCCCAAAAAUUUCAUUUUCAAAAUUUUAAUCUUAAAAUAAUAUACAAAAAAAAACUCUAGUUUUAAUUUAAUUUCUCAAAGCUCCAAUUCUAAUUUAAUUUUUCAAAAGUUCCCAUUUUUAAAAAUUUAGUUUUCAAUACUUUAACUUCCCAAACUUUAAUUAUUUUCAAAUUUUAUUUUUUAAAAAUUCUAUCAUUAGACAAUUACGAUUUUUCGACUUCCAAAUUUAAUUUUCAAUUUCAAAAAUUCAAAUAUUCACGCUUAUUCAUUUAAUCAUCAUUCUCAUUAUUAUUAUCAUUCUAUUUAUUUAUUUAUUUUAAAAUUCUAUUUUUAAACAUUUUUUUUCAAAAUUCCAAUUUCUAAAUUUAAACCCCAAUUUCUGAGAUUCCAAUUUUUAUACCAAUUCAUCUAAUCAUCAUCAUUUUGUUCAGUUGUUUAUUUUUAAAAUUCAAUCUUUAAAUAACUCUUCAAAAUUCCGAUUUCUAAUUUUAAAUUUCAGUUUCCAAAAUUUUAAUUUUCACAUCAAUUUAUUUAAUCAUCAUUAUUUUAUUUAUUCAUUUUAAAAUUCCGUUGUUAAACAAUUCUUCAAAAUUUUCGAUUUUCAAAUUUUAUUUCCAAAAUUCCCAUUCUUAAAUUCAAUUCCCAAGGCUCCAAUUAUCAGAUAAUCUUCGGGACUUCAAUUUUUAAAUAAAUUUCAAAAAUCCAGUUUUCACUCGAACAGUUUUAAUUCCACUUUGGUUUUCAAAUAAUCUUUUUUUUCUCUUAAUUUUAUAUAAGCAUGAAUGUCAUUUUCAUAAUUUCGGAACAAUGGAAUUUGUGAGAUUAAUUCAUACAAGAUCAAUCGGGCUUUGGUGGGGGUCCAACAUAUGUGAUUUCCUUAUGAUUGAUUGAUUGUUUGUUUGAUUUAAUUGUCAUACAUGAUCAAUUUUAUUCUGCUCUAUGACAUGCUCGAAAUUAUUCCUUAAUUGCGUGCUAAUUUCACUUCUUGAUAGCGCUUUAUGGAUUACUGCCCAGGUACGCAUCCACACCCGCUCGGGUCAUUUUCUGUAUGCAUGUCUAGAUUCUCACAUGUGCAUGAUCACUCUGAGUAUUCAUUGAUUCCCUCAUCAAUUGCCAUGAUUGCUUCAUUUUAUUAGUAGAGACCCGACUUUAGGGACUUAAAGGGGUGCUACGGUCCGUACCGUACCUUCCCGAUAAGUAACCUGACCCCCGAACCCGAUCCGGUUUUUCGCAAACCGCCUUUUCCAAAAUAAGGAGUCACACUUAGGGUUUUUCUUUCUUAUUUUGUUUACCCUUUUAAAAAAUAAAACAAAAAUAAGUGGCGACUCCAAGUCAUUUUUCUUAAUCAAAUAAAAAUCAAAUUUUCAAAUAAAAAUCGAGCUCACCAUCGAGUGGGAAACGCAUGAGCCGAAAUGCGGGGUCCACAAUGCUUAACUUGUUUUUUCAAAAGGCGAGGCUUAUAUGAAAAUCUAUUUUUUUUUCUUGAACUUAUUGUUCCUAAAAGGUGAGUUCAAUGUUGUUGUUGUUUUAAUUUAAUUUAAUUUUUUUUUUUUUUUACCCCACACUAUACAUUGAUAAGGAUAUACAAUCAAGUUGAGAAAGUCAAGGGAGAAAAUCAAGGGAUUUCCAAGUUUUGAAUAUUUUGGAAUAUUUGUAGUUAUACCAUUUAUUUGUAUAGUUACUCAAUUUAUUUUGUUUCCUAUUUCUUUGUAAUCAGUUUCCUAUUUUCGUGCUCAUGCAAUCUGUAUAUAUACUAACCAUAUCAAUGAGAAUCAGUAGUAAUAAUUCUUCAAUUUCUCUCUUCCAAAAAUCCUUUAUGGUAUCAGAGCAAAGGUUUUUUCUUUAAUUUUUUUUUUUUUUCCCAGCCACGUUCUUCAAUCUUCAGCAAGCCUUUCAUCCUCCUCAUUCCAAUGGCCACUGAGAAUUCUCAACUCAUCAUUCCUAAUGCCCAGGAACCCACAAAACCACUAACCAUGAUUACUAUCCAUAACUCCAUUAAACUCACACCCACCAACUAUCUUUCUUGGAAAACCCAAAUGGAAGCCAUUCUCAUCGGCUAUGAUCUACAAAAAUUCAUUGAUGGAUCCCACCCUGCUCCUCCAACCACCAUCACCACCAAUAAUGUUGUCUCUACUAACCCUGCAUACCAAACAUGGCUACGUCAAGACAAACUAUUAUUUGGAGCCCUUGUCGGCACUCUCUCAUCUACUCUAGUUCCUCUCAUCACNNNNNNNNNNNNNNNNNNNNNNNNNNNNNNNNNNNNNNNNNNNNNNNNNNNNNNNNNNNNNNNNNNNNNNNNNNNNNNNNNNNNNNNNNNNNNNNNNNNNNNNNNNNNNNNNNNNNNNNNNNNNNNNNNNNNNNNNNNNNNNNNNNNNNNNNNNNNNNNNNNNNNNNNNNNNNNNNNNNNNNNNNNNNNNNNNNNNNNNNNNNNNNNNNNNNNNNNNNNNNNNNNNNNNNNNNNNNNNNNNNNNNNNNNNNNNNNNNNNNNNNNNNNNNNNNNNNNNNNNNNNNNNNNNNNNNNNNNNNNNNNNNNNNNNNNNNNNNNNNNNNNNNNNNNNNNNNNNNNNNNNNNNNNNNNNNNNNNNNNNNNNNNNNNNNNNNNNNNNNNNNNNNNNNNNNNNNNNNNNNNNNNNNNNNNNNNNNNNNNNNNNNNNNNNNNNNNNNNNNNNNNNNNNNNNNNNNNNNNNNNNNNNNNNNNNNNNNNNNNNNNNNNNNNNNNNNNNNNNNNNNNNNNNNNNNNNNNNNNNNNNNNNNNNNNNNNNNNNNNNNNNNNNNNNNNNNNNNNNNNNNNNNNNNNNNNNNNNNNNNNNNNNNNNNNNNNNNNNNNNNNNNNNNNNNNNNNNNNNNNNNNNNNNNNNNNNNNNNNNNNNNNNNNNNNNNNNNNNNNNNNNNNNNNNNNNNNNNNNNNNNNNNNNNNNNNNNNNNNNNNNNNNNNNNNNNNNNNNNNNNNNNNNNNNNNNNNNNNNNNNNNNNNNNNNNNNNNNNNNNNNNNNNNNNNNNNNNNNNNNNNNNNNNNNNNNNNNNNNNNNNNNNNNNNNNNNNNNNNNNNNNNNNNNNNNNNNNNNNNNNNNNNNNNNNNNNNNNNNNNNNNNNNNNNNNNNNNNNNNNNNNNNNNNNNNNNNNNNNNNNNNNNNNNNNNNNNNNNNNNNNNNNNNNNNNNNNNNNNNNNNNNNNNNNNNNNNNNNNNNNNNNNNNNNNNNNNNNNNNNNNNNNNNNNNNNNNNNNNNNNNNNNNNNNNNNNNNNNNNNNNNNNNNNNNNNNNNNNNNNNNNNNNNNNNNNNNNNNNNNNNNNNNNNNNNNNNNNNNNNNNNNNNNNNNNNNNNNNNNNNNNNNNNNNNNNNNNNNNNNNNNNNNNNNNNNNNNNNNNNNNNNNNNNNNNNNNNNNNNNNNNNNNNNNNNNNNNNNNNNNNNNNNNNNNNNNNNNNNNNNNNNNNNNNNNNNNNNNNNNNNNNNNNNNNNNNNNNNNNNNNNNNNNNNNNNNNNNNNNNNNNNNNNNNNNNNNNNNNNNNNNNNNNNNNNNNNNNNNNNNNNNNNNNNNNNNNNNNNNNNNNNNNNNNNNNNNNNNNNNNNNNNNNNNNNNNNNNNNNNNNNNNNNNNNNNNNNNNNNNNNNNNNNNNNNNNNNNNNNNNNNNNNNNNNNNNNNNNNNNNNNNNNNNNNNNNNNNNNNNNNNNNNNNNNNNNNNNNNNNNNNNNNNNNNNNNNNNNNNNNNNNNNNNNNNNNNNNNNNNNNNNNNNNNNNNNNNNNNNNNNNNNNNNNNNNNNNNNNNNNNNNNNNNNNNNNNNNNNNNNNNNNNNNNNNNNNNNNNNNNNNNNNNNNNNNNNNNNNNNNNNNNNNNNNNNNNNNNNNNNNNNNNNNNNNNNNNNNNNNNNNNNNNNNNNNNNNNNNNNNNNNNNNNNNNNNNNNNNNNNNNNNNNNNNNNNNNNNNNNNNNNNNNNNNNNNNNNNNNNNNNNNNNNNNNNNNNNNNNNNNNNNNNNNNNNNNNNNNNNNNNNNNNNNNNNNNNNNNNNNNNNNNNNNNNNNNNNNNNNNNNNNNNNNNNNNNNNNNNNNNNNNNNNNNNNNNNNNNNNNNNNNNNNNNNNNNNNNNNNNNNNNNNNNNNNNNNNNNNNNNNNNNNNNNNNNNNNNNNNNNNNNNNNNNNNNNNNNNNNNNNNNNNNNNNNNNNNNNNNNNNNNNNNNNNNNNNNNNNNNNNNNNNNNNNNNNNNNNNNNNNNNNNNNNNNNNNNNNNNNNNNNNNNNNNNNNNNNNNNNNNNNNNNNNNNNNNNNNNNNNNNNNNNNNNNNNNNNNNNNNNNNNNNNNNNNNNNNNNNNNNNNNNNNNNNNNNNNNNNNNNNNNNNNNNNNNNNNNNNNNNNNNNNNNNNNNNNNNNNNNNNNNNNNNNNNNNNNNNNNNNNNNNNNNNNNNNNNNNNNNNNNNNNNNNNNNNNNNNNNNNNNNNNNNNNNNNNNNNNNNNNNNNNNNNNNNNNNNNNNNNNNNNNNNNNNNNNNNNNNNNNNNNNNNNNNNNNNNNNNNNNNNNNNNNNNNNNNNNNNNNNNNNNNNNNNNNNNNNNNNNNNNNNNNNNNNNNNNNNNNNNNNNNNNNNNNNNNNNNNNNNNNNNNNNNNNNNNNNNNNNNNNNNNNNNNNNNNNNNNNNNNNNNNNNNNNNNNNNNNNNNNNNNNNNNNNNNNNNNNNNNNNNNNNNNNNNNNNNNNNNNNNNNNNNNNNNNNNNNNNNNNNNNNNNNNNNNNNNNNNNNNNNNNNNNNNNNNNNNNNNNNNNNNNNNNNNNNNNNNNNNNNNNNNNNNNNNNNNNNNNNNNNNNNNNNNNNNNNNNNNNNNNNNNNNNNNNNNNNNNNNNNNNNNNNNNNNNNNNNNNNNNNNNNNNNNNNNNNNNNNNNNNNNNNNNNNNNNNNNNNNNNNNNNNNNNNNNNNNNNNNNNNNNNNNNNNNNNNNNNNNNNNNNNNNNNNNNNNNNNNNNNNNNNNNNNNNNNNNNNNNNNNNNNNNNNNNNNNNNNNNNNNNNNNNNNNNNNNNNNNNNNNNNNNNNNNNNNNNNNNNNNNNNNNNNNNNNNNNNNNNNNNNNNNNNNNNNNNNNNNNNNNNNNNNNNNNNNNNNNNNNNNNNNNNNNNNNNNNNNNNNNNNNNNNNNNNNNNNNNNNNNNNNNNNNNNNNNNNNNNNNNNNNNNNNNNNNNNNNNNNNNNNNNNNNNNNNNNNNNNNNNNNNNNNNNNNNNNNNNNNNNNNNNNNNNNNNNNNNNNNNNNNNNNNNNNNNNNNNNNNNNNNNNNNNNNNNNNNNNNNNNNNNNNNNNNNNNNNNNNNNNNNNNNNNNNNNNNNNNNNNNNNNNNNNNNNNNNNNNNNNNNNNNNNNNNNNNNNNNNNNNNNNNNNNNNNNNNNNNNNNNNNNNNNNNNNNNNNNNNNNNNNNNNNNNNNNNNNNNNNNNNNNNNNNNNNNNNNNNNNNNNNNNNNNNNNNNNNNNNNNNNNNNNNNNNNNNNNNNNNNNNNNNNNNNNNNNNNNNNNNNNNNNNNNNNNNNNNNNNNNNNNNNNNNNNNNNNNNNNNNNNNNNNNNNNNNNNNNNNNNNNNNNNNNNNNNNNNNNNNNNNNNNNNNNNNNNNNNNNNNNNNNNNNNNNNNNNNNNNNNNNNNNNNNNNNNNNNNNNNNNNNNNNNNNNNNNNNNNNNNNNNNNNNNNNNNNNNNNNNNNNNNNNNNNNNNNNNNNNNNNNNNNNNNNNNNNNNNNNNNNNNNNNNNNNNNNNNNNNNNNNNNNNNNNNNNNNNNNNNNNNNNNNNNNNNNNNNNNNNNNNNNNNNNNNNNNNNNNNNNNNNNNNNNNNNNNNNNNNNNNNNNNNNNNNNNNNNNNNNNNNNNNNNNNNNNNNNNNNNNNNNNNNNNNNNNNNNNNNNNNNNNNNNNNNNNNNNNNNNNNNNNNNNNNNNNNNNNNNNNNNNNNNNNNNNNNNNNNNNNNNNNNNNNNNNNNNNNNNNNNNNNNNNNNNNNNNNNNNNNNNNNNNNNNNNNNNNNNNNNNNNNNNNNNNNNNNNNNNNNNNNNNNNNNNNNNNNNNNNNNNNNNNNNNNNNNNNNNNNNNNNNNNNNNNNNNNNNNNNNNNNNNNNNNNNNNNNNNNNNNNNNNNNNNNNNNNNNNNNNNNNNNNNNNNNNNNNNNNNNNNNNNNNNNNNNNNNNNNNNNNNNNNNNNNNNNNNNNNNNNNNNNNNNNNNNNNNNNNNNNNNNNNNNNNNNNNNNNNNNNNNNNNNNNNNNNNNNNNNNNNNNNNNNNNNNNNNNNNNNNNNNNNNNNNNNNNNNNNNNNNNNNNNNNNNNNNNNNNNNNNNNNNNNNNNNNNNNNNNNNNNNNNNNNNNNNNNNNNNNNNNNNNNNNNNNNNNNNNNNNNNNNNNNNNNNNNNNNNNNNNNNNNNNNNNNNNNNNNNNNNNNNNNNNNNNNNNNNNNNNNNNNNNNNNNNNNNNNNNNNNNNNNNNNNNNNNNNNNNNNNNNNNNNNNNNNNNNNNNNNNNNNNNNNNNNNNNNNNNNNNNNNNNNNNNNNNNNNNNNNNNNNNNNNNNNNNNNNNNNNNNNNNNNNNNNNNNNNNNNNNNNNNNNNNNNNNNNNNNNNNNNNNNNNNNNNNNNNNNNNNNNNNNNNNNNNNNNNNNNNNNNNNNNNNNNNNNNNNNNNNNNNNNNNNNNNNNNNNNNNNNNNNNNNNNNNNNNNNNNNNNNNNNNNNNNNNNNNNNNNNNNNNNNNNNNNNNNNNNNNNNNNNNNNNNNNNNNNNNNNNNNNNNNNNNNNNNNNNNNNNNNNNNNNNNNNNNNNNNNNNNNNNNNNNNNNNNNNNNNNNNNNNNNNNNNNNNNNNNNNNNNNNNNNNNNNNNNNNNNNNNNNNNNNNNNNNNNNNNNNNNNNNNNNNNNNNNNNNNNNNNNNNNNNNNNNNNNNNNNNNNNNNNNNNNNNNNNNNNNNNNNNNNNNNNNNNNNNNNNNNNNNNNNNNNNNNNNNNNNNNNNNNNNNNNNNNNNNNNNNNNNNNNNNNNNNNNNNNNNNNNNNNNNNNNNNNNNNNNNNNNNNNNNNNNNNNNNNNNNNNNNNNNNNNNNNNNNNNNNNNNNNNNNNNNNNNNNNNNNNNNNNNNNNNNNNNNNNNNNNNNNNNNNNNNNNNNNNNNNNNNNNNNNNNNNNNNNNNNNNNNNNNNNNNNNNNNNNNNNNNNNNNNNNNNNNNNNNNNNNNNNNNNNNNNNNNNNNNNNNNNNNNNNNNNNNNNNNNNNNNNNNNNNNNNNNNNNNNNNNNNNNNNNNNNNNNNNNNNNNNNNNNNNNNNNNNNNNNNNNNNNNNNNNNNNNNNNNNNNNNNNNNNNNNNNNNNNNNNNNNNNNNNNNNNNNNNNNNNNNNNNNNNNNNNNNNNNNNNNNNNNNNNNNNNNNNNNNNNNNNNNNNNNNNNNNNNNNNNNNNNNNNNNNNNNNNNNNNNNNNNNNNNNNNNNNNNNNNNNNNNNNNNNNNNNNNNNNNNNNNNNNNNNNNNNNNNNNNNNNNNNNNNNNNNNNNNNNNNNNNNNNNNNNNNNNNNNNNNNNNNNNNNNNNNNNNNNNNNNNNNNNNNNNNNNNNNNNNNNNNNNNNNNNNNNNNNNNNNNNNNNNNNNNNNNNNNNNNNNNNNNNNNNNNNNNNNNNNNNNNNNNNNNNNNNNNNNNNNNNNNNNNNNNNNNNNNNNNNNNNNNNNNNNNNNNNNNNNNNNNNNNNNNNNNNNNNNNNNNNNNNNNNNNNNNNNNNNNNNNNNNNNNNNNNNNNNNNNNNNNNNNNNNNNNNNNNNNNNNNNNNNNNNNNNNNNNNNNNNNNNNNNNNNNNNNNNNNNNNNNNNNNNNNNNNNNNNNNNNNNNNNNNNNNNNNNNNNNNNNNNNNNNNNNNNNNNNNNNNNNNNNNNNNNNNNNNNNNNNNNNNNNNNNNNNNNNNNNNNNNNNNNNNNNNNNNNNNNNNNNNNNNNNNNNNNNNNNNNNNNNNNNNNNNNNNNNNNNNNNNNNNNNNNNNNNNNNNNNNNNNNNNNNNNNNNNNNNNNNNNNNNNNNNNNNNNNNNNNNNNNNNNNNNNNNNNNNNNNNNNNNNNNNNNNNNNNNNNNNNNNNNNNNNNNNNNNNNNNNNNNNNNNNNNNNNNNNNNNNNNNNNNNNNNNNNNNNNNNNNNNNNNNNNNNNNNNNNNNNNNNNNNNNNNNNNNNNNNNNNNNNNNNNNNNNNNNNNNNNNNNNNNNNNNNNNNNNNNNNNNNNNNNNNNNNNNNNNNNNNNNNNNNNNNNNNNNNNNNNNNNNNNNNNNNNNNNNNNNNNNNNNNNNNNNNNNNNNNNNNNNNNNNNNNNNNNNNNNNNNNNNNNNNNNNNNNNNNNNNNNNNNNNNNNNNNNNNNNNNNNNNNNNNNNNNNNNNNNNNNNNNNNNNNNNNNNNNNNNNNNNNNNNNNNNNNNNNNNNNNNNNNNNNNNNNNNNNNNNNNNNNNNNNNNNNNNNNNNNNNNNNNNNNNNNNNNNNNNNNNNNNNNNNNNNNNNNNNNNNNNNNNNNNNNNNNNNNNNNNNNNNNNNNNNNNNNNNNNNNNNNNNNNNNNNNNNNNNNNNNNNNNNNNNNNNNNNNNNNNNNNNNNNNNNNNNNNNNNNNNNNNNNNNNNNNNNNNNNNNNNNNNNNNNNNNNNNNNNNNNNNNNNNNNNNNNNNNNNNNNNNNNNNNNNNNNNNNNNNNNNNNNNNNNNNNNNNNNNNNNNNNNNNNNNNNNNNNNNNNNNNNNNNNNNNNNNNNNNNNNNNNNNNNNNNNNNNNNNNNNNNNNNNNNNNNNNNNNNNNNNNNNNNNNNNNNNNNNNNNNNNNNNNNNNNNNNNNNNNNNNNNNNNNNNNNNNNNNNNNNNNNNNNNNNNNNNNNNNNNNNNNNNNNNNNNNNNNNNNNNNNNNNNNNNNNNNNNNNNNNNNNNNNNNNNNNNNNNNNNNNNNNNNNNNNNNNNNNNNNNNNNNNNNNNNNNNNNNNNNNNNNNNNNNNNNNNNNNNNNNNNNNNNNNNNNNNNNNNNNNNNNNNNNNNNNNNNNNNNNNNNNNNNNNNNNNNNNNNNNNNNNNNNNNNNNNNNNNNNNNNNNNNNNNNNNNNNNNNNNNNNNNNNNNNNNNNNNNNNNNNNNNNNNNNNNNNNNNNNNNNNNNNNNNNNNNNNNNNNNNNNNNNNNNNNNNNNNNNNNNNNNNNNNNNNNNNNNNNNNNNNNNNNNNNNNNNNNNNNNNNNNNNNNNNNNNNNNNNNNNNNNNNNNNNNNNNNNNNNNNNNNNNNNNNNNNNNNNNNNNNNNNNNNNNNNNNNNNNNNNNNNNNNNNNNNNNNNNNNNNNNNNNNNNNNNNNNNNNNNNNNNNNNNNNNNNNNNNNNNNNNNNNNNNNNNNNNNNNNNNNNNNNNNNNNNNNNNNNNNNNNNNNNNNNNNNNNNNNNNNNNNNNNNNNNNNNNNNNNNNNNNNNNNNNNNNNNNNNNNNNNNNNNNNNNNNNNNNNNNNNNNNNNNNNNNNNNNNNNNNNNNNNNNNNNNNNNNNNNNNNNNNNNNNNNNNNNNNNNNNNNNNNNNNNNNNNNNNNNNNNNNNNNNNNNNNNNNNNNNNNNNNNNNNNNNNNNNNNNNNNNNNNNNNNNNNNNNNNNNNNNNNNNNNNNNNNNNNNNNNNNNNNNNNNNNNNNNNNNNNNNNNNNNNNNNNNNNNNNNNNNNNNNNNNNNNNNNNNNNNNNNNNNNNNNNNNNNNNNNNNNNNNNNNNNNNNNNNNNNNNNNNNNNNNNNNNNNNNNNNNNNNNNNNNNNNNNNNNNNNNNNNNNNNNNNNNNNNNNNNNNNNNNNNNNNNNNNNNNNNNNNNNNNNNNNNNNNNNNNNNNNNNNNNNNNNNNNNNNNNNNNNNNNNNNNNNNNNNNNNNNNNNNNNNNNNNNNNNNNNNNNNNNNNNNNNNNNNNNNNNNNNNNNNNNNNNNNNNNNNNNNNNNNNNNNNNNNNNNNNNNNNNNNNNNNNNNNNNNNNNNNNNNNNNNNNNNNNNNNNNNNNNNNNNNNNNNNNNNNNNNNNNNNNNNNNNNNNNNNNNNNNNNNNNNNNNNNNNNNNNNNNNNNNNNNNNNNNNNNNNNNNNNNNNNNNNNNNNNNNNNNNNNNNNNNNNNNNNNNNNNNNNNNNNNNNNNNNNNNNNNNNNNNNNNNNNNNNNNNNNNNNNNNNNNNNNNNNNNNNNNNNNNNNNNNNNNNNNNNNNNNNNNNNNNNNNNNNNNNNNNNNNNNNNNNNNNNNNNNNNNNNNNNNNNNNNNNNNNNNNNNNNNNNNNNNNNNNNNNNNNNNNNNNNNNNNNNNNNNNNNNNNNNNNNNNNNNNNNNNNNNNNNNNNNNNNNNNNNNNNNNNNNNNNNNNNNNNNNNNNNNNNNNNNNNNNNNNNNNNNNNNNNNNNNNNNNNNNNNNNNNNNNNNNNNNNNNNNNNNNNNNNNNNNNNNNNNNNNNNNNNNNNNNNNNNNNNNNNNNNNNNNNNNNNNNNNNNNNNNNNNNNNNNNNNNNNNNNNNNNNNNNNNNNNNNNNNNNNNNNNNNNNNNNNNNNNNNNNNNNNNNNNNNNNNNNNNNNNNNNNNNNNNNNNNNNNNNNNNNNNNNNNNNNNNNNNNNNNNNNNNNNNNNNNNNNNNNNNNNNNNNNNNNNNNNNNNNNNNNNNNNNNNNNNNNNNNNNNNNNNNNNNNNNNNNNNNNNNNNNNNNNNNNNNNNNNNNNNNNNNNNNNNNNNNNNNNNNNNNNNNNNNNNNNNNNNNNNNNNNNNNNNNNNNNNNNNNNNNNNNNNNNNNNNNNNNNNNNNNNNNNNNNNNNNNNNNNNNNNNNNNNNNNNNNNNNNNNNNNNNNNNNNNNNNNNNNNNNNNNNNNNNNNNNNNNNNNNNNNNNNNNNNNNNNNNNNNNNNNNNNNNNNNNNNNNNNNNNNNNNNNNNNNNNNNNNNNNNNNNNNNNNNNNNNNNNNNNNNNNNNNNNNNNNNNNNNNNNNNNNNNNNNNNNNNNNNNNNNNNNNNNNNNNNNNNNNNNNNNNNNNNNNNNNNNNNNNNNNNNNNNNNNNNNNNNNNNNNNNNNNNNNNNNNNNNNNNNNNNNNNNNNNNNNNNNNNNNNNNNNNNNNNNNNNNNNNNNNNNNNNNNNNNNNNNNNNNNNNNNNNNNNNNNNNNNNNNNNNNNNNNNNNNNNNNNNNNNNNNNNNNNNNNNNNNNNNNNNNNNNNNNNNNNNNNNNNNNNNNNNNNNNNNNNNNNNNNNNNNNNNNNNNNNNNNNNNNNNNNNNNNNNNNNNNNNNNNNNNNNNNNNNNNNNNNNNNNNNNNNNNNNNNNNNNNNNNNNNNNNNNNNNNNNNNNNNNNNNNNNNNNNNNNNNNNNNNNNNNNNNNNNNNNNNNNNNNNNNNNNNNNNNNNNNNNNNNNNNNNNNNNNNNNNNNNNNNNNNNNNNNNNNNNNNNNNNNNNNNNNNNNNNNNNNNNNNNNNNNNNNNNNNNNNNNNNNNNNNNNNNNNNNNNNNNNNNNNNNNNNNNNNNNNNNNNNNNNNNNNNNNNNNNNNNNNNNNNNNNNNNNNNNNNNNNNNNNNNNNNNNNNNNNNNNNNNNNNNNNNNNNNNNNNNNNNNNNNNNNNNNNNNNNNNNNNNNNNNNNNNNNNNNNNNNNNNNNNNNNNNNNNNNNNNNNNNNNNNNNNNNNNNNNNNNNNNNNNNNNNNNNNNNNNNNNNNNNNNNNNNNNNNNNNNNNNNNNNNNNNNNNNNNNNNNNNNNNNNNNNNNNNNNNNNNNNNNNNNNNNNNNNNNNNNNNNNNNNNNNNNNNNNNNNNNNNNNNNNNNNNNNNNNNNNNNNNNNNNNNNNNNNNNNNNNNNNNNNNNNNNNNNNNNNNNNNNNNNNNNNNNNNNNNNNNNNNNNNNNNNNNNNNNNNNNNNNNNNNNNNNNNNNNNNNNNNNNNNNNNNNNNNNNNNNNNNNNNNNNNNNNNNNNNNNNNNNNNNNNNNNNNNNNNNNNNNNNNNNNNNNNNNNNNNNNNNNNNNNNNNNNNNNNNNNNNNNNNNNNNNNNNNNNNNNNNNNNNNNNNNNNNNNNNNNNNNNNNNNNNNNNNNNNNNNNNNNNNNNNNNNNNNNNNNNNNNNNNNNNNNNNNNNNNNNNNNNNNNNNNNNNNNNNNNNNNNNNNNNNNNNNNNNNNNNNNNNNNNNNNNNNNNNNNNNNNNNNNNNNNNNNNNNNNNNNNNNNNNNNNNNNNNNNNNNNNNNNNNNNNNNNNNNNNNNNNNNNNNNNNNNNNNNNNNNNNNNNNNNNNNNNNNNNNNNNNNNNNNNNNNNNNNNNNNNNNNNNNNNNNNNNNNNNNNNNNNNNNNNNNNNNNNNNNNNNNNNNNNNNNNNNNNNNNNNNNNNNNNNNNNNNNNNNNNNNNNNNNNNNNNNNNNNNNNNNNNNNNNNNNNNNNNNNNNNNNNNNNNNNNNNNNNNNNNNNNNNNNNNNNNNNNNNNNNNNNNNNNNNNNNNNNNNNNNNNNNNNNNNNNNNNNNNNNNNNNNNNNNNNNNNNNNNNNNNNNNNNNNNNNNNNNNNNNNNNNNNNNNNNNNNNNNNNNNNNNNNNNNNNNNNNNNNNNNNNNNNNNNNNNNNNNNNNNNNNNNNNNNNNNNNNNNNNNNNNNNNNNNNNNNNNNNNNNNNNNNNNNNNNNNNNNNNNNNNNNNNNNNNNNNNNNNNNNNNNNNNNNNNNNNNNNNNNNNNNNNNNNNNNNNNNNNNNNNNNNNNNNNNNNNNNNNNNNNNNNNNNNNNNNNNNNNNNNNNNNNNNNNNNNNNNNNNNNNNNNNNNNNNNNNNNNNNNNNNNNNNNNNNNNNNNNNNNNNNNNNNNNNNNNNNNNNNNNNNNNNNNNNNNNNNNNNNNNNNNNNNNNNNNNNNNNNNNNNNNNNNNNNNNNNNNNNNNNNNNNNNNNNNNNNNNNNNNNNNNNNNNNNNNNNNNNNNNNNNNNNNNNNNNNNNNNNNNNNNNNNNNNNNNNNNNNNNNNNNNNNNNNNNNNNNNNNNNNNNNNNNNNNNNNNNNNNNNNNNNNNNNNNNNNNNNNNNNNNNNNNNNNNNNNNNNNNNNNNNNNNNNNNNNNNNNNNNNNNNNNNNNNNNNNNNNNNNNNNNNNNNNNNNNNNNNNNNNNNNNNNNNNNNNNNNNNNNNNNNNNNNNNNNNNNNNNNNNNNNNNNNNNNNNNNNNNNNNNNNNNNNNNNNNNNNNNNNNNNNNNNNNNNNNNNNNNNNNNNNNNNNNNNNNNNNNNNNNNNNNNNNNNNNNNNNNNNNNNNNNNNNNNNNNNNNNNNNNNNNNNNNNNNNNNNNNNNNNNNNNNNNNNNNNNNNNNNNNNNNNNNNNNNNNNNNNNNNNNNNNNNNNNNNNNNNNNNNNNNNNNNNNNNNNNNNNNNNNNNNNNNNNNNNNNNNNNNNNNNNNNNNNNNNNNNNNNNNNNNNNNNNNNNNNNNNNNNNNNNNNNNNNNNNNNNNNNNNNNNNNNNNNNNNNNNNNNNNNNNNNNNNNNNNNNNNNNNNNNNNNNNNNNNNNNNNNNNNNNNNNNNNNNNNNNNNNNNNNNNNNNNNNNNNNNNNNNNNNNNNNNNNNNNNNNNNNNNNNNNNNNNNNNNNNNNNNNNNNNNNNNNNNNNNNNNNNNNNNNNNNNNNNNNNNNNNNNNNNNNNNNNNNNNNNNNNNNNNNNNNNNNNNNNNNNNNNNNNNNNNNNNNNNNNNNNNNNNNNNNNNNNNNNNNNNNNNNNNNNNNNNNNNNNNNNNNNNNNNNNNNNNNNNNNNNNNNNNNNNNNNNNNNNNNNNNNNNNNNNNNNNNNNNNNNNNNNNNNNNNNNNNNNNNNNNNNNNNNNNNNNNNNNNNNNNNNNNNNNNNNNNNNNNNNNNNNNNNNNNNNNNNNNNNNNNNNNNNNNNNNNNNNNNNNNNNNNNNNNNNNNNNNNNNNNNNNNNNNNNNNNNNNNNNNNNNNNNNNNNNNNNNNNNNNNNNNNNNNNNNNNNNNNNNNNNNNNNNNNNNNNNNNNNNNNNNNNNNNNNNNNNNNNNNNNNNNNNNNNNNNNNNNNNNNNNNNNNNNNNNNNNNNNNNNNNNNNNNNNNNNNNNNNNNNNNNNNNNNNNNNNNNNNNNNNNNNNNNNNNNNNNNNNNNNNNNNNNNNNNNNNNNNNNNNNNNNNNNNNNNNNNNNNNNNNNNNNNNNNNNNNNNNNNNNNNNNNNNNNNNNNNNNNNNNNNNNNNNNNNNNNNNNNNNNNNNNNNNNNNNNNNNNNNNNNNNNNNNNNNNNNNNNNNNNNNNNNNNNNNNNNNNNNNNNNNNNNNNNNNNNNNNNNNNNNNNNNNNNNNNNNNNNNNNNNNNNNNNNNNNNNNNNNNNNNNNNNNNNNNNNNNNNNNNNNNNNNNNNNNNNNNNNNNNNNNNNNNNNNNNNNNNNNNNNNNNNNNNNNNNNNNNNNNNNNNNNNNNNNNNNNNNNNNNNNNNNNNNNNNNNNNNNNNNNNNNNNNNNNNNNNNNNNNNNNNNNNNNNNNNNNNNNNNNNNNNNNNNNNNNNNNNNNNNNNNNNNNNNNNNNNNNNNNNNNNNNNNNNNNNNNNNNNNNNNNNNNNNNNNNNNNNNNNNNNNNNNNNNNNNNNNNNNNNNNNNNNNNNNNNNNNNNNNNNNNNNNNNNNNNNNNNNNNNNNNNNNNNNNNNNNNNNNNNNNNNNNNNNNNNNNNNNNNNNNNNNNNNNNNNNNNNNNNNNNNNNNNNNNNNNNNNNNNNNNNNNNNNNNNNNNNNNNNNNNNNNNNNNNNNNNNNNNNNNNNNNNNNNNNNNNNNNNNNNNNNNNNNNNNNNNNNNNNNNNNNNNNNNNNNNNNNNNNNNNNNNNNNNNNNNNNNNNNNNNNNNNNNNNNNNNNNNNNNNNNNNNNNNNNNNNNNNNNNNNNNNNNNNNNNNNNNNNNNNNNNNNNNNNNNNNNNNNNNNNNNNNNNNNNNNNNNNNNNNNNNNNNNNNNNNNNNNNNNNNNNNNNNNNNNNNNNNNNNNNNNNNNNNNNNNNNNNNNNNNNNNNNNNNNNNNNNNNNNNNNNNNNNNNNNNNNNNNNNNNNNNNNNNNNNNNNNNNNNNNNNNNNNNNNNNNNNNNNNNNNNNNNNNNNNNNNNNNNNNNNNNNNNNNNNNNNNNNNNNNNNNNNNNNNNNNNNNNNNNNNNNNNNNNNNNNNNNNNNNNNNNNNNNNNNNNNNNNNNNNNNNNNNNNNNNNNNNNNNNNNNNNNNNNNNNNNNNNNNNNNNNNNNNNNNNNNNNNNNNNNNNNNNNNNNNNNNNNNNNNNNNNNNNNNNNNNNNNNNNNNNNNNNNNNNNNNNNNNNNNNNNNNNNNNNNNNNNNNNNNNNNNNNNNNNNNNNNNNNNNNNNNNNNNNNNNNNNNNNNNNNNNNNNNNNNNNNNNNNNNNNNNNNNNNNNNNNNNNNNNNNNNNNNNNNNNNNNNNNNNNNNNNNNNNNNNNNNNNNNNNNNNNNNNNNNNNNNNNNNNNNNNNNNNNNNNNNNNNNNNNNNNNNNNNNNNNNNNNNNNNNNNNNNNNNNNNNNNNNNNNNNNNNNNNNNNNNNNNNNNNNNNNNNNNNNNNNNNNNNNNNNNNNNNNNNNNNNNNNNNNNNNNNNNNNNNNNNNNNNNNNNNNNNNNNNNNNNNNNNNNNNNNNNNNNNNNNNNNNNNNNNNNNNNNNNNNNNNNNNNNNNNNNNNNNNNNNNNNNNNNNNNNNNNNNNNNNNNNNNNNNNNNNNNNNNNNNNNNNNNNNNNNNNNNNNNNNNNNNNNNNNNNNNNNNNNNNNNNNNNNNNNNNNNNNNNNNNNNNNNNNNNNNNNNNNNNNNNNNNNNNNNNNNNNNNNNNNNNNNNNNNNNNNNNNNNNNNNNNNNNNNNNNNNNNNNNNNNNNNNNNNNNNNNNNNNNNNNNNNNNNNNNNNNNNNNNNNNNNNNNNNNNNNNNNNNNNNNNNNNNNNNNNNNNNNNNNNNNNNNNNNNNNNNNNNNNNNNNNNNNNNNNNNNNNNNNNNNNNNNNNNNNNNNNNNNNNNNNNNNNNNNNNNNNNNNNNNNNNNNNNNNNNNNNNNNNNNNNNNNNNNNNNNNNNNNNNNNNNNNNNNNNNNNNNNNNNNNNNNNNNNNNNNNNNNNNNNNNNNNNNNNNNNNNNNNNNNNNNNNNNNNNNNNNNNNNNNNNNNNNNNNNNNNNNNNNNNNNNNNNNNNNNNNNNNNNNNNNNNNNNNNNNNNNNNNNNNNNNNNNNNNNNNNNNNNNNNNNNNNNNNNNNNNNNNNNNNNNNNNNNNNNNNNNNNNNNNNNNNNNNNNNNNNNNNNNNNNNNNNNNNNNNNNNNNNNNNNNNNNNNNNNNNNNNNNNNNNNNNNNNNNNNNNNNNNNNNNNNNNNNNNNNNNNNNNNNNNNNNNNNNNNNNNNNNNNNNNNNNNNNNNNNNNNNNNNNNNNNNNNNNNNNNNNNNNNNNNNNNNNNNNNNNNNNNNNNNNNNNNNNNNNNNNNNNNNNNNNNNNNNNNNNNNNNNNNNNNNNNNNNNNNNNNNNNNNNNNNNNNNNNNNNNNNNNNNNNNNNNNNNNNNNNNNNNNNNNNNNNNNNNNNNNNNNNNNNNNNNNNNNNNNNNNNNNNNNNNNNNNNNNNNNNNNNNNNNNNNNNNNNNNNNNNNNNNNNNNNUAUACAUGACAUUAUAGAUUUUAUUGAUAAGAGAUAUAUACCAUGAGACAAUGUUCAACUUAUCAUAAUUAAAUUUAAAUAUUGAUAUUUAAUUUCUUAUUAGUUCCAUGAAUCAUUAACUUAGUUUGAAUAUACAAUGGUUUCAUUCAGAAUAACUUUCUUUUUUUCACUUUAGUGGGAAGCUGAAGUUAUAAUUUCUCAAUGAUAAUUUUGGGCAAUAUAAAAAUUUUAUUAAUCAUGAAAGAACUUAUAUUAGUCAAAAUAAAGCUUUUAUAAAAAGUAAAAAAAAAAACUUAGCUUCCAUAUCUUCAUUUUAAACCAUAAGCUCUCUUAAGAAAAUUUAUUACAUAGAAGUCCUUGAGUUUAUGAAAGAGUUUUUGACUUCUCAAAAAUCAAUCCAAAUAGGAUUGAUAAAUUGUAGAUGGUUAUAAUAUAAUAUUACAGAAUAUAAAUGUUAUUUUCACUUCUAUAUUUUCCAUGGAAUUAUUUAUUUAUUUGAAUAAAGAUUUUUCCUUCGUUAUUUUUUUGUGCCUUUAAAAAAUAAAAAAAUUAUUUUAAAUCUUAGGCACGAUAAUGCUUAAGUAUUUAAUAAUUUUAAUUAGAUAAUUAAAUUUUAUUUUAUAUAUAAAAUAAUUAAUUAAAUUUUAUAUUAUAUUUUAUAUAUAUAAAUUUAAUUAAUAAUUUAAUAAUUAUAUUUAUUUAUGUUUAAAUCAAAUUAACAAUAAGUUCAAUGCAACUAGAAAAAGGUAGCAUAUAUUUAUUAUUUUAAAGUGGAUUUUGAUUUUAAAUUAUUGCAAGCGUAUUUACUUAACUAACCAAUUAGUUGAAGUUCACUUAGCUAAUCCUUUAAUUUAAUCCUGACGUUGACAAGAACCAUGCCGGCAAUAAUUAUAAAAAGAGAAAUGCAUCAAGCUAAAGCUAAUUUUAUUAAUUCGAGUUUAAUAAAUUUUAGGUGGGUGCCCUUACCUAAUCUUUAAAAUUAAUCUUCAAGUUGAUCAUAAGAACUAAGCCGACCAUAAUUAUAAAAACAAAAAAACGACAAACUAAUUCCAUCAAUUUUAUUCUCUCAAAUUUAAUAAAUUGUAAGUAAGUUCUCUUAUCUAAUGUUUUAAAUUAAUCUUGAUAUAGAUAAGAACCUUGCCAACCAUAAUUAUAAAGAGAGAGAAAUGACAAACUAAUUUAAUUGGCUAAUUUUAAAUAACUCAAGCUUAAUGAAUUGUAAGUAGGUUAAUGUCUUGCCUAACCUUUUAAAUUUAAUUUUGAGAUCAAUAAGAAUCAUAUAGGCCAUAAUUAUAAAAAGAGGAAAAACAUAAGCUAAAGGAAUACAAUCAAAACCAAUUGUAUAUGCAGAUAGUGAUUACCUUUUAAAUCUUCACAAGGUUAGAUCUUGAACAUGAUAUGUAUUUGCAUGUGGUAAUCAUAAUGAUGAUAUUAAACAAACAAUGGUAGUCAUUUUUUCAAAUCAUUAAAAAAUACAUAAUACAAUAUUAUAUAUAUAAUUGCACAUAUUAAAAGAAAAUAUAUUAAGGGUGAUAGAAGUAAGCAUAUAUCAUUCAAGUUCUUUUAUAUUCAUAAACUUCAAAAGAGUAGUAAGAUCAAUAUUCAAAAAGUAAAAUCAAAUUAUAAUUUAGUAAACUUAUUCACAAAAGCAUUGUCAACUUCAACUCUCAAGAAGCUUAUAGAUAAUAUUGGAAUGUGACAACUCAAAGAUCUUCACAUUGGGUUAAUAUGAAUAUAAUCAUGUCAACAUAAGGGGAGCACAUAAAUAAGGAUGUUUGUAACAUCCUAUGCCUCUAGGCUAGGGGCAGCCUUAUCAAUUUCACAUGUCCAUAAAAAUAAUGAAAUCACAAUCACACACAAGACAAUGAAUUUUACGUGGAAAAAUCUCAUGCUAAUAUGGAGAUACAAAACUAUAGGGUCUAAGAUCUCUAAUCUAAUAAUUCACAAUAUUAGAUCAAAGUACAUAGAUUUAUCUGAUAGCUUUACCCUAAAAACUCACUCCUACCUAUAACUUGAUUCAUGUCUCAAUGCUCUAGUGAAUUCACCUCAGCCUUUAGGAAGAUGCAAGUCCUUGUAACAAACCAAAAUUCGAUUAGUGAAUUCUUUGUUGAGAGUUUGUGAAUGAUAGAGCAAGUUGGGGUUGAUUCUAUUAAAGCAUCCAACCCAAAAACAUAUUUAGGUAAAAUAUAUAUAGGCCUAAGAUCCUAGAUGGUUGGAAAUGAAAUUUUCUUAAAAAAUAAAAUAUUAAAUUUCCAAAAUUAAUUAAGAAAAUAAUUUUUGUUUAAAAAAUAAAAUAUCAACUUCUAUAAAUUAAUUAAGAAAUUCUUAAAAAAAAAAAUCUCAAAGUUGUCAAAAAUUAAUUAAAAUAUUUUAGCUCAAUUUUAAAAUUUCAUAUCCAACUCUACCUCAAUAAAAAAAAUAACUUGCCUUUAAUAAAUAUUUUUACACUUACUUGUAACAAUAUGGUUAAAUGAGUAGUAACAUUUAAUCUUCAAUGGAGUAAAAAAAUUCCUAUACUAGAACAAAAAAGAUUUCUUACUGGAACUAAAAUCAAAUUGACAACAUCUGACAAUUAUUAUAGACUUCAAUAUAUUUUUUGAAUUUAUUUUUAAAAUUAUUUUAUAAAUAUAUUCUAUUAAGUAAAAGAGCCCCAAUAAUUGCCACCUAUCUUAGCCAUCUCUUACCUAUAAUUGCAUACAAGGGCUCUGCUUGCGGACACCUAGCUAGCCUACACCCCAUGUUUUUUCUUUUUCUUUUUUUAUUUCCCAUGAAAGAAAUGUAUAGAAUUAUGGUUAUAUUUUAUUCUAUGGCAUGUACCAAAAGAUGGAAAGAGAUCAUCAGGAAAUUGACUUUCCUUUAAUAUUAUAGAAAAUGUGAGAGCAAAAUUUUUUAUUUGGCAUGUCUCAAAUGGUAUCACAUGUGCACGCUCAAAUCUCAUUUGUUUACAUUAAAGUCUCUUUUAUUUCUUGAUCCAAUUUAUGUAUAUUUUUAUUCAAUAAUCUAAAUUUGAUCACUCUAUGGCUUAGUACUUUCCUUCUAUCUUUAGAGGCUACAAUAUUUUCAAUAACUCAACUUCCAUUUUCUUUUCAUUGUCCUGUCUCAAGAUCCAUUUCAAUGAUAUUUUUUCUCUUGAAAAGAAAAUUAGUCUAUCAUUCAUCAAAUAAUUAUAAUUUUUAUAAUAGAUAAAAAUAUUAUUAAGAACACUUAAUUGCAAAAUAUUUUAAUAAGAAGUGAAAAGGUUAUAUCUAAUUUGUUUCUCUAUCUUAAAUUUAAAUAAAUCUUUAUUGAAUUUUAAAUAGAACUUAAUCUCGUUAAGAUUAAAUUGUUUAUUUCUAUUAAUAUUUAAAUAUUCUUAAACAUUAAAUUACUUGUUCUUAUUAAUGUGUUAAUAUUGUUAUGUGUUAAACAAAUAUUAUUCUAUCCUCAAAAUAAUUAUUUGUAUCUUCUUAAUUUUUAUAAAAAGAUAAAUCUAAGGUUAUUAUAAUAUUUUUAUGUUAUACAUCUUUACGAAGAAUUUUCAAAGUCUUUGACCUUUUUUGUAUCCUUGUCAUCUAUUUAUGCUGUCUUUGAUCAUUUUUUGGAGCAUUCAAAUAUAUGUAAAAUCCAGAUUAUUAAAUAAGAAUUUUGACCGUUCAAACAUAUAUAAAAUCUAGAUUAUUAAAUAAUGAUAAAAUAAAAAUACUUAGAACUAAGUGCAAUGUUGGUGGUAGGUUUUAUAAAAUAAAAAAAAAAGGAAAGAAUUUGAAUAUCUUAUGGUACGUUUAAAAGAAAAUAAAAAAUGUGGACAUUAAAGUGGAAUGUAAACACAAUUUUAAGUAAAGUGAGAUGAUGUUAUAGCUCCUUAAUUAAUAUGGACAAAUUUUAUGGUGUAAAAAUUACAACUCUUUUAUUUAUUAAGUGAGAAGAACGACACAAUGGUGGUGUGGCCUCCCACCAAAAACUAAAAAAUGUCAAAUUAAGCACAUGAUCUGCUUGGAAGUGGAGCACUUAACCUAAAUUAUUUGUUUACAUCUUUGUAAGUUUCUCCCAUAUAUUUGUAACUUAUUUCUAUAUAUUAUUGAAGGAAAAGAUUUUGGAUCAUGCAUGUAAUCGUUAGAGAGGGUUUCCAAUCAAGAUUUAAAUUUGGUUGUUGCAUCCUUAAUGUAAGAAGUUUAAAAAACCUCGAACUAAUCUAGGUCAUUGGAUCUUAACAAUAUAUAUAUAUAUAUAAAAGAUUUUUAAAUUGUUUAAAUAAGUAUAAUUAUUUGUAAAUAAGAGUUAAGUGUAUAAAAAAACAAAUGAGCAACUACUAUGAUUACUUUAGUACAAAAUUUUCACGCAAUGACUUGUAACUUUCAAGAUAAUUAAUUGAAGUUGUUGUAACAUCACAUCAAAUCUUAAUAAUUGUGUUUAUAUUUUACUUUAAUUUUCAUUUUCAUUUGGACCCAUCACUAGCAAGGAUGAAAAUUUUCAUAUAUAUCGGCAAAAUAUCUUGGAUAUAUCGUGUAUCGGGGUGUCAAUACAAAUUUUCACUGGCCCAAUUUUUCCAUUUUUAUCGUCGAUAUAUCGAUAAUACACUAAUACUUUUCACCAAUAUAUCAAGUUGCUGCUACUAGGCCUCAGUCAAAAGUGGUAAAAAAUCAAGUUGUUGCUGAGGGGAUUUGAACCUGGCAAUAACCACUAGAGCAAGUUGCUCUUUGAUAAAAGUUAUACACCAAAUUGUAUAUAUAAGAACAUUAAAAAUUAUUUUAUUAAAUAAAUUAAUUUUAAUUAUUUUAUUUUUGCAUUUGAUUUAAUUUAUUACCAAAAAUAUAAAAAUAUAAUUUUUAUAUUUUUUAUGUAAUCUAUAUAUUUAUCAAAUAUAAAAAAUAUAAAUAUUAAAAAAAUUAUACAUAUUUUAUUAUUUAUUUGAUAUAAUUGAAUACAUUUAAAUUAAAAUUGAACCUAAUUUUAAUAUUUUGAAAUUAAACAUAUUAUCAUAUUAUUGUUGUAAAAUAAUAUUGUGCAACUUAAUAAUAAAUGUAUGCUUAUAAAAUAUAUAUAUUUUUUAUCGAUGCAUACAAUAUUAUUAUCAAAUAUGAUAAAUUAUAUAUAUAUAUAUAUAUAUAUAUAUAUAUAUAUAUAUAUAUAUAUAUAUAUAUAAAUUUUGAACAAAAUAAAUUUAAAAUGUCUAUUAUACUUUUAAAUUCAUUUUUAUGAAGUUUUUCUUAUAUUUUUAGGAGUUUUGAUAAUUUUAAGUCUAUUGAUAUUUUUUUCUAAAAUGUCUGUCGAUAUAUCUUUGAUAUAUUCAUAAAAUCAAUAUAUUAAUAUAUCCGUAAUUACCGAUAUUUUCAUAAUUCAUCAACAGCACGUUGGAAUUGACUCAAACAUUAGGAUCCAAAAGUCACCAUUGAGACAUUGCAUUGAUACAACCUAGAGAAGCUUCCAAAUGGACUGCACAUGCUAACAUGUCUUGGAGGGUUGAAAAUCAAUGGUUGUCCAAAGUUGGUGUCAUUUCCAGAGUUGGGGUUCUUGCCCAUGCUUAGACAUCUUGUUAUUGUUAGUUGUAAAGGUCUACGAUGUCUACCCAAUUAGAUGAUGGGGAUGAAGGAUGGUAGUAUUAACAGUAGCAACAUGCGUCUCUUUGAAUACUUGGAGAUAGAUACGUGCCCAUCUCUCAUUGCUUUUCCAGACGUUGAGUUACCCACCACGCUUAAGGAACUCAAGAUAUGGAGGUGUGAAAAACUGGAGUCUCUACCGAGGGGAUGAUGCACCAUGAUUCAAACACCACCACCACCACCAGUUGUGGUCUUCAUGUCUUGGUCAUUAGGGUAUGCCCAUCUCUCACAUUCUUCCCCACAGACAAGUUUCCCUCCACCCUCAAGAAACUUUAUAUUAUGAAUUGUGCACAACUGGAGUCAAUUUUAGAGAAAAUGUUAUUACAAGGGAAAAUGGAGAGAAAAAUUGACAGAUUCUCUUUUCAUUGGUUGAAAAAAUGAGCUGUAUAGAGAGCACUAAAACAGAGUAGCAAAAAUGCCUUUUAUAAUAAAAGUCAUGCAUAAGGAGUUGUAGAGCUCUGUAGAGAAAAAACAACCUAACCAACUAUUGGUUAUAACAGAAAAAAUAAAAUAAAAAUAAAAAACUAAAACUAAUAUGCUAAAAUUCCCCCUCAAGAUGGAGAAUAUAGAUCAUGAAUUCCCAUCUUGCCUAAGAGACCAUGAAAUUGACUAGGAUGGAGAGCCUUAGUAAGAAUGUUAGCAAGUUGGUUUUAAGAGGUAACAUGUAGAGUCUUGAGAAUCCCAGCUUGAAUCUUCUCUUGAAUGAUAUGACAAUCAAUCUCAAUAUGUUUGGUGCGCUCAUGGUAGACUGGGUUUGCUACAAUGUGGAGAGCAACUUGGUUGUCAUAGUAAAGAACAGUUGGCCCAUGAUGGGCUAUCUUCAAUUCGUGAAGAAGAGACAAGAGCCACAGAAUCUCACAAGUAGUGUUGGCCAUGGAUCGGUACUUAGCUUUAAUAGAUGAGCGAGAGACAAUCGGUUGUUUCUUGGAUUUCCAAGAGAUAAGGAAGGUCCCAAGAAACAGACAAAAACCAGAAAUAGAACGACGAGUGUCAGGACAAGAGGCCCAAUCAGAAUCUGUGAAGGCUUUGAGUUGCACUUUGGAAUUUGAUGAAAAGAAAAGUCCUUUGCCUGGGGUUCGCUUGAUGUACUGUAAAAAAUGAGAAAAACAGCCUGAAAAUGUGGCUUGCGAGGGGUUACUAAGAAUUGGCUGAGACGAUUCACAGAAUAGCUCAGGUCAAGACGAGUAAUAGUAAGAUAUAACAGCUUACCAAUGAGUUGCCUAUAGCUGGUAGGAUCUUCAAUCAAGUCACCAUCAUCUUGAGAUAGUUUCAAAUUAGGAUCCAUGGGAAUGGUGGUAGGUUUACAACCUAAAUGUCCAGUGUCUGAGAGCAAUUCCAACGCAUACUUGCGUUGACAAAUAGAGAUACCAACAGUAGAUUGAGCCACUUCCAAGCCUAGAAAAUAUCUUAGUGGCCCCAAGUUCUUCAUCUUAAACUUGCAGUUGAGGGCAUGCUUUAAAGUAUCCACAACAAUUUGAUCAUUACUAGCAAUAAUGAUGUCAUCAACGUUGAUAAAAAGUGUUAAGAAAGAAGUAUCUUGAUGUUUUGUGAACAAGGUGUGAUCACUGGUUGAAUGAACAAAACCUUCUAGUAACAGAGCAUUAGAGAACUUAUGGAACCAUUGACGGGAGGCCUGCUUCAAACCAUAGAUAGACUUAUGCAGCUUGCACACAACAUUAGGAGGCAAAUGUUCCCCCUUAUGGCAAGUGUAUCCAGGGGGAAGACUCAUGUAAACUUCCUCUAUAAGGUCACCAUGAAGGAAUGCAUUAGUGACAUCAAGUUGAGUGAGAGACCAGCCAUGAAUUGCAGCUAAAGAAAGCAACAUUUUAAUAGUAACUAGCUUGGCAAUAGGAGAAAAGGUAUCAAGAUAAUCAAUACCUUCUUGUUGUGUAAAUCCCUUAGCCACAAGGCAUGCUUUGUAUCUAUCCAUAAUGCCAUCAACUCGAAACUUGACUUUGUACACCUAUUUACAACCAACCGCUUGUUUGCCAAUGGGAAGAGAGCAAAUGGACCAAGUGUCAUUGCUUUCCAAUGCCUGCAAUUCAAUAUUCAUAGCAUCAUGCCACACUUGAGACUCAAUGGCUUGAGAGAAUGAUGUUGGUUCGGUUUGAGAACUAAUGGCGAGAACAAAUUCACGGUAUGGCCUGGAAAGCUUGUGGUAACUCAAGCAAGAGGAAAUAGGAUAUAGAGAAGGCUUAGAAGAAACAUGUUCAGUGAGGUAAUAGUGAUAAUCAGACAAGUAAGCUGGUUUUGUGGUGACACGACGUGGACAUAAGGUUGUUUGAAUUGGGGCUGGUGAGAAAAUGCACUCUGGACUAUAGGAAGAAGACAUGUUGGGCUAACUGUAAGAAGGCUCGGAGAUGGAUUGAAUUGGCUUAGGAAGGACAUGAUCAUUAAACAAAUCAAUAACAUCGUUGCUCAUAGCAGAAUGAGCAAACGGAAAGAGUGAUUCAUGAAAAAUGACAUUCCGAUAAAUGUAGAUCUUAUUGCUUUCUAAGUCAAGUAAUUUGUAACCCUUAUAACCAAAAGGAUAGCCAAGAAAAAUAGAAGCUCAAGCAUGAGGGGCAAACUUUGUAUGUUGGUUAGAAAGCGUGGAAGCAUAACAUAGACACCCAAAAAUGCGAAGAUGGUUGUAAGUGGGUUUGUUGUUAUUCAACAGCUCAAAUGGGGUUUUAUUGGAUAGUAAUGGAGAGGGUGUAUGAUUGAUUAAAUAAACAGCUGUCAAAACACAAUCACCCCAAUAACAAAGAGGAACACAAGAUUGAAACAAUAACGCUUGUGCCACAUUAAGUAUGUGUUGAUGUUUACGCUCUAUAAUUGAGUUUUGUUCAAGUGUAGCAACACAAGAAUGAUAAGGAAUAACACCCUUGGUACAAAAAAAAUCAUGGAAAACUAAUUUAGGGGCAUUAUUGGAACAGACAGAUUUAAUUGCAAUGUUAUAUUGAGUAGAAAUCAAAUUGAAAAAUUCAGGAAAGAUAGUGAGAACAUCAGCUUUAGCACAAAGAAGAUAUACCCAAGUAGCAUGUGUGCAGUCAUCAACAAUAGUGAGGAAAUAUGUGUCCAAUUGGUGUACUAACAUUAAAUGGUCCCCAAAUGUCAAUGUGAACUAGAUCAAAAGGAUUAGUUGACAUAUUAUUAUGUGAAACAAAAGGUAAACGUUUUUGCUUGGCCAUAUGAAAAAUUUUACAGUGAGAAGACAAAUGGGAUAAAGAAUUGGGAAUGUGUAAUUCAUUGUGAAGAAUUUGAAUUUUUACAUGAGAUGGAUGUCCAAGGCGAAAAUGCCAAAUAUCACUUUUCGACAUUACAGAAUUUGUAAAAAUUGAAUUACAAAAUUCAUUCCCUGAUUCUAGAAAAUAUAGCUUCUUUCGUCUUCUACAUUUCCCAAUCGUCAAGCCCUGAGUGAGGUCCUGAAUGACACAUGAAUUUGAAAGGAAAUUAACACUACAAUUAUGGCUAAGAGUAAGAGCACUAAUGCCGAGAAGAUUAAAAGUGAACAUGGGGACAAACAAGACAUUAUCCAAGUUCAAAGUAUCAGACAACCUCACAAAACCUACACGAUUGAUUGCAAUAGCAUGACCAUUAAGAAGAGUGACUGUAGUAUUAUGAACCAGUCUAGAAUGAGAAAACAGAGAAACAUUGCAACAGACAUGGUGGGUGGCCCUUAUGUUAAUCACCUAAGCAUCAGAAGGAACAAAAAGAUGAAAAAAAAAUUGAGUAGAACAAUUGUUACCAUAGAUUUGAGAAAUUGAAGGUUUUGAUGUCGAUGGAGACUCAAGUGGGUCGAUAGUUUGCUGUUGAAGGUGUGUGCUAAGGUAGGCAAUGAGUUGUUGAACUUGAUUCGAUGAGAGAGAGACUAGUAGUGGGGAAGAUCCCACUGUAGCAGCGGCAGCAGAAGGGAAAUAAUGAAUGCUUUUCAAUGGUUCAGUAAAUGAGCUUGGUGAAGUAGAUUGGGAUUGAAGGGGGCUUGUCUGGGCCAUUUAUGUUUGGUCUUUCCCUUUGGGCUCAUAACCUGGUGAAAAUCCAUGCAAUUUAUAACACCUAUCUACUGUAUGCCAUGUGAGCCCACAAUGGGUGCAAAUUGGGUGUUCAUGUCUAGGCUUGUUGUGAGAUGAUGUAGUAGCUACAGAAGAAGCCAGAGAAGAGGCAUUGAACACCAUGGAAUCCGAUGGAGCAGAAGACCUAGAUCCAAUAAAUCAUUGGCGUUCUUCUUGAACAACAAGAUUGAAUACUUUCACCACAGGAGGGAGCAAAUCAAGCAUCAGAAUUUGGCCUCUUGUGCUAGCAUAAGAUUCGUUCAAACCCAUUAAAAAUUGCAUCGCAUACUCCUGUUAUUGAUAAUCCAUCCAAUCUUUCAUACCUCCACAAUGGCAAAUGGGAACUAGUUGAUAGUUUUUGAGUUCAUCCCAGAGAAUCUUCAAUAAAGUAUAAUAGGUAUUAACAUCGAGCGAGUCUUGUGAGAGACCAUGUAGUUGUUGCUUGAUUUGGAAAAUCCGUGGAGCAUUGCUAUGAUGGAAGCGUUCGUGCAGAUCUGCCCAAACAGCAUGGGCACUCUCGAGAUAGAGAAGAAUAUCAACUAUCUCUUUUGAGACAGUGUUAAGGAGCUAAGAUGUGACCAUGCUAUUGCAUCGGGGCCAGAUUCUGGCUGUAGGGUAGUCGGUCAUGGGUUGCGAAAGAGUGCCAUCCAUGAAUCCGAGCUUAUUCUUUACAUUGAGAGCCAUCAGCAUGGCCCAACUCCAUGUAUUAUAGCUUGAACCAGUGAGGAGAUGCGAAACGAGCACCAAGCCUGGAUGAUCACCGCUAUGUAAGAAAAAUGGGUUAUUAGUGUUCUCCAUGAGAGAUUGAUCUGAUUGUGUUGUCGUGCUACCAGAGGUAGAGGAUGUGAGGGGCUAAAUUCUAUUAUCAUUGUUAUGCUAACCACCACGAGCCAUUUCAGUGAGCGGUAAAGGUAAGAAGCUCUGAUACCAUAUUACAAAGGAAAAUGGAGAAAAAAAUUGACAGAUUUUUCUUUCAUUGAUUGAAAAAAUGAGCUGUACAGAGAGCCCCAAAAUAGAGUAGUAAAAAUGCCUUUUAUAAUAGAAGUCACGCAUAAGGAGCUGUAGAGCUCUGUAGAGAAAAAACAACUUAACCAACUAUUGGUUAUAACAAUAAAAAUAAAAAUAAAAAUAAAAAACUAAAACUAAUAUGCUAAAAGAUGUUUCACUCCAAUAAUAGUUUACUUGAAUUUUUUAGUAUUGGAGCUAUCCUUGUUUCAAAAUCAUACCAGGUUGCCUCUACAAACUCAAAGAAUUGGAUAUUAAUAAUUGUGGGAAUAUGGAGCUGCUACCUCAUCAACUGCAAAACCUCAUUACUCUUACAUCACUUACUAUCUCUUAUUGUGAGAAUAUCAAGACGCUCCUAUCCCGAUAGGGCCUUGCCACACUUACUGUUGGUGUGGGGAAGACCUAGAGGCGUUGUAGCUCCCUGAAGUACUCGCCCCUUCAAUUAAGAACGAUGCUUCCUUCCAUUCUCCUGCAAAAGAUGUCCGGACAAGUGGUCCGGAUACACCCUUCGAAGCUUUUGUUAGUUUGGCGGUCAAGCAUAUUGGUGUUCUUGGGCGUUUCUCAGGAAUGCUUACCUCUUUUUUAUUGAGUCAUUGGGGGCCUUUUAUAGUGUCCGAAGCCCCGUCACUUUGAAGAUGGAAAGACUCUUUGACUUUCACAGUCAUGAUAGUGCUCAGAGGGUGGUAAAGCCAUCAUUUUCCUGUAAACGGCUGACAGAGAUUGUUGGGAGAUGACUUGUCAUCCCACUUGUCUUUUCAUUCUACAGGUGGUGUAAGACAGGUCAUAGCAGGUCAUCUGAAAAGACUUGGGAAUGUCCUGUUGAGUAUGUUUUUGGAGAAAUGAGUAAUGAUUGCCCGUAAAAUAUGGUCAGGGGUCCUGUUUGGGAUGACAACUACUGGGUUCGGAUUGGUCGUCUAGACAGAGGGUAGGACGUGCCAUGUGUCCAUUGGAGGAGUGCCUUAUGGAUGUCCGGACAGAGGGUAGGACGUGCCAUGUGUUCGCUUAGGGGUGGUCCCCACAAUGCCCCCCUUUUAAACUGGUUAUUUUAUCAGGAUAGAAAAAGCAGGUUAAAACAAUCCAUUUAGCCUUUUUUUUUGGAAGUUGUGUGGCACGUAGCGCCUAAGAGGGGCAGUUAUGGAGAGCCGCUGUCCUUGGGAUGAUUACCAGGCAGCGUGUCGUUUCGAGUGUAGUGCGGUUGGGUGCCUGGUCGUUUGGAGUCCCUAAGGAUUUCAUCCCAUAAAUAGGGAAUUAAUCUCCCCCCCGGUAGUACUUUUUCUUCAUUUCUACUUCAUUCUGGCGUUAACUGGGCAUUGCUCCUAAGGCUUUACUCAACGGUGCUUUCCUCACAAUCUCACGACUGGUUCACUCAGGCGACUGUGACCUAGUUCGUCUUCUUCUUGCAAACACUUGUCAGGUAUGCUCCCUGUUUCUUCCUCCUCGUCUUCUACUUCCCGUUUUCUCGAUUUUCCUUGGUUUCUGGUGCCAGUUUGCGAUUAAGGGAUGGGGGUGAUGUUUGGGGGUUUUGGUGGGUUGGGAAAUGUCCUUGUUAGAUUUUGCAGAGGGAGGAUGCAUAGUGUCGUUCAAGGGCAUCACAUUCUGUUGGCGGCGUGCCUUGCUAACUUUGGUCAGGGUUGCUUCAAGGUUAUUUUGUGCUUCGAGGCUCUGUUGAGCCCAUUGAGUAUUUUUUUCGGCCUUUCGUAUACCUGAAAAUGGCUGUGAGUCGCUUCUUAGCUAGGGUUAGGAGUUGACUAGCGGAAUUGGGGUUCCUGACUUGGGGAGGUUAUCAACUCAGGCAUGUCACCUAGCUUAGGCAUUUUGGGGUGAUGCCUUCAGGGCGGUGGGGCCAGAUAAUUAUCCUCUAACUGUGGGCAUUGCGCCAUGCAGGUUUUUCUUGGGCCCACGCUCCAACAUGCCUGCGAAAAAGGAUAUUGCUUCAUCUAACGCGGUUGGGUCAAGUGAGAAGGGCGGUUCCGGACACCCCUAUCAGGGAAAAAACAUUGAGCUCCUCAAUGAGCGGGAGUUUCGCGACCGCUUUUGUCUUCCAAACAACGUCUCCGUUCAAUUAGUGGAUGGGGAUCCCAUGUCCACAGAGAAAGUCGAAUACAACGCCAUUUAUUUCACCAAGGAGCAGUUCAAUGUAGGGCUUUUCUUUCCUCUCCUGUCUCUUUUCAAAUAGUUCCUUUAUUACACCCAAAUUCCCUCAGCCUAUAUCUAUCCCAACAUCGUCCGAUGUUGAUAGGGUGCAGCAUCCUAAAUAUGAUUUUCCAGUUGGACCUCUCCCUGUUGGAGGUUCUCUUCAUUUAUACCCUCAAAAAGGGGAAAAAGGAUAUCUUUAGUAUGUUUGCCCACAUCUCGUCCCUUCAAUUAGCGAUGGGCCUUCCUAACUUGAACAAAGGGGAAACCAAGAGACAUGUGCUUAUCAAGGGCCCAUGGGUUGGCUUGAUGGAACAUCCGAAAAGGGAUUUCCGCCCCAACUGUUCGUUGAAGAUUCCAGGUAGGGGUGGCUUCGAGUAUCCGUUCCUUGUUGAUAUUUGAUGCUUGGCUUAAUUCCAUUAGAUUUCUAACCUUCUUUGUUUUGGCUGAUGCAGGCUCAAGUAAGAUGAGCUGCUUGGUCGAGUGGGUGGAGAAGGCUUCAUUAUUCGACCUGAACAAGCUAUUCGAAAUCAUUGCCAUUGAGAAAAACCAUCACACGCUACUUUCCUUCUAGAAUCUACUUGCGGUUAUUCGGGAACCUUAGUCGUACGUCCUCAACAUCCUUUCUAGGCGGUUACCGAAAGUCGUGGUAUUCGAGGAGCACUUUGUUUUGAAGGAUCUUCCGUUCUAUGAAAAAGCUCGUGAGGUGGACGCGAAGGCUCGCUAGAAGCGUCUUGAGCAGCAAAAGGGGAAAUUGAGGAAAGCUCCCGGUGAGAAAGGUUGUGGCUCAUCGUCUACGUCUUGUCCCCCAGCUAGGAAGAAGAAAAAGAAGACUAUUGCAAAAGCGAUCAAGGUUGCAACCCCGACUCCUGAAUCUCCGUCUACUUCUAUUGCUUCAGUGUCUAGUCGAUCAAUCAGCUCCGCCCAGGCAUCUGAUGGUGACUCUAACUCAUCGAGGCUUGACCCUAGCGACCCAGGACUCGCCUUUCUGAGCAUGAGCGGGAGUCUAUAGCUCUUAAAGUUAUAAACGAUCCGGAUGAGGAAGAUGAUAUGAAUGACUUAAGAGUCGGAUUUAAAGAGAGGCAUCGCAAACUCCUGUAUGAAGCGAUUGACAUGGUCCUCCCCCAACCAAAAAAGGCUUGCCCGAAGAGAACUCAGGAGGAGCAGACCAAGGGGGUUCCUCCAGCGAUCGUGCCCCAGCCGGAUGUAGCAAGACCUAGCAGCGCUCUAGUUGCGGAGAAAGAGGCUUAAGGGAAAGAGACAGGUCUAGCUACGGGGGAGGCCCCUGGUGAUGCUGCUCCCGCCAAGGGGGUCCCAGAUGAGAAGGAUAGUCCCGCUCCUAUAACUCCUCCAAGCUGGGACGAAAUGAUGGAGAUGUUGAAGCACGUGCCGUGCUUCAUGAACUCUGAAGUUCCAUCUACAAAAAUGUCAUACUUUUUCCCUUUUACCAAGCAGAUAUCUGUGAAUGUGGGCUGCGAACCCCCCUCUUUCGUCUCAGCCCGGCUCUCCUUUGGCACUCCUGAGUCUAUUGUGUUUCGCAUUCAACAACUGCAGGAAUGAACGGUGUCGGAGACUACAGAAGUGGUAAUCCCUUUUAUCUUGCCCCUCCUUUUCAAGUAAUGCAUACUCCACCGCUUGGUACAAACUUGGCUUUUAUUAUCUCUUCUAGUUGGUAGUCGGCAUCCGCAACAUGAUGUGACAGCGCGCGCAACUUUUCAAGCAACUGGAGGUGGUAGAGGCUAUGCGGGCCUUUAUCUCCCACCACCCGGGCGACAUCGAAGAGUUGCGCGCGAAGAUGGAGCAAGUAGAAGCUGACUUGGUUGCUGCCUAGAAGGCCGUUGUGGACGGAGCCGAGACGCUGAAGCUGGUUAAGGGGGAGAAGGGGGCAAUCCGGGCUGAGACAGACCGACUAAAUGAGAAAUGAGAGGCUAUGGAGGCCAAGUACAAAGGGGCGAAACAGGAAAACUUCCAAUUAAGGAGGGAGGUGGAUGAACUUUGGCCCAGUUUCGCGGCUCAGAAGAAAGAGGUGAAAGAGUUACAAGUAGGCUUGCUCACCCAGAAGAAAGAGCUGGAGGCUGGAUUUGCCGCUCAGAAAAAGAAGUUGGAAACGGAGUACCAAAAACAAAUGGACGAAAUGUACUUUUUCGGCUACCGCUACCGUAUGAAGAAAAAUAGCAUCAUGCACAACAUUCCUUCCCUCCCUUCUGAUGACAAAGACGAGAUACCCGGAGGUCCUCCGCGAUGAGAUGACUCAACUUUUGUGUAGUUCCUCCAUAUAACUUUUUCUUUGCCAUGAAUGGUCCAACUGAUUUGUAAAGACAAUUUUCACACUUAUUUAUGAAUGCAACGUUUCUUUACUCUUUUCUCGCCCAUUGUUUCUUUUUACUGAUAAUACUGCUUAAGGUUAGAUACAUUCCAUGGACGGAAUAAAGAGGUUCCAUCUAACUUCUGUAAAUGACAAGUGAUUCUUCCCCAUUGCAGUCAUGCCAUUUGAUUUUGGCUCAGACGGGUGUUAUCAACAAAAUUUAUAAAACCUAAAUCACCUCACACUAGGGUAGCAUAGCUAACAUAGUAUAGUGGCUCUAGGAUCGUACACAGGAAUGGGUUUUCAUCAUACAGUUGAUUUGAUUUUAGUGAAGGAAAUAAAAUGGUGUUUUUCCUUAUGAAAAUUAGCUUUAAAAGAAAAUGGAAUUGUGGUUGCAAAGAUUGAUUUUUAAGUUAAGCAAAAAUAAUAAGUGAAGUUAACUACAAAGAAAAGGUCUCUUGGAGCUUUAGGUCACUAAGAUCGGGUUCCUUAGGUAAAAGAGGAGAUUCCAGAUUUUCUCCUCGCGUUGGAGACAAUAACAUAAAUGAAGGUUAUCUCCCGAACCGGUUUUGUAUUUAGCAAUUAAGACUUGAUCCAAAGGGUUCACGAAAAAUGGUAAUUGCUUCCCAUUAAUGGCUUCAGACACUAAAGACCCUCACCUUGAACCACCUUCCAAUGGCUCGUAAAUGAUAACUAAUAGACAUCCAUGGAUCUAGAAAUAAGCAUCCAUAAAAUCCGAAAAGCUUACCAAGUAUUGGUCAUUCAAGGUGAUUUUAAGGGAUUUAAAACUAAACCUUGAAAUAAAAACCAUUAAUGGUUAACACCUACUUUCAUUUAAAGCAAGGACAAUUCCUACCUUUGCAUUCAGGUUCUUCACCUAGCUUCCAUCACUCCAAGAAACGUAAAACCUAGCCACUCAUCCCUUGAGAAAUCAUCCUCAGAGGUUGUUUGGUUAGAAAAAAGAGUGAAAACAAAAUGAGAAGGAAAUGUAGAGCAAAAACUCUGUAUAUUUCUUACUACGGGGAAUUUACAAGUGUUUAAUGAAAAACAUCCAUAUUUUUACCCUCUGUCUCUCUUUUUAUAUAUGAUGUUACCUAGAAAAUAUCUAAAAAGAUAUAAAAGAAAAUAUCUAAAAAGAAAUAAAAGAAAAUAUCUAGGUUGGUUACAAGGAGAACUUAGGAAAUUACACAAAAUAUCUGAAAAUAAAAAUCUAACAGAGUCGGUGCACAAGAAGAUUUCGCAUAACAUGUAAAAUUUGGCAUGGUGUACGAAAUUUCGCACAGCCAUGCAAAACUGCUUGUUGUUGGAUUUCUUCCUUCCAUCUUUGAUUUGCUUGGCAAAGGGCUAUGAAGUGCUCCAAAGCUUGGAUUCUUCAUGUAUUUGAGCUUCAACUUGCAUUGCCAUUGAUUUCACAAGAUUCUCCCUCUUCUUGGCUUGUUUCAAUGAUAAAAAAGCUACCAAAAACACCAAAACUUGCCAAAAACUGAUUAGUAACCCUUGUUAGGUUCUUUAAUGUGCCAAUUGAGUUAAAAGGUAUUAACUACUACUCAAAAGAGUUUAAAAUAGUUAGUUUCAAGCAAUAAAAAAGUACUUUUUGAGUAGUAAUCAAUAAGCCCCGCUUUCACCUGUUUUGGAGACAAUGUAGGGCCUUCCCAAUUCGCUUGGAACUUCCGAACCCCCUUUUCAACUGUGUUUUCGAAGACUCUUUUGAGGAUGAGUCUUCCAACCUUGAAGACACGAGGUUGUGCCUUACAAUUGUAAUGAGCAGCCGCCCUUUGUUGGUAGGUGGCCAUCCGGAUGGAUGCACUUUCCCUCAUUUCAUCCGCGUAGUGUAGGUUCCUUCCGAGUUAUUGGUCUUCAUUCCUCUGACCCUGUACUGCAGUCCGAACCAUGGGCAAACCUAUUUUCGUGGUGAUGAUUGCGUCCAUUCCGUAUGCUAGAGCGAAAGGAGUGUUUCCCAUUGGUCGUCCGGGCGUCGUUCGGUAGGUCCACAAGACGUCGGGCAGCUCCUCUACCCACUUUCCUUUGGUUCGGUCCAAUCUUUUCUUUAAUGCUGAUAGUAAGGUCUUGUUCGUUGCUUCUGCCUGCCCAUUGCUUUGGGGAUACCGUGGUGUGGAGUAUAAAUUUUGGAUUUUGAGUUCUGAACAAAAAUUUCGGAAGGCAAUACUAUCAAACUGCGCGCCGUUGUCGGCUAUGAUUGCUUGAGGGAUUCCAAACCGACAAAUGAUGUUCUUCCAAACGAAUUUCGUGACGUCUUUGUCUUUGAUGCUAGCAUACGCCUCCGCCUCUACCCAUUUAUUGAAAUAAUUUGUGGCAAUGAGUAGGAAUUUCUUCUAGGCAGCUGCAACGGGCAGAGACCCCAUUAUAUCCAUCUCCCAUUGCGUGAAUGGCCAAGGGCUUGUUAUUGGGUUCAACGUUUCGGAUGGCAUAUGCGGGAUGGGCGCGUGUCUUUGGCAUUUGUCACAUUUUUUGGCAUAAGCUUCCACGUCCUGCUUCAUAGUGGGCCUGUAGUACCUCUGCGAAUGGGCACGAUGUGCUAAAGAUCAUCCUCUUGAGUGGUUGCUGCAUACGCCUUCAUGUAAUUCUGCUAGCACAUAUUGGGCUUCCAAGUGUUCUAAGCAUCUGAGGUAGGGGCUUGCAAAAGAUCAUUUGUAAAGACAUGCCCCAAUAAGGGUGAAGCGGGCAGCUUGCACACGGAUCUUAUACGCAUGCUUGGAUUCCUUAAGUAGAACGCUUGUCCGAAGGUACUCCUUUAUGACACUCGUCCAUUCCUGGCUUUCUUCGAUAGCAUUGCAAGUGGGCGAUUGUGCGAUGGAGGGAUUAGCCUGCACAUGUAUGGACAACAAUAUGGCUUCUCUUAUGGGAAGUGAGAUGGCUAUUCCCUACCAGGGCAUCAGCCCGUAUGUUGUCCGUCCGGAGGACUUUUUUGAUUGUCCACUAGUCCAAUUGCUUCAAGGUGUCGCGCACUUUUGUCAGGUAUUAGGACAUGCGCUCGUCUUUGGCUUCGUAUUCCUUCCGUACAUGUCCCACGACGAGUUGAGAAUCAUUGUAGAUUCUGAGCUUAGAGACGGAUAGUGCGAGUACGAGGUCCAAUCUGGAUAGAAUGGCUUCAUACUUGGCUUUGUUGUUUGAUGCAUGGAAUCUGAGGCGGAUGACCUGCUUUAAUUGUUUUCCAAUUGGAGAUUGUAGCAAGAGUCCCACUCCGGAUCCUAACAACCGGGAGGCUCCGUCGACCCGUAAGGUCCACCAUCCAUCCUUGUCUGAUUUUUCGCCUCGAGCGGGCUGUUAGGGAAAUUCAACCACAAAGUCAGCCAUGACUUGCCCUUUCAUGGAAAGCCUAGGUUGGUAUUCAAUCCCAUACUCGCUCAACUCUAUGGCCCAUUGCAGCAUCCUUUCGGAUAGGUCCGGCUUGUGCAGGAUGUUUCGAAGGGGCUGGUCGAUAAGUACGACUACUGGGUGAGCUUGAAAAUACAGGCAGAGCUUCUGGGCGGUGCUUCGCAAGGCUAAGGUAGUCUGUUCUAUCUUUGAAUAUAUUGUUUCUGCAUCGACCAUCGCUCUACUGAUAUAAUAAAUAGGUUUUUGCUCUUUGCAAUGUGGAUAUCAAAACAAGACAACGCUAAUCGUCUAAUCCGAUACCGCUAAAUACAUGUACGACAGCUCGCCAGGCUGAAAGCUACUUAGGAUGGGUGGUUGUGUGAGGUAAUGUUUGAUUUUCUUGAACGCACUCUGGCAGUUAUCCGUCCAUCCAGUCGCGUUGGCUUUCUUCAGCACUAGGAAGAAAUGUCACAGUUUGUUUGUGAAUCGGGCUAUGAAACGUCCUAGUGUGACGAGCUUGCUGGUGAGACGCUGCAACUCCUUUUUGUUACUAGGGGUGGGUGUUUUCAUGAUCGCCUUAAUUUGAUCCGGGUUGACUUCUAUUCCUCUUUGGGUGACCACGAACCCCAUGAAUUUGCUUGCACUUACGCCGAAGGCGUAUUUGGACGGGUUAAGCUUCAUGUCGUACCUCAUCAGCAAGUGGAAGACUUCUUGCAGGUGGUAGGUAUGUUCUUCUCUAGUUUUGCUUUUGACCACUAUGUCAUCAAUGUAUACUUCCAUCGUGCGACCAAUCAAAGGCUUGAAGAUCUUUGUCAUCAGUCUUUGGUAGGUGGUGCUAGCAUUUUUGAGUCUGAGCGGCAUGACUCUAUAACAAUAAAGUCCAUGUGGCGUUAUAAAGUCAGUUUUUUCCUCAUCCGCUAGGGCCAUAAGGAUCUGAUGGUAUCCGGAUAAGGCACCUAGAAAAAAGAGCAUCCCAUGUCCGGUAGUGGAGUCUACUAUUUGGUUUAUCCGCGUCAACGGGAAGCUAUCUUUAGGGCAUGCAUUGUUGAGGUUGGUGUAAUCAAUGCACACUCGCCACCUUUCUUCCUUUUUGGGGACUACCACCACAUUUGCCAACCAUUCCGGGUACUCAACUUCCUUGAUGAAUCUGGAGUCCAAUAACUUAUGCACCUCACUCUGAAUGAUCUUUUGUCUAUCCGGGUGAAAUCGCUUGACUUUUUACCGGACAGGUCUUGAUGAGGGCAAGAAGUUAAGCCAGUGGAAGGCAACCGAUGGGUGGAAUCCGGGCAUAUCGAAGUAGGUCCAUGCGAAAAAUUCUUGGUUUUGUUGGAGCGUCUUCUCAAUGCUCCGAGUCUCGUUGGGUUUUAAGAGGGAACUAGCAUAAGUGAGACAAUCUUUUCUUUUUGAGACUUGGAUGGUUUGCAAGGGAUCUGCCAUCGGGAGAUCUUUAUCUGUUAAGUACUGUAAUUGCUAUUGGUCGGGCGCAUUCACUUGCUCUGGGGAGGACUCGCGAUCACUGCUGAACCCGGUCUCCCGUGCUAAUCUGAUAGCAUUGUCGGGCUACCAACUGGCUGCCAUAUAAAUCAAUCUGUUCGUCUUUGGUGAGAUAGCUCACCAUCUGAUGGUACGUGGAAGGAAAAGCCUUCAUGUAGUGCAACCAGGUGCACCCCAAAAUGGCAUUGAAGGGGGAUAAAUCUUCCACCACUGAGAACUGCACAUUGAACGUGACUGGGCCUACUUGGACUGGUAGACACGUCUCAAAGGGACAUUGUUGAGGCUCCAUUGAAUCCCGACAGAACCCGCCUCGGGUUCUCUAGGUUGGAGGGCACGAGUCUCAUUUGUUUGACUACUGAUACUUGCAAGAGGUCCGCCGAGCUGCUCGGAUCGACCAAAAUCUAUCUUACGUUGAAGUCUCCAAUCCCAAGAGACAGGAUAAGGGCAUCUCGGUGUGGUUGCAAUGUCCGUAUGGGGUUUACUGGAGAAAAAAUGAUUGUCUCAUCUAUUAGGUGGGCGUUCCCGCUGGUUAAUCCAAGUCGGAUGGAGUUAACACACUCGCGGACUGAAGCGGCCCGCAGCAGCCUUUGUCUCUUUUGCUUGGAGUCGUACUCCUCAUCCAGGGGCCCACCAUGAAUGUAGUUAAUCACAACCCUAGGGGCAAUCGGAGUUGAGGGGGCUCCGGAGGCUUGACUGCGGGAUGUCUCUCCUCCUAUGGCUCCUAAGCGGAUGUACUGUUUUAGGUGUCCUGCUCUUAUGAGCUUUUCCACCAAGUAAUGGAGACUACUACACUACUCCGUAGUAUGGUCAUGCUCUUUAUGAUAAGCACAUUUCCUGCUGUGAUCUCUUUUGACUAGGUCCGUUUUGAGCGGUUUGGGCCACCUAAAGUCGAACAGCUCGCGGAUCAUUGGGAGAAGCUUUUUGUAUGACACGAUAAAGGGUGUAAGCGGGGGCGGAUCUGGCUGACGUUGCUUACCUUGUUUAAGCCGAGUGGCCUUUGCUGGCUUGAAGGUUUGAACUUUCUUGCCGCGUCGUUCCUGGCCGGCUGUCCAGUAACCAGGAUUUGUUGGGUGGCUGCGCAUACAUCAUCUUCCAGCAUUGAGUAUUUGUUCACGCAUCGGAACAGGUCGUCCAUAGUUGUGGGAGGUUUUUUGGUGAGUGAUUUGAAGAACGGUGUGCCUAGACAUAUGCUCCGCUUAAAAAUUUGGAGGAUAGUGUCCAUGCUGGAGGAUUCUACUUGUAGUACAACUUGUCCAAAUCGCUUCACGAACUCCCUCAGGGAUCACUUUCCUACAUGUGAAUGUUUUCCAGGGUGCUAAUAUUCUAUUUAUGUCACGUGGAACACAGGUAUUGUCCCACAAAGGCUUCUGAUAGAUCUCGGAAGUUAUCAACAUAAUUCAUAGGGAGUCAAUGAAACCAUGAGAGGACCUGGCCUUGGAGGCUGGGAGGGAACACCUUGUACAACAGCGCGUCGUUCCCUAUGUCAAGAGUCAUGAGUUGUCGGUAGUGCAUGAUGUGAUCAAACGGAUCACUAGACCCGUCAUACGCGAAAAUUUUUGGCACGAGAAACCCUCUUGGGGGCUCGUAAUUGAUAAUAUGAGAGCUAAAAAGCGGGAAGAGCAUGUCGUCCAAUCGCCUACUGAUGGUGUGGACAUCUUUGCAAAUGUUGUUGGGGGGAUGACUUGUCGUCCCACUUGUCUUUUCACUCUACAGGCGGCCUAGGGCAGGUCAUAGCAGGUCGUCUGAAAAGACCUAGGAAUGUCUUAUCGAGUAUGCUUUUAAUGAAAUGAGUAAUGAUUGCCCGCGAAAUAUGGUCAGGGAUCCUAUUUGGGACAACAACUAUCGGGUUCGGACUGGUCGCCCGGACAGAGGGUAGGACGUGCCACGUGUUCGCUUAGGAGUGGUCCCUACACUUACCUCUCUUAAAAAACUCACCAUUGCUAGCAUAUUUCCACAAGUUUCAAAUGCUCAAAGACUAUCGCGUCUUUCUACAACCCUCACCUUUCUUUGCAUUAAAGAUUUCUAGAAUCCGAAAUCUCUGUCCUCCCUAGCUCUCCAAACCCUUACCUCACUUGAAGAGUUAUGGAUCUUAUGUUGCCCUAAGCUUUAGUUGUUUUGCCCAAGGGAAGGGCUGCUUGACACUCUUUCACUACUAUAUAUCAUAGACUGCCUACUUCUCAAACAAAGGUGCUCAAAGGGGAAAGGACAAGAUUAGCCCAACAUCGCCCACAUUCCCUAUGUGGAAAUGGAUAAUGAAAAUGUCUUUGAGCAAUAAUAAGAUGAGGGAUUGCAGAACAUAGAAGCAAACACCAUUCAACCCUCACCCAUCUUUUAUUUAAACAAGGUACACCUGUUCUUUCUUUUUCACUCCUUAAUACCGCAUUCAAUUUCUCAUAUACAUUAUAGCAGUUUCCUUAUGAUUACUUGUAAGUUUCUUACUGGAAUUUUUGUUGAAAAUUUGCCUAGGAAGUGACUUUUGAAAUGGCUUGUAGCUUGGUUUUCUCUUCAAUCUGCCAUAAUUCUAGGUAUCACUGUCUCUACCUUUCCAAUUCUAUUUAUAAAAUCUUGUCCAUAAUCUCCUUGGGGUACUCACUUUUCCUUUUCCUUUGUUCUUUUUAGUUCUCAAUGACCAUUGAAGUUGAAGAGGUGAUAUGUGAUACUUAUGACUAUAAAAAGGAUAAGAGAGAAUCCAUUUAUUCCAUUCAAGGACAGGUGAAACAUUUAGCAAUAGCCACUAGUUAGUAAUGUCUUAUUCUGAUUUUUAUUCCAUCAGUUGUACUAUUCAAUUGCAUUUUUAAAUAUAAUAUUCUGAUUUCCAGAAUAGUGUUCAGACUGACAUACAAAGGAGGCUAUAUUAGAAGCAAAUGUAGUUUAUUAAUAUUCAAUUGUUGUGGUAAUUAGAUGGCUUUAUCAAUUCCUUUGUGUAGCCAUGAUUUUUUUAGUUCAACUUAUUAGAUGUCAUCAUAACUACUAUACAGUGUCUUGUCAUCUUGUUAUCAAAUUUUUACAUUUAUGAUGCAGGUUCUCAAAGAGGAUGGAACUCCGAUUAUUAUAUCAAAGACUUCAAAGUAUGGAUGAAUGCAGCUAGUUCCGAUUGUCCCAUGUUGCUCUUUUUUUAUUUUAUUAUUUUUGAGUGUCAACAUAGGACAAAGAAUAACCCAGCAAGACUAUAGUGAGUGACCGUCAUCUAUAUAUUUUGUUUAUUUAUUUUUCUAUUUUAAUGACUAAUUUUCUUGAAUUUUCUUCUUGUCCACUGGAUAUUCAUUCCCAACAUGCAGUUCUUCCUCUUUCUCUCCUUAAUACCACUUUUUAUUUCCCAUACACAUGUUAUUUCAAUUUGUUGCCAUUUAGCUUGGCUACCUCUUAACAGUAAUAAUAAGUCUUACAGUUUUUAUGUACCAAAUUGUUUACAUUGAUGAUGCAAGUGUCAAAAGGAUGGGUUCAAAGUAUCAUAGGAGGUACAUGUGGUCUUUUUAUUGUGCUGACUUAUUAGAAUUUUCCUCCUAUAUCAAAGGCUCGUUGGCACUUUAUUACCAUUUUUUAGUAUGAUAAAAAGAGGAUAAAAUACAAUCUAGCAAAAUUGUGGUCGAUGACUUUCAUUUAUAUAGUUGAUUCUACAUAUGAUUGUGUUCUAAGGACUAUCUUUGUAAAAUUUUCUUCCUUUUAUUUAUGAUAGAUUCUACAGUGCUUUAUAAAGGUCCUCUGAAUCAAGAUUUCAUCUGCAUCUUUAAUAAAUAAGAACCUAUUUUCUUCCCCUCUUGGAGAAGUUGCUCAUAACACUAUAUGAUCUUUAUAUAUCCUUUGAAAGUUGAGAACCAUCCAAUGCAUGAAACUUGUCUUUCACAAGAAACCAAGUGGUCUUUUCUUUGUGACCGUGAUAGCCCAAAACUACCUAAUGGAAUUACAACUUGUAUUUGUUCUAAUGUAUCCAACUUGUUUCCAAAUUGUGAGCUACUAUCAUAUUUACAUACGCCUAGUAGUAUAGAUUUGAGCAAAAACAAAAUUAUUUUGCGUCCAAUUUCUAAAGUUUUUAAUUUGAUGAAACUAUAUGUCUUCUUUUGGAGUUUGUAGGUUUUAAAGGUGCAUGUCCUAGGUGCCAGAGUAUAAGUAUUUUUCUUCUUAUUGAAGGGAAUUUGGGUUUUACAUUUAGAGGCUCCAAGUCUAUAGUGAUUGUGGCAAAUGCCUGUUGCACUUGUUAUUUUUGUUUCUAUUGUUGAUGUUGAGGGUGUAGAAAGGGGAUAAACAAAAGCAUAACAAGAUCAUGGUGUGUUACGAUUUUUAUUUUACAAUUUUAUUGGUCUUUUUAGAUUCCUAUUUUUACUGAUUUUUUUUUUUCUAAAUUUUCUAUGUUUAUGACUUGAGGUGUUCCCUAAACACUUGCUACAGAGAGGAUUUUGGCACCAGAAUUAUCCUUGGACAUUGCUUAGUUCACUUGUCUUCCAUAGAUAUGAACCUAUUUUUUGUGCCAUUUUGGAGAAGCUACCAGUAAAACUGAAUAGUCACACAUCUCUUGAAAAGUUGAGAAUCACACAUUUCUUUGGGCUCAUUCUGAGGAUUGGUUUGUCAUCCAUGCUAUUAAGUCUUAUGCUCAGUUGUUGUGAUGGUUUGAAAUUACUCUCUGAUGAAACUAUGACCUAUAUAAAUAACUGCUUGCAUUUGUUUUACAUAGAUGAAUUGCUUGUCUUUUUGCAUUAUUUUGCAGAAAGGAUUUUAUGAGCACUACUAUGUUUUUUUUUCAUAUCCUUUUAUAUUGAUGCAUUUCAUAUUACUCCUUUUAUGUGGAUGCGCAAUGCUGAUCAACUCUCCUCCUUUUGGAUGUCUUUCUAACCAUUGUUAGGAUUCAUUAAAAAUUACCUUUAUCAAACCUACGGAAUUUUUCAAGUUAGUUAUAACUUGUACAAACCUUAUGUAACUCGAAAUGCUUUAUUUUUAAAACAGUCCAUGCCUAUUGGCAACUUACAUGUUUUUCACUACAUUUUUUUUCAACGAGGAAAUGAGGCAUUUUUCUUUAGUAGUAUAUUGUGAUUCACAAAGUAUAAACUCUUGCAGAUUGAAAGAAAGACAAUUUACAUAUCAUUCAACAGUAAUCAGUAAGCACUUUUAUAUGUUUAUAGCUUCUUCUUAUACGGUUUGUCUUUUAUGGCAUUUACUCUUUUGUUAUUCACAUAAAAAAAACACCUGAUUUACCUUUCAAAUAUAAAAUCCAGUUAUGCAGGAAGGCCAUAAAUUGAAUAUGAUAAGAUGGGAAAUGUGUUUCAUGACAACUUUGUGUUCUUGCAUUAUAAGGUUUAGUAAUUGUGUGUAGUUCUACAAUAAACAACAUUCUAUUGACUUUGGAUUUGGAAUUUAACUCUAAUGAGCAUUUACUUAUUUUUCAUACAUUUUUUAGGAAUCCUGUCAAUGAGAUUUUGCUUACAAAAAACUAGAGGUUUGUUAACUCUCCUAUAAUCAGAGACUAGUUCUCUUGCAUAAAUUUCAAGCAAAUUUAUAACCCUCUUCUUUGACAGUCUUUUAUAUUGGAAUUAAACAUCUUGGUGUCUUUGAAUUAUUUAAAUAUUGGAAGCCAAUUAAGGAGUCAUGCAAUGGCAUAUUGUGAAACUUGAUACACAUAAAAAUAAGAUCUAUUAUGUUAUUUUUCUCGCUAAAGAAUCAAAACAUAUGCUUUUGAUUUUGAAUGUUUCAGACUUCAUGUCUUCUCUUUCAUUUACGAUACUGUCGUUGGUGAACAGGGAAUGUUGUCAAGAAUUUUGGAGCUUGACCAUCUGGCCUUUUCCAAUUCCUUAGAGAUUGGUAAUAAUCCAACGAUCAAUUGUUUUCCCAAAGUGGCUUAUGCUAGCAUAAGAAGAUGUGAAAUUAUCAGUGACCAUUCAUUGUAAAGAAAUCUUGUUAUUAUGGCAGGAUAAUAGACAGUAAUACAGUCUCAAAAUUUUGGGACUUCGGCAUCAACACCUUUCUAAGACUCAGAUUUGUAAAUGGAAUGAUGCAAGACAUCAACACAUUCGUAGAAUUCUUUAAGAAUUCUGUAACCGAAUCAAGGUAAUUCUCAAUUCCCUUGUCUUUAUUAGAUGAAUAAUACUUGUUUAUAUAUACAAUUGAGAGUCCUGAAUUAGGAAGGUAUUAUCCCUAAGGAAACAAUCAAAUUAUGGUAUGUACAGAUAUAUACAGCUAACACUCCCCCUCAAGCUGGAGCAUAGAUGUUGAUCAUGCCCAGCUUGUUACAAAAGUACUCAACUCGAGUUCCAUUUAGAGCUUUUGUAAAAAUAUCCCCAAGUUGCUCUCCAGUCUUCACAUAGCCAGUAGAGACUAGAUUUUCCUCAAUCUUUUCACGAAUGAAGUGACAAUCGACCUCAAUGUGUUUGGUUCUUUCAUGAUAGACUGGGUUCGCAGCAAUAUGAAGAGCGGCUUGAUUGUCACACCAAAGCUUUGCUGGCAUUGUGCACUUCAUUCCCACUUCACAUAAGAGUUGAUGUAUCCAUAUGAUUUCACAAGUAGCCUGUGCCAUGGCCCUGUACUCAGAUUCUGCACUCGAACGGGAUACAACACUCUGCUUCUUACUUUUCCAAGCCACUAGAUUCCCGCCAAAGAAUACACAAUAACCUGUAGUGGAUCUUCUAUCAAACUUAGAACCUGCCCAAUCCGCAUCAGAAAAACACUCAAUGCGAGUGUGUCCCUGACUACUAUAUAGUAUGCCUAGACCAGGAGCCUUCUUUAGGUAGCACAAAAUCUGCUCUAAAGCCGCCCAAUGCUUUAUUGUAGGCGCAGAUGUGAACUGACUAACAACAUUUACUGCAUAUGCAAUAUCUGGUCGCGUCACGGUGAGAUAAUUCAGCUUCCCAACCACUCUCCGAUACCUUUCAGGGUUGUAGAAGGGAUCUCCAUCAUCUGGCAUAAGUUGUACAUUAGGAACCAUCGGGGUAGUACAUGGCUUUGCUUCUAUCUUACCGGUCUCUUUAAGCAGAUCAAGCACAUACUUCCUUUGUGAUAAGAACAUCCCUUUCUUGCUCCUUGAUACUUCUAUUCCCAGGAAAUACUUCAGUUCACCCAAGUCCUUUGUAUGAAACUUGGAAUGCAUGAAUGUCUUAAGAUCAGAGAUUCCUGCAUGAUCAUUUCCUGUAAUAACUAUAUCAUCGACAUAGACACAGAGUAUGAUACCAGCAGCUGAUUUCUNNNNNNNNNNNNNNNNNNNNNNNNNNNNNNNNNNNNNNNNNNNNNNNNNNNNNNNNNNNNNNNNNNNNNNNNNNNNNNNNNNNNNNNNNNNNNNNNNNNNNNNNNNNNNNNNNNNNNNNNNNNNNNNNNNNNNNNNNNNNNNNNNNNNNNNNNNNNNNNNNNNNNNNNNNNNNNNNNNNNNNNNNNNNNNNNNNNNNNNNNNNNNNNNNNNNNNNNNNNNNNNNNNNNNNNNNNNNNNNNNNNNNNNNNNNNNNNNNNNNNNNNNNNNNNNNNNNNNNNNNNNNNNNNNNNNNNNNNNNNNNNNNNNNNNNNNNNNNNNNNNNNNNNNNNNNNNNNNNNNNNNNNNNNNNNNNNNNNNNNNNNNNNNNNNNNNNNNNNNNNNNNNNNNNNNNNNNNNNNNNNNNNNNNNNNNNNNNNNNNNNNNNNNNNNNNNNNNNNNNNNNNNNNNNNNNNNNNNNNNNNNNNNNNNNNNNNNNNNNNNNNNNNNNNNNNNNNNNNNNNNNNNNNNNNNNNNNNNNNNNNNNNNNNNNNNNNNNNNNNNNNNNNNNNNNNNNNNNNNNNNNNNNNNNNNNNNNNNNNNNNNNNNNNNNNNNNNNNNNNNNNNNNNNNNNNNNNNNNNNNNNNNNNNNNNNNNNNNNNNNNNNNNNNNNNNNNNNNNNNNNNNNNNNNNNNNNNNNNNNNNNNNNNNNNNNNNNNNNNNNNNNNNNNNNNNNNNNNNNNNNNNNNNNNNNNNNNNNNNNNNNNNNNNNNNNNNNNNNNNNNNNNNNNNNNNNNNNNNNNNNNNNNNNNNNNNNNNNNNNNNNNNNNNNNNNNNNNNNNNNNNNNNNNNNNNNNNNNNNNNNNNNNNNNNNNNNNNNNNNNNNNNNNNNNNNNNNNNNNNNNNNNNNNNNNNNNNNNNNNNNNNNNNNNNNNNNNNNNNNNNNNNNNNNNNNNNNNNNNNNNNNNNNNNNNNNNNNNNNNNNNNNNNNNNNNNNNNNNNNNNNNNNNNNNNNNNNNNNNNNNNNNNNNNNNNNNNNNNNNNNNNNNNNNNNNNNNNNNNNNNNNNNNNNNNNNNNNNNNNNNNNNNNNNNNNNNNNNNNNNNNNNNNNNNNNNNNNNNNNNNNNNNNNNNNNNNNNNNNNNNNNNNNNNNNNNNNNNNNNNNNNNNNNNNNNNNNNNNNNNNNNNNNNNNNNNNNNNNNNNNNNNNNNNNNNNNNNNNNNNNNNNNNNNNNNNNNNNNNNNNNNNNNNNNNNNNNNNNNNNNNNNNNNNNNNNNNNNNNNNNNNNNNNNNNNNNNNNNNNNNNNNNNNNNNNNNNNNNNNNNNNNNNNNNNNNNNNNNNNNNNNNNNNNNNNNNNNNNNNNNNNNNNNNNNNNNNNNNNNNNNNNNNNNNNNNNNNNNNNNNNNNNNNNNNNNNNNNNNNNNNNNNNNNNNNNNNNNNNNNNNNNNNNNNNNNNNNNNNNNNNNNNNNNNNNNNNNNNNNNNNNNNNNNNNNNNNNNNNNNNNNNNNNNNNNNNNNNNNNNNNNNNNNNNNNNNNNNNNNNNNNNNNNNNNNNNNNNNNNNNNNNNNNNNNNNNNNNNNNNNNNNNNNNNNNNNNNNNNNNNNNNNNNNNNNNNNNNNNNNNNNNNNNNNNNNNNNNNNNNNNNNNNNNNNNNNNNNNNNNNNNNNNNNNNNNNNNNNNNNNNNNNNNNNNNNNNNNNNNNNNNNNNNNNNNNNNNNNNNNNNNNNNNNNNNNNNNNNNNNNNNNNNNNNNNNNNNNNNNNNNNNNNNNNNNNNNNNNNNNNNNNNNNNNNNNNNNNNNNNNNNNNNNNNNNNNNNNNNNNNNNNNNNNNNNNNNNNNNNNNNNNNNNNNNNNNNNNNNNNNNNNNNNNNNNNNNNNNNNNNNNNNNNNNNNNNNNNNNNNNNNNNNNNNNNNNNNNNNNNNNNNNNNNNNNNNNNNNNNNNNNNNNNNNNNNNNNNNNNNNNNNNNNNNNNNNNNNNNNNNNNNNNNNNNNNNNNNNNNNNNNNNNNNNNNNNNNNNNNNNNNNNNNNNNNNNNNNNNNNNNNNNNNNNNNNNNNNNNNNNNNNNNNNNNNNNNNNNNNNNNNNNNNNNNNNNNNNNNNNNNNNNNNNNNNNNNNNNNNNNNNNNNNNNNNNNNNNNNNNNNNNNNNNNNNNNNNNNNNNNNNNNNNNNNNNNNNNNNNNNNNNNNNNNNNNNNNNNNNNNNNNNNNNNNNNNNNNNNNNNNNNNNNNNNNNNNNNNNNNNNNNNNNNNNNNNNNNNNNNNNNNNNNNNNNNNNNNNNNNNNNNNNNNNNNNNNNNNNNNNNNNNNNNNNNNNNNNNNNNNNNNNNNNNNNNNNNNNNNNNNNNNNNNNNNNNNNNNNNNNNNNNNNNNNNNNNNNNNNNNNNNNNNNNNNNNNNNNNNNNNNNNNNNNNNNNNNNNNNNNNNNNNNNNNNNNNNNNNNNNNNNNNNNNNNNNNNNNNNNNNNNNNNNNNNNNNNNNNNNNNNNNNNNNNNNNNNNNNNNNNNNNNNNNNNNNNNNNNNNNNNNNNNNNNNNNNNNNNNNNNNNNNNNNNNNNNNNNNNNNNNNNNNNNNNNNNNNNNNNNNNNNNNNNNNNNNNNNNNNNNNNNNNNNNNNNNNNNNNNNNNNNNNNNNNNNNNNNNNNNNNNNNNNNNNNNNNNNNNNNNNNNNNNNNNNNNNNNNNNNNNNNNNNNNNNNNNNNNNNNNNNNNNNNNNNNNNNNNNNNNNNNNNNNNNNNNNNNNNNNNNNNNNNNNNNNNNNNNNNNNNNNNNNNNNNNNNNNNNNNNNNNNNNNNNNNNNNNNNNNNNNNNNNNNNNNNNNNNNNNNNNNNNNNNNNNNNNNNNNNNNNNNNNNNNNNNNNNNNNNNNNNNNNNNNNNNNNNNNNNNNNNNNNNNNNNNNNNNNNNNNNNNNNNNNNNNNNNNNNNNNNNNNNNNNNNNNNNNNNNNNNNNNNNNNNNNNNNNNNNNNNNNNNNNNNNNNNNNNNNNNNNNNNNNNNNNNNNNNNNNNNNNNNNNNNNNNNNNNNNNNNNNNNNNNNNNNNNNNNNNNNNNNNNNNNNNNNNNNNNNNNNNNNNNNNNNNNNNNNNNNNNNNNNNNNNNNNNNNNNNNNNNNNNNNNNNNNNNNNNNNNNNNNNNNNNNNNNNNNNNNNNNNNNNNNNNNNNNNNNNNNNNNNNNNNNNNNNNNNNNNNNNNNNNNNNNNNNNNNNNNNNNNNNNNNNNNNNNNNNNNNNNNNNNNNNNNNNNNNNNNNNNNNNNNNNNNNNNNNNNNNNNNNNNNNNNNNNNNNNNNNNNNNNNNNNNNNNNNNNNNNNNNNNNNNNNNNNNNNNNNNNNNNNNNNNNNNNNNNNNNNNNNNNNNNNNNNNNNNNNNNNNNNNNNNNNNNNNNNNNNNNNNNNNNNNNNNNNNNNNNNNNNNNNNNNNNNNNNNNNNNNNNNNNNNNNNNNNNNNNNNNNNNNNNNNNNNNNNNNNNNNNNNNNNNNNNNNNNNNNNNNNNNNNNNNNNNNNNNNNNNNNNNNNNNNNNNNNNNNNNNNNNNNNNNNNNNNNNNNNNNNNNNNNNNNNNNNNNNNNNNNNNNNNNNNNNNNNNNNNNNNNNNNNNNNNNNNNNNNNNNNNNNNNNNNNNNNNNNNNNNNNNNNNNNNNNNNNNNNNNNNNNNNNNNNNNNNNNNNNNNNNNNNNNNNNNNNNNNNNNNNNNNNNNNNNNNNNNNNNNNNNNNNNNNNNNNNNNNNNNNNNNNNNNNNNNNNNNNNNNNNNNNNNNNNNNNNNNNNNNNNNNNNNNNNNNNNNNNNNNNNNNNNNNNNNNNNNNNNNNNNNNNNNNNNNNNNNNNNNNNNNNNNNNNNNNNNNNNNNNNNNNNNNNNNNNNNNNNNNNNNNNNNNNNNNNNNNNNNNNNNNNNNNNNNNNNNNNNNNNNNNNNNNNNNNNNNNNNNNNNNNNNNNNNNNNNNNNNNNNNNNNNNNNNNNNNNNNNNNNNNNNNNNNNNNNNNNNNNNNNNNNNNNNNNNNNNNNNNNNNNNNNNNNNNNNNNNNNNNNNNNNNNNNNNNNNNNNNNNNNNNNNNNNNNNNNNNNNNNNNNNNNNNNNNNNNNNNNNNNNNNNNNNNNNNNNNNNNNNNNNNNNNNNNNNNNNNNNNNNNNNNNNNNNNNNNNNNNNNNNNNNNNNNNNNNNNNNNNNNNNNNNNNNNNNNNNNNNNNNNNNNNNNNNNNNNNNNNNNNNNNNNNNNNNNNNNNNNNNNNNNNNNNNNNNNNNNNNNNNNNNNNNNNNNNNNNNNNNNNNNNNNNNNNNNNNNNNNNNNNNNNNNNNNNNNNNNNNNNNNNNNNNNNNNNNNNNNNNNNNNNNNNNNNNNNNNNNNNNNNNNNNNNNNNNNNNNNNNNNNNNNNNNNNNNNNNNNNNNNNNNNNNNNNNNNNNNNNNNNNNNNNNNNNNNNNNNNNNNNNNNNNNNNNNNNNNNNNNNNNNNNNNNNNNNNNNNNNNNNNNNNNNNNNNNNNNNNNNNNNNNNNNNNNNNNNNNNNNNNNNNNNNNNNNNNNNNNNNNNNNNNNNNNNNNNNNNNNNNNNNNNNNNNNNNNNNNNNNNNNNNNNNNNNNNNNNNNNNNNNNNNNNNNNNNNNNNNNNNNNNNNNNNNNNNNNNNNNNNNNNNNNNNNNNNNNNNNNNNNNNNNNNNNNNNNNNNNNNNNNNNNNNNNNNNNNNNNNNNNNNNNNNNNNNNNNNNNNNNNNNNNNNNNNNNNNNNNNNNNNNNNNNNNNNNNNNNNNNNNNNNNNNNNNNNNNNNNNNNNNNNNNNNNNNNNNNNNNNNNNNNNNNNNNNNNNNNNNNNNNNNNNNNNNNNNNNNNNNNNNNNNNNNNNNNNNNNNNNNNNNNNNNNNNNNNNNNNNNNNNNNNNNNNNNNNNNNNNNNNNNNNNNNNNNNNNNNNNNNNNNNNNNNNNNNNNNNNNNNNNNNNNNNNNNNNNNNNNNNNNNNNNNNNNNNNNNNNNNNNNNNNNNNNNNNNNNNNNNNNNNNNNNNNNNNNNNNNNNNNNNNNNNNNNNNNNNNNNNNNNNNNNNNNNNNNNNNNNNNNNNNNNNNNNNNNNNNNNNNNNNNNNNNNNNNNNNNNNNNNNNNNNNNNNNNNNNNNNNNNNNNNNNNNNNNNNNNNNNNNNNNNNNNNNNNNNNNNNNNNNNNNNNNNNNNNNNNNNNNNNNNNNNNNNNNNNNNNNNNNNNNNNNNNNNNNNNNNNNNNNNNNNNNNNNNNNNNNNNNNNNNNNNNNNNNNNNNNNNNNNNNNNNNNNNNNNNNNNNNNNNNNNNNNNNNNNNNNNNNNNNNNNNNNNNNNNNNNNNNNNNNNNNNNNNNNNNNNNNNNNNNNNNNNNNNNNNNNNNNNNNNNNNNNNNNNNNNNNNNNNNNNNNNNNNNNNNNNNNNNNNNNNNNNNNNNNNNNNNNNNNNNNNNNNNNNNNNNNNNNNNNNNNNNNNNNNNNNNNNNNNNNNNNNNNNNNNNNNNNNNNNNNNNNNNNNNNNNNNNNNNNNNNNNNNNNNNNNNNNNNNNNNNNNNNNNNNNNNNNNNNNNNNNNNNNNNNNNNNNNNNNNNNNNNNNNNNNNNNNNNNNNNNNNNNNNNNNNNNNNNNACUCAGCAGACCAACGAUAUCACUAUUAAUAGAGUUUUUCAUCUGCAGAAAUAACCGUGCAUCAUCUUGCAUCCAAAGUUUUCUAGUGUGAUCAUUAGGAGGUUCCUCAGUCAAGUGGUCAUCUUUAGCAACACUUCUCAAAUAAAUUUUGAUAGUCUUGCUCCAUUCAAUAUAAUUAGACCCAUUUAAUUUGUGUUCAGUUAUUUUUGACACAAUAGGCACUAUAUCAGCAACAGAAUUCUUACUCUCUUCCAUGACAAUAAAAUUUAAUCUUCAAAGCAAUCAGCCAGACCAGAAAUUGCAAUUUACCACUCCAAGAAGAAAAAAACAAAUACCUCUCUUACAAGGUGACAAAAGGGUAAAAGGGUCAAAAGCGUGCGUCAAACCCUUGACUCCCUCUCUUUCUCACCCUGAAAGUCGUGAGUCGUGGCGACCAAGGCGGGCGAAGAAACUCAGAUCGGUCCGGCAGCACGAGCCGGAGACAGAGCAGGGCUGCUGACAAACGUGGGUCGUGUGUCGGGCCCGAGAAGAAUGGAGGCCGGGGCUUUCAAUGAUCUCGGACGACGCCGACUGGUUGAUUUCUGGCGUGGAUUUGGGCGCAAACACGGUGCUGCCGAUGAGGAAAGGCGUCGUGCUGAGUUUUCGGUGGGGGGCUUAGGGUUCCGGCCGAGGUGAAGACCGCGUUGACGGAGAACGGGGCGAAGAGAAGGCGUGAGAGGGUGGCGGGAUCUGAGAAGAAGGCGACAGCGAUUCCACAGUCGUCGAUGAAUCUUUGCGAUCCCUCGACAGUUGAUCGAACACCGGAUGAGAAACGUCGGAAAGUCAGAUCGAGAGAUGUGAAACGUCGGGACGUCAAAUCGGUGAAGAAACGGCGGCCUCAAGCAAUCCCACGCUCCGGAAACGAGAAUGCGCUCCUCCCUGGGUCGGCGGUGACGCAAUCCAGACCAAACACGUAACAGGUUACUGUUCCAGAUUGUUAGGAACAAAACCCAAAACCCAGAAAAUUCCCUUGAACCAAACGUGGCUCUGAUACCAUGUAACCGAAUCAAGGUAAUUCUCAAUUCCCUUGUCUUUAUUAGAUGAAUAAUACUUGUUUAUAUAUACAAUUGAGAGUCCUGAAUUAGGAAGGUAUUAUCCCUAAGGAAACAAUCAAAUUAUGGUAUGUACAGAUAUAUACAGCUAACAAAUUCUAAAUGUGAUCUUGGUAUCUUAAUGAUAGGCCAACUUUCUUCAAUGUUGCUAAAAAUUGCAGUCCAUAUAUACUACAUGGGAAUCCACCCAUGGACAAGAAAUGUAUGUUGCUCUAUCUUCACCUCUCAUUGUCUCACACCCUAUUGCCUCAAGUUGCAUUACCUGUCAUAAUUAAACACCUCUUUUAUCAUUGUGACAAAACAAGUUUUGCCAAAACGAUAUGAGAUUCCCUUUGAUUUCAAGUUAUGCAAGAUUUAUAAGAGCUCAAUUAUUCUGAAAACAUGAUUCAUAAAUACUACCCUAACAUUCAGUUCAUGAAUACCAUGUACCAGAAGAAGGCACUAAGAAAUUUAUGUCAUUUACUUUCAGGAUUCUAUCUUCAACUCUAUUUCAUGCUCAAUUGUUUUAUUAACUAUAGUUGCUUUGAAUGAACAUGUCAAAGUACAAGUACUAAACUAGUUCAUUUCCAGUCAAAUUACUAUUCCUGAUUCAUAGAGUAUAAACCCUUGCAAAUUGAAAUAAAGAAAAUUUACAUAUCAUUCAAUGGUCAUCUGUAAGCACUCUAUGUGUCUACAUCUUCCUCAUUUGGAUUUGGAAUUUAACUUCUGAUAAGUGUUUACUUGUUUUUAAUUUGUUUUUUAGGAAUCCAGUUAAUGAGAUUUUACCAACCAAAAACAAGGGUUUGUUAGCCCUCCUACCCUCAGGCUGGUUCUCUUGCAUAUGCUUGAAGAAUAUUGGAAGCCAAUUAAUAAGUCAUUGCAGUUUCAUAGUCUUAUAAGAAAUCUUGUUAUCGUGACAGGAAAAUAGACUGCAACAUAGUCUUAUUUCCCUUCAUGAUUUAGACAUUGUGAAUAUCAAAAACCUGUUCCCUGGUAAUAGAAGAAGAAAAUCAGCCAAAGAACAACAACAAAAUGUUUUGGCACCUUGUGGACUUGAAUUGAUGGUAUUCAGGUGGCAUAAAUAUACAAAAAUACACUUAACAAACUACUAAUCAGCAGGCCAAGAUUCUACUUCCAAGAGACAGGGUUGUCAUCCAUGUCAAGAAGGCUCGAACUUUAUUGUUGUGGGACUUUGGCAUCAACAAAUCUUUGGAAUUCUUUCAGAUUUCUAAAUGGAAUGGUUCAAGUCAUCAACACAUUCCCAUAAUUCUUUUGUAAAUGUCAUCAUCAUGGCCAGCUUUCUUUAGUUCAUAUGUACUAGAUGGACAAGAACCACAACACUUGUAUUAGAAACAUGUCUGUUGCCUGGAUUUGCAUUACCUGCCAUAAUUAAGAACCUUUUUAUUAUUAUAGUAGAGUGUUUCAAAGUCACCCAUACCUAGUCUAUCUCCAUGUCUCUCAAACAGUUCGGCCCAUUGGUAGCAAAAGAAGAGCAACUUGAAUAGUUGGUCAUUUCCUUUUUAGGAAUUAAUUGUACCGCAUUCCUAUACAUAAUAUGUAUAUUGUGAAGAAGAUUAUUUGACUUUACCCUUUCUCUUCUUUGUUUUUUUCAAUCUAAAUUGGAGUGGUGUGUGACUGUGUCACUAUUGCCAGAUUUAAAUGUUAAUGUCAUAGAAUGCAUUAAUAGUUUUCUAUUAGAAUAAUAGAAUCCAAUUCGACUAGAUACUAGACAUAAGUAAGCGUAGAAUAUAGAGCAAAGGAUAAAUGAAAUGAGGGAAACAAAUGAUUCUAAGAAGGGUUAUUUGUCUUCCUAGUCUUCCAUACAAGAAAGGAAUUUUCUACGUCCUUUUCUUGUGUCAAAAUAAUAAUGAUCCUCAACACCUUCGUCAAAAAUUCCUAUUCUUAGCUUAGAUUUUUUUCUAGGUUUAUCAUAAUUUUAUAUUUAUUACGUAUAAGAAGUAAUGGACAAAAAAAAAAAAGAGAAAUUUAUUGAACAAAUAGAACUUCUUCAAUAAAAUUAUAAAAAAAAUAUUUCAACUUUGAUUAGAUACUAAAAUAAAUAGAGUAAGAAUCUAUUAGUAUAGAAAGGAUAUUAUACUAUGUCAUCCAUAAAAUCGAGUGAUUCCUUAUUUCUUCUAACUUUGAAAGGAUUGAUAGAUACUAUCGAGGAGCAAAUGUUUUGAAUCAAUCAAUCAAGUUCGUUUUUCAAAAACAUCAUCAGAAAAAAAAAAUGAAAUGGAGUUUUUUUAAACAUCGUAAAAGAAGAUUUGUUUUUUCUGGCAUUUAUACGAAUAAAAUCUUAUGAUUAUUAAGAACUCAAUGGGACCUUCCCUCUCGAAUCAGAGCCAAAGAGGGCGUGGGUCCCAUUGAGUUCUUACGUUUUCAUGUCGACAACUCAAUUCAUCCAAUUACUACAUGGAACCAUAAAAGAAAAAGCCUAUUAAACCAAUCACAGGAAUACCAGUUACAGUACCUACUAGCCAAAGAGGAAUCCUUCCAGUAGUAUCGGCCAUUUACCCUACUUUCCUCCACAUUUCAUCAAGUGGUCAUACUAAAGACAUAAAUAGUCAUGGAUAAUUAUGAAAUGAGAUCCUUUCGAAUAAGAUAAGAGAAUUCUUACUAUUAUUAUUUAUUUUAUUAGUCUCUUUCGUUCUCUUAAUUCUUAAUUGAAAAAAUAAUUGGAAAAUAAAACAACAAGUACAAAAAUGAGUAAUAACCCCCAAUAAAGAAUGGUACGAUUCAAUUCAACAUUUUGUUCAUUUGGGUUUGAUUGUGUCAUAGCUUUAUAAUUUGGAUUAGGUUUAUUGUUCGAUGAACUGCAUUGUUGAUAUUGACCCUAAAAAAGAAAUGGUAGGUACAGCUAGUCCGUGAACAACCAAUCAUCGCACUAUAAAAAUUGGAUAGGUUUGAUCUAUGGUCAUUAGGGCCUCCUAAAAAGAUCUACUAAAUUCAUCAAAUUGUUCCAAAGGACCAAAACGACCGGUUAUUAAUGGAAUUCCUUGUUGGCUCUCUAUAAAAUGCUCGUCUGGCUGAGGACUUCCAAACACAUCGUAAGCUAAACCCAUGCUGACAAAUAAACAACCCGCAAUGAAUAGGGAAGGUAUAGUAAUGCUAUGAAUGACCCGGUAUCUAAUACUGGUAAUAAUACGGACUACCCAUUUCAAUUGUUGUGCUUUCUUAAAUUGCAUACCUAUACAAGGGUUCAAGUUUCGAUCGAUAUUUGCGGAGUUGAUCAUCCCUCUCGAAAACGAAGAUUUGAAGUGGUCUAUAAUUUACUGAGUACUCCGUAUAACUCACGCAUUUGUGUACAACCAAACAGACGAAGUAACACGAAUAUCUUUGGUAGUAAGUCCAUUUCCAUCAACCGGCCGGUGGGAGCGAGAAGUUUGGGAUAUGUUUGGUGUUUCUUCCAUCAAUCAUUCGAAUCUACACCGUAUAUCAAUAGAUUAUGGUUUCGAGGGUCAUCCAUUACGAAAAGACCUUCCUCUGAGUGGAUAUGUGGAAGUACACUAUGAUGAUCCAAAGAAACGUGUGGUUUCUGAACCCAUUGAGAUGACCUAAGAAUUUCGCUAUUUCGAUUAUGCUAUUCCUUGGGAACAGUGUAGCAACGAAUAAUUAAGAAUUUAAAUAGGUCCAGUUCAGGGGACAAAGAAAUAGGAAAUGUUAUUUGCUUCGUUAGAAUAAGUUCUAUGAAAUGAAAGAGUUUCACGGGAAUUGUCUUGAUCGUCGGAUAUCAUUAAGAUAUAGUUAUCGAACGAUUUCCUGCAAUUCUUCCCAGUAUGGAAUGAGUAAAGAAUCAAGUUGUAAGUCUCGAUCUAUACGAAAUGCACUGGGUUUUUUUGUCUUUCUUUAGGUUUCAUUGAUAGCAGAAGAGCCUUGCCUUACUCUAUAGGGGCACUAGCGCUUUACUUUAUAUUAAAAGUAAAGGGGCCUGAAAAAACGUAAUAGGCUGCUACUCUAGGCUUGCUUCACUUCUUCAAGCUCUACCCCUUAUUUCAAACUAAAGCACUAACACACCUUCUAUUAUUUAGUAAAGCAACCUUUAAUGCUAGGCGCUCCCUUUUUUUUUCUAGAUGGAAGCUAGCGACAGGGUUAUAGAACAUGCAAAGCGAUAGAUUCUAUGAGACUCUUCCUGAAUGGGAACCCGUGAAGGAAAAUUGCGAAGCUUCGCCGCCAUCGGAGAACCCUCAACCAUCAACCUCUCCAAAGAAAGGGCAACUCUUAAGAUCUACGACCACCCUCUCCUCUUCUUCAAAAAGCGACGAAGGUAUCCAAAAUCAGAUGACAAAUCCGAUCGACGGUCCUAGUCAACAGCAUAAGGACUUUCUUCAAAGCGAAGGAGAGGAAUGUGCUUCCAGACAUGCCAAGCUCCACAUAUUCUUGUACAGUCAAAGGACGAUCGAUUUCGUAAAAGAUGAGAUCAAUAAAUAGAAAUUCACUGAAAAUGGAUAUUUGUGAGAUCGUCAAUAUUGUACCGAGGAUGUCUUUAGAGUAUACUCAAUCAAUAUAACUAUCCUUCUUCUACCAUAGCAACACAAUUUCAAAAACUACAGCAUUUGAAUAGCUUGUAUUCAGGUGGACAAGAACUACAACACUUCUCUCAGAAACAUGUAUGUUCUUUCUUCAACUCUUACUCUAUUGCCUGGAGUUGCAAUACCUUCCAUGAUUAGUCAUCUCUUAUUUAUUCUCAUGGAGAAACAGGUUUUGGUGUAUGCAGAGACAAUAUACAAUUGUCGCACCUCUUGAUUUUUAAUCGUGUCAGACAUCUGGAAUUGUCAAGCUGAUUUAUGGCUAACCUUGCAAGGACAUCUAGUGCAAGAGAUUCAGAAUUAUACCUAUCUAAUCCAUCUCCAUUUCUUUAGAACAACUAGAUACUAUGGCCGAAAUCUCACGUAAGGUGUCAGGUUCAUGUUGGGGUUCAUUCACGAGAUUAAAAUGAAUAUAGCAAGGGAUGUUCUUGAUCUACCACCACCCAUGUUGUCAAGUUGUUCAAUGCCACUACAAGAAAAAAGGUCAUUAUUGACAUAUAUCAUCUUGACUUAAGAUAAUAUAUGUGAAGAUUGUCUAUUUAAAUGAACAAUUAUGACAUAUACAAUUUAGUUUAAAUCAACAAUGACAUAUAUAAUAGUUAUUGCAUUUUUCCAUGACUUAUGAUGAUGCAACCAUGACAAAUAAUUUAUAAGUCAAUCUAUAAUUAAUAUGUUCAUAUGUCAAGGUACCAAAAUGAAAGCAAUAAUGACAUAUAUAUUAUUUGCUAAAUUUUUCUUGGUUUAAUGAUAUGCAAUCUUGACUAAAAAUUCAUUAGUCAAAGUAUAGUUAAUCUUUUCUAUCUAAAUAAAAGUAAUAAUGACAUACAUGCAUUUGCUAAAUUUUUAUAUGGUUUAUAAUGACACAACCUUAAUAGAAAUUUAUAAGUUAAUAAAUAUUUAAUAAAUUAAUAUUUUAAGAUUAGAAUAUUUGGUACUGUCACUUUAUCAUAUAUUUUGUAAGUGAAAAUAAGCCUAUUUUAUUUUAAUUUAUUAAGGCUGAGUUAUUGAAAAACAAAAUCCUAAUUUAAGGAAAUUUUAUCAAAUUUUGGUAGUUUUUACAAGCAUAUUCAUUAUUAUUUUGAAUAGAAAUUUGUGAUUAAAAAGGAUAAGAUAAUGUUUCCAUUUAAAAAAGAAUAUCAAUAUAUUGAAAACUAUUCCUAUAAUCUUAUUUUAAUAUUUUGGAUAAGGCACUAAGUUAUGUCUCUAUAUUUCUAAUUGUUGGAAUUAAAAUAUAUUGCCACUAACUUGGGUCGAGGUCUCACAAGUAUUAGGUAAUUAAAUUAUUAUUUGUGUUUAAUUAGACAUUAAAUCUACUAAGAAUAACUUAAUUAGUAUUUAGGUAUUAUAACUAAUUGUAGACCACAAAAUCAAUCCAUAGACACAUUUCUUUUAAAAUAUUUUAAGCCCAUUUUAUUUAGUUUGGGCCCAUUACAUUUAUGCUUUUGCCUGAUGAUUUGUGCCCAAUUGGUGUCUCAGCUGAUUUGUGUCCAGUUGGUGCUCCUUGAUUGAGGGAGUAAUCAACAAAAUUUAUAACCUAUUACACCAUGAACUAGGGUAGCAAAGACAAAGCUACUAUAACAUAGUGGCUCUAGGAUCGUUCACUGGGAUGGGUUUUCACUUUGCAAAUGAUAUUAAUUCAAAGCUGAAUUGGUGCCUUUUCAUUUCAAGGUUAGCUUUAAAAGAAAACAUAAAGAUGUUUGAAUGAAAAAAAAAGGUUUGGUUUUAAACUAACCAAAAAUAGUAACUGAUUUUACUUACAAAGAAAAGUGUUUCUUGGAGUUUAGAUCACUAGGCUCAGGUUCAUCAUACAAAAAGGAGAGUUCUGGUCACUUGUUUCUUUUCCUCGCAUUAGAGAAUUAACAUAUAGUUAAUUCUCUAACCGGUGUGGUACAGAUGCUUCCCCUUAAUGGGUUCAAACAAUAAAUCCCUCUCACUGAUGCACCUUGUAAUGGCUCGUGCCUCUCACCUAGCAUUUGCCAUUUAAGGUGAUCUUUAACCUUGGAUUACCCGUCAAAAGCUCGCAAGAGAUAACUAAUGGAUGUCUCCUUGGAGUCCAAAAGCUUACCAAGUGUUGGCAAUUCUAGAAAAUCCUACCUUCAAGUCACCUCCCAGAGGCUCGCAAGGGGUAAACUAGUGAAUCUCCAUGGACGGAGAUCACUUGCCUUACCAAGUGUUGGCCCAGGUGAUUUAAAGGCGUUUUAAGUUAACUAAAAAGAUAAAAACCAUUAACGGGUUACACUUUCUCUUCAUUAAAAACUAAAACAACAAAACUUCCAAUUUUUGCAUGAGAAAACUUACCCGGCUUUCUUCACUCCAAGAGACGAAGAGCCUAGCCUCUCAUCCUCUAAGGAAAAAUCCUCAGAGUUUGAUUGGCUAGAAAGAAAACUAACGAGAAAACAAAAAUAUCAAAAAGAAAUAGAGCAAGUGCUCUGUUCGUCGAUUACAUAUAUGAUAUAUCUAUAUUUUACAAUGGAUGCAAGGGAAUAUAUAUAGAGAAGUUUUUCCAACCUUCCUAGCUAAGAAAUCUUAUGGUUGGUGGAUUACAAGGAGAAGAAUGGAAAUUUAUACAAAAAUAUCUGAAGAAAAGAUCUAAAAGAGUCGGUGCACAAAUAUCCCAGUUCGCAUGUAGAUUUCGCACGUUGCAUGGUGACUUGCGAAAAUCUCGCAAGUUGAUUUCGCAACUUGGAAUCCAUUUUCGCACGUUGAGCUCCAAGUUCGCAAGUUGCAAAAUCACUUUCGCAAGUUGGGCUUCUCUAUGACUGUGCGGCUGUAUUCCAUUUCCAUUUCGCAAGGUAGGCUUUAAUUUCGCACGUUGGAGUUCCAAAUUCGCAAGAUGCGAAUUUGUCCUUUAGAUGGAUGCAGUUGUCUUGUGAAGGCCAUAUCUUCCUCAUUUCAGCUUCAAUUCGUACACCGUUUGAAGCGUUGGAUUCUUGACUUCCUGAGCUUUGAAAUGGUAUAUAGCAUGUAGAAAAUGGACUUUGGUUAGUGCUCCAAAAGUGCGAAAGAAGACUGCAGCUGCUGUCCUCUAUUUUCUUCACUCUGUUUUUCCUCUCUCCGUUGUUCUUUCCUUGCAUACUUUGAACGACUUUGGAAAAGGGCUAUGGAGCUCCAGAGCUUGGUUCUUCAUUAAUUUGAGCUUCCAAAAUCUUUGUCAUGAACUAUAUACAGCUCUCCUUCAUUCUUGGAUUGCUUUGGUGUAGCUAAAAGCUAUCAAAAACACCAAAACUUAACACAAUUUGAUUAGAAACGAUUGCAAGGGUCCUUAACAUGUCAAUUGAGUUAAAAGGUAAUAAUUACUACUCAAAAGUGUUUAAAAGAGUUAAUUACAAGCUAUCAAAUAAAACACUUUUUGAGUAGUAAUCACCUGAGCCAUAAAAAAAGCUUGAUAAAUAAGUUUUUUGUUUUUCCUUUCUAUUCCAUUUCCUUCCACUUACAGCCGCCCCAUCUUCCCCAUCUUCCUUUUUCUCUUCUUUUCCUAUUUUUUUUCUUCUUUCUUCUUUCUUUUUUCAUCCUCUCAUCCUCAUAUUCAUGGUAGCCUCUACGCCACCACCUCCAUCUCCUGUGUUGUUACCAUCCAUGAGUCCCACACCCACCAUGCCACCAUCUUUAUAUUCCCCCAUGGCUAUUGUUCCCAUGUUCACUACGACUCAAACGUGCUUCCCGAUGUUUCGCCAUAACCCCGAUGUGAUUCUUGAUGUUCCAUCACCAUCAUAGCCACCAUUGUUGCAGCCCACAGCCUUGGUACCUCCUGCACUACCCAUUGAAUUUUGUUGGACUGACAUCAACACCACCAUCUCCAUGGUUGGGACUUCGUUCUUCAUCUUAGGGCUUCAAGAGACGUAGGUAAGUUUCCUUGGAUCUCUACAAUACUUGUUGAGGUAGUUUUAAUUUAAUUUUUAUAUGGGCUUGGGUCUCAUUUUCUUUAUGAUUGGGCUUCAAAUAUUUGGUGCAUGGGUUUGAUGUUAUAAUAUUUUAUUACUUGGGCCUUGUGUUUCAUUUGGUUGAGCCCAAUAAUAAGAGUAUCAGGCACACAUAAGCAGGUUGGUUCUUUGAGAGCCUUGGAGUUUUGUUGAACCUUAGGAUUGUUGAGGUCAUGCUUCACCAUUGAUUGGGCUUCAAGCAAGAGAUAAGUAUGGAUGAGGCUUCAUCCUGGAGGAUAUGUGAGUUUGAAUAUCCACCGUGUUUUACAUUGAAUCUAGAAUCACAAAAUCAAUUCAAUUACAAUUGAUGAUAUUAAAGGUCAAUAGGUGUAUUUAUUUUAUUUUUGUGAUAUUGAAGGUUAGUAUAUUUACUGUCCUAUGAAAAAAUCUUUUAAUUUUUUGGUAUUUGUUACUUAAUUUUGUGUUUAUUCUACUAGGUAUCUAAGAAAUACAUCAAGAAGAAGACAAUGAUGCAGAAACAAAGAUCACCUCUUAUGAAGAUAAUGUUGUACUUUUCAAUUUAAUUUUGUAUAUUAUUUUAAUUGAAUGUUUUUAGCUAGGUUUUGUUUGUAUAUAGAAAAUAGAGAGGUACUUGAAAAACACUUAUGGAAUUGUUGUUCUUAAUAUUUAAUGUAUAUGUAAUGAUUUUUUUUCUUAAAUAGUAAUUUAUUUAAAUUAUUUUCGGGACUUGAUUGUGAUUAGCAUAAUUAAAAAUACACCAAAUUUAAUUUUGAGAUAGGUUUCAUAUGGUAUAUAACAUGUUCAUUUUCCAUUAAAAAAUAAAAAUUAUAAGAAAAUAAUAUUAAAUUUUUCAUAAGUUAUAUUGACAUAUGGCUCAUGCCCAAUAUUGACAUGUGCAGUGGCAACUAUGACAUAUGUGAUACCAAACAUUGACAUAUAUAAAACAAUUAUGAUAUAUAUAAAAUCUAACCUUGACAUAUAUAUUUAGAAAUCUUGACAUAUGUGGGAUUAAUCAUGACAUAUAUGACGUCUGACCUUGACACUUGUUGGAGUAACCUUAACAAAAGAGUAAGUUAACCUUGACAUAAGAUCAAGUAAUCUUGUCAUUUGUUAAAUUCAACAUUGACAGAAGUAAAAGAAACAUUGAUAGAUAUCAUACUAUUAAGAUUUCAUCAUUAGUAGAAAUAGAGAAAUCUUGACAUAUGUAUAUGUCAAGCUAGCUUUAAAAUUUUCUUGACACUAGCAUAGAUGACAUAUACAAAUAGUAACCUAUCUUGAUAGAUAUAUCUUAUCUUAACGGCAAAAAACUGUCAACAAUGGCCUUUUUUCUUGUAGUGUGCUCUCGUGUUGACCAUGGCCACAGUCACAGUUGUGUGUCCUUUCCCGAAAGAAAUAGUCAUUUUGAAACUUUUAUCAACAACAGAACUUUCAUGUAUCUACUUUCAGGUACCCACAAAAAAUUGAGUCCAACUUAGCAUCCAAUAAAGAAAAAGUAAUAAUCUAAACAAGGGAACAAGUGUUUUCCUUACUCUUUUUCAGUAGAAACCUAGUUUAUUUCCAAUAAAUUGAAGAAGAAACUAAUUCUAAACAUGGAAGACAAGUACUUGAUUUCUGUUUAACUAGUGGAAUAUUCGAACGUAUUUACAGCUUUAGCAUUAGAAAAUUUUAACAAAAUCACUAAUUAACCCCCAAACCCCCACCCACCACAGAGAUAUGUUACAAAGAUUCCUCUACUCUACAUUGCAGCAAAGUGUAAGGGGUUUUGUCCUUUCUUCAUCGUAAAAUGAAACAACCCUUUUCAAUAAAAGAAUAAGAGAAAUUGAGAGUUAAGACCAUUUUCUUUCAUUGUACUAUCGAUUCCUCUGCUUCUUCCUCUCUUAGUUAAGCCAAAUAGUCUGUGGUUUCUCCGUUUUUUCUUCACUCCACAUCAAAAAGUAGCAUCUUAGGUUCUCCCAUCUCUCUAUCCCUUGUCAAAACACAUAAUUUAAUGUAUUGAUGUCUUGGAUUCCUCCUAGUUAAAAGGAAGCUUGAAAUAUCUCCACUGCUUCUAUGUUUCUUUGAGUCAAGGGAUAGAGUCUUGUUUUUCUUUCUUUGUUUAUUUGAGAUGCUAGAAGAGGUGUGUAUAGAACUAAUGUGAUGUCAGAGAGGUAUGUAGUAUCUGAAUUCCCUUUAGUCAUGCAAAGUAGCCUUAGAGAUUUUUGGAGGCUUGGGUAUUACAGUAUAUUAAGAUAUUCAAAAUGCAUUAUUACACAUCUUCUUGACUUCCGACAACUCAACUUGUUUUUCACAAUCAUAAAUAUGGAGGUAUUUAAUUAUGGCAGGUGAUAUGCCUCUCAGAAAUUGAUGUGAAAAGGUGGAGAUUAAGGGAUGUGCACUUGGUUUUGCGAAUCAAACAACCCUCAUUUAGUAUAAACCACAAAUUUUGGCAACUCAUGAUCCAUAAUUUUGAGCAUGGGAGGAAGCAGGCCUGUUGGAAAGAUAGGAGGAGACAGUUAAAAGCAUGCGAGAAUUCCAUGGAUGAGUUGCUCUUAUGAAUUAUUCAGAAUCCAUGAGAAACUUCAAAGCUUUUUCUUCUUUUUUUUAUCUUUUUUUUUUUCCUUUACAUAGUUAAUCAUCUUGUUUGAUGUUUGCCCUAUAGUUGGUCUACUGAUGGUAGGCUUCCUUUGGGUGGAAGUAAGGACUCUACACUAAAGGUAAAUUGUGGGAACUAUGUCUUUUUGUGGUAUUGAUGGGGUUAUCAUAUAGUUUUUUUUUUUUUUUUGAUAAGUUAAGGGGAAUAUGGGGUUAUCAUAUAGUUGAUUGAUUCUAUGGCUUCCUUAUAGCUUUUCAAGGCUCUAAAAAAAGAAAAGAACAAAGGUAGACCUAGGAAAAAUAUUCUUCCUGAUUUCAGUUACUCUUUCUAUAUGAACUCUUUAUUUUGGUAAAUUACAGUUAGAGAUGAUCAUAUAGUUGAACUAGGUUUGCUUCCUCUCCUUUCCCUUUCCUUCCCCUUGAGGAAAUUUUUUAUCAUUGCUUAGUUUUGACUACUCUGUUUCUUUUGAUCAUUGUGGAAUAGCAUCAUUAUAAGAUGUACAAGAAACAUGUUGUGGUGCAUUAUUCCUUUCUCUACCACCCAAAAUCUACUUUCCACAAUCAUAAAUAUCGAAGUGUUUAAGCAUUAGGUAAGACAUCUCUUGAUAAUGAUGUGAGAGAUAUAGACAAGUAAUGUUACUAAAUAACAAGAAUAUGUAUAUAAAAAAAAAAUAACAGAAUAAGAAUACACAUAUUUAUGUGGAAAACCUUAGACUGGAAAAACCACGGGUAGAGGAGAAAAAAAUUCAUUAUAUUAAAAAAUUGAUACAAAAGGGGAGAGAUGCGAGCGACUACUUUAUAAGCAUAGACAACAUAGCCCUAAUAUUAUACAUAAUUGCAAAUAUAUAUAUAUAGUGUGUGUGUGUGUGUGUGUAUGCGUGUGUGUGUGUGUGUGUGUAGGAGAGUAAUAAACAUCAUAACCCUAAAUUCUAUUGGCCCGAUCCCUCCGCUACCACCACAGACUCUCCAAAAAUCUCACAAAUUUUUCUUCACCACAUAUGUCGUAUCACGAGCUUUUUGGGUAAGACUAAAUAGAAUUCGAGUUACCAAACUCUAACAAACAACAUACCAGUAUUCACAAGAAGUGAUGUUCUGCUUUUUCACUUUACAACAUUCAUUUAGUUUGAACUUUAGAUUCAAGCAACUCAAAAUCUCCGCCUUCAUUAGGAUUGUAGGAAGCUAGCUUCUUGGAAAGACAUGAAAAUGGGGCAUUUAGAAAUAUGGAAGAAUCCCAAAGGCCAGUUGCUACUUUUGAAUCAUUCCAAUCAAUAACAACUCCAAAGAUAUAUACAAAUUUGUUCUGGGAAAGAGAUGUUUCCUGGGCAUGUAACCAUCUCUUUAAUAGACUCAGGGUUGUGCACCCUCUUAGUGAUUUCUUAUAUAUUGUAGUGAACCUAUCACACCCCAAACCCACUCCAAGGGCAUUACGGUCAUUUCACACGUCAAGCCCAAAGGUUCAAAGUAGAAACGAUACAAACAGUCGUAUUGUAACUGAAAAUUUACCAAUUACCAAAUUCCUAUUCAGAGUAGUAGGACAAAAUUCUAAAAUUUCUAAGUAUCAACUUAAAAAAAAAAAAAAAAAAAAAACUAAUAUAUCAACCAAAGUUUUAUUGUCCAAAUAACUCCAAACUCAAAAUAAUUCAAACGAGAAUUAAAUUUUAACAUUUAAACAAUGUCCAAAAUAAAAAGAGUUUAAACAAAUAUCCUAUUAAAGCCAAAUUUCCCUCCUAACGAUCACUCAUCGCUCGAACUGAGGUUACAUGAAAGAUUAUCAACAAAGGGGGAUGAGCUCAAAGCCCAAUAAGAAAUAUUAAUACAGUUUCAUGGAUCAAACAUUUUCAAUCAUCCUUGCAAAUAGGAAAUAUAACAUAUACUUAUUUCAUAAAAAACUUUUGAGUUCAAAAUGCUAAUACAUUCAAACUUUUCAACAAAACUUUCUCAUAUUCAUUUCAAAACCAAAUUAAAUACAUUCAAAAUAUCUUUACUCAGGUUAUCAAAUGACAAAUAGUGCCCAAUUAGGUGGGACUUCACAAUUGAGCAACUAGUUUCAAAUUUUUUCCAUUUAAGGUGAACAAAACCAAAUGUCAACAAUUAUAACUUGUUGACUAGGGUCAUAUAAUCUAAAGUCAAACACUUUAUUUCAUUAAUUCAAACUUACAAAACAAAACAUCGUAUCUCUUCAAUUUUUCAUUUUUCAUAAACAAAUAAAAUGCUCAAAUAUACUUUUCAUACAAAACAUAUAUUUGAUCCACGCGUAAAGAUAAAAAUAAUAUUUUUACACAUUUCAAAAUACAAUAUAAAAAGAAAAUUAUUUUCUUUUACAAAAAUCUGCAUUAAUUUCCCUCACCUCAAAUAAGUACUCAAAAACCUUGAAGUAUUUAACCCCGAAGAAUUUCGUCUCAAAGAAUCUAUUUCAAACCUAACAAAAACAAAAAGACAACUAUUACUAUUAACUAUUUAUCUAAAUUUAUAGGUUUGGGAACCCUAAUAAUUUUCUAUAUUAUGUCACCUAUUAUUUUUAGUAGGAAUUUUCUUAACUAAGUCGACAUACUUUUACAAGCUCUUCUUAAGCUUUGAGUGGUUCAUAGUUUUUCCUGUAUUUAGUUUUACAUAAUUUUGGUGAAAAGUGCAUGAGGAAGAACCAUAUAAAACCACAACUCACUUUUGGAUGCUGAAUCUACAAAAUAUAAAUUGAAAAAAAUAACGUAUUAGGAUAGGAUAAAUAAUAAUUUAGAAAACAACUCCACAAAUGAAAUAUUAAGUAAAUGCAAAUUUAAUAUUUUAAAAGCUUAAUAAACUCAAUUAAAGAUAUAACCACAUGAUAUACAAACUUGGGGAAACUUAUGACUACCACUAAUUUCAGAUGUCUAAAAUUUAUAUAUAUCUUAGACAACAUUUUGAUAUGUAAACUAAUACGUAAAUUUUUUUAAUUUUAAAAAGAAAAUUUGGCAGCCAAGCUAGAAAUUUAGCAUAUUCAUAUAAUAUAAAGAAAAAUAAAUUAACUAGAUGCCUUAAUGCAUUGCUCUAUCACACUAUUUAAUAGGAUUUAGAUACUACAUAUUCAAUGUUGUCUAAAAAGUCAACAUAAAUAAUAUAAGAGGGAAAUAACAUUUUGCCUUACACAAUUAAUCCUACUAAAAGUUUGUUUUGUUAAGUCACUCAUCUAAUACCAUAUUUCAAGAUGAAUUAUUUGAGCUAAUUUUCUCAAGGAAAUAAUUACUUUGGUGAUAGCUACAUAUUAGCUUAUUUUUAUGAUAUGAUGUAUCAAUUAAUAAUUGUCUUCAUUCACCAAGAUAUUGACAACGAUUUCAAUAUAUUGGUCGAUAUUAUCCAUGUUUAUUUUAUUGAAUGUCAAAUCAAUACCUUAUAAACUAAACAACAAAACAAUUAAUAAGUGUAAAAAGAAUUGAUAUUGGGAAAUCCAAGCCUAGGAAGUUUAAGGGGAAGUGAAGUAAAAUAGCCUUGACAAAGAAAAAAAUUCAAAGAAAUUGGUAUAAUAUAGCCAUGUCCCUCUACUUAGAUUUUCAAGACCUAGAAAUAUGGUUAGCUCCUGUAAAAAUUUUCAUUUCCAUGCUCUUUUAUAACACUUUCCCUUCGAUGUGACUAUUUCAAUAUCCUUUAUUUUAAAAAAAUAUUUUUACUUAAUAAGUGAAAAGAAUGGGGUAUUGUCUGUUUUACUUUGCUUAGUUCAAUGUUCAUUCCCAAGAAGUGCUUAUUCUUUAUACUCAAUAUCCUCACUAUGAAUUAGUUCUACUCCAGAAAUUACUUAAUGGUUGUAAUAUUUCAGGCGCACUUCUACCUAUCACUUUUAGCAAAUGUGAUUUGCUAGAGUAAUGUACUUAAAAGCCUACUGCAUCACUCAAGAAGAAUACCCAAACAAACCAACAUAGUCAUAAGGCACCAUAACAAGACAUACAGUAAUUAGUAACUUCGAUGAAAGAGAGGUUUUGUCUUUAUUUUAGUAACUUUGGCAUAGUUGAUGUUUGAAAAUGCUGAGGGAAUGCAUCCCUUCUGGCAGUGAUUUCAAUUGGGGGCAUUCAGAAAUCUAGCCUUUCCCUAAUAUCCUUCAUUCUAUGAUUCAUCCAGACCAAAAAAGCACCCAGCAUGUCUGUCUUUCUCCACAAGUCCUCCGUUGCUAAGUCAUCAACAUACUAUAAAACAUCUUUAAGCUUCUGUACCCAAGUUGUUACUGUUGCUCCUCUUCAGCAUCAGCAAGUACAAAUUUGAAAGAGGACAGUGUGUCCUUAUGCUUCAUAAACUCCUCUUGAACCAUACAUCUCUACAAAAACAAAAUACCCUAACCUCAUCAAAAGAUUGUCAACAAUAUUACUGAAUGAAAUUUGUUCAGCCAUCUUUCAAAGGUCUAAGGGAAAAUGAAAGGAGUUUUAGCAACAGAAAAAAAUGAGAAAAGCCAAGUGAGGACUGAAGGGUCUGAAUAAACUUGGGUGUGUUUGCUCUGUUCAAUUCAAGUGGGAUUAAUUACUUGACCCUCAUGAUUGACCUACCUACCAUAUUUUUCAUUUUUUUUUCUUAUUAAAAUUUUCAGACAAAUAAAAUUACUUGAAAAUUACUGGAUAUUACUUAUUAUUUAAAAAUUAAAAUAAAAAUUGCUAACCUUCUUGUAAUAUAAUUAGUAAACAUAUUUUCGUUUUAUAAGUUAUAAUCAAACCGGUUUAUAUAUCCUAUUUUUAAAAAUAACAAAGACAGAAAAUUGUCUGAAAAUGUGAAUCUCAAUAAUGAACUACACCUAGAGGGGGGUGAAUAGGUGUUGUAGAACAAUUUAAAAAAUCCUUCCAACAAAAAUUACCUAACCUUAGACUAUCUUAAUGUCAAGAAUUUUUUCUUCUAAUAACUUUUCAACAAAGCAAAACAUCCACAAGCAAUAAUGUAUGCAUCAACACUCUCCCAACAAUUUAUAAGUGCAAAACACAUGCAAAUGCUUCAACACUUCUCAAAAAUAAAUCAAAAUAUAGAGUGAGAGAAAGAGACAAUGAACACCGGAUUUUUAACGUGGAAAUCCUCCGAAGAGAUCAAAAACCACGGGCCUAUCACCGAUUGAAAACUCCACUAUGAAGAAUAAAAACUGAGUACAAGGUUUUACCUAGCUCAAGCCAACCAAUCCUUCCCGGAAUACUUGACUAGUACCUUCAUUUUCAGCUUCCCCUUUUGGAGCAUACUUGGAGUCCGCACCAAGCUCAAUCUCGGCCUCUUCUUGAAUCCACACAAGAAGAAAAUGGGUUUUUGCACAACCCAAAUAGAAUGAGAGAUUUAGAUGUGAAUGAAAGAAUGAAUCAACCCAUUUAUUGCUCAAGAAAAUCCAUUGAAAACUAGUUUUGAAAACAUUAAGAGAAGUGGAUUUUCUUUGCAAUCAAAAACCCCAACUUAGGAAAGCAAAAAUGAGAAAUGAAGAACACUUGGAGUGUGGCUGCUCUAACCCAUUUUCUGCAGUCUCUCAUUUUAGAAAAUGAGAGAAGAUUGGUUUUUAAAGUGUAAAAAGAAACCCUUAAUCUAAUGGCUGAGAUUUGAUCAAAAAAACAUUAGUUGGAUAGAUCCACCCCUACACUUGGAUCGAUCCAGAAACAGAGGAAUGAAAGCCUUGCACCAAAAACCAUUUUUCCCAACUUUCUAACACAUUUAAAGAUUAAAAACCGGGUUGAUUCACACCCAAUCACUCCACACUCGACUACAUACCUCGGCCUCUUAGCAAAGUCUUAGUCUUCAAAGUCAAGUAGUCCGAAUAGGAAUAGGAAAGCCGAGUUAGGGGACACUUAGGAAUUUUGUCUGGAAUUGCCAACCUAGCUAAACACUCACAUUGUCCAUUGAGCACCUAAAUAUUUUAAACUCAUUAUAAUAAAAAAAAAUGUCCAAAAUAUUUAUUAAAAAAACUAAUUUAAUUUUAUAAUCAUUUUUCAACCCAUAAAUUAUCAAAAAAUAAACUAAAAUCUUUAUCAAGGUUUUUCUAAGUAGAAUUUAAAAAAUGAGAAAUUAAUAUUUUGAACUCCUUAAAAUCAUUAAAUUAAAAUUUUAAAAAAUAAAAUCUGUUUGAUUGUAUUAGAAUCGACAAUAGAAAUGCAAACAUGAGUUUAUAGCUCUUAACAUAUUAGAUUAUGAAACUAAAUGUAUUUUAGAUAGUGGAGUUAGUUCAUACAACAGAAAGGAUGAGGUAUCCAAGAUGUCAAAUAAGGUUGGGGUUGAAGGAAGUGAAGGGAAAUUACCAUAGAUGUGAAAUAAAAAAGGUUGUGAUCCCAUAAGACAUCACUUGACAAUAUCCAAGAAAAUGAAUGACAAAAUAUCAGAAUAUCAACAAGCAGAUUGCAUACUUUAUAUCAAGGUACUUAAUUGUUAUGAUGCAAGCAUUUGAAAUUUUUUUGGUGCAAGAGCUCAAACAUUUCCUAAUAGAUCAUACCGGUGGGUUGAUGCUAGAGAUGUUGUCAAUGCACACAUUCAAGCAUAUGAGAUCCCAAAGCCAGUGGAAGAUAAUGCUUAGUAGAGAGGGAUUUACACUAUUCCGAGACACUGAAGAUUUUGCACAAGCUCUACCCUAAUUUACCCCUGCCCAAAAAGUAAGUUUCUAUUAGUUAUUGGUAGUAUUCGUUUGUGACAUCAUUAGAGUACUUGCCAUUUAAUCUUCUUUUUUUAAUCGUUUGUAAUAUUGUUUGUUGUAAUAGUAGAAUGAUUGUUUCUAUCCAUUAGAUGUAAAUAUGGUGAGACAAACCAUAUUUAAAACCCUACAUGCCUCGUAUUAAUAAUUUAUUUUUUCUCUUUGUAUUAAUGCAUCAAUAAAUGGUAUUGAAGAAAUUACUUUUACAACAAAGGUUACAAGAUUAUAAGUAGGAUCACUUUGAUACAAUGAUGGGAUAAAAGAAAUAGAUGGGUUUAUUGAAUGCAAACCUCCAUACAUAAAUGAUAGAGACUUAACUUGUUCAAUAUAAGUUCCUUGAUGUAAAAUAUCAAUUUUUUUCCAAAGUCUUUAUGGCUAUUGGCCUUUCCAUGGAAUACCAAAGAAAAAAAAAAAAGAAAAACCCUCCUUACCUGAGCAUUCAUUUGAACCUUGUUUCGAAGAAAAAAGUUUUAUUAAUCCAAACCCUUUUGAUUUAUAUAUGACAUGGGACUAUGAAGAGUUUUAAAACAACUCAAAGAUAACAAUAAAAAUUGAGGUUAAAUAGUGAAAACUACAUUAGAUUCCAAUAAUAGUUUUAUGAUAUAAUGUUUCAUUGGCAGGUUUCAUAAAAAAAUGAAGUAUUCUAUGAAUACGACUUUCGAUGCCAAAUUUUGAAUUUUCUAAUUCCUUAGUUUAGUGGUGGGUCUCGUAAAAAUUGAAAGUUGUGGAAAAGUAGAAUAUGGACACAAUUUUUUACUUAAUGAGUAGAUUUUACAACACCUUCAAGUAAUUACCCUGAAAAUGAUAGGUCAUUGCAUUGAAAAUGUAUUAAAUUUAAUUGAGAGAUUAUUUAUAAAAAUAUCAUCAUUUUUUAAAAGAAUAAUAUGAUCUUACCAUCGUCUCCAGUUGGAAAGCAAUUUAUGGUGGUGCUAGAUUUUUCUUAAUAUAUUCUUGUUCCUUUUUCUUUUACUUUUUUUUUUCUUUUUUUGGUGCAUAUUGUAAGGUUUCAAGUUCCUUUAGAAAUAUGAACAAUGAUGAAUGAAGAGUUAGAAAUUUUGGAACAUUAAGUACAUAGUUAAAGCCAUGUUUAGAUAGUUGAAAUUCCUUUAAAAAAAAAUACAAAAAAGAAAAAAUGAAAGAAGUUCAAAUUUUAUUUGAUUAUCUUAAAAAUAUCAAAGAAAUUACAAAUAAUGAAAAUUGUUUAGAUUUUAUGUACUUUCUAAUAUUUACUCUUUAUAGACAAAAAAACAAAUAAAUUUUUUUUAGGUUCUGAAAAUCAUUAAACUUAAGCUUAAUAUUUAUUUUUCUUGAUUUUUAGUGUCUUUCUUAAUUUUCCUUUAUAAUGUUUCCCACUUAAUCCAAAACUUUCUAAGGUCUAAAUUUCACGGCGUUUCAUCUUCUUUUUAAUUAAGAAGUUUUGAAUUUUUCAAUUCAAAUUCCAAAAUAGGGUAAUAAAACUUUAAAAUUAAUAUAACAUCUUAGACGAAUUUGGUUGAUUUGGUAAUCAACUCGAACCAAACUUGAAUUAAGAAACAUUCAACCCUAACUAACCAGAUAUAGCCUCAAAUAUGAGGUGUUUAAUUCAAACUCAACUUAUUUCUAUAUAUUAAAGUUAGGCUUAAAUUGACUCAGGUAUACUCGUAGUUGAGUUGUUUAAGUUGUAUGAUCAAAGCUAAGUUUUGUAAGAUUGAAUUAGGGUGAACUCGUUCAUAAUGUUUUUUUUUUUUUUUAACUUCUUUUAUAUCAUAAUUUAAAUAGAAAAUAGGACAACAUUUAAACAUUAUUAAAAAAAAUGAGAAUGAAUUUAUGUAUCUUUCUAACAAAAAUGAAAUAAUAUAAUUAAAAUUUAAUAUUUUUCUUUAAAUACUAAAAAACAUAAAAUAGAUAUUAUUAUAUAAAAUAAAAUAAAUUACAAAUAUUAUAAAAAUAUAAAAUUAGGUUAUAUAUGUAUGUAUGUAUAAAAUAGUAGUGUGACUGAGUGUUUGCUACUUGUAAAAAGUAUUUUUGCUCUUUUUUUAAUUGAAAUUAAUAAAAAGAAAAAGAAAUAAAAUGUUUUCAAAAAUAUUAAAUGCAUAACUAAAAUUAUGCUAAUGAAGUUUUUUGUUCUUUGUAAUUUAAAGUUGUCUCAUUCAUAUUUUAAGGUAAACUAAUAGAACAUUAAACUCCCAAUAUUUUAUCCAUCUAGAAUUUAUCACCAUUUUAUUUUAUAUCAUAUCAUAAUUAUAUUAAUUAGUGCCUUCAAGAAAAAAAAAAUUAUUUAUAUGUUAGACAACAUGGAAAAGAUAUAUUUUUUUAAUGCUUAUUAAUAAUUUUUAUUUCAAAUUUUAAAACAUGAACAUAUAAAUUUUAACAAUUAUGAAAUAUUAGUCUAAAUAUCUUUUAAUAUUUGGUUAUGUUUGCAAAGUGUUUUUAAUAAGAAUUAUGAAAAAAAAUUUUGAGAGUAAUUUAUGAAAAUAUUUUUUUAAAAAAAAUAUGUUUUAAAAAUAACUUUAUCUUAUAUAUAGUUGUGGACCCCGCAUUUCGGCUUAUGAGUUUUCUACUCGAUGGCAAGCUCGAUUUUAAUUUGAAAAAUGAUUUUUAUUGAUUAAGAAAAUGACUUGGAGUCGCCACUUAUUUUUGUUUUAUUUUUAAAAGGAUAAACAAAAUAAGAAAGAAAACCCUAAGUGCGACUCCUUAUUUUGGAAAAGGUGAUCUACGAAAAACUGGAUCAGACUCGGGGGUCAGGUUGCUUAUCGAGAAGGUACGGUAAAGACCGUAGCACCCCUCUAAGUCCCUAAAGUCGGGUCUCUACUAAUAAAAUGAAGCUGACAUGGCAAUCAAUAGGAAAAUCAAUGGAUACUCAAAUCGAUUAGGUGCAUAUGGGAAUCGAAACAUGCAAUAAAGAAUGACCAGAAUAGGAGUGGAUGCGUACCUGGACCACGAACGAAUAAUGCGCUAUCAUAGAAAUAGAGUCAGUGCACAAUAUAGAGCCCGAAACACAUCACAUGCAUCACUAAGCAGGGAUUAAAAUUGGUAGAAGGAAAACUCGAUUUUUGAAAUUCAUUUGAGAAUCGAAAUCUUAGCGAUCAUUUGAAAAUUGGAGUUUUGGAGAUUAUUUGAAAAUUGAAUUCUUAGGAAUUGAAUGUAAGAAUGAGAAUUUUAGAAAUUAAAUUUGAAAGAAAAUUGGGAUUUUGAGGAAUUAUUUAAAAGUUCGGGAUUUUUUUAAGAGAAAUUGAGUUUACGAAAAUUGGGACUUUGGGAGUUGAAUUUUGAAAGGGAUCAGAGUUGUGAGUUAUUUGAGAAGUAGAAAUUAUGAAAGUUGAUUUAUAAAAAUUGGAAAUCUUGAAAAUCAUUUGAAGGCGGACCUUUUAGAAACGAAUGAAUAAAAUGAUAACAAUAAUAGUGAUAACAAUAAGUGAGUAACCGGAUAAAUACGAUAAUUGGAAUAUUGAGAAGUGAAAAUUAAGUUCGGAGAUAGGACAAUUGGAAUUUCGGAUGACUAAAUUUAGAAAUCGGAAUUUUGAAGAAUUAGACUUUAAUGGUUGAGAUCUUUAAGAGGAAUAAAUAGGUAAGUAUAGAAUAAUGUAUCUAAUUAACGGAAGCAAAAUUUUAAACGAAUAGAAAAUAAAUAGUGGAAUUUUUAAGAUUGAAAAUCAAAUUAGGACGUUGGAUUUUUGAAGAAUUGAACUUUAAAUAAAUAGAUAAGUGGGGGAUAAUAAUUCUAAUUGAUGAAAAUAAGAUAUAGAAGAAUAGUUGAAGAAUUAAUUAAAUUAAGACAUGAGAUUUUUGACGGAUUAGACUAGAUAAAUAUGGGAUAAUGGUUCUAUUUAACGAAAAUAAGAUUUAAACGAAUAUUUGAAGAAUUAAAUUAAGACAUGAGAUUUUUGAAGGAUUAGACUAGAUAAAUAUGGGAUAAUGAUUCUAUUUAAUGAAAAUAAGAUUUAAACGAAUAUUUGAAAGAUUGAAUUAAAACAGGGGAUUUUUGAAGGAUUAGACUUUAAAUAACUAGGUAAGUAUGAGAUUAUAAUUCCAACUGAUGAAAAUAAGAUCUAAACGAGUCAUUGAAAAAUUAAAUUAAGACAUUGGAUUUUUAAAGGAUUUAGACUUCCAAUAACUAGAUAUAUACGGGAUAAUGAUUCUAUUUGAUGAAAAUAAGAUUUAAACGAACUAUGGAAAAAUUAAAUCGAGACAUGAGAUUUUUGAAGGAUUUAGACUUUAAAUAACUAGAUUUAUAUGAGAUAAUGAUUCUAUUUGAUGAAAGUAAAAUUUAAAUGAACUAUUGAAAAAUUAAAUUGAGACAUGGGAUUUUUGAAGGACUUAGACUUUAAAUAACUAGGUAAGUAUGAGAUUAUAAUUCCAAUUGAUGAAAAUAAGAUCUAAGCGAGUCAUUGAAAAAUUAAAUUAAGACAUUGGAUUUUUUGAAGGAUUUAGACUUUAAAUAACUAUAUAUAUAUGGGAUAAUGAUUCUAUAAGAUUUAAACGAACUAUUGAAAAAUUAAACUAAGACAGGGGAUUUUUGAAGGACUUAGACUUUAAAUAACUAGGUAAGUAUGGGAUAAUGAUUCUAUUUGAUGAAAAUAAGAUUUAAAUGAACUAUUGAAAAAUUAAAUUAAGACAUGAGAUUUUUGAAGGACUUAGACUUUAAAUAACUAGGUAAGUAUGGGAUUAUAAUUCCAAAUGAUGAAAAUAAGAUCUAAGCGAGUCAUUGAAAAAUUAAAUUAAGACAUUGGAUUUUUGAAGGAUUUGGCUUUGAAUAAAUUAAUAAGUAUGGGAUUAUAACACUAAUUAACGAGAAUAAUAUUUAGGCGAAUAAAGAUGAAUAGUAGAAUUUUUGGGAUUGGAAAUUUAAUUCAGAAGUUGGAUUUUUGAAGAACUGGACCUUAUAUAAAUAAAUAGAUAUGGAAUAAGGAUUCUAAUUAACAAAAAUAAAAUCUAGACGGAUAAUGGAAUUUCUAGGAUUGAAAAAUUAAAUUAGGACAUGAGAUUUUUGAAAGAUUAGAAUUUAACUUUAAUAAAUGAGAUUUUUAAAAGAUGAUAAAUAGAUACAUGCGAAAUAAUAAUAAUAAUAAUAAUAAUUGUCAAACAUGAUAUUUAAACGAAUGAAAUUGAAUAGUGUAAAUUUCGAGAUUGAAAAUUGAAUUUGGGAUGUUGGAUUUUUGAAGAAUUAGAAUUAGUUUUUAACGAAUGAGAUUUUAAAAGAUGAUAAACAAAUACAUACGAAAUAAUAAUAAUAAUUAACAAUCAUAAUGUUUAAGCUAAUGAAAUUGAAUUGUAUAAAUUUCGAGAUAAAAACAUAAUUAACAAUAAUAAUUUUUCUUUAAGUUGUCUUUAAGUUUGAGUUAACUAAAUUGGUAAAAAUGAAAUAAGAAAAAAAUAAAAAUGAAUGAAUGACUUAAUAAAUUACUAAAUUAGAGGUUUUAAAAAAAAAAAACUUGUUUAGAAAUGAAAUAGCCAAAUGGGCUAUCUUGAAAUGGGUAUGGCCCAUGAGAGGGAUUAGUUUGAGGAGCAAUGAGGCUCCCCAUCAAUAUGCUUGGGCUGGGCUCCAAACUCAAGCCCAUAUUUGAUACUAUGGGCAAGCCCAAUGGGCUAACUUGAUCACAAACUUGGGCUUGGUGCUCCAACACAAGCCCAAAGCACCCACCUUUUCAACACAGCCCAUUCAUUUAAGAGAAUAUUGCCCUCCAUCAACACGCCUAGGCUGGGCUUCUUCUCAAGUCUAAUGUCCAUCAUGGACAAGCCCAAGCCCAUCACCAACACAAACUCCAUCACAGCCCAAGGCAUCCCUCUCCAUCUGGGCAACUCCUUCAGGCGAGGCCUCCACCAGCAGCGACGUAAAAGAGAGGGGAAGGGGUGGUGGCUUCGAGGGCGGCGCUGAGACGGUGGAGAUAUAUGGCUUUCGAAGCCACGACACCAGCAAGUGGAUGUCUUCGCCGAUGGCGCCGUCGACCACGCCGCGGAAGCAGUCGAAGAGGACGGCGCGCGGGCCGCCGUCGACGGCCUAGAGAGAGGCGCUCCGAACUGAAGCAGCAGCGCCGAACUCCAAAGGCGGCUCUGGCGAGGUUCGUGGGGAACGAAAGGCUUGCUUGGCUGCUGCCCGUUCCCCAGCCACUGAAGAGGGCUCGCGCGCAUAGAGGUCUGAGUGAUGGUGGGUACGCGGAUAUAGAGAGAAAAGGUGGUGAGGGGUGGGAUUUGCAUGAAGAUGGGUAUGGAAAGAUGGGUGUUUACGUGGAUGUUGCAGGGUUGGGAUGGAGUGACGAAAACUUUGUGUGGCCAUGCACGGCCAUGCAAGCAUGGGGGAAAUGAGCUUGACGAGUAUUGGAGUAUGGGUAUGAAGAUGGGUGUGGGGAAGUGAAGGCGGCCAUGCAUGCAUGCUUCCUAUGCGUGAGUGAGAAAUGAAACUAGGCGGGUGGGGAGUGGAUGAUGGAGGGUGGCGAGUGGUGGAAUGACCAUGGAGAUGAUAUGGUGCAUGAUGGAUGGGUUUGGUGAGAGAAACGGGUAUUUGAAAGGUGGGUAGGAUGGGAGAUAAAUUGAUGGGAAACGGGUACUGAGGGAGCUAGUAAGAGAAUGGUGGUGAGGGGUGGCGGAGAGUGGAGGAAAUGAAGGUGGCAAAGUAUUGAUGAUGGGUAUGGUGGAGGGACUGCAAAUACCUCAUAUGAAAUCUCAAAACAGAGCCAAGAAGACAUAGAAAUCAAGCACAAAAUAGGUGUGAUCAAACUCAGAUGUUAAAAGCAAUACGUAAGGAUCUCCUAUACUCACAUUCGGACACCAGAAUAGGAUCUCACAAUACCCAAAAAAAAAACGACAGAAUGGCGUGAACACGAAAGCAUCAACAGCAUAUGGAAAUGAUACCUGUGACAACCUCCUUCAAGAUGUCUCACCGGCGUGUUUCCUCCUAUCUCUGACUAGCUCUCUCUCGUUUUCCCCUCCGAGCUCCUCCCAAGAAAAAUCACCAGUCUCUCCUUUUCCCCUUUUCUUUCCUCCUUCUCCCCCCUGUUUUCUUAUUUCUUCCUUGGCAAGCCAUUACUUGCCCUGCUGUUCACCCAUCAGCAAGCAUGGCCGGCCAUCACCCCCUUGCAGCCGUACGUCUCAUGCAUCCGGGAUCCAUGCCUCCCGUGGGGUCCCCUACCCCUUCUAAAAAUAUCAUGAAAAGUCAAGAAAUAACAACUCCCCGGGCCCUCACCACCAAAAGGGGUACUUCUCUAUUUAAAAUAACUCUAUGAAAACAAAUGGAAAUAAUUAAAAGAUUUAUUUUAAAACACUUUAUUUUUUUAUUUUUAUGAAUAGAAAACUAUUCUUUUUUUGUCAAAUAUGUCUUCUUGUUUUUGUUUUUCUAAAAAACAAAAAACUGCUUUAAAAAAUAAUUAGCAACCAUGCUUGAACCCAAAGCCCGAAGCUCCUGUGGGGCUGGUUUUGGGCCUUUUAGGUUUGGGAAAAACAGUCGGGCCUGGCUGAGCACAAAUUCUUCUCUUUUAAGUCCAAAAAGCCCGUCUGAAGCCCAAACUUUUGGGUUGGGCCGGGAAGCUCCUGGCUUAACACAAAUUCUUCUCUUUUAAGUCCAAAAAUCCAGUCUGAAGCCCAAAAUUUCGGGUUGGUCCGGGCGGGCGGGGGGCGGAUAUGAAAUAUAAGAAAAUAGAAUAUAAUUAUUAUUACGAUAGUGGAAUCUGAGAAAAGGUGGUGAGUGUACUACAAUUUUGAUCUUUUGCAGCAGAGAGUGAGAAAUGAGCGGGCAAGGCAAGGUGGUGUGCGUGACCGGAGCUUCUGGGUACAUAGCCUCAUGGCUGGUGAAGCUCCUGCUCCAAUGCGGCUACACCGUCAAAGCCACAGUUCGAGACCCAAGGCAGAUCUCUUCCCAAUUACAAAACUUCUCAUUCCCGACCCCACUUGCUAUUGUCCCCAAUUUUCUUCUUUCUUUAUUGUUUCAGUACUUUUCAAGCAUAAUGUUAGUUUUAUGCAUGUGGGUGGGCCGUUAUUUAGCAGUUUGAAACUUAGAUUGAGUGGUAUUUUGAUGGGUCUUUGUCCUUUUUCCUUUUUCAGAAGUUUAAUCUAUGAUUGAAAGUCAAUAUUCAGUACUCGGGUCUUUGUGUUGUCCUAAUUUUCUUGGAAUUAUACUCUCUACAUGGUUCUACAGGGCAAAUUGAUCGAGUUUAUGCUAUUAAAAAUGAUUUCAGAUACUUUCAGAAUCAAUCCAUCUCAGAUUCUGCAUGUGUUCCUUCUUAAUUACUACUAUUCUUGUAAAAAAAUUUGCAUUUAAUUUACAAGACACUGGGGGGGUCUAAAAAAGAAAAGCAAAGGGAAAGAAAGAUUUUCCUUCAGCCAUACCAAAUUGUUUUGGAACCAAAAACUCUAAAUAUGGGCCUGUGUUCUUUUUGGAAACCUAUUCUUGAAAAUAAUUUCAGAGAAACGAAGAAAAUCUACAAAUUUUUGUACAAUUAUUUGGCUUUAUUGCAAGCUUUUGUUGUUAUACAAACAAGACAAGAGGACAGUUUAGGUCUUCAUUUUGUUUCUUUGCUGUUCUUCGGUUUCCUCUUCAAUGCCUUUAGCUCUAUCUAUUGUUAGUAUUUCAACAAAUUGUACAUCACAACUGAAGUUUCUUGCACUUUGAAAAUCCAAUCAUCUUGCAUAAAUGAUCCAAAAGCUUGCAAUUGCAGUUGAGAAAAUGACUACUCUACAUGCCCCAUCCAUUUUACUUCAAUCCCCAUUCUUUUAAGAAGAGCAUAGUUGAACUUCUUAAUAUUCUAGUCAUGCGACUCAUGCUUCCACUGUAUACUCCUUAUGUACUAGGGUUUCCCCAUUUGGGGUUGUUUUUUUCUAUCACAUAAUACAUGUUCUUACCAAAAUAAAGUUUUUGUAAGCUUUCAUUCUUCUUAUUUCCAUUUAACAUGCAAGUUGUGCUUAUAUAUGCCACAGAUGAUCCAAAGAAGACAGAACACUUGCUUGCACUUGAAGGUGCUAAAGAAAGGCUUCAUUUGUUUAAAGCAAACUUACUUGAAGAAGGAUCCUUUGAUUCUGUGGUUGAUGGAUGUGAUGGAGUAUUUCAUACAGCAUCCCCAGUUGUGAUGAUAGUUGACGAUCCCCAGGUUUAUCCUAUAUUGGUUCCAUUCGGAUACUGUAAAAUUUAGCAUUGUCUAUAUUCUUUUUCAAUCAGUUACUGAUCUUGAAAUUAGUAACUAAUCAUGAAUUGUUAAUUUGCAUGAUUCUUCUUUCUGUAUGUGGUUUCUUCAACUGAUCCAAUGGUAGUGAUUGCUGAUUUCACUAAACCAAUACAAUGGUGGAAAAGAGAGACUGAUAUUGGAUUUUUUAUAUUCUGCUUAUGUGCAAAAAUAUUGAAUAGCUUUUUUUUUUUUUUUUUUCUUUCUUUCUUUCUUUCAUUCUCCCCCCUAAUCCUUCCUUUUCUCCACUUGUUAUGUUUGUUCAAAAGAAGAUAAAGGCCCUUUGUCUUGCAUCAAUUAGAACCAAAAACCCUGUGAAUAUUUAUUUAGGAAUGUAUAACUUCCUUGACAGCAGCAUGGGAAUGCUCACACCGUAACAAGGCUAUUCCAUGGAAAUUUAUGGUGGCUGAUCCAAACACUCCUUGUGCUUUUUUUGUUUUGAUAGGCAAAAGGGCAGAAGACGUGUUAAAGAGCCAAAAAAAAGGCUACACCAAGUACAUAGGAAAUACGCAUGUGCGCACCAAAGAAAAAACACAAAACCCUCUUCUUAAUGGCAACCUAACCAAUCGAUAAAAUCAAUCAUAUACAAGGACUCUUGCCCUAGACCCCCUUUGGUCCAUUCUAAAAAGUUACAAAGAAAAGAGAAUUUUAGCUCUUGAUAUGAAAGCUCAAUAUUAUCAAAAGCCUUUCUAUUCCUCUCUUUUCAAAUAGUCCAAAACAAACAAAGAAGUGCAACAUUCCACACCUUUUUUUUCCUGUCCCCAACAGAUCAGCUAUGCCAACUAAGAAGCGUUGCUUGGACUGAGGUAUGCAACACCCAAACCACUACAAACAAGGAAAAAACUAAUUGCCAUAACAAACUAGCCUUAGAACAAUGAAGAAGGAUGUGAUUGAAAGAUUCCUUCUCGUCUUUACAUAAAAAGUGUUUGUUUACCAAAGUCCAACCUCUCCUCUUCAAAUUGUCCAUAGUUAGAAUCCCCUUCCAAGUUGCUUCCCAAAACAAAAAAAAAACUCACUUUUAUUGGAGCCUAAGAAUUCCAAAUAAGCCUUGUCGGGAAAGAAUCUGAACCCCUUUGAACCAUCCCAUCUUAGAAAGAUUUAACUAAAAAUUGGUGGGCCUCCCUUUGUAGCCAUCCACACCACCUUGUCAUCCAUCUCCCUACUCAUUGAUUUGCCAUGUAAACGCAAAAGGAGUGCUUCAGCAUAACCUAACUCUUAAUCUUGGAAAUUCCUUACAAAACAAGGGUUCCAACACCCCUCAAAAUUAGUAUGCUUCCAAACAUCACAUACCCAAGCCUCCUUUGAAGUGGCUAUAGCAAACAAAGAGGGGAAAGAGGUACUCAAAGGGGUGCCCCCACACCAAAUGUCAUUCCAAAACCUUAUCCUUCUUCCAUUGCCCAAAUCAUAGGAAAUCUUGCGUUUGAAAGAAUCCCAUCAUUUCCUUAUAGCCUUCCACAAUUCUAUGCCAUAACCCUUCCUUAUCUCCAAAGAGCACCAACCUGCUUCUUCUACCCCAUACUUACCAAUGAUUUCUUUCUUCCACAAGGGCUCCCCUUUUGACAUGAACCUUCAACUCCAUUUGCCUAAGAGAGCCUUGUUCAAAAUAGAAAGAUUUUGAAUGCCUAACCCUCCCUCAUUUCGCUUUUGGCUUACAAACUUGUGCCAACUCACUAAGUGAGGCUUAUUUUCAAGAAAACCCCCCUCCCCAAAGAAAGUCCUUUUGAAUUUUUCCAAUUUACAACAGACCAUUCUUGAAAUAACAAAAAUGGACAUGAAAUAAAUGGGUAGGCUAGACAAGGUACUUUCGAUGAGAGUUAAACAACCCCCCCUUGGACAAGCUUUGUUUCUUCCACCUUGUGAGCUUUCUUUCCAUCCGCUCUUCCGCCAAAGUCCCUCAUUGUUGUUGAUUUAAAGGUAGCACCCAAAGGAAGCCCAAGAUACUUGGAAGGUAACAACCCCACUUUACACCCCAAAAUAUCCACCAACUCCUCCAUUAUUGGAACCCUUCAACUAAGAUUAGCUCACUUUUUUCAAGGUUGAUCUUAAGCCCAGAAAUUGCUUCAAACCACAUCAAGACCCAAUGAAGAUGCAAUAGUUGGUCCUUAGAAGCCUCGUAAAAAAUCAAUGUGUCAUCUGCAAACAAAAGAUGAGACACCUCCACUCCCUUGCCACUUCUACUUCCCACCUUAAAUCCCCCCCCACCCAAACAAACAAAAAAUCCUUGUUCUUAUCUUCAAGAGUAGAGAGUUAUAGCAUUUUAACUUACAACCACUGCCUCAAGGUGACUAAAGAUGCAUUCCACAAAAUGUUAGACAAGUUGCUUAUCAUUUUCUCCUGACCCCGAAUGCUAUAGGUAUAAGAAAUAGGUAAAUGUGCUUACUAAUAGUGGAUGCAUUCCACAAAAUGCUAGAGAAGUGGUUGUUUCCUUCUCUCUAUCUCUUUCCUUACCUCCUUACUCACCUCCCUCACCUUCCCAAAUUCUCUUUUCCUUUAUUUUCUCAAACAGCUCAGUUACUCCCCAUGAUUAUUAUUAUUAUUUUUUUAAAUGGGAAUGCUUCACAAGAUUCAUAUAUUACCUCCUUGCUAAUUUUAGUUAGUUAGGCACUGCCCCUUAAAAACUCAAAUAAUUCUACAUGAUUAUACCUUUGAUGUAGUUAUGAAUACAAGGAUCAUCCAUAACUCCUCCAAUUGCAUGACAUAUUUGUUGUGUUUCUGAUUCUAAACUAGCACUGUCAUAACAUGAUCAGCAAAAAAAUAAAAAUAAAAAUAAAAGUUACUUCCAGAAUUUGAUGGAUGAACCUUAUGGCUAUGUUUGGUUCCUACAAAAUUUGAGGCAAAAUGCUAGGGAAAGAAAAUAGAAAGGAAAAGUAGAAAGAAAGAAAAAUUGAAGGAAAAUUAAAAAUAGAUUUAAAGUCAAUAAAUUAUUUUUAUAUGUUACUUCAAACUUAUUUCACUUAUUUUAACUAUUGAAUAUAAAGAUUAAAUAAUUUGAAAAUUUAUAAGUUUCUAAUUAGUUUUAAUUAUAUUUGACUUUUUUUGGUAUUUUCUAUAGAACAAUCAAACAUGAGAAAAUCAUUUUCCUUAGUGUUUUUUUUUUAGUACUUUUCAAGAAUCAAACAUAAUCUAUUGAGUUUGUCUAUGAUGAUUUUGUUUAGCCUCAUUCACCAACCAAUUGGUUUGUGGUGUACUGCUAUACUUCUUUUCCAAUUUUAUUUUAUUUUUUUGGUUCAUUUUAUGUUUAAAGAGGUUUUAUUUGAUUUUAUUUUAUUUUUUUAUCAUAAUUCAUGUGUAACCACAAUUCCUUUGUCACCAUCACCAUGUGACUCCAUAUAGUGGUUGGGAGAGUUAGAUCCUGGAACAGUUAUGGAAUAACUCCAUCAAUGUUGUGCAUCUUUCUUUGAAAUGUAGGAAAGUGGCUUUUUUAUUUUUUUAUUUUUUGAAUAUCUCCUUCUCAUAAAUAGGUAUGGUACGCCCAACAACAUUUUAUUUUAUCAAAAUUCUUUGAUAACAUAGCUUAUCAAUAUGAUGAAAGGAUCAUAAUGUGUCUCAUCAACCUGAUUUCAUAUUGCACAAUGGAGCCUAGAUUUUGAAGUUCUCUCAGUUACGAAGGGAAAUCUUGUGUUGAUGUAAUGGCAGAUAUUGAUUUCUGUAGUUGGGAUUCUUCAAGGGUUUGGGAGGUGGGAGGAGUUCUAGAGGGAGAGCACUGUGCAGAGAGACCAACUUAGCUGGCUAAUGGAUUAUUCGGCUUCAGAGAAAUGAUUGGAUACUUGAGAACAUGAGAAAAUCUUUCACUGACUUGUGUGCUAAUGUAUAUUAUCUCACAACUCUUUGAAUACCUGUCACUGUAGAGUUCUUUAGGUUCCCUUUAAUGCAUAUACAUUCAUUUUUGGAUCGGAGAUCAAUAUGCCUUUCCCGUCGGAGAGUGCUUUUGUGCUGGAGGAGGCACUGCCUGUGCUAUUUCUAGACUCCUGACUGUGGCCAGUCCACUCUUCACUUUUUUCAGUUUCUGGACACAACAUGUUAUACAAUUAACAUAACAGCCUCUAUGUGAUCGAAUUCAGCUCCACCUCAAUCAUUGGAAUUAGCAGCAUGCCAACAAUCACAGUGUGGGCACCAGUUUUUAGUUAUUCACCUGCCUUGCUUUUCUGGUGAAGUCAGGCAGCAUCUUUUCAUUUCAGAAUGCAGCAUGCUGUUGUUUGUGACUUUUUGGCCAUCAGAGCAAUUGUGGAUGGCCCUUCAAUCGACAAAACUUUAUAGAUGUGUGUUUGUGCCAAAUCAAGGCUCAAGUUAUGAAUGAAAAUAUGAAAAUGAAAAGAGAAACAAAGCAGAAAUUCAUUUUACUAUGUCUCUGUUCUUUCCAUGAGGGAUUAGGCUUAUUCCUCUUUGGAAGACUCAGAAUCUCCUUUCGGUUUUUCAAUGGCUCCUUUCUCCUAUGACCUGUUCAAGAAUGCUGCUUUAUUGUGGACCUUCUAUGCCUUUAUUGAAAAAGAAAAAGUGAUAAGAUAUUUCAACCAGUUGAAAAUAGAGGACCCUGAGGCCUGAGAUAGACUGAUGCUAGAUAGAAAAUACAUAUGUAUGGAUAUUCAAACUUAUCUAGAAGAAAUAGAAGCAAAUGAUACAUGAUAAGUUAGUGUCAAAAGGUCAACUAAAGUCUUCGACUAGAUAGUCUACUUAGAUGUCAAAAAUGUAGUGGGCUCUUUAGCCUCAUGGUAGCCUAAAGCUCAAGUUUGGUUGAUGUUACCUAGCAAACUCGAGACAGAUGGAAAUUUCCAGCCUUUUACAGGUCCAUAGAUGUGUGAUUAUUAGGGCUUUUUAAUGUCAUUUGUGAUGGGGUUUGCUAUUGAUGUGAUGCAGAGGUCCUGAAACUAUUAGAAGGGAUGUAAAUCUGGUGAAAGAGUUGGAUGUUUAUGAUCUUAUGGGGAAGGAGAAUUGAGCAAUGGUUCUCUCUUGCAUGUCACUGGGUCAAAAAGGGUCAGGGAGAUAAAACCACCACUUGUGGAGGAUUGUGGAUCUUUUUAGAGACAUUGGCUGAUCAUUUCUUGAAAGUCUAGAUCGAGAAAUCAAGAAGAUGAGAGGCUGAUUAAGAGAGAAGUCAUGUCCUAUGCCAACUUUGUUUGAGUGAGCCAUAUCAUAUACUUCUACCUGGGGUUAAUCUUUAAGGCUGGAGGGUUCCUUGUCUCUUCAUUUUUUUCCCUUUAUUUUUUUUCCCCUUAUUGAAUCAUGUUCUUGUACAUCUACUUGUUUGAAGGAUUUCUCAUCCUUCCUUGUAAAUAACUGUUUGCAUAAUAUUAUCACACAAAAACAUAGAUCAUAGACAAGCUGAGAAUUUCUUUAGGAUCCAUAAUGUGAUCUUAUGUUUGCUUCUAUACAUAAUUAUUAGCUUUUAAUUAGCUUAUCUUCAUUGGACUACUUAUGUGGAGAUUUGUUUUAUCUGUUUCUCCGUGUUUCAGGCACAACUAAUUGACCCAGCACUAGAAGGAACAAUGAGCGUUCUAGGAUCUUGUGCAAAAGUUCCAUCUGUCAAAAGAGUAGUUGUAACAUCAUCUAUGGCUUCAGUUGCAUUCAAUGGGAAACCUCUAGCUCCUGAUGUGCUAGUUGAUGAGAGUUGGUUUUCAGAUCCAGUUUUCUGUGAGAAAUCAAAGGUUGCUUAAAUGAGAUGAUUUCCCAUCACAUGCUAUCUCUUUUGCAUGAUCUUGUUUGUGGCUUUACAAAAUGUUUUCUUUCCAUGGCUCUUCACUUCUUUUACCCUGCAGAAGUAGCUGCCAAUUUGUCAUGCCCUCUUGUUUUUACACUUCUGCUAGCCAGCUUAGGGUUAAAUAACACGAUGGGAAUGGGAGGAUUAUCCCUUUAUUUUGCUAAGCCUGCCAUUAGAUUAAAUAAUCCUUCCAUGUAUGUCUAAUAUUUCACUAAUAUGGUGUUGGUAGCUGUCUGAUCCAUUAAGUCUCAUUCCUCAAACAAGAAAUUAAAUGAGAACUCUAAUUUGGAUAUUAUAUGAUUGAAAUGAAUGUUAAUCUCUGAUUGUCUUACUGUCCAUUAAGCAUGAUGGGCUCAGAAACAUGGGUUGACAAAACUCACAUUAGUUUUAAUGUGAGUGUGUAUGCCUGCACAGCCUCCUAUAGAUUUUUCUUGGGUUCAUAAGUUCAUUGCUUGUUCUCUAUGUUCCAUUAUCUACUAGAAAUGCUUCUCACUAUAUAUUUUCAANNNNNNNNNNNNNNNNNNNNNNNNNNNNNNNNNNNNNNNNNNNNNNNNNNNNNNNNNNNNNNNNNNNNNNNNNNNNNNNNNNNNNNNNNNNNNNNNNNNNGGGGUUUUGAUUGGGCCUCUCUUACAGCCUACUCUUAAUCUAAGUGUGGAGGAAGUUCUGAAGCUACUAAAAGGUACUCUUCAACAAUUGAUGAGAAUCUCUUUUUUAUGUUUAUCUUUCUGCUCCAGUAGCAAUACAUGCUUCACUUCAAUAUUGAGUCAACUCUAUCCAACAGCCCUGCAAAUGGAAACUCAGAAGUUUAAAUCGAAACUUAUCAAUAAACCGUCACAAGACUUCCACAGUUCCACAUAAAAGGACUACAUAUGCAUUUUGAUAUAUGCUGACUAAUCUCCUAACAUUAAAAAAUUGUUCUCUCCUCUGGUCAUUAUAGUUAUAUCACCAAGAUACUCAUUUGGGAGAUUUGCAUAUGAGAUUAGAUGAAGAUAUAUUUCGUUUUGGCCUCCUAAGCCAGACUGGUUUGGAAGGACCCCUGGACUGUGAAAGGACUGAAAGCAUGGGUAUGCAAUUACUAUCUUGAACUUGACGUAUAUUUGCAUGCAAGUUCAAUCCAAGGGCAAGAACUUCUUAAAUAAUCCAUUAAUCCUUUUGAUCCAACCCAUCUAAAGUGGGGGUUCCCCGCAUCCAACUCCAUUGCAAAUGAGUUGUUCAUGUGCAACUCACUUGAUCAGUAUUUUUAAAAACUUCUACCAACUUUUUUGGACUAUUUUGCAGAUCUUAACAUUCUUUAAACAUUUAGAAUCAUUUCUAGUGGCUUUAUAGGGAAAUAUCAUGUUACUUUAUUGACAACUCUUACAAGAAUCAAUACUUCCAUAACUGUAUAGCCAAUAUGGUUUGUUUACUUACUAACCAACCUCUUCUGCCUCCAACUGACCUCCCCUGUAUCUUGCUUCAAUUAUGAGGGUGUUGCCAUUAGGUUGAGCAUUGGACAUAUGAUAAACCUGUGCCUUGAUGGCUGUACUCUGAUUCAUGGAUCCAGACCAUUGUCAUUGGGAUUAGACUUGUUGGUAGUUGCUUUAGUUCAAUGCUUGCAAUAACCAAAGUAAUUUGUCAUGCUGCUUUAGAACCAUUGGAUCUUUCAUAUGAAAUAAGAAAGGUAUUUUGUACAAAAUAAUGUUUUCAUGUGUAAUUUCCAACAUUACAUAAAGCGAUAAAUAGAAGUGUAUUUGCUAAGUGUGAUUGCAUCAUUAUCUAAGCAUUUCCGUUUGAGACAAACAGUCUAAGACGAAAAUGUGUGCUUCAAAAAUUUCAAAACAUUAAAAAUCAGUAAUGCAGAUAAGGGCAUUUAUAUGUACACAUAUUGAUCAGAAAAUAAACUCCAUCCUAUAGCAACCUAAAAACUCAAAAGAAAGAAGUAUAAUUUCCGAUAUGCAAGAUUUUGAUCAAUUAAAGUCCAAAGCAUUUUAUGUUCAUACAAAUGAGAAGACAGAAUGGCAGCUGACUUUGAGGAUUGAAAGAAAAAUGAAUUGAUGCUACUUCUCAAUGCUAAUGCCAUUAAUUUGUUGCUGCUUUUUGUUGCCAUGUCGAGCCUGUCCAUCAGAUAAGGUUUGAAUCGCUUCUAUUAUUCUUGUUUAAGACAAUCCCUUCUUUUUUUCCUUUUUUUUUUCUUUACAUAGUCAAUCAUCUUGUUUCAUGUUUGCCUUAUAGUUGGUCUGCUGAUGGUAGGCUUCUUUUGAGUGGAAGCAAGGACUCUAUACUGAAGGUAAAUUGUGGGAACUAUGUCUUUUUGUGGUAUAGAUGGGGUUAUCAUAUAGUUGAAUGAUUCUAUUGCUUCCUCAUAGCUUUUCAAGGCACUAAAAAAGAAAAAAACAAAGGUAGAACUAGGAAUAAUAUUUCGUCCUGAUUUCAGGCAUACUAUUUCCUUAUGAAGUCUUAUUUUGGUAAAUUACAGUUAGAUAUAAUCACAUGGCAACAUUUUUUCUUCCAAGUUUAAAUAGUAAUUCAGGAGAGUGUAUUAUGAAAAUAUACUAAAAUAAAAAAAUCCUAUGAAUGCAUUCUACUUUGGAUAUUUCUUAUGAAUCUUCCCCUGCACUCCUGACCACCACAGACACUCCCAUCACACCAAGCCUUGUAGUUGUUCUAAAUUGUUGCAAAUAUGUUAGAAACCAAUUACUAAUAUUAAGGACGGUCAUGUCUACUAAUUUUGGGCUAGAAUUUUUAGAGCAGGUGAGAAAUUAUGGUUGCAGUAGGGAAUGUGAGUGCUUCUAUUUUGCCAAAGUGGCUUUCCUUAUUCAUGUUAACAUCAACAACAUAGCAAUGAACUCGAUUUAAUAUUGUUUAUCAUAUAGGCUUGAGAUAUCCGGACACAAAAGUUAAAACAAGAUCUUCCAAGCUAUGAAGAUGAGGUAUUUUCCUCCUCUUAAGUACUAGUUAAUAUUCUUCUUUUGACAUUGUACUUGGUUUAAUUAAUGUUUUCCUUCUUUUCGUAUUCUGGAAAGGUUUUUGCUGUUGAUUGGAGUCCAGAUGGUGAGAAGGUAGCCUAUGGUGGUAGGGACAGAGUACUUAAUUUAUGGAUGGGUUGAUGGCUAAAGGAGGAAGAGAUGUAUGAAAUGAAGAUUGACAUGAUUCUUCCACAACAUGAUGGACUUGGCAAACACUCAAUUUUUGCCUAUAGUUGAUAGUCUACCACAUGUAACUUAAAGGUUGUGCACUAAGUUCUGAUGUUAUGAAGGAUCGAGGGUGGUUUGUGCACUAAGCUUUUCUAAAAUAUUUUUCUUUAUUGAGCUGUAAUGAUUGUAUUAUUUGGAUUUAAUUGUAUUCAUUAGGUUUGCAGAUCACGAUAUGAUUAUUUUCCUCUUUGAUCAUGUAAAGUUGGGAAACAGUUAUGGGUUACUGUAAUAGCAUGGUAUAUUGAUGCACACAGUUUGUGGCAUGACAGUUUGAUGAAAUUGCAGAAGUGUAGCACUCAUGGGCAUAUCAUGUGAACCUUAUUCAAUGUGGCAUUGACAAUUAGUUUAAAUUUACAUGGGUGUAAUGUCGCACCAGUAUCCUCUGAUGAUAUGCCCAUGUUAUAUUGUGGCAGGGUUCUUCUUCAGUUGCCAAAUACCACUGGAGCUUAGGUGAGGUCUUGGUGAUGUAGGAAAGCCAUGGAUUCUGGAAUCUUUACAUGAAAAUAUACAUGAGAUAUAUUGGAAGAAAGGGCAGGCCAUCUAAGAAGAAACACAUCUUAAAGUAUACCAUCAAUCAUGAGUUGUUUGAGAGUCAGGAGUCUUUGAAGGCCUCACUCAGAUAAGGGACGUCUUUGACAUUUCUCACUCUUCAAUCUCAGGAAGGUACAUCAUCAACUAGAACCUUAGGAAUGUGAGUCAUCAUGGGACAACUUGUUUAUGUUCUGUAUUCUUUUCUUACCAGAGGGGAUUGAAAGAUAUGUAGUUGCAAGGACAAAAGAUGUAGCCAAUAAUGAGAGCAUUGAACAAUCCUUCUUUAAUGCAUACCACAAAUUUUAGUAACUCGUGAUCUCCACAAUUUAGAGCACAAGGAAGCUGGCCUUUGGAAAGAUGUGACAUGACAUUUAGAAAUGGGUAAAAAUUCCAGAGAUCAUUCCAAUCAUUAAGGAAUCCAAAGCCUUAUAAUUUGAAUAGGGCAUUUACUUGGCAUGGAUAACGCACCUAUCUUAGGACAAAUACCACAUGUUGAGCACCAAUUCAAUUAUCAACUCUCUAUGAAACUGGAGAUACAAGGUACUAAUGUUAGUAAAAAUUAGCUGGCAGCUCUUCUUCUUAUACUAGUAUUAGGGGCAAAGCCUUGCGAAAACCCUCAAUCAACAAAUUACCAAGGACAUGAGAUCAUGUUGUAAUCUUAUCUCCAAUCUCCAGUUGCAAAUAGAUUAUUUCUUUCAAUUAACAAUCUUUAAUGCUUUCACUUCUAUCAUAGGAUAUGAAAUUUGGAAAAACAAGUAAGCUUUAUAAUAUUAGGAAUAUGCAAGGAAUUGAUGAAGGUCAUGAAUCUACUUAAAAUUAAAAAUUAAAAAAUAAAAACAAAGAUUUUUUCACCUAUGAAUAUCGUAACCAGCUUCCAAAAAGCAUUAGGUAAGGCAAUAACCAAAUGUUCCUCAGGUAUUAAAGUUAAAGUUCAAAGUUACCAAGAGUGCAUUUUUUGACCCAUGCAUAAAAUAAAAAGAAAAUAAGAACACAUACCAUAUAACUCACAAUUGUGUCAAGUAUGAGUUCAGUUUAUGUUCAUGCACAAUUGCAUUAAGUAUUUGAAAGCUAAAUAAGGCUAUGCGCAAUUCAAAGAAUAACAUACAAUGCUCACAACUUAUCAUAGAAUGAGAACUCAAUUGUCUUUCUUCCAGUCAUAAGAGUUUGUGCUCUUUGAGCCUCUGACUUGCACAACUCAAGAUAGCAGAACAUGCCAAAAAGUCUCCUUCACCUUAAACAUUAUUCAAAUAUGCAAUAUAAAUCUUGAUAAGAAAAUUUUCUACAAAUAUAACAUGUUGCAAACAAAUAACAAUAUGUUAGUUUAAAAUUGAAGAGCAUUUUAAACUAAACAAAAUAAAAAAAAAAUUUAAUGUUUAUCACUCACCUAAAAACUUGUAUGUUGGAUAAAAUUCAUGCUAAUGAAUCCUGACAAUUGUUUGCAAUCAAAAUUUAGUAAUAACUUAUAAACCAAAAAAAAAAGAGGAAAUUACAAAAUUCUUUAGCAAUUUUCCAUGAAAAAUACAUUGUACAUUGAUUGAGAAGUGAAUAUCUAAUUUGAAAGACACUAAAAACUAGAUGUUAUCUUGAGUUCUCCAUGUAUCAAAAUAGAUGCAAGUUGCUAUUCGAGCCACCACAAUCACGGAGUACGAGACUUCUCAGCAUGGAAGGCAUACCAGAUUUCAAACAAGGUUCUUAACUUUCCAAGAGACAUAAGAACAUGGUGUGUUGUAUAAACUGUAGAAUAAAUAAAUGGAAGUUAGAUACACAUGCACUUGCUACUUAUUUUUUUUAAUCAUCUAUGAAAUAAAUAAAGAGGUGUUACUUGUAUUCAAUCCAAACUUGUGGUCUCCAAUGUAAAAUCCAAAUCUCAUUUUGUCAACACAAUAAGAGCAUUAAACAUACAACAAAUUGAAUCCUUCCUUUUGACAAUGUGAAAACCUGAAAGAAAUGACUCGGGAUCAUAAACAAUUAUACGAUAAAGAAAAUUUUCAUUAUUCUUUCUAAAAGAAAAAUAUGUUAUUUCCUUGAUUACGGAAGAUAGAUAUUUUGACAUAAAGUGCACUUAUUAAGGUAAACUUUGUGCAUUAUACAUUGAAAUUAGAAAAUUGUAUUUAAAUCCAGUUAGAAAGGUACCAUAAAAGAUGCAUAAUUGAAAUGAAGGCAUCCAUGCCAAUUUGUAACUGUUGUCAAAUAACACCUUCCCUUGACAUUUUAUGUCCCAUGCCUGCAUGUCAAAUCUCCAACUAAGACUACUCAAAGAGCACCUAAAAGAAAAUUACCAAGAUUUCAUCACAUGCAGAACUCGAGAUGCUAACAUUGAACCAUGGGAGGGAUCAACAAGAAACAAAAUACUUACCCAUAAGUUUGUAAUUUGUUGUACUCAAAACCCGCUUCCUAGUCAAACUUUCAACACAACUCCAUGGAGACUUUCACAAAUAGUUAAGCCACUAGUAGAAAAUAACAUCAAUAUGAGAAAUUGACAAGGUACUGUGCAAAUAAAAGAGUAUAAAUGUGUGUUGAGAAUAAGAGUUACCUUAAUUAAUGUAAGGAUAGGAUAUGGUUGAAUUGGCUCUGCACCUAUUUUUGCAAUUUGAAUUUAUUACGGUUCAAAAAUGAGUUUAUGAUCUAUCCUCACUUUAGGGAAAGUGGGCAAUCUUCUUGAAACAUCUUUGAUUUAGAGAUUCGAUAAAACUUAAAAGGCAACCUUUCACUUGGAAAAGAGGGCUAGAAUAGGGCACCCCUCAAUCUCUACAAGUUAAAGAGAUGAAGUUUUGAAGACCAAGGAAGGGGGCUAGGGAUUCUGGAUUUGACAAUAUUUUCAUUGAAAUAUCAAUGAGAGUUGUAGCAAGAAAUACUGUAAAAAAGAAAGGAUGUGAAAGGUGGAAAUUCCACGAUUUCCAAUGAUUCAAGAAGAUAAUUCCUAUGGCUAUUGUUGUCAUUGUGCAUCAUUCAACUAGCUAUAGACUACAUAAUUGAACAAUCAUGAACACAUAGAUGCUCAAAUAAGGUAUGUAGUUCAUUGAGUGGAAAAGCAAAUGAGACUUGGACAUCUCAAGAUUUCUAGGAAUCAAGACAGAUACAAGUUGUUGUUGUUUCCUAUUAUAAUUCAUCUAGAUUGCAAUCAACAAGCACUAACUCCAUUCACUGCAUGUUUUGAGUCUUCAACAUAAAACCCAAAUUCCAUUCUAUCAACCAAAAAAAAAAAAAAAAAUCCUAAUAACUCCUCUAGAAACCAUUUUUUGUCUCAUAUUAUAAGAUGUAGGAUGUAACUCACUUCCAUCAUUGAGAAUGAAUUGAUAAAACUUUGCAAUACUAGUAUAUUCAGCUUCAUUAUAAUGACCUCAUUAGAACUAGAAUAAGUGAAGUGAUAAUGUUAUCUAAUUAGUAAACCAAACCAAGUUAAUAAACUAGAACUUCCUCUAGUAUAGCCUCUACGUAAAAGAAAUUUAAAGGUCUUGAUACAUUAGAUAUUGAAAUUGUUGGAUUAAAAUCUUAUUUAUUGCACCUGGCAAGAUAGAAGUAAUAAUGCUAAUUUCGAAUUAUGACAGAUUAUAGAGAAAAUUAGACAUUGAGAAAAUACCAAGCCAAAAGCCAUGUCAAGAUCUGCUUUCUAGUUAAAAAUUUUAGCAAAAAAUUAAGUCCAAUUAAAAAAAAUUGCAGUAGUAGGUAAAAGAAAUUGAAAGUGAUGUUGAGGAGAGAAAGAGGAAUAAUGAUGUUGGGAAUGAGAUGUAAUACCUGUUUUAUUGCUCAGAGAUGGAUUAGUCAUAUAUUUCUUGACUAACCUUAUAAAUUAGUAGAAUUUAACAAGUUACAAAUAGUUCCCCCACCUAAUCUUUUAAAUUAAUCUUGAUGUUGACAAGCAAUUUGCCAACCAUAAUUAUAAAAAGACAAAUAAAUCGAGUUGAUUUACUAGAUUGCAAGUGGGUGCCCUUACCUAAUCUUUUAAAUUAAUCUUGAUGUUCACAAGCACUUUGACAACCAUAAUUAUAAAAAGACAAAUAAGUCAAGCUGAUUUUACUAAAUUGAGAUUAAUAAAUUGCAAGUGGGUGCCCUUUACCUAAUCUUUUAAUUUAAUCUUCAUAUUGAUAAGAACCAAAUCGGCCAUAAUUAUAAAAAUAAGAAGACGACAAGCUAUGAUUACUUUUAUUAACUAAAAUUUAAUAAAUCACAAUUUCUCUUACCUAACCUUUAGAUUAAUCUUGAUAACUUUGCAAUAUAAUUAUAAAAAGAGAAAGACGACAAACUAAUUUAAUUGGCUAAUUUUAUUAACUUAGGUUUAAUAAAUUAAAAUUAGGUUGAUCUCUUACCAAUCUGUGGACCCCGUAUUUCGGCUCAUGCGUUUCCCACUCAAUGGCGAGCUUGAUUUUUAUUUUGAAAAAUGAUUUUAUUGAUUAAGAACAUGACUUGGAGUCGCCACUUAUUUUUGUUUUAUUUUUAAAAGGGUAAACAAAAUAAGACAGAAAACCCUAGGUGUGACUCCUUGUUUUGGAAAAGGUUGGUCUGCGAAAAAUCGGAUCGGGUUUCGGGGGUCAGGUUACUUAUUGGGAAGGUACGAUGGAGAUCGUAGCACCCCUCUAAAUCCCUAGAAACGGGUCUCUACUAAUAAAAUGAAGCAAUCAUGGCAAUCGAUUAAUCGAGCAUGGAUACCAAAUGAAUGUCACUCAAAACAAAAUAACUGAAUGAACGAGAGAGGCAAAGAAUGUACCUAAGUGAUGAACCGGUUUACUUCAAGGGAAACAAGGGUUAGUGAACCAAUAUAAGAUGAAUAUAUGCGUAUCACAAAGCAGAAUAAAUCAAUCACGCAUGACAAUUGGAUGAAUCAAUCCAUUAAUCAAUCAUAAAUCACAUGUGUAGGGCCCCCACCAAAGCCCGGUUUUUGACAGACCACAUUUUCCAAAAUAAGGAGUCACACUUAGGAUUUUCUUUCUUAUUUUGUUUACCCUUUAAAAAAUAAAACAAAAAUAAGUGGUGACUCCAAGUCAUUUUCUAAUAAAUAAAUCAUUUUUCAAAUAAAAUCGAGCUUGCCAUUGAGUGGAAAACGCAUGAGCCGAAAUGUGGGGUCCACACUAUCCUUUUUAAUUUAAUCUUAAGAUCAAUAAGAAUCAUACAGACCAUAAUCAUAAGAAGAGCCAAAACAAAAGUCGAUUUGAUAUUUAAUUAGUUAAUUUUAUUAACUAUAAGAUAUAAAAAAUUGUUAAGAGGUGUCUUAAAUUCCAAAUUAGAAUAUACCAUUUUUUUGUGAAACAAAUAUUACAUAGAAUAUUUCCAAAGUUUAUAUGUGAUUGUAAUUAAAUUCAAGCUAGUACAAAUAUAUUUAUAAAUAUUUUAGGACCUGAAGAGAAAAAAUUAUGGAAGAUAUGAAAAAGAGAUGUGAUCAAGAGCAAGAGACAUUGGUAGAACAAGAGGGUUCACUAGGGAAGGGUGUAGAUGUGAAGAAGAAUGAGAAACACUUAGUGGAGCAAAAUGAUUCUUGGUUUAUGAUAGAGAUACAAAGAGCAGGAAAAAUGAGAUGUUUGGGCCUUAGUAGUUGUCUAACCGUUAUAUGUGGUUUUCUUUAUUCAUGUGUUCUUCCUUUAAUCUUUUUGAAUUGAGGUUUCCAUUUUUCUUUUGUUCCUAGGAUUUUUUCAUGUUAUCAAUUAUGCCCAUUUCCAAUUUCAUUAGAAACUUGUGUUCUACAAUUUGGGAAAUGAAAAUAAUUAUUUUUCUAUAAUUUUUGUAUAAUUUUGUUAGUUAAUAAAAAGUAGAAUAUAGAUAAUAUUAGCCAUCAAAUAGAAAAAUAAAUAUGACAAUUAAUGUGUUUUCACAUCAUAUUUGUACUUAGAUGGUUUUGCUUGUAUGAAGUAAUUUAAUGCAACUAUGAAGAUUUAUAUGAAAUAAACUUUAUAUAAUUUUAGAUUUAAUAAUCGAUUAAUUUUUAUUUGAAGAUACAAAAACAUAAAAUAAAAGUCUUGUUCAAAAACUAUUAUUGAAAACAACAUGAAAAAUGAGGUUUUUUCACUUAGAAAUAUACAUUUGACAAACUUUUGAUAUAAAACAAUUUAUUUUUAGAAUUUAUUCUUCAAAUAAGUUAUUUUUCAGAACAAAAUUGAUUUUUUUUUUAAUUUUUUCACAAUAAUUUAAAUAAAAAUUGAAGAUAUAGAUAAUAUAUAUUUUGGAAAAUUUUGUAUCGUAUUUAAGUGUACAAUUCCUUUGGAAAGAAUAAAUCGAAAUGGGUAAUUGCAAUUUUCAAAAAUUGUUUUGAAGAAUUAUUUUCACAAAUGUUAUCAAAUGAGCUCAAAACUUUCUACAUCAUUUAUAUUAAUCUUGAGUUCAAUAAAAAUCUUUCCACAAUUGAAAAGAGAAAAAAAAAAAGUUAAUUAGUUGGUUAAUUUUUACAAUCCUAAAAAAGAAAAUUAUAAAAAAUAAUAAUAUUUAAAAAAAUUUAAAAAAAAAAUUCACUAGCUAAAAUAAAAAUUCACUAUCAAAAUAAAAGAUUAUCUAUUAUUUUUCUAUUUUUGACUUAUAAUCAAGAAUGUUCAUAUAAUUUCUUUUACAAUAACAUACUAAAGUAGAAAGAUAUUAAAAUGGAAAAAGAAAAUGAUUAACAAUAAAAUUCAUAAAAAGAAAUGAAAAUUAAGAAGAUUUUAAUCCACUUGAAAUUUAUUUCAACGAAAUAGUAUUGCAUUUAAAUUAUUGAAGGUCAUACCAAUUUAUUUUCUUCCUUUUUUAAUACUUAAUUUUGUUAUCAAACGGUGAAAAAAUUACUAAUCAAGGAAAAUGAGAAAAGAAAAUAUUUUUCUUGAAAGUUGAUGAAUUUGUUAAGAAAUGAAAACAAAAGGUCUUUUAUGGGAUACUUUAUUAAAUUAAAUUAAAAACUUAAUUUAAAUCAUUAAAUAAAUUAAGUAUGUUUAGUAAAAUAACAUAAUGGUAUGAUUUAAAAUAAAUAAAAAACUUUAAAUGAUAAAUAAAAAUAAUUAACUUAUUCUUAAAUUCAUAUUUUUAUUUUACCUUUUUAUCCUAAUUUUCCAUAAUUACCUUCACAAUUUCCUUUACUAUUCCACGAUCUUUACUUUUACACGAUCUCCUUUACCCUAGUUAUAAUUUAUGAGGAUAAAUAUGUCAAUUUGAUCAUUUAUAAUUAAUCAUAAGUUAGUUUUGUAAAACAAUCUUCAUACUUAAAAUAAAAAUUAAGUAAUAAGUUUUAAGUUAAUAAUUUAACUAAAAGUCAACUUAAAUAAUUAAGUAAUUAGUAUUAAGUUUUAUCAAUUUGGGUGACCAAUUUUUAUUGAAAAUAAAAAACCAAACAAAAGCUGAUCAAUACAAAAGAAAAAAAAAUGAAUGGUAUGAAGUAGACAUUUUGUCUUUAUGAGAUUAUUGAUGGAAGUGUAAUAGACUAUAAACAAGUCUAUGAGAAUCAAUUCCAAUGAGUCCUAAAACACAUCUAUGAGAAAUAAAAUAAAACCAUGACAUAAAGAAAUGAUAUUUAAGUGUUAAUAAAUAGGAAUCGGAUACAUAUAAAUAAAAUUUAGAUUGAUUAUAAAUGAAAUUAUUUUUAUUAUGUGGUUGUUUUUAAUGGACCACCAAUUUUUAUUUUUAUUUAUUUUUUUAUAUUCCAUAGAAAAAUUACUUUCCAAUACCAUAGAAUCACCCUAAUUUCAAAUUGAGAUUUACUAUCUUAAAUUUUAAAUUUUUAAGGGCAUGAACUAAAUCUAUAUUUUUUGUUAAGAAUUUCUAUUCUUUAUAUGGAAGUUUUUAUCAAUUUUUAUUUUUAAAAACAAAAAAUAAGUACUUAGAGUACCUUUGACAAUAAUUUUAAGAAGUCUUUCUAAUAUUUUAAAUACUUGAAGAAUAAAAAAUUUUAUUUAUUGAAACAAUUGAAAAAUGCACUUUUAGUAUGUAAUGAUAUUAAUUUCUUCGAAGAGAGAGAUUUACAUUUAAGAUAAAAAUAAAUAAAUAAAACAAUACAAGGAUAAAAAAUUAUUUUUAAAAAAAACUUUUAACUUCUUGUACUUUAUCAUUACACACUUUUUUCAUUAGAUGCUUUAAAUAAUUUUUAUGAAAUAAAAUUAUAAUUAUAUUGAUGGAGGGCUAAUUAACUUUGCUUUAGGUGAGAAAGAUAGAGAUAACAUUGAAGUGGGUCCACAUCUAAAACAAAAAUGAAAUAAAAAGUAAAGAUGAAGAUAAGGUUGAGGUGGGUUCACAACUAAAAAAAGUAUGAGAUGAAUUGACCAAAGCUUAUGCCUUCUUCCAAAUAGUAAAAGCAAAGCCCAAUAGUAUAAAGUGAUGACACUAGUCCUAUUCAAGGCCCCACUUGCAUAAUUGCUACAUCUUUUGACUUGAUUUUAGUUCAAUUUCACUAAAAUGAAAUCAUUUAUUUGAGCCCAAAAAUUCAAAUCCAAAUCCAACCCACUUAUUUAUAUACAUUAUUGGCAUGGAAUCAGAAGAGUUAUAAAGUAAGAAAAUUUGAUCAUAUGAUAAAUAGUAAUUUUUCAAAGUUGGAGCCAAUCCAAUACCCAAUGGGUAUAAAAGAAAAAUGAAAGAUGUGGAAAUUAUAGUGGAAUCUUGAAACAAAAUUUUGAGGUUUAAAGUGAUGUGACAACCGUUUCCAAGUAAUUGCCUAAGAAUGUGAGAUGUCAUUGAAAAUUGAUAUUAAAUCUCAUUGGGUAACUAUAAGAAUUGCUUUACAUAAAGACAAGUAAUAAAUAUAUCCUGUUUUUUCAAAAAGUUUAUGACCCUAAGUGAAUAAAAUGGUGAAUAAAACUUUUAGAGUAGGAUGAAUGCAUUUCACGUGAGUCAUGUCCUAGAUAUAUUUUUAGAAUUUUCUAGUAGGAUGUCGAGGAAAACUCUAUGAUGAGUGCUUUCUUUCUAGUUAAGGUAGGUCCAAUUUGGUGCAAUUCGCCAACAUAAUUCAAACCCAACUUAUGUUUUAGGGAUUUGAAUUGAGUAAAAUCAUAUUUAAAUUAAAUUAAUCAUAUGAAUCUACAUAACCCAUUUAAUAAAUAGAUUAUUUUUAGGUCAAUCUGGAUAACUCACAUUUGACUCAAAUUAACUUAUUUAAUAAUGGUAUUGGUUAACCUAAUAAUAACUUUAACUUAUUGAACUCAUAUUUGACUCAUGUAAAUUUUUUUUCUUCAAUAAGUAUGUCAUAAUUGGGUCAUAAACAUGUCAUAUUAGAAUAUUAACCAUAUUAUUUCAUUCAACAUUUAACUUGACUUGAUUAUGAAAUAACAUCUUAUUAUUAAAUCGGUUAAACCUGUUAUAAUGUAUCACCUAGAUAAUAAUUAUAUUGUGUUUGAGUUUAUGUUUUAAAUUUUUAUUAUUAUUCAUGUCAUGUUUGGGUUGAGUUAUUUAGUGGAGGAUCUAACCUUUGAUAUAACACAAACACAACCCACUAACAUAAAUUGUCAUCCUCACUUCUACUAAUAAGUGAUUUGUUUCUUACAAUUAAGAAAAUUGAGAAGAUAUAAUUUUUUUUAUAAAUCUUAAAUGCAUGAUUAAAGUUAAUUAUAACUUUUAAAAGUUUUCUAAUUCAUAUUCCAUCCAAACUAACAAAAUAUUAGAAAUCUUCAAUGGUUUUGUCUACAAUAAUUGUGUUGUGCUAAAUUAUCCCCUUCUCUACUAACCAAAACAUGUUCUUUCACAAUCAAAUAUCAACAUGUUUAAGCAGCCGGUGAGGCAUCUCUUGACAAUGAGGUGAGAGGUAGAAACAAGAAACAUACCUGUAUUCAAGAAAAGUGUUGUUUCUUCAUUUGCAUUAGACAACAUUCAUUUAGUCUAAACUUGAAGGUGGAUUGCUAGAAUCUAAGCUCUUGGAAAGACAUAAGAGAACUACAUUUAGAAAUAUGAAAGAAGCCUAGAGACUUGUUGCUACUUGUGAAUCACUGUAAUCAGAAACAAUUCCAGAUAAUCCUGCAAUUUUGGCCCUUUGAUUUGCUCUGUUGCAUUUUUCCAAGAACAAUUCUAAAAUGUUUUUCUUUAUUGAGCUAUAAUGAUUUUAUUAUUAGGAUUUAAUUAUAUUCAUUAGGUUUGCAAAUCACAAAAAUGGUGUCGUGCCUAUGAAUAUUUUUCUCUUUGAUCAUGUAAAGUUGGGAAGCAAUUAUGAAAUACUAUGAUAGCACAAUAUAUUGAUCCACACAGUUUGUGGCAUGACAGUUUAAUGAAAUUAUAGAAGUGUAGCACUCAUGGGUAUGUCAUGUGAACCGUUUUCAAUGGGGCUACUUGUUUAAAUUUACAUGGGUGAAUUGUCACACCAAUAUCCUUUGAUGAACCUUGGGUUUUUUUUUUCUGUUUCUUCCUCUCUUGGUCAAGACAAACAAUUUGUCUUCAUAAGGACUUCGUGUUACCAAUAAGCAGCAUCUUGUGUUCUCCUUCUCUCCAUCCCUUGUCAAGACACAUCAAUCUGAUGCAUCUUUGCAUUGGGUUGCUUCCUCUCCUUUCCCUUUCCUUCCUCCUUGAGGCAAAAUCGCAUCAUUGCUUAGUUUUGACUAUGUUUAUUUUGAUCAUUGUGAGAGAGCAUCAUUGUAAGAUGAACAAGAAACGUGUUGUGGUGCAUUAUUCCCUCCUCUACCACCUAAAAUCUAUUUUACACGAUCAUAAGGACCAAGGUGUUUUAAACAUCAGGUAAGAAUUUGUUGACAAUGAUAUGAGAGAUAGAGACAAGCAACAUACCAGUAUUCAAAAGACGUGAUGUUCUUCUUUUGAAUUUGACAACAUUCAUUUAAUCUAAACUCCACAUUUGGGCAACUCAGAAUCUCCACCUUCAUUAGGAUUGCAGGAAGCUGGCUUCUUGGAAAGACAUGGAAAUGGGGCAUCUAGAAAUCCAAAAGAAUUCUAAAGGCUUGUUACUACUUUUGAAUCAUUCCAAUUAAUAACAACUCUAAAAGAUAUAAACAAAUCUGUCCCUGGGAAAGAGACGUGUCAUGUGCAUAUGCAACUAUCUCUCUAAUAGACUUAGGGUUGUGCACCCUCAUGGUAGUUUCUUAUAUAUUGCACCAUAUGAGUUAAAGAUAUUCAACUACCAAUAUCACUACACCUUAAUGAACUAGGAGUUAUGCUGAAAGUGAAGUUGACAACCCAUCAUCGAAAGAAUCCUAUAGGAAUACACCAAAAUGAAAAUCUUAUUAACAUAAAUGAAUUCAUCCAGUUAAAAGAUAAAGUUGCUUGAAAAAUUGAAUUGGGAGAGAUAGAAAUAUUAAUGCUUUCAUAGGAUUGUGGAAGGGGUCAACAAGUGGAACAAACAUUGAAUAGUAAAUGUAAAUCCAUAAAGCUUGUAACUAUUGUCAAAAGUUGCUCCCUAGUGAAGUUUUUUCACAAUAAAGGUAAGUGCAAAAUUCACCUAAUAGCUCCACUUGUAGAAAAUUUCAAUGGUGUGAAACUAGGAUAUGGUGAACUCGCUUCCGCUAUUGCAGUGAACCAUUAUGGAUCAAAAAUGAAUCUCACCAUUGGUUUUCACAUAGGAGAUGUGGGCUAUCUUUGGCCCAUAUCUCAAUAUUGGAUUUAGGAGUUCUGUUUCUCAUAUAUGGUUCCACUUGCAAAAUACAAAUGGAGCUUAGCUGAUGAUAACAAAUUUAGAAAAAUGCAAGAAUUCCAUAGACAUGUUUUAUGCUAUCAUGAAUCAUUCCAAUCAGUAAGGAAUCGAAGUGCUAUAAUUUUGAAUUGUCUUAAGGAACAAACCCCAAUUCCAUCUUGUGAAAGUAAACUAUCUUGAGCACCAACUCAAUUAUGAGUUCUUUAGGAGACUUGAGACACCAAUUCAAUCAAAGAUGCUAGUUGUUUCUGAGGUAGAUUGUCUUCCUCCAUUAAUACUAGGGAAAAUGCUUUUGAAGACCAUUCAUCUGCUAAUUACAAAGGGAAAUGAGAUUAUGUGAUCUGGGAAGAGAAUUAAGCUUCAAAAUAUUGCCAAUAUGCAACCAACAAUUUCUAAUUCUAUCACUUCUAUUCUAGCAUGUGAUUUGUGAAGAGAAUUAAGCUUUGAAAUGUUUCCAAUAUGCAACAAAUUGAGAGAGGCCAAGUGGGCAACCACCAUAGCUAGUUCACAAACAAAACAUGUUUCCCACAAUCAUAAAUACCAAGGUGUUUAAGCAUGAGGUAUGGCAUCUCUUGACAAUGAUGUGAGAGAGAGACAAACAACAUACCAGUGUUCAAGAGAAGUAGUAUUCUUCUUUUCCAUUCGACAACAUUCAUCUAUUCUACAUCCCAAAUUUUUAGCAACUUAAGAUCUCCACCUUCAUUAGGAUUGCAGGAAGCUAGCCUCUUGAAGACACGAGAGAACAUUUAGAAAUCUAAAAGAAUUCCAAAGACUUUCUGUUGCUUGAAUUGUGAAUCAUUCCAAUCAUAAAUACCAAAGUAUUCUAAGAUCAGGUAAGACAUCUCUUGAUAUUGAUGUGAGAGAUAAAGACAAGAAACAUACCAAUAUUCAAGAGAAAUAGUAUUCUUCUUUUGCAUUUGACAACAAUCAUCUACUCUAAACCCCAAAUUUUAGCAACUUAGGAUCUCCACUUUCAUUAGGAUUGCACGAAGCUGACCUUUUGGAAACACAUGAGAGGACAUUUAGAAAUCUAAAAGAAUUCCAGAGACUUGCUAUUGCUUGAAUUGUGAAUCAUUCCAAUCAUAAAUACCAAGGUGUUUCAAGAUCAAGUAAGACAUUUCUUAGCUAUGAUAUGAGAGAUAGAGACAAGCAACAUACCAGCAUUCAAGAGAAGUAGUAUUCUUCUUUUGCAUUCAACAACAUUCAUCUACUCUACACCCCAAAUUUUAGCAACUCAGAAUCUCCACCUUCAUUAGGAUUGCAGGAUGCUGGCCUUUUGGAAACACAUGAGAGGACAUUUAGAAAUCUGAAAGAAUUCUAGAGACUUGUUGUUGCUUGAAUUGUGAAUCAUUCCAAUCAUAAAUACCAAGGUGUUUCAGGAUCAGGUAAGGUAUCAAUUGGCAAUGAUGUGAAAGAUAGAGACAAGUGACAUACCAUUAUUCAAGAGAAGUAGUAUUCUUCUUUUGCAUUCGACAACAUUCAUCUACUCUACACCCUAAAUUUUAGCAACUCAGGAUCUCCACCUUCAUUAGGAUUGUAGGAAGCUGGCCUCUUGGAAACACGUGAGAGGACAUUUAGAAAUUUGAAAGAAUUCCAGAGACUUGUUGUUGCUUGAAUUGUGAAUCAUUCCAAUCAGUAACAACCCCAAAGCCCUAUAUACAAUUUUGAACUGUCAACCUUCUUACAUUGAAUGAAAAACCUAUCCCUAGGAAAAAGGUGUCUUGGGCAUACAACCAUCAAUUAUUAUCUCUCGAAGAGGCUUAAAGUAGUGCACCCUCUUGGUAGCUUCUAAUUCAUUACAUCAUAUAACUUCCAGAUAUCCAAUUGACAUGUCACUACACCUAAAUGAAGUAGAAAACAUGGUGAAUAGGAAGUUAGACAACCUUUCACAAAAAGAAUCCUGCAACAAGAAUACACCAAGCAGAACUUCUUGUUAACAUAAAUGAAUUCACUCAGUUAAAUUAUUGUGUUAAAAUUUAAAUUGGGAGAAAUAAAAAUACUAAUGCUUACAUGGGACUAUGGGAUGACCAACAAGAGGAACAUACUAUGAAUAGAAAAUGUGAAGCCAUAAAGCUUGUAAUUGUUGUUAGAUGCUGCUUCCUAGUCAAGUUUUCAACAAAAAGGUUGAGUGUAGGGGUUCUCUAGUAGUUGAACUUGUAGAAAAUUUUAACAGUAUGAUAAUUUAUACUUGUAACAAGAAGAUAAAAUGUAAGAAUUAUGUGUUGGGAAUAGAUGAAACUUACUAAAUAUAUGGAUAGGAUAGGGUGAACCCUCUUUGCUUCCAUUUUUGGAAUCCAAAUUAUUAUGGAUCAAAGUUGGAUUUCUCCAUCUAUUAAAUACAACUAGAGCUUAGGUGAGGUUUUGGUGAUAUAGGAAAUUCAUGGAUUCUGGAAUCUUUACAUGGAAAUAUACAUGAGUGAUUCAUUGGAAGAAAGGGCAAGCCUUAGUCAUAUGAGAAGAAACAAAUCUUAAAUAUACUAUCAAUCUUGAGUUGUUUGAGAGUGGUGAGUCUGUGAAGGCCUCCCUCAGAUAAGGGAUGUCUUUGACAUUUCUCCUUCUUCAAUCUCAAGAAGGUACACCAUCAACUAGAAAAUUAGGAAUGUGAGUCAUCAUGAACAACUUGUUUAUGUUCUUUAUUCUUUUCUCACUAAAGGGGAUUAAAAGAUAUGUAGUUGCAAGGACAAGAGAUGUAGCCAGUAGUGAGAGCAUCAAACAAUCCUUCUCUAAUGCAGACCAUAAAUUUUAGCAACUCGUGAUCUCCACAAUUUAGAGCAUUGAAGGAAUUUUCCUUGUUGGAAAGAUGUGACAUGACAUUUAGAAAUAUGCAAGAAUUCCGGAGUUCAUUCCAAUCAUUAAGGAAUCCAAAGCCCUAUAAUUUAAAUAGGGCAUCCCCUCGGCAUGGAUAACACACCUAUCUUGGAAAAAAGACUGGGCACCAAUUCAAUGAUUAACUCUCUAUGAAACUUGAGAUACAAGGUACUAAUGUUAGUUGCUUCCGUGGUAGUUCUUUUACUGGUAUUGGGGUAAAGCCUUUUGAAAACCCUCAAUCUACAAAUUACCAAGGACAUGAGAUCAUGUUGUAAUGUCAUCUCCAAUCUCUAGCUACAAACAAAUUAUUUCUUUCAAUUAACAAUCUUUAAUGCAUUCACUUCUAUCAUACGAUAAGCAAUUUUGGAAAACAAGUAAGCUUUAUAAUAUUAGGAAUAUGCAAGGAAUUGAUAAAGGCCAUGAAUCUGCUUUCAAAAAAUAAAUUAUAAAAACAAAGAUUUUUUCACCCAUGAAUAUUGUAAUCAGCUUCCAAAAAACAUUAGGUAUUGCAAUAACCAAAUGUUCCUCAGGUUACCAAGAAUGUUUUUUUUUCACCCAUGCAUAAAAUAAAAAGAAAAUAAGAAAGCAUACCAUACAACUCACAAAUUUGUCAAGUAUGAGUUCGAUUCGUGACCAUGCACAAUUGCAUUAAGUAUUUGAAAGCCAAAUAAGGCUAUUUGCAAUUCAAAUAAUACCAUACAACUCACAACAGAAUCCUCAUAGCUCACCAUAGAAUGAGAAUUCAAUUGUCUUUCCUCUAGUCAUAAGAGUUUGUGCUCUUCGAGCCUUUGACUUGCACAACUCAAGAAAGCAAGACAUGCCAAAAGACUCCUUCACCUCAAACAUUAUUCAAAUCCAUAGUAUAAAUCUAGAUAAGAUAAUUUUCUACAAAUAUAACAUGUUGCAAACAAAUAACAGUAUGUUGGUUUAAAAUUGAAGAGCAUUUCAAACCAAACAAAAUAGAAAAAAUUUCAGUGUAUAUCACUCACCUAAAAGCUUGUAUGUUGGAUAAAAUUCUUGCUAAUGAAUCUUGACAAUUAUUUGCAAUCAAAAUUUAGUAAUGAUUUAUAAACAAAAAAAAAAAAUUACAAAUUUUUUUAGCAAUGUUCCAUGAAAAACACAUUGCAUAUUGAUUGAGAAAUUAAUAUGAAAUCCACUAAUUUGAAAGGCACUAAAAACCAGAUGUUGUCUUGAGUUCUCCACGUAUCAAAAUAGAUGCAAGUUUCUAUUCAAGCCACCACAAUCACGAAGCACGAGACUUCUUUGCAUGGAAAGCACACUAUAUUUUAAACAAGGUUCUUAACUUUCCAAGAGACAUAAGAACAUGGUGUGUUGUAGAAACUGUACAAUAAAUAAAUGGAAGUUAUGCACUUGCUACUUAGUUUUUUAAUCAUGUGUGAAAUAAAUAAAGAGGUGUUACUUGCAUUUAGGCCAAACUUGUAGUCUCCAAUGUGAAAUCCAAAUCUCAUUUUGUCAACAGAAUAAGAGCAUUAAACAUAUAGCAAAUUGAAUCCUUCCUUUUGAAAAUUUGAAAACCUUAAAGGAAUGACUUGAGAUCAUAAAUAACUAUACGGUAAAGAAAAUUUUCAUCAUUCAUUCUAAAAGGAAAAUUUGUCAUUUCCUUGAUUACAGAAGAUUGAUAUUUUAACAUAAAGUGUACUUAUUAAGGUAAAAUUUGUGCAUUAUAUAUUGAAUUAGAAAAUUGUAUUUAAAUCCGGUUAGAAGGGUAUCACAAAAGAUGCUUAAUUGAAAUGAAGGCAUCCAUGCCAAUUUGAAACUAUCGUCAAAUAACACCCUCCCUUGUCAUUUUACGUCCCAUGCUUGCUUGUCAAAUCUCUAACUAAGACUGCUCAAAGAGCACCUAAAGAAAAUUACGAAGAUUUCAUUACAGGUAGAACUUAAGAUGCUUACAUUGACCAUGGGAGAGAUCGAUAAGAAACAAAAUACUCACCUAUAAGUUUGUAACUAUUGUACUCAAAACUUGCUUCCUAGUCAAACUUUCAACAUAACUCCAUGGAGACUUCCAUAAAUUGUUGAGCCACUGGUAAAACACAACAUCAAUAUGAGAAAUUUACAAGGCUAUGUAGAUAAAAGAGUAAGAAAUGUGUAUUGAGAAUAAGAGUUACCUUAAUGAAUGUAAGGAUAGGAUAGGGUUGAAUUGGCUCUACACCCAUUUUUGCAAUUUGAAUUUAUUAUGGUUCAAAAAUGAGUUUAUGACGUAUCCUCAUUUUAGGGGAAGCGGGCAAUCUAGGGUCAAUCUCUAUCAUUCUCCUUGAAACAUCUUUGAUUUCAAAGUUUGAUAAAACAUAGAAGACAUCCUUUCACUUGACAAGGAGGACUAGAACAAGGCAUCCCUCAAUCUCUACAAGUUAAAGAAAUGAAGUUUUGAAGACCAAGGGAGGGGGCUAGGAUUCCAGAUUUGACAUUAUUUUCAUUGAAAGAUCAAAGAGAGUUGUAGCAAGAAAUCCUGUCAAAAGGAAAUUGCAUUUAACAAUAUACAAUAUAAAAUGAAUGAACUGAGUUUUUAGAGAGGUGAAUAUUUGGAGGCUCCACAAAGAUAAGGGAUUUUAAUACCCUUGCAAGUGUAUUCUUGAAAUUGUUUCCUCAAAGGAAACUUGAACCUGGACAAUGUGCAACACAAAGCUAUUAAAGAGAUGUGAGACUCUAAAUUUGAUGAGGUAGGACUUGAGAUUCGCAUUUUCUUUAGUGAGGAAUUCUGAGGUUGUAGACACACUAGUACUUUCCAGAUUUAGAUACUUCUCUUCAACUAUUUGUAUAACGUACAUCUUCUUUGACAUUGCUACUCCAACAGGAUGUCCAAUAGGAUGUGCAACCUAUUUGGGCAUACUACAUGUACAACAAAAAAUUUCAUUAAAACAAAAAACUUUUACUAAAACAAAAAUAUGAAGUUAAUGUCUAAGAAGAUAAGAUUUAUAUAUAGUGAAUUAUCAUGAUUGAUUUUAGCACAAAGGGAAUGACACCAAAAGUUUUAAGAAUAUCACCACCACAAGUACCUAAUUUGCAUCAUUAAAAAUUCCACAAGGAUUUGAUGGUUAGGCAAUAAAAUAAUUCUAGUAAAUGAGUUAAAAUCAGUUGAGCUAAGAAAGAUUAAAUCCAAAUAAGCAUCAAUCAUUAAAGAAUUAACCAACUACGAAAGACUUCAAAUGACUUUUUUUCUGUAAUUUCUGUUCCUAAUUGGCCCCAUUUGCUUGUACCAAAAUAUUAUUAAUUUGCUUUAAAGGAAAUGGGUGACUCAUAUCUCUGAAAGAAUGUGAGAGGUGGAAAUCCCUCGAUCUCUAGUGAUUCAAGAGGAUAAUUCCUAUGGCUAUUGUUGCCAUCAUACAUCAUUCAGCUAGCUAUAGACCACAAAAUUGAACAAUCAUGAAUAUGUAGAUGCUUAAAUAUGGUAUGUACUUUAUCUAGUGGAAAAGCUUAUGAGACUUGGACAUCUCAAGAUUUCCACAAAUUGAGACAGAUACAAGUUGUUGCUUCCUAUUAUAAUUUAUUUGGAUUGCAAUCAUCAAGCACUAACUCCAUUCACUGCAUGUUUUGAGCCUUCAACAUAAAACCCAAAUUCCAUUCUAUCAGCCAAAAAAAAAAAAUCACUACUAACUCCUCUGGAAACCAUUUUAUGUUGCUAAGAUUAUAAAAUGUAGGAUUUAACUUACUUCCAUCAUUGAAAAUGAAUUGAUAUAACUUUACAAUACUAGUAUAUUCAGCUUUUGACAUGGCUGAAAUUGAUCCUGGAAUAAAAAAUCACAUACACAAGUAGAUAUUUAACAGAAGAGGAUCCAAAAUCUCUUCAAUUGAUUAAUGUAUAAAUGAAUUAUUCAAAAUUUUUUGAGAUAAUUAUGGGGAGAUGAACCUUGUAUCUCUAAGUUUCUUAUUCUUCUUAAACAGAGCAAUGAGCAUCAAGUGUUGAGCACCUAGGAAUCUCCCUUCCUCCACAGGCAAAGUCUGAACAAUCUAUCCUUUCUUCAUAUUCCACUUCCUUGCAAAAGUCAAAACAUGAAGAAAAUAUCAUCAAAAUUGAGACAAAAAUAAGUGCAUCAACUAUCUCAAGAAGAGAUUUAUGCCUAUUGCUUACCUUUUGAAGAAGGCCACUUGAUUAGAGCACAUUUUACAUGGACGCCCAAUCACUGCAAGCUGCUGAACCAAAGGAGAGUUCAAACAUCUAAAAAAUUUGAAAAACUCAAGUAUCAUAAAAUACUUCAUAUGAAUUCUAAAUGAUCUCAUAUCUAAAAAACAUUGGCAUAAAAUUAUUGUUGUUUACCUUACAUGUUUCUUCCAUGGUCAUAAUCGAAACUUUGUUUAUCAUAAGAAAUCUUCUAUGCUCAUCUUGAUAACUUACAAUGAACACUGAAAUGAAAAGAAAAAAAAACACAAAAAAUGAUGAUUAGUUUGGUUUGAUAAAUUUAGCACACAUAAUUUCCUUUUUCUUGCAUGAGAAAGGAAAGAGUAAUAUAUAUAUAUAUAUAUAUAUAUAUAUAUAUGAAUUUAAUAAUUUUUUAAAAUUAGUAAUUAUAAAACUAUUUUGGUUCUCAAAAAAUUUAUGGGAAAGUAGGGAAAAAAAUUAUGAACUUUUUCUCUUGUUUGAUUAUUUAUCGAAAAAUUGAGGGAAAAACAAAAAUCUAUGAGAAAUUUAUUUAACACUUUUGAGGAACCAAAAAUGUUUUAGAUGUUGUCAAAUCGGUAAUUUAAAUGUGUUUAAUUCCAAUUAUUUGAGUUUAAUCAAACACAUGAAAUUGUGAAUAAAAUUAUUUAAAAGCAUUGAAAUUCAAGUCAUUAAAGUUGUCCAUAAAAUUUGGUUUAUUGAAACAAGAAAAAAACAAAGCAAUUUGAAUAACUUGCUAAUAAAGCAACUAACUAGAAUAUGCCCUAGAGUUGUUCAGUGCCCUCUAUAUAAGAAAUAAACAGAGAACACAAAAAAAAAAAAAACCCAGAAAAAAAGCAAACAAAAAACAGAGAACACUUCUUACGUUAUUUUUUCUUAAUUUUUCAACAGUUAUAAAUGAUUCAUUUCAUUUUUGCAAACUGCCAAAUCAAAAUAGAGCAUGAAAAUGUGUUCAAUAUUUGUGUCACCGUUUUUCCGGUAAAUGACCUCAUUGGAACUACAAUAAGUGAAGUGAUCAUGUCAUCUAAUUAGUAAACCAAACCAAGUCAAUAAACUAGAACUUCCUCUAGUAUAGCCUCUGUGUAAAAGAUAUUUAAAGGUCUUGAUACAUUAGAUAUUGAAUUUGUUGGACCUGGCAAGGUAGAAGUAGUAAUGCUCAUUUUUAUUGUGACAGAUUAUAGAGAAAAUUAGACACUGAGAAAAUACCAAGCCAGGAGCCAUGUCAAGAGCUGCUUUCUUGUUAAAAAUUAAGUCCAAUUAGAAAAUUAUAGUAGCGCGUAAGAGAAAUUGAAAGUGGUGUUGAGAAGAGAAAGAGGAAGAGUGAUGUGUUGGGAAUGAGAUGUAAUACCUUAUUUAUUACUCAGAUGGAUUAGUCAUCUAUCACCACUAGGGGUCUCCAACGGGCGGGCCGGGCCGUAAAUAGGAGGCCCGCGGCCCAGCUCGGGCCGGGCCUAUGGGCCCGUUGACUGGUCAACAGGCCGGGCCGGGCCGGGCCAGGGAAAAAUCUUCGGCCCGCGGCCCGGCCUAUGAGCCCGCGGGCUGGGCGGGCUGGGCUGCGGGCCGGGCUGGCGGGCGGGCUGGCGGGCCGGGCUGGGGGCGGGCUGGCGGGCCAAGCCUUGGGCUUUUUUAAAUAAGCCAAAAGGCUUUAGAAAUGAAUGGAGAGGGGGGGAUUCGAACCCCUCCCCUCAUGGUUCAAAGUAAAGGCUCUAACCAACUGAGCCACAUUACUUUUGUGUUUAAUGUUAGAGUUAGUUAUAUAUAUAUAUAACAUAAAGUAUAUUAUUUUUUAAAAAAAAAUUAAAGGCUCCAACGGUCAUGUGACCGUUGGAGCUCCAACAGUCCAACCCAUGCUCCUAGCUGCCAUGUGACCGUUGGGCAACGGUCACAUGGCCAAUUUUUUUUUUUUUUUUUUUUUAAAAAAAACCUUCCUAUAAAUACAUCUUCUCCCUUUUCAUUUUUUCAUCAAAUUCUCUCUAUUUCUCUCUCUAUUUCUCUCACAUUCUACAAUAUUUCAAUUUUUUUUAUUUUUCCCUCAAAUUAUACAAUAUUGUUGGUGGUGCAAAACAAGCAUUGGUGGCUCCAAGAGUUCAAAUUUGCUAGGAAUUUCUGCAUCGGUUCUCUAAUUGAGUAACAUACUUCACCUCUACUACUUUAUUUUUUUGUUACAUUUUUUUUUAUAUUUAUUACUUUAUUAUUUUUGGCAUAAUAUUUUAUCAAUAAUUAUAAUAUGACAACAAGUGCUUCUUCAUCUAGUCCAUGUGAUGAAAUAUCAUCAAACAAAAAAUUUACUUCAAAUAUAUGGAAUUUUUUUGAUAGAGUAGAAAUAAUUUUAGAAAAUAAUAAAAAAGAAAUAAAAGCAAAAUGUAAAAUUUGUAAUAAAUUUCUUACUGGUGGCUCAAAUGCAGGCACAAGUCAUUUAAAAAGACAUCACGAAAAUUGUAAAACUAAAAAUAAUGUAGAUAUUAGAAAUUAUAUGCAAUUAGGUAAAAAUGAAAGUGGAAAUUUAAAAACAUUUUCUUAUGAUGAAUCUAACUGUCGUGAAGAAAUGAUUGAUUAUAUAAUAAGAGCAGAACAACCUUUCAACAUGAUGGAAACUCAUGAUUUUGUAGGAACAAUUCAACGAGGUAUUAAUCCUCAAUUUAAAGGUUGGUCUGGAAAUACAGUUAAAAGAGAUAUUAUGAAAAAAUUUUAUACACAAAAAGAAAUUUUAAAAAUUUUUUUUGCAAAUUUUGAAGGAAAUAUUUGUUUAACAUCUGAUAUUUGGACAUCUUUAACUCACACUGGUUUUUUAUGUAUAACUGCUCAUUACAUUGAUAAUGAAUGGAAAUUAAAUAAAAGAAUAAUUUCAUUUAAAUUAAUAAAUGCUCCACAUAGUGGUAAAAAUAUAGCAGCUUUAAUAAAUGAAGAAAUUAUAAAUUUAGGCCUUCGUGAUAAAAUAUUGACAGUAACAUUAGAUAAUGCUGCUAAUAAUGAUGCAGGAAUAAAUAGACUAAAACUAUAUUGGCAAGUAAAAGAUGAUCAUGCUAAAAUAUUUCAUGUGCGUUGUUGUGCACAUAUUUUAAAUUUAAUUGUAAAGGAUGGAUUAAAAAAUGUUGAUGAUACAUUGGAAAAAAUUAGAGGCAUUGCAUAUAGUAUUAAUAGUUCUCAAGCAAAACAUGAAUUAUUUUUUGAUUGUUGCAAAAUGUUAAAUAUGAAAAGAAAAAAUAUAAAUUUGGAUAUGGCCAUUAGAUGGAAUUCCACAUAUAAACUUUUACAAAAUAUUACAAAAUAUAGAAAAGUAGUCGAAUUAUAUGAAAUACAAUUACUUAACAAUGAUUGUGAUGCAGAUAUUGAUGCAUUAAGUGAUUAUGAUUGGCAUGUUGCGGAUCUUUUAAGAGAUCUUUUUGAAAUUUUUGAUACUUCAACAAACAUUUUUUGUGGUGUAUAUUAUCCAACUUCAAAUCGAGUUAUUAUGCAAAUAACUAAUAUUUUUAUUGUACUUCAAAAAUAUUUAAGUUUUGAAAUAUUUAAUGAUACAAUAUUUGCAAUGAUAGAAAAAUUUAGAAAAUAUUGGGGAGAAAUACCUUUAAUUUUUUAUAUUGCUUUAAUUGUGGACCCUAGAUUGAAAUUUGAAGCUUUGGAUGAAUGGUUAACAAUUAUUUAUUUUAAUGACCAAAUAAAAAUUGAAGAAAUUAAAAAUGAAAUAAAUUCAUUAUUAUAUAAUUUAUAUAACUAUUAUAAAGAAAAAUAUGGUAAUGAUAUUAAUACUAAUAAAUUACCACCUACAUCUACAAACUCCUCAUCUUUUUAUAAAGGAGCUCUAGAAAUGUUGAAAAGUCGAAAAAAGACAACAAAUAGUUCUCCAAAUAAUACAUCUGAUUUAGAUAAAUAUCUUAAUACUGAUAUAAUUCCAUUUGAAGAUUUUGAUAUUUUAAUAUGGUGGAAAUCACAUCAACACAAAUAUCCUGUGCUUUCUAUAAUUGCUCGUGAUGUACUAACAGUUCCUGUGAGUACAGUUGCAUCAGAAGCUGCUUUUAGUGCAGGUGGAAGAGUUAUUAGUAAAAAACGAUGCAACUUAGCGCCAGACGUUAUUGAAGCAGGGAUAUGUGUAAAAGAUUGGGAAAUUGCAGAAAAAAGGAUGUACGAUUCCAUUCGAGAAACAGAGAUGCUUGUCGAUAUGGAAUCUUUAAAACUAUCAAGAUCUUCAUGGAUGCAUGAUAAUUCGCCAUCACCGCCAGAAAAUAAUGACUAAAUGUAUAUUAUAUUUUUAUUUUUAUUUUUUGUGGUUGAAAAAUACAAAUGAUUGACAAAUAAAUAGGUGCCAACCUAGUUGGGAUGUAUUUAUUUUGUAGUGAUGUAAAAUUUUCCCACAUUUUUAAAUGUAAUUAUACAUUCAAUGAAUAAAAUUUUGAAAUGAAUAUUUUUUUUAAUACUUUUUAUUUUUGUAGUUUUUUUUUUUAAAUGGGCGGGCCUAAGGGCGGGCCUACGGGCCGGGCCUACGGGCCGGGCCUACGGGCCGGGCCGGGCCUAAUUUUAGGCCCGCGGCCCGGCCCGCCCAUAAACGGGCUCGGGCCGGGCCGGGCCUAAAGCGGGCCGCGGGCCGCGGGCUUUUUGGAGACCCCUAAUCACCACACAGGGGAUGUGAGCAAUCUUGGGCCAAUCAUCUCCUUCCUCCUUCGAGUACCUUUGUGUUAGAUGUGGGCAACGCCACGCAUGCAGUCGAGAAAGGGUGUCAGGCAAUAGUCCUUCCCUUGGCAAAAUCGACCGGAGCUUAGGGCAACUUUCGAUUCCUAGUUGUUCAAGAGAGGUGAGGGUUUGGAGAGACAGGGAGGCUAGGGAUUCCAGAUUCUGGAAUUCUGAAAGGGAAAGGAAGGUGAUAAUUGUAGGAAAAGGAAUCGAGUGGGGGUCAUCCGAAAAGGAAGUUGCAUCUGGAAACAUGCCUCUAAUCCAGAGGUGUUUAAGAGAGGUGAGUCUGGAAAGGCCCCAUUGGGAUAGGGGGGUCUUGAUAUUCUUGCAGUUAGAGAUCUCGAGCCGUGUAAGACGGGUGAGCUUUUUUAUCUGAGGAAGCAACAAUUCCAGAUUUUCAAAAUCUGCAAUACGUAGAUUUGUGAGGGUGUUGAGGCAAUCUGGUAGGGUUUUGAGAUUAGGAUACCUCCAGAGGGUUAAAGAUUGAAGUGAAUUAUUAGUAGAGUGAAACAUCUCCUCUGAAAUUGACUCGAGGUGUUCACAAUCCCAAAUGUCAAGUCCCUCAAGGGUGGAGGGAAACUUGCCUCUUGGGAAGGAUGUGAGAGAUGAACAAUGACAGAUAGCCAGGCUUUGAAGAGCAGCAGCAUAUGUGGAAUCGUAGUGCAUUAUUCCCUCUGGUAGAGACUCCAGCUUUUCACAAUCACUUAUGUAGAGUGCCUUGAGAGUGAUGGGUAACCUACCUCUCGGAAAACCAAUCAAAGAGGGACACAUAUUUAGACUUAAGUAUUCAAGGGCACACAUGUCCAUGGUGCUGGUGGUGGCGAUGGAAUUGCAGUGCAUCAUUCCUUCUGGAAGAGACUUGAGAUUUUGACAAUCACGUAUGGUUAGUUUCUUAAGGGUGGUGGGUAAUUGCCCUUUUGGAAAGCAAAUGAGAGAUGGACACUUCCAUAUCCUUAAGCAUUCAAGGAGACACAAGUUGUUGUCAGUACUACCGUUCCUCAUCUUCAACAUCAUGCCAUCAGGUAGACGCUUUAGACCUUUACAAUUAUUAAGAAAAAGAUUUCUCAGCAUUGGUGGGAAACCUACAUCUGGAAAGAAGAUUGUCAAUUCUUCAAGGCAUGUUAGACUCUGCCAUCCAUUUGGAAGCCUCUCUAGUUUAUCACGUUUAAUUAUUUCCAAAGACUGAAGAUUGCAUCCCAAGGAUACAAGUUGAUCACAAUCUCUAAUCUCAAGAGAAAGAGAGUUUUUUGAUCCAAAACCAUCCUCCCACAAAUAUUCGAGUUCUUCACAUUCUGAUACUUCCAAAACCCGAAGCCCUUGCAAAAAUUGCACAAGUCCUUCAUGCAAUUUUACAAGCCUUGAAAUCCUAGAAAUUGUUAACCUGGUGAGUGAGGUGAGGUCAUUUCCACUUCUCAAGACCGCCUCAUUACAUCCUCUUACUUGCAAUUCCCUCAGCAGUGGAAGUCUUGAAAGUGGAGACUCCAAUUUUGGACAAAAGUGAACAGAGAGCUUUGUAAGAGAAGGUAGGUAAGUGGGUAGUUUCAUAAUCAAUUUGGGGCAAUACUUAAUUAUAAGCUCAUGGAGACAAGGGAAUAAUGACUCUGUUGAGGAAGACCAGUCCUCCCAGUGCUCCCAUUCUGACAUGCUCUCAAAAUGUAGAGACUCUAGUGAUGGGAAAAACUUACCUGCAGAAACACGAGUCUCUCCAUAAAACUCUGCACCCACUUUUUUUACUCCAACCAUUCCUUGGAUCCUCAACUGUUUGAGCGAUGGCAACUGCCCCAAGCAUGGUAAAGACGUGCACUUUCUGCAAUCUAUGAGACUUAGAUCCACCAUCUUAGAGAACAAGGCAUCCCCUAUCCAACGUGGGAAUUUUGGACCACCAUACAACUGAAUGCAGAGUUUGUUCAGAUUCAAACAACGUUGUAGAGAGUCAAGGACAUCCAUUUGAUUCCUUUCAUUCCCUGAACCAUCCAACUCAGAACUCCACUGCAUUAUCAAGCUUUCAAGGUUACGCUUUAAUUUUAAAUCGGCAUCCCUUGCAUCUUGAAUAUUCACCACAUUUUCCAAUUUCGAAAUGCAAAGUUCUCCUCGCAGAUGUGACACGUCCUUCAACUCUUUGAUUGUCAAACCUUUGUUUUUGUCCACAAUGAAAUUAGACAAUAUCCGCAAAUCUUUUAGUUUGUCAAUUCGUAUAGGCAUUUCUUGUAAUUUUAUUGCACCGGCAACAUCAAGAUGUCGAAGAUUGAUUAGGUUAUCGAUGCUAAUAGGCAACCUGAUAAGCUCUUUACAACAUGAUAAUUUCAAUGUCUGAAGGUAAAAAAGAUUACCAAUUGAAUCGGGUAACCAUUUUAUACUAAUGUAGGAUAAAUUAAGGUAUCUCAAAUGUUUCAACUUACCAAAUGAAUCCGGUAUCUCACUUAUCAUGUAAUUAGUCAAUGAGAGCACCCUUAAGUGCCCUAACCUUGGUAUCAAUUCUUCAAGCACCUUAUUACUUAUGAAGUGAUCAAGCCAUGUUGGUUGUUCAUCAAUCGGGAAAGCUAUGAAUGUGCGCAAGUGCUCCUUUUCAUGAAACCUUUCAAAAUUUUUAAAGAUAUCAUAAUGAUGAUGGAUGAAUGAUGAAUGACGAGCAUUUUUCAAAAAUGGGGCAUUGCAAAUCAUUCCACAACUCAUCAUCCAAAUGCAAGCAUGUGUCUCCAGCAAUAGAAUUAGCUAGACCGUUAAUAAGAUCAUGCAUAAUGAAUCAUGAUUUAUUGCUGCUCGACGAUUGGAAAAAUGACCUUGACAAUAGUUCACAAAAAUAAUCAUCACCAAGAUCUUCCAUUUUCUCAUCCUCAUUUGAUUGUUGAAUUAACCCCUCCGCCAUCCACAAGAGGAUUAGCUCUUCCUUCUUAAACUCGUAAUCUUGGGGAAAUAAUGCGCAAUAAGCGAAACACCUUUUUAAAGUGUAUUUCGAAUUUAAAUUAUUGCAAGUGUAUUUGCUUGACUAACCUUUUGAAUUACUCAAAUUUAACAAGUUGCAAAUAGGUCCCUUAGCUAAUCUUUUAAAUUAAUCUUGAUGUUGACAAGAAUCUUGCCGACCAUAAUUAUAAAAAGAGAAAUAAUUGAAGCUAAGUUGACCUAAUCUAGUUUAAUAAAUUGCAAGUCGGUGCCCUUACCUAAUCUUUUAAUUUAAUCUUCAUAUUGAUAAGAAUGAAGCCGACAAUAAUUAUAAAAACAAAAAGACGACAAGUUAAUUCUAUUGACUAAUUUUAUUAACUCAAAUUUAAUUAAUUACAAGUAAGUUUUCUUAAGUCUUAACUAACGUUUAAAUUAAUCUUGAUAUAUAUAAGAACCUUGCCAACUGUAAUCAUAAAAAAGAAAAGGCCGACAAACUAAUUUAAUUGACUAAUUUUAUUAACUUGAGUUUAAUAAAUUGCAAGUAGGUUAAUCUCUUACCUAACCUUUUAAAUUAAUCUUGAGAUCAAUAAAAAUUAUAAAGAUCAUAAUUAUAAGGAGGAGAAAAAGGCAAACUAGUUUGAUAUUUUUAAGGGCUUAAGCUAAAUUUAUACCUUUUAUACAAGAGUUCCUAUUUUUAUAUAAACGUUUUUAUCACUUUUUGUUUUUAAAAACAAAAAAUGAGAAGUAUAUCUAAACAAAUACUUAAUAUUGAAUGGUAUAAACUCCUACUCAUUUAAAUGAAAUAAAGAGAUAUUUUCAUUUAAGAUAAAAAAAAAUGUAAGGAUAAAAAAUUAAAAAACUUUUUAACUUCUUGUACUUUAUUAUUACAUUUUUUUCAUUAGAUGCUUUAAAUAUUUUUUAUCAAAUAAAAUUAUAAUGCUAUUGGUCGAGGGCUAAUUAACUUUGUUUAAGCGAGAAAGAUAUAGUUAAGAUUGGGGUCGAUCCACAACUAAAAGAAGAAUGAAAUAAAAAGUAGGAGAUGAAUUGAUCAAACCAAUGUCCCAAAAAUAGUCCUAUGCAUGGCUCUACUUGAAUAUCUAUGAUUAUGAUUAUUAUUAUUAUUAAACUAAUCUUAACUUUAAGUUAAAGAUAAUUUAAAAAUAUAUAUAACUUCAAAAAUUAUUUUCAAAUCUAGAGAGUUAUUUUGAACUAGCAAUUAAAAGAUACUUCUUCAAAAUCAUUUUUUCUUAUUAUACAUUUUAUCAUCGAGAACCGUUUCAAACCAUCUUUUUGGUUUGCUUUCACAAAAAUGGUUUUUUCCCCCUCCAAAAGAGCUAUCAAUGGAAGCGUUAUAGGCUAAAACCGUAUUUAUGAUAAUCAAUUCCAAUGGAUCCUAUAAGUUAUGCCAUUUUUAUGAAGUUUUUCUUUGGUUUUUAAUCUUUGUAUUAAUGCAUCAAUAAAUGUUUUAUUAAAGAAAUUACUAGUAUAAUAAAUGAUACAAGAUUGUACGUGGGUUCAUGUUGAUAGGACAAUGAGAUAAAAAAAUAUAAGGUGAAUACAAAUCUCCAUGCAUAAAUGAAGCAAUUAGCUUGUUCAAUAUAUUUAGCUUGAUGUAAAAUUUCCUUUUUAUUUUCCAAAUUCUUUAUAACAAUUGGCUUUCCCUCGUAGUACAAAAAAAAUAAAAAUCCUCCUUGCAUUAAUUUUUCUCCUAAAACAAUUUUUUUUAAAAAAAAUUAACUUUUCAAAAAUUAAAAGCUAUUAAAAACAUCUGCCUAUAAUAACCUAUAAGUAAAAGUUCCUUCAACUAGCCUAUUACUUUUUUGAGAGUUCAUAUGAAUUAUGUAUGGCCCACAGUUGGACUUUGAAGAGUUUCAAAGCAAUUUAGUUAAAAGAUAACAAAAAAAAAAAAAAUGAUAUGACAAAUAGUGAAAAUCACUUUGGAUUCCAAUAAUAUUUUCUAUCAAUAUAAUAUCUCAAUACAAUGUCUCCUUGGUAGGUUUAGUAUGAAAAUGAAUUAUUUUAUGAAUAUGACUUUGGAUUCCAAAUUUUGAACUUUCUAAUGCCUUAACAUAGUGGUAGGUGUCACACCCCUGAAGGUCACACCAAAUUUUUCACAAGUGCGCGGUGCUAAGGACCCUUCCUUAGCCAACCUUCCUUCCCAGCGUUUAGAAAAACAGAGUAAAAGCACAACAACAGUAAAUCAAUAGGGACACAAACGUUUACAAGAAACCUUUCCCAACUUGUAUUAAUUCACUCUACAAGACAAAAUUGUUCCUCUGAACCAGAGUACAAUGCUCACACCCAAGCAUUACGACAAGAACCCUUUUCCCCAAAUUCUCUCUCUCUCCGUUUCAAGGCUCUAGGAGCCCUUUUAAAAGACUUAAGCUGCACUUACAAAUUUGAAUUUCCAAAUUCAAAUGUUGGAGCCAAUAUGGUGGUUAUGCAACUAGCCAGAAUCACCCAUAACUGCCUUGCAUAACCACCCACCACCCAGAUAGUGGCCUGCACAUGCCACCCACUUGCACCAGCCAUCAGCCCUCAGCCAACUACAAGUCAAAUGACAGCUUGACUUAGUCACUUGCUGUCUGAGCUAGCUGCCACUAGCUAGCUACACUGCCAUCUUCUCAAGCCCUGCUCGCUAAGCUGCUGGAGAGUCCCCCUAACAAGCUGUCUCCUUCCCCGCAAGGUGCCUCUUGUGACUGGGUGCCCAUCAGCAUGUCUUUGAUCAAGGCCUUCUAAGCCAGGCAGUGUGCACCAACCAGCUGACCAAGCGUCUGGUGCAUCAGUGUGCCUUCCCCACACUAAUGUGUGAGCCCAUGCCAUGUCUAAGUGCCCAUGGCUUGGGCUUGUUGCUUGCUUCCCUUGUCAGAUCCAGCUUCAUAGCAACGAGCCAUGGCAUUGCGCCCAUGGCUAAUCCCUCUUAGUGCACAGGGCAUUGUGCCCCGGUGCUGUGCGUAGACAUCAUGGUGCGAGUCAGCUAUUGCUUGGUGCCCCAUCAGACCAUGGCAUUGUGCCCAUGGUUUCAUCAGCUGGCUCACCGCACAAGUCUUAGGCACUCUCGUGCUUGCGCGGGAAGGAGGUAGGCCGCACCAAGCCCCAUGCCGUUGUGGCCAUGGGGUACACACCACACAUGUCGUGGAGCCCAUGUGUGCAUGCUCAAGUCGCAUCCGUGUGUCCUAGGCACGCCCAAGGCCGUGCCAUGGUGUCCCCUUGGUGCAGUCAAGGCUUUCCUUGGUGCUCUCUCCUUUGAGUCACCUAACCCCCCCCCCUUAAAGAGCAAUACGGGUCGUUUUCAUUGUUUCUGGAGGAGACAUUAAUAUGCCUGAGGAGACAUAAUGGAAUAAUAAAUAAUUAUAAAUUAAAAUUCCAAAAGUCUCUCAGCCUUCAUCUGCACCACCUAAGUCAGGUGCGCACACGAUGCCCAUCUGGUGCGCACGCGAUGCAUGUCUGGCUCGCCCGUAGUGCGCGCACGGUGCCCAUCUGGCCUGUUCACAAUGUGCGCACGGUGCGCGUCUGGCUCGCCCGUGGUGCGCGCGCGGUGCACGUUUGGCUCGCCCACGGUGUGCACGUGGUGUGUAUUUGGCUCACCCGUAACCUCUCACAUAGCCCCUAGAGUUUGAACCACCAAACCUCUAGGAUUUCCUUGCUUUCAGCCUAGGCUCUCAUGGGUACAAGGCCUAUCCAUGAGGCCUUUUCCUCCAUGGUUAAGUCAAGAGGCUAAGGGGCUGACAGUAGGCCUUAUAGAAAAUGAAACUUGGGAAAAAGUAUAGUAUGGACAUAAUUUUUGACUUAGGAGGUGAUGUUACAACACCUUCAAUUAAUUACCUUGAAAAUGAUAUGUUAUUGUAUUGAAAAUGAUAUUAAAUUUAAUGAAGACAUAUCUAAUAAAAAUAACACCCGUUUUUUAAAACAAUAUUAUGAUCUUACUAUUGUGUCAUGUUGGAUCAUAAAAAUAUCACCCAUUUUUUAAAACAAUAUUAUGAUGUUACUAUUGUGUCAUGUUGGAUCUCAUUUGGAAAACAAUUUAAUUAUGUUGUGUCAUAAUUUUUUUAAAAUUUAUUCCAUUUUUCUUUUAAUUUUUGAAGCAUGCAAUUGGAGUUGGUCUAAACUUUGAAUAGUUGGAGCCAAUUUCAAUGCCUUAGUGGGUCUAAAAGAAAAAAAGAAAAGAUUGGAAAAUUGAAGUGGAAUAUGGAGACAAAAUUUUAAAGGCUUGAAGUGAUGUUACAGCUUUCCAAGUAAUUACCUUGAAUGUGAGAUGUCAUUAUAUUGAAAAUUCAUAUUAAAUCUCAUGAGGUAACUAUAGGAAUUGCCAUACAUAGAGACAAAUAAUAAAUAUAUCUCACUUUUUCAAAAUGUUUGUGAUCCUAAUUAUACAUUGCCUUUAUAGUGGGAUGAAUGCAUCUUCACUUAAAGUCUUAUUCUAAACAUAUUUUUAGAAUUUUCUAGGAAUAUGUAAAGAAAACUUUAUGAUAAGUAAUUUCUAUCUAAGACGGGUAAAGUCUAAUAUGAUUUGUUCACACCAUUCAAAUCCAACACAUUUUUUUAUAAAUUUGAAAUGAGUAUAAUUGUAUUUGAAUAAAAAUAAAUUGUUUUUAGGUCAACUUUCAUAACAAACAUUUAACUCAAAUUGACUUAUUUAAUAAUAUUAAUCUUAAUUAUAACUUUAACUUAUUUAACUCAUAUUUGACUCAUUUAAAAUUUGAUUUUCAAUAGUGACAUCAUAAUUGAGUUAUAAACAUGUCAGUUUAGGACACUAACCAUAUAAGAUCAUACAAUGUUAAACUCAAUUUGACUAUUAAAUAACAUCUAAUUAUUAUAAGAGUUAAAUAGGUUACAAUGUAUUACUUGGUUAAUAAUUAGAUUGUGUUUGAGUUUGUAUUUUUAAUUAUAAUUUAGUUGAGUGUUUGAUCUACGUUACCAACAUGAAUUAUCACUCAUAUUUCUAUUGCAAAACCAAAGAUGGGAUAAUUCUUAGUUUUGAUGAUAAUAAAAGAAGGUUCGACUAAAGUUUCAUCUUGAGUGUGACUAGGCAAGAUGAUUUUUAAAGUAACAAUUACAAAGAUAAACCAAAACAAAAGAAAAAAAAGAAAGAAAAGGAAGACCUCAAAGAGAAGAGACUUCAAAAAUUUUUAUAAGAUCUCUUUGUAAGGUUGUUGGUGCACUAGAAUUUACAUGCAUUUUAUUCAAGCAUCAAAGAUCAUCCUUGUGCGAUUUUGUUUUAAAUUUUUUUAUAAUUAGAUGAUUUCAUGUUUUUAAUUAAAACCUUAUGCCAAAUUUUUUUCUAAACUUUUUAAAAGGGUUGCAUGAGUUGCUAGAGGUUUGAAACCUAAAACCUGAGUAUUUGAGUACUUAAUAGUGCAACCGGUCAAAAGUCCAGGGAAUUGAUUAAAUCAUUUAGGUUCAAUCAAUUGAGGGGUGUUUUUACACACGCUUUCUCUCUUUCUUGGUCAAGACUUUGCCUUUCAUGGUCAAAGUCUUGAACCCUAACGAACACUUACUAAAAGUAUUAAUUGCUAAUGAUUUUAGCAUUAAUUGCUAACGGUUAGUGAAUCAGUCAAAUCGGAACUUGACUGGUUGACCCCCUAAAUGUGCCUAACAACAAGUUUAGCCUUUCUACUUCUACAUAAAGGUUCCAAUCUUCAUUGUUGGUAAGUCUAACAUUCCCAAGUCUUUUAUGAACAGUAUUUGAGCCUUGGUGGAGUGUUUUUUAGCACACCUUGUUUCAAAACUUGCAUAUCAUUAGUUCACCAUUAAUCUUAAUUUAUCUUGUAUCAUUUGAGCUUAAAUUUGUACUAGGAAUGUGUGAGAUUAUCUUUCCUAUCAUUUUGUGUAAACCUUUGUAAGGGGAGAUUAAGUGUGGGGUAUUACUUAAAGGAAAAUUUAAGCAUGAGGUAUCACUUAGUGUUUGUCAAGUGUGGGGUAUCACUUAGGAAAUUCAAGAGUGAGGUAUUUUUUGAAAAAUUUGUAAGUGUCCAUUGGAGUCAGUUAAUCUAAUAGUAUGAUUAGAAACUUUAGAUUAGUAGAACCUCAAGUUUAGGAUUGAAGUUAUAGGAGAGUGAACAUAGAACGAGUUGCACCAAACCACAAUAAAAAUAUUGUGUUUGUAUUCUCUCUUCCCUAAUCUUUUUAAUUUGUAUGAAAUUACUUUUCAUUGUAUUUAUUGUAUAUUUGCAUAUAAUUGUCUUUUGUAUUCAUGUAGUUUAAGUUUGCAAAAAGAAACCAUCACCCUAUUUAUCCUCCCUCCCCCUCCCCUUCCCCUUCCCCCCGAGGGUGACUACCUUAGGUUAAUUUAGCAAAAAUCAUAACAUUUACAAAUAUAUUAUUUGCUUAUUAUAGUUAAGAAAAAUGCCAAGAAAAUUUAUCAAAAAUCAUAACAUUUACAAAUAUAUUAUUUGCUUAUUGUAGUUAAGAAAAAUGCCAAGAAAUUUCAUUGAUAAAAAUUUCCAUGAUAAAUUCUAAAAACCACUUUAAUUCCAAUUAUCUUUUUCCCAAUGCAAUGUCUCAAUGAUUCUAGGAUGAAAAGGAAUUUUUUCAUGUCAAUAUGACUUUGGAUCCCAAAUUUUAAGGCAAUUUCAAUGCCCUAGUGGUGGGUCUAGAAGAAAAUAAAAAAUGUGGAAAUUAAAGUGGAAUAUAGACACAAUUUUUUACUAAUUGUAAGAUGAUGUUACAAUACCUUAUGUAGUUACUAUGAAAGUGACUUUGGAUUCCAAAUUUUGAGCCAAUUUCAAUGCCACAAUGAUGGGUCUAGAAGAAAACAAAAAAUAUGAAAAUUAAAGUAGAAUAUAGACACAAUUUUUUACUUGUUAAGUAAUGUUACAAUGCCUUAUGUAAUUAUUUUGAAAGUGAGAUAUCAUUGAAUUGAGAAUUGAUAUUAAAUUUGACCAACUAUCAUAAGGAUUUGCUUUCAAAAGAGAGAUAAGUAAUAAAUAUCUCUUAUUUUUUGGAAAAAAAAAAAUUAUCAUACUAUUAAUGUGUUUAAUUUUAUUUUUUUUAAAUAGAGAUUGUUAUAUUUUUUUGUAAAAAUAAGUUUCCUUAUAAAAUAAGAAAAAGUGGUAGAAGUAUUUCUAUAAAUAUUUUAUUAAGAGAAAAAGCUAUAACAUGAAGAAAAACAUGUAUAGUUUAUAUUUAAAAGAUAGUGAUAUGGGAAAGAGUGGGAAACAUUUCUUGGAAUGGGGACAUAUGAUUCAAGUAUAGAUACAAAGAACAAGGAAAUAUAAGAUGUUUUAAAUUAAUUAAUUAUAUCUUCUUUUUUUAAUCUUUUGUAGUAUUGUAUAUAGUAAUAGAAGAUGAGUUAUCAAAUGCGAACUUUCAUGUAUAUAUGAUGCAAUUAACUUGUUCAAUAUAAGCACCUUGAUGUAAAAUCUCAUUUUUGUUUUCUAAAGUCUUUAUGACUAUUGGUUUUUCUUUUGAGUGCCAAUAAAUAAAAGAAAAAACCCUUCUUUUUUGUUUGAAGAAAAAAUCUUUAUUAAUCCAAACCCUAUCAACUUAUAUAUGACCUAUUGCAGGAUAAUGAAGUUUUUUAAAGUAAUUUUAAAGACAAAAAAGAAAAUUUGAUAUGAUAAAUGAUUAAAACCACUUUAGAUUCCAAUAGUAUUUUCUAUCAUAUAACGUCUCAGUGAAAUGUUUCAUAACAAAAUGAAUUAUUCUAUGAAUAUGACUUUGGAUUCCAAAUUUUGAACUUUCUAAUGCCUUAACUUAGUAGUGAGUCUCAUAGAAAAUGAAAGUUAUGGAAAAGUAGAAUGUGGACUCAAUUUUUGACUUAUAAAACUGAUGUUACAACACCUUCAAGUAAUUACCUUAAAAAUGAUAUGUCAUUGCAUUGAAAAUGAUAUUAAAUUUAAUGGAGAGAUAAUUUAUAAAAAAUAUCACUAAUUUUUUUAAAAAGAAUAAUGUGAUCUUACUAUCGUGUUAGGUUGGAAAAAAAUUUAUGUUGGAGUUAAUUUUUUUUUAUUUGUAUUUCUUUUUAUUUAUUUAUUUAUUUUGCAUAUUGUAAGGUCUCAAACUCGUUUAGAAAUAUGAACACUGAUGAAGAGUUAGAAAUUUAAAAACAUUAAAGGUAUGGUUAAAGUUAUUUUUAGAUAGUUGAAAUUGCAACCAAAAAAACAAGAAAAUGAAAGAAGUUCAAAUUUUAUUUGAUUAUCUUAAAAAUAUGAAAGAAAUUACAUAUAAUGAAAAUUGUUUAGAGUUUUAUAUACUUUUAAUAUUUACUCUUUACAGAAAAGAAAAAAGGCAAAUAAAUUUUUAUGAACUUAUGGAAAAUAUUAAACUUCAGCUUAAUUUUUUUGUUUUUCUUGAUUUUUCUUUCCUUUGUGAUCUUUCCCACUUUAUCCAAACUUUCCAUAGUCUAAACUUUAUACAUGUUUUCUCUUCUUUUUAAUUAAAAAUUUUUAAAUUUUCCAAUUAAAAUUCCAAGAUAGGCUAAUAAAAACUUAAAACUAAUAUUACAUUUUAAACGAACUGGAUCGAUUUGGUAGCCAAUUCGAACCCAAUCAAAUUUAGCCUCUAAUGUGAGGUAUUUGACCCAAACUUAGCUCAAACUCAUUUUUACCGACUAAAGUUAGGCUUAAAUUGACUCAUAGUACUUUUAGUUGAGUUGAUUAGGUUGUAUGAUCAUAACUAGGUUUGGUAAGGUUGAGUUAGUUUGAACCUAUUCAUAAAUGUUUUUUUUUUCUCUUUUAUAUUUAUUUUAUAUCAUAAUUUUAAAAAUUAAAUUGGAUAACUUUUAAACAUGAUAACAAAAAUAAAUAAAUUUAUGUAUAUGUCUAACAAAAAUGAAAUAAUAUAAUUAAAAUUCAACAUUUUUUAAAAAAAACUAAAAAAAAAAACACAAAAUAGGUAUUAUUAUAUAAAAUAAUAUAAAUUAUAAAUAUAUAAAAUUAGGUUUGGGCUAGCUUAGGUUAUCCAAACCUUAGCCUAAGUAGUUUCUCGAGUGUUUGCCACUUGUAAAAGUUUUUGGUAAAUUUUUAUUAAAAUUAAUUUUAAAAAAAGAAAUAAAAUGUUUUUAAAAAAUAUUAAAUGCAUAAUUAAAAUUAUGCUAAUGAAACAAAGGGAAGCAAACAAGAUAAAAAAUUUUCUCUCAAAAGGUGUAGUGUAAUGACUUCAAAUUUUAAGUUUUGAUGGUCAAUCUGCCUUCAAUUAUAAGGAUAAGAAGCUUGUAGAGAACAAAAAAUAUAUAGCAAGUGGAUAUAUAUAGAUAUAACAAAAAAUAAUAUAUAUAUAUAUAUAUAUGCAUGAUUGGAGCCAAAAUAUGUGCUCUAAUGGCACAUAUUCGAUAUGAUUUGUGCACCAAAGGACAUUCAAAUCACCCAACUUGACCUAAAUCAAUGCUAAGGCCCUAGCCAUGGGUUUAAUCUAUACUUUGGAGAUUUAUCUCAGGUUCAAGGGAAGAAAAUUGUGCAAAUUGAAUGACUUUAGAUUUUGAAAGAUCAAGAAAGGGCUAAAUGAGGAAAUAAGUGAGUCAAGACUCAUUGAACGUAAAGAAAGGCAAAACAAGGAUAUCAUGAGGUUGGAGGAUUAUAAAUGACCAUUAUGGAGUAAGAAAGAAGGCAAGAAAGCAUGGGGAAUGAGGCAUGAAGCAAGAUUUAGCUGCAUGGAAAUUUAGAACUCAAAAAUCUGAUGGCAUUAUAUACUCUGACUUUGAGGACAAAUUUGGAGCACUUUCUGGAGUCCAUUAUAUACAUACUAUAUAUCGUUUCGAAUCUCGGGAAGUCAGGAGUCCAACACUUCAAACGGUUUGCAAAUCGGAGCUGAAAUGAAGAAGUUAUGUCCAUUUGAAGACAACUGCACCAAGCUGGAGGGUCAUUUCGAAAUGAUUUCGAAAUUCAACUUAUGAUUUCGAAAUUCAACUUAUGAAUUCGAAAUCCACUUCGAAAUGACACCAAUUUCGAAUUCACCCACUGCCACUUUGAUGUUCCGCCUCCUCUACCCCGAGAAUUGCAUCUAUUCAACUUAUGAAUUCGAAAUCCACUUCGAAAUGACACCAAUUUCGAAUUCACCCACUGCCACUUUGAUGUUCCGCCUCCUCUACCUCGGGAAUUGCAUCUAAAGCACUCCAUCCGCUCUAGGUGGACCCCACACGACUAGAAAUCACCAUUUUAUUAUUUUUAAUCAUUUUUAGGAAAUUAUUUUUGUAAUAAGUGGCCAAUGAGAGUGUGCCACAUGUUAGGUAAGUGAGGAUAUUAUAUAAACUCUCUCAAUUCUAGGUUUUAGGGAUCUUGGAUCUUGGAUCUUGGAUUUUUUUUCUAGAGAGUUUGACAUUGAAGGUGGAAGAAGACGAGAACUUUGGUUUGUUUUCUUUUUCUUCUUUAUUGAAUAUAUUGUUUUUAGUUUCUUUUGAUUCAAAUUAUGAAUUUUUACCCUAUUAUGGAUUGUGAAUGUGACAUCACCCCCAUGAGAGGCUAAGAGCCAACUUGGGGCUUGAAGCAUGAAAACCUAAGGGUUAGGAAACCUAUAGGGACAAUGGGUAAAUUACUAUAACAAUGAGAUUAAUUAUUGGUUGGGUGACAAUUUAUUAUAUUUUUUUAUCCUAUCCUUGUGAGUUCAUUUAGGGAAUGAUACGAUAGGUUAUUACUUGAUACUAGUGAUUCUUGGUAAUUCUUGAUCAUUAGUUAUCCUCGUUUUCCCUACCGUUAUUUGCCCCUAAACAAAGCUAUAAGGAGUAGGAAGGGUUAAAAAGCCAAAUCUUAAAGUGAUAAUCAAUCUCAUUCAUUUGAUGGUUUUAGGAAUCUGUUUGAAAAAGGAAAAAUUAGGUUUCGGAUGCAAUUUUGAGUUAUAAAACCCAACUUGAUCGCGAGUGGCCAAGGAUCCCAAAACCCUAAGAUCAUAUUACUUAAAAUACCCUUGUUUUCUAUAAUUUCUAUACCCUAGGUUGGAUUGUGGAAAACCCCAAACUUGAAUCAAUUGAAUUUAAAAUCAAUAUUCAUUUUCUCUUAUUAAUCCAAUUUCUUUUACUUAGUUUCAUAUUAUUCACAUAUUGUUUUUCACUUAAGGAUUUAAACAAAAACAAUUCAUUUAUCUAGUAUUGACAAUUUUCAUAAGCCAGUCCUUGAGAACGAUACCCGGAAUACUACAAAAGCCGUAGUGACUCUUUCUCUAAUUUUUCUUGACCAGAGUUACUACGUAAAAAGGCUAAGUAUUUUGGUACAAUAGAGAAAUUUCGGUCAAUGCAUCAUACUUUUGUCACAAGCAAACCCACUAGUAAACCUUUAUCAUCUUAUUAUAUAACAAGUGGGUAUACCUAGAUAAAAUAAAAAUAGGUCUUUGUUUAUUAAAUUCAAAAGUUUAUGAUCAUCACUUAACAUUUAACAAAGUGGUACAAAUGAUGGUAAAAAUAGUAGUAUAAUCAAUAUUUUCCUAUAUUGAAUAUUAUAAUUGAUGUUUUUUUUUUUUUUUUUUAUCAAGAAGCAAUUUUAGAGAUAGGUUUUUAUCAAGUAACAAUCUUCAAUGUUUUUUGUCUAUAUUAAUUUACCAUCAUGAUCUCUAAUAUUGUACCAUUGAAUGCAAUUGCAAAACAUCUAUGUAAUUGUUAGUAAAUUUUUUUUCAUGCUCAUUAUACAAUAUUUGUUUUAAUUUUCAAGUUGCAAUUAUAGUCUAAAGGUUGAGGUUCCUAGAUAGUUAUAGCUUUGAUGAGAAGUCUAAUCAUGUUGUUGUUGUUCAUGUCACUUUAAUUAGACCAAGUUCAAUGAUACUUUAGACCAUAUUUAAGGAUCCUUUUCAAAUAUCUAUCUAACUUUUGAUAUGCAAUUUGAAAAGAGGAUGGAGAGAGGAUGGUUGUUCUCCAUAAUCCAUUAAUAAAUAAAUAAAAAUAAUUAUAUUUAGAAGGAAAAUAAAAAAUUAUUAAGAUCAUUAGCAAGUAAUUUUGGUAAAACUUGAUAUUUAACUAGGUAAGAUGACUUUAAGUUAAAUUAAUUGUAUUUAAGUCAUUAAGUCAUAGUUAUUAAUACGAUUUCUCAAAAUCAUUUUUAAAUUUAUUAUUUUAUCAAUCAUACUUGAUAUACUUAAUAACUUAAAAUUAAGUCAUUAAAUUGAUUUAUCAUCACCCUCUAAAGUCUUUUCAAUUUUGUACAUUUAUUUGAUACAUAUUUAAUCAUAAACAAUCAAAAAAGUGCUAUCUCAAAAUUUUUAAUUCAAACUCCUUCAAAGUUAUUCAUGACUAAAAUUCAUUAAUUAAUUUACAUUACAAGCUUUGAAAGAAACUUGUUUUAAAACAUAAAAUUGAUAGAGAUAGUACAUAUUUUAAACUUUUAAUUAAAAUAAAAAGCUCAUAACAAAAUAAUUUGAUGGAUGUUUUAGUAUUUGAAAAGAUUAUGAGGUCGGUGUGGACUUACUCUUGGCAUGCGUACUUCCACAAAUCAGAAAGAACAACCUCUCCAACAACUUCCAUGGUGAUCAGUUUGCAGAGAGAGAAUUGUAGCUAUAAACCAAAGCACUGUGAAAAUAAAUUGGGGAAGCAGAAAGAAGCGUGGGUUGUUGGGUGAUGGCUUAAAUAUUAGAAAGCUUAGAGAAAGAGAAAGUUGGAAGUUGGACUAGUCUUUUGUUUCCAUACCCUUAAAUCCAAUAUGCUGAGUAGGCCAUGUGCUCCACACCCCGUCUAUUGUGGUGUGACUGGUGUCACAUUCAAAUAAACAAAUCGAAAUCUCUACUACAACAUCAUAUUUUAAUGGAUUUAGUAUAACCGAGUGAAGGCAAUUUAUUAAAUUAUUGGAAAUUGUUAAAAUUAUAUAUUUAAUGGAACACUGUUUUUGGAAUUUGAGACUCCCAGACUGCCCAUGUGCAUCCCAUUGUUCGUGUUCUUAGUUUUUUCAUUUUAGUACUUCUAAAAAUUCUCAAAAUUUCAUCAGGCACAUUUUUCAAGCUUACGAUUCUCAUGGCAAUGAUGUAAGUAAAUUAAAGAUUUUACUAAUUUGAACGCAAUUUGAUAAAAAUAAAUAAAUAAAAAUGAAGAUUAUGUAAAAAGGCUUCAAAGAGUUUUAAAGAUUUUUUAAAAUUUUUUUUUAUUUAUUUCUUAAAGAUAAAAGUACUUUCUUCAUUGUAAGACUUAAUAUUUACUUUUUCCAAUUAAAAAAAUAAAUUUAUUUUGAAAAGACAAAUCUAGUUUUUAUAUUGAAUUCAUCUUUUCAAAAAAAAAGUUUUCCAGUGAACUCACUUUAGUAUAAAUUAGGGAAAAGUAUAGUUCUAUUCGGUUCAUAAAAUAAAAAACCCGAUAUUAUGAUAAUUUAAGAAAUAUUUUUGGAAAAAUGCUAUUUCAAUUUUUUUGAACGGUUUUACUUGAAUGGAAAGUCUGAUGCUACAUAUGAUAUUAUGUCAUUGAAAUGAAACUUAUACCAUGUAAUAACUUUUAAUUAACAAUAAUUUAAAUUAAAACCGUAAAUAUUUAAUUUUUUGUUGAUUUAAAUAAAUGUUAUUUAUUUAUUUAUUUAUUUGUAACACAAGUUUUGAAGUUUUAAGACUGACCAUGCAUGUGCAUACCACUGUUUAUUUAUUCACUUUAAAACUUUAGGUGCAUUUUUUAAGCUUAAAUUCACAUGCUAUCACAUUAUCCUAAAUAUGCUUGUACCAUCUAUAAUGUAUCUGGAAUAAGGUGCAUGGGGAUCACGUAGAGCCGGCUGGACUGGACAUAAGUUUUGGAGUUUUAAACUUCCAAUGGCCAAUUAUGUUUUAAUUUUCAUAAUAUAUUAUUAUAUUUUCUUUAUUUGAAUGGAAAAUGGUUUGCUUUGAAAAAACAAGUUUAAUAUAAAAAAAAAUUAAAUUUAUAUUUUACAUUAAAUUAUAAAUUGCAUGUAAAAUGAAUUUAUAAAUUUUCAUAAUAUAUUAUUACGUUUUCUUUAUUUUAAUUUAACGUAAAGUAUAAAUUAGUAUUUUCAAAAGAAAAGUUGAAUGUAAAAGUAAUAAACUAAAACACAAAGACAGAUAUUAAAUUUAUAUUUUCAAAGACAAAUUACUUCUAAAAGCACGGACUUGAUUUUUUUGUGCAAUGUAAAAAGAAUUUUUUAUUUUUUUAUAUAUCAAACUUAUGUUUUAAAAAGACGAGUUAGUAUUUAUUUUGAAUUUGUUUUUCGUAAAAGGUUUCCCAUGUGUACUUCAUAUGAUUUUAUUUUGUUGAUAGGAGAUUUAUAUCAUGUAACAACUUUUAAUCGGUCACAAUUUAAAUUAAUUAUAAAUACCCAAUUCCUUUAUUAUUUCAUAAUUAACUAUAGGUUAUAAUGUGAAAUAAUAUCACACUACAUAAAUAUUAUUAUUAUUUUGCAAAAUUGGAUUAGCACAACUAUUCCCAAUUAGAGUGUCACAUGGCUUCUUUUUUUUAUAUUUAAUUAUUUUUUUAAAUAAUUGCUUUAAUUAGUCAUGGAUUAAAUUAGAGGUGUAAUUUGGACAUAUUCAACUCAACUCAACUCAAUCCAAUUUUGAACUAAGUUAGGUAGUCUUGUUUUUUCAUAAAACAUUAUAAGCUAUUUUUCAAUCCUACAAGAUUUUUUGAGAGUAUUUUCUAAAUUUUAUCAAAUACAAUUUUUUUGUAAAAACAUUUAUUAAGUUAAAAACGCUUCUUAAAAUCACUAUUAAAUGACCAUUAUAUGAUAUUGAGAGAUGAAUAAUUUAUUAUAUUAAAAAUUACUUUCCCAAUUGAACAAAAGGUGUGGCGUUUCUUUAAAAACACUUUUGUAAGUAAUAUUUUUUUUAGCACAUUCUCAAUUAUUUUUAGACCCAAAAUAUGUUUUUUUUAAAAUGUUUUAUAAAAAAAAAAUCUUAAAAUACCUUUAUUUAAAAAUUUAAAAAAAAUCUAUUUUCAAAAAACUACAUUUUAUUUUGUUUGAUAUGGUGAGGAGGAGCAUUAAUCUAUGGCUCCCGAGACUGGGCAUGUGAUGCUGUGCAUGCCAUUGUUGGCUUAUGUAUUUCCGGAAUAUUUAGUUUUGAAAAGUACUGAGAAAAAAAAUAAUAAGAAAAUGGUUGGUAUUCAGAUGGCAAAAAUACACACAAAUACACUGAACAAGUUAAUAACAGGCGGGCUGAGAUUCUAUUGCCAAGAGACAGGUUUGUCAUCCAUGUCAAGAAGUCUCACACUUCAAAAUUGUGGGACUUUGGCAUCAACACAUUUCUGGAAUUGUUUCAGGCUUCUAAAUGGAACGAUUCAGGCACCUUCCCAGAAUUCUUUUAAGAUUUCUAAAUGCCAUCCUGGCGUCUUAGUUGGAGGCCUGCUUUCUUCAAUGCUAAAAGAGGGGGUGAUAAGUUGCUAAAAAUUGCAGUCCCUGUGUACUAGAUGGGCAUUCACCCAUGGACAAGAUCUGCAGAACUUAUAAUAGAAACAUGUAUGUUGCUCUAUCAUCUUCGCCUCCUAUUUAUUCUAGUGAAGAAACAGGUUCCGAAAAAAUAAAAAGUGUUCUUCUUACUCUUUUUUAGUAGAAAAUUAGUUCAUUUCCAGUCCAUUGAAGAAAAAAUAAAUUCUGAACCCAGAAGCCAGGUACUUAAAUUUCUGUUUAACUAGGGGAACAUUGGAAACUUACUUACAGCUUUAGCAUAAGAACAUACAAGAUUCUGAUCAACAUACACUGCACGGUAUUAUGUUGGUCCAGUUCCUCUACUCUGCAUUGCAACAAAGUGUAAGGGGUUUCGUAUUUUCUUCAUCUUCAAAUAAAACAAUCCUUCUCAAUAAAAGAAUAAGAGAAAUUGAGAGCUAAGACCAUUUUCUUUCAUUGUACCUCUGUUUCCUCUGCUCCUUGCUCUCUUGGUCAGGCCAAAUGGUGUGUGGUUUGUCCAUUUCUUCUUGACCCCACAUCAAAAAGCAGCAUCCUGGGCUCUCCCAUCUCUCUAUCCCCUUAUCAAGACAGAAUUUGAUGCACUGCUGUCUUGGAUUCUUCCUAGUCAAAAGGAAGCUUGAAAUAUCUCCACUGCUUCUCUGUUUCUUUGAGUCAAAGGACAGUCUGGUUUUAUCUGUUUCUUCUCAUCAUUUUCAAAAUGCAUCACUGUGAGAUCCACUAACCCAAUACCUGUUUUUCAAAUAAUCAAAAUCAUAAACACCAAGAUGUUUACACAUUCAGGUAACACGUCUCUUGACAAUGCAGGUGUGUUUACGUACACACCUGCAUUCAAAGGAAGUACCAUUGUUCUUGUGCAUUUGACAACAUUCAUUUAGUUAACUCCAAAUUUUAGCAAUCCAGAAUCUGUAACUUCUGCAAAAGUUACCUAGUUGUUCAGGGAACAUGCCCCAUCCAAACUAUCUGUAUUUGGGCUUCAUGGUUGUUUUUGGCUUUGCUUUUCUUUUUCUUGUGGUUGUUACUCCUCUUAAAAGGACUAUUGAUUCAUGAUUCAAUGGAUUAUUUGUUGUUUCUGAUAAAAAUAAAUAAAUAAACUAAAAAAAAAAAGAAAAAGAAAAAAAAAAAGAUUUGAUGAAAAUUUUUGGAGUAGCCAUUCAUCAAAUUGCCAUGAGCUUCUCUCCUUAUUUACAUAGUAUAUCACUAUUGCAGAGUCUCCUACUAGAAGGUUAGGUAAACCCUCAUCUUUAGCAAGCUUUAGUCCUACCAUCAACACUAAAAUCUCUGCUUCAAUGGCUAGACCCACUCUAGCAUUCUUAGGGAAUGCUUUCACUUAUGCCCUUUUAUGAUUUAUAAGUGUUCCUCCAAUUCCCAAUUGUCCUGGGUUGUCCAAGGAGCAUACAUCAAAAUUUAACCUGUUGCAUGGGUUGUUCUCUAUGCAUGGUAAAGAGACCCUUAAAUUUUGAACCUAUCCAAUUGCAUCGAUUUCUUCCUUCAAACUCAAGUUGAGCCUUUAAAUUUUUUGCUUGCUGUCAGAUUGACAUGAUUCUUCCACAACAUGAUGGACCUGGCAGACACUCAGCUUCUGCCUACAGUUGCAGUCUACCUUAUGUGUAACUUAAAGGUUGAGCACCAAGUGCUGAUGUUAUGAGGGAUCAAGGGUGGCUUGUGGAGCAGUCCCCUUUUCAGAGUAUUGCCAACAUUCUAUCAAUUGGUUCGGGUGUUCUGUAACUUUGGGACACCUAUAGUAUCUAGAUAAUCCUGCAAUUCUGGAGAAAACCCUUCUGAUUUGCUCUGUACCCACUAGUCGAGAAUAGUAAAAAGAUUCAGCUGUAAUAAUUUUAUUACUUAGAUUGAAUCUUAAUCAUUAGGUUAGAAGAUCAGGAAAAAGUGUCGUGGUUUUGAAUGUUUGUCUCUUUAAUAAUUGCAGUGUGUAUUGAUCCACAAAGUUUGCAGGAUGACAGCAUGACAGUGGGUAUAUAUGUCAUAUGAAAAAAUUUAAAUAGAGCGACUUGUUUGACUUUACAUAGUUUGCUUGCUUCGGUUGUCUACCUUUAGGUAAUAUCACACCAGUAUCUUUUGAUGGUUGGAAUAUCCUUGCACAUAUGUUACCAUUUUCUUUUCUUCAACAUUGUUUUCUUUGUUUCUUCCUUUCUUGGUCAAGCUAAAUAAUCUAGUGAUUCUUCUUUUGUUCUUCAUCCCAUCAAGAGGCAGCAUCUCAUGCAUCUUUACCUUGGGUUCCUCCCUUUCCUUCCAGCCUAUGGAAAAAUAAUAUCAUUGCUUAGUUUGGACUUCUCUGUUUUAUUUUUUUUUAUCAUUUUGAAAGGCAUCAUGGGAAGAUGUACAAAAAAUGUGUUGUGCUGAAUUAUCCCCUUCUCUACUAACCAAAACAUGUUCUUUCACAAUCAAAUAUCAACGUGUUUAAGCAGCCAAUAAGGCAUAUCUUGACAAUGAGGUGAGAGGUAGAAACAAGAAACAUACUCGUAUUCAAGGGAAGUGUUGUUUCUUCAUUUGCAUUAGACAACAUUCAUUUAGUCUCAACUUGAAAGUGGAUUGCUAGAAUCUAAGCUCUUGCAAAGACACAAAAGUACAUUUAGAAAUCCAAAAGAAGCCUAGAGACCAGUUGCUGUCGGGCUUUGUGGAGCCUAGUUUUGUUUGAUCCGGUUUGAUGACCCGACCCGAAUAAUAUUACAUAGUUUUUUAAUGGGAGAUUUAUUGAGGCUUGUCCAUGGAGUGAAGGCUUGGGCUUUUUUAGGCCCGUUUAGCCCAUUGUGGAACCGCCCUUUGUAAUUAGGUUUUUUUUUUGUGUGGUGUGGUUGUUGUGUUAUAAAGAGAACAUAUUGUAGCCGAAAAAAGUACUUUGUAUUCUUCCCUGAUAAUAGUGAUAUCCCUGCAACUCCGUUGAUAUAGGCAAAUUGCCGAACCACAUAAAUACUGUCUUGUACGUGUGAUUGUUUUUUUUUUUUUUUUUUGCGUGUGUUUUCUCUAUUUUUUGUUUCUCACAGGUUGGGAAUUCAGCUUAAUUCCCUUCAACCGGUAUCAAAGCCUAGGGUUAGGUUUGAGUGGGAGCAAUGACAAAGGAAGCAGGAAAGGCGUUUGGAAUAGAAAAGUUUGAUGGCACAAACUUUGUGUAUUGGAGGAUGCAGAUUGAAGAUUAUCUUUAUGGGAGGAAAUUGCAUCUGCCUCUUUUGGGGACAAAACCUGAGAGUAUGAAGGCUGAGGAAUGGGCGCUUCUUAACAUACAGGUUCUAGGAGUUAUUAAGUUAACUCUGUCUAGGUUUGUUGCACACAAUGUUGUAAAGGAAAAGACCACAAUAGAUCUGAUGAAGGCUUUGUCCGGUAUGUAUGAAAAGCUAUCCGCAAACAAUAAGGUGCAUCUGAUAAAGAAAUUGUUCAAUUUGAAGGUGGCAGAGAAUGCAUCAGUAGCACAACAUCUGAAUGAAUUUAAUACAAUCACAAAUCAAUUUUCGUAUGUAGAAAUUGAUUUUGAUGAUGAGAUUCGUACUCUGAUCGUCUUGGCUUCUUUGCCAAUCAGUUGGGAGACAAUGAGGAUGGCAGUAAGCAAUUCUACGGGAAAGGAAAAGCUCAAGUACAAUGAUAUACGAGAUUUAAUUCUGGCUGAGGAGAUUCGCCGAAGAGAUGCAAGCGAAACCUUAAGAUCUGGUUCUGCCCUAAACCUUGAGACAAGAGGCAGAGGUGAUAACAGAAAUUCAAACCGGGGUAGAUCAAAAUUCAGAAAUUCUAAUCGAAAUAGAAGCAAAUCUAGAUUAGGCCAACAAGUACAAUGUUGGAACUGUGGGAAAAUAGGUCACUUUAGAAGGCAAUGCAAAAGUCCUAAGAAGAAGAAUGAAGAUGAUUCUAUUAAUGCUGUAACAGAAGAGGUACAGGAUGCAUUACUUCUUUUAGUAGACAGUCCACUUGAUGAUUGGGUUUUGGAUUCAAAAGCUUCAUAUCAUACCACUCCACAUUGAGAAAUCAUAUAGAAUUAUGCUGCAGGUGAUUUUGGUAAGGUGUAUUUGGCUUAUGGUUCAACCUUGGAUGUUGUGGGUCUGGGAGACAUCCGGAUAUUGUUGCCCAAUGGGUUUGUUUGGUUACUGGAGAAGGUUCGACAUAUUCCUAACCUAAGAAGGAAUUUGAUUUUUGUUGAGCAACUUGAUGAUGAAGGACAUGCAAUACUAUUUGUUGGUGGUACUUGGAAGGUUACAAAGGGAGCUAUGGUAUUGGCUCAUGGAAAGAAGACCGGUACUCUGUAUAUGAUCUCAUGUCCAAGAGACACAAUUGCAGUUGCUAAUGCAAGUACUGAUACAAGCCUAUGGCACAGCAGACUUGGUCACAUGAGUGAGAAAGGGAUGAAGAUGUUGUUGUCAAAAGGAAAACUACCAGAAUUGAAAUCCAUUGAUUUUGACAUGUGUGAAAGUUGCAUCUUAGGAAAGCAAAAAAUUGUGAGCUUCUUGAAAACUGACAGGACACCGAAGGCUAAAAAAUUGUAACUAGUACACACUGAUUUGUGGGGGCCUUCUCCGGUUGCAUCCCUUGGAGGUUCAAGGUACUAUAUCACUUUUAUUGAUGACUCAGCAAAAAGGUAUGGGUUUAUUUUCUGAAAAAUAAAUCUGAUGUAUUUGAAACUUUUAAGAAGUGGAAGGUCAUGGUUAAGAUAGAAACAGGUUUGAAAGUAAAAUGUUUGAGGUCAGAUAAUGGAGGAGAGUACAUAGAUAGAGGGUUCAGUGAGUAUUGUGCUGCACAGGGAAUUAGGAUGGAGAAGACCAUUCCUGGGACACCACAGCAGAAUGGUAUGGCUGAGCGCAUGAACAGAACUCUCAAUGAACGUGCUAGAAGUAUGAGGUUGCAUGUUGGACUACCAAAAACUUUUUGGGCUAAUGCUGUUAGUACUGCAGCUUACCUGAUAAACUGAGGACCAUCAGUUCCCAUGGAGUUCAGACUUCCUGAGGAGGUUUGGAGCGGUAAAGAGGUAAAGUUUUCACAUUUAAAAGUUUUUGGUUAUGUUUCUUAUGUUCAUAUUGAUUCUGAUGCUCGUAGUAAACUUGAUGCAAGGCUAUAGGUUUUGGGAUGAACAAAACAGGAAAAUCAUCAGAAGUAGAAAUGUAAUAUUUAAUGAACAGGUUAUGUAUAAGGACAGGUCAACUGUAGUGUCAGAUGUUAUAGAGAUAGAUCAAAAGAAAUCUGAGUUUGUCAACUUAGAUGAAUUGACUGAAAGUACUGUCCAAAAAGGGGGUGAAGAAGAUAAGGAGAAUGUAAAUUCACAAGUAGAUCUGAGUACACCUGUAGCUGAAGUUCACAGAUCUUCCAGGAACAUUACACCUCCACAGCGUUAUUCACCUAUUUUAAAUUAUCUCCUGUUGACUGAUGGUGGUGAGCCAGAGUGUUAUGAUGAAACCUUGCAAGAUGAGAAUUCAAGCAAGUGGGAUUUAGCCAUGAAGAAUGAGAUGGAUUUCUUGUUGGGGAAUCAGACAUGGGAACUGACUGAAUUGCCAGUAGGAAAGAAGGCUUUGCACAACAAGUGGGUAUACAAAAUAAAGAAUGAGCAUGAUGGUAGCAAAUGUUACAAGGCCAGAUUAGUUGUUAAAGGGUUCCAGCAGAAGGAGGGCAUUGACUACACAGAGAUAUUUUCUCCAGUUGUGAAGAUGUCAACAAUCAGACUUGUACUGGGAAUGGUGGCUGCAAAAAACUUACAUCUUGAGCAGUUAGAUAUGAAGACAACAUUCCUUCAUGGUGACUUGGAGGAAGACCUUUACAUGAUUAAGCUAGAAGAGUUCAUUGUUCAAGGACAAGAGAAUCUAGUCUACAAACUAAAAAAGAGCUUGUAUGGCCUUAAACAAGCUCCUAGACAGUGGUACAAGAAGUUUGUCAGUUUUAUGCAUAGAAUUGGGUUCAAGAGAUGUGAAGCUGAUCACUAUUGUUAUGUUAAGUCUUUUGACAAUUCUUACAUCAUAUUACUGUUGUAUAUGGAUGAUAUGCUUAUUGCAGGGUCUGACAUUGAGAAGAUUAAUAAUCUGAAGAAGCAAUUGUCCAAAUAGUUUGCAAUGAAGGAUUUGGGAGUUGUAAAGCAAAUCCUUGGUAUGAGAAUCAUUAGAGACAAGGCUAAUGGUACAUUGGAGCUUUCACAGUCAGAGUAUGUGAAGAAAGUUCUCAGCAGGUUCAACAUGAAUGAAGCUAAACCAGUGAGCACACCCUUGGGUAGUCAUUUCAAACUAAGCAAAGAACAGUCACGGAAGACAGAAGAAGAAAGUGACCAUAUGAGCAAGGUGCCCUAUGCCUCAGCUAUUGGUAGCUUGAUGUAUGCUAUGGUGUGUACAAGGCCAGACAUUGCACAUGCAGUGGGAGUUGUGAGCAUAUUCAUGAGUAGGCCUGGAAAGCAGCAUUAGAAGGCAGUCAAGUGGAUUAUAAGAUAUCUGAAGGGUUCAUUAGAUAUAUGUUUUGCUUCACAGGUGCAAGUUUGAAACUGCAGGGUUAUGUGGAUGCUGAUUUUGCUGGUGAUAUCGAUAGUAGAAAGAGCACUACUGGGUUUGUUUUUACUCUAGGUGGUUCAACUAUAUCAUGGGUUUUAAAUCUAUAGAAGAUUGUUACUUUGUCUACUAUAGAAGCGGAGUAUGUUGCAACAAUUGAAGCUGGAAAUGAGAUGAUUUGGCUACAUAGUUUCUUAGAUGAAUUGGGUAAGAAGCAGGAGAUGGGCAUUCUACACAGUGACAGUCAUAGUGCAAUUUUUCUUGCCAAAAAUUCGGCUUUUCAUUCAAAGUUAAAGCAUAUACAAACAAAAUACCACUUUAUCUGUUACCUUGUUGAAGAUAAACUAGUAAUACGUAAGAAGAUUUUUGGAUCUAAGAACCCAACAAACAUGUUGACUAAGGGUGUCACUAUUGAGAAGUUGAAGCUGUGUGCAGCUUCAAUCAGUCUUCUAGCUUGAGGACGGGAGGAUGAAUUGCAGGGAUGAGGGAUUGUUUCUUGGAGGAUAGCGAUUUGAUGUUGGUGAUUGAACUAGUCUCCAAGUGGGAGAUUUGUCAAGUUUUGUGGAGCCUAGUUUUGUUUGAUCCGAUUUGACGACCCAACUCGAAUAAUAUUGCGUGGUUUUUUAAUGUGAGAUUUACUGAGGCUUGUCCAUGGAGCGAAGGCUUGGGCUUUUUGGGGCCCAUUUAGCCCAUUGUGGAACCGCCCUUUGUAAUUAGGGUUUUUUUUUUGUGGUGUGGUUGUCGUGUUAUAGAGAGAAAAUAUUGUAGCCAUCAGAAGUACUCUGUAUUAUUCCCUGAUAAUAGUGAUAUCCCUGCAACUCCGUGGAUGUAGGCAAAUUGUCGAACCACGUAAAUACUGUCUUGUGCAUGUGAUUGUUUUUCUUUUUUUUUUAUGUUUUCUCUAUUUUUUGUUUCUCACAGGUUGGGAAUUCGGCUUAAUUCCCUUUAGUUGCUACUUGUGAAUCACUGUAAUCAGAAACAAUUCCAGAUAAUCCUGCAAUUCUAAACCUUUGAUUUGCUUUGUUCCAUUUUGCCAAGAACGGUUCUAAAACAUUUUUCUUUAUUGAGUUGUUAUGAUUUUAUUAUUUGGAUUUAAUUGUAUUCAUUAGGUUUGUAAAUCACAAAAAUGGUGUCGUGCUUAUGAAUAUCUUCCUCUUUGAUCAUGUAAAAUUGGGAAGCAGUUAUGGAUUACUAUUAUGAUAGCACAAUGUAUUGAUCCACAGUUUGUGGCAUGACAGUUUAAGGAAAUUACAGAAGUGUAGCAUUGAUGGGUAUGUCAUGUGAACAUUUUUCAAUGAAGCUACUUGUCUAAAUUUACAUGGGUGAAUUGUCACACUAAUAUCCUUUGAUGAACCUUGGGUUCUUUUUUCUGUUUCUUCCUCUCUUGGUCAAGCCAAACAAUUUGUCUUCAUGAGGACUUCAUGUUACCAAUAAGCAGCAUCUUGUGUUCUCCUUCUUUUCAUCCCCCUGUCAAGACACAGCAAUUUGAUGCAUCUUUGCAUUGGGUUGCUUCCUUUCCGCUCCCUCUCCUUCCUCCUUGAGGCAAAACCAUAUCAUUGUUUAGUUUUGACUAUGUUCUUUUUAUCAUUUAUGAGAAAUAAAAUAAAAUCAUGACAUAAAGAAAUUAUAUUUAAGUGUUAAUAAAUGAGAAUCGGAUACAUAUAAAUAAAAUUUAGAUUAAUUAUAAAUGAAACUAUUUUUAUUAUGUGGUUGUUUUUAAUGGACCACCAAUUUUUAUUUAUUUUAUUAUAUAUAUAUAUUCCAUAGAAAAAUUACUUUCUAAUACCAUAGAAUCACCCUAAUUUCAAAUUGGGAUUUACUAUCUUAAAUUUUAAAUUUUUUAAAAAUAAUUUUUAAGGACAUGAACUAAAUUUAUAUUUUUUGUUAAGAAUUUCUAUUCUUUAUAUGAAAGUUUUUAUCAAUUUUUGUUUUUAAAAACAAAAAAUAAGUACUUAGAGUGCGUUUGACAAUGAUUUUAAGAAGUAUUUCUAAUAUUUUAAAUACUUAAAAAAUAAAAAAAUUUAUACAUUGAAACAAUUGCAAAAUGCACUUUUAGUAUGUAAUGAUAUUAAUUUCUUCGAAGAGAGAGAUUUACAUUUAAGAUAAAAAUAAAUAAAUAAAACAAUACAAGGAUAAAAAAUCAUUUUUAAAAAAAACUUUUAACUUCUUGUACUUUAUCAUUACACACUUUUUUCAUUAGAUGCUUUAAAUAAUUUUUAUGAAAUAAAAUUAUAAUUAUAUUGAUGGAGGGCUAAUUAACUUUGCUUUGGGUGAGAAAGAUAGAGAUAAGAUUGAAGUGGGUCCACAUCUAAAACAAAAAUGAAAUAAAAAGUAAAGAUGAAGAUAAGGUUGAGGUGGGUUCACAACUAAAAAAAGAAUGAAAUAAAAAGUAUGAGAUGAAUUGACCAAAGCUUAUGCCUUCUUCCAAAUAGUAAAAGCAAAGCCCAAUAGUAUAAAGUGAUGACACUAGUCCUAUUCAAGGCCCCACUUGCAUAAUUGCUACAUCUUUUGAUUUGAUUUUUGUUCAAUUUCACUAAAAUGAAAUCAUUUAUUUGAGCCCAAAAAUUCAAAUCCAAAUCCAAUCCACUUAUUUAUAUACAUUAUUGGCAUGGAAUGAGAAAAGUUAUAAAGUGAGAAAAUUUGAUCAUAUGAUAAAUAGUAAUUUUUCAAAGUUGGAACCAAUCCAAUGCCCAAUGGGCAUAAAAGACAAAGGAAAGAUGUGGAAAUUAUAGUGGAAUCUUGAAACAAAUUUUUGAGGUUUGAGGUGAUGUGACAAUCGUUUCAAGAAAUUGCCUAAGAAUGUGAGAUGUUAUUGCAUUGAAAAUUGAUAUUAAAUCUAAUUGGGUAACUAUAAGAAUUGCUUUACAUAAAGACAAGUAAUAAAUAUAUCCUGUUUUUUUCAAAAAGUUUAUGACCCUAAGUGAAUAAAAUGGUGAAUAAAACUUUUAGAGUAGGAUGAAUGCAUUUCACGUGAGUCAUGUCCUAGAUAUAUAUUUAGAAUUUUCUAGCAGGAUGUCAAGGAAAACUCUAUGAUGAGUGUUUUGUUUCUAGUUAAGGUAGGUCCAAUUUGGUGCAAUUCGCCAACAUAAUUUAAACCCAACAUAUGUUUUAGGGAUUUGAAUCGAGUAAAAUCAUAUUUAAAUUAAAUUAAUCAUAUGAAUCUACAUAACCCGUUUAAUAAAUAGAUUAUUUUUAGGUCAAUCUGGAUAACUCACAUUUGACUCAAAUUAACUUAUUUAAUAAUGGUAUUGAUUAACCUAAUAAUAACUUUAACUUAUUGAACUCAUAUUUGACUCAUGUAAAAUUCGUUUUUCAAUAAGUAUAUCAUAAUUAGGUCAUAAACAUGUCAUAUUAGAAUAUUAACCAUAUUAUUUCAUUCAACAUUUAACUUGACUUGAUUAUGAAAUAACGUCUUCUUAUUAAAUCGGUUAAACCGGUUAUAAUGUAUCACCUAGAUAAUAAUUAUAUUGUGUUUGAGUUUAUGCUUUAAAUUUUGAUUAUUAUUCAUGUCAUGUUUAUGUUGAGUUAUUUAGUGGAGGAUCUAACCUUAGAUAUAACACAAACGCAACCCACUAACAUAAAUUGUCAUCCUCACUUCUACUAAUAAGUAAUUUGUUUAUUACAAUUAAGAAAAUUGAGAAGAUAUAAUUUUUUUAAAAUUUUUAAAUGCAUGAUUAAAGUUAAUUAUAAGUUUUAAAAGUUUUAUAAUUCAUAGUCCAUCCAAACUAACAAAAUAUUAGAAAUCUUCAAUGGUUUUGUCUACAAUAAAUGUGUUGUGCUAAAUUAUCCCCUUCUUUACUAACCAAAACAUGUUCUUUCACAAUCAAAUAUCAACGUGUUUAAGCAGCCGGUGAAGCAUCUCUUGACAAUGAGGUGAGAGGUAGAAACAAGAAACAUACAUGUAUUCAAGAGAAGUGUUGUUUCUUCUUUUGCAUUAGAAAACAUUCAUUUAGUCUAAACUUGAAGGUGGAUUGCUAGAAUAUGAGCUCUUGGAAAGACAUAAGAGAAGGACAUUUAGGAAUCUGAAAGAAGCCUAGAGACCUGUUGCUACUUGUGAAUCACUGUAAUUAGAAACAAUUCCAGAUAAUCCUGCAAUUCUGGACCUUUGAUUUGCUUUGUUCCAUUUUGCCAAGAACAGUUCUAAAAUGCUUUUCUUUAUUGAGCUAUAAUGAUUUUAUUAUUAGGAUUUAAUUGUAUUCAUUAGGUUUGCAAAUCACAAAAAUGGUGUCGUGCCUAUGAAUAUUUUCCUCUUCGAUCAUGUAAUGUUGGGAAGCAAUUAUGGAAUACUAUGAUAGCACAAUAUAUUGAUCCACAUAGUUUGUGGCGUGACAGUUUAAUGAAAUUACAAAAGUGCAUGUAGCACUCAUGGGUAUGUCAUGUGAACCUUUUUCAAUAGAGCUACUUGUUUAAAUUUAUAUGGGUGAAUUGUCACACCAAUGUCCUCUUAUGAACCUUAGGUUCAUUUUUCUGUUUCUUUCUCUCUUGGUUAAGACAAACAAUUUGUCUUCAUAAGGACUUCGUGUUACCAAUAAGCAGCAUCUUGUAUUCUCCUUCUCUUCAUCCCCUUAUCAAGACACAGCAAUCUGAUGCAUCUUUGCAUUGGGUUGCUUCCUCUCCUCUCCCUUUCCUUCCUCCUUGAGGCAAAAUCGCAUCAUUGCUUAGUUUUGACUAUGUUUCUUUUUAUCAUUAUGAGAGAGCAUCAUUGUAAGAUGUACAAGAAACGUGUUGUGGUGCAUUAUCCCCUCCUCUACCACCUAAAAUCUAUUUUACACGAUCAUAAGGACCAAGGUGUUUUAAACAUUAGGUAAGGCAUUUGUUGACAAUGAUGUGAGAGAUAGAUACAAGCAACAUGCCAAUAUUCAAAAGACGUGAUGUUCUUCUUUUGCAUUUGACAACAUUCAUUUAGUCUGAACUCCACAUUUAGGCAACUCAGAAUCUCCACCUUCAUUAGGAUUGCAAGAAGUUGGCUUUUUGGGAAGACAUGGAAAGAGAGCAUCUAGAAAUCUGAAAAAAUUACAACGACCUAUUGCUACUUUUGAAUCAUUCCAAUUAAUAACAACUCCAAAAAAUAUAUACAAAUAUGUCCCUGGGAAAGAGAUGUGUCUUGUGCAUAUGCAACCAUCUCUCUAAUAGACUUAGGGUUGUGCACCCUCAUGGUAGUUUCUUAUAUAUUGCACCAUAUGAAUUGUAGAUAUCCAACUACCAAUAUCACUACACCUGAAUGAACUAGAAGCUAAAGUGAAGUUGACAACCCAUCAUCGAAAGAAUCCUGUAGGAAUACACCAAAAUGAAAAUUUUAUUAACAUAAAUGAAUUCAUCCAAUUAAAGGGUAAAGUUGCCUAAAAAAUUGAAUUGGGAGAGAUAGAAAUAUUGAUGCUUUCAUAGGACUGUGAAAGGGACCAACAAGUGGAACAAACAUUGAAUAGUAAAUGUAAAGCCAUAAAGCUUGUAACUAGUGUCAAAAGCUGCUCCCUAGUGAAGUUUUUUAACAAUGAAGGUAAGUGGAAAAUUCACCUAAUAGCUCUACUUGUAGAAAAUUGCAAUGGUGUGAAACUAGGAUAUGGUGAACUCGUUUCCACUAUUGCAAUGAACCAUUAUGGAUCAAAAAUGAAUCUCACCAUCGGUUUUCACAUAGGAGAUGUGGGCUAUCUUUGGCCCAUAUCUCAAUAUUGGAUUUAGGAGUUAUGUCUCUCAUAUAUGGUUCCACUUGCAAAAUACAAAUGGAGCUUAGCUAAUGACAACACAUUUAGAAAAAUGCAAGAAUUCCAUAGACAUGUUUUGUGCUAUCAUGAAUCAUUCCAAUCAGUACGGAAUCGAAGUGCUAUAAUUUUGAAUUGUCUUAGGGAACAAAUCCUAAUUCAAUCUUGCGGAAGUAAACCAUCUUGAGCACCAACUCAAUUCUGAGUUCUUUAGGAUACUUGAGACACCAAUUCAAUCAAAGAUGCUAGUCGUUUUUGAGGUAAAUUGUCUUCCUCCAUUGAUACUAGGGAAAAUGCUUUUGAAAACCAUUCAUCUGCAAGUUACAAAGGGAAAUGAGAUUAUGUGAUUUGGGAAGAGAAUUAAGCUUUGGAAGAGAAUUAAGCUUCGGAAUAUUGCCAAUAUGCAACCGAUAAUUUCUAAUUCUAUCACUUUUAUUCUAACAUGUGAUUUGGAAAGAGAAUUAAGCUUCGAAAUAUUUCCAAAAUGCAAGGAAUUGAGGAGGCCAAGUGGGCAACCACCAUAGCUAGUUCGCAAACAAAUGAUAGCAUUGGAAGUGGAACACAACACAUAAACUUCAAAAACAAAACAUGUUUCUCACGAUCAUAAAUACCAAGAUGUUUAAGCAUGAGGUAAGUCAUCUCUUGACAAUGAUGUGAGAGAGACACAAACAACAUACCAGUAUUCAAGAGAAGUAGCAUUCUUCUUUUGCAUUCGACAACAUUCAUUUAUUUUACAUCCCAAAUUUUAGCAACUCGGGAUUUCCACCUUCUUUAGGAUUGUAAGAAGUUGGCCUCUUGAAAACACAUGAGAGGGCAUUUAGAAAUCUGAAAGAAUUCCAGAGACUUUCUAUUGCUUGAAUUGUGAAUCAUUCCAAUCAUAAAUACCAAGGUUCUAAGAUCAAGUAAGGCAUCUCUUAAUAAUGAUGUGAGAGAUAAAGACAAGCAGUACACCAGUAUUCAAGAGAAGUAGUAUUCUUCUUUUGCAUUCGACAACAAUCAUCUACUCUACACCCCAAAUUUUAGCAACUUAGGAUCUCCACUUUCAUUAGGAUUGUAGAAAGUUGGCCUCUUGGAAACACAUGAGAGGAUAUUUAGAAAUCUAAAAGAAUUCCAAAGACUUGUUAUUGCUUGAAUUGUGAAUCAUUCCAAUCAUAAAUACCAAAGUGUUCCAAGAUCAGGUAAGACAUCUCUUGGCAAUGAUGUGAGAGAUAGAGACAGGGAGCAUACCAGUAUUCAAGAGAAGUAGUAUUCUUCUUUUGCAUUCGACAACAGUCAUCUACUCUACACCCCAAAUUUUAGCAACUCAAGAUCUCCACCUUCAUUAGGAUUGCAGGAAGCUGACCUCUUGGAAACAUAUGAGAGGAUAUUUAGAAAUCUGAAAGAAUUCCAGACACUUGUUGCUUGAAUUGUGAAUCAUUCCAAUCAUAAAUACCAUGGUGUUUCAAGAUUAGGUAAGGCAUUUCUUGGCAAUGAUGUGAAAGAUAGAGACAAGCAGCAUACUAGCAUUUAAGAGAAGUAGUAUUCUUCUUUUGCAUUCAACAACAUUCAUCUACUCUACACCCCAAAUUUUAGCAACUCAAGAUCUCCACCUUCAUUAGGAUUAUAGGAAGCUAGCCUCUUGGAGACACGUGAGAGGACAUUUAGAAAUUUGAAAGAAUUCUAGAGACUUGUUAUUGCUUGAAUGUGAAUUAUUCCAAUCAGUAACAACCCCAAAGCCCUAUAUACAAUUUUGAACUGUCAACCUUCUUACAUUGAAUGAAAAACUUGUCCCUAGGAAAAAGGUGUCUUGGGCAUACAACCAUCAAUUAUUAGCUCUCAAAGAGGCUUAAAGUUGUGCACCCUCUUGGUAGCUUCUAAUUCAUUACAUCAUAUAACUUCCAGAUAUCCAAUUGGCAUGUCACUACACCUGAAUGAAGUAGAAAACAUGGUGAAUAGGAAGUUAGACAACCUUUCACAAAAAGAAUCCUACAAGAAUACACCAAGCAGAACUUCUUGUUAACAUAAAUGAAUUCACUUAGUUAAAUUAUUGCGUUAAAAUUUAAAUUGGAGAAAUAAAAAUACUAAUGCUUGAGAAUAAGUAUUGAGAAUAAGAGUUACCUUAAUGAAUGUAAGGAUAGGAUAGGGUUGAAUUGGCUCUGCACCCAUUUUUGCAAUUUGAAUUUAUUAUGGUUCAAAAAUGAGUUUAUGAUAUAUCCUCAAUUUAGGGGAAGCGAGCAAUCUGGGGCCAAUCUCUAUCAUUCUCCUUGAAACAUCUUUGAUUUCAAAGUUUGAUAAAACUUAGAAGACAACCUUUCACUUGGCAAGGAGGACUAGAACAAGGCAUCCCUCAAUCUCUACAAGUUAAAGAAAUGAAGUUUUGAAGACCAAGGGAGGAGGCUAGGUUUCCAUAUUUGACAAUAUUUUCAUUGAAAGAUUAAUGAGAGUUGUAGCAAGAAAUCCUGUCAAAAGGAAAUUGCCUUUAACAAUGUACAAUAUAAAAUGAAUGAACUAAGUUUUUAGAGAAGUGAAUCUUUGGAGGCUCCACAAAAAUAAGGGGUUUUAAUACUCUUGCAAGUGUAUUCAUGAAAUUGUUUCCUCAAAGGACUCCUGAACCUAGACAAUGUACAACACAAAGCUGUUAAAGAGAUGUGAGACUCUAAAUCUGAUGAGGUAGGACUUGAGAUCCACAUUUUCUUAAGUGAAGAAUUCUGAUGUUGUAAACACACUAGUAGUUUCUAGAUUUAGAUACUUCUCUUCAAAUAUUUGUAUAAUGUACAUCUUCUUUGACAUUGCUGCUCCAAUAGGAUGUCCAAUAGGAUGUGCAACCUAUUUGGGCAUACUACAUGUACAACAAAAAAUUUCAUUAAAACAAAAAACUUUUACUAAAACAAAAAUAUGAAGUUAAUGUCUAAGAAGAUAAGAUUUAUAUAUAGUGAAUGAGCAUGUUUGAUUUUAGCACAAAGGGAAAGACGCCAAAAUUUUUAAGAAUAUCAUCACCACAAGUACCUAAUUUGCAUCAUUAAAAAUUCCACAAGGAUUUGAUGGCUAGGCAAUAAAAUAAUUCUAGUAAAUGAGUUAAAAUCAGCUAAGCUAAGAAAGAUUAAAUCCAAAUAAGCAUCAAUCAUUAAAGAAUUAGCCAACUACGAAAGACUUCAAAUGACAUUUUCUCUGUAAUUUCUGUUCCUAAUUAGCCUCAUGUGAUUGUACCAAAAUAUUAUUAAUUUUCUUUAAAGGAAGUGGGUGACUCAUAUCUUUGAAAGGGUGUGAGAAGUGGAAAUCCCUCGAUCCCUAGUGAUUCAAGAGGAUAAUUCCUAUGGCUAUUGUUGUCAUCAUACAUCAUUCAGCUAGCUAUAGACCACAAAAUUGAACAAUCAUGAAUAUGUAGAUGCUUAAAUAUGGUAUGUACUUUAUCUAGUGGAAAAGCUUAUGAGACUUGGACAUCUCGAGAUUUCUAGGAAUUAAAACAGAUACAAGUUGUUGCUUCUUGUUAUAAUUUAUCUGGAUUGCAAUCAUCAAGCACUAACUCCAUUCACUACAUGUUUUGAGCCUUCAACAUAAAUUCCAUUCUUUCAGCCAAAAAAAAAAUCAUUAAUAACUCAUCUGAAAACCAUUUUAUGUUGCUCAAAUUAUAAAAUGUAGGAUGUAACUGACUUCCAUCAUUGAAAAUGAAUUGAUAUAACUUUACAAUACUAGUAUAUUCAGCUUUUGAAAUGGUUGAAACUGAUCCUGGAAUCAAAAAUCACAUACACAAGUAGAUAUUUAACAAAAGAGAAUCCAAAAUCUCUUCAAUUGAUUAAUGUAUAAAUGAAUUAAUCAAAAUUUUUAGAGAUAAUUAUGGGGAGAUGAACCUUGUACCUUUCAGUUUCUUAUUCUUCUUGAACAGAGCAAUGUGCAUCAAGUGUUGAGCACCUAGGAAUCUCCCUUCCUCCACAGGCAAAAUCUGAACAAUGUAUCCUUUCUUCAUAUUCCACUUCCUUGCAAAAUUCAAAACAUGAAGAAAAUAUCAUCAAAAUUAAGACAAAAAUAAGUGCAUCAACUAUCUCAAGAAGAGAUAUAUGCCUACUGCGUACCUUUUGAAGAAGUCCACUUGGUUAGAGCACAUUUUACAUGGACGCCCAAUCACUAUAAGCAAUUGAACCAAAGGAGAGUUCAAACAUCUACAAAAUUUGACGAACUCAAGUAUCAUAAAAUACUUCAUAUGAAUUCUAAAUGAUCUCAUAUCUAAAAAACAUUGGCAUAAAAUUAUUGUUUUUUACCUUACAUGUUUCUUCCAUGGUCAUAAUCAAAACUUUGUUUAUCAUAAGAAAUCUUCUAUGCUCAUCUUGAUUACUUACAAUGAACACUGAAAUGAAAAGAAAAAAAACCACAAAAAAUGAUGAUUAGUUUGGUUUGAUAAAUUUAGCACGCAUAAUUUCCUUUUUCUUGCAUGAGAAAAGAAAGAGUAAAUAUAUAUAUAUAUAUAUAUAUAUAUAUAUAUAUAUGAAUUUAAUAAUUUUUUAAAUUAGCAAUUAUAAAACUAUUUUGGUUCUCAUAAAAUUUAUGAGAAAGUAGAGAAAAAAAAUUGUAAACUUUUUCUCUUGUUUGAUUGUUUAUCGAAAAAUUGAGGGAAAAACAAAAAUCUAUGAGAAAUUUAUUUAACACUUCUGAGGAACCAAAAAUGUUUUAGAUGUUGUCAAAUUGAUAAUUUAAACGUGUUUAAUUCCAAUUAAAUGAGUUUAGUAAAACACAUGAAAUUGUGAAUAAAAUUAUUUAAAAGCAUUGAAAUUCAAGUCAUUAAAGUUGUCCAUAAAAUUUGGUAUAUUGAAGCAAGAAAAAAACAAAGCAAUUUGAAUGACUUGCUAAUAAAGCAACUAACUAGAAUAUGCCCUAGAGUUGUUCAGUGCCCUCUAUAUAAGAAAUAAAUAGAGAACACAAAAAAAAAACCAAGAAAAAAAAACAAUCAAACGAAAAACAGAGAACACUUCUUACGUUAUUUUUUCUUAAUUUUUCUGAUUUAUAUACAUUUUUGUUGGUUUUCUUUUGACCAUAAAAGGUUCGAGCAUUGGCAUUGUCAUGUGUAAAUUAUUGUGGCUACAAACUUCAUUCGUAUCCAAUUGCACACCUAUCCAAACUCUUGAUGAUGAAGGUAUGAUUGCAUUUACUAGCAUUAAAUUGCUAAAAUUUGUCAUCCAAAGUUCCAAUUUCUUUUGAACCUUGAAGACUUCAUUUGCAUUCUUGUAGGAAUUAGACGUGGAAUCAUUUUGCAAUGCUUGUGGUCUUGAGACCAGCAGUGAUGAAUGGGGAAAUAAGUUCUUAUCAACCAAGCAAACAAACUUCCAUUAUCCCAAGAAAGUCUUUCCAAGCUACUCUUAUGGGUUUGGAACACUUUUAGAGGUAACAAUCAAUUGGAACUAGUUACUCUUUCAAACUUCUUAUUGUACAAAUAUAGCCUGCAUGUGCAACCAUUUUUUAUCCCAUAAUUUCAAAAAUUUAUGACACCUUCUAGUGGUUAGUUUUUCUGGGAAUGGAGUAAAGCAAUCUAUUCACUCCGAGAAAUUAUCGUAAGAAGAAUAGUAGAUAACCUCGCAAGACCAAAUUUAUGUGUGUGCAUGGAGGUGCAUGUUUUCUGCAUCCCAAUCAUGCAGCGUUGUGUCAAAUGGAACAAUAGCAGGUGAUGAUAAGUGGUAUUUCUAAAAUCUUCUAAGAGUAUUCCAUAUAUUGUAAUAUUGUUUUCUCAAAAUUGUCUUUGAGUCUUAUGUGUAAAUAUUAGAGUUGACCUCUUGUAAGCUAUCAACUGAUGUUGUAACUUAACUUGAAAGGGAAAUUCUAUAAAUUUAGCCUUGGUUUGGCUCUUGGAAAGCAAAGAAAAAUUAGGUUAAUAGUGAGUUGAUUUCUUCCCUUCCCAUGGAUGUAAGCACAUUCUUAAAUUAUGUUAAUUAUGUUUUGGUUUAUUUUGUUGUUUUCUUGUUUAUUGUUCAAUUGUCUCCGCAUAACAAGUGGUAUCAAAGUUGUUUCCAACACAAUAGAUGAUUCCUAUGCUAACACAAUGUUUGAGGCUAAAUGUAAGAUGGUAAAAGUUUCUAGAAUAUUUCUGUAUGACAACUGCCAAUAAAGGAUGUACUUAACAGGAAAUUCGUAAGGUGUUACAUGGCAAGUUGAACAAGACCAAUAGCCAAAGAUAUCUGAAAUAUUUGGGGCCAUUGAUCCAACAAUAGCAGAGAAUAACACAAGAAGAGACCCUCUAAUCACCAUUUUUGCUUUUGAUUCUUCUCUACAAAGCAUCAUCUCCUUUAUACAAAAAGACAACCCAUGGCUAAGCCCACAUUAUUCUCUACAUAUCCCAAAAAAACCCUCUAACCCAUGGCAUGGCGCACUUUUUGGGGGUAUUUUUGCUACUAAAUUUGUGGUAGUCUCUCAAAUACCUAAACUAUCCUCCAGAUAUUAAGGUAUGGCCUACUCUUUGAGGUGGUAUUAAGGUAUGGCCUAAAUUUGUUAAGAGAGGUUUUGGUGUGGAAACUAGAGGGCUUUACACACGUUGCAUGUAUUUUCUUUUGCAUGCAUUACACGUAGAUCGGAGUUUAUGCAGUUACUCACUUUUUGUGAGUCCAAUAGUACUGUAGUGCCACGUCACCAUAUGAUGGGCUCUUUAGUCUUUUCAAACCCAAAAAAAAAAACUAAUACUAAAAGGACUGCUAACUAGCUAUGUGGAGGUGAACCUCUAUAGCUAGCUUCUUAGAGGGACCAUGAUCACUUAGGCCAAGAAAGUUUGAGGUGAUAAUAGGUUUGUGAUGCCCUUAGAUGUUUUAGACACAUGUGUGUUACACUAAUGUAUGCAACGAGUCUAUAACCUUGAUUGACAGGUCCGGGUAAUCUUUGAAAUUCCACUGUGAUAGGAAGGUUCCAUGUGAACAACAGUUGCACAUGGGUUAGUCAAUCUUAAGAGACGGGGGAAGCCCGUUUAAUAGCACACAAUGUGCAAGCUUUGAAAGGCAAUCAGGUUAACAUUUUUUAAUUGGGACAUGAUAGCGAACAACAACAUUAGGUAGUUUGGAGAUGUCGUCAUAUUAAUUGUUAUCAAUAUUUUUAUUUAUUCAAUAGAAAUUGAGGAUUAAAAAAAUACCACAAAAAUUAGAAAAAACAAAAUUAAUUACAUGGCUUACAUUUCAAAUAUUUAAUAAAAUAUUGUUUGAAAAUUGAAUAUCAUACAUUAUUAAAUGGCUGGAUUCUCUUCUUUAUUUUUUUAAUUGUCUCAUCCUAUUAAAUUACUCAUCUAAUAUUAAUUUAUUUUAAAGGUAAAAUUAAUUAUUUUGUAAAAAAAACUUUUAAUUGACCAGAGUUUGUGCCAUGCAUCUAAUAUAUACUUAAAUACUUUUCCAUGCUAUAAUCCUCCAACAAAGGAAUGAAAUCAAAACUUAAAAAUCAUUUAUAUAUAUAGAUAUAUGUUAUUAAGUUUAGGUAGUGAAGCAAUUAUUGUGAAUAUAAAAUUAAUGCCAAAAAUUUUGAUUGUUCUUUCACGUUCUCCACAACCAAACAAAGGAUAUAAGAAAAAUCAAGAAAGAAAUUUAGGGUAGUUUGAUUUUUUGUUCUCAUCUUGUCGUGAAGUUAAUAGAGGAAUGCUUGGGUUAGUGCUUGACAGUUAGGUGACACUAGGGUAUAAUGAUUCUUCCAAUCAAGUAAAUAUUAUCCGCUUUAAUUUCAAUGGAUCAUCAUCACUUUAAAUUGCAUCCACAUGGUUAAGAGCAACUCAUAUGUGUAUAAUAUCAUGAAUUUCUUCUUAUUCAAUAUGGAAUAUCAAAUUAGGUAUCUUUCAAUUUUAGGUAUUGUAUAAGUGUUUCAAUUCAAAUGACUUGGCUUAAUGUAUACUCAAAGCCUUUACAAAGGAACGUACAUGUAAUAAAGUGAAAAUUAAACCUUGUCGCCCGUCUAUCUCUAGUAUGAAACACAACUCCAUUAGCGCUUAAACAUCUGCAAAAAAAGAUAUACACCUUUGUUACAUUAAUUAAAAUAAAUGAUAGAAAAACAGACUCCAUAUAUCCAUGUACAAUAUUUGAUUAGAUUUGUUAUAUAUAUAAAGAGAGAGAGAGAGAGAAAAAGAAAAAAAAACUGCUUAGAUUAAGGAUCUCAUUAAUUAAUACCUAGAAAAUAUAAAAUAAUAAAAAAAGAUUAGAAGGUGUGAAUUAUAAGAUAAGACUACAUUUUUGAAUUAGAUUCAUCGAAAGAUGGCAUAUUGUAUGAACAUUUUUACUCUAUAUAUAAAAACUUAUAUUAUGGUUGAGAUGUAUUAAUUUGUCAUAUUUUUGGACAAUUCAAGUAAUGAGUAAUUACACUAAAUUAAAUUAUUGACCUUAUUAAUUGAUACCUCAACAGUAUAAAAUAGUAAGAAAUGAAUAAUACAAACUUCAUCGAAAUAUUUUUAUAGACAUAUUGCGUAAAUAUUCUUAUUUAAUAAAAUUUUAUAUGUCAUUAAAUAAAUAGAGAAUUUUAACAUUAAUUGCAAUGCUAAGUAGAGGAGAUCUCAUAUUUAAGCUGAUGAUUAAGGCUUAUUUGAUAAAACUUAAUAUUUAUUACUUAAUAACUUAAGUUGACUUUAAGUUAAAUUAUAUUUAAGUUACUCAAAAUUUAUUAUUUAAUAUUUACUUUAAGUAUUAAAGUUAUUUGAUAAAAUUAAUUUAAAAAUCAUUUUAAAUUAUCAAAUUGUCAUAUUUAUCUUCGUUAAUUUGAUAACUAGAUGCAGAUAAAUGAAACAAAAUAAAAUUGAGAUUAAGAAUAAAUUAAUUACUUUGAUUUAACACUUAAAAUUAAAAGUAACUUUAAGAUAUAAUAUUAAGUUAUUUUAUCAAAUAUAUUUAAUCUAUUUAAUAAUUAAAUUAAGUUAUUAAGUUAAUGAAUGAUUACCAAACACCCUAUAAGACCCAAAAAAUCGAAUGAGUUUUAAUAGUAUUCAGGAUGGACAUGACUAGGUGGCGGUUCAAUGCUGAUUAAUCAUAAUUCAAUCAAGGCAAAAUAUGUAACAAAUACAAGUCAAACUGCACCAUCCAAAUGGGCGCCAAGAAGUUACAUUUGACAAAUGCCAUUAAACCUCUACAGCUAGCAAUUAUUUUGAUCACAGAAAAAAUGGCAAAAAAGUGUGUCGUACUUCAUCUUGAAGCCCAUUAACUUCAUCUUAAUUUGAUCCAAAUUGCAGAAACAUGCAAAACUCCAUGAAUCUAUGGUGCUAUGGUGGCCUACAUUCAUAUAACUGGGGACACUUUGGUUUACACCACAAUGACCCCAAACAGGGUUUGUAGAGGCUUUAUCAAGAUCACUAGCUUUAAAAGACUAAGGAAAGAAAGAUGUUCUCAAUGAAAACUUGGAGUCAAAUUGCAGAUAAAGACCUAAAACUCCCACUCAAUGUGUUUUAGGAAUUGUUGUUUCAUGGGGAUAAGCUGCUUGGUUUGUACAUGUCUCCUUGGUGAUACUUAGAGAUUGGCAAAGUAUAUUCUCCUUUGUGAUCUGGUUUGUAUAUGGGCAGAUGAAUGUUCAUGCCAGGUUCAUAUAUGUUUCUGAUAUAUAUCACCCUGGAAGGAUCUAGAUCAAGGGGAUGAGUUUGAAAAGCUUGAGUAGGUUUAAGAUGUUCCCAGAAUUGGUGAGCAUGAUAUAUAUCAACAUGAUAUUGCAGAAGACAACAGAGCUUCUGAAAUAUAUCAGGUUCAAUAGUAGGAAAUCUUAUCAGCUGUCACUUAUUGUAAUCCUAUGCUCUCAAUAUUCAUUUGUUGAAGAAGAAGAAAAAAUUGCUGUCACACUAUUCAAUUACCGGAGAAUGUUCAAUUAUAGAAGAAAAUAAUAUUCACUAGACUCUUUCAACUUAAUCAACAUGCAGAGAAAAGCCGUCGGGUGGCCAAUUAUUCACAUACCAACUUACAUACAUCGUCUCUCUACCUCUACUUGUUACUCAUUAGCCAAGCUUAUAGUAAUAUAAGCUUGGGUUCAUCUCUCCAUGUCUCUGAUGACAACUCCACAUGGGGUUCGCCUUCUGGUGAUUUUGCAUUUGGAUUCUGACCCUCUCCAAGUGAAAAGGAUCAAUAUCCUUCUUGCUAUCUGGACUGCAAAUGGAAGUUAACUGGUGCCAAGAGGAUCAAAAGUUGAGCUUACUACCAAUGGACAACUUGUUCUCCAGAGGCUAAGAGAUGAAGACAAAGACUGGUAAUGUGAGCAGCGAAGCAGUGCAUGGUGCCAUGCUUGGACAUGGAAAUUGUAUACCAGUAUAUGGGAGAGCUUCAAGCACCCAACUAAUACCAUAUUGCCAACCCAGGGAUUGGUGUUGGAGCCUCCUGUGCAGUUGCUAUUUUUGAGGACCUGAGGUUUGCAAAUGGAACUGGAAGCUGUUGGAGGAAAAGACUACCUCUUUCAAAUGGGAGGUUGGAUCAAACUGAUGUUUCCAGAAGUGCUCUAAUCAAGAAGUCCAGUGAACUAACGUCAGGCAGAGGCAACCAAAAUAAAGCAAUUCUAAUACUCUCAGUCCUCUUAGGCCCCUCUGCGUUUUUCUUCUUCGUUUCUCUGGCUGCAAUUUCUCUAGUUUUCUACCACUUGAACCUCAAAAAUCUGCAGCUUUAUCACAGAAUCCUGAGUACAAGCGAUGGUAGAAGCCUUUGACACUGUCUAUAAAGGGAUAUUACCAUCAGGUUCUGGAAAUUCUGUUGCUGAAAAGAAGUUGGAGAAGGUGGUGGGAGAAGAUGAGAAAGAAUUCAAAGCAGAAGUGAAUGUGAUAGGCCAAACUCACCAUAAGAAUCAAGGACAGUUGCUGCGUUACUGUCAUGAGGGUGAACACUGACUACUGGUGUUUUUUUUUAUUUUAUUUUUUUAUGCACAAUGGCUCUUUAUCAAGCUUCCUUUCUGGAGGCGCCCAAGGACUUGUGUACCUACAUGAAGAAUGCAGUAAACAGAUCAUCCAUUGUGACAUAAAGCCCUCAGAACAUAACUCUUAGAUGAUUCUUCUACAGCCAAAGUUGCAAACUCGGACUGGGAAAGCUUCUGAUAAUCAACCAGACUAGAACACUCACAGGCAUCAGAGGGACUAUGGGGUAUAUUCAGACAACUCGAGCAGCCUAUGUCUCUUAUAAUAACACGUUAUGAAGCAUCAGCUCAAUGCCAAGGUUCAAUCUGCAAAGCAAGGGAUUCAUCAAUGUUUCCUUCAAACUAAAUAACAAGGAACAGAAAUGGAUCAUUCUGCAUUUUCAGUGGUGUUUGUUAUAGCAUUUAUACAAGAACUCUAGGGGUUUCUAUGUAUAACUUCAUUCCUAUUUUGUCAGUGAAUAUGGUGAUGGUGUUAUAUUAUAAAUCAUAGUGAACUGGUGGAAUUUGAUCAUUUGGCCAACUUUAUCCAAAACUGUUUCACGGUUGAGGGGAUUGUUGACUUUGCCCUGGGCGAAACAGCAAUUUCUUAAGAAGCUGGGUAACGAAGAGUACCAUAAUUUGGACUGGUUUCAAUGGAAACUCUCCUGUUUUUGUGCAUGGUAUCUUCAGCUUCAGCUUUUCCUAUGCUUUUGACUAUCCUGAAACUGAUCCAAAUCUCUUCAAUUGAUUAAAUGUAUAAAUGAAUCCUAUUCAUUGUUUGGAGUAACAACCAAAUUCUGGAAGACUGGGAAAGUUUCAACACUGGAGAGAAAACAAAAUGACAAGACCAUAAAUUCUGGAAGAGGGCUUUGCUUUCUAAUCAUUACCAUAAUUUUAGAGCUCAACCCGGGUGAGUAAAUUAUAUUUCAGAAUGUUCAGAAGAUAAUUCUGAAGUGAUGAACCUUCUACUCACAGUUUCUUGUUCUUCUUGAACAGAGCAAUGAACAUCAAUAGUUCAGCACCCAGGAAUCUCCCCUUCCUUCAAUUCCUUUACUGGGAAAACUCUGCCAAAAUCAUAACAAUCUGUCCUCUUCCUUGGAGGAAAAGUCACCUUCCCAAUCAAGAAAAUCAUCAGGAUUAAUUUGAGCAAAACAUCAGAGUAUACAUCAAGAAAGCCUUGAUCAAAAUCAAAAUACAUCAAGAGCUGCCAUUUUCUUCUAUUUCCUCUUCCCUGAAUGGAAUGCCUUUUGGACUGAGGUGAUCAAUGGUAACAGUCUAACACACUCCUUAAGCUCUGAUUGAGGUCAACGGGGAUUGGCACAUUUAAUGACUUUUGAAAUCAUAGCUGUGUGAAGGGAGGCAAACAUGAAUCUCAGGAUAAUCAACAAGUCAACAACUAUCAAUCAGCAAGGAAAAGGAAAUACCUUUGGAUAUUUACAAAUCAAAAAUUUGAGAGAGUCCAGCUUCUCUGUACAGAAAGGCUUGAGCUUAUUCCAUGGCCAGGCUUUAGAUGGUUCUGAAUUACGGAUGAGAGGGUUGAGUUUUCUUUUAUUCUGCAACAAGAUUAAAAACAUCAAUGAAACACUAAAAGUUUAUAUAUAGAAGCCCUUUAAAGAUAAGAACUGGUAAGAAAGCUCACCCAUGGUCUAGUAAAACAACAUCUGUUAGAUAAGUAACCGCCAUUCGAUUGUCCAGCUAAUGCAUUUAGAUCUAAGAUAAGAUAUGGAAAAAUAGUCAAAAAUAGCUGAAGACAGUCCAAAAACUCAUUUGACUAAUAAUUUUCUAAAAGCAGUAACAUAAAACCUGGAUGAAGAAUCCACCCCUCUACCUGACACCACUUCAAUACCAAAUAAAAUGUUACGAUGACCAUUUAUGGUCUUAAGAGACAGUGGAUGUUGUUUGGGCUCAAGACCUAAGACAAGCCAAAAAACAAGAAGAAAACAUCAAAAUUGGCACAGAAACAAGUACAUCAACUAUCUAAUAAAGAGAUUUAUGCAUGUAACAAAUGCAAAUGAAAUAUGAAACAAGAUUUUCAUGGAUUAAACAAAAAUAGAUGGCAAAAUAGAAGGAUAAGGUCACAGACAGGACAAUAUUAAAAGAAAUGAUUAUUUGUCCCACCUGAAAAUCAAGGCAUUCAGAACAGUACACAUUUGUAAGUAGUCCAUGGAAACCAGGGAACAUAUGCAGAUGUUGUAUUCUAUUGCAUAAGGCAAACACUCAAUACUUACAAGCAUAACCAUGCCCAGAAAGCCAUGAAUCCCUUUUAGUUUUGCUUUUUUACCUAUUCCCAUCUCUUAUGGCCAGAAGUGCCCAGGAUGAUAUAACAUCACCAAAUAAGUUAGAAACCAGCCCAUCCAGCAGGUUGAGUAGCCAGCUUGCCCUCAAUCUUCUUUGAGUCAACAAACAGCUGGGCAUUAUUGCCUCCAAUGGAGGGUCUGGAAAUAUUAGAGCUGGCACCAGGGGUGGCUGUAAAACUCUCUGUUCCAAAACCCCAAGUUUCAGGGCCAGAAGUUGCUUCUGUGGCUGGUUUGUUGUGAUGGCCAUUUCGGGUCCUAACAGACUUGCUAUUGUUGUCUGGGCACCUACCUCAGAGAAAGCCUGCCAUGGAUUAGAGUCCUGACAUGGCUGAAACUGAUCCUGAAAUUAAAGUGCACAUACACAAGUAGAUAUUUAACAGAAGAGUAUCCAAAUCUCUUCAAUUGAUUAAUGUGCAAAAGAAUUAAUCAAAAUUUUUAGAGAUAAUUAUAGGGAGAUGAACCUUGUACCUCUCAGUUUCUUAUUCUUCUUGAACAGAGCAAUGAGCAUCAAGUGUUGAGCACCCAGCAAUCUCCCUUCCUCUACAGGCAAAAUCUGAACAAUCUAUCCUUUCUUCAUAUUCCACUUCCUUGCAAAAGUCAAAACAUGAAGAAAAUAUCAUCAAAAUUGAGACAAAAAGAAGUGCAUCAACUAUCUCAAGAAGAGAUUUAUGCCUAUUGCUUACCUUUUGAAGAAAUCCACUUGGUUAGAGCACAUUUUACAUGGACGCCCAAUCAGUGCAAGUUGCUGAACCAAAGGAGAGUUCAAACAUCUAGGCUCAUCUUGAUUAUUGUAAUGAACACUGAAAUGAAAAAAAAAAAUGAAUUUAAUAAUUUUUAAAAAUGAGCAAUUAUAAAACUAUUUUGGUUCUCAUAAAAUUUACGGGAAAGUAAAGAAAAAAAAAUUGUAAACUUUUUUGUUUUUGUUUGAUUGUUUAUGGGAAAUUUGAGGGGAAAAAAAAUCUAUGAGGAAUUUAUUUAACACUUCUUAGGAACCAAAAAUGUUUUAGUUGUUAUCAAAUCGAUAAUUUAAACAUGUUUAAUUCCAAUUAAAUGAGUUUAAUCAAACACAUGAAAUUGUAAAUAAAAUUAUUUAAAAGCAUUGAAAUUCAAGUCAUUAAAGUUGUCCAUAAAAUUUGGUAUAUUAAAGCAAGAAAAAAACAAAGCAAUUUGAAUGACUUGCUAAUAAAGCACCUAACUAGAAUAAAUAAAGCAGCUAACUAUAUAAGAAAUUAUAAAAUAAAAAUAAAAAAUAAAAAAUAAAAUUGCCAAAAAAAAAACAAACAAAAUAUCCAUGGUUCUUACGUUAUUUUUUUCUUAAUUUUUAAAUAGUUAUAAAUGGUUCAUUUAAUUUUUGCAAACUACGAAAUCAAAAUAGAGCAUGAAAAUGUGUUCAACAUUUGUUUCAAGCUUGAAGCUUCAAGAAAAAAGAAAAUCUUAAAUCAAAUAAACAGAAAGAAAAGUUCAAGCGCAAAAGAAUUACCUAACUGUGUAUUGGCGGAGUGGCACUUUGAUUAAAAUAGCACUUCAUUGAUCACUAUUUUAGGAAUGAGAUCUAUAUAACGCCAUUCUUCCCCUUUCUCAAAUUGACACCGUUUUUCCAGUAAAUGACCUCAUUAGAACUACAAUAAGUGAAGUGAUAAUGUCAUCUAAUUAGUAAACCAAACCAAGUCAAUAAACUAGAACUUCCUCUAGUAUAAAGGUCUUGAUACAUUAGAUAUUGAAUUUGUUGGACCUGGCAAGGUAGAAGUAGUAAUGCUCAUUUUUUAUUGUGACAGAUUAUAGAGAAAAUUAGACACUGGGAAAAUACCAAGCCAGGAGCCAUGUCAAGAGCUGCUUUCUUGUUAAAAAUUAAGUCCAAUUAGAAAAUUACAGUAGCGCGUAAGAGAAAUUGAAAGUGGUGUUGAGAAGAGAAAGAGGAAGAAUGAUGUGUUGGGAAUGAGAUGUAAUACCUUAUUUAUUAAUACACAGGGGAUGUGGGCAAUCUUGGGCCAAUCAUCUCCUUCCUCCUUCGAGUACCUUUGUGUUAGAUGUGGGCAAUCCCGCACAUACACUCGUGAAAGGGUGUCAGGCAAUAGUCCUUCCGUUGGCAAAAUCGAUCGGAGCUUAGGGCAACUGUAGAUUUCUAGCUCUUCAAGAGAGGUGAGGGUUUGGAGAGACAGGGAGGCUAGGGAUUCCAGAUUCUGGAAUUCUGAAAGGGUAAGGGAGGAGAGAGUUGUAGGAAAAAUAAUCGAGUGGGGGUCAUCCGAAAAGGAAGUUGCAUCUGGAAACAUGCCACCAAUCCAGAGGAGUUUAAGAGAGGUGAGUCUGGAAAGGCCCCAUUGGGAUAGGGGGGUCUUGAUAUUCUCAAAGUGAGAGAUCUCGAGUGAUGUAAGAUGAGUGAGGGUGUUGAGGCAAUCUGGUAGGGUUUUGAGAUUAGGAUACCUCUCGAUGGUUAAAGAUUGAAGUGAAUUAUUAGUAGAGUGAAACAUCUCCUCUGAAAUUGACUCGAGGUGUUCACAAUCCUCAAUGUGAAGUUGCUCAAGGGUGGAUGGAAACUUGCCUCUUGGGAAGGAUGUGAGAGAUGGACAUUUACGGAUUUCCAAGGCUUGGAGAGCAGCAGCAUAUGUGGAAUCGUAGUGCAUUAUUCCCUCUGGUAGAGACUCUAGCCUUCUACAAUCAAUUAUACUGAGCCUCUUGAGAGUGGCGGGUAACCCACCUUUCGGUAAUCCAAUAAGAGAAUGACACCUAUCUAUCAAUAAGUCUUCAAGGGCACACAUGCCCAUCAUUCCUUCUGGAAGAGACUUGAGAUUUUCACAAAACUCUAUCUGUAGUCUCUUAAGGGUGGUGGGUAAUUGCCCUUUUGGAAAGCAAAUGAGAGAUGGACACCUGGAUAUCACUAGCUCUUCAAGGAGACACAAGUUGUUGCUGUCAGUACUGUCGUUCCUCAUCUUCAACAUCAUGCCAUCAGGUAGACUCUUUAGACCUUGACAAUUCUCAAGAUCAAGAUUUCUCAGCAUUGGUGGGAAACCUACAUCUGGAAAUGACGCUAGCUUUGGACAAUUGCUGAUUGUCAAUUCUUCAAGGCAUGUUAGACUCUGCCAUCCAUUUGGAAGCCUCUCUAGUUUAGCACAUCUAUCUAUUUCCAAAGACUGAAGAUUGCAUCCCAAGGAUACAAGUUGGUCACAAUCUCUAAUCUCAAGAGAAUGAGAGUUUUCCGAUCCAAAACCAUCCUCCCACAAAUAUACGAGUUCUUCGCAUGCCCAUACUUUCAAAACCCGAAGCCCUUGCAAAAAUUGCACAAAUCCUUCAUGCAAUUUGAUAAGCCCUGAAAUCCUAGAAAUUGUUAACUCGGUGAGUGAGGUGAGGUCAUUUCCACUGCUCAAGACCGCCUCAUUACAUCUUAUUACUUGUAAUUCCUUCAGCAGUGGAAGUCUUGAACGUGGAGACUCCAAUUUUGGACAAAAGACAACAGAGAGCUUUGUAAGAGAAGGUAGGUAAGUGGGUAGUUUCAUAAUCAAUUUGCGGCAACCCUGAAUUGUAAGCUCAUGGAGACAAGGGAAUAAUGACUCUGUUGAGGAAGACCAAUCCUCCCAGUGCUCCCAUUCUGACAUGCUAUAAAAAUGUAGAGACUCUAGUGAUGGGAAAAACUUACCUGCAGAAACACGAGUCUCUCCAUAAAACUCUGCACCCACUUUUUUUACUACAUCCAUUCCUUGGAUCCUCAACUGUUUGAGCGAUGGCAACUGCCCCAAGCAUGGUAAAGACGUGCACUUUCUGCAAUCUAUGAGACGUAGAUCCACCAUCUUAGAGAACAAGGCACCCCCUAUCCAACGUGGGAAUUCUGGACCACCAUACAACUGAAUGCAGAGUUUGUUCAGAUUCGAACAUGGUUGUAGAGAGUCAAGGACAUCCAUUUGAUUCCUUUCAUUCCCUGAACCAUCCAACUCAGAACUCCACUGCAUUAUCAAGCUUUCAAGGUUACGCUUCGAACAUGGUUGUAGAGAGUCAAGGACAUCCAUUUGAUUCCUUUCAUUCCCUGAACCAUCCAACUCAGAACUCCACUGCAUUAUCAAGCUUUCAAGGUUACGCUUCGAUUUUAAAUCGGCAUCCCUUGCAUCUUGAAUAUUCACCACAUUUUCCAAUUUCGAAAUGCAAAGUUCUCCUCGCAGAUGUGACAUGUCCUUCAACUCCUUGAUUGUCAAACCGUUGUUUUUGUCCACAAUGAAAUUAGACAAUAUCCGCAAAUCUUUUAGUUUGCCCAUUCCUAUAGGCAUUUCUUGUAAUUUUAUUGCACCAGCAACGUCAAGAUGUCGAAGAUUGAUUAGGUUACCGAUGGUAAUAGGCAACUUGAUAAGCUCUUUACAACAUGAUAAUUUCAAUGUCUGAAGGUAAAAAAGAUUACCAAUUGAAUCGGGUAACCAUUUUAUACUGGUGUGGGACAAAUUAAGGUAUCUCAAAUGUUUCAACUUACCAAAUGAAUCUGGUAUCUCACUUAUCUUGUAAUAAGCCAAUGAGAGCACCCUUAAGUGCCCUAACCUUGGUAUCAAUUCUUCAAGCACCUUAUCACUUAUGAAGGAAUGAAGUCCACUAGUUAAUUCAUCAAUCGGCAAAGCUAUGAACGUGCGCAAGCGCUCUUUCUUAUGAAACGUUUCAAAAUUUUUAAAGAUAUCAUAGCGAUGACGGAUGAAUGAUGAAUGACGAGUAUUUUCAGGAACGGAGCGUUGCAAAUCAUCCAAAUGCAAGCAUGUGUCUCCAGCAAUAGAUUUAGCUAGAUCGUUGAUAAGGUCAUGCAUAACGAAUCGUGAUUUAUUGCUAUUGGACGAUUGGAAAAAUGACCUUGACAAUAGUUCACAAAAAUAAUCAUCACCAAGAUCUUCCAUUUUCUCAUCCUCAUUUGAUUGUUGAAUUAACCCCUCCGCCAUCCACAAGAGGAUUAGCUCUUCCUUCUUAAACUCAUAAUCUUGGGGAAAUAAUGCGCAAUAAGUGAAACACCUUUUUAAAUGUGAAGGGAGAUGAUUGUAGCUCAAUCUCAAGGCAGGGAUGAUGUCACAUUCCUUGUCUGUGAAAUCCCAUACUUUGCUGUACAAUACUCUUUCCCAUUCACACUCACGUAGUUUUUUAGAGCGCAAAAGGCCACCAAGGGCUCUUGCCGCUAAGGGCGAACCUCCACACUUCUCUACAAUUCUCCUGCCAAUUGAUUCCAAAUUUGGGUGCUCAUCGAUAUUCAUAUGUUCAAAAGCAUGUGUUUGAAAUAUCUUCAAACAAUCAUCAUAAGGUAACUGUUUGAGCUCAUGUAAGAUCUUGUGGCCUCUCAUCAUGUUUGCAACAUUAUUAUUGCGAGUUGUGACUAGAAUUUUGCUUCCCUGUGCUCCCACCCAGAAAGGGGAGCAUAGCCUGUCCAACUCAUCGUAAUCAUCAUUCCAUAAAUCAUCCAAAACUAUCAGAAAUUUUUUUCCCUUCAAUUCCUUCCUCAAAUUUUCUUGAAUUUCAUGCAAGUCUUGUGAAUUACUGCUUUGAGAAUUAGUCACCAAGUUGAGAAUUGUCUCUGUUAUUUUCUUUGCAUCGAACUGAACUGAGACAGUAACCCAAGCUUUUUUAUCAAAAUGCUUGGUUAUGGUCUUAUCGUCAUAGUACACCAGUUUUGCCAGUGUGGUCUUGCCCAUCCCACCCAUGGCCACAAUGGAAACUACAGAAAAAUUGGUUUUAGUGGGUUCAUUCCUAAGCAGCAUACCAAUUAUAAUCUCUUUUUCUGUCCCCCUGCCAUAGACCUGAGGUUCAUAGACAGUGAAUGGCCUUCCACAAGCAGAGUUGGUUAUCGCAGCCACCUUUUCUAGACGAAGCUCAGAUUUUUGAGCCGAAAUAUCUCGUAAGCGGCGAGUGAUUUCCCACACCUUGGACCUCAUGUUAACAUUAGGAUUGAAAAUGCGAAGACAAGUGGAGAUGAGCUUGCGUACCUUGCUCGGCCUGCCUUGAUGAUCAGCUUCUUUGGCCGUGAGCUCCCGUUGCAAAGCUUCGUAGGCGAACUCAUCCAAGAUGUCCUCCAUAUCAUAAGCCAAAUCUUUCAGAUUGCCCAGCCACUCUUUCACAGGGCGAUCCGUGAUCUGCUUGUCCUCCGCGUCAUUAAGCUCUUCACGAAUAUCCGACAAUUCUCUCUCCCAUUUCUUGAGAUCAGAGUACACCUGUUGGCGUGCAAAGUCGAGCAAAUCAGUGGAGGCCAACUUGUCAAACAAGAGGCCGAUGGCAGCAGAAAGAAGAGCGUCUCCCACAGCCUCCAUGGUUGGUUUGUACUUUGUUUGGAGAGAGAGAGAGAGAGAGCAAAUCAAGCCGUGGGUAAAAAAGUGAAGCAGAAAGAAGGGAGUCUGCUCUGUGAAGGCUUUAAAUAUUAGAAACUCAUAAAACAUUUGUUUUAUGAAUUUAUUAUAUGCACCCAUUUUCAUUUUAAUUAUUUUGAGAUGAGUCCUAUUCCUCCCGUUGAGAGAGAGAGAGAGAGAGAGAGAGAGAGAGAGAGAGAGAGAGUUAUUGCUGUGAGCCGGCAUGCAACAACCUUACAGUGUAGCAAUUGUUCAAUUUUGACAGUGAAGGAGAGAGAGAGAGAGAAUUAUUGCUGUGAGAUGGCAUGCAACAACUUUAAAGCGUAGCAAUUAUUGAAUUUUGACCGAAAGAGAGAGAGAAAAUUAUUGUUGUGGGAUGGCAUGCAACAUCUUUAAAGUGUAGCAGUUAUUGAAUUUUGACCAAUUAUGUUAAUGGGUUAUAUCCUCAUCCCAAGUUCCCAACCCAUCUUGAUUACUUCAAAAAAAAUUUAUUCCGUCCCAAACCUGUACUAGAGUAGAACGGGGUCGGAAUUUUUUUAGAAGUUAUAGUCAUCCUAUCUUAUUUACUAUUUUCUGUUAUUUUUAUUAUUUUAAAAUUUUGUUUUUAUUAAAAUAAAUGUAAUUUAUGAGUAAAUAAAUUAUUUUUCAUAAAUUUUAUAUCCUACCUUGAUAAAAAAUAAAUUUACAACUUCAAUUUAAAUAUGUUUAAAGAAGAGAAAUGGAAAAAAAUAAAUUAUAUUUACUUAAUUUUAUUUAUAAAUGAGAUGGAUUGAGAUAAUAGUUAGAGUUUGUUUGAUAAUUAUUCUAAAGAAUGUUUUUAGUUUAAAAAAUAAAUAAAUUAAGGGUAUGUUUGAUAAUUAUUUUCAAAAAUAAUUUUUGAGAAUAGUUGUUUUCUAAUAUUUUAUAGAAUAAAAGUCUGUUUAAAAAUCUAAAAUAUUUUUUAUUAAUUUUUAAUAUUUUAAAAAUAAUUUUUAUAUAUGAUAUUUUAUUUUUAAUUAUUUUAUAAAUAAAUUACAUUUAAGUAUAAAUAAAUAAAAAUUAAAUACAUAUAAAUUAAAUUUAGGUUAAUAUUAUGUGGUUGUUUUUAGUGGACCACCAACUAUUUUUAUAUUCCAUAGAGAACUUACUUUCAACACCAUAGAAUCACCCUAAUUUUAAAUUGAGAUAUAUUAUCUUAAAUUUUAAAUUUUUUAGGGCAUGAACUAAAUCUAUAUUUUUUCUUAAGAAUUUCUAUUUUUUUUAUAUGGAAGUUUUUACCAAUUUUUGUUUUUAAAAACAAAAAAAUAAGUACUUAAAGUGUUUUUUAUAGUGAUUUUAAAAAAUAUUUUUAAUUUUUUUAAUAUUUAAAAAAUAAAAAUUUUAGAGAUUAAAAAAAUUAAAAAUAAUUUUUAAAAUCAUUGUAAAGCCCACUAUGAUAUUAAUUUCUUCUCAUUAUAUCCUUUCAUUAGAUGCUUUACAUGGUUUUUAAUAAAUAAAAUUAUAAUUAUAUUGAUGGAGGCCAAUUAUCUUUGCUUUAGGUGAGAAAGUAGAGAUAAGAUUGAAAUGGGCCCACAUAUAAAACAAGAAUGAAAUCAAAAGUAAAGAUGGAGAUAAGAUUGAGGUGGGUGGACCAAAUAAAAAGUAGGAUAUGAAUUGACAAAAGCUUCUACACUCUUCCCAAAAAGUAAAAGCAAAGCCUAUUAGCGUGUAAAGUGAUGAAAUUAGUCCUAUUCAAGGCCCUACUUGCAUAUUUGAUAUUUCUAUGAAUUUUUAUUUAUUUAUUUUAUUAAACUAGUCUAAUACGAAGACUUUUAAGUUAAAAUUAAUUUUUAAAAAUGAUAUUUAUUCAUUUAUUUAAUAUGAUAUUGUACACAUAUUAUUAGAAUUUUCUAAUAUGAUGCCAAGGACACUUAUGAUAAGUGUUUUUUUAUUUGAUUUAGGCAAAUACAACUUGAUAUGAUUUUUCAAUGACUCGAAUUCAACUUUUUUUCUUUUUUAGGGAUUUGAAUUAAUUAUAAUCAAUUUUAAAUCAAAGUUGCAUCAAUCUAUUAUAUAUCUAGUUUAAAGUCAAUGUACAUAACACAUAUUUAAUUUGAAUUGACUUAUUUAAUGAUGAUACCGAUAAACCUAAUGAUAACUCUAACUUAUUUAACUCAUAUUUGACAUAAUUAAUUUUUUUUCUAAUAAGUAUAUCAUAAUUAAGUCAUAAACAACAUAUUCAAUUAGAAUAGUAGCCACAUAUUAUGUCAUUCAACAUUUAACCCGAUUUGAUUAUUAAACAACAUCUAAUUAUUAAAUAGGUUAUAAUAUAUUACUUUGUUGAUAAUUACAUUGUGUUUGAGUUUAUGUUUUUAACCUUGAUUGUUAUUCACGUUAUAUUUGGAUUGAGAUAUUUAGUUGAGUAUUUAAACUUUAAUGUGACAUAAAUACAAUCCAUCUAUUGAGAUAUUAGAAAAGUAAUUUUGAUCAAAAUUAAUAUUUAAUGACUUUAAGUAAAUUUUAAAUUAAAUUAUAUCAAAUUAUUAACUUGAUUUAUUAAAAUUAUUGUUGAUUUUAUAUUAUAAUAUUAAAUUAUUUUAUCAAAGAUACUGAAUAUUCUUAAGAAAUUAAAUUUGAUUUAUCAACAUCCUCUAAUGUCUUCUCAAUUUUUAAUAUUUAUUUGAUACACAUUUAAUAAGAAACAAGUCAAAAAAUUUCAAUACAAGCAAGAGUUGAAAGAAAGCGGAAAGAAGAGCCUCUAGCUUCCAUGAGAGAGAGAGAGAGAGAGAGAGAGAAUUAUUGCUGAGAGAUGGCAUGCAACAACUUUAAACUGUAGCAAUUAUUCAAUUAUGAGAGAGAGAGAGAGAGAGAGAGAGAGAGAGAAGAACUUUACAGUGUAGCAAUUCUGAGAGAGGGAGAGAGAACAACUUUACAGUCUAGCAAUUAUGAGAGUGAGGGAGCGAGAGUUAUUGCUGUGGGAUGGGAUGCACCAACUUUAAACUGGAGCAAUUAUUCAAUUUUGAAGUGUAGCAAUUAUUGAAUUUUUGACCGAGAGAGAGAGAGAAAAUUAUUGUUGUGGGUGGCAUGCAACAUCUUUGAAGUGUAACAGUUUACAGUGCAGCAAUUGUUCAAUUUUGACAGUGAGGGAGAGAGAGAGAGAGAGAGAGAGAGAGAGAGUUAUUGCUGUGAGCUGGCAUGCAACAACUUUAAACUGUAGCAAUUUUGACCAAUUAUGUUAAUGGGGUUAUAUCCUCAUCCAAAGUUCCCAACCCAUCUUCGUUACUUCAACAAAUUUUUAUCCCGUUCUAGAGUAGAACGGGGUCGGAAUUUUUUUAGAAGUUAUAGUCAUCCUCUCUUAUUUAUGAGUAAAUAAAUUAUUUUUCAUAAAUUUUACAUCCUAUCUUGAUAAAAAGUAAAUUCGCAACUUCAAUUUAAAUACGUUUAAAGAGGAAAAAUGGAAAAAGAUAUUAAAUUAUUUUUACUUAAUUUUAUUUAUAAAUGAGAUGGAUUGAGAUAAUACUUCAAAUUUGUUUGACAAUUAUUUUAAAAAAUAUUUUUGAAAAAAAUAAAUUAAGGAUAUGUAUGGUAACUAUUUUCAAAAAUAGUUUUUGAGAAUAGUUGUUUUUUAAUAUUUUGUAUAAUAAAAGUUUAUUUGAAAACCUAAAAUAUUUUUGACCAAUUUUUAAUAUUUUUAAAUAUAUUUUAAAAAUAAUUUUUAUAUCUAAUAUUUUAUUUUUAAUCAUUCUAUGUUUAUAUAUAUUAUUUUUAAAAACAAUCAUUAAAAAAUAAAUAAAUAAAGUAAAAAAACAACUAAAAUAUGUUAUUUAAAAGUACCCUGUUUUUUGUUCUUAAUAAUAGAAAAUGGAAAACAAUUUUUUAUUAUCAAAUGUGUUUUCUUGAUUUUUUAUUCAGAGGAACAAAAAACUAUUCUUGAAAAUAGUUGCUAAACAAGCAUAAGGUGUUAGACAAAAUUUUAAAAAAAACUUCUCCAAAUCUAAAAAAUCAUUUAUACUAUUUUUUUUAGAAAAUCACUUAUAGUGUUUUCUAAAAAAUUAUUUGAUAGAUAAUUUUCUUAAAAACACUUCAAGUAAAAAUACCGUCAAACACAUUAUUAAUAUUAUUUAAUCCAACCUUGGAGUUAAAAAAUGAUUUAUCAAAUCCAACCUCGAUCGGUUUAAACUCUCCCAAACCCAUUCCCAUUUGUAAUAUCUGGUUUUGAAAAAUAAAAAUAAAAACAUAAUUAUGGACCCCGCAUUUCGACUCAUGCAUUUUCCACUCGAUGGCGAGCUCGAUUUUUGUUUAAAAAAUGAUUCUAUUGUUUGAAAAAAUGACUUGGAGUCGCCACUUAUUUUUGUUUUAUUUUUUUUAAAAAGGGUAAACAAAAUAAGAAAGAAAACCCUAAGUGUGACUCCUCAUUUUGGAAAAGGUAAUCUACGAAAGACCGGAUCGGACUUGGGGGUCAGAUUACUUACCAGGAAGGUACGGUAAAGACCAUAGCACCCCUCUAAGUCCCUAAAGUCGGGUCUGUACUAAUAAAAUGAAGCUGACAUGUCAAUCAGUAGGAAAAUCAAUGGAUACUCAAAUUAAUCAUGCACAUAUGAGAAUCAAAACACUCAAUAAAGAAUGAUCGAAGUGGGAAUGGACAUACCUUGGCAUCAAACGAUCAAUGCGCUAUCAAGAGAGCGGGUUAGUGCAUAAUUAAGAAAUAAUCUCAUGCAUGUCAGAGACUAGGAUGUAUGAUAAUCCAAUCAAACAAUCAAUCAAUCAAUCAUAAAGUCACCCAUGUUAGGCCCCCACCAAAACAUGUUUAUUUAGUAUGACUUAAUGUCACAGAUUCCAUUAUUCUGGAAUUAUGAAAAAUUUAUUCAUGCUUAUUGAAAUCAAGAGGAGCAGAAGAUCGUUUGAAAACCAGAACGGAAUUAAAACUAUUCGAGAGAAAACUGGAUUUUUGGAAAUUUAUUUGAAAAAUUGGAAUCUCGAAGAUUACUGGAAAAUUGAAAUUUUAGAGUUUAUUUGAAGAUCAGACUUUUAGAGAUUAAAUGUGAGAAUGUGAAUUUUAGAAAUUAAAUUUGAACGAGAUUGGAAUUUUGAAAAUAAUUUGAGAGUUUGGGAUUUUAAACGAGUGGGUAAGUGGAUGAGUGAAUAAGUAAAGGAAUGAAAUAAUAACAAUGGUGAAAUAAUAAAGAUUAGGUAAAUAAUUACAAAAGAUGGAAUUUUAGAGAUUGAGGAUGUGAAUUUAAAGAUUGAAAACUUAAGAAUUUAUUUAGAGAUGAGAUCUUUGGUAUGUGAAUAACUAAAUAGGUAAAUGAAUGGGAUAACGUUAAUAACGAGAAUAAUCAUUAAACGACGGUAUACGAACAGUGAAGCUUUUGAGAUUGGAAAUUAGAUUUGGAAGUCGGGUUCUGAAGAAUUAAACUUUAGCGAUUAUAAUAAAUAAAUAAAUAUGGAAUAAUAAUGCUAAUUAACAAAAAUAAUACUUAAACGAAUAAUAAAAAAAUGCGCAGUGGGAUUUUUUAUAUUGAAAAUUAAAUUAGGAAGUUGGAUUCUUGAAAAAUUGGACUUUGAAUAAAUAAAUAAAUAUAGGAUGAUAAUUCUGUUUAAGGAAAAUAACAUUUAAACGAAUAAAAAAGAAUAGUGAAAUUUUUAGGGUUGAAAAUUAAGUUCAAUGAUUGAGAUUUUUUAAAAGAGAUAAACAAGUAUAGAGUUUUUAAUUGACGAAAAUAACAUUUAGACGAAUAAUGGAAUUUUUAGGAUUGAAAAAUUAAGUUAGGCCAUUGGAUUUUUUAAUGAUUAGACUUUGAAUGAAUAAAUAAAUAUGAGACAAUAAUUCUAAUUAACAAAAGUGUCAUUUAGGAGGAUAGUGGAAUUUUUAGGACUUGAAAAAUGAAAUUAGGGCAUUGGAUUUUUGAAGGAUUGGAUUUUAAAUAAAUAAACUAAUAUAGGAUAAUAAUACUAACUAACGAAAAUAACAUUUAAAAGAAGAAAAAAGAAUAGUGGAAUUUUUAUGAUUGAAAAUUAAAUUAGGACAUCGGAUUUUUGAAGGGUUGGAUUUUAAAUAAAUAAAUAAAUAUGGGAUACUAAUUCUAAUUAAAGAAAAUAACAUUUAGACGAAUAGUGAAACUUUUAGGAUUGAAAGUUAAAUUAUGACAUUGGAUUUUUAAUAAAUAAACUAAUAUAGGAUAAUAAUAUUAAUUAAUGAAAAUAACACUUAAACGAAUAAAAAAAGAAUAGUGGAAUUUUUAGGGUUGAAAAUUAAGUUAGGACAUCGGAUUUCUGAAGGGUUGGAUUUUAAAUAAGUAUAUAAAUAUGGGAUACUAAUUCGAAUUAAAGAAAAUAACAUUUAGACGAAUAGUAGAAUUUUUAGAAUUGAAAAAUUAAAUUAAAAUAUGGAAUUUUUGAAGGAUUAGACUUUAAAUAACUAGAUAAAUAUGGGAUUAUAAUUCUAAUUGAUGAAAAUAAGAUUUAGAUGAAUUGUAGAAUUUUUAGGAUUGAAAGAUUAAAUUAAAACAUGGAAUUUUUUAAGGAUUAGACUUUAAAUAACUAGAUAAAAACGAGAUUAUAAUUCUAAUUGAUGAAAAUAAGAUUUAAACGAAUUAUUAAAAAAAUUAAAUUAAGGCAUGAAGGUAAAUAUGGGAGGAUAAUUCUAAUUGAUGAAAAUAAGAUUUAAACGAAUUGUGAAAUUUUUAGAAUUGUAAAAUUAAAUUAAAACAUGGAAUUUUUGAAGGAUUAGACUUUAAAUAACUAGAUAAAUACGAGAUUAUAAUUCUAAUUGAUGAAAAUAAGAUUUAGAUGAAUUGUAAAAUUUUUAAGAUUGAAAGAUUAAAUUAAAACAUGAAAUUUUUGAAGGAUUAGACUUCAAAUAACUAGAUAAAUACGAGAUUAUAAUUCUAAUGGAUGAAAAUAAGAUUUAGAUGAAUUGUAGUAUUUUUAGGAUUGAAGGAUUAAAUUAAGACAUAGGAUUUUUGAAAAAUUACUUAAGGACCUUUGUUUUGAAAAUAGAAUGUAAAGUUUAGAAUGUAGUAAAUUUAUCGAGACCAACAUAAGUUAAUUUAUACAAAAAUUUUAUUUAUAUGGUGAUUAGACAUAACUAAAGAAGGGAGAGAUAAGAUAUGAAUUAUUUUAAAUUUUGAAAAGGAUAUUCAACAUGAAUAAUUUGUCUUUUAAUUGCCUUUAAGUUGAGUUAACUAAAUUGGUAAAAAUGAAAUAAGAUAAAAAAAAUAAAAAAUGGAUGAACAAAUUAAUAAAUUAAUAAAAAAUGGAUCUACUCAAAAGAUUUUUAUUAUUAAUAAAUUAAUAAAUUAAUAAACUUUGAAAGAAAUUAGAAUUGAAAAUUAUUUGAGAAGUAGAAACUAUGAAAAUUAAAUAAUAAAAAUUGGAAAUCUUGGAAAUCAUUCGAAGGAUAAAUGAAUAAAAUGAUAAUAAUAAUGAUAAUAAUAAGUAAGUAAUGAAAUAAAUGCGAGAAUUGGAAUAUUGGAAACUGAAAAUUAAGUUCAAAAAUUGGAAAAUUAGAAUUUCAGAAAAUUAAAUUUGAAAAUCGGAAUUUUGAAUAAUUAUUUAAAGACAGAAUAUUUUAAAUAAAUGAAUAAUUGAAUAAAUAAAUGAAUGGAAUAACGAAAAUAAUAACGAUUGGAUAAAUAAUUACGAAGAUGAGAAUUUUGAAAAUUGGAAAUUGAACUUAGGGAUUGAAAAUUUAAAGAAUUAUUUAGGGAUGAAAUUUUAAAUAAAUGAACAAGUGAAUGAAUAAAUGAAUAGAAUAACGAAAAUAAUAAAGGGGAUAAAUAAGUGUGAAAAGUAGAAUUUUAGAAAUUGGAAAUUGAAUUUAGGGAUUGGAAAUUUAAAGAAUUAUUUAAGGAUGAAAUUUUAAAUAAAUGAAUAAGUGAAUAAAUAAAUGAAUAGAAUAUUAAUAAUGAUGAAAUAACAUAGAUUAGGUAAAUAAUUGCGAAAAAUAGAAUUUUAGAGAUUGAAGAUUGAAUUUAGAGAUUGAAAAUUUGAGAAAUUAUUUAAAGAUGAGAUUUUAAAUAUAUGAAUAAGUGAAUAAAUAAAUGAAUGAGAUAAAAAUAAUAACAACAAAAAUAAUCAUUAAAUAACUGAAUGUGAAUAGUGGAAUUUUUAAGAUUGGAAAUUACAUUUGGAAAAAGGAAUUUUGAAAAAUUGAACUUUAAUGAUUGGAAUUUUUAAAAUAAAUAAAUAAAUGAAAUAGUAAUAAUAACAAUGAAAGUAAUAUUUAAACGAAUGAACGUAAAUAGUAGAAUUUUUGGAAAUUUGAAAAAUUGUUUAAAGAUAGAAUUUUUAGUUAAAAUAAAUAAACAAAUAAAUGGAAUAAUGAUAAUAAUAACGAAAAUAAUACUUAAAUGAAUGAACGUGAAUAGUGGAAUUUUCGAAAUUGGAAAUUAAAUUUGGAAGACAGAAUUUUGAAAAAUUGUUUAAAGAUGGAAUUUUUAAAAUAAAUAAAUAAAUGGAAUAAUAGUAAUAACGAGAAUUGAAUUUAGAAAUUGGAAAAUUGAAGAAUUAUUUAGAGAUGGAAUGUUGGGAAAUUAAAUUUCGAAAGUUGAAAAUCCGAAAAAUUAUUUUAAGGAUGGAAUGUCGGAAAAUUAAAAUUUGAAAACUGGAAACCGAAAAAUUAUUUUGAGGAUGGAAUGUCGGAAAAUUAAAUUUCAAAAACUGGAAACCCGAAAAAUUAAUUUUAAGGAUGAAAUGUCGGAAAAUUAAAUUUCGAAAACUGGAAACCCAAAAAGUUAUUUUGAGGAGGGAAUGUCGGAAAUUAAAUUUCGAAAAUUGGAAACCCGAAAAAUUAAUUUUAAGGAUGGAAUGUCGGAAAAUUAAAUUUCAAAAAUUGGAAACCUGAAAAAUUAUUUUAAGGAUGGAAUGUUGGAAAAUUAAAUUUCGAAAAUUGGAAACCCAAAAAAUUAUUUUGAGGAUGGAAUAUCGGAAAAUUAAAUUUCAAAAGUUGGAAACAAGAAAAAUUAUUUUAAGGAUGGAAUGUCGGAAAAUUAAAUUUCGAAAACUGGAAACCCGAAAAAUUAACUUUAAGGAUGAAAUAUCGAAAAAUUAAAUUUUGAAAACUAGAAACCCGAAAAGUUAUUUUGAGGAUGGAAUGUUGAAAAAUUAAAUUUCGAAAAUUGGAAACCCGAAAAAUUAAUUUUAAGGAUAGAAUGUCGAAAAAUUAAAUUUCGGAAAUUGGAAUCUUAAAAAAAAAGUGUUUUGAUAUCAAAAUGUGAAGAAAUAGUAAAAAGAAUUAUGGAUUGUGGUGAUCAUCAUGUGCACGUCUCCGGUAUAAUGGCUAUAAACCCAUUUUAUAUAUUCUUUUCCACCACCACCACCACCAUAACCAUUAAGAGCCAUGCAUGGAUAUCUAUCACUCCCACCACAAACCCAUUUUUAUUUUGCAUAUUCACCAUGACUUCCAGCUCAUAACCCAGCCGGCGCUGUAGAGACUUCUCAUUGCUCUGCCCGUUUGUUUCAUUUCCAUUGGUAAUACUUGAGUUUUCAUGCGCUGAAGGCUUGUGAGUUUCUAGCAACUCUUUUAGCCUCUUGGCGGCCAUAGUGGCUGAACCCGUGUGCGUACGAGCUCGGGAUAGAAUGGAUGAUGGGAAAACUGUGUGAGGGUUGCAUCCUCUAUCCUUACCAUGGCAUGCAGAGGCCGCCGAGUAUGGAAGGCACCAAGGUAGGCAGCAAGCAUGUGCGGGCUGCACAUUACAUGAGAAGGAACGGGAAGAAAUUCAAGUGAAUGAAGCAGUGAGAGUGACAGACUUGAAGGUCGAGCCAAAAAUGGGUAUUAGUGAGAAAAAUGAGUGAUGAGUAAGGGGUGUGAGAGAAAUUAGUUGGAUGGUAUGACGAAAGAUUUAAAGAGGAUGGUGAGAUGAAGGCAUGAGCUUGGUGGAUGGGUAAUGAUGCAUGGUGAGAGAAGUAGUUGUGACGGGUAUUGAAAAAUGGAAGUGGUGAGCAUGGACGGUGAUAGAUGUAGUUGGGGGGAUGGUUUGGCUUGAGAAAAUGGGCAGAAUAUGAAGGCGUUUGGCUUGGGAUUGGAAUUCGAUGGAGAAUGGAUUUUAUGGGAAAGGUUUGGGAAGGAUGCUAAUGGGUCGUGUACAUGAACUGCAGUCACGUGGGAGGAUAUGGAAUAGGCAAAUGUUAGGAACAGGGGAAGACCAGAAAAACAGAGCACAAGGGAUAGGAACAAAAUAAUCCCAUACAAGCCGCGUUUCAUAUCCGGAUCAAUGGGCUUAGGUGAGGGUGAGCGCAAUCAAACGAGUAUCAAAUGGAAGACAAAACAUGAUUGCAUGUAUUUUCAUGAGGAAGCUUAAACAGGACCAAGUUAACAUUCAACAAAAACCAAAUAAAUGAGGAACAUGAACAUGCUAUAAUUCCACAAAACCAACCUGAAGGUCAGCCAAAAUAUACCUGUAGCACUUGAUGUCUAUUCCCAAUCAACAAAUAGCACUCAACAAUCAGCAGAGAAAAGAAAAGAAAAGCAUGCCAGUUGGAAUGAGUUAGAAACCCAUAAUAAUCAUACCUGAAAAACAAUCCUCCCCAAGAAGCCGUGUCGGAUUUCUAGCUGUUCCACUAGUUCCCUCUUUUUCCCUCUAGCUGCCUUUUCCUCAAGUCACCUCAAAAUCACAACCCUCAAGCAACCUGCAACCCUUUCCUUUUUCAGAUUCUUCUUUUCUUUUCACUCUCAGCACCUACUAUAUCCUUCUUCCAUCGGCUUCCUCUGUUUCUCUCGAACAGCUCUAAGGAAAAAAAAAACUCCUCCCUCUUCCUUAGCUUCCCCUCCAAGCUAUACUCUAAAUAUCUCUUCUCUGUUUCCAUCUUCUCCCGCAAGCCACCACCUGCUCCACUGUGCACCAUUCCGCCAAUGCGUCACCCUCCAAACCACCACCAUGGGCGAGCCAUGCAGCUGGUUCUCAGCAUAAGGAGGUCCCCCUCCAAAAAUGCAAGGAAAAGAAAAGAAAACAACUCUGCUCGAGCCCUCACCACACGUCCCAUGCUUCUCGUGUGUCUCCAGAAAGAGGUCCCUCCCCCCUACUUCAAAAAAAUGAAAGAAUUCCACUCUCCCGAGUGGUCCUAAAAUAAAAGAAAAGCUAUCCAUUUUUUUGAGGGGUCUACAACUUUAUUAUUACAUUUUAUUUUUUGUUUGAUGCUUUAAAUAAUUUUUAUUAAAUAAAAUUAUAAUUAUAUUGGUGGAGGGCUAAUUAACUUUGUUUUUAAGCGAGAAAGACAGUGAUAAGGUUGAAGUGGGUUUAAAAAAAUGAAAUAAAAGAAUGAAAAAAAGAAAAAGAAAAAGAAGAUAGAGAUAAGAUUGAGGUGAGUCCGUAAUUAAAAAAAAAAUGAAGAGUAGGAGAAAAAGUGACAAAAGCUUUUGCUUUCUUCCAAAAAAGUAAAAACAAAGGUUAAUGACAUCAUGUUAUCAAACUCUAUACAAGACCCUACUUGAAUAUUUCUAUGAUAAAAUGAAAUCAUUUUUUUGAACCCAAAAAUCCAAAUCCAACUCAUUUAUCUAUAUACUUUAUUGGCAUGGAAUGGGAAAAGUUAUAAAGUGAAAGAAAAUUUGAUCAUAUGAGAGAUUUUCCAAAGUUGGAGCCAAUUCAAUGCUUAGUGGGUAUAACAAAAAAAAAAUGUGGAAAUUAAAGUGAAACAGCCAAAUUUUUAAGGUUUGAGGGGAUGUCACUGCACCUUCCAAAUAACUGUCUAAGAAUGUGAGAUGUCAUUGCAUUGAAAAUUGAUAUUAAAUCUCAUAAAGUAACUAUAAGAAUUGCUUUACUUAAGUAAUAAAUAUAUCUUGCUUUUUCAUAAAGUUUAUGACCCUAAGUGAAUAAAAUUUUUAGAGUGGGAUGAAUGCAUUUCACGUGAGUCAUGUCCUAGAUAUAUUUUUAGAAUUUUCUAGCAAGAUAUUAAGAGAAACUUUAUGGUGAGUGUUUUUUUUUCUAGUUAAGGUGGGUACAAUUCGAUGUCAUUCGUAAACAUAAUUCAAACCCAAUAUAUUUUUUAGGUGUUUGAAUUGAAUAGAUUUGUAUUUAAUUUAAAUUCAUGUGAAUAUAUAUAAUUCAUUUAAUAAAUAAAUUAUUUUUAAAUUAACUCAGAUAACCUACAUUUGACUCGAAUUAACUUAUUUAAAAAUGGUAUUGAUUAACCUAAUAAUAACUUUAAUUUAUUGAACUCAUAUUUAACUCAUUUAAGAUUUGUUUUUCAAGUAGUAUGCCAUAAUUGGGUUAUUAUAUAAUAUUAGAACAUUAAGGAUAUUAUUUCAUUCAACAUUUAACUUGAUUUGAUUAUUAAACAUUAUCUUAUUAUUAAAUUGGUUAAACAGGUUAUGAUGUAUCACCUGGUUAAUAAUUAUAUAGUGUUUGAGUUUAUAUUUUUAAUUCUGAUUGUUAUUUAUGUCAUGUUUGGAUUGAGUUGUUUCGUGGAGUAUCUAUACAAGACAAACACAAUCCACCAACAUAUUAAUAAAAAAUUACGAGAUAUUAGGAGAGUAAUUUUGGUAAAAGUUAAUAUUUAAUGAUUUAAGAUGAUUUUAAAUAAAAUUAUAUUUAAAUGGUCAAGUCAUAUCAAAUCAUUAACUUAAUUUAUCAAAAUCAUUUUUGAUUUUAUAUUAUAGUAUUAAGUUAUUUUAAUGAUCAUACUUAAUAUACUUAAGAACAUAAAUUUAGUCUUAUCAACAUUCUCUAAGGUCUUCUCAAUUUUUAAUAUUUAUUUGAUACAUAUUUAAAAGCAAACAAGUCAAAAUAUAUUAUCUCAAAAUUUCUAAUUCAUACUCGUACAAGAUUUUAAAAUUCAUUAAUUAAUUUGAAAGAAAUUUGUUUUGGAACAUGCAAGUGAUGGACAUAUCACAUAUCUUAAAUUUUUAACUAAAAAACCUCAUAACAAAAUAAUUUGAUGAAUGUUUUUAAGUUUAAAAAACUUAGAACCAUUUCACAAUGAUUUUGGGAAGUUAGAAAUGUUUCCAAAUGCUUGAAAAUGUUUUAAUAACGAAAAUUAAACAUUUGAUAAAAAUUAAAGUUCACAUUCUAAGUAAUUGAUAGUGCUUCUUAUAAUUUUUUCUUUCUUUUCAUUAUAUAUAUAUAUAUAUAUAUAUAUAUAUAUAUAUAUAUUAGACAUUGAAAAGGUUUCACCAAUUAAAUGGUGUCACAUAUACAUUUUUUGUAUAACAUGAAUUGAAAAAUUUUCAUCAAUUAGGUGGUGUCACACAUAUAUUUUUGUCUCAUAGUUAAUACCAUUGUACCUUGGCCACAUUUGUUUAUACCUUUGUUUAAUGAUUAAGAUCUCACUACAUAUAUUUAAUGGUUUACAUCUAGACUUCGUCAGGUACCACUACAAAACCUUAGUAUUAUAUAUACAUAUACAUCAUACUAACUAGUUUUUUUUUUUUUAUCAAAACACUUACAAUAGAAAUGCUACAAAUUAGAAGUGUUUUUAUCAAAAUAGUUUCCAAACCAACCAUAAUAUUUGCAUUAGCUUUAACAUAUAAUAUCUUUUACUUUAGUUGUUGAUAUAGCUACAUAUAAGACCAACCAUUCAUAUGAUAAUUAUUAUGGAUCUUAUUUUAAUUUGAUAAAAAUAUCUACCCAAGCAUUACGCAAAUAGGGAUGACAAUGGGGUGAAAUAUAGACAAGUCAUUCCUAUCCCAACCUCACUCCAUUUAUUCAAAAUAAUUCUCAUUCUCGUCUCAUUGAAGAAAUUAAAUGGAAUGAGGUAGGUAUGAGAAUUUCCUGUACCCACCCCACCUACCUCUUUUAAUUUCUUUUUGAAAAUUUUUAAUUUUUUUAAAAUUAUUUUUAAAUUUGUUUAAAUACAUUAAAAUAAAUAUAUUUUAUAAAUAAUUUAAAUUUUAAAAUUUUUUUAUAACUUAUUAUUAUUAUUUUAUUAUUAUUAUUAUUAUUAUUAUUAUUAUUAUUAUUAUUAUUAUCAUUAUCAUUAUUAAAAAUAGGAAAAUAACAAUUUAUAUCUAAUUGAGGCAGGACAAGGUAAUAUCUAAAUAUACCCCAAACUUGUCUCGAGUUUUAAAAAAAUUCUCAAAAAUGCUUUUAACUCGUUUAUUUAAAUUUCAAAUCCAUCCCAUUAGGGAUGGGGUGAAAACCCGUCUCAUUGUCAUCUCUAUAUGCAAGUCAUAAAUAUAUAAUAAGAAAAAUAAUAAUAAAAUUAGUAUCUAUUUAGAUAAACUUCUUGUUUUUUGUUUUUAAAAUCAGAAAAUAAUAAUAACUUUUAUAUAAGAUAUAAGGAUACUUAUAUUUAAAAAAAAAAUAGUUUUAAAAAUCAUUUAAAAAUUUAAGGUAUUAAAAAAAUUUUACUAAACCAAAUUUUAAAAAAUUUUAAUGUGAUUUUUAAACAUAUGACAUAAAUUUAUAUUUUUUUGUAUAACAUGUUCUACUUUCAUAUAGAAAUUCUAAUUUAAAAAAAAAAUAAUAGAUGUAUUAAAUGGACACUUUAGCUUCUUAUUUUUUUAGUGGUUCACCUUGCCCCUUAGAUAAGAAGAUUAUGAAAAUUUUCAAUAAUUAUGAAAAAGAUAAAAGUGAAAGACUUUUGACAAAAUUAUGUGUGAGAUGGUGUGCAUCAACCUUAAUUUGGACAAUUAUGUUAAUGGGAAGAUGUUAUCCUCAUCUCAAUCACUAGCUUUAAAUUGUAGUACUUAUUGUAUUUUGGAUAAUUAUGUUAACGGUCAUGUCAUCCUUGUCUCAACUCAUGUUGAUAAUUUAAGUUAUAAGUUAUAGUCACCAUGUCUUAUUUAAACUUUUAUACUAUUUUUUAUUAUUUUUAAAUAUAAAUCUUAUUAAAAUUAAUAUAAUUUAAGAGUUAAUAAAUUAAUUUUUAUGAAUUUUAUAUUAGCAUUGAUAAAAAUUAUAUUUUCAAUUUUAUUUUAAACAUGUUCAAAAGGGGGAAAACGAAAAAAGAAACUAAAUUAUUUUUAUUGAAUUUUAUAAAUAAAAAUGAUUUAAUUUUAAUUUUUAUUUAAUUUUAUAAAAAAAUUCUCAAAUAUAUCCCUAAUUUGUUUGAACUGGUCCUAAAUCCUUCAAUAGUUGUCAUCUCUAAUUUUGACCAUAUAAAAAUUAAACCAAAAUAUAAGAAGGUUGAGGAAUAUCAAAUAUAAAGAGAGGUUGAAAAAAUUUAUAAUGCUUAGAGGUUUUUUUCUUACAAAUAGAACUUGUUUGGUCAUGUGAUUUAAAAAUAGUGCAUUUUUUUUUUUUUAAAAUAAAAAACUGUUUUUAAAAUUUUCUAACAAUGUUUGACCAUUGUUAUCUGGAAGCAAUUUUUAAAAAUAAGGUGAAAUAAAGAACAAUUUUUCGAGAACAAAUAUAAAUUGUUUUUAUUGAUUUUUAAAAACAAAAGGAAAAUAUGAGCCCAUUUGACCAUAUUUUCUUAAACUUGUUUUUACACACUUUUUUUUUUUUAAAAAAAACUUUUUAGAUUAAAAACAUUUUUUAGAAUCACUACCAAAAUGAUUUUAAGUAUUAUCUCACUUCACCUCAUUUAUAUAUAAAAUUAAGUAAAAAUAAUUUAAUUUCCUUUUCCAUUUACCCUUUUUAAUCAUAUUUAAAAUAAAGUUACAAAUUUACUUUUUAUUAAGAUAGAAUAUAAAAUUUAUGAAAAAUAAUUUAUUUACUCAUAAAUUACAUUUAUUUUAAUAAAAAUUAAUAUUUUUUUUAAAAAAAAAAGCAAAAACAAAAGGUGAAUUGAAGUAGUAAAGCUCGUUCGUAAAAGAAAAUAAAGAGGAAAAUUAGAAAAUAAUAAUAAUAAUAAUAAUAAUAUAAAAUAAAUUUAAAUUCAUAAUUUAUUUUUAUAUUUUAUUUAAAUCUUAUUUUAUUUAUAAAGAUUAAAUGAAUCUAAAAAUACACAAACUUUUAAUUAAUUUUAAUUAUAUAUAACUUAAAGUAAAACUAAAUAUUUCAUUAACAUUUUUUCGUAAUACUCUUGAACAAUCAAACAUAACUUAAAGCACUAAAAAAGUAUUUAUAAAAAAUUUCAGUUUGAUUGUGAUAAAUGUUAAAUUAUUAAUUUUCUUAAAAGUUUAAACUUAUAAGAUUUGAGUUAGUCCCCUCCCUAACAUACGAUCUCAUUUCAUAGAAUUGCAAAUGACAAGACGGGAGAGAUACCAAAUAAUUGUUACAGCUUAUGAUGCAGAGCCAGGAGCCCCAGUUGGACCAGAGCAUCCAGAGAUUCCACAUCCAUAGCAUCUAAAGGAGUCACAGCUAGUUGAAAUACCUGCUGACAUGAGAGCACCUGCCUUUGAAGUGCCCUCUACAGGACUUAUGCUUGAGGUUGCACCCUCUGCUCCUCCUGCCACACCAGGGACUCCGCCAGUUGUACCAGCUACAUCAGAGCCUCCUCCUCCAUUUGAGUCUAGGAUAGCCAUAUCCAUUUCCAAGUUCAGAGGCCUAUGUCACACUUUGCAGACAUUGAUCACUUCUAGCUCAGAGCAUCCUGACUCAACAGAUGACAGCCAUACGUGCCCAUCAGGAUCAGCUUAUCGCCACCUAUACCCAGCAUACUGCCAUCCUUAGGCAGAUACAACAGCAUCUGGGAGGUACCACUUUCUCUCUAUAAUUUCAAUCGCUCUUGCCACAUUGAAGACAAUGUUUAGCUUGGUUGAGGGGAAGAGAGUUGAGGAAGGAAGUUUUUAUUUUAAAUGCUAAGUUAUUUUGGUAAUUUAGUUGUUAAUGCUUAAUUUUAAAAAAAAAUUCUAGUUUUUAUUCUACUCUCCAUGGUUAUUAAGGAAAAAUUCUCAAAAUAAAAUGAGAGAAAUUGAAUUUUUGUUUUUCACUUGACUUAGAGUUUGUAUUAUGCUUACUAAAGUUGAUAAAUUGUUGAAAUUUCUAUUGAAUUCAACCUUAGUUCUUCCACUUUAAGCUAUUCACACAUUGUGCAUAAUAGGUUCCAAGUAUAAGAUGAAAAACUAUUUCCCUCUUGACUUAGGAAAAUUUUAGACUUGGUACCUUUGACCUCAAUUAAUAGUGUUGGGACACCUUAUAAAAGGCCAAUGAGCCUUUGGAAAAAAAAGAAGAAAGAAAAAUGUUUGCUUACCUUGAAACUUGAGCAAGGUUUGAGGGAUAUAUGGUGAAAAUCUUUAAAACCUGGUGCCCUAAGCCUUAAUUGGUUGGAAGUUACCGACCUCAAUGCUCGUUACAAGGGUGAAUAGGUGGAGUUUAACAUACUGUAGGUGCUUGGGUAUUAAAAAUUCAUUCUCAAGUCUGGGGUAAAAUCCGAGGAGUUAGUGGUUGAAAGAUCCUUAAAGCUUGAUGCCCUAAACCUUAAUUGGUUGGGAGUCAUUGAUGGACCCCCAUUACAUGGAAAAUUUAGAAAAUGAUACCUUUAAGCCUUGUACUCUUACAAUGAAAAAAAUUCUGAAACAAAAGGGUGCGUUCUUAGCCUAUUGAAUUUUGUCAGUUUGCUAAGUGUUGAAAAAGAACUAGGUUGGGGGGAGAGAUUAGUUUAGCAUACUAUAUUCAGAAACUAUCAAGUAACACUUAGAUUUUUGUGGAAGAGUAAGGAUUGGACCUUUGAAAGUGGAAACAAUUUUAAAGCUUCAAUUUGCAUAAUGUCUUCUCUUUAUGAAUUGUGAUUAGGCAAGGUAUUUGAUAACUCUUGUUGAAAUUUGAGUUUUAUAUCUUUAAUGUUCCAUGUGAGAGUUAGAUCAUCAUGCCACUUAAAAUUUUUUUGAAGUGAUCAGUAUGAUUUUGUAAAUUAUAUUACUGUUUGUUUUACUUUUUCUCCCCUUCAUUGCUAAGGAACUAGCAAUAUGUCGGUUGUGGGGAGUGAUUACUACUCAAAAAGUGUUAUUUUGUAGCUUGUAAUUAACUCUUUUAAACAUCUUUGAAUAAUAGUUAUUACCUUUUAACUCAAUUGGCAUGUUAAGGACCCUUGUAAUCGUUUUUAAUCAAAUUGUGUUAAGUUUUGGUGUUUUUGAUAGUAUUUUGAUCACCAAAGCAAUCCAAGAUUGAGGAGAGUUAUAUAGAAUCCAUGUAAAAUCAAUUGAAAGCUCAUUUACAUGAAGAAUCCAAGCUUUGAAGCUUCAUAGUCAUUUGCCAAAAGCAAAUCAUGAAUACAAGGAGGGAAAGAAAAGAGAGAAAUCUAACAUGAAGAAUUCAAGAGGACAGAAACUGUUGGACAUAUUUAGAGCACUUUCUAGAGUCCAUUUCAUGCGUACUAUAUGUUGUUUCGAAGCUCAGGAAGUCAGGAAUCCAACGCUUUAAACAGUACAUGAAUUGGAGUUGAAAUGAAAAAGUUAUAGCCAUUGGAAGCCAAUCAUACCAAGCUAAAGGCCAAUUUCGCAGCUGCGAAAUCAACCUUUGGCUGCGAAAUCACAAGGUGCUCGCUGCGAAAUCAACAUUUGGCUACGAAAUGGAGACCUUCAGCUUGCGAAAUUUCACAGCCCAUCUUGCAUGCCUACGAAAUCCACCUGAGUGCUUCCAGAUAUUUGCGACCGACUCUUUUAGAUUUUUUCUUUAGAUAUUUGUUGUUUAAAUCCCCAUUUUCUCCUUGUAAUCCACCAAUCAUAGGAUUCCUUAGUUAAUAAGUAAGAAUAAAGGGUGAAUAACCUCAUAUAUAUAGUUUGUAAUUUUCUUUACAAAAUCGUCUUGGGAGCUUGUUCUCAGAGACAACCGUGUGUAUAGUUUUGAAGGAAGUAAUAUACAGAGCUUUGCUCUGCCUUACAUACUCACUUUGAUUGUAUUUUUCUUACUAGCCAAACAAGCUAUAAAGAUGUUUUCUCAGAGAAUGAGUGGCUAGACUUUUUGUCUCUUGGAGUUAAGGGAGCUGGGUAAGGUGCCGAAUGCAAGAAUUGGAAGUUUUGUUGUUUCAGCUGUUAAUGAAGAGAAAGUGUGACCCGUUAAUGGUUUUUAUCUUUUUAGUAAACUUAAAACGCCGUUAAAUCACCUAGGCCAACACUUGGUAAGACAAGUGAUCUCCGUCCAUUGAGAUACACUAGUUUAUCUCUUGCGAGCCUUUGGGAGGUGGUUUAAAGGUAGGAUUUUCUAGAAUGGCCAACACUUGGUAAACUUUUGGACUCUAAGAAGACAUCCAUUAGUUAUCUCUUGCGAGCUUGAGAAGGGAAAUCCAAGGUUAAGGAUCACCUUGAAUGACCAAUACUAGGUGAGAGGUAUGAACCAUUGCACGAUGAAUCAGUGAGAGGGAUUUAGUGUUGGAAUCCAUAAAAGGGAAACAUCUGUACCACACCGGUUAGAGAAAUAACUAUAUGUUAAUUCUCCAAUGCGAGGAAAAGAUUCAAGUGACCGAAACUCUGUUUUUGUAUUAGGAACCUAACCCCAGUGAUCCUAAAACUCCAAGAAACGCUUUUCUUUAUUAGUAAUUUUAGUUACUAUUAUUUUUUGUUAGCUUAAAACCAAUCAUUUUUCAACCAAAGAUUAUGUUUUCUUUUAAAGCUAACCUUGAAAUGAAAAAACAUCAAUUCAACUUUGAAUUAAUGUCAAUAGUAAGUUGAAAACCCUUCCCAGUGAACGAUCUUAGAGCCACUAUGCUAUACUAGCUGAGGCUAUCCUAGUACAUGGUGAUAUAGGUUAUAAAUUUUGUUGGUUACUCCUGUCUGAGGACCAAAAUCAAGGUACACCAGCUAGGCACGAAAGUCACAUGGUAUAUUGAUGCACACAGUUUGUGGCACGACAGUUUGAUGAAAUUAUAGAAGUGUAGCACUCAUGGGCAUAUCAUGUGAACCUUAUUCAAUGUGGCAUUGACAGUUGGUUUAUAUUUACAUGGGUGUAAUGUCGCACCAGUAUCCUCUAAUGAACCUUGGAUUCUUUUUUCUUUGUUUCUUCUUCUCUUGGUCAAGCCAAACAAUUUGUCUUCAUGACUUUCUCCUAUUACAAAAAAGCAGCAUCUUGUGUUCUCCAUCUCUUCAUCCCUUUGUCAAGACACAACAAUUUGAUGCAUCUUUGCAUUAGGUUGCUUUCUCUCCUUCCCCUCUUCUUUCUCUUCGUCUCAUUGCUUAGUUUUGGCUACUCUGUUUCUUUUGAUCAUUAUGGUAGAGCAUCCUUGCAAGAUGUACAAGAAAUAUGUUGUGGUGCAUUAUCCCCUUCUCUACCACUUGAAAUCUGUUUUCCAUGAUCAUUAAUACCAAGAUGUUUAAGCAUCAAGUAAGGCAUCUCUUGACAAUUAUGCGAGAAAUAAGAGACAAGCAACAUACCGGUAUUCAAGAGAAGUGAUGUUCUACAUUUACAUUUGACAACAUGCAUUUAGUUUGAACUCCAAAUUUGGGCAACUCAAAAUCUCCACCUUCAUUAGGAUUGCAGAAAGUUAGCUUCUUGGAAAAAUGUGGAAAUGAGGCAUUUAGAAAUUUGAAAGAAUCACAAUGGCUUGUUGCUACUUCUGAAUAAUUCCAAGCAGUAACAACUCCAAAGAUAUAUAUAUAUAAAUCUGUCCCUGGGAAAGAGAUCGAUGUUUCUUAGGCAUGCAACCAUCUCUCUUAACAAACUCAGGGUUCUACUAUUGUGUCACGUUUGAAAGCAAUUUAAUCUAUGUUAGAAGUUUUUUUUUAAAUUUAUUCCAUUUUUCUUUUAGUUUUGAAACUUACAAUUAUACAUUGUAAGGUUUCAAGUUUAUCUAGAGAUAUAAAAAGUUGGAGUCGAUGUCUUAGUGGUAGGUUUCAUAAGAAAUGUAGUUAUUCUAUGAAUAUAACUUUGGAUUCUAAUUUUUUAACUUUCUAAUAUUGUAGCUCUUUAGUAGGUCUCAUAGAAAAUGAAAGUUGUGGAAAAGUAUAAUAUGGACUCAAUUUUUUAUUUAUGAGGUGUUGUUACAACACCAUUAAGUAAUUACCUAAAAAUGAUAUGUCGUUGCAUUGAAAGUAAUAUUAAAUUUAAUGGAGAGAUAUCUAAAUAAAAAUAUCACCUAAUUUUUAAAACAAUAUUAUGAUCUUACUAUUAUGUCAUGCUAGAAAACAAUUUAGUUAUUUUGUGUUAGCAUUUUUUUUGUACAUUAUAUUUUUCUUUUUGUUUUGAAGCUUGCAAUUGCAAAUUGUAAGGUUUCAAGUUCUUUCGAAAAUAUGAAUAGUCGAAGUCAAUGUCUUAGUGAUAGCCAGUAGGUUUCAUAAGAAAAGGAAUUAUUCUAUGAAUAUACCUUUGAAUUCCAAUUUUUGAACUUUCUAAUAUCUUAGUUCAUAGUGGGUCCCAUAGAAAAUAAAAGUUGUGGAAAAGUAUAAUGUGGACUCAAUUUUGACUUAUGAAGUGAUGCUACAACACCUUCAAGUAAUUACAUUGAAAAUAAUAUUAAAUUUAAUGGAGAUAUAUCAAACAAAAUUANNNNNNNNNNNNNNNNNNNNNNNNNNNNNNNNNNNNNNNNNNNNNNNNNNNNNNNNNNNNNNNNNNNNNNNNNNNNNNNNNNNNNNNNNNNNNNNNNNNNNNNNNNNNNNNNNNNNNNNNNNNNNNNNNNNNNNNNNNNNNNNNNNNNNNNNNNNNNNNNNNNNNNNNNNNNNNNNNNNNNNNNNNNNNNNNNNNNNNNNNNNNNNNNNNNNNNNNNNNNNNNNNNNNNNNNNNNNNNNNNNNNNNNNNNNNNNNNNNNNNNNNNNNNNNNNNNNNNNNNNNNNNNNNNNNNNNNNNNNNNNNNNNNNNNNNNNNNNNNNNNNNNNNNNNNNNNNNNNNNNNNNNNNNNNNNNNNNNNNNNNNNNNNNNNNNNNNNNNNNNNNNNNNNNNNNNNNNNNNNNNNNNNNNNNNNNNNNNNNNNNNNNNNNNNNNNNNNNNNNNNNNNNNNNNNNNNNNNNNNNNNNNNNNNNNNNNNNNNNNNNNNNNNNNNNNNNNNNNNNNNNNNNNNNNNNNNNNNNNNNNNNNNNNNNNNNNNNNNNNNNNNNNNNNNNNNNNNNNNNNNNNNNNNNNNNNNNNNNNNNNNNNNNNNNNNNNNNNNNNNNNNNNNNNNNNNNNNNNNNNNNNNNNNNNNNNNNNNNNNNNNNNNNNNNNNNNNNNNNNNNNNNNNNNNNNNNNNNNNNNNNNNNNNNNNNNNNNNNNNNNNNNNNNNNNNNNNNNNNNNNNNNNNNNNNNNNNNNNNNNNNNNNNNNNNNNNNNNNNNNNNNNNNNNNNNNNNNNNNNNNNNNNNNNNNNNNNNNNNNNNNNNNNNNNNNNNNNNNNNNNNNNNNNNNNNNNNUCCCAAUCUUUCCCACUUCGUCCAAACUUUCCAAGAUCUAAACUUUGUACAUGUUCUCUUCUUUUCAAUUAAAAAUUUUUAAAUUUUCAAAUUCAAAUUCCAAGACAAGCUAAUAAAACCCUAAAAUUAAUAUUAAAUACUAAGUGAAUUAAGUCAAGUUGGUAGCUAAAUUGAAUCUAAUCCGAAUUACUUAACCUAAACUCAAGUCAAACUCAUUUUUAUAAGCUGAAGUUAGGUUUAAAUUAACUAGGUUAUACUUUUGGUUCAAUUGAAUUGAUUAGACUCUAUGGAUCAUAAUUAGGGUUUGCAAGGUUGAGUUAGAUUGAACCUAUUCAUAAUUUUUUUUUGUUUAACUUCUUUUAUAUCAUAAUUUAAAUAAUAAAUAUGAUAAUAUUAAUUAAAAAUAAUAACAAAAGAAAAGAAUCACCUUGGAAUCACUCUAAUUUCAAAUUGAGGUUUCCUACCUCAAAAUUUUAAAUUUAAAAAAAAAAAAAAUUUAAGUGCAUAAACUAAAUCUAUAGUUUUUUUUUCGUAGGACUUUUUAUAUUCCAUAUAAAAGUUUUUACAUAGAGACAAGUAAUAAAUAUAUCUUGUUUUUUCAAUAAGUUUAUGACCCUGAUUGGAUACAAACAUUAUAGUGGGACGAAUGCAUCUUCACUAGAGUUAUGUCUUGACUCCUAACAUAAUUUUAGAAUUUUUAAGGAAAACGACAAGGAAACCUUAUGAUAAGUGCCUUUUAUUUAGGUAUGGUGGGUAAAGUGAUACCAUUUGUUAGUUGUUUUAUUUAUUUAUUUAUUUUUUUUAUGGAUUUAAUUGAAUAUAAUUUGUGUUUGAUUCAAAUUUGAGAUGAUCUAUAUAAUUUAUUUAAUAAAUGAAUUGUCUUUUUGGUUAAUUUGCAUAAUACGACUCAAAUUGACUUAUUUAAUAAUUAUAUUGAUUGAUCAAAUUAUAUUUUUAACUUAUUUAACUCAUCUAAAAUUUGAUUUUUGAUAAGUCAUAAUUGAGUUAUAAACAUGUUAGGUUAGGACGUUAAUCAUAUAAUAUCAUACAAUAUUUAAUUUGAUUUGAUUAUUAAAUAUAAUGAAAAUUAUGAAAAUUUUCAUGGAUGAACUUCUCGUAUGAGAAAACUAUGAAAAAGAUAAAAAGUACUAGAGGUGGAAAAUAAGACUUUAGAAAAAAUUAUUAGUGUGAGAUAACAUACACCAACUUUAAAGUGUNNNNNNNNNNNNNNNNNNNNNNNNNNNNNNNNNNNNNNNNNNNNNNNNNNNNNNNNNNNNNNNNNNNNNNNNNNNNNNNNNNNNNNNNNNNNNNNNNNNNNNNNNNNNNNNNNNNNNNNNNNNNNNNNNNNNNNNNNNNNNNNNNNNNNNNNNNNNNNNNNNNNNNNNNNNNNNNNNNNNNNNNNNNNNNNNNNNNNNNNNNNNNNNNNNNNNNNNNNNNNNNNNNNNNNNNNNNNNNNNNNNNNNNNNNNNNNNNNNNNNNNNNNNNNNNNNNNNNNNNNNNNNNNNNNNNNNNNNNNNNNNNNNNNNNNNNNNNNNNNNNNNNNNNNNNNNNNNNNNNNNNNNNNNNNNNNNNNNNNNNNNNNNNNNNNNNNNNNNNNNNNNNNNNNNNNNNNNNNNNNNNNNNNNNNNNNNNNNNNNNNNUUUUCUAAAAAUUGUUAUUUAUUUAAUUUUAUUUUUAAAAAUUGUUUCAAGAGAACAACCAAAUGAGGUGUUAGAAAAUUUUUUAAACAGAUAUUUGUUUUAAAGAAACAGCUUUAUAUAAUUAUGUCUCAUCAUUAUACAUAAAUGAGGUGGAGCAGGACAAUACUCAACCUCCUACCAAAACCAAGCCGAGUUUAAAAAAGAAUACUUCAAUCCUUCCCUCAUAUUUUUUAAACCUCUCAUAAGCCCAUCCCUAGUUGUCAACUCUAACUUUUACUAUAAAAAUAAAUAAAUAAAUAAAUAAUCUUUCGUAUACCAUAAAAAAAAAAAGGAAACUGUAGUAUUAAAUAAACAUUCUUCUUUCAAGAAUCAUCUUCUUUUUUUAAUUAUAUAUCUUAUAACUACAAAUAUUUUCAAAUUACAUUUUUGGUUUGUUUCUAAACAUUUACCACUAUCAAUGGAAGCAUUACACGCUAAAAAUACAUUUAUGAGAAUUAAUUCCAUAAAUUCUAUUUAUCAAGUUUUUAUUUGCUUUUUUAUACUAUAAUCUUCAUAAUUGUGUGAUUCAUAUUUCUAAAGCAAACUAACAAACCUAUUACGUGUAAUCUAAUAAGUUACAUUUCUACAUUUUUUCAUCAUUACACACUUAUGUUCUCGAGAUAUAAUCUCUCAUUGCUAGGUUUCAUAAGAAAAUGAAUUAUUCUAUGAAAAUGACUUUGGAUUCCAAAAUUUGAACUUUGUAAUGCCUUAUCUCAGUGGUGGGUCUCAUAGAAAAUGAAAGUUGUGGAAAAAUAAAAUGUGCACAUAAUUUCUAAUAAACUUGGACUUUUGGCUUCAAGCACCCUUUAUAAUCUUCAAGAGAUACCCCACUCUUGAACAACCUCUCAAGUGAUACCCCACACUUGAGAAUCUUCCUCUCAAAGAUAUACAAAUAAUUGAUCUCACAAAAUCCUAGUACAAAAACUUUAAGCUCAAAUGAUACAAGAAAACUAGAAUUGAAAUGUACACUAAUGAUAUGCAAGUUUUAGAACAAUGGUGCACUCAAAACACUCUUCCAAGACUCAAAUAUAUUCAAGAAAGGUUUGGGAAGGUUUAGUUCCUGAACAAUGAAGAUUUGAAACCUUUUUAUAGAGGAAAAAAACCAAACAGCCAUUGGGGGUUUGACCAAUUGAGCUGGGGGUCGACCAGUUGACUAGCCGUUAGCAUUUAAUGCUUGGCAUGUGACCAUUAGACCUUAACUAGACCUUGAUCGGACCUCGACCGGUUGAGGUGUGGGUCGACUGGUUCCUCAUCCGGUUGAACAACCAUUCUAGAAGAGAGAAAAGGUUGUUUGCACCCGUCAAUCGGUUGAGCUAGCGGUUGACCGAUUAUUGUUCACACCCUUGACUAGUUGAACUGGGGGUCAACCUACUCCUAGACCGGUUGAGCUGGCGGUCGACCGGUUCCUCAUCCAGUUUAACCGAUUGAGCCGUUUUUGGCUCAAGAACCAACUUUUUCAACUUAAAACCUUUUAAACAAGUUUGAAAAACAUUUAACACAAGGUUUUAGUUGAAAACAUGAAAUCAUCCAAUUUUAAAAUAUUUAAAGCAAAACAACUCUUGGAUGAUUUUGGUGCAUAAGUAAAAAAUGUAAUACAUGAAAAUCCUAGUGCACCAACAACCUUACAAAGAGAUAUUAUAAAGCUUGAGUCUUGAAAAACACUUCUCUUUGAGGUGGUCUUCUUCUUCAUGAUUUCUUCUUGGCUUGAUUUGUCUUUGUGAUUGCCAAUUUGGAAAUCGUUUUGCCUAAUCACACUUAAAAUAUAAUUAUUAAUUCUAAACCUUUUUUUGUUAUCAUCAAAAUCGAGAUUAAUCAAAUAUUGGUUUCACAAAUAUAACAAACUAUAUAUAUAUAUCAAUUUAAAAAUAAAAAUAAAAAUAAAAUAUAUAUUUUUUACUUCUUAUAUAAUUUUUUAGAGUUUGUCUUAAUAUUUUAUUAUUUUUUACUUGAUCGAUAUUUUGUGUCAAAAUAUCCAUCAAUAUAUCUCCUAUAUAUUUGAUAUAUCCGUAAAAUCGAAGUACUGAUAUAUUUGUAAUUAUCGAUAUUUUCAUCAUUGAGUUCAUUGCAUGGUCUCUGUGUUCUAUUAUUUACUGGAAAUGCUUCUCAUUAUAUGUUUUCAAAUGUAUUGGUUUCUACUAACUAUGAUAUAUGCAAAGACGUUAGCUGAGGAGGCUUCUUGGAAGUUUGCAAAAGUGAAUGGGAUUGACAUGGUUACAAUACAUCCAAGGUGGGUGAUUGGUCGUCUCUUACAGCCUACUCUUAAUCUAAGUGUGGAGGAAGUUCUGAAGCUACUAAAAGGUACCCUUCAGCAAUUGAUGAGAAUCUCUAUUUUAUGUUGAUCUUUCUACUUCAAUAUCAAUUUAUACUCAUAAUAAGUAGAUAAAAUGCAAUUAAAAAAUCAACAUUAUUUUCUAUUUUUAAAUUAUAAAUAAAAAAAUUAUAUUAAUAAUUCAAAAACUAUUUUGGAAAAUACUUUCUAAAAAAAUGUUCAUAAAUAAAAAUUAUCUUUUACAUUUUAGAAGUAAAAAAUUUAAUGAUUAAAACACUAUUUAAAAUAAAUAUAUUCACUAUUUUCUUUUCUUUUAUACUAAAAAGUAUUUUAAUAUUUUUUUUACUAUUAUAAAAUAAAAGGUUUAAUUUUUUUUUGUUAAAUUUUCUUCCUUCCUUAUUUUAAUAACUUUUUGAAUAUGGCUUUUAGUAAUAAGUUAUAUAAAAUGUUGCUAAGGAUUUUCUUUUAAUGAUUUGAAUUAAUUGAAAAUUUAUCAAAAUAAGAAAAAGAAAAAGAAAGAAAGAUGAUGGAUGGAGAGUUUUUAUUUUAAAUAUUCAAUUAAAUUUUUUUCCUAUGACCAAAUUUUAGAAAUGAAUUAUAUUAAUACAGAGUAGAAAUUGAAAUUUUCUUAUAUAAAAUGGUUGAAAGAUAUAUUUACUCAUUUUAUAUGAAAAUAAGUAGUUAAAAAUUAUAUAGUUAUGUUUGACUUUGGUUUAAAAAUAUUUUUCUAGUUUUUAUUUUUUAAACUAAUUUUUAUUUUCUAUAUUGUCUCUUUUUAAAAAUACGUUUGAUUACAAAAUGAAAACUAUUUUUAAAAAUAAAAAUUAAAAGCCUUAUUUAGUUCUAUUGUUUUAUAAGAAAAUAAUAAAAAGAAUUAAAUUUCAUUUAUUGAUUCUUCUUUUUUAUUUUUUCUAUUAGUUGUUUUAAUAAUAAAAUAAAAAAUAUAUAAUAUGUUCAAAAUUAAACAAAGGAAUUGACCAAUUGUGUAAUUUUUUCACAAAAAUAUAAUAUAUUCACAAAAAAAAUCAAAUUUAAGUUUUUCGCAAUUUUCUCAACCAAACUACAGGAAUCAUGUUUAAUACACCUAUAGGCACGCAUUCACUACAUGAUAUGGAAUUUGCGUAAUUAUACAAGGGUAUUCACUAACUGUACAAGGGGUAUACAAGACUACCUUUUAUAAAAGAUUUCAAUUGAUUUUGAACCACCUUUUUAUUUUCCUUGUCACCCAAAGAUUGCAUACUCAUGUCAUGCACUUUAUUUAAUUUUUACAUGAAAAUUUCAAUACUUUCCCCAAUAUUGAUGUUUGGGGAAAAAAAAUUUGAUCCUGAAUGAUCUACCCUUUUCUCAAGUAAAUUAUUAGAAACAUGGUUGAUACACUUAUGUGGACACAUGACUUAGGAGGAAUAUGGAAUUUGUACCACUGUAUAAUGGUAUUACACUAACUGUACAAAGAAAAUGUACUAAGUGUACAAGGGUGCACAAGGCUACCUUUUGUGAAAGAUUUCAAUCAAUUAUGAACUAUUCCUUUAUUUUUCUUAUCACCGACGAAUUGUACACCUAUGUUAUGCACUUUAUUUAAUUCCCACAUGGAAAUUCCACUUACUUUCCCCAGUAACGAUGUUUGGGGAAAAAAAUUUGACUUAUGUCAUCCACUAUUUUCUUAACCAAACCAUUGGAAACAUGGUUAACAUACCUAUGUAAACACAUAAUUUAGGAGGGAUAUGAAAUUUGUGCCACUAUACAAAGGUGUUAUAUUAAUUGCACAAGUGAAAUGCACUAAGUGUACAAGAGUGUACAAAACUACCAUUUGUGAAAGAUUUCAAUCGAUUCUGAACCACUUCUUUAUUUUCCUUGUCACCCACGGAUUGUACACCUUAUGUCAUGCACUUUAUUUAAUUCCCACAUGAAAAUUCCAAUACUUUCCCCAGUAAUGAUGUUUGGGGAAAUUUUUUUAACCCUAAGUCAUCCAUUAUUUUCUCAAUUAAACCAUUGGAAACAUGGUUAAACACAUCUACGUGGACAUAUAACUUAGUAGAGAUAUGAAAUUUGUGUCAUUGUAUAAGAGUAUUAUACUAACUGUACAAAAGAAAUAUACUAAGUGAACAAGGGUGUACAAGAUUACCCUUUGUGAAAUAUUUCAAUUAAUUCUGAACAACUUUUUUAUUUUCCUUGUCACAUAAGGAUUGUACACUUAUGUCAGACACUUUAUUUAACUCCCAUAUCAAAAUUCCAAUACUUUCGCAAUAAUGAUGUUUAGGAAAAAAAAUUUGACCCUAAGUCAUCCACCAUUUUCUCAAUCAAACCAUUGAAAACAUGAUUAACAUACCUACAUAGACACAUAACUUAAGAGAGAUAUGUACUUUAUUUGCGUAACUGUACAAGGAUAUUAUACUAAUUGUACAAGGGAAAUGUGUCAAAUGUAUAAAACUCUUAAUAGGUUUGUAUGAUUUUUAAACAAUUUGGGCUUGACAUUAAGACGAUUAUCAAUAGUUUUUUUUUACCAAACUAUGUCAUUAAUACUUUCCCUACAAAAAUUAACACAUAGGAAAUAAAAUUAAAAUCAAUCAUGUUUGAAUUGUUCAUUAUAAGUAAACUAAAUGAAAUAUAUAUUUUUACUAUUUUGCCCUAAUAAACAUAAUUUUAUUGUUAUUAGUACAGAUUAAAAAAUCCUAUUUAAAUGGAAUUAAAAAUAAACAAAAAUGAUUUUUGUAACAUUUUUAUUUUUUAAAACCAUUAAUUUAAAUUAUGAAAUUAGUUUUAAAAUAAAUAAAGUUUAAGUGGUUAAAUCAUAUCAAAUCAUUAACUUGAUUUAUCAAAAUAAUUUUAUAUUUUAUAUUAUAAUAUUAAGUUAUUUUAUCAAAUAUACUUAAUAUACUUAACAACUUAAAUUUAUGUGGUGUUUGGUUUUUGGUUGAAUAAAAAAAAACCAAAAUAUGUGAUUUUUUUAUUUAAUUAAAAAUAAUCUAUUGAUGUCAACUGGCAUAACUAAAUUGAACAUAUUAAUUACAAGUUUACUUUAGUUAUGUUGAUUGACAUCAAUAUUAUUUUUAGCUUAAUAAAACAAAGUCAAUUUGAUUUUUUCUAUUCAACUAAAAAACAAAUACCGCCUUAAUCUUAUCAACAUCCUCUAAGUUCUUCUCAAAUUUUAAUAUUUAUUUGAUACAUAUUUAAUAAGAAACAAGUCAAAAUGUUUUAUCUCAAAAUUUCUAAUUCAAACUCCUACUAGAUUUAAAAUUCGUUAAUUAAUUUGAAACAAAUUUGUUUUGGAUAAUACAAUUGAUGGAGAUAGUACAUAUCUUAAAUUUCUAACUGAAAAAAGCCUCAUAACAAAAUAAUUUGAUGAAUAUUUUAAGUUUAAAAGAUUAGAACCAUUUCACAAUGAUUUUGGAAAGUUAGAAAUGUUUCCAAAUGCUUGAAAAUGUUUUUAUAACACAAACUAGACAUUUUAUAAAAACUAAAGUUCACAUUCUAUGUAAUUGAUAAUGCCUCACAUAAUUUUUUUUUUCUUUUGGUUAUACAUAUAUAUAGGGUGAACAUACUUUUUAAGUAGGUAUAAAAAAGUUCUACCAAUUAGGUGGGUGAGUAUAUAUUUUUAAGUUUCAUAAUUUGUGCCUUUGUACCUUCACUCUAUUUGUUUAUACCUUUGUUCAACAAUGUAAAUCACACCAUAUAUAUUCAAUGGUCAAAAUCUUAACUUCGGUUAAUAUCACUACACUAUCUUAGUAUUUUUUUUCUCUCUCUCUCUCUCUAUAUAUAACACUAACUACUUUUCUAUGAAAACAUUUACAAUAGAAAUGCUACAUAUUAGAAGUGUUUUUAUCAAAAUAAUUUCUAAACCAACCUUAAUAUUUGUAUUAGCUUUAGUUGAUAUGGCUACUUGAUAAACCCAACCAUUCAUAUGAUAAUUAUUCUAGAUCUUACUUUAAUUUGAUAAAAAUAUCCACCCAAGCAUCACACAAAUCAUAAAUAUACUCCAUGUCUAUUUGGAUAAACUUGUUGUUUUCUGUUGUUAUGUUUUUAAAAUAUGGAGGGAUAUAAGAAUUCUUAGAGAAUUAUAUUAAAAAUAAAAUAAUAGUUUUAAAAAUCAUUUAAAAAUUUAAGGUAUUAUACUAUUUUUUUAUUAUUUUUAAACUUAAAUUUUAUUCAAAUAAAUAUCAUUUAUGAGUCAAUAAAUUAGAUUUCGUAAAUUUAAUAUUUAGUAUUUAUAAAUAUAAAAUUUUCAAUUUUAUUUUAAACAUGUUCCAAAAGGGGGAAAACCAAAAAGGAAACUAAAUUAUUUUUAUUUAAUUUUAUAAAAAAAAUUCUCAAAUAUAUCCUUAAUUUGUUUAAACUUGUCCUAAAUCCAUCCAUAAUUGUCAUCUCUAAUUUUGACCAUAUAAAAAUUAAACCAAAAUAUAAAAAGGUUGAGGAACAUCAAAUAUAAAGAGAGGUUGAAAAAUUUUAUAAUGCUUGGAGGUAUUUUUCUUACAAACAGAGUCUGUUUGAUCGUAUGAUUUAAAAACGGUUUUCUGUUUUUAAAAAUAGAAAACUAUUUUUAAAAAUUUACAACACUGUUUGGCCAUUGUUAUCUGGAAGCAAUUUAUAAAAACAAAGUGAAAUAGAGAACAAUUUUUAGAGAACAAGUAUAAGUUGUUUUCAUCUGUUUUUAAAAACAAAAGGAAAAUAUGGGUCAAUUUGACCAUAUUUUCUUGAACUUGUUUUUUUUAAAAUAUUUUUUAGAUUAAAAAUGUUUUUUAAAAUCACUACCAAAAGGAUUUUAAGUAUUAUCUCAAUCCACCUCAUUUAUAUAUAAAAUUAAGUAAAAAUAAUUUACUUUCCUUUUCCAUUCCCCCUCUUUAAUCAUAUUUAAAAUAAAGUUACAAAUUUACUUUUUAUCAAGAUAGAAUAUAAAAUCUAUAAAAAUAAUUUAUUUAAUCAUAAAUUAUAUUUAUUUAAUAAAAAUUAAAUUUAAAAAUGAUAAAAAUAACAGAAAAUAUAUUUAAAUAAGAUAGGAUGACUAUAACUUCUAAAAAAAUUCCUUGACCCCAUCCUACUCUGGUACAGGUUUGGGUCGGAAUAAAAAUUUGUUGAAGUAAUCAAGAUGGGUUGGGAACUUGGGAUGAGGAUAUGACCCCUUUCACAUAAUUCGUCAAAAUUCAAUAAUUGCUAAACUUUAAAGUUGUUGCAUGCCAUCUCACAGCAAUAAUUUUGUAGGAGGUCUUUCCACCUCCACUUCUAUUUGCUUCAUUAAUUUGUUUACACAUUGCUUUGCUUUCUACCUCUCUCUCUCUCUCUCUCUCUCUCUCUCUCAACAAACCCCUCCUUACUUGUUUAAUCUCUUCCAAAAACAAAUAAAAACAAUUAAUUCUAACUAUUCAAAAGUUAAAAGUUAAUAUUAUAAAUGUAAACUUAAAUGCAAGCAUAUAAAAUAUAUAUCAUAUCAAACUCUAAAUCUAAAUCAUUAAUAUAUUUAUCAAGUCCAAAUUAUUAAAUAAAAAUAAAAAUAUAUAAAAUGGGGUAUAAAAAAAUAAAACUAAAGCAUACAACAAAAAAAUGAUAUUUAGGUACAAAUAAAUAAAAAUUGGAUAUAAAUUAAUAAAAUCUAAAUCAAAGUGUUAGAAAAUCAUGUACAUAGGAUUUCAUAAUUCUAGUUUAAUGAACCAAAAAUAGAUGUACAAAACUCAUCUUGAGAUAUUAUGAUAGAAAUCACCUUACAUAUAUUGUUUGCAACGCUGCAUCACUUUAGUAGCACCUUGUCACCUUGUAUCGGUAUUAACCCCUUGUAUCUUCCCUCUCUUUACUCUCUCAUUCUUAAUCUUUGUAUAAAUGAUAGGAAAUGAGAGAGGGACCAAGAGCUAAGGCCAUUUUCUUUAUUUGUACCUUUGUUUCCUUAGUUUCUUCCUCUCUUGGUCAAGCCAAACUGUUCGGUUUCUCCAUUUCUUCUUCACCCCACUGCAUUUUGGGUUCUCCCUAUAACGGAAGCAUCCUUAAAUCAAGAAAAUCCCUCAAAUCAAGCAACAAAAAUGACUAUAGAUUUUUAGCUUUCAUUCAAGGAUGUAACAAUCCUUAUUUUCCUUGUAAUCGAUAGCCUUAAUUCUAGGAAACUUACUUAGAAUUGCUCUUGUUAAUGUGUAUUUAUUUUUUCUCAUACAAUCUCUUGUUAUGGUGUAAUAUUUUUCAAACAGAGCAGUAAUACAUUAUUGAGAAAUUCUCAAACUCCAUCAUGGUAUUAGAGCAGCCUUCCUCUCACGAGAACUCGAUCCCCAAUUCUGAAAACACCCACCACCCGAUUUCCACUCCACCAUCCCCAACCAAUAUUCCUAUCAUUGCUCUCAACAUCUCUGCUCAAAUAAAUGAAAAACUCACACCAUCAACCUUCCCUCAAUGGCGUGCCCAGUUUGAAUCCCUCCUAAUUGGCUACAAUCUACUUGAUUAUGUCACGGGUGACAAUCCUCCUCCUCCUCCGAGUGAUUCCUCCGCUACCAAUCCAUAGAAUACCCACUGGAUAAGACAAGAUAAACUUAUCCCCAGUGCCAUUUUGGCAUCCACCACCUCCACAAUCACCCCAUUCAUUUCCGUUACACAAACAUCACAACAGGCAUGGCAAAAAUUGCAUACCAUGUAUGCGAGCAAAUCUCGUACUCGGGCCAUGCAAUUGAAGGAGGAACUCACAAUGAUUAAGAAAAGGAAUCAGACAGUUCAAGAAUACCUGCACAUUGUCAAGGCUCUUGUUGACAAAAUCUCCCUCAUCGAUCAUCUCAUUGCAGAUGAUGAUCUCACCUUGUACAUUCUCAAUGGACUGAGCAGUGAUUUUCGAGAAAUCGCGACACCUAUAUGAGAAAGGGAAAAACCACUCGCGUUUGAAGAAUUGCAUGAUCUGCUCGUAGGCCAUGAUGCCUACCUCCGACGCCUUGAAACCACCACACAACAACUGGUUGCAUCGGCCAACUACUCCAAUCGGCAUCCUGCUUCUUCAUCAGACGGCCAACACUCUAAAGCUAACUUCAAUGGGCAACACAAAUACACUCUAAAGUGCCAAAUCUAUGAUGAACUGGGCCACAUUGCAAGACAUUGUCCACGUCUGCGCUUUGUUGAGCCCACUGCCAAUUAUGUUGCCACUUCACCUGCAACAAACCCAAAAUGGCUUAUUGAUUCUGGAGCUUCACACAACAUUACUGGUGAUUUAGCCAAUUUAUCUAUUCACUUUGAGUACAACGACACUGAUGAAGUUGUCAUAGGUGACGGUUCAGGUUGCAUGUCUCACACGUUGGCUCAUUGGUUCUCAAAUCACCCACACACACUUUUCAUUUAAAUGAUACUCUUUAUGUUCCUAAUAUUCACAAAAAUCUCAUUUCUGUCCAUCACUCCACCACACAAAACAAUGUUUUUGUUGAAUUUCAUCCCUUGUUUUUCCUUGUUAAGGACAAGAUCAUGGGGGCGGUUCUACUCAAAGGUGCAUGUGAAAAUGGCGUUUACACUCUCCCAGAUUUACUGGUGCAAGAUUCUCAAAAAAUGGUUGCCAAUGUGCAUGAACGGACCUCAAUCAAUGGGUGGCACAAGCGUCUUGGACAUCCCUCUAAAAAAAUAGGUCAUCACCUUGUUAAGAAUUUUUAUCUUCCAAUAAUACAAAAAGAACAUAGUUCUCAUUUUUGUACCUCUUGUUCUAUUACUAAAGCGCACAAACAACCAUUUCGGACCAAUAGCCUUCAAAGCCAUGCACCUCUUGAUUUAAUUUAUACUGAUGUUUGGGGUCCCUCAAAUACAAUUGGUCUUGAUGGAUCACGGUAUUAUUUGAUUUUGGUUGAUCAUUUUACAAAGUAUAUUUGGUUUUAUCUAAUGGAAACCAAAUCUCAACUAAGCAUGAUAUUUCCUCAAUUUAAACAUCUCAUUGAAAAUCAAUUUCAAUCAAAAAUCAAAAGUAUCUACUCGAAUAAUGGUGGUGAAUUUGUUGCCUUAAAAAAAUAUUUUUCUAUACAUGGCAUAAGUCAUUACACCACAGCUCCUCACACACCACAACAAAAUGGUGUAUCCGAGCGUCGUCAUCAUCAUUUGGUAGAAACGGGUCUUACCCUUUUACAUGAUGCUUCUUUACCUUUAUCAUAUUGGCCUUAUGCCUUUUCAACGUCUACUUACCUCAUCAACAAACAACCAACCCCUCUCCUACAUAACAAACCCCCUUUUGAAGCAUUAUUUCAUCAGCCCCCCAACUAUCUUAAACUAAAAAAAUUUGGGCAUCUAUGUUUUCCUCUCACCAAGCCCUAUAACACACAUAAGUUGCAGCCCAAGGCAACACCAUGUUUGUUUGUGGGCUAUUCCCCAACCCAAAAUGCGUAUAAAUGUCUUGAUCCACAAGCCCAUAAACUAUAUUUAUCUAGGCACGUUCUGUUUGACGAAAGUCAAACCCAUCAUCUCCUCCGUUCAGUCGAAACACAGGUACCAUCCAUGUCCAUUUCGCUUGCCCCACCUGUGCCACUCACACUUUUGCCGCAACCACCGCCAGUGCCAACGAAAGGUAACGCCAUUUUCGCCUCAUCUCCAAGUAACUGCCUCGACUCAUCUUCUUCUCUUUUUCGAGACAUGCAAUCCCUAAAUUCAUGCCCUAAUUCCUCUCAAUCACAUGAACACUUGCAUUCUAACUCAAAUUCACACACCAAUCCACUCUCAGAACCCAUGGUUGUCCAUGAUCACCAUCACAGUGACCCUCCACUGCCUCCUUCUCACCGCAUCCACACCAUGACCACUCGGUCAAUGAAUAACAUUCAUAAGCCCAAACAGUUCAACUCUGUGACCAAACACCCACUCUCACCAAUCGUUGAACCAACAUGUGUGGGCCAAGCACUUCGUGAACCUCACUGGAGACAUUCUAUGUCAGAUGAACUUACUGCUCUCAUGCGUCAUGGCACUUGGGAUCUAGUUUCCUAGCCCAAAAAUUGUAAUCCUGUUGGGUGCAAAUGGGUAUUCCGUGUGAAAUGAAACUCGGAUGGUUCAAUUGACCGCUUCAAAGCUAGGCUUGUUGCUAAAGGAUUUAAUCAACGAGAAGGGUUAGAUUACAAAGAAACCUUCAACCCAGUUGUACAACAUGCAACAUUAGGACUGUCUUGACAGUGGCUGUAAUGCAGGGGUGGUCAUUAAGACAGUUAGAUGUUAACAACGCUUUUUUACAUGAUGACUUGACUGAGACUGUGUAUAUGACACAACCACUAGGAUUCAAAGAUGUCAACAAGCCAAAUCAUGUGUGUAGGUUAUGUAAGGCUAUCUAUGGCCUUAAACAUGCCCCAAGAGCUUGGUAUUCAACUCUUAAACUGACAAUUAUGGGUCAUGGUUUUUAAAAUUCCAAAGCUGACUCAUCUCUUUUUAUCUAUUGUUAGAACUCUGUCAUAUGCUAUAUUAUUAGUAUAUGUGGAUGAUUUGGUUAUCACCGACAAUAAUUUGUGCUUUGUGUCUGAGAUUGUUGCACAACUUGGUAAUUGGUUUUCCUUAAAGGACAUGGGACAACUCAACUUUUUCUUGGGAAUGGAGGUUAUUUCUACAAAAUCUGGGCUUUUUUUUUCUCAACAUAAAUAUAUUCGAGACCUAUUGUCCAAAACCAAUAUGAUUGGUGCUAAAGAUGUCUCAACCCCAUUGUCCACCACCACGUCCCUCAAAUUGAUUGAGGGUACUUCAUCUACCAACAGUAUAGAGUUUCGAAGUGUCAUUGGUGCUCUUCAAUACCUGUCCCUCACUAGACCGAAUAUCUCAUUCUCUGUAAAUAAACUUUCUCAGUUUAUGCAUAAGCCUACAGUGACACAUUGGACAGUUGCAAAGCAACUUCUUCGCUAUUUAAAGCACAUUAUGUUUCAUGGACUUCACAUAAAAAAAAAAAAAUCCAGCUUUGAACUCAUUACAUAUUCUGAUGCGGAUUAGGCGGGCAACUAUGAUGAUUGGACCUCCACCUCCGCAUAUAUCUCAUUUCUUGGUGUCAAUCCUAUCUGCUGGAGUUCAAAGAAGCAAAGGGCAGUGGCACGUUCAUCCACUAAAGCAGAAUAUAGAGCCCUUGCCAAUGCAGCCUCCGAGACAUCAUGGCUUCUCUCAUUAUUCAAGGAACUAGGUCUGCUUUUAUCUAGACAACCCAAGUUGCUCUGUGAUAAUUUGGGUGCAACUCACCUCAGUUUUAAUCUAGUCCAGCACUCUUGAAUGAAACACAUUCAGAUUGACCUUCAUUUUGUCUGAGAUAUGGUUCAAAGUGGCAUUCUAAAUGUUCAUCAUGUUAACACCUAGGACCAGUUGGCUGAUCUUCUCACAAAAGGCCUCUCACGCCAAAGGACAGAAAUUUCAAGGGACAAGAUUGGCUUAGCCGAUGGCAGCUCCAUCUUGCGGAGGCAUAUAAAGGAAGCAUCCUCAAAUCAAGAAAAUCCCUCAAAUCAAGCAACAAAAAUGACUGCAGAUUUUUAGCCUUCAUUCAAGGAUGUAACAGUCCUUAUUUUCCUUGUAACCGAUAACCUUAAUUCUAGGAAACUUACUUAGAAUAGCCCUUGUUAACGUGUAUUUAUUUUUUCUCAUACAAUAUCUUGUUAUGAUGUAAUAUUUUUCAAACAGAGCAGUAAUACAUUAUUGAGAAAUUCUCAAACUCCGUCACUUCCAUCUCUUUGUCCUCAAACAAUUAAGACACAAACUUUGAUGCAUCUCUGUCUUGGAUUCUUCCUGUCAAAAGGAACAGUUGAAGUACCUCCAUUGCUUCUCUAUUUCUUUGAGUCAAAGGACAAAGUCUGCCUUUCUCUGUUUCUUCUAAUCAUUUUCAAAAUGCAACAUUGUGAGAUCUACUAAUCCUAAACUUGUUUCUCAAAGAAUCAAAAUCAUAAAUACCAAGAUGUAUACACAUGCAGGUAACACGUCCUCUUGACAAUGAUGUGACAGGUGUAGUAGACAAGGAACAUACAUACCUGUAUUCCAAGGAAGUACCAGUGCAUUUGAUGACAUUGUUCUAGCCUAAAUUCUAAAUUUUAGCAAUCCGAAAUCUGUAACUUCUGCAAAAUUUACCUAGUUGUUGAGGGAACAACACAUCUUCUCUUACCAUUUUCAUCUUAUGCACUACAAAUCCCAUGUCAACUGCCACUUCCACUAGACCUGAAUGAAGUAGGAACACAAAUGAACAUUUCAAGGCAUCGGAUUGUCUGAAAAUUAAAUUGGGAGAGGUAGAACUACCGAUGCUUACAUGGAACUGAGGAAAAGACAAACAAGAUCAACAAAAAUGGAAGAGAAAAUGCAAAUCCAUAAGCCUGUAGCUGCUGUCCAAAGCAGCUUCCUUGUCAAUUGUCAACAAAAAGUCCACUAUGAAAUUCACUGGUAGAGCCACAUAUAGAAAAUUGUAAUAAAUGGUAAAGUAAGAAAUCUGCGCUGGGAAUGGGUGAAGCUUAUUGAAUGUAAGGUUCUAAACAGUCUCUGACUAAACACGGUUGAAGAAUAGGGUUUCACAGGAAUAAUUUUCUUUCAUUGAGAUUAUUCUUUUAUAGAGUUUACAACAUAUAGAAAUCCUUCAAAUUAGGAAACUAAAUCACUGAUUAAAAGGAAAGAAUAACUCCUAACAAUUACUUUCCUAAAAAUACAAAGAUUGACAACUAAUAAAUAAUUUACAGCUUUACAAAGUUAUUUAUUUCCAUAUCAGUUUCGGUUUUCCAACAAACACCAUUGGAGUAUAGAUAGUAGCUCUUAGAGAGAAGUGAGGUCUUGGUGACCCUGGAAGGUUAAGGCUUCCAGAUACUGGAAUCUUUGUGUGCAGACAUACAUGAGAGAGAUGUAGGAAGGAAGAGGCAAGCCUGUGUCAUCCGAGCAGAGGCAUCUGGAAUCUUUGUGUGCCAUUAUUCAAUCCAAAGAGAUGCUGGGAGAGAUUUGUUCAGGAUUUAUGUGAUGUACAGUCUUUUCACAAUCAUAAAUAGUAUUUAAGUAUGGAAUUUUGGAAUAAGGUGAUAUACCAGUAACAUGGAAAAUAAGGUGAUCACAAAGGACUACACAGUUAGCAUGUUUGGAAUAGUUGUGGUUGGUUAAUUUCAAGCCCAAGUUUUAGCACCUAAAAACAUGCCCAUUUUUUCCAGACCCUUUAGCAAGCCUGCACGGAAGCAUUCUCUGGUUGUUACAUACAUGGUGUCUACAUAUCAAUCAACACAUUUUGAUGUUUUUUUCUCAAAUUCCAUAUUAAAGUUAUACUGGACACUUGAAUGCGAACAUGUCUGAUUAUAUCUUUUCUUUCCAGACAUGUUUCAUCUCUCCAGUGCACUAGGUUUGGAUGAACCUUAAAGCUCAGCUACAGAAUGAAACUGGAAUAUUAGUCAUGUUUUCUGUACAUAGAUUGAUAAAAAUGUUGAGUAAGAUCAAGAAAGCUGUUAAAUGGGAAGAUGAUGAUUUUCUUACUGUCAGUUUGCAUUGAAAAAAUGGUAAUCAGAAAAGAUAUUUUGGAUAGGAUUCAGAAAGAAAAUAUAUUGAUUCAAAAGUUAGAGAUAUAGUACCCAAGGGGCUAUGAUCCUGUAUAUGGAUGUUUCAUGUUUUAAGAUUGUGCACGAAGUGCUGAUGUUAUAAGGGAUCAAGGGUGGUUUGUGGAGUAGUCCCCUCUUCAGAGUAUUGCAAGUAUAUAAUCCUACAAUUCUGGAGUAGGCUUCUUCUAAUUUGCUCUGCUCCCAAUCGUCCAGAAUAGUGGAAAGCUUCAUUCAGUUGUAAUAAUUUUAUUAUUUAGAUUGAAUCAUAUUCAUUGGGUUUGUAGAUCAAGAGAAAGUGUCAUGGCUUUGAAUGUUUGUCUCUUUGAUAAUAUCACAGUGCAUUGGUCCACAGAGAUGGAAGCAUGACAGUUGAAUGAAAUGACUGAAAUGUAGCAUUCAAGGGUAAAUUAUAUGAAAACUUUUAAAUAGAGCAACCUGUUUGACUUCACAUAGUGUGCUUGCAUCAGUUGUGGACGUCUAAUGGUUGGAAUAUCCUUGCACAUAUGUCGUCAUUUUCUUUUCUUCAGCUCUGUUUUCUUUGUUUCUCCCUUCCUCGGUCAAGCCAAACAGCUUGGUGAUUCUUCAUUUCUUCUUCAUCCCAUCAAGAGAACAGCAUCUCAUGCAUCUUUGUAUUGGGUUCCUCCCUCUUCUUCCACCCUAAGGAAAAACCGUAUCUUGCUUAGUUUGGACUUCUCUAUUUCUUUUGAUCAUUGUGAAAAGCAUCAUGAGAAGAGGUACAAUAAAUGUGUUGUGCUGAAUUAUUCAAAACAUUAUUUUCAUAAUCAUAAAUACCAAGGUGUUUAAGCAGCAGGUAAGGCAUCUCUUGACAAUGAGGUGAGAGGUAGAAACAAGCAACAUACCUGUAUUCAAGGGAAGUUCUGUUCUUCUUCUGAAAUUUGACAACAUUCAUUUAGUCUGAACUCAAUAUCUGGGCAACUCAGCAUCUCCACCUUCAUUAGGAUUGCAGGAAGCUGGCUUCUUGGAAAGACAUGAAACGGGGGCAUUUCAAAAUCUAAAAGAAUUUCAGAGACCUGUUGCAACUUUUGAAUUGCUCAAAUCAGUAACAACUCCAGAGAUAUAUACAUAUCUGCCCCUGGGAAAUUGAGGUGUCCUAGGCAUGCAACCAUGGAAUAUUAGCUCCCUAAUAGGCUCAAGGUUGUGAUCAUAAAAAAUGCACUGAGUGGGUGACUUGCAAUCGGUUCUGUGAGUCCCUCUUGGUAGCUUCUCAUUUAUUGCACCAUAUGAAUUGCAGAUUCCAACUGCCAAUUUCACCACCCCUAAAUGAACUAGGAGACAUGCUGAAAGCAAAGUUAGACAACUCAUCAUAGAGUUAAUCCUGCAGGAAUACACCAAAAAGGAAAUCUUAUAAUAUAAAUGAAUUCAUCCAAUUAAAGGAUAAGGUUGCCUGAAAAAUUAAAUUGAGAGAGAUGGAUAUAGUGAUGCUUACAUGGGAUUGUGGGAAGGAUCAACAAGAGAAACAAACAUUGAAUAGCAAAUGCAAAGCCAUAGAGCUUGCAACUGCUGUCAAAAGCUGCUCCCUAGUGAAGUCUUUUAACAAUAAAUUUCAGUGCAAAAUUCGCCUAAUUGCUCCACUUGUAGGACAUUUCAAUAGUAUGAAAACAGGAUAUGGUGAACUCCCCCUGCUUCUGCCAUUAGUGAACUAAUAUGGAUCAAAGAUGAAUCUCGUCAUCUACAUCUAUUUUUACAUAGGAGAUGUGGGCAAUCUUGGGCCAAUAUCUCAUCAUUGGAUUUAGUAGUUGUCUCUGAUUUAUGGUUCUAAAAGCAUGGCAGGAUCACUUGCCAAAUACUACUAGAGCUUAGGUGAUGUCUCAAUGUGGGGAAGCCAAGGAUACCAGAUUCUGGAAUCUUUACAUGAAAAUAUACCACCAACGAUGAAUUGUCUGAGAGUGGUGAGUCUGUGAGGGCCCCACUGGGACCUGGGGUGUUUCUCACAUUCUUUCAAUCUUCAAUUUGAAGUAGCCACUUGAGCAAUUGUACCUCCAGGAAUGAGUCAUUUUGGGGCAGAUUGUUUUCAUUUUCCUUCACACCAUUGUUUCACUAUAGGGCACUAAAUGAUAUGUAGUUGCAAGACGAAUAGAGGCAGCCAUUAAUGAAAGCUUAUGGAAAUUCAAGACAAACAGAUCUUCAUGGAGAUAUGAGGUUUUGAAAUCCAAUAAAGGUUUGAAAAUCCAAACACGAGUUAUCCAAUGUACCCAUUGGUAACAGAGUUGGGCAGUGUUGUUCCUUCUACCCUUGGAAAAGGACAUCACAUAAGAAAUUCCACUAGUAAUGGGGGGCUUAAGUGAUGUGUUGGGGCUUGGGCAAUGCUGUAUCUUAAGAUAUUCAAGAGAUGUGUGAUCAUGCAUCAACCCUAAUUCUGCUAGCAUAAUCUGGUUUUCAGUCACAAAUAUGUAGUUAAAAUGUAUGGCAGGUCAUGCAUGCAUCUCUUGAAUUGUCAUGAGAAGUGGAGAUUGAGCAACAUACAUGAUUCAAGGGAUGUGCAACUGUUCUUGUGCAUCAAACAAUCUUCAUCUGAUACAAAGCUUAGAUUUUUAGCAACUUGUGAUCUCCACAUUUUAACACAUUGGAGGAAGUUGGCCUAUUCAACAAACAAGACAGAACAUUUAGAAAAAUGCAAGAAUUCCAGACAUGUGUUGUUGUCAUGAAUUAUUCCAAUCAGUAAGGAAUCAAAGUGCUAUAAUUUUGAUUUGUGUAACUACUUAGCAUGGAUAACAGACCUAUCUUGGGGAAGUAACUCAAGUCCCAAGCACCAACUCAAUCCUGAGCUCUCUGGGAUACUUGAGGCACCAACUUAAUCAAAGCUACUUCUUGUUUCUAUGGCAGCUCAUCUUCCUCCACUGAUACUGGGGAAAAUGCAAAACAAAGGGAAAUGAAGUCAUGUUGUGAUCCUGUCUCCAAUCUCCUUGACAUAGAUAGAUGAUUUCCUUGCAACCGACAAUGUCUAAUGCUUUCACUUCAGUUCUAACAUGUGUUUUGGGAAGAGAAUUAAGCUUUCAAAUAUUGCCAAUAUGCAAGGAAUUGAGAAAGGCCAGGUGGGCAACUGCCACAGUUAGUUCACAAACCAAUGGCAACAUUGGAAGUGGAACAUGACACAAAAACUUCAAAAGACAAAACCUGUUUUUCACAAUCAUAAAUACCGAGGUGUUUAAGCACAAGGUAAUGCAUCUAUUGACAAUGAUGUGUGACGUGGAGACAAGCAACAUACCUGUAUUCAAGAUAAAUGGUAUUCUUCUUUUGCAUUGACAACAUGCAUCUAGUCUAGGCCCCAAGUUUUUAGCAACUCCAGAUCUCCACCUUCAUUAGGAUUACAGGAAGCUAACCACUUGGAAAGACAUGAGAGUAACAUUUAGAAAUCUGAAAGGAUUCUAGAGAGCUGCUGCAACUGUUGAAUCAUUCUAAUCAGUAACAACAAGGAGCCCUAUAUACAAUUUUGAACUGUCAGCCUUCAUAGCAUGAAUGAUAAACUUGUCCCUAGGAAUGAUAUGUGCCUUGGGCAUGCAACCUUCAAUUAUUAGUUAGAGUUACCCCCACCUAAUCCAUCUCAAUGUGUCUGGGAAAACGAGGUCCACCAGAUGUUGUGGCCAUUAUCUCAUGGUAGUGGAUGUUUUGAAGCAAAGUCUAAAACGAAGUCAUCACUGGAGGUUAUGUCCAUUAUCCCAUUGCAGCAGAUGUUUAGCACCAGAGUUUAAAACCAAGUCAUUGACAAAGGCCAUAGUGAUGUCAUUGAUUUUAUUCUAAACUUAUCAAAAACAAUAUGAGAUUCACUUUGAUUUCAAGUUAUGCAAGAUCUAUAUGAGCUCAAUUGUUUUGAAACUUGAUUGAUGUUUCGUUGGUCAGGUCUUCUUUAGACAUGAACCUAUUUUUUGUGCUUAACUUGAAGAAGCUGCCAAUAAGACUGAAUAGUCACAUAUCACUCAGAGAGUUGAGAAUAACACAACUCUUUCGUUUUUUUUUUAGGACUGGUUUGUCAUCAAGUAUUUUGCUCGGUUGUUGUGAUGGUUUGAAAUUUCUAUCUGAUGACUAUAACCUAUAUAAACAACAACUUGUAUUCUCUUAUCUUGAGCAUUAUUUUGCAAAAAAGAUUUUUAUGAGCACUUCUAUUUGGAUGUCUUUCUAACAGUCGUUAGUAUUCAAUAAAAAUGACCUUUACUAAACCUGCAGAUUUUUUCAGGUGAUAUUUUUUUUUUACAAUAAGGAAGGGAGGCAUUUUUAUUGGUAGCAUAUCCUGAUUCAUAGAGUAUAAACCCUUGCAAAUUGAAAGAAAGACAAUUUACAUAUCAUUAAAGGGUGAUCUGUAAGCACUCUUAUAGGCCUACAUCUUCCUCAUUUGGAUAAGCGUUUACUUGUUUUUAAUCUGUUUUUUAGGAAGACAGUUAAUGAGAUUUUGCCAACCAAAAACAGAGGUUUGUUAGCCCUCCUACCCUCUGGCUGGUUCUCUUGCAUAUGCUUGAAGAAUAUUGGAAACCAAUUAAUUAGUCAUUGCAGUUUCAUAGUCUUACAAGAAAUCUUGUUAUGGUGGCAAGAGAACAGACUGCAACAUAGUCUCAUUCCCCUUCAUGAUUUAGACAUUGUAAAGAUCAAAAACCUAUUCCUGGUAAUAUAAGAAGAAGAGCAGCCAAAGAAAAGGAACAAAAUGUAUAGGAACCUUAUGGACUUGAAUAGUUGGUAUUCAGGUGGCAAAAAUACACAAAAAUGCACUUAACAAACUACUAAUCAGCAGGCCAAGAUUCUACUUCCAAGAGACAGGUUUGUCAUCCAUGUCAAGAAGGCUCGCACUUCAUUUUUGUGGGACUUUGAUAUCAACAAAUUUAUGGAAUUCUUUCAGGUUUCUAAAUGGAAUGGUUCAAGUCAUCAACACAUUCCCAGAAUUCUUUCGUAAAUGUCAUCAUCCUGGCUAGCUUUCUUCAGUGUUGAAAGAGGGGGUGAUACCAUGUUGCUAAAAAUUGCAGUCUAUAUGUACUAGAUGGACAAGAACUACAACACUUGUAUUAGAAACAUCUCUGUUGCCUGGAUUGGUAUUACUUGCCAUAAUUAAGCACCUUUUUAUUAUUGUAGCAGAGUGUUUCAAAGUCACCCAUACUUAAUCCAUCUUCAUGUCUCUCAAACAACUAGGUCCAUUAGUAGCAAAAGAAGAGCAAUUUGAAUAGCUGGUCAUUUCCUUUUAUAAUUUAGGGAUAAAGGUCAAAAACUACAACACUUGAAUAGCUGGUAUUAAGAUGGACAAGAACUACAACACUUCUCUCAUAAACAUGUAUGUUCUUUCUUCAACUCUUACUCUAUUGCCUGGAGUUGCAUUACCUGCCAUGAUUAAUCGCCUCCUAUUUAUUCUUGUGGAGAAACAGGUUUUGGUGUAUGUAGAGACUACAGUUGCUGCACCUCUUGAUUUUCAAGACCACCCAGUCUCUCCUCAAGCAUCUGGAAUUGUCAAGCUGAUUUAUGGCUAACCUUCCAAGGACCUUAGGGGUUUCAUACAGGGUAGAUCUAGUGCAAGAGAUUCAGAAUUAUCUCUACAUAAUCCACCUCCAUUUCUUUAGAACAACUAAAUGCUAUGGCCAAAAUCUCACUUAAGGCGUCAGGUUCAUGUUGGGGCUCAUUCACAAGAUUAAGAUGAAUAUAGCAGGGGAUGUUCCUGAUCUACCACCAGCCAUGUUGUCCAGUUGUUCAAUGCCCCUGUGUUGACUAUGGCCACAGUCACAGUUGUGUCCUUUCCCCAAAGAAAUGUCAUUUUGAAAUUUUUAAUGUCAACAACAGAACUUUCAUGUUUCUACAUUCAGGUACCCACAAAAAAUUGAGUCCAUGUUAGCAUCCAAUGAUGGAAAGUAAUAAUCUAAACAAUGGAACAAGGGCUCUCCUUGCUCUUUUUUAGAAGAACACUAGUUUAUUUCCAAUCAAUUGAGGAGGAAACUAAUUCUAAACACGGAAGCCAGGUACUUGAUUUCUGUUUGAUUGGUGGAACAACUGAAACAUAUUUACAGAUUUAACAUUAGAUAAGUUUAACAAAAUCACUAAUUAACUCCCAAACCUCUCCCCCCACCCACCACAACGGAAAGAAAAAACGUUUUGGGAUCCUAGUAGCUUUAUGUUACAAGAUUCUGAUCAACAUAUGGUGCAGAGUAUUAUGUUGGUCCAGUUCCUCUACUCUGCAUUGCAACAAAGUAUAAGUGGGUUUUCUCUUUUCUUCAUCUUCAAAUGAAACAACCCUUCUCAAUAAAAGAAUACAAGAAAUUGAAAGCUAAGACCGUUUCCUUUCAUUGUACUUUGUUUCCUCUGCUCCUUCCUCUCUUGGUCAAGCCAAACAGUCCAUGGUUUGUCCAUUUCUUCUUCAUCCCACAUCAAAAAGCAGUGUGUUGGGUUAUCCCAUCUCUUUAUCCCCUUGUCAAGACACAGAAUUUAAUGCAUUGCUAUCUUUGAUUCCUCCUAGUUAAAAGGAAGCUUGAAAUAUCUCCAUUGCUUCUCUGUUUCUUUGAGCCAAAGGAUAGAAUACUGCUUUUCUCUGUUUCUUUGAGGUGCAAGAGGUUUGUACAGAACUUAGGUGAGGUAACUAUUGGUCAGGGAGGUAAGCAGAUCUGAAACAUUUUCUUGACUUCCAACGGAAUAUCCUUGCACAUAUGUUACCAUUUUCUUUUCUUCAACUCUGUUUUCUUUGUUUCUUCCUUUCUUGGUCAAGCUAAACAAUCUGGUGAUUCUUCUUUUGUUCUUCAUCCCAUCAGGAGGCAGCAUCUCAUGCAUCUUUGCCUUGGGGUCCUCCCUCUCCUUCCAGCCUACGGAAAAAUAAUACCAUUGCUAAGUUUGGACUUCUCUGUUUUUUUUUUUAUCAUUUUGAAAAGCAUCAUGGGAAGAUGUACAAAAAAUGUGUUGUGCUGAAUUAUCCCCUUCUCUACUAACCAAAACAUGUUCUUUCACAAUCAAAUAUCAACGUGUUUAAGCAGUCGGUGAGGCAUAUCUUGACAAUGAGGUGAGAGGUAGAAACAAGAAACAUACUCGUAUUCAAGAGAAGCGUUGUUUCUUCAUUUGCAUUAGACAACAUUCAUUUAGUCUCAACUUGAAAGUGGAUUGCUAGAAUCUGAGCUCUUGCAAAGACACAAAAGUACAUUUAGAAAUCUAAAAGAAGCCCAGAGACCAGUUGCUACUUGUGAAUCACUGUAAUCAGAAACAAUUCCAAAUAAUCCUGCAAAUCUAAACCUUUGAUUUGCUCCGUUCCCUUUUGCCAAGAAUAGUUCUAAAACGUUUUUCUUUAUUGAGUUGUAAUCAUUUUAUUAUUUGGAUUUAAUUGUAUUCAUUAGGUUUACAAAUCACAAAAACGGUGUCGUGCUUAUGAAUAUCUUCCUCUUUGAUCAUGUAAAAUUGGGAAACAGAUAUGGAUUACUAUUAUGAUAGCAUAGUGUAUUGAUCCACACAGUUUGUGGCAUGAUAGUUUAAGGAAAUUACAGAAGUGUAGCACUGAUGGGCAUGUCAUGUGAACAUUUUUCAAUGGAGCUACUUGUCCAAAUUUACAUGGGUGAAUUGUCACACCAAUGUCCUCUGAUGAACCUUAGGUUCUAUUUUCUAUUUCUUCCUCUCUUGGUCAAGCCAAACAAUUUGUCUUCAUGAGGACUUCAUAUUACCAAUAAGCAGCAUCUUGUGUUCUCCUUCUCUUCAUCCCCUUGUCAAGACAGCAAUUUGAUGCAUCUUUCCAUUGGAUUGCGUCCUCUCUGCUCCCUCUCCUUCCUCCUUGAGGCAAAACCAUAUCAUUGCUUAGUUUUGACUAUGUUCUUUUGAUCAUUGUGAGAGAGCAUCAUUGUAAGAUGUACAAGAAAUGUGUUGUGGUGCAUUAUCCCCUUCUCCACCACCUAAAAUAUGUUUUACAUGAUCAUAAGGACCAAGGUGUUUUAAGCAUCAGGUAAGGAAUUUGUUGACAAUGAUGUGAGAGAUAGAAACAAGCAACAUACCGAUAUUCAAAAGACAUGAUGUUCUUCUUUUGCAUUUGACAACAUUCAUUUAGUCUGAACUCCACAUUUGAGCAACUCAAAAUCUUCACCUUCAUUAGGAUUGCAGGAAGUUGGCUUCUUGGAAAGACAUGGAAAGGGAGCAUCUAGAAAUCUGAAAGAAUUCCAGAGGCUUGUUGCUACUUUUGAAUCAUUCCAAUCAAUAGUAACUCCAAAAGAUGUAUACAAAUCUAUCCCUGGAAAAGAGAUGUGUCCUGUGCAUAUGCAACCGUCUCUCUAAUAGACUCGAGAUUGUGCACCCUCAUGGUGGUUUCGUAUAGAUUGCACCAUAUGAAUUGUAGAUAUCCAACUACCAAUAUCACUACACCUGAAUGAACUAGGAGUUAUGCUGAAAGUGAAUUUGGACAACCCAUCAUCGAAAGAAUCCUGUAGGAAUACACCAAAAAGAAAAUCUUUUUAACAUAAAUGAAUUCAUCCCGUUAAAGGAUAAAGGUGCCGAAAAAAUUGAAUUGGGAGAGAUAGAAAUAUUGAUGCUUGCAUGGGACUGUGAGAGGGACCAACAAGUGGAACAAACAUUGAAUAGUAAAUGUAAAACCAUAAAGCUUGUAACUGUUGUCAAAAGUUGCUCUCUACUGAAGUUUUUUAACAAUAAAGGUAAGUGCAAAAUUCACCUAAUAGCUCCACUUGUAGAAAAUUUCAAUGGUGUGAAACUAGGAUAUGGUGAACUUGCUUCCGCUAUUGCAGUGAACCAUUAUGGAUCAAAAAUGAAUCUCACCAUCGAUUUUCACAUAGGUGGGCUAUCUUUGGCCCAUAUCUCAAUAUUGAAUUUAGGAGUUCUGUCUCUCAUAUAUGGUUCCACUUGCAAAAUACAAAUGGAGCUUAGCUGAUGACAACACAUUUAGAAAAAUGCAAGAAUUCCAAAGACAUGUUUUGUGCUAUCAUGAAUCAUUCCAAUCAAUAAGGAAUCAAAGUGCUAUAAUUUUGAAUUGUCUUAGGGAACAUACCCCAAUUCAAUCUUGCGGAAGUAAACUGUCUUGAGCACCAACUCAAUUCUGAGUUCUUUGGAAGACUUGAGACACCAAUUCAAUCAAAACUGCUAGUUGUUUUUGUGGUAGAUUGUCUUCCUCCACUGAUACUGGGGAACCCCAAAGCCCUAUAUACAAUUUUGAACUGUCAGCCUUCUUACCUUGAAUGAAAAACCUAUCCAUAGGAAAGAGGUGUCUUGGGCAUGCAACCAUCAAUUAUUAGCUAUCGAAAAGGCUUGAAGUUGUGCACCCACUUGGUAGCUUCUAAUUCAUUAAACCAUAUAACUUCUAGAUAUCCAAUUGGCACGUUACUACACCUGAAUGAAAGUGAAUAGGAAGUUAGACAACCUUUCACAAAAAGAAUCCUGUAAGAAUACACCAAACAGAACUUCUUGUUAACAUAAAUGAAUUCACUCAGUUAAAUUAUUGUGUGAAAAUUUAAAUUGGGAUAAAUAAAAAUAUCGAUGCUUACAUGGGACUGUGGGAGGACCAACAAGAGGAACAACCUUUGAAUAGCAAAUGUGAAGCCAUAAAGCUUGUAACUGCUGUCAAGACGUUGCUCCCUAGUCAAGUUUUCAACAAAAAGGUUCAAUGUAGGGAUUCUCUAGUAGUUGAACUUGUAGAAAAUUUCAACAGUAUGACUUUAUACUUGUAAUAAGAAGAUAAAAUGUAAGAAUUAUGUGUUGGGAAUAAAUGAAACUUACUAAAUAUAUGGAUAGGAUAGGGUGCACUCUCUGUGCUUCCAUUUUUGGAAUCUAAUGGAUCAAAGAUGGAUCUCUCCAUCUAUUUCCAAAUAGGAGAAGUGGGCAAUCUUGAAUUGAUGUCUCAUCAUUGGAUUUGGAACUGAUGUAUAGCUCUAAAACCAUGACAGGGUUCUCCUUCAGUUGACAAAUACAACUAGAGCUUAGGUGAGGUCUUGGUGAUAUAGAAAAGUUAGGGAUUCUGGAAUCUUUACAUGAAAAUAUACAUGAGAUACAUUGGAAGAAAGGGCAGGCCUUGGUCAUUUGAGAAGAAACACAUCUUAAAUAUACUAUCAAUCAUGAUGAGUUGUUUGAGAAUCAUGAGUCUAUGAAGGCCUCACUCAUAUAAGGGAUGUCUUUGACAUUUCUCACUCUUCAAUCUUAGGAAGGUACAUCAUCAACCAGAACAUUAUGAAUAUGAGUCAUCAUGAGGCAACUUGUUUAUGUUUUUUAUUCUUUUCUCACCAGAGGGGAUUAAAAGAUAUUUAGUUGCAAGGACAAGAGAUGUAGCUAGUACUGAGAGCAUCAAACAAUCCUUCUCUAAUGCAGACCACAAAUUUUAGCAACUCGUGAUCUCCACAAUUUAGAGCACUGAAGGAAGUUAGCCUGUUGGAAAGAUGUUCCAUGACAUUUAGAAAUAUGCAAGAAUUCCAGAGAUCAUUCCAAUCAUUAAGGAAUCCAAAGCCCUAUAAUUUGAAUAGGGCAUCCACUUGGCAUGGAUAACGCACCUAUCUUGGGAAAAAGAUUGGGCACCAAUUCAAUUAUCAACUCUCUAUGAAACUUGAGAUACAAGGUACCAAUGUUAGUUGCUUCCGUGGCAGUUCUUCUUUUACUGGUAUUGGGGCAAAGCCUUUUGAAAACCCUCAAUCUACAAAUUGCCAAGGACAUGAGAUCAUGUUGUAAUCUCAUCUCCAAUCUCCAACUGCAAACAAAUUAUUUCUUUCAAUUAACAAUCUUUAAUGCGUGCACUUCUAUCAUAUGAUAAGAAAUUUAGGAAAACAAGUAAGCUUUAUAAUAUUAGGAAUAUGCAAGGAAUUGAUAAAGGCUAUGAAUCUACUUUCAAAAAAUAAAAUAUAAAAACAAAUAUUUUUUUUCACCCAUGAAUACUGUAACCAGCUUCUAAAAAACAUUAGGUAUUGAAAUAACCCAAUGUUCCUCAGGUAUUAAAGUUGAAGUUCAAAGUUACCAAGAGUGCUUUUUUGACCCAUGCAUAAAAUAAAAAGAAAAUAAGAAAGCAUAACAUAUAACUCAUAAUUGUGUCAAGUAUGAGUUCAAUUCAUGGUCAUGCACAAUUGCAUUAAGUAUUUAAAAGCUAAAUAAGGCUAUGUGCAAUUCAAAGAAUACCAUACAACUCAUAAUAGAAUCCUCACAGCUCACCAUAGAAUGAGAACUCAAACGUCUUUCUUCCGGUCAUAAGAGUUUGUGCUCUUCGAGCCUCUGACUUGCACAACUCAAGACAGCAGGACAUGCCAAAAAGUCUCUUUCACCUCAAACAUUAUUCAAAUCUGCAGUCUAAAUCUAGAUAAGAUAAUUUUCUACAAAUAUAACAUGUUGCAAACAAAUAACAGUAUGUUGGUUUAAAAUUGAAGAGCAUUUCAAACCAAACAAAAUAGAAAAAUUUUCAGUGUACAUCACUCACCUAAAAGCUUGUAUGUUGGAUAAAAUUCUUGCUAAUGAAUCCUGACAAUUAUUUGCAAUCAAAAUUUAGUAAUGGUUUAUAACCAAAAAAAAAAUAUUACAAAAUUUUUUAGCAAUGUUCCAUGAAAAACACAUUGCAUAUUGAUUGAGAAAUUAAUAUGAAAUCCACUAAUUUGAAAGGCACUAAAUACCAUAUGUUCUCUUGAGUUCUCCAUGUAUCAAAACAGAUGCAAGUUCCUAUUCGAGCCACCACAAUCACGGAGCAAAAGACUUCUUAGCAUGGAAGGCAUACCAUAUUUUAAACAAGGUUCUUAACUUUCCAAGAGACAUAAGAACGUGGUGUGUUGUAGAAACUGUAGAAUAAAUAAAUGGAAGUUAGACAUAUGCACUUGCUACUUAGUUUUUUAAUCAUGUGUGAAAUAAAUAAAGAGGUGUUACUUGCAUUUAGGCCAAACUUGUAGUCUCCAAUGUGAAAUCCAAAUCUCAUUUUGUCAAUAGAAUAAGAGUAUUAAACAUAUAGAAAAUUGAAUCCUUCCUUUUGACAAUUUGAAAACCUUAAAGGAAUGACUUGAGAUUAUAAAUAACUAUAUGGUAAAGAAAAUUUUCAUCAUUCUUUCUAAAAGGAAAAUUUGUCAUUUCCUUGAUUACGGAAGAUUGAUAUUUUAACAUAAAGUGCACUUAUUAAGGUAAACUUUGUGCAUUAUAUAUUGAUUUAGAAAAUUGUAUUUAAACCCAGUUAGAAGGGUAUCACAAAAGAUGCUUAAUUGAAAUGAAGGCAUCCAUGCCAAUUUGUAAAUGUUGUCAAAUAACACCCUCCCUUGUCAUUUUACAUCCCAUGCUUGCAUGUCAAAUCUUUAACUAAGACUGCUCAAAGAGCACCUAAAAUAAAAUUACGAAGAUUUCAUUACAGGUAGAACUUAAGGUGCUUACAUUGACCAUGAGAGAGAUCGAUAAGAAACAAAAUACUCCCCCAUAAGUUUGUAACUAUUGUACUGAUAACUUUCUUCCUAGUCAAACUAUCAACAUAACUCCAUGGAGACUUCCACAAAUUGUUGAGCCACUGGUAAAACACAACAUCAAUAUGAGAAAUUUACAAGGUACUAUGCAGAUAAAAGAGUAAGAAAUGUGUAUUGAGAAUAAGAGUUACCUUAAUGGAUGUAAGGCUAGGAUAGGGUUGAAUUGGCUCUGCACCUAUUUUUGCAAUUUGAAUUUAUUAUGGUUCAAAAAUGAGUUUAUGAUGUAUCCUCAUUUUAGGGGAAGCAGGAAAUCUGGGGCCAAUCUCUAUCAUUCUCCUUGAAACAUCUUUGAUUUCGAAGUUUGAUAAAACUUAGAAGACAACCUUUCACUUGGCAAGGAGGACUAGAACAAGGCAUCCCUCAAUCUCUACAAGUUAAAGAAAUGAAGUUUUGAAGACCAAGGGAGGGGGCUAGGAUUCUAGAUUUGACAAUAUUUUCAUUGAAAAAUCAAUGAGAGUUGUAGCAAGAAAUCCUGUCAAAAGGAAAUUGCAUUUAACAAUGUACAAUAUAAAAUGAAUGAACUGAGUUUUUAGAGAGGUGAAUCUUUGGAGGCUCCACAAAGAUAAGGGGUUUUAAUACCCUUGCAAGUGUAUUCGUGAAAUUGUUUCCUCAAAGGAAACCUGAACUUGGACAUUGUGCAACACAAAGCUGUCAAAGAGAUGUGAGACUCUAAAUCUGAUGAGGUAGGACUUGAGAUCCACAUUUUCUUAAGUGAGGAAUUCUGAGGUUGUAGACACACUAGUAGUUUCCAGAUUUAGAUACUUCUCUUCAAAUAUUUGUAUAAUGUACAUCUUCUUUGACAUUGCUGCUCCAACAAGAUGUCAAAUAGGAGGUGCAACCUAUUUGGGCAUAGUACACGUACAACAAAAAAUUUCAUUAAAACAAAAACUUUUACUAAAACAAAAAUAUGAAGUUAAUGUAUAAGAAGAUAAGAUUUAUAUAUAGUGAAUGAGCAUGAUUGAUUUUAGCACAAAGGGAAUGAUGCCAAAAUAUUUUAAGAAUAUCAUCACCACAAGUACUUGCAUCAUUAAAAAUUCCACAAGGAUUUGAUGGUUAGGCAAUAAAAUAAUUCUAGUAAAUGAGUUAAAAGCAGCUGAGCUAAGAAAGAUUAAAUCCAAAUAAGCAUCAAUCAUUAAAGAAUUAACCAACUACGAAAGACUUCAAAUGACGUUUUCUCUAUAAUUUCUGUUCCUAAUUGGCCUCAUUUGCUUGAACCAAAAUAUUAUUAAUUUGCUUUAAAGGAAGUGGGUGACUCAUAUCUCUGAAAGGAUGUGAGAGAUGGAAAUCCCUCGAUCUGUAGUGAUUCAAGAGGAUAAUUCCUAUGGCUAUUGUUGUCAUCAUACAUCAUUCAGCUAGCUAUAGACCACAAAAUUGAACAAUCAUGAAUACGUAGAUGCUUAAAUAUGGUGUGUACUUUAUCUAGUGGAAAAGCUUAUGAGACUUGGUCAUCUCGAGAUUUCUAGGAAUUAAGAUAGAUACAAGUUGUUGCUUCCUGUUAUAAUUUAUCUGGAUCGCAAUCAUCAAGCACUAACUCCAUUCACUGCAUGUUUUGAGCCUUCAACAUAAAACCAAAAUUCCAUUCUAUCGGACAAAAAAUAAAAUAUAAAAAAAUCACUAAUAACUCAACCAUUUUAUGUUGCUCAUAUUAUAAAAUGUAGGAUUUAACUGACUUCCAUCAUUGAAAAUGAAUUAAUAUAACUUUACAAUACUAGUAUAUUCAACUUUUGACAUGGCUGAAACUGAUCUUGGAAUAAAAAAUUACAUACACAAGUAGAUAUUUAAUAGAAGAGGAUCCAAAAUCUCUUCCAUUGAUUAAUGUAUAAAUGAAUUAAUCAAAAAAAUUUGAGAUAAUUAUGGGGAGAUGAACCUUGUACCUCUGAGUUUCUUAUUCUUCUUGAACAGAGCAAUGAGCAUAAAGUGUUGAGCACCCAGGAAUCUCCCUUCCUCCACAGGCAAAGUCUAAACAAUCUAUCCUUUCUUCAUAGUCCACUUCCUUGCAAAAGUCAAAACAUGAAGAAAAUAUCAUCAAAAUUGAGAUAGAAAUAAGUGCAUCAACUAUCUCAAGAAGAGAUUUAUGCUUACUGCUUACCUUUUGAAGAAGUUCACUUGGUUAGAGCACAUUUUACAUGGACGCCCAAUCACUGCAAGCUGCUGAACCAAAGGAGAGUUCAAACAUCUAAAAAAUUUGACAAACUCAAGUAUCAUAAAAUACUUCAUAUGAAUUCUAAAUGAUCUCAUAUCUAAAAAACAUUGGCAUAAAAUUAUUGUUGUUUACCUUACAUGUUUCUUCCAUGGUCAUAAUCGAAACUUUGUUUGUCAUAAAAAAUCUUCUAUGCUCAUCUUGAUUACUUACAAUGAACACUGAAAUGAAAAGAAAAAAAACCACAAAAAAUGAUGAUUAGUUUGGUUUGAUAAAUUUAGCACACAUAAUUUCCUUUUUCUUGCAUGAGAAGGAAAGAGUAAUAUAUAUAUAUAUAUAUAUAUAUAUAUCAAUUUAAUAAUUUUUAAAAAUUAGCAAUUAUAAAACUAUUUUGGUUCUCCAAAAAUUUAUGGGAAAGUAGGGAAAAAACUAUAAACUUUUUCUCUUGUUUGAUUAUUUAUCAGAAAAUUGAGGGAAAAACAAAAAUCUAUGAGAAAUUUAUUUAACACUUUUGAGGAACCAAAAAUGUUUUAGAUGUUGUCAAAUCAAUAAUUUAAACGUGUUUAAUUCCAAUUAAAUGAGUUUAAUCAAACACAUGAAAUUGUGAAUAAAAUUAUUUAAAAGCAUUGAAAUUCAAGUCAUUAAAGUUGUCCAUAAAAUGUGGUAUAUUGAAGCAAGAAAAAAACAAAGCAAUUUGAAUGACUUGCUAAUAAAGCAGCUAACUAGAAUAUGCCCUAGAGUUGUUCAGUGCCCUCUAUAUAAGAAAUAAACAGAGAACACAAAAAAAAAAGAAAAGAAAAACCUAGAAACUACAAUAAGUGAAGUGAUAAUGUCAUCUAAUUAGUAAACCAAACCAAGUCAAUAAACUACAACUUCCUCUAGUAUAAAGGUCUUGAUACAUUAGAUAUUGAAUUUGUUGGACCUGGCAAGGUAGAAGUAGUAAUGCUCAUUUUUUAUUGUGACAGAUUAUAGAGAAGAUUAGACACUGGGAAAAUACCAAGCCAGGAGCCAUGUCAAGAGCUGCUUUCUUGUUAAAAAUUAAGUCCAAUUAGAAAAUUACAGUAGCGCGUAAGAGAAAUUGAAAGUGGUGUUGAGAAGAGAAAGAGGAAGAAUGAUGUGUUGGGAAUGAGAUGUAAUACCUUGUUUAUUACUCAGAUGGAUUAGUCAAAGUAUCUGCACACGGGGAAUGUGGGCAAUCUUGGGCCAAUCAUCUCCUUCCUCCUUCGAGUACCUUUGUGUUAGAUGUGGGCAAAGCCACACAUACAGUCGUGAAAGGGUGUCAGGCAAUAGUCCUUCCCUUGGCAAAAUUGACCGGAGCUUAGGGCAACUUUGGAUUUCUAGCUGUUCAAGAGAGGUGAGGGUUUGGAGAGACAGGGAGGCUAGGGAUUCCAGAUUCUGGAAUUGUGAAAGGGUAAGGGAGGUGAGAGUUGUAGGAAAAAGAAUCGAGUGGGGGUCAUCCGAAAAGGAAGUUGCAUCUGGAAACAUGCCACCAAUCCAGAGGAGUUUAAGAGAGGUGAGUCUGGAAAGGCCCCAUUGGGAUAGGGGGGUCUUGAUAUUCUCACAAUUACGAAUGAAAAGCGAUGUAAGACGAGUGAGCUUUUUUAUCUGAGGAAGCAACAAUUCCAGAUUUUCAAAAUCUACAAUACGUAGAUCUGUGAGGGUGUUGAGGCAAUCUGGUAGGGUUUUGAGAUUAGGAUACCUCCCGAGGAUUAAAGAUUGAAGUGAAUUAUUAGUAGAGUGAAACAUCUCCUCUGAAAUUGACUCGAGGUGUUCACAAUCCCCAAUGUGAAGUCGCUCAAGGGUGGAUGGAAACUUGCCUCUUGGGAAGGAUGUGAGAGAUGGACAUUUAAAGAUUACCAAGGCUUGGAGAGCAGCAGCAUAUGUGGAAUCGUAGUGCAUUAUUCCCUCUGGUAGAGACUCUAGCCUUCCACAACUCCAUAUUCUGAGUUCCUUGAGAGUGGCGGGUAGCCCACCUUUCGGUAAUCCAAUAAGAGACGGACACCCCCCUAUAGAUAAGUAUUCAAGGGCACACAUGCCCAUCAUUCCUUCUGGAAGAGACUUGAGAUUUUCACAACACGAUAUGCUUAGACUCUUAAGGGUGGUGGGUAAUUGCCCUUUUGGAAAGCAAAUGAGAGAUGGACACCUGUAUAUCACUAGCUCUUCAAGGAGACACAAGUUGUUGCUGUCAGUACUGUCGUUCCUCAUCUUCAACAUCAUGCCAAUUAUCAAGAAUAAGAUUUCUCAGCAUUGGCGGGAAACCUACAUCGGGAAAUGACGCUAGCUUUGGACAAUUCCUGAUUGUCAAUUCUUCAAGGCAUGUUAGACUCUGCCAUCCAUUUGGAAGCCUCUCUAGUUUAUCACAUCUAUCUAUUUGCAAAGACUGAAGAUUGCAUCCCAAGGAUACAAGUUGAUCACAAUCUCUAAUCUCAAGAGAAUGAGAGUUUUCCGAUCCAAAACCAUCCUCCCACAAAUAUUCGAGUUCUUCGCAUUCCCAUACUUUCAAAACCCGAAGCCCUUGCAAAAAUUGCACAAAUCCUUCAUGCAAUUUGAUAAGCCCUGAAAUCCCAGAAAUUGUUAACUUGGUGAGUGAGGUGAGGUCAUUUCCACUGCUCAAGACCGCCUCAUUACAUUCUCCUACAUAUAAUUCCUUCAGCAGUGGAAGUCUUGAAAGUGGAGACUCCAAUUUUGGACAAAAGUGAACAGAGAGCUCUGUAAGAGAAGGUAGGUAAGUGGGUAGUUUCAUAAUCAAUUUGGGGCAAUACUGAAUUGUAAGCUCAUGGAGACAAGGGAAUAAUGACUCUGUUGAGGAAGACCAAUCCUCCCAGUGCUCCCAUUCUGACAUGCUAUUAAAAUGUCUACUCUAGUGAUGGGAAAAACUUACCUGCAGAAACACGAGUCUCUCCAUAAAACUCUGCACCCACUUUUUUUACUCCAUCCAUUCCUUGGAUCCUCAACUGUUUGAGCGAUGGCAACUGCCCCAAGCAUGGUAAAGACGUGCACUCUCUACAAUCUAUGAGACUUAGAUCCACCAUCUUAGAGAACAAGGCAUCCCCUAUCCAACGUGGGAAUUUUGGACCACCAUACAACUGAAUGCAGAGUUUGUUCAGAUUCAAACAAGGUUGUAGAGAGUCAAGGACAUCCAUUUGAUUCCUUUCAUUCCCUGAACCAUCCAGCUCAGAACUCCACUGCAUUAUCAAGCUUUCAAGGUUACGCUUCAAUUUUAAAGCGGCAUCCCUUGCAUCUUGAAUAUUCACCACAUUUUCCAAUUUCGAAAUGCAAAGUUCUCUUCGCAGAUGUGACAUGUCCUUCAACUCCUUGAUUGUCAAACCGUUGUUUUUGUCCACAAUGAAAUUAGACAAUAUCCGCAAAUCUUUUAGUUUGCCAAUUUGUAUAGGCAUUUCUUGUAAUUUUAUUGCACCAGCAACAUCAAGAUGUCGAAGAUUGAUUAGGUUACCGAUGCUAAUAGGCAACCUGAUAAGCUCUUUACAGCAUGAUAAUUUCAAUGUCUGAAGGUAAAAAAGAUUACCAAUUGAAUCCGGUAACCAUUUUAUACUGGUGUAGGACAAAUUAAGGUAUCUCAAAUGUUUCAACUUACCAAAUGAAUCCGGUAUCUCACUUAUCAUGUAAUGAGCCAAUGAGAUCACCCUUAAGUGCCCUAACCUUGGUAUCAAUUCUUCAAGCACCUUAUUACUUAUGAAGGAAGGAAGUCCGCUAGUUGGUACAUCAAUCGGCAAAGCUAUGAAUGUGCGCAAGCGCUCUUUCUUAUGAAACCUUUCAAAAUUUUUAAAGAUAUCACAAAAAUGACGGAUGAAUGAUGAAUGACGGGUAUUUUCAGAAAUGGGGCAUUGCAAAUCAUUCCACAACUCAUCAUCCAAAUGCAAGCAUGUGUCUCCAGCAAUAGAAUUAGCUAGAUCGUUAAUAAGAUCAUGCAUAACGAAUCGUGAUUUAUUGCUGCUCGACGAUUGGAAAAAUGACCUUGACAACAGUUCACAAAAAUAAUCAUCACCAAGAUCUUCCAUUUUCUCAUCCUCAUUUGAUUGUUGAAUUAACCCCUCCGCCAUCCACAAGAGGAUUACCUCUUCCUUCUUAAACUCAUAAUCUUGGGGAAAUAAUGUGCAAUAAGCGAAACACCUUUUUAAAUGUGAAGGGAGAUGAUUGUAGCUCAAUCUCAACGCAGGAAGAAUACCACACUUAUCACUAGGUAAAUUCCAUAUUUUGCUAGCUAGUAUAAUAUUCCACUUAUCUUCUCUGUGUUCAUGGCGCAGAAGACCACCAAGUGCUUUUGCUGCCAAGGGCAGGCCUCCACACUUCUUUACAAUUUCCCUUCCUAUCAAUGCCAAGUCCGGAUGCUCCUUGGUAUUUCUGUUUUCAAAAGCAUGUUUUUUAAACAACUCCCAUCAAUCAUUGUCAGACAAAUGUUUUAGCUCAUAAAAGUUUUUAUCUCCUCCCAUCAUAGUUGCAACAUUUUUUAUUACAAGUGGUGACGAUGAUCUUGCUUCCCAGGUGCUCCCUCCUAUAGAGGGAGCGUAAGCUGUCCCAUUGAUCAUAUUUCNNNNNNNNNNNNNNNNNNNNNNNNNNNNNNNNNNNNNNNNNNNNNNNNNNNNNNNNNNNNNNNNNNNNNNNNNNNNNNNNNNNNNNNNNNNNNNNNNNNNNNNNNNNNNNNNNNNNNNNNNNNNNNNNNNNNNNNNNNNNNNNNNNNNNNNNNNNNNNNNNNNNNNNNNNNNNNNNNNGAUGAAAGUCCGGCGAAUCAUUGUUGCCUGGAGCAAUGUCCCGUAAAACUGCCCUGGUUAUGGUCUCCACAUGAAAUUGAUCAGACACACAAACCCAAGCUUUUAAAGCAAAAUGUUUGGAUGUCUCCUCAUCAUCGUACACUAGACCUGCCAGCGUAGUUUUUCCCAUCCCACCCAUGGCCACGAUCGAGACUACAGACAGAUUGCCACCGAGGGAUUCAUCAUUAAGCAUGGCUAGUAUCUUGGUUUUAUCUUCAUCCCUGCCGUAUACCCCAGGUUUGAAUACCAAAGGUGGUGGAGGGGUUGGGCUUUGAGUAGCUGCUCUGGUGCCUCCGAUCUGCACUUUGAGCUUUUCCAAACCGAGCUCAGCCUUCUGAGCUGAAAUUUCUUCUAAUCGGCGAGUGAUGUCCUCUAUCUUGGACCCCAGCUUAACAUUCCGCAUAGCCUGAAUUGGAGUGAAAGUAGUACAACAAGUAGGGAUGAAUUUGCGUACCUUGCUUGUGCUGGCCGCAUCACCCUCUGCCACCAACUUUCUUCUCAUCACUUGGUAGCCAAACUCGUCCAAGACGUCCUCCACAUCAUAAGCCAAAUCCCUGAGAUGUGCGAGCCAUGCUUUCACGUGCUGCUUAGUCAUCUGCUUGUCCUCAGCAUCGUCGAGCACUUCCCGAAUCUCCAACAGUCUUGUCUUCCAUUUCUUGAGCUCGGUGUGGACUUGCUUUUGGCGUGCGUACUUCCACAAAUCAGAGGAGGCCAGUUUGCUGAACAAGAGUUCAAGGGACACAGAAAGAACAACCUCUCCAACAACUUCCAUGGUGAUCAGUUUGCAGAGGGAGUGACUAGUGAGAGAGAGAGAAAGGGGAAGAGGAAGAUGAAAAUGGAAGCCUGAGAGCAGGCUUAGUAAGCCAUGUGCACCACACAAAAUAAACAAAUCAAAAUGUCCACUAUAUUAUUUUGCAGACAGCUGUCACAUAUUUUAAUAGAUUUUAGUCUAAGAGAAGGCAAUUUAUUAAAUUUUCAUUAUAUUUUUUUAAAAAAAAAUCAUUAGAAAUUUUCAAUAAUUUUAAUUAUUUUAUAACAGAAACCUCUAAAAUUAUUUUAAAGAAUUUAAUAAUUUUAUUAUAAAUUUUGACAUUUUUGAAAUAGAAAAGUUAUACGUCUUUAAAUUUAAAUUCGGUUGUCUUAUAACUUAAUUUCAUUUAUUUAUGUCUUAGUCUCAUUUCCUUUUUAAUAUAUAAUUUUGUUAUAAAAAUGAAAAUUUUAUUGAAAAAACAAAAGUUGUGAAGGAAGAAAAAAAGAAUGGUCUUUUAAGAAAUAUUUUUAAAAUUUUUAAGGGUGAAAACUUUAAAUAUCAUUAAUAUUUCUAGUAGUAUAAAACCAUGACACAAAUAAAUGGCAUUUAAGUAUAUAUAAAUACAUAUAAAUUAAAUUUAGAUUAAUAUUAUGUGGUGGUUUUUAGUGGACCACCAAUUAUUUUCAUAUUCCAUAGAAAAAUUACUUUCAACACCAUAGAAUCACCCUAAUUUGAUAUACUAUCUUAAAUUUUAAAAUUUUAAAAAAUAAUUUUUAAGGGCAUGAACUAAAUCUAAGAAUUUCUAUGUUUUUUUUAUGAAAGUUUUUGCCAAUUUUUGUUUUUAAAAACAAAAAAUAAGAAGUACUUAAAGUGUUUUUUUAAUGAUUUUAAAAAAUAUUUUUAGUCUUUUUAAUAUUUAAAAAAUAAAAAUUUUAUAUAUAAAAAAAAUUAAAAACACUUCUUCAAAUCAUUAUAAAGCACACUCUUAAUAUGUAAUGAUAUUAAUUUCUUCUCAUUUAAAUGGAAUGAAGAGAGAUUUAAAUGAAUAAAACAAAUACAAGGAUAAAAAAUUUACUUUUUGUGCUUUAUUAUUACAUCCUUUCGUUAGAUGCUUUAAAUAGUUUUUAAUAAAUAAAAUUAUAAUUACAUUGAUGGAGGGCUAAUUAGCUUUGCUUUAGGUGAGAAAGAUAGAGGUAAGAUUGAGGUGGGCGGACCAAAUAAAAAGUAGGAUAUGAAUUAACAAAAGCUUCUGCACUCUUCCCAAAAAGUAAAAGCAAAGCCUAUUAACAUGAAGUGAUGAAACUAGUCCUAUUCAAGGCCCUAUUUGCAUAUUUGAUAUUUCUAUGAAUUUUUAUUUAUUUAUUUUAUUAAACUAGUCUAAUGCGACGACUUUUAAGUUAAAAUUAAUUUUCAAAAAAAUAUAAUUUAAAAAAUUAUUUCAAAUCUACAUAAUUAUUAUAUCUUUUACAAAAAUGAAAUCAUAAAGUUUUGAUUUUAGACUAAAAAUCCAAAUCCAACCCACUUAUCUAUGUACUUUAUUGGCAUGGAAGGAGAAAAGUUAAAAAAGUAAUAUCAAAGAUAAAAGAAAAUUUGAUCAUAUGAUAAAUAGUGAUCUUCCAAAGUUGGAGUCAAUGUGUAGUGGGUCUAAAAGAAAAAGAAAAGAAGUGGAAGUUAAAGUGGAAUGUUGAGGUUUGAAGCAAUUACCUUGGAUGCGAGAUGACAGGCACCUUAAACUGUGUAGCAAUUAUGAGAGAGAGGGAGCGAGAGGCAUUGCUGUGGGAUGGGAUGCACCAACUUUAAACUGUAGCAAUUAUUCAAUUUUGAGAGAGUGAGAGACGUUUAAGUACAAAAUAUUCCGUUUAGAAAGAAACGGUGAAGAAUAAUACCCCUCUUAAAAUAUUUAUUAAAUUAGUCUCUUUUAUCUAUCUAAUCAUCCCAUUCAUAAUAAAAAAAAUACUAUCAAAUCAUCCACAUUUAUUUGGGUGAUUUUAAAAGUUUCAAAAUUCCCUAUUUGAUUUUCGAGAAAAUCCAUGCAAAACCCUCAAGAAAAACAAAAAAAAAUUUGCUUUUUUUUUAUUCCCUAUGUUUUCUGGAUCUAUUCUAGAGGUCUCCAUCUCGUAUUCAAUUUUUGAGAAAAUUCAUCCUCGUUUGAUUUCCGAGAAAAUCUAUGCAAAACCUUAAGAAAAACCAAAAAAAUUACUUUUUUUGCUCAUUGUGUUUUUGGGAUGAGGAAGACCAAAAGGGCAAUUUUAGAAAUAUAAAUAAAUCUCAUAUUUUAAUUAUAUGAGUUUUUAAAACUAUAUAUUUAGCCUAUUAACACAACUUUUCCAAAAAUUAUUGUUGUGGGAUGACAUUCAACACUUUAAAGUGUAGCAGUUUACAGUGUAGCAAUUAUUCGAUUUUGACAGUGAGGGAGAGAGAGAGAAUUAUUGCUGUGACAUGGCAUGCAACAACUUUAAAGUGUAGCAAUUUUGACCAAUUAUGUUAAUGGGGUUAUAUCCUCAUCCAAAGUUCUCAACCCAUCUUAGUUACUUCAACAAAUUUUUAUUCUGGCCCAAACCUGUACUAGAGUAGAACAGGGUCGUAAUUUUUUUUGAAGUUAUAGUCAUCCUAUCUUAUUUAAUAUUUUCUGUUAUUUUUAUUAUUUUAAAAUUUUAUUUUUAUUAAAAUAAAUGUAAUUUAUGAGUAAAUAAAUUAUUUUUCAUAAAUUUUACAUCCUAUCUUGAUAAAAAGUAAAUUUGUAGCUUCAAUUUAAAUACAUUUAAAGAAAAGAAAUGGAAAAAGAAAUUAAAUUAUUUUUACUUAAUUUUAUUUAAAUAAUUUUUAUUAAAUAAAAUUAUAAUUAUAUUGGUGGAGGGCUAAUUAGCUGUGUUUUUAAGUGAGAAAGACACUGAUGAGGUUGAGGUGGGUCUAAAAAAAUGAAAUAAAAGAAUGAAAAAAAGAAAAAGAAAAAGAAGAUAGAGAUAAGAUUGAGUUGGGUCCUAAUUUAAAAAAGAAAAAAAAAAGGAAUGAAGAGUAGGAGGCAAAGUGACAAAAGCUUUUGCUUUCUUCGAAAAAAGUAAAAGGCUAGUGACAUCAUGUGAUCAGACUUCUAUGAUUUGUUUAUUAAACUAGUCUUAUACAAGGACUAAGUUAAAAAUAUUUAUUUUUAAAAUAUUAUUUAAGAAAUUAUUUUCUAAUCUACAUAAUUGCUACAUCUUUUCGACUCGAUUUUAGUUCAAUUUCAUUAAAAUGAAAUCAUUUAUUUGAGCCCAAAAAUCCAAAUCCAAAUCCAAAUCCAAAUCCAACUCAUUUAUCUAUAUACUUUAUUGGCAUAGAAUGAGAAAAGUUAUAAAGUUAAAGAAAAUUUGAUCAUAUGACAGAGAUUUUCCAAAGUUGGAGCCAAUUCAAUGCCUAGUGGGUAUAACAAAAAAAAAAAAAAAAAAAAAGGAGAGAGAGAAAGAUGUGGAAAUUAAAGUAACCAAAUUUUUGAGGUUUAAGGGAUGUCAGUGCACCUUCCAAAUAACUGCUUAAGAAUGUGAGAUGUCAUAGCAUUGAAAAUUGAUAUUAAAUCUCAUUGAGUAACUAUAAGAAUUGCUUUACUUAAAGACAAGUAAUAAAUAUAUCUUGCUUUUUCAUAAGGUUUAUGACCCUAAGUGAAUAAAAUUUUUAGAGUGGGAUGAAUGCAUUUCACAUGAGUCAUGUCAUAGAUAUAUUUUUAGAAUUUUAAGGUGGGUACAGUUCGAUAUCAUUCGUAAACAUAAUUCAAACCCAAUAUAUUUUUUAGGGAUUUGAAUUGAAUAGAUUCGCAUUUAAUUUAAAUUCAUGUGAAUAUAUAUAAUUCAUUUAAUAAAUAAAUUAUUUUUAAAUUAACUUAGAUAACCCACAUUUGACUUGGAUUAACUUAUUUAAUAAUGGUAUUGAUUAACCUAAUAAUAACUUUAAUUUAUUGAACUCAUAUUUAACUCAUUUAAGAUUUGUUUUUCAAUAAGUUUGGUCAUCAUAUAAUAUUAGAACAUUAAGCAUUUUAUUUCAUUCAACAUUUAACUUGAUUUGAUUAUUAAACAAUAUCUUAUUAUUAUUUCAAACAAUCAAGACACAGACUUUGAUGCAUCUCUGCCUUGGAUUCUUCCUGGUCAAAAGGAACAGUUGAAGUAUCUCCAUUGCUUCUCUGUUUCUUUGAGUCAAAAGACACAGUCUGCCUUUCUCUAUUUCUUCUAAUCAUUUUCAAAAUGCAUCAUUAUGAGAUCUACUGACCCUAUUUUUUUUUUCUUAAUAAUAGAAAACAGAAAAUAAUUUUUUAUUUUCUUGAUAUUUUGGAGAACGAAAAACUAUUAUGGAAAAUAAUUGUUAAACAAGCAUUAGAUGUUAGAUAAAAUUUAAAAAACACUUCUAAAAAUCUAAAAAAAUUACUUAUACUAUUUUUUUAGAAAAUCACUUAUAGUGUUUUCUAAAAAAUUACUUGAUAGAUAAUUUUCUUAAAAACAUUUCAAGUAAGAAUACUAUUAAACACAUUAUUAAUAUCAUUUAACCCUUGGAGUUAAAAAAUGAUUUAUCAAAUUCAACCUCAAUCGGUUUAAACUCUCCCAAACCCAUUCCCAUUUGUAAUAUCUGGUUUUGAAAAAAUAAAAAUAAAAAUAAAAACAUAAUAGAAAGAGUAGGAGGAAUGUCAAAUAUAAAAAGAGGGUUAAAAAUGUUUUGUAAUGGUUGGAAGUGUUUUUCCUACAAAUAAUGAUGCAUUUUGAAAAUUUUUAAAAAUGAAGAGAAUCACUUUGAACUUACAUUCGAUACACACUUUAUCUAAAACCAUUUUUUAAGACACUUAUUUUGAUUUGUAUCUAAAUGCUAACCUACAUUUAUAAAAAUGUCAAAAUAAUUUUUUUUUUAAAUCUUUUAAUUUAUUGUACUUUAUGAAUACAUUUUAUUUUUUGUUUGAUGCUUUAAAUAGUUUUUAUUAAAUAAAAUUAUAAUUAUAUUGGUGGAGGGCUAAUUAACUUUGCUUUUAAGUGAGAAAGAUAGAGACAAGGUUGAGGUGGGUCUAAAAAAAUGAAAUAAAAGAAUGAAAAAAAAAAAGAAGAAAAAACGAAGAAGAUAGAGAUAAGAUUGAGGUGGGUCCUUAAUUAAAAGAAAAAAAGAAAAAGAAAUGAAGACUAGGAGACAAAGUAACAAAAGCUUUUGCUUUUUUCCAAAAAGUAAAAACAAAGGCUAAUGGCAUCAUGUGAUCAAACUCUAUACAAGACCCUACUUGAAUAUUUUUAUGAUUUGUUUAUUAAACAAGUCUUAUACAAGGACUAAGUUAAAAAUAAUUUUAAAAAAAAUAUUAUUUAAGAAAUUAUUUUCUAAUCUACAUAAUUGCUACAUCUUUUUGACUUGAUUUUAGUUCAAUUUCAUUAAAAUGAAAUCAUUUAUUUGAGCCCAAAAAUCCAAAUCCAAAUCCAACUCAUUUAUCUAUAUACUUUAUUGGUAUGGAAUGGGAAAAGUUAUAAAGUGAAAGAAAAUUUGAUCAUAUGAUAGAGAUUUUCCAAAGUUGGAGCCAAUUCAAUGCCUAGUGGGUAAAAGAAAAGAAAAAAAAAGAAGAAAAAAGGAAGAUAUGAAAAUUAAAGUCGAACAAACAAAUUUUUGAGAUUUAAGGCGAUGUCACUGGACCUUCCAAAUAACUGUCUAAGAAUGUGAGAUGUCAUUGAUGAAAAUUGAUAUUAAAUCUCAUCAAGUAACUAUAAGAAUUGCUUUACUUAAAGACAAGUAAUAAAUAUAUCUUGCUUUCUCAUAAAGUUUAUGGCUCUAAGUGAAUAAAAGUUUUAGAGUGGGAUGAAUGUAUUUCACGUGAUUCAUGUCCUAGAUAUAUUUUUAGAAUUUUCUAGCAAGAUAUCAAAGGAAACUUUAUGGUGAGUGUUUUCUUUCUAGUUAAGGUGGGUACAUGUCAUUCGUAAAUAUAAUUCAAAACCAAUAUAUUUUUUAGGGAUUUGAAUUGAAUAGAAUCUUAUUUAAUUUAAAUUCAUGUGAAUAUAUAUAAUCCAUUUAAUAAAUAAAUAAUUUUUAAAUUAACUCAGAUAACCCACAUUUGACUCGAAUUAACUUAUUUAAUAAUGGUAUUGAUUAACCUAAUAAUAACUUUAAUUUAUUGAACUCAUGUUUAACACAUUUAAGAUUUGUUUUUCAAUAAGUAUGCCAUAAUUGGGUCAUCAUAUAAUAUUAGAACAUUAAGCAUAUUAUUUCAUUCAACAUUUAACUUGAUUUGAUUAUUAAACAAUAUCUUAUUAUUAAAUUGGUUAAACAGGUUAUGAUGUAUCACCUUGUUAAUAAUUAUAUAGUGUUUGAGUUUAUGUUUUUAAUUUUGAUUAUUAUUCAUAUCAUGUUUGGGUUGAGUUGUUUCGUGGAGUAUCUAACCUUUGAUACAACACAAACACAAUCCAUCAACAUAUUAAUAAAAAAUUACAAGAUAUUAGGAGAGUAAUUUUGGUAAAAGUUAAUAUUUAAUGAUUUAAGAUGAUUUUAAAUUAAAUUAUAUUGAAAUGGUUAAGUCAUAUCAAAUCAUUAACUUAAUUUAUCAAAAUCAUUUUUGAUUUUAUAUUAUAGUAUUAAGUUAUUUUAUCGAUCAUACUUAAUAUACUUAAGAACUUAAAUUUAAUCUUAUCAACAUUCUCUAGGGUCUUCUCAUCUCAAUUUUUAAUAUUUAUUUGAUACGUAUUUAAAAAUAAACAAGUCAAAAUGUAUUAUCUCAAAAUUUCUAAUUCAAACUCCUACAAGAUUUUAAAAUUCAUUAAUUAAUUUGAAAGAAAUUUGUUUUGGAACAUGCAAGUGAUGGACAUAUCACAUAUCUUAAAUUUCUAACUAAAAAACCUCAUAACAAAAUAAUUUGAUGAAUGUUUUUAAGUUUAAAAAACUUAGAACCAUUUCACAAUGAUUUUGGGAAGUUAGAAAUGUUUCCAAAUGCUUGAAAAUGUUUUUAUAACGAAAAUUAAACAUUUGAUAAAAAUUAAAGUUCACAUUCUAAGUAAUUGAUAGUGCUUCUUAUAAUUGUUUUUUUUUUUCAUUAUAUAUAUAUAUAUAUAUAUUCGUCUGUAAUAAUAAUAUAGUCCCACUGGUUCUACAGUUGGUGGACUUAUUAUGGUCCAACUAUUAAGAUAUAAGUUAACAGAUGUUCAUAUCCGUAACCAUGACAUCUGUAUUAAGCAAACCUUUAUCCUUGUUAAGAACCUUAAGGAAAAAGCCCUCUUAGGAAUACCCUUCUUAAGCUCUAUUUAUCCCUUGUGGGUAGAUAACCAAGGUAUAAGAACUAAGCUUUUUGAUAAGGAAAUUCUUUUUGAAUUUGCUAAUCCUGUUGAAAGCAUCACUCGUUGUGAUCAAGAGAUUAAUCUUGUUAGAAUUAAUGAUCCACCUAAGAUUUUAGGUACCCAAUUCAUUCAUAAUCUCAUUAUAAAUGAUAUUUUAAGCAUUCCUUUAUGCAUUUCAAAAUUUCAAACUGAUAUUUUGAAUCAAGGAAUUUUAAAAAUUAUUUUCACAUCUGAGAAAACUAUUAAGUAUAUAGCUUUCAAGUAUAAUUUAACUGAUUGGAUUAUUUUAAAACCUAAUUUUCAAAUUAAGCUUAUUAAAGGAGAAAGUUUCAUUCCUAAUCACUCAAUUCAUGGAACUUGCAGGAUUCACAAGAACAUGGCCCCCAAGAAAGACAAACAACCUCUUAGGUCCAUUAAUUCUAAGGAUUCCCAUUCAACUCUCUCUGAGAAACUCACGCCAUUUUAUGACCAUUUUGAAAUAGCAGAUUCUUCCAGCCACUUCAAUCAUCACAUUACUUCACCAUCCACUAGUAUGGAUAUAGACUCAAGCUCGAAAUCUCUACCUUUUGUGGAAGAUUCCUUACCCACAAAUCCAUCUUUUAACAAUGCUAACACUUUGUCUGAUUAUAUCAAUUGCAUUUUUGAAUGGCAGGGAAGGUAUGAGACUCUUGAAAGGAAACUUGAAUUAGUUGACUUUCAUAAGCUCAUGUUAAAAGCUCAAGCCUCAUUUUCCCCACUGAAAAAUGGUGAGAAUAAGCAUUCUACCCCACUGGUGAAUGAUAAAUUGAGUGAGGAAGAGUUGGGUUACCGUAUGCUAAGGAUGUAUCAUCAUAAGACAGAGAAUCUAUACUCUCUUAGGCCAGAUCUACGUCUCCUAAUUUGGGAAAAGGCUAAGUCCUCAGCAGAAGAAAAACAAACUUUCAUCUCUUCAUACCUCCAGGAUCUUCAUCUCUAUCUUUCUACCAAUAUUGGUCUUAAGGUCCCAGGUUUAAGCUUGGUUACUGAUAAGGAAGUUGAUGAUUCAAAAAUUUGCAGAAUGAUUGAAGAACCUUUCCAGUACCAAAAAGGCAUCAAGAAGUUGGUUUGCAACUGCAACAGAAAUUUCACAAUCAGUCGUGUUUGCUUAGACUUGCAAUACUAUUCACCAAUCAGCAUCAAAUUCAAGGGUGAAGAUUUAUUAUUAACUCCAGAAAAGCUUCUGGACCAUGGUCUGGUCCAUCAAAUCAUCUGUUCUGAUUCCAACCAAGUUUCCCAGUUUGGAAGAAAAAUUGCUCUUGGCCUAACCCUGGGAUUUAAAAUGAAUAAGAAAUUCGCAAACGCCAUCAUCAUCAGCAAAGCUCCUGAGUGGGUUUCUAAUGGCAAGCUUAUUCCAGCUCAACACAUUGUUUCUCUUCACUAUCAGAAUAGGAGACCUACUCAGCUGUCUUACCCUCUGCUAUUUUCUGAUAUUUGUGGUGAACCUAUUAUUAAGCAAAUCAAACACUGGAGGGCCAGAAUUAUUUGCAAGGAUUUUGAGGCUUUUCCAAGAAAUAUGGGACAUCUCAUUGCUGCAGAUUCUUGCCAUCAAAUUUUCUGUGGCAAGAAGUUAAACCAUCUUCCAACUAUUUCCAUCACUGAAGAUAUCAAGCUUCUUGAAGAUCAUAAGGAUUUCUCAUGAUGGCCAGUCAACAAGAAUAUUUCAAGCUUUGCAGUUUCUGAAUCAAAAGCAGCAAGCAUGUGUCUACACAGUUUAAAGCAACCUGCCAGAAGUCUUCUCAGCCGAAAAAGGGUGUUUCGGGAAAUUUCGGUAUAAAAGUGAAUCUUACUAUUCACUAUUCACUACGCACUAUUCAAGCACGGGUCUACUGUUCAUGGCUACUAUUCAAGAUUCCUUUUUUGCCUAUUUAAGGAGGUAAGGGCCUCAUUUGUAAGGACACUUCAAUUUUUAGUUCUGUUUCUCUCUCAAGCUUAUGCUCUCCCUUCUCUCUUCUUUCUCUCUCAUUAUGUAAGCCUUUCAAGCUUUCAAGCUUUCUCCAAGCUUUCUUCAAGCUUUCCUACCUUUGUCCAUUGUAAGAUAUUUCUCGUUAUGUAUAAUAUAAGUAUGUUUUGAUUACCUCCUAUAUGGAUGGUUUUUAAUUAAGUUUUAUUUUCAUUUUGUUUUUUAUUUUAUUUUAUGUUCUUGUACCGCCUACAUGGACGGUUUUAAUUAAGCUUUGUUUUAAGUUUAUGUUUUUUAUUUUAUACCGCCUACAUGGUCGGUUUUAAGCUUAUGAUGAACUAACAAGUUUUUUGGUUCCUUCUCUUUAAAUUUCUUUGUUGGAUAUCUUUUGUAUUUUCUAACCCUCUUCUUUGUUUUGAAUCAUGGCAUAAUUCAUUUGUUCAUUUGCAUAUGACCUUGUCUUGGGUGUCUAUGGUAUCAGAGCCAUGUGGGAGGGAAGUUGGGUCUUGUUUUGGGUGUUCUUGGCCUAUCCUAGGAUAGGUAGCAGUGUGCCUGGGAGCGCGAGCCCUGCCGGUUGAGCCGUUGUUAGCCGUGGAUAGGCGUUUGUUAGGCUAUAAGAGGGUUGGGGUGACGUCUCAUAAGGUUUGUCAAUCUACUAUUAGGCUCUAGAUCAAAAACCCUAAAAUGAGUUCAAUUUUCCGAACCAUGUCUAGGAGAUCCAGUGAUUCUCAAGAUACUGUUGUAAACAGUGAAGAGAUCAAUUAUCCUAAGAUUCAAAAUGAUUUAGAUGAUUGGAAGUUACCCAAGGUGUCUAAUCAAGAAAUUUAUAAGAAAGGAACCUUUAAGUUCUUCACAGAUUAUACCAUUAAGACCUCUAAAAUGUCAGUCAGCUUAGAACAAGACGACCAAGUCAUAAGACUUCUAGAUAACAGAUCCAUUGAUAAGCAUAAGAAAGAUGGCUAUAAUUUCAUACACUUUGGUAUGAUUCAAGUAGCAGCUAAGCCUUUGACAAGAUUAGGUUUAAACACCUCUAUUGUCAUGUGUUUAAGGGAUAAUAGGCAUCUCGAAUAUCGAGAUUCUAUUAUAGGCGCAGUCCAAGCUGGACUGAAUGAUGGCCCAGUAUAUUUCCAGUGCUAUCCUAACUUUACAGUUAGAAUAAGAGAUGCAGACAUCUUAGAUUCAGUUGUCCUGCAUAUUAAGACUCAUGGCUUUAAGAUCAAACCAGGAAACAGUCCUGUUUCCAUCAUAACCAGGUUUGCCUAUAAGAGUAUGAACACAAGCGUUGGAUCUGGGGCUCUUUGCACCAGUCCUAAAGGUGAGACCACCUAUUUUCACUCUGAUAUGCUAGAUAAGUCAGAUUUCAUCAUCCCCAAGAAGAUCUUGUGGAAAGAUGUUGAUUUCCCUGAAAAUUGGCAUUUUGCUAAUGCUGUUCCAGCCAUAGCACAGCGUUCUGAAAGUAUUAAACAAAUAGUUCAAUAUCCAGAUGGAGGAGGAGAACUGGUCUUCUCCAAAUCUUUCAGACAUUCCAGUAGCCCUAGAGUGUCUGUUUAUGAACCCUCUAGAGCUUCAAGCUCUUCCAUCCCAGUUAGAACCACUAGGGAAGAAGAAGGAUCCAGCUCAGGAAAUCCUAAGAAUAUUAAGCUAACAGGUGUUAGAAGUCACACCAACGUGGCUAGACCAUUUUACAGUGAAGAAAAUGAGUCUACUCAGGAAUCCCAACAGGAUGAGUCCCCUGUUAUGUCUCCUACCUAUUCCCAGAUGAUUAACACAAUAAGCCUAAGUGAUGAGGACUUUGAGAUCAACAAGGAUCUCUUAAGAAAGGACUUCUAUUCUGAAGUCAAUAAGCAAAGAAAUGAUUGGUUCUUUAGCAUUGUCCCUAAGGUCAUUAGAACCAUUUACCAAGAAGAAUUCUAUGCCUACUUAAGACAAGAAAAGAAAAAUAUUAAGUUUUGGAUCUGGUUUGAACUCUUCAAACAAGAGGAAUAUCCAGAUUAUCCCUUUAAGCGUAUAAAGGUUACCAGUAGUAAUAAUGAAAAUAAGCCAUAUGAAUUCUCUAAGGAUUUCCAAGAAAAUCCCUAAGUCAACCAAGCUUUUGUCGAUAGGAUUAAUCAGAGGAUUAAGGAUAAUCUUGUUACUCCUUUGACUGUUCAGCCUGAUAAGAGAAUCAACAUGGUUAAAGGUGAUAUUAGUUCAGAAGAAGAAGCUGAUGAACUAAUUAAGAUGUUUAAGGAACCCCAUGAUCAAAUUAUUAACAAUUUAGAAACCUUUAAGACUAGGAAUUACAAUUCUAGACCGACUUUCCCUGACAUGCAGUUUGAGGAAAGAAAUCAGUACACUCAAGCCUCAUACACCAGUGGUACUAUCUAUGAAUGGAACAUAGACGGUAUGACCGAGUAUAACAUACUCACUAAGCUUCAAGAAAUGACCAUGGUUAGUACAACCUAUAAAUUAAACAAUAGACUGCCAGAUCAUGCUGUAGCUCAGACCAUUGUUGCUGGGUUUACAGGUCAACUUAAGGGUUGGUGGGAUAAUUAUCUCACUUUUGAUGAUAGGAAUAGUAUCCUUAAGGCCUAUAGGAUUAAUGAAAGUAAUGAAGUUGUUAAGGACGAAGAUGGCCAAGAUAUUGAGGAUGCAGUGGCUACUCUAAUCUACUCAAUAUCCAAGCACUUCAUUGGAGAUCCUGCAAAAAUUAAGGAUAAAACUGCAGAUCUCUUAACCAACCUUAAGUGUCCCAAGCUUCAUGAUUUUAGGUGGUAUAGGGAAGUCUUUAUAACCAAAGUCAUGUUAAGAUCAGAUUGUAACCAGUCUUUUUGGAAAGAAAAAUUCAUCUCAGGUUUACCCAAGCUUUUCUCCGAGAGAAUUAGGAUCAAGAUAAGGGAACAGUAUAAUGGUCAAAUCCCUUAUGAUAAGCUAACCUAUGGUGAGAUUAUAAGCAUUGUCACAGCUGAAGGGAUUAAGUUGUGCAAUGACUUCAAGCUUAAGCAACAAAUGAAGAAUGAACAAAAGAUCUACAAGAAUGAAUUUGGAUCAUUCUAUAGCUAGUUUGGUUUCAACCAAAAGGAAACUAAGCCUCCCUCUAAGCAAAAACCAAGCAGGAAACCUAGCAAAGAUAAGUUUUACCACAGUAAAAGAGGUACCUAUGACAACUAUAGGAUGAAUGAUACUAAGCAGUCAAGGCACGUCCAAAGAAGGGUCAAUAAAGAUACCCAGAAAAAGGUAGAAACUCCUUUAGACAUCAAGCCAAUUAUCUGUUUUAAAUGUGGCAAAGUUGGCCAUUAUAAGAAAGAUUGUAAAGUUAAGCAAAAGAUUAAUAACUUAAGUGUCUCAGAUGACUUAAAAAAUAUGCUUUGUAAGGUAAUGUUAAACUCAAAUUCUGAAUCAAGGACUGAUUCAGAUAAUGAAGAUGAUAUUAAUCAACUAGAUAGCAGUGGCAAUGUUUCUAGCCAAUCUUCUAGUGACCAAGAUGUUUGUAUUAAGGGUAAUUGUAAUUGUCGUCCUAAAACCAUAAAUGUCAUAAGCCAAGAUCAGGAAUUCAUCCUAGAUACUUUAAGAAAAGUUGAAGAUGAAAAGACUAAGCAAAAUCUUUAUGAAGUAUUUAAGAAAUCUGUUGUUAAGGUAGAAGCCAAAAAGACUGUUAAUCCUUACAACCUUAAUGAUAUCUUAAACAGGUUUGACCAGCAGUCUCCCAAGGAAGUCAGCAUUAAGGAACUUCAUGAAGAAGUUAAGCAACAUAAGAAGGAGAUUAAAGAGUUAAGACAAUUCAUAAGUUUAGGUCUCUCUGAUCUCCAAGAUCAAAUCAAUAGAAUUGGCAACCAAGAAAUCCAUAUGGAUAUUCCAGAAUCUUCUCAUGUUAAUGAUAAUGAGACAGAUACUUUUUUGAAUACUGUGAGUAGGGUUAUCUUCCAGAGGUGGGAAGUCUCCCUUACUAUAGUAGUCAAAGAUAAAUUUGUCUUUGAUAUUAUUGCUUUGAUUGAUUCAGGAGCAGCUGAAAAUUGCCUACAAGAAAGUCUUGUACCUAUUCCUUUAUGCGAAGAGACUAGUGAGUCUCUAUUUGGUGCCAAUGGCGAAAGACUUGUCAUUAAGUAUAAGUUAACAGACGUUCAUAUUCGUAACCAUGACAUCUGUAUUAAGCAAACCUUUAUCCUUGUUAAAAACCUUAAGGAAAAAACCCUUGUUGGAAUACCCUUCUUAAGCUCUAUUUAUCCCUUGUGGGUAGAUAACCAAGGUAUACGAACAAAGCUUUCUGAUAAGGAAAUUCUUUUUGAAUUUGCUAAUCCAACUGUAAGCAUCACUCCUUUUAACCAAGAAAUUAACCUUGUUGGGUUAGAUGUCCCAAGUAAGCUAAUAAGCAACCAGUUCAUGCAUAAUGAUAUUUUAAGCAUUUCUUUAUGCAUUUCAAAAUUUCAAAUUGGGAUUUUGAAUCAAGAAUUUUUAUUAAAAUUUAUUUUCAAAGAUUUUGAAAAAAUUAAAUAUAUAACUUUUAAGUAUGAUUUAAUUAACUGGUAUAUUAUUUUAAAAUCUAAGUUUCAAAGUUACUUUAUUAAAGGAGAUUAUUUCAACCCUAAUCAGCUAUCUCGUGAAUUUUGCAGGGUUCAUGAAAUCAUGGCCCCUAAAAAGAAUACCCAAGCUUCUGGCUCUCAAAAACCCCAAUCCAGUCAAGCUAACCAAUCUCGUUCUACCCAUAAAAUGCUUUGGAGUCAACAAGUUGAAGAAGAAGAAGCACAACUUUUGGCAAAGCUUCAUUCUUCUAAACCUAUGCAUGAAUCCAGCCAUAUGCCUAACAAAAUAUUGACCUUAUACUAUGAUCCUUCUGAUCAUUCUAAACCAGUUAAGGCAACACAAUAUCCAGCUACCUCAGGGUCUCAGACCUUUAAGCAGGUUACUAUGGCUAAUCCCUCUCAAAAGGAAUUAGCAACAAGCUCUUCUUUUUCAAGCAAACAAAUUGUGGUGGCUGCCAACCCCACACCUCUUUCAACAAAAUCAAGAUAUUGGCAAAAUGAUUUAAAUCAAUCUCUUUUAGUUAUUGAAAGAGAAUUUUUCUCUGAAAACCCCAGAGAGAUUGCUGCAAAAGCAUUUCAAGAAAAUUUUCAUUAUCCCUCUAGUGAUAUUUUAAAAACAAGAGAGUUUUAUGAAGCAGUCCUUAUAGAAACUGGUUCUGUUAAGAUUAAGCAUAACGCUGAUAAAUUCAGCAAUAUGGGCUUGGCAUUCUCUACCUGCCAUAUCUAUAAGAUCCUUACAGUCAAGCAAUGGGGUGGAAAUCCUAAUCUUUCAAGGGAAUUUUCUGAACCAUCUAAGCCAAGGUUUUUUAAUUAUUGGGAUUAUCAGAGAGCAUGGUUUAAUGCUUUUCUGAUCCAGAAUAGGGACUUCCAUCAUUCAUGGAUGUUCUAUUUUCCAUCUAAGAACCAGCUUUCCUCUUUCCCAUUUUGGUUCUACAGUUGGUGGACUUAUUAUGGUCCAACUAUUAAGAUUCUUCCUAAGCCCAUUCUGGAUGGCUUUGAGCUAUUCAGAAGUUCUUUUAAUAUUCCCAGAGAACUUUCAGCUUUUCCCCCUUUACUAUUCUUUUUCAGCAAUUUUGGCCUGGCUUGGAUAGUCCAGUGGGACUAUAUUAUUAUUACAGACGAAUCAGCAGCCUUUCCAUCUCUGGGAAGGACUUUUAAAACUAAAUGGUGGGAUGCAUUGAAAAAUGAUGCAUCUACUAAUGCAGUCAAGCAGUAUUUCCUCAAGAACCCCUCACAAGUCUCUGCUAGUGAUGAUAUGUCUCAGUUUCUCCUCAAAAAGCAACAGUUACAAGCCAUGCUCGCAGCAGCCAAGACCCCUCAAGAGUUUCAGAAAAUCCUUGAUGAAGGAAGCUCAAGCUUCUCCCAAGAAAAUUCUUAUGCAGAAUCUGACGAUUCAACAAGCUACCUUCCAGACAAUGGUGAUGACUGUGAAGGAAUCCUUCCUCUAAUAAGAAGAUCUAAGUAAUCAUCAAGCCUUUUGUCUUCCAUCAAGAGUAUUUUUCAGGCUUUGCAGCUUCUGUUCCAAAAGCAGCAAGCAUGUGUCUUCAUAGUAUAAAGCAGCUUGCCAGAUGUCUUCUCAGCCGAAAAAGGGUGUUUCGGGGAAUUCCGAUAUAAAAGUGAAUCUUACUAUUCACUAUUCACUAUUCACUACGCACUAUUCAAGCACGGGUCUACUGUUCAUGGCUACUAUUCAAGAUUCCUUUUUUGCCUAUUUAAGGAGGCAAGGGCCUCAUUUGUAAGGACACUUCAAUUUUUAGUUCUGUUUCUCUCUCAAGCUUAUGCUCUCCCUUCUCUCUUCUUUCUCUCUCAUCAUGUAAGCCUUUCAAGCUUUCAAGCUUUCUUCAAGCUUUCCUACCUUUGUCCAUUGUAAGAUAUUUCUCCUUAUGUAUAAUAUAAGUAUGUUUUGAUUACCUCCUAUAUGGAUGGUUUUUAAUUAAGUUUUAUUUUCAUUUUGUUUUUUAUUUUAUUUUAUGUUCUUGUACCGCCUACAUGGACGGUUUUAAUUAAGCUUUGUUUUAAGUUUAUGUUUUUAUUUUAUACCGCCUACAUGGUCGGUUUUAAGCUUAUGAUGAACUAACAAGUUUUUUGGUUCCUUCUCUUUAAAUUUCUUUGUUGGAUAUCUUUUGUAUUUUCUAACCCUCUUCUUUGUUUUGAAUCAUGGCAUAAUUCAUUUGUUCAUUUGCAUAUGACCUUGUCCUGGGUGUCUAUGGUAUCUAUAUAUAUAUAUAUAUAUAUAUAUAUAUAUAUAUAUAUAUAUGUAUAUAUGUAUAUAUGUAUAUAUGUAUGUAUAUUAGCAUAAAAAAGGUUUCACCAAUUAAAUGGUGUCACAUAUACAUUUUUAUAUAACAUGAAUUGAAAAGGUUUCAUCAAUUAGGUAGUGUCACACAUAUAUAUUUCAGUCUCAUAGUUUAUACCAUUGUACCUCGGCCACAUUUGUUACCUUUGUUUAAUGAUCUAGAUCUCACUACAUAUAUUUAAUGGUUCAGAUCUAGACUUCGAUAGGUACCACUACAAAACCCUAUAUACAUCAUACUAACUACUUUUUUAUCAAAACACUUACAAUAGAAAUGCUACAAAUUAGAAGUGUUUUUAUCAAAAUAAUUUCCAAACCAACCAUAAUAUUUGCAUUAGCUUUAACAUAUAAUAUCUUUUACUUUAGUUGUUGAUAUAGCUACAUAUAAGACCAACCAUUCAUAUGAUAAUUAUUAUGGAUCUUAUUUUAAUUUGAUAAAAAUAUCUACCCAAGCAUUACACAGGGAUGACAAUGGGGUGAAAUAUGGACAAGUCAUUCCUAUCCCAACCUCACCCCAUUUAUUCAAAAUAAUUCUCAUUCUCGUCUCAUUGAAGAAAUUAAAUGGAAUGGGAUAGGUAUGAGAAUUUCCUGUACCCACCCCGCUUAACUCUUUUAAUUUCUUUUUUAAAAUUUUUAAUUUUUUUUUAAAAUUUUUUUUAAAUUUGUUUAAAUGCAUUAAAAUAAAUAUAUCUUAUAAAUAAUUUAAAAUUUAAAUUUUUUUAUAACUUAUUUAUUAUUAUUAUUAUUAUUAUUAUUAUUAUUAUCAUUAUUAAAAAUAGGAAAAUAACAAUUUAUAUCUAAUUGAGGUAGGACAAGGUAAUACCUAAACCUACCCCAAACCCGUCUCGAGUUUUAAAAAAAUUCUCAAAAAUGUUUUUAACUCGUUUAUUUAAAUUUCAAAUCCAUCUCAUUAGGGAUGGGGUGAAAACCCGUCUCAUUGUCAUCCCUAUAUGCAUGUCAUAAAUAUAUAAUAAGACAAAUAAUAAUAAAUUAGUAUCUAUUUAGAUAAACUUCUUGUUUUUUGUUUUUAAAAUAAAAAAAUAAUAACUUUUAUAUAAGAUAUAAGGAUACUUAUAUACUUAUAUUUAAAAAAAAAUAAUAGCUUUAAAAAUCAUUUAAAAAAUUUAAGGUAUUAAAAAUUUUUUACUAAACCAAAUUUUAAAAAAAUUUUAAAGUGAUUUUUAAAGAUAUGACAUAAAUUUAUAUUUUUUUUUGUAUAACAUGUUCUACUUUCAUAUAGAAAUUCUAAUUUUAAAAACAAAAAAUAACAGAUGUAUUAAAUGGACACUUUAGCUUCUUAUUUUUUUAGUGGUUCACCUUGCCCCUUAGAUAAGAAGAUUAUGAAAAUUUUCAAUAAUUAUGAAAAAGAUAAAAGUACUAAAAGUGGAAAGACUUUUGACAAAAUUAUGUGUGAGAUGGUGUGCAUCAACUUUAAUUUGGACAAUUAUGUUAAUGGGAAGAUGUUAUCCUCAUCUCAAUCACUAACUUUAAAUUGUAGUCCUUACUGUAUUUUGGAUAAUUAUAUUAACGGGUCAUGUCAUCCUUGUCUCAACUCAUAUUGAUUAUUUAAGUUAUAAGUUAUAGUCACCAUAUCUUAUUUAAACUUUUAUACUAUUUUUUUAUUAUUUUUAAAUAUAAAUCUUAUUAAAAUAAAUAUAAUUUAAGAGUAAAUAAAUUAAUUUUUAUGAAUUUUAUAUUAGCAUUGAUAAAAAUUAUAUUUUCAAUUUUAUUUUAAACAUGUUCAAAAGGGGGAAAACAAAAAAAGAAACUAAAUUAUUUUUAUUGAAUUUUAUAAAUAAAAAUGAUUUAAUUUUAAAUUUUAUGUAAUUUUAUAAAAAAAUUCUCAAAUAUAUCCCUAAUUUGUUUAAAUUUGUCCUAAAUCCUUCUAUAGUUGUCAUCUCUAAUUUUGACCAUAUAAAAAUUAAACCAAAAUGUAAGAAGGUUGAGGAAUAUCAAAUAUAAAGAGAGGUUGAAAAAAUUUAUAAUGCUUAGAGGUAUUUUUCUUACAAAUAGAACUUGUUUGGUCAUGUGAUUUAAAAACAGUUUUUUUUUUUUUAAAAAUAAAAAAUAAAAAACUGUUUUUAAAAAUUUCUAACAAUGUUUGACCAUUGUUAUUUGGAAGCAAUUUUUUAAAAAUAAGGUGAAAUAAAGAACAAUUUUUAGAGAACAAAUAUAAAUUGUUUUCAUUGAUUUUUAAAAACAAAAGGAAAAUAUGAGCCCAUUUGACCAUAUUUUCUUAAACUUGUUUUUAAAAACUUUUUUUAAAAAAGCACUUUUUAGAUUAAAAACAUUUUUUAGAAUCACUACCAAAAUGAUUUUAAGUAUUAUCUCACUUCACCUCAUUUAUAUAUAAAAUUAAGUAAAAAUAAUUUAAUUUCUGUUUCCAUUUCCCCUUUUUAAUCAUAUUUAAAAUAAAGUUACAAAUUUACUUUUUAUCAAGAUAGAAUAUAAAAUUUAUGAAAAAUAAUUUAUUUACUCAUAAAUUACAUUUAUUUUAAUAAAAAUUAAUUUUAAAAAAAACAAAACAAAAGGAAAAAUUGUGCCCAUUUGAUCAUAUUUUCUAAAAACUUUUUUUGAGUUAAAAAAUAAAAAACAAUUUCUAAAAACAAGUUUCAAAAAACAUGACCAAAUGAACGACUAUAUAUAUUUGUAUCACUUUGAAAUAGCACUUAAUAGACACUUACUUGAAUAUCAAUUUUUUUUUUCUUUUCUAUCAUGUAUCUUAUCAUCAAAAACGUUUUCAAACCACUUUUUUGGGUCGUAUCUAGGCACCAAUUAAUUCUUCACAAAAGCGCUUUUUUUCUACUUAAAAGAGUUAUUGAUGUAAAUGAUAUAGGCUAAAAAAAAGCAUAUAAAGCAUUUAUAAGAAUCAAUCCCAAUGGGUUUUAUAAGUUGUGUCAUUUAUGAAGAUUUUCUUGACUUUUUAUAUUAUAAUCUUUCAUAAUUAUGUAAUUCAUAAUCAUAAAUACCAAGAUGUAUACACAUGCAGGUAACACGUCCUCUUGACAAUGAUGUGAGAGGUGUAAUAGACAAGGAACAUACAUACCUGUAUUCCAAGGAAGUACCAGUGCAUUUGAUGACAUUGUUCUAGCCUAAAUUCCAAAUUUUAGCAAUCCAAAAUCUGUAACUUCUGCAAAAGUUACCUAGUUGUUGAGGGAACAACACAUCUUCUCUUCCCAUUUUCAUCUUAUGCACUACAUAUCCCAUGUCAACUACCACUUCCACUACACCUGAAUGAAGUAGGAAUACAAACGAACAUUUCAAGGCAUCAGAUUGUCUGAAAAUUAAAUUGGGAGAGGUAGAACUACCGAUGCUUACAUGGAACUGAGGAAAAGAAAAACAAAAGCAACAAAAAUGGAAGAGAAAAUGCAAAUCCAUAAGCCUGUAGCUGCUGUCCAAAGCAGCUUCUUUGUCAAUUGUCAACAAAAAGUCCACUACGAAAUUCACUGGUAGAGCCACAUAUAGAAUAUUGCAAUAUAGAUAGUAUAUUGAAUGUAGGGUUCUAAACAGUCUCUGACUAAACACCAUUGGAGUAUAGAUAGUAGCUCUUAGAGGGAAGUGAGGUCUUGGUGACCCUGGAAGGUUAAGGCUUCCAGAUACUGGAAUCUUUGUGUGGAGAUAUGUAUGAGAGAUGUAGGAAGGAAGAGGCAAGCUUGUGUCAUCUGAGCAGAGGCAUCCGGAAUCUUUGCGUGCCAUUAUUCAAUCCAAAGAGAUGUUGGGAGAGAUUUGUUCAGGAUUUAUGUGAGGUACAGGCUUUUUCACAAUCAUAAAUAUGAAGGUAUUUAAGUAUGGCAUUUUGGAAUAAGGUGAUCUACCAGUAACAUGGAAGAUAAGGUGAUCACAAAGGACUACACAGUUAUCAUGUUUGGAAUAGUUGUGGUUAGUUAAUUUCAAGCCCAAGUUUUAGCACCUAAAAACAUGCCCAUUUUUUCCAACCCUUUAGCGAGAUUGCACGGAAGCAUUCUCUGGUUGUUAUAUACAUGGUGUCCGCAUAUCAAUCAACACAUUUAGAUGUUUUUUUCUUAAAUUCCAUAUUAAAGUUAUACUGGACACUUGAAUGUGAACAUGUCUGAUUAUAUCUUUUCUUUCCAGACAUGUUUCAUCUCUCCAGUGCACUGGGUUAGGAUGAACCUUAAAGCUCAGCUACAGAAUGAAACUGGAAUAUUAGUCAUGUUUUCUGUUCAUAGAUUUUGAUAAAAAUGUUGAGUAAGAUCAAGAAAGUUGCUAAAUGGGAAGAUGAUUUUCUUACUGUCAGUUCGCAUUGAAAAAAUGGUAAUCAGAAAAGAUAUUUUGGAUAGGAUUCAGAAAGAAAAUAUGUCGAUUCAAAAGUUAAAGAUAUAGUACCCAAGGGGCUAUGAUCCUGUGUAUGGAUGUUUCAUGUUUUAAGAUUGUGCACGAAGUGCUGAUGUUAUAAGGGAUCAAGGGUGGUUUGUGGAGGAGUCCCCUCUUCAGAGUAUUGCAAGUAUGUAGAUAAUCCUGCAAUUCUGGAGUAGGCUUCUUCUAAUUUGCUCUGCACCCAAUCGUCCAGAAUAGUGGAAAGCUUCAUUUAGUUGUAAUAAUUUUAUUAUUUAGAUUGAAUCAUAUUCAUUGGGUUUGCAGAUCAGGAGAAAGUGUCAUGGCUUUGAAUGUUUGUCUCUUUGAUAAUAUCACAGUGCAUUGGUCCACAGAGUUAGCUGUAUGACAGUUGAAUGAAAUGACUGAAAUGUAGCAGUCAAGGGUAUAUAUCAUAUGAAAAUUUUUAAAUAGAGCAACCUGUUUGGUGAUUCUUCAUUUCUUCUUCAUUCCAUCAAGAGAACAGCAUCUCAUGCAUCUUUGUAUUGGGUUCCUCGCUCUUCUUCCACCCUAAGGAAAAACGGUAUCUUGCUUAGUUUGGACUUCUCGAUUUCUUUUGAUCAUUGUGAGAAACAUCAUGAGAAGAGGUACAAUAAAUGUGUUGUGCUGAAUUAUCCAAAACAUUAUUUUCACAAUCAUAAAUACCAAGGUGUUUAAGCAGCAGGUAAGGCAUCUCUUGACAAUGAGGUGAGAGGUAGAAACAAGCAACAUACCUGUAUUCAAGAGAAGUUCUGUUCUUUUGAAAUUUGACAACAUUCAUUUAGUCUGAACUCAAUAUCUGGGCAACUCAGUAUCUCCACCUUCAUUAGGAUUGCAGGAAGCUGGCUUCUUGGAAAGACAUGAAAUGGGGGCAUUUCAAAAUCUGAAAGAAUUUCAGAGACCUGUUGCAACUUUUGAAUUGCUCAAAUCAGUAACAACUCCAGAGACAUACAUAUCUGCCCCUGGGAAAUAGAGGUGUCCUAGGCAUGCAACCAUGGAAGAUUAGCUCCCUAAUAGGCUCAAGGUUGUGGUCAUAAAAAAUGCACUGAGUGGGUGACUUGCAAUCAGUUCUGUGAGUCCCUCUUGGUAGCUUCUCAUUUAUUGCACCAUAUGAAUUACAUAUUCCAACUGCCAAUUUCACCACCCCUAAAUGAAUUAAGAGACAGGCUGAAAGCAAAGUUAGACAACUCAUCAUAGAGUUAAUCCUGCAGGAAUACACCAAAAAGGAAAUCUUAUUAAUAUAAACGAAUUCAUCCAAUUAAAGGAUAAGGUUGUCUGAAAAAUUAAAUUGAGAGAGAUGGAUAAAGUGAUGCUUACAUGGGACUGUGGGAAGGAUCAACAAGAGAAACAAACAUUGAAUAGCAAAUGCAAAGCCAUAGAGCUUGCAACUGCUGUCAAAAGCUGCUCCCUAGUGAAGUCUUUUAACAAUAAAUUUCAGUGCAAAAUUCGCCUAAUUGCUCCACUUGUAGGACAUUUCAAUAGUAUGAAAACAGGAUAUGGUGAACUCUCCCUGCUUCUGCCAUCAGUGAACUAAUAUGGAUCAAAGGUGUACUCAUUGUUGUUGAUUUAAAGGUAGCACCCAAAGGAAGCCCAAGAUACUUGGAAGGUAACAACCCCACUUCACACCCCAAAAUAUCCACCAACUCCUCCAUUAUUGGAACCCUUCCAACUAAGAUUCGCUCACUUUUUUCAAGGUUGAUCUUAAGCCCAGAAAUUGCUUCAAACCACAUCAAGACCCAAUGAAGAUGCAAUAGUUGGUCCUUAGAAGCCUCACAAAAAAUCAAUGUGUCAUCCGCAAACAAAAGAUGAGACACCUCCACUCCCUUGCCACCUCUACUUCCCACCUUAAAUCCUGAAAUAAACACCCUCCCCUAAACAAACAAAAACUCUAUGUUCUUAUCUUCAAGAGUGGAAAGUUAUAGCAUUUUAACUUACAACCAUUGCUUCAAGGUGACUGAAGAUGCAUUCCAUAAAAUGUUAGACAAGUUGCUUAUCAUUUUCCUGACCCCGAAUGCUAUAGGUAGAAGAAAUAGGUAAAUGUGCUUACUAGUAGUGGAUGCAUUCCACAAAAUGCUAGAGAAGUGGUUGUUUCCUUCUCUCUAUCUCUUUCCUUACCUCCUUCCUCACCUCCCUCACCUUCCUAAAUUCCCUUUUCCCUUAUUUUCUCAAACAACUCAAUUGCUCCACAUGAUUUUUUCAUUUUUUAUUUAAAUAGGAAUGCUUCACAAGAUUCAUAUAUUACCUCCUUGCUAAUUUUAGUUAGUUAGGCACUGCCCCUUAAAAACUCAAAUAAUUCUACAUGAUUAUACCUUUGAUGUAGUUAUGAAUACAAGGAUCAUCCAUAACUCCUUCAAUUGCAUGACAUAUUUGUUGUAUUACUGAUUAUAAACUGGCACUAUCAUAACAUGAUCAGCAAAAAAAUAAAAAUAAAAAUAAAAGUUUCUUCUAGAAUUUGAUGGAUGAACCUUAUGGCUAUGUUUGGUUCCUAGAAAAUUUGAGGCAAAAUGCAAGGGAAAGAAAAUAAAAAGGAAAAGUAGAAAGAAAGAAAAAUUGAAGGAAAAUUUAAAAUAAAUUUAAAGUCAAUAAAUUAUUUUUAUAUGUUGCUUCAAACUUAUUUCACUUACUUUAACUAUUGAAUAUAAAAUUAAAUAAUUUGAAAAUUUAUAAGUUUCUAAUUAGUUUUAAUUAUAUUUGACUUUCUUUGGUAUUUUCUAUAGAACAAUCAAACAUGAGAAAAUCAUUUUCCUUAUUAUUAUUAUUUUUUUAGUACUUUUCAAUCUAUUGAGUUUGUCUAUGAUGAUUGGCAUGGGUUAUUUUUUUUAGGCUCAUUCACCAACCAAUUGGUUUGUGGUGUACUGCUAUACUUCUUUUCCAAUUUUAUUUUAUUUUAUUUUUUUGGUUCAUUUUAUGUUUAAAGAGGUUUUAUUUGAUUUGAUUUUAUUUGAUUUUUUUUUAUUUAUCAUAAUUCAUGUGUAACCGCAAUUUCUUUGUCACCAUCACCAUGUGACUCCAUUUAGUGGUUGGGAGAGUUAGAUCUUGGAACAGUUAUGGAAUAACUCCAUCAAUGUUGUGCAUCUUUCUUUGAAAUGUAGGAAAGUGGCUUUUUUAUCUUUUUAUUUUUUGAAUAUCUCCUUCUCAUAAAUAGGUAUGGUAUGCCCAACAACAUUUUAUUUUAUCAAAAUUCUUUGAUAACAUAGCUUAUCAAUAUGAUGAAAGGAUCAUAAUGUGUCUCAUCAACCUGAUUUCAUAUUGCACAAUGGAGCCUAGAUUUUGAAGUUCACUCAGUUAGGAAGGGAAAUCUUGUGUUGAUGUAAUGGUAGAUAUUGUUUUUGUAGUUGGGAUUCUUCAAGGGUUUGGGAGGUGGGAGGAGUUCUAGAGGGAGAGCACUGUGCAGAGAGACCAACUUAGCUGGCUAAUGGAUUAUUCGGCUUCAGAGAAAUGCUUGGAUACUUGAGAACAUGAGAAAAUCUUUCAUUGACUUGUGUGCUAAUAUCUAUUAUCUCACAACUCUUUGAAUACCUGUCACUGUAGAGUUCUUUAGGUUCCCUUUAAUGUAUAUACAUCCUUUUUUGGAUCGAGGAUCAAUAUGCCUCUCCCGUCGGAGAGUGCUUUUGCGCUGGAGGACGCACUGCCUGUGCUAUUUCUAGACUCCUGACUCUGGCCAGUCCACUCUGCACUUUUUUCAGUUUCCAGACACAAUAUGUUAUACAAUUAACAUACCAGCUUCUAUGUGAUCUAAUUCAGCUCCACCUCAAUCAUUGGAAAUAGCAGCAUGCCAACAAUUAUAGUGUGGGCACCAGUUUUUAGUUAUUCACCUGCCUUGCUUUUCUGGUGAAGUCAGGCAGCAUCUUUUCAUUUCAGAAUGCAGCAUGUUGUUGUUUGUGACUUUUUGGCCAUCAGAGCAAUUGUGGAUGGCCCUUCAAUAGAAAAAACUUUGUAGGUGUGUGUUUGUGCCAAAUCAAGGCUCAAGUUAUGAAUGAAAAUAUGAAAAUGAAAAGAGAAACAAAGCAGAAAUUCAUUUUACUAUGUCUCUGUUCUUUCCAUGAGGGAUUAGGCUUAUACCUCUUUGGAAGACUCAGAAUCUCCUUUCGGUAUCUCAAUGGCUCCUUUCUCCUAUAACAUGUUCAAGAAUGCUGCUUUAUUGUGGACCUUCUAUGCCUUUAUUGAAAAAGAAAAAGUGAUAAGAUAUUUCAACCAGUUGAAAAUAGAGGACCCUGAGGCCUGAGAUAGACUGAUGCUAGAUACAAAAUACAUAUGUAUGGAUAUUCAAACUUAUCUAGAAGAAAUAGAAGCAAAUGAUACAUUAUAAGUUAGUGUCAAAAGGUGAACUAAGUCUUCCACUAGAUAGUCUACUUAGAUGUCAAAAAUGUAGUGGGCUCUUUAGCCUCAAGGUAGCCUAAAGCUCAAGUUUGGUUGAUGUUACCUAGCAAACUCAAGACAGAUGGAAAUUUCCAGCCUUUUACAGGUCCAUAGAUGUGUGAUUAUUAGGGCUUUUUAAUGUCAUUUGUGAUGGGGUUUGCUAUUGAUGUGAUGCAGAGGUCCUGAAACUAUUAGAAGGGAUGUAAAUCUGGUGAAAGAGUUGGGUGUUUAUGAUCUUAUGGGGAAGGAGAAUUGAGCAAUGGUUCUCUCUUGCAUGUCACUGGGUCAAAAAGGGUCAGUGAGAUAAAACCACCAAUCCUUUUAGAGACAUUGGCUGAUCAUUUCUUGAAAGUCUAGAUCGAGAAAUCAAGAAGAUGAGAGGUUGAUUAAGAGAGAAGUCAUGUCCUAUGCCAACUUUGUUUGAGUGAGCCAUAUCAUAUACUUCUACCUGGGGUUAAUCUUUAAGGCUGGAGGGUUCAUUGUCUCUUCAUUUUUUUCCCUUUAUUUUUUUCCCCUUAUUGAAUCAUGUUCUUGUACAUCUACUUGUUUAAAGGAUUUCUCAUCCUUCCUUGUAAAUAACUGUUUGCAUAAUAUUAUCACACAAAAACAUAGAUCAUAGACAAGCUGAGAAUUUCUUAAGGAUCCAUAAUGUGAUCUUAUGUUUGCUUCUAGAUCUAUACAUAAUUAUUAGCUUUUAAUUAGCUUAUCUUCAUUGGACUACUUAUGUGGAGAUUUGUUUUAUCUGUUUCUCCGUGUUUCAGGCACAACUAAUUGACCCAGCACUAAAAGGAUUAAUGAACAUUCUAGGAUCUUGUGCAAAAGUUCCAUCAGUCAAAAGAGUAGUUGUAACAUCAUCUAUGGCUUCAGUUGCAAUCAAUGGGAAACCUCUAGCUCCUGAUGUGCUAGUUGAUGAGAGUUGGUUUUUAGAUCCAGUUUUCUGUGAGAAAUCAAAGGUUGCUUAAAUGAGAUGAUUUCCCAUCACAUGCUAUCUCUUUUGCAUGUUCUUGUUUGUGGCUUUACAAAAUGUUUUCUUUUCAUGGCUCUUCACUUCUUUUACCCUGCAGAAGUAGCUGCCAAUUUGUCAUGCCCUCUUGUUUUUACACUUCUGCUAGCCAGCUUAGGGUUAAAUAACACGAUGGGAAUGAGAGGAUUAUCCCUUUAUUUUGCUAAGCCUGCCAUUAGAUUAAAUAAUCCUUCCAUGUAUGUCUAAUAUUUCACUAAUACGGUGUUGGUAGCUGUCUGAUCCAUAAAGUCGCAUUCCUCAAACAAGAAAUUAAAUGAGAACUCUAAUUUGGAUAUUAUAUGAAUGAAAUGGAUGUUAAUCUCUGAUUGUCUUACUGUCCAUUAAACAUGAUGGGCUCAGAAACAUGGGUUGACAAAACAGUUGUGACAUAUCUAAUUAGUUUUAAUGUGAGUGUGUAUGCCUGCACAGCCUCUAUAGAUUUUGCUUGGGUUCAUAAGUUCAUUGCUUGUUCUCUAUGUUCCAUUAUCUACUAGAAAUGCUUCUCACUAUAUAUUUUCAAACAUGUUGGUUUCUACUAGCUAUGGUAUAUGCUUUCAAAGACAUUAGAUGAGGAGGCUGCUUGGAAGUUUGCAAAAGAGAAUGGGAUUGACAUGGUUACAAUAAAUCCAAGGGGGGGUGAUUGGCCCUCUCUUACAGCCUACUCUUAAUCUAAGUGUGGAGGAAGUUCUGAAGCCACUAAAAGGUACGCUUCAACAAUUGAUGAGAAUCUCUUUUUUAUGUUUAUCUUUCUACUCCAGUAGCAAUACAUGCUUCACUUCAAUAUUGAGUCAACUCUAUCCAACAGCCCUGCAAAUGGAAACUUAGAAGUUUAAAUCGAAACUUAUCAAUAAACCGUCACAAGACUUCCACAGUUCCACAUAAAAGGACUACAUAUGCAUUUUGAUAUAUGCUGACUAAUCUUCUAACAUUAAAAAAUUGUUCUCUUCUCUGGUCAUUAUAGUUAUAUCACCAAGAUACUCAUUUGGGAGAUUUGCAUAUGAGAUUAGAUGAAGAUAUAUUUUGUUUUGGUCUCCUAAGCCAGACUGGUUUGGAAGGACCCCUGGACUGUGAAAGGACUAAAAGCAUGCGUAUGUAAUUACUAUCUUGAACUUAAGGUAUAUUUGCAUGCAAGUUCAAUCCAAGGCCAAGAACUUCUUAAAUAACCCAUUAAUCCUUUUGAUCCACCCCAUCUAAAUAUUAUUGCAGCUCAACAUAAUUAGCAUAAAGUGGGGGUUCCCCACAUCCAACUCCAUUGCAAAUGAGUUGUUCAUGUGCAACUCACUUGAUCAGUAUUUUUAAAAACUUCUACUAACUUUUUUGGACUAUUUUACAGAUCUUAACAUUCUUUAAACAUUUAGAAUCAUUUCUAGUGGCUUUAUAGGGAAAUAUCAUGUUACUUUAUUGACAACUCUUACAAUAAUCAAUACUUCCAUAACUGUAUAGCCAAUAUGGUUUGUUUACUUACUAACCAACCUCUUCUGCCUCCAACUGACCUCCCAUGUAUCUUGCUUCAAUUAUGAGGGUGUUGCCAUUAGGUUGAGAAUUGGACAUAUGAUAAACCUGUGCCUUGAUGGUUGUACUCUGAUUCAUGGAUCCAGACCAUUGUAAUUGGGAUUAGACUUGUUGGUAGUUGCUUUAGUUCAAUGCUUGCAAUGACCAAAGUAAUUUGUCGUGCUGCUUUAGAACCAUUCGAUCUUUCAUAUGAAAUAAGAAAGGUAUUUUGUACAAAAUAAUGUUUUCACUUGUAAUUUCCAACAUUACAUAAGGCGAUAAAUAGAAGUGUAUUUGCUAAGUGUGAUUGCAUCAUUUUCUAAGCGUUUCCGUUUGAGACAAACAGUCUAAGAUGAAAAUGUGUGCUUCAAAAAUUUCUAGCUGUAAUACUUUUGAGAUUGUGCCAAAAGCUGGUGGUCGUUCUUCUUCUAUGAAUCAGUUGACAAUGACUAUAAAUAAAUAAAUGGAAAAACAUCAUAUUAUCACUGAGCAGAUUGCACACUAAACUUAAAUAGGCAACAGAAACUGAUGCUUUCAGUACACUUACAUAAUACUUGUGAUGUAAGCUUCUGAGAUUUGUUUGCUGCAGGAGAUACAUUUCCCAAUAAAGCACAUUGAUGGGUUGAUGUUAGAGAUGUUGCCAUGGCACAUAUUCAAGCAUAUGAGCUUCCAAUGGCUAGAGGCAGAUACUGUUUAGUAGGGAGUGAGCUUCCAAUGGCUAGAGGCAGAUACUGUUUAGUAGGGAGCAUUUUACACUGUUCUGAGACAAUGAAGAUUUUGCAGAAGCUCUACCCUGCUUUAAACCUACCUGAGAAGUAAGAUUUUAUUAUUUGCAGGGCAUUAUUUCUAGUUUGCGUUAGUGCCCUUUGAAAUCAAUAUUGCAGCUUAGGCAAUGUUACUUUUUUUUUUGUUUAUUUUGGGUUUUUCUUUUAUUUUUUGAUAGGCUUAAUAUAUACAUAUUCUGUAAAGAAGUACCUAGAAAAAGGGGCACAACUCCGGUGCAAGUAGUAGUAUGAAAGUAGCACUAAAAUGUAAAAAUUAAAAACAAAAGGAAACAACUACAUCAGGAAGGCAACAGACACAAUAAAACAAGUAACCUGCAUUGGAUGAAUAUGUGAUACAUUGAUUUCAUCAUUUGGUUGCACAGACAACACCAAUUGACGAUAGACUAAACUAAGAAACAGUUGUUCUAAUAAGACUGAAACAACACCAUCAACAAAUUAUUGAGAUUUUCACAAAAGGCAUUGCCUUGAGAAUCAAACCUUGGAGAGGUGAAUCCUCUCCAUCUGAAUGAGCUGGGAAGCUGCAAAUUCACCUACCUUGUCGGUCUGUGUUAUCCUCUAUGAUGUGCCAGUGAAUCCAGUAGGAUGUAGCUUGCAUUUACUUGGGCCAUGGCUGGACCACUGUCUUUAAAUACUGUUGUAUGGUUGAAAUAUUUCACAUGCAUGUGUAGCCUUUCUCCAUUCACGGUGGUCAUAAUGGCACGUCUAUGCUAUUUCAACACAUCGCCUUCUUAUGAAUUGCAUCCGAUUCUUAAUAUGUUAUCAAAGUGCUAAGGAUCUAAAAGUACUUCAGUGAUCGGGGCUAAGGAAUUUUCUGAUUUAUAUUAUUUAUUAUGUUUUGGCUUAUCAUAUCCACAAAUGUGUUUUCAAACUUCUAUCAUCAAUAUUGACCUUGGUGGAGUUCCUUCAGAUUCACUGAAUACUUUCUGCCAUUUAGGUCUAGUUAAACCCAUAUUUCAUUCUUCUAGUACAAAAGAACUAAUCCCCAUUGCUUGGGGAUCUUCUCAAUUACCCAAAGAGAUGUGUUUUAAGCUUCAGGUCCGUGUCCUGAGAGUUUUCUUUUCUUCAAUACCAGUCAUUUCACUGAUUGAUUAAGAAACUGUGUUUCUGUUUUAUUUGUGGCAGAUGUGCAGACGACAAGCCUUAUGAACCAACCCAUAUGGUGUCCCAGGAGAAAACUAAAAGUUUGGGCAUCGACUUCACUCCUCUGGAGGAGAGCCUGAAGGACACUGUGGAAAGCUUGAGGGAGAGGAACUUUGUCAGUUUCUGACACAUGGUAUAGCCAUGCAAAUGAAUCAUAAACAAAAAAUGGUGUCUUCUUGGUAACUUCAUUGUUAAGUGUGUUGGAGUCAUGUAUUUUCUAAUAUGUUCAUGGUAAGCAAUUCCCAAGACAUGCUACAAGUUCUCCAAAAGAAAAACAACGACAUAUAAAAAGCGGUAACUUCUAUUUCUGCUUCUGCUCAACAACAAAAGCUAUCAACUAUCCUAAAUGGGCUCCAGGGAGAUUCGUAGACCUUAGGUCCCUUCCAAACUAGAUUUUUUGUUUGGGAAGUAACUGAGGAAGAUUUUCACUUGUCAUUAACUUAUGCAGAGGUUGGUAGCUAACGAACUAUGUAAGGGCAAUGUUCUUGAUUAUACCAUAUGUAAGGACACAGUGAGCUCUGCCUUUAGAAAUGUAGGCAGUGAGGUGGCAUGGUCCAUUAACUUCAUUCUGUGAUUGGCUGCUCAACCAUUCCAAAACAAGGGAAAAUUAUGCUUACUGAAGUUUUACUUUCUGUUGGGUUUGAUAGAAUCUCUGCUCAUUUUGUUUCUUAGAGUACUGAAAUGAUUAGAGACAAUAAGAUUGAAACCCCAAAUUUUUUUUAAUAACUGUUGAAUAUAAAUAUGUUUUAUAAAAAAUAAUUCUCACUAAUAAACCCCGGUAGUGCUUUUAUCAGAAAUGCUUAAGUUUCAAAUUUCAUUAUUUUAUUCUAAUUCUAAAAUUUUGUGCCUUAAACUUGAAUAAUGUUGAUAUGAGACUCAAUAGUAGUGAAGUAGUUUUCAAACUGCAAACUUAGAAACAAAAUUAUCAACCAAACCAAAACUUAAAAAAAUGCAAGUAUAAUUUCCAUCCUUGCAUGGUGAAAAAUUAUAGUAGCAUUUCAGUUUGUACCAAGCAGAUGAUCCAGAAUCAUGGAAUGGAGAACCAGGACUACUUCCAAAAAAAUAAAAAUAAAAAGGGAAGUCAAAGGCAAAUGGAUAUCCUUGUGGGAUGAAAACCGAGGGUAAAAGCAAGGGGAUGACGGAAGCUGACAGUGACCAAGGAGGUCAAAACGCUGACUCAUUCGCAUACGCUAGCAUUUAAAUUCACGUACGCAUUCGAAAACAGGUCACACUCUCUGUAUAUUGUCUCUAUAUACACCAAGUGUACAAGUGGAUAGCAUAGAUUUGAAGGUGAAAGUGAGUGGUCCAGGGAGAUGAAUAGUGGAGAAGGGGAGGUGGUGUGCGUGACUGGAGCUUCUGGGUUCAUAGCUUCAUGGCUGGUGAAGCUCCUACUCCAACACCGUUACACUGUCAAAGCUGUUAAAAAAUCUGGAGAAAGGAACUAAAACUUUCAGAAAAUAUUAGAGUACUGAGUUGGAGAAAGACACACACUAUAUUUCACCAAAGAGAAUGCCUAUUUAUAGGCUUACAACCAAACUGAAAAUGCUAAAAACUCUCAGCUGCUAUGACUACUUCUACUAACAGAAAAACUGAAAAUCAGAGAUAGCAAAACAGAGACUAAGUCUAACUAAGACAUUUUCAAAGGCAAACUCUCAUGAAUUCUAACACUCCUCCUUGAGAUUUGCCUUGGACAUACCAAGCUUCAACCUUAGGAACUCCAGCCUUGAUUUAGGAAGUCCUUUAGUCAUUAUGUCAGCAAGUUGCUCAUCAGUUGAGCAAUAAUGCAGCUUAACAAGUGAAUUCUUUUCAGCUUCCCUUAUGGAGUGGAAUUUUAAAUUUAUGUGCUUGGUUCUGCCAUGAUGGACAGGAUUUUGAGCAAUGGAAAUGGCUGACUUAUUGUCACAGAAAAGCUCAGUUGGUGAGCUUUGUUCUUGGCCUAAAUCAGCAAGCAAUUUUCUCAACCAUAUUGCUUGAUUUGCAGCAGCUACUAAGGAGAUAUACUCAGCUUCUGUAGUUGAUUGUGCCGCUACUUCUUGCUUUCUUGAAUUCCAGCAUAUGACACCUGAACCGAUUGUAAAUACAUAACCUAAAGUGCUCUUCAUAUCAUCAACACUUCCUGCCCAAUCACUAUCAGCAUAACCAUCUAGCUUAACUCCUCCUGUCUUUAAAUACCAAAUGCCAAGAUUUGUUGUACCUUUAACAUACUUUAGCACCCUCUUUGCAACUCCCAUGUGAACAUUGCUAGGUAAACUCAUGAACCUUGAAAGCAAACUAGCUAGAAACAUCAAGUCAGGUCUGGUUACUGUCAAGUAUAGUAGGCUGCCCACCAAGCUUCUAUAUGCAGAGGGUUCCUCAAGUUUCUCACCAUCAUUCUUUGAAAUUUUCUCAUUUUGUGCCAGCGGAGUUGCUACUUCUUUGCAUGAUUCUAGCUUGAAUUUCUUGAGAAUAUCCAUAACAUAUUUUCUUUGUGAAAUGAAGAUACCCCAGCUGCAUUGGUAUAUUUCCAUUCCAAGGAAGUAGUUCAUGAUGCCAAGGUCAGACAUCUCAAAUACAUCUUGCAUUUCCAUUUUGAAAUCAGCUAGCAAUUUUACAUUGCUUCCGGUCACUAGCAUGUCAUCAACAUAAAGUGAUACUACCAGUUGCAAACCAUCAUCAUUUUGUUUCAAAUACAAAGUAGCUUCAUUUUCACUCCUCCUAAAUCCAAGUUGGAUCAGAUGAGAAUCAAUUCUGCUAUACCAGGCCCUUGGUGCUUGCUUCAAACCAUAGAGAGCCUUAUGUAGCUUGUACACUUUGUGUUCAUGGCCAAUAACCUCAAAGCCUUCUGGUUGUUGAACAUAAAUUUCUUCAAGAAGUAUACCAUUUAGAAAAGCUGACUUGACAUCUAAAUGGUACACUUUCCAUCCCAUUUGACCAGCAAGUGCAAGUAGUAGCCUUAUAGUGUCAUGUCUGGCUACUGGUGCAAAUGUAUCACCAUAGUCCACUCCAGCAACUUGAGCAAAACCCUUCACAACCAAUCUAGCCUUGUGCCUGAAGAUUGAACCAUCUGAAUUAAAUUUAGUUCUGAAAACCCACUUUACACCAAUUGCAUUCUUAGCUUCAGGUAGUUCUGUCAACUUCCAGGUUCCAUUUCUUUCAAUAGCAUCAAUUUCAGCUUUCAUGGCCUCAAUCCAUUCUAGAAAUCUUGCAGCUUCCGUGUAACAUGUAGGCUCAACAUGUACAAGAUUGCACCUCUCGUACACAUCAGAUAAUGGCCUCAUCUUAAGCACUGGUGUGUCUGAAGUUGCUUCAACAUCAAGUGGACCUUCAAUGAUUGUACUUUCUAUUGCUGGUUCAAGAAUAGAUGGAGUGGUUUGAUCACAUUUAUGAACUUUCUUCAAGUCCCAAUUCCAAUAGGAGUUUUCAUCAAAGUGCACAUCUCUACUUAUCACGAUUUUCAUUCUACUCAAGCUAUAAAUUCUGUAACCUUUUGAUUCUGCUACAUAACCAACAAAGACACCUUUCUCAGCUCUUUCAUCAAGCUUCCCUCUCUUGACAGAUGGCACAUGAAGAUAACAAAAUGAGCCAAAAACUUUCAGGUGCUUGACAGAAGGUUUUACACCAGACCAUGCCUCUAUUGGUGUUUUGCUCUGAACAGACUUAGUUGGUAGUCUGUUAAGCAAAUACACUGAGGUGUUGACUGCUUCAGCCCAUAGAAGCUUUGGUAGCUUCUUCUCGAAUAGCAUGCACCUUGCCAUCUCCAUCACGGUUCUGUUCUUCCUCUUAGAGACUCCAUUCUGCUGUGGUGAGUAUGGAGCUGUUAGCUGGUGUACAAUUCCAGCUUCUUGACAAAAGACACUAAACUCUUUUGAGGUAUACUCACCUCCAUUAUCAGUUCUGAGCACCUUAACAUUCUGGCCACUUUGAGUUUCAACCAUUUUCUUGAAGCUUUUGAACAUAGAGAGCACUUGUGACUUGGUUUUUAGAAAAUAAACCCAAGUCAUUCUGCUGAAAUCAUCAAUAAAUAGUGCAAAAUACACAUUGUUGCUCAAUGAGGUUGUGCUCAUUGGUCCACAAAUAUCUGAAUGGAUUAAUUCCAGCUUGUGAGUAGCUCUCUUGGACAUAUUUUGAGGGAAUGGCUGUCGUUGUUGCUUCCCUAGCUCACAACUUUCACAAGUUUGAGCAUUAACUGAGAUUUCAGGCAUGUCUUCAACCAUACCAGCUUCUUGCAUGAACCUCAGUGACUUCAAGUUGAAAUGACCAUAUCUUUUGUGCCAAACAACACUCUCAUCAAUCUUGGCACUAAAGACAUGACCUUCAACUAAAUCAAGCUUCAAAUAAAAACUAUUUCCAUUCAUUUUAAUUUUUGCUAUCUUUGUUCCGUGUACAUCAGAGAUAAAACAAAAAUUUUCUUUGAAAGAGACUGCAUAUCCAUUUCUUAGCAUUUGUGCAACACUAAGAAGAUUCUGAUCUAAAUCUGGAAUAUAAAGAACAUUAGUGACAAUUUUUGUACCUCUCUUGGUGCUGAUAGCAAUUGUCCCUUUUCCUUUGGCUUGCACAACUUCACCAUUUCCCAACUUGACCUUUGGUUGAACUGAUCUAUCAAUGGAGGUAAAUAUUGACAGAUGUUUGGUCAUGUGACUCGUGCAGCCACUGUCAAUGAGCCAAGUAUUCAGUUCAUGAGAACUGAGUGCUUGUGAUGCCAUAAAUAAAUGCUCAUCAUCAUUUUUGUCUUCUUCAGUCACACUUGCAUGUUGUUCUGGUUGGUGUUGAGAUUGUUUUUUUUUGGCUCUGCAAUACUUCUCACUGUGGCCAAGUUUAUUGCAGAAGUUACAAUUAAAGAGAGGUUUACCUUUGUGCCAACAAUCUUUCUCAGCAUGGUUGGUUCUUUUACAAUGAGAGCAAGGCGAAAAUUUUCCUUUUCUUGAAGACCCUUCAGCUUUCCCUCUACUGUUCUUGAAGAACUUCUUUCCUUGCAAGUUUCCAGAAUUCUUUCCCUUGUGAUUUGCUUGAAAAGCACCUUCAGUAGCUUCAUCACCUCUCAUUAAGACCCUUUGCUCCUGUGCAUGAAGCUUGCUGGUUAACUCUACAAUUGUGAGAGUUUGCAAGUCACAAGACUCUUCAAUUACAGAAAUCUUGGCUUCAAACUUUUGAGGCACUGAAACCAUGAUCUUUUCUACCACCUUUUGAUUUGUAAAUGCCUCACCAAGAAGCCGCAUUUGGUUUACAACAUCCAUUAACCUGCCAGAAUAAUCUUUGACAGAUUCGUCGUCUUUCAUCUUCAUCAACUCAAACUCUCUCUUCAAUGUGAGGAGUCUAACAUUUUUGACUCUUUCACUGCCAUCAAAUUCACCCUGGAGCUUGUCCCAUACCUGUUUAGGUGUUUCCAAGUUCAUGAUUUUGGUGAAGAUGUGGUCUGCAAGUCCUGAAUGUAGGCAAGUGAUGACUUUGUCUUUCUUGAGUUUUUCUUCCUCAUAUGCUUUCAUCUGAGCAACUGUAGGAUUUGCUCCCAAUGGUGGUGGAUCAGCUUCUGACAUCACAACAUUCCACAAACCUUGAGACCUUAAGUAAAACCUCAUCUUGACAGCCCAAAUGUGAUAGUGUUCACCAUUAAACACUGGAAUUACAGAGGAAAUAUUGCUAGAAGGAGUCAUGUUUGCACCACAGUUGCCUGAAAAAAUAGAUCACUCAACCUCACUAGUGUUUGCACUCAACCUCACUGUGUUUAGUACUCAAAACACUCAAAAACUUUGCCUCACAGCCCGUAGGAAUUUUGCUCUGAUACCACUGUUAAAAAAUCUGGAGAAAGGAACUAAAACUUUCAGAAAAUAUUAGAGUACUGAGUUGGAGAAAGACACACACUAUAUUUCACCAAAGAGAAUGCCUAUUUAUAGGCUUACAACCAAACUGAAAAUGCUAAAAACUCUCAGCUGCUAUGACUACUUCUACUAACAGAAAAACUGAAAAUCAGAGAUAGCAAAACAGAGACUAAGUCUAACUAAGACAUUUUCAAAGGCAAACUCUCAUGAAUUCUAACAAAAGCAACCGUUCGAGAUCCAAGUCAGUUCUCUAUCUCAACCUUCGAGGGCAUAUUCACUUAUAUGUGCUUCCAUUUAACACACUAGUUGUGCUUACAUUGAUAUGUAUAUAUGCGACAGAUGAUCCAAAGAAGACACAACACUUGCUUUCACUCGAUGGAGCUCAGGAAAGACUUCAUUUAUUCAAAGCGGACUUAUUGGAAGAAGGGUCUUUUGAUUCUGCAGUUGAGGGAUGUAAUGGUGUUUUUCAUACUGCAUCCCCUGUUGCAUUGGAAGACAUUAACCCUCAGGUUCAUCCUACACUACUUUAUAUCCAUGGUUUGAGGUUGUUCAUUAAUGAUCUUGAACCUUCAUGGUCUAUAUUUCAAUCCAUACUAAUGGUGUUUUCCACCGAUGAAUCACUUGACAAUAUCCAAGAAAAUGAAUGACAGAACAUCAAAAUAUUCACAAGCAAAUUGCAUACUUUAUAUCAAGAUAUUUGAAAUUUGUUUGUUGCAGGAGCUCAAACAUUUCCCAAUAUAUCAUCCUAGUGGGUUGAUGUUAGAGAUGUUGCCAAUGCACACAUUCAAGCAUAUGAGAUCCCAAAAGCUAGUGGAAGAUACUGCUUAGUAGAGAGGGAUUUACACUAUCUUGAGACACUGAAGAUUUUGCGCAAGCUCUACACUAGAUUACCUCUACCUGAAAAGUAAGUUUCUAUUAGUUAUUUCUAGUGCUCGUUAGUGCCAUCAUUAGAAGCAAGUGAGACCAACAUGAUAUUACUUCUUAUUGUUCCAUUGGAUACAUUGAAGAGUACCUGCCAUCUUGUUUCCCCUUAAAUAUUUAUGCCUUGGUAUCAUGCAAAAAAUUCUUAGAUGGGACCCACACGUCUUUGAUAAUUGGUUGCAGAUGCGCAGAUGACAAACCUUAUGCACCAUCCUCCCAGGUAUACCAAGAGAAAGCAAAGAGUUUAGGCAUUCACUUCACUCCUCUAGAGGUGAGCCUGAAGGAUACAGUUGAAAGCUUGAAGGGGAAGAACUUUGUCAGUUUCUGACUCAUGGUAUUUAAUGCUAGACUUGCAACUAAAUCAUAAACUAAUGGUGCUUUCCUGCUAAUUUUAUUGUUAUGAACCUCACUGCACCUAUGAUUUGCUAGGUUUUGGGGCUUUUAUCUUAUAAUAUUUGAUUGUAAGCAUUUCUUAUGCUAGAAAUUGGUAUCUGUAUCAACUAUAAGUUUCCCUGUUCAAGUUUCCUAUUCGUGUUAGAAUAAGGUGAAACUAAAUCACACUUAGGAAGAGGGAAUUAGUCCAAGUGGAUUAUAAGGGUCCAAGAAUGGAAUCAGUCGAUGGAAGUGGUAGAAUAUAUUGAACAAAAUUAUAUAUACUACAGUAAGACACAAAACCGAAAAUUGCUUCAUAUUAAUAAUUAAAAGACAUAGGAAACAACAGGCUUGUGUCCUUGAGCAUCAACCCCAUUAUUCCACUAGCCAUGUGAUACGAAAUCCCUGCUCCAACUCCUAUUUGCUUGUAGAUCAUAGUUAUGUGGGCAACACCAACUCCUAUUUACUUGCAGAUCACAGUUACAUGGGCAACACCUCAACACCUGGCUUGAAUUUCGAUUUGUUGCUACUUUCCUAGUCUUAGGCCACUAUUUGUGUUUCAGUUGUCUGUGCAUCUAUAAAUGCACCUGCAUGAAGUGAAUAAAGGAAAAAACUUCUAUCUCCUAUCUCUCUUGUCCUCUCUCAAAUUAAACUCAUCAUUUGGUAUCAGAGCCAGGUUUAUUCAUGGACACACAAGGGAAAACCAAUGUUGAGUUUCGCAAUAAGGUCAACGAAGCCUUGGCCCGAUGUGAGUCAAGUUUUGAUCAGGUGAAUGCCACUCUAUAGAUGGUUUUGAUGGAGCUCCAAGCUUUGCGAGUAACUCAAAGUUCCAGCCACCCCCAAUCAGAAAUCAACCCCUUUGCACCAGAGGGAUCAACCCACCACUUGCACACCGCUAUCGUAACCACCAAUACUGACCCAUAUCUUCAACAACACCUCAAGCUAAAUUUUCCCAGAUUCAAUGGGGAAGACCCAAUCAGUUGGAUCUAUAGGGCUGAAUAAUAUUUUGAGUUUCAGAAAAUUGCAGUUGAAACCCAAGUUCAGUUUGCCUCCUUCCAUUUUGAAGGAAUCGCACUCCAAUGGCACUGCUGGUUGAUGAAGUUUCGAGGACCCCUUUCUUGGAAUGAUUUCACCAAGACCAUUCUCCUCAGGUUCGGUUCUACCAAAUAUGAAGACCCUUCUGAAGCAUUGUCCCGCCUAAAGCAGACAACUACAGUGGCUACAUACUAGGAGGCAUUUGAGAGACUCUCCCAUCAGGUCGACGGAUUACCUGAGCCAUUUCUCAUCGAUUGCUUUAUUGCAAGGCUGUGUGAUGACAUUUGCCUAGACGUCAAGAUUAAGCAACCACGCACGCUUGUAGCCGCCAUUGGAGUGGCAAGACUAAUUGAAGAGCGCAAUCUCCUUCAAAAGAAAACAACAACUCCUAGUCGUAUCCCAAUGACGACGACGCUACAAAAUGGACCCAACCCUCCAGUGGGAAUUCUUGGCCCCAAUCCAACCCAACAGUCCAACAAUAGCUCAAAUCCUUCCUUAAUGUUAGUUCUUCGAAUCACCAGUCAGGAGGCUCAUGAGCGGAGGGAGAAGAGAUUAUGCUACUAUUGCAAUGAGAAAUACUUCCAAGGACACCGAUGCGAACGACCCUAGUUUUUCAUGAUCGUAGAUACACCACUAGAGGAGGAAGAAACUCUAGACGACAACCAGUAAGGAAUAAAAGAGAUUAACACCUUACCCGAGAUAUCAUUCCAUGCCAUUACCAGGGGUGAACACCUGCAGACUCUCCGUGUUCUAGGCCGAUUGAAGAACAAGUACCUAACUGUCUUGAUCGAUGACAACAACACUCAUAAUUUCAUCGAUCAAAUAGUUGUCUCCAGAUUCGGAUUGCUAGUAGUAAGGGAGAAGAAAAUCCAGGUGGUCGUGGCGAAUCAAGAAUGGAUCGAGUGUAUGGGGCAAUUUCUAGGACUUACGCUCAUCAUCCAAGAAAUUCCUGUCACUGCAGACUACUACAUCCUACCAAUGGCAGCUUGUCAGGUGGUCUUGGGGGUCCAGUGGUUGGAGACUCUAGGUUCAAUUGAAUCAGACUAUAAGGCUCUCACUAUGUCAUUUAAAUUGGGAGGCGCUAGGCACACUUUCCAUGGGGUAAGAUGCAUUGUUGUAAUUUUUAACAUUAAGGCUUUGGAUGACAGGGAAUGUACAAAUCUACGGGGCACAUGAUUUUUUUUUUCAAAUUAUUCCUGUCCAUAACCAGUCCCCUUCACAUCGACGAUCGCCAGAAAUGGAAGAGUUGUUGAACCAAUAUGCUCGGGUUUUCGAGAAGCCAAACAACCUGCCUUCCAAACGCCAUAUGAUCAUCGAAUUCCACUACUGCCCAACAUCGAACUAGUUAGUGUGAGACCAUACUGAUAUUCCUACUACCAGAAGGUAGAAAUAGAGCGGAUGGUGGUUAAAAUCCUUUGUUCAGGACUAAUUAGACCAAGUACUAGCCCUUUCUCCUCACCAGUGUUGUUGGUCAAAAAGGUAGAUGGAUCUUGGAGGUUUUGUGUCAACUACAGGGCUUUGAAUAGUAUCACCAUCAAGGACAAGUACCCUAUUCCAAUGAUUGAUGAGUUAUUGAAUGAACUCUAUGGGGCCAAGUUCUUCUCUAAAUUGGAUUAAAGAUUAGGAUACCACCAAAUCCGAAUGCAAGCAGAAGAUAUUCUGAAGACUUCCUUUAGGACCCACAAAGGACACUAUGAAUUCGUGGUCAUGCCCUUCGGGCUAACCAAUGCCCUAACAACUUUUCAAGGCCUCACGAACGAUUUUUUUUUGUUCCCAUCUCUGGAAAUUCAUCCUCGUAUUCUUCAACGACAUAUUGGUAUACUCCAAGUCUUGGAAGGAUCAUUUAUUGCAUCUACAGAUUGUUUUUGAUAUACUGUCCAUUAACCAACUAUUUGUCAAAGAAUUAAAAUGUCAAUUUGGAGUUACACAGGUCACCUACCUAGGCCAUAUUAUUAUAGAAAAAAGAAUAUUUGUUGACCCCAAGAAAAUACAAGCAGUAGUCACUUAGCCUAAGCCCACUACAACCAAAGAAGUACGUGGGUUCUUACGCUUAGCAGGGUACUAUAAAAAAUUCAAAAGCCAUUUUGGCAGCAUGGUAGCAUCCUUAACCAAACUCCUGACCAAGGACCAAUUCGAGUGGAGCAGUGAAGCAAAAGACGCCUUCCACAAAUUAAAAGAGGCAUUGACCAAUCCACCAACCUUACGUUUUCCAAACUUCACUCAACGGUUUGUGAUCGAAUGUGAUGCAAGUAGGACCGGGAUAGGGGCAAUUCUUACUCAAUACAACGACCCUGUGGCUUAUUUCAGCGAAACUUUAAAAAGAUCUGCUUUGGCACUAUCCACCUAUGAGAAAGAAAUCACUAUAAGAAAAAACGCUAACCAUGACGCUUUUUAAGUGUCAAGAAAUACAUUCAAUGGCGCUUCCCCAAAGCAUCAUCUACUAGCCUGUCAUAAUAAGUAUUUGCCUACAAUGACGCUUCUAGAAAACGUCAUUGAAAAGAACCUUGACGCGUAAAAAAAGUGUCAUCAUUAGUCAUAUCAAACUACAUUGACACUUUUAUAAGCGUCAUUGUUGAGUAGAAGAAACCUUGACACUUUCUAUAAGUGUCAUUGUUUAGCAGUUUCAAAUAUUAAAGUAUAAGGACACUUCUAGAAAGCGCCAUUAAAGAGAACCUUGACACUAAAAAAAGUGCCAUUGUUAGUUGUUUACACUACCUUGACACAUUUAUUAGUGCCAUUAUUGGGUUGUAUAAAUGUUAUUGAUGGUUACUCUCAUUCCUUGAAACUUAGUCAAAACAUCAAGGAAGAUAAUUGUUUAAUUUUAAAUUUAGUUUUAAUUUAAUAAUUGUUGCACCUAAUUUUUCACCUGCUAUUAAAAUAAUGCAUACACAUAAGAAAAAAAGUAUGUACCAAUGAAAUUAGUUGUUGCACCUAAUUUUUCACCUGGUAAUACAUUCCAAAUUGCAGUAUUUAAUCACAAAUAGAGAACUUGUAUUUCAUAAAUAAGAAACACAAAAAAAAAAAGCUAAAAUAUAUUAAAAAAACAAAAAAAAUUCACAACUUUAAUGUUUAGUCCCUUAACAUAGUCCAUUUUUUCUUUACAUGCAACCCAAUUGUGCUUUGCUUCAACAUACUCCUUCAUACUAGCUUAUCCAACUACAAGGUUAAUUUCCCAAAAAGAUGACCUACAUGCACAAAAAACCUAAAAUCAAUUACAAUUUUAGAAAAUAUAUAUAUAUAUACAAGUGAAUACUUCUAGAAAUAGAGAGAAAGAAAUGACAAUCAAAAUAUAAUAGGAAAACAAAUGUGUAUACCAAUUGAUAUAUGUGACACUAAGAAUAAUUACAACAAAAUUACUAUCAAUAGUUAAAACACAAAGCAAGAGAUUAAUCAAAUAAGGGACAAGAGAACAUCAACAUCAAUAAUCCAUUAAAUCUUUUAGCCCAAAAGAAAAUAGAAAAACAAACCAAGUUUGGGACAAGAGAAUAUCAACAUCAAUAGUCCAUUAAAAUAUUCAAUUAGACAUCAUCUAAUAGUAAUAGGCCUCAUCGAAUGCGCAACAUUGACAAAGAAAGGUUUGGGAAUAUGGUGUAACAUGAAAUAAAUAAGGUUCACACCAUGAUACUUUAUCAACUAAGUUUUUUGUUAAGUUAAAAGAAUUAACAUUUCCCACCAUCUGAGAUGCAUUGCAACAUUGCAUCCAAAAUAGUAGCCAAUUGUAUCAUACUUAUCAUUCAUCUUAUUUAUCACUAUCAAGGCUAGCAACAACUAUAUAAAUUCCACAACCUAAUAAUAAAUAAAUUGGCCUGUAUAAAAAAUGUAGAGAAGAAUAUCUGCAACUUAAUAGAAGAUAAACAUCUUCUAAUGAUGAACACAUAGUAUUCACAAAGCCAUAGGUGUUUACACAUACACAUAAAUAAAUAAAUAAGCAAAUAGUAUUCACAUAAACAUGAAAAAAUCCAAUGAAAAGUAUAGAUGUUUCUUCAAUGGGACUUCAAAGCCAUAGGACAAAUAGUAGACUAUAUCUUCUAUGUAAUUUUAACUGAAAGAAAAAUUGCAAAUAUCCUAUAACACAGUUGAAAUUCCAAGAUUGAUCCACCUACUAAAAUUAGUUAUAUUAUUUAAUAAUAAAAUUUUUUAAAAUAUACUACAUUUAUAGAAAUAUUAAACAAUUUUCCACUUCAUAAAAGUAGUGCAUAAUAUUUAUUAUCAAAAUAAAGGAGAAUAUUUUUUUUUACUUCUAUUAUAGAAAAUAAAGAUUACAUACAAAAGACUUGUCUUCUCAUCAAGUACCAUAUUUAGAUUUGUAAAUAAUCAAUUUUUUUUUAUAUAUAAAGUACCCAAUUAUACUUCCAAAUUCAUGAACAAGUUUGAAUCAUGUUUUCAAGAAAGAAAAAACCUAAAACAAAAAAACAAAAAAAACAACAAAAUAGAAAAGGCAUUGCUUUAUGAAAUAGUUUAGAAGAGUCAAUUCUUUCAAGGAGUACAAGACUCCACUUAAAAUAGCAAUAAUUUUUAAUUUCCAAAAACCCACAUAGGUCUUGACACAGGUUCAGCCAAAUGACAUAACCCAUGGCCAAUGAGAGAGCCCAGUUCAAGCCAUAUUGCAACUUUUUUCACAUGACCACAUGAAAUUUAAAAGCACUCACCUUCCUCAAAAUAACAACAUCAAGAUCGAUUUGCUCUAUUGUUAAUUCUUCAACUUCUAAAACAGCUUUUGGAAUAACUUGGUAAAAAAUUUGACAUAAUCUCUGACUGCACAUACAAUUUUAUUAUUCACUUAUUACAUGCCCAAAUUAACAACAUUAUUUGCAACAUGAAUGAAAAAAGAGAAAGAUGGAAAGGAACAAAGCCCAAAAAGAAACAAUACUAUAAAUCUUUUAAUGUCCUUAAGAAGUGAAAUUAUAUAUUUUAUUCAACAUCCCACACACAGAAAAAAUAAAACUGAAAAUGCAUUACUAAAAUCAAUUAAUCAUGGCAUAACCAAUUUUCUAACAGCCCAAUACAUAUUUAUGAUUCUGCAUUUUUAGAGAGAGAAAACGCAUGGAGUAGAAAGAGGGAAAAGUGUGUACAUUGUCAUUUAGAGAAGAGCAACAACAAAAGAUUCAAAUUUGGAUUAAGAGUAUGUUACCUAAAAAAAUAAAUCAAAUUAAAUACAAUGAGCUAGCACCCUUGUUUUUUUUCCCUCUGCUUCUUCAUUAAUUAUCUUCCAUCAUCCUCAUUGACUAUUGUGUGUCAUUUUGUUGACCUACUUUUUUUUCUCUCAAUAUUUUAGAAUUUAAAAUAACAAAUAAUCUACCUAUAAUGAAAGAAAAAUAAAUUCAUUUUUAUUAAACAAUAUAACACCCUUUAAAUCAUUUUUAUUUCUCAAUAUUUCUAAAAGAUUGUUUCUUGUUAUAAAAGAUUAUUAUGUUUCUUGUACUAAGGAUUAUUACGAAAUUCAUAUUAAUCCAAAGUUAAGAAAAGGAGGAUAACAAUAAUAUAAUGUUUUUACUAUGAGUGUGUAUCAAAAAGUAAUUUAUUAGGAAUCAAAAAGUAGUGUAUGGAAACAAAAUCUGACUACAAGAUGAUUGAAAACUUUUGGGGCAAUAAUUUAUUAGGGAUAGUUCAAGUCCCAUCUCUUACAAAUUAGAACAUUGAAUCAAAAUAUCUUGGAGGAAAUAAAUACAAUCAAAAUUAUCAUGACACAUGAGACAACACUAACAAAAAAUAGAGAGGUUUUGUAUUCAGAGCAGUGCGACACAUUAGACCACAAAAUAAGCAAGCUUUGAAAGUACUUCUCCAUGAAGUUCGUGCUUAUGUAGCCUCCAACAGCUCUCCUCUUCCAUGCCAUUGGUUAACCACCAAACUUUGCUAAAUUCAAAAGCUAAGAUGUGAAAGAAAUUGCUAACAUUCUAAAAAUUCGCCCCAACCUUUAGGAAUUCAACAAUUGGACUUAAAGUUAAAAUUAUUCUCUACAGUGUACUAGCCCACAUCUAAUCCACAGCAAAAUCACAAGAAAUGCCUACAAUAAAUUUGUAAGUAUAAUUGUUUUUUAUUUAUUGACUUAAAUAUACUUAUCAUUUAAAAAUCUAAAAGCAACAAGGUUUCAGUGAUUUUAGAAAAAGUGAAUGUGUUACAAGAAAUAACAAUCCAAAGUUUAAUAUAUAGUAAUUAAAUUUUACUUCUAAUAAUAAUAAAAUUCAUAAUAAUUUUCAUAUUAGAAGAAUUGGAGAUAGUUAAUAAAAAAAAGAAGAAAAGAUAUAGAUUAAGUUGGAUAUAUAAUUAAUAAGAAUAAUCUAUAUAGUUAACACCUUUAAAGCAAUUUAUUUGUGCAUAUACAUUAAUUGAAAUUAAUAUACUUAUAAAAAAGUCAAAUUUAAUUAAUUUCUUGUCUUAAAUUAAGUUAGAUUAAUGAGCAUUUCUUAUGCUGUAAUUUAUCUUUGCUAUUAUUUUGUUAUAUUUGCUUCAUUAUUUUAUGAAUAAAACAUAUAUAGCAUUUUCAUAGCUAAGGUUAUUAAUGUAUAAAAAGAGAAAAAGGGAAACACUUACAUAGCAACACGCUUUCUUUUUCAGUUUCACAUUAAAAAUCUAAUUGUUCACAGUACCCAAGUUUCAUAUGUAUUCCCCCAUCCAAGUUUCAUAUGAUAAAAGAAAAAAGAAAAGAAAAUAUAAAAUUAUAAAUUAUGCAUAUAGAUAAAUACAUCUGAAAACCAUAAACUUAAUUGAAGCAUAUGAAUGUUAUGUAGUUAAUCUAGGAAACUAUAGGAUAAAACAAAAAAAAAAAAAAAAAAAAUAGUUGGAGAAUAUUCAGUCCACCAUGCAAGGCUGCUCGGCAUUCAGGUAUCGUUGGAAUUGUGCUUCAACUAGAAUUUUUAGUUACCUUAUAUUGUCUAUACCACAAAUCAAUCCAAGUCCAAAAUCACCAAUGCUAAUGCACAGAUAUCUCGAUUUUCCAUGCCAUUCGUGCAUGUGAGGAAGUAUUAUUGGUCAUGUUUUUCAUAAAAAUAAAAAAUAAAAAUUCACUUGUUACUGUUUGUCUAUGUGUUUCAAAACCUCAAUCUUUCUUAAUUUCUUUUCACUUCGAUUUAACCUUCUCCCACAUUAUUUAGAGAGGGGAAGUUCCCUAAAAUAGUCCUAUUGCAUGCAAAAAUAGACCAAAAAUGCAUCAUUGAGGAGAAAUAACCUUAUUUGAAGUUAAGUUCAUGAUUGCUAGUGAAUUAUUGGAGAAUUAGACUUAAAAGGUCUCACCUAGAAAGCCUAGUUGAGAUUUUCUGUCAUUGACAUUUUGGCCAUAGAUAACCAACACAUCUCCAAAAUGUACUAUUUCUAUUGAUUAUACACAGUUGGCAAUAGAAGUGAAUAACAAAAUGCCCAACAUGUACCGGCUAGACUACUUGGCAUUAGCAUUGGAAAUAAACAUGGAAUAUAAACAAGAAAAGAAGAAAUAAAAAUAAAUUGAAAAUAAUGAUAUAACACAUAUAGAUACAUAUUUUGGGGUUAAAUGUGACCCAUCUUCAAACAGUGGAGGAGCAGCAAGAAAAGAAAGAAAAAAAAAAAAAAGAGGAAUCUGACGACAAUCAGGAGUGUUGUUGAUCUGCAGAGACAAGUGUUUAAUCUAAUAGUCAAAAAAAUGGUUGCUCUUAAGAAUAGGCUUCUGCUUGCUCCCCAGAAAUUAUUAAAAGUCAUAACAAGAUAAAUUUCAUCUACUUCUCAACAAAACACUAAAGUUGAAUUCUUUUUUCAAAAUAAUAAUAAUAAUAGUCAUGGAGCCUCAAAUACAACCAAAACAGAGGAUUGGGGUUGAAUUGGGAAGAUUGCAAUUCCAAAUUAUAUCUUCCCGAUUUUACUUGGAUUUCUUAAUAAUAAAUGAAAACAUUGACACAAAACCACAAAAGAAUAAAGAAAUGAAAAUGAUAAAUUAAAAGAACCAAGCAAUAGAGACUUUGAUUUCUCGAGUGCGAAAUUGCGAAGGCUGUGACACCAUCAGAAAAAAAAUAAAAAAUUAUAGAAGCUUUACCUUCAGAAAAGGGAUUUACUUGUGCUGAUUAUUUGAAGGAGUUCCCAAUAUCUUGGUGGUGGCAAAUCAGUUAGGGCAUCUCACUACUGGAGAUCAUCUAUGAAAAAGGGUUAGGGCUUCUUCAUUUGAGAUUUCUCCAGUGAUGAAGGUUGUCCGUGGUAGUUGUUUUCUGGUGAAAAAUCAUCACAAUACCCAGUAAACAUAGAGAUUCAACUUACCAAUAAUAUUUAUUGAGGUUAUCGACUUAAUAGUAGAAGGAGCAUUCCAACUGGUAGUUUUUGUCCCCGAUGAGGCUACAGAUGGGUGUCUACUGGUUGCCAUUGAGUUCAUCAGUUGUCUUUGUUAUGGCUGCUGUUGGUAGAUUGCAAGGCUAGGGUUCUUAUCUAUAAUAUCGAUGGUUUGCGAGGUGGGAGAGAUUGGGAAAAUAGAAGUGUAUAUAUAGGCAUAGAGAUAAUGACAUUUAUUACAAGCGUUAAGGUUGGCAAAUUUUACUCUAGCAGACAAUGACACUCCAAAAAAAACAUCUUAUUUAAAGCGCCAAUGAAACCUUUGAAGAAGUGCCAAUAUUUAGGUAAAUUUCGUAAGCGUCAAUAUAUUUAUUCAAGAAGCGUCAUUGUUAGCCAAAUUUCUAUAAGUGCCAUGAUUAAUACAAUUCCUUGACAUUUUUUACCAGCGUCAAGAAAAUGAACGUCAUUGAAUACAUUUUUUGUAGUAGUGAAUGCUGGCAGUUGUCAAGGCAAUAAAAAAGUGAUGUUCCUACUUGUUGGGUAAACCAUUCACAGUUCGCACUAACCACCGGAGCCUUAAAUAUCUACUGGAGCAACGGAUUACCAUUCCCGUACAGACACGAUGGCUGCCCAAAAUCCUUGGGUAUGAUUAUACCAUUGAAUACAAGAAAUGGCCAAAUAAUCAAGUUGCAGACUCUUUAUCUCGUAGAGAAGAAGUCUAUUCCAUCUCAAUUUCUGUUCCAUGUGCAGAAUGGUGGCCAACACUUCAGAGAGAGGUCCUCCAGGACCAUUUUUACACCAACUUGGAGAAUAGGCGUGCUUCACAUAAACUUGUGUAGCGCAACGGGGUUUGGUUCUAUGAUGGGAAGGUUUAUCCGAGCCCUUCAUCCACCCCGCUCUUGUUGAUAUUGGAAGACAACCACUCUUCCCCAACAGGUGGUCACUUUGGGUUUCAUAAGACACUACACCGAAUUGGCAGAAGCUUUGUGUGGCCUAAUAUGUGAUUAAUGGUGAAGAAGUUUCUACAAACUUGUGAGGUGUGCCAACAAUACAAGGCCAAUUGUAUGAAACCAACAGGUCUCCUCCAACCCCUGUCGAUUCCAACUCAAAUAUGGUCAGAUAUUUUGAUGGGCUUCAUUGAAGGGUUGCCCAACUCCAAUGGUCAUUCUGUCACCAUGGUCGUUGUGGAUCGUCUAUCAAAAUAUGCCCACUUCAUCCAUCUUAAGCAUCCUUACAUGACGGUCAUAGUUGCAAAACCGUUUGUCUCUGGUUCAACUCCAUGGCAUUCCUACAUCCAUCGUCAAUAAUAGAGACAAGGUCUUCACAAGCACCUUUUGGUAGACCUUAUUCCAGUUGUAAGGGACUAAAUUGAAUAUGAGCUCCAGCUACCACCCACAAACUGAUGGCCAAAUUGAAGUUGUCAACUGCACCUUGGAGUAGUAUAUGUGGUGUUUUGCAAGACUACAACCGAAGAAAUGGAUAGAAUGGAUUCCAUGGGCAGAGUUUAGUUACAACACCUCCACCCAUUCCUCCACCAAAUUCAGCUCAUUCGAAACAGUUUAUGGGGUGCCUUCCCCAAGCUUCCUUUCUUACAUACCGGGCACAACUCGUGUUAUGGCGGUGGAUGAAUAUCUCCAAGAUCGGGAUGCAAUCUUGAAGGAGUUACGUCACAAUCUUUGGAUGGCACAAGAUAUAAUGAAAAGCCAUACAAACCAACGUGAUGAGAUAUUCAGUUCAAUGUUGGAGACUUCAUUUAUGUGAAGUUGCAGCCUUACUGCCAGACUUCAGUGGCUUUCAAGAAGUCUUUAAAACUUUCUCCUAUUUUUUUUGGCCCAUACCAAAUUAUAGAGAAGGUCGGACCAGUGGCUUAUAGACUAUUUCUUUCCGCCGGGUCCAACAUUCAUGACCUAUUUCACGUCAGCCUCUUAUGCAAGAAUUUGGGGUCAAUCACCCCCACAUCCGCUCAACUCCCACCAGUUUUGGACGCAUCCACACUAUUGCCACAACCGGAGUCCAUCCUAGCUCAGCGCGUGAUUCAUAAAGGGAAGAAUAGACCUAGCACCGAAUUUUUGGUGAAGUGGUUGGGCGCACCAAUUGAAGAUGCCACUUGGGAGAACACGUGGCGAUUCUCCAAAGCAUACUCGAAGUUCCAUCCUUAAGGACAAAGAUGCUUCGAGGAACAGGGAAAGAUAGGAAAUCCCUGCUCCAACUCCUAUUUGCUUGCAGAUCAUAGUUAUGUGGGCAACACCAACUCCUAUUUACUUGCAGAUCACAGUUACGUGGGUAACACCUCAACACCUGGCUUGAAUUUUGAUUUGUUGCUACUUCCCUAGUCUUAGGCCCUAUUUGUGUUUUAGUUGAUGUUUCAGUUGUCUGUGCAUCUAUAAAUGCACCUGCAUGAAGUCAAUAAAGGAUAACAAAAUUCAAAUCUUCUAUCUUCUAUCUCUCCUGUCCUCUCUCAAAUUAAACUCAUCAGCAUGUUGCCAUAGAAGUGGGUAUAAGGAAGCAUAUUUCGAUCAUCCAAGGACAUUGGGUUUGACUUCACCAACAAAGCUCAGAGUUGAUACAACAAACCAUGUAAACUUAAACCUGUUACUUCAUUGAAUGAGUGCCAUAAAAAAUGGUAAAUUUUUAAUGAUAGGAAAAAAAAAACUUAUUAGGCGUUUAUCAUUUCAAAAUUUUCAAAGAUAAUUAUUUUAAAAAUAUUGAGCAAUGUUUCUAAUUCUUCUAAAAUCAAAUCCCAAAUAAACUUCAAAAUUAUGAUAGCAUGUAAAUGACUGUAGAAUAACAUACCAUUAGGAUAUUCUUAAUUUGUGUGAAACAAUAAAAAAAAUAUCACCAUGCACCCAUUUUGACUCAAUUGCUUUGGACAACUCAUGAGUUUUUUUUUUUUUUUUAAAUAAAAAAAACCCUUGUCUUUUAAAAGGAAAAAGAAUCCAUAAGCCUAAGUUUGAACAUCAUAUUAAUGAGAUGAACAAGGUUUUGAAACAUUAAAAUUUUACAAAUUUGUUGAAGUGUGCCCAAACUACCUCUCAUAGGAACAACAGUAGAAUGACAUAAAGAAAACUAGGACUGUUUCACAAAAUCGAAGGAAUAUCUUUGUGGGAAGAGAAUAAAGAGAACAAAGAGGAUGCACAUAUUCAAAAUUUGUGGCUGAGCUAUUUAAACCUUUCAUUGAUACUGGUUGAGCUUCUCUCUGUAUUCGUAGGGUGUGUCCCCUCCUCUUUUGGCACUUUUUAAUGCAUGUUCUUGUUGUCUAUCAAAAAAAAAAUAUAUUGGUUGAUCUUCUUAAGAUUGACUCUUAACAGUUUUUCUCCAUUCUUAAUUUAUAAUCAAAAGACUGGCUGAGCUAUUUCUUUGUUCUUAUUGAGUUUUGAGAUGAACCCACAUGUGUUUGUCACUCAUGGAAGGUGUGCAGAUGACAAACCUUAUGUGCCAGCCUUCUAGGUGUCCUGGGAGAAAACCAAAAAGCUUAGGUAUUCACUUCACUCCGCUGGAGGUGCCUAAAGUAUACUGUAGAAAGCUUGAAGGAGAACCAGCUCAUCAGCUUAUGAGUCAAUUAUUUGGCUGUCAUUCAAACAAAUCACUAAUUAAUAAUGUACCCAAAAUACUAUCAUUGUUAUGAAAUAAAUUUGUGGCUAGGAUAGGCUGAUAGGUGCUAGAAAGAGACUGCUUGGGAAGAAUACCAAUCAGCAUUAGUAAGGCAUCUAUUGGAAAAAGACAUGACUUCAAACUCUUUUUUUAAUAAUUUCCAAUAAACAAAGAUGAGUUUUAUGUUUGUUGAAAUACUCAAACCUCCAAGCUUGUGAUAUAAAAUCAAAACACAAAUUCAAAAACUAAUUUGCAUGGGAAUUCAAGUAAUUAGAACAGAGCAUUAGCACCAGUUUGUGACAGCAAUUUUGCAUAGACUCUUUCUAAUGAGAGUUUGUAGGGGACAUGACCAUAUGUUCUUCACAAAAUUUGAUCUUAAGAUUCUUCUCCAAUCAAACUUCUCAGACAAAGGAUGGCUUUCAAUUCAUUGUUAAUCAACAUGAUCAUUUGAAGAUGUAGCAAGGUAUCUACUUACUUCAACCAAAUCACCAACUCUAAAGAAUAAAGGGAAAAGAACUUAUUUACUCUCCUUCCUUUAACCUUUUUCUUUGUCCCAUUCACAACAAUGGUAUUUUGCUUACACAAGUCACUUGAUUUUGCGCACACAACAUUUCAGUUGAAUUACCAACGAAUAAAGGAAGAUUGGAGAGGCUUUAACGCCCUUCUUUGGAAUAAAACUAUUCUUUGUUAAAUAUUCCAAUUUCUUUUCCCUGGGUUUGUGAGACCCACUUUUUGAUUUCCCCAUAAUAACUAUGAGAAUCCAAGGUCUGUAACCAGUUUCAGACCAAUUUCUUUUGUUUUUCUUGUUUCUACUUGAGAUUCUCCCUCUCUUUCCUUACAAAGAAACCAUGGAAGUUGUUGCAGAGGUUGUUCUCCUUGUUUCCCUUGAAGUGUUGUUUAGAAAAUUGGCCUCUUCUGAUGUCCUCAAGUUUGCACCCCAAGAGCAUGUCUAGACCCAACUCAAAAAAUGGGAGAAAAAAUUGUUAGAGAUUAAUGAAGUGUUGAAUGAUGCAGAGGAGAAGCAGAUCACCAAGCAGUCCGUGAAAGCAUGGUUGGGUGAUCUCAGGGAUUUGGCUUAUGAUAUGGAGAAAAUCUUGGACGAAUUCUCCUAUGAAGCUUUACGAAAAAAGUUGAUAGUUGAAGGCAAUAGGAGCAAGGUACGCAAGUUCAUCCCUAUUAAGGCUAUGCGUAAUGUUAUGAUGGGGUCCAAGAUUAAGGACAUCACUACUCGAUUAGAAGCUAUUUAUGCCCAAAAGGCUGAGCCUGGUUUGGACAAGGUGGCUGAUAUAACCCAGUCUACUUGGGAAAGGCCACUCACUACAUCACUGGUAUACGAACCUUGGGUUUAUGGCAGGGAUGUUGAUAAACAGAUUAUCAUUGAUAUGCUGCCUAGGGAUGAACCCAUUCAAACCAAUGUUUCUGUAAUUUCCAUUGUGGCCAUGGGUGGUAUGGGCAAGACCACAUUAGCAAGGUUGGUGUACGAUGAUGCUGAGACAACCAAGCAUUUUAACGUAAAAGCCUGGGCUUCUGUAUCAGAUUAGUUUGAUGUAGUGAGAAUAACCAAGACAAUCCUCAGAUCAGUCACUUGUUCAAGUGAUGAUUUGCUAGACUUCAAUCAAAUUCAAGAUAGAUUGAAAGAGGAACUGAAGGGGAAAAAAUUUCUUUUGGUUAUAGAUGAUAUAUGGAACGAGAAUUAUGAUGAUUGAAAUUGCUUGCGGUCCCCUUUAUGGUCAGAAGCACCAUGAAGCAAAAUCAUAAUUACUACACGGAGUAAAAAUGUUGCAAAUAUGAUGGGAGGAAAUAAAAACUUUUAUGAGCUAAAACAUUUGUCUGAUGAUGAUUGUUGGUUGGUGUUUCAGAAACAUGCUUUUGAAAAUAGAAAUAUCAAUGAGCAUCCAAAUUUGGCAUUGAUUGGUAGGGAAAUUGUAAAGAUGUGUGGAGGCUUGCCUUCGGCAGCAAAAGCACUUAGAGGUCUUCUACGCCAUGAAGAAAGAGAAGAUAAGUGGAAUAUUAUACUGACUAGCAAAAUAUGGAAUUUUCCAGGUGAUAAAUGUGGUAUUCUUCCAGCAUUAAGAUUAAGUUAUAAUCAUCUCCCUUAUCCUCUCAAGAGAUGUUACAAUUACUGUGCGAUAUUUCCGAAAGACUGAAUUUGACAAGAGAGAACUAAUUCACUUAUGGAUGGCAGAGAGUCUAAUUCAACAAUCAGAAUGUUAUGAGAAACAAAUUGAAAUUGAAGAUUUAGGCCAUGACUACUUUCAAGAAUUGUUAUCUCCAUCAUUUUUUCAACCAUCAAGUAGAUUUGUUGCUGGAGAAAUAUGUUUUUCUUUGGAAGAGACUUUGGAAGAAAAUCAAAACAAACUAUUUCUAAAAAGGUUUGUCAUUCAUCAUUAAUUUGUAGUGAACAUGAUGUCUUCAAAAAAUUUGAGGUCUUUCACAAGAUGGAGUAUUUACAUACAUUUAUCCCAUUACCAAUUGAUGUAUCAUGGGGUAGUUAUUGGUUAAACAAUAAGGUACUUAAGGAAGUAAUGCCCAAGCUAAGACAUCUAAGGGUGCUUUUGUUGAGAGGUUACAAAAUAAGAGAGAUACCAACUUCAAUUGGUGAUUCGAAAUAUCUUAGGUAUCUUAAUUUAUCCCGAGCCAGAGUUGAAUGGUUACCUAAAUCAAUAGGUAACUUUUAUAACUUAGAGACAUUAGUAUUAUCAAAUUGUGAGAGGCUUAUUAGAUUGCCUUUGAGCACUGAGAACCUAAAUAAUCUUCAACACCUUGAUGUAACUGAUACAUAUCUAGAAGAAAUGCCUCCACCAAUUUGCAAAUUAAAAAGCUUAGAAGUAUUGUCUAAUUUUAUUGUGGGUAAAGACAAUGGUCUGAAUGUAAAGGAGUUAAGGAAUAUGCCCCAUCUUCAAUGGGGACUUUGCAUUUCAAAGUUGGAAAAUGUAGCAAAUGUUCAAGAUGCAAGGAAUACUAGUCUAAACAAGAAGCUCAAGCUUGAAGAAUUGAUGAUAGAGUGGAAUGCUGGAUUAGAUGAUUCACACAAUGCAAGGAAUCAAAUAAAUGUACUUGACUCUUUACAACCACACUUCAAUUUGAACAAACUAAAAAUUGAGUAUUAUAGUGGUCUAGAAUUACCCUGUUGGAUAGGAGAUGUUUCAUUCUCUUAGAUGAUGGAUAUAAAUCUAGUGAAUUGCAAAAAUUGCACAUCUUUGUCGUGUUUGGGGUGGUAACCCAUGCUUAAACACUUAGGGAUUGAAGGAUUGGAUGAAAUAAAAAUGGUGGGUAGAGAGUUUUAUGGAGAAACUUGUCUUCCCAAUAAGCCAUUCCCGUCCUUGGAGUCUCUAUGUUUUUUGAAUAUGCCACAAUGAGAAGAUUGGGAAAGUCCAUUUUUAUCAGAGCCAUAUCCUCGUCUCCUUUACCUUUCAAUCCGAAACUGCCUCAAAUUAAUUAAGAAAUUACCCACUUACCUACCUUCCCUGGUACAUCUCUUUCUGAAUUAGGGAUACAAGAUUGCAAUGAGGCGGUACUAAGAAGUAGAUUGGAAUUGCCUUCACUCACCAAGUUAAGAAUUCAUUCUAUGCUAGGACACCAAAUUACAUGAUUGUCGGGGCUUCAAGUUUUAGAAAUUUAUAAGCAUGAUGAAUUGACGUGUUUGUGGGAAAAUGGAUUUGAUGGUAUUUAACCAUUGCAAACUAGCAGCUGUCUCGAGCUUGUAUCUUUGGGAGAGACAGAAAAGCACGAACUGCCUAACAAGCUUCAAUCUUUGCAAAUAGAGUGGUGUAUUAACCUAGAGAAGCUUCCAAAUGAACUGCACAGGCUAACAUGCCUUGGAGAGUUGACAAUCGGUGGUUGUCCAAAGCUAGUGUCAUUUCCAAAUUUGGGUUUCCCGCCAAUGCUUAGACAUCUUGAUAUAUUUUAUUGUGAAGGUUUAAGAUGUCUACCUGAUUAGAUGAUGCUGAUGAAGGAUGGUAGCAAUAAUAGUAGCGACAUGUGUCUCCUUGAAUACAUGAAAAUAAAAAAGUGUCUAUCUCUCAUUUGCUUUCUAGAAGGGCAGUUACCCACCACCCUUAAGCAACUACACAUAUCCGAUUGUGAGAAUCUAAAGUCUCUCACGGAAGGAAUGAUGCACCGCAAUUCCAUUGGCAUAAACAACUUGGAAUACUUAAGCAUACGAAUAUGUCCAUCUCUCAUUGGUUUUCCAGAAGGUGAGUUACCCACCACACUCAAGGAACUCAAGAUAUAGAGGUGUGAAAAACUAGGGUCUCUACCAGGGGGAAUGAUGCACCAUGAUUCCAACACCACCAUCGCCACCAGUGGUGAUGUUCAUGUCUUGAACAUUUGGGAAUGUCCAUCUCUCAUAUUCUUCCCCAUAAGCAAGUUUCCUUCCACCCUUAAGAAACUUGAGAUUAGGGAUUGUGCACGACUGGAGUCGAUUUCAGAGAAGAUGUUUCACUUCAAUAAUAGUUCACUAGAAUGUUUGGUGAUCUCGAGGUAUCCAUAUCUCAAAAUCAUACCAGAUUGCCUUCACAAACUCAGAGAAUUGGAUAUUUAUAAUUGUGAGAAUGUGGAGCUGCUACCUCAUCAGCUGCAAAACCUCACUGCUCUUACAUCACUUACUAUUUCUCAUUGUGAGAAUAUCAAGACGUCUCUAUUCCAAUGGGGCCUUGCCACACUUACCUCUCUUAAACACCUCACCAUUGCUCGCAUAUUUCCACAAGUUGCCUCCUUUUCAGAAGGUCAAAGACUACCACUUCUUCCUACAAACCUCAUUUAUAUUUCCAUUAAAGAUUUCCAGAAUCUGAAAUCCCUGUCCUCCCUAGCUCUCCAAAUCCUCACCUCACUUGAAAAGCUAUGGAUCCAAUGCUGCCCUAAGCUUCAAUCAUUUUGCCCAAGGGAAGGGCUGCCUGACACCCUUUCACAACUAUAUAUCAGAGACUGCCCACUCCUAAAACAAAGGUGCUAAAAAAGGAGAGGACAAGAUUGGCCCAAAAUCGCCCACAUCCCCUAUGUGAAAAUAGAUAAUGAAAGUCAUCUUUGAUCAAUAGCAAGUUAAGAGAUUGCAGAACAUAGCAGAACAUAGAAGCAAACACCAUUCACCCAUCUCCCAUCUUCACAUUAAACAAGGUAUGCCUAUUUUUUCUCUUUCAAUUUCUCAUAUACAUUAUACUAGUUUCCCCUAUUAAUUAUCUGUAAGUUUCUUACUCAAAUUUUUGUUGAAAAUUUACCAGGAAGUGGCUUUUGAAAUGGCUCAGGAUUGAUAUUUUCUCUUCAAUCUGCCACAAUUCUAUGUAAGCACCAAUGUUUUUGUCUCUCCAAAUUCUAUUAUCAAAAUUUUAUCCAUAAACUCCAUUCUUAUGUAGUUCUCAGUUUUCCUUUUCCUUUGUUCUUUUUAGUUCUUUGUGAGCAUUGAAGUUGAUGAUGUGAUACUUACAACUAUAAAAGGAAAAGAGAGGAUUUAUUCCAUUUAAGAACACGUGGAAUAUUUGGCAAUGGCUACUGAUUAGCAGUGUCUUCUUCAGUUCCUCGUGAGUAUCAUCAAUUGUACUAUUCAAUUACAUUUUUUUAAUAUAAUUUUCUGAUUUCCAGACUAGAGUGCAUGGUGACAUAAACAGAACUAGAAAGAAAUGCAAUUUAUCAAAAUUAAAUAGUUUUGCUAACUAAAUGACAUUAUCAAUUCCCUUGUGCAGCCAUGACGUUUAAGUUGAACAUAUUAGAUGUCAUGUUAGAUACUAUCCAAUGUUUUGUCAUCUGGAUAUCAAUUUUUUACAUUUAUGAUUUAGGUUCUCAAAGAGGAUGGAACUUGGGUAUUAUAUCAAAGACUUCAAAGUAUGGAGUGAAUGCAGCCAAUUCUAGUUGUCCCUUGUUGUUCCUUUUUUUACUAUAUUUGAGUGUGAACUGGAGACAAAGAAUAACCCAACAAGACUAUGGUGAGUGACUCUCGAUUAUGUAUUUUGUUUAUUUAUAUUUAUAUUUCUAUUUUAAUGACUAUUUUUCUCGAGUUUUCUUCUUGUCCACGGGAUGCUCAUUCCCAACAUGCAAUUUUUCCUCUUUCUCUCCUUAAUACUACUUUCUAUUUCUCACACAUAUAUUAUUGCAAUUUGUUGCCAUUUUACUUGGCUACUUGUGAACAGUAAUAAUAAGUCCUAUAGUUUUAUGUACUAAAUUGUUUACAUUGAUGAUGCAGGUGUCAAAAGGAUGGGUCCAAAGAUCACAAGAGGUAAAUGUGGUAUUUUUAUUGUGUUGGCAGACUAGAAUUUUCCUCCUAUAUCAAAGCCUUAAAAAACAUAGAGUGAAUGUUUCAAGGAUCACUGGCACUUUAUUACUAAAUUUUAGUGCAACAAAAAGAUGAUAAAGUACAACCUAGCAAGAAUGUGGUGCAUGACUUUAAUUUAUAUAGUUGAUCUAUAUAUUUUUGUAUUCUAAGGACCAUCUUCUUAAAAUUUUCUUCUUUUAUGACUUGUGAUAGAUUUUUUAGUGCUUUAGAGAGGUUCACAGAAUCAAGAUUUAAUUUGCAUCUUUAAUCAACAAAAGCUUUUUUUCCUGCCAUCUUGGGGAAGCUGCUUAUAGAAUAAGGUUGCAUGGUCUUAUGUAUCAUUCAAAAGUUGAGAACCAUCCGGUGCCUGAAACUCUUGUCUUUCACAAGAACCGGUUUCAUAAUAGCCUAAUUAAUCUCGUCUUUAUGACUGGUUGGAGAUAUCAUUUGAUUUCUGAAAAAAUGUAAGCUACUAUCAUAUUUACAUACGCCUAGUUAUACAUAUGUGAGCUAAAAAAAAAUGGCUUUGCUUGUAGUUCCUCAAGUUUUUAAUUUGAUAAAAUCGUGUCUCUUCUUUUGAAUUUUGUAGGUCUUAUAGGUGCAUGUCCCGAGUGCCAUAGUAUAAGUAUUUUUCUUCUUGUUGAAUGGAAUUUGGGUUUUAUAUUUGGAGGCUCAAAGUUUAGUGAAUGUGGCAAAUGCCUGUUGUCACUUGUUAUUUUUGUUUCUAUUGUUGAUGUUGAGAGUGUAGAAUGAGGAUAAACAACAACAUAGCAAGAUCAUGGUAUGUUACAAAUUUUAUUUUACAUUUUUAUUGGUUUUUUUAGAUUCCUAUUUUUAUUGACUUUUUUUUUUUCCUUUAAAUUUUCUAUGUUUGUGACUUGAGUUGUUCCCUAAGCACUUGCUACAAAGAGGAUUUUGGCACUGAAAUUAUCCUUAGACAUUGCUUAGUUCAACUGUCUUCAGUAGACAUGAACCUUUUUUUUGUGCUAACUUGGAAAAGUUGCUAAUAAGACUGAAAAGUCACACAUCUCUUAGAGAGUUGAGAAUCACACAUUUCUUUGGGUUCUUUCUGAGGAUUGGUUUGCCAUCCAUGACAUGAAGUCUUGUGCUCAGUUGUUGUGAUGGUUUGAAAUUGCUCUCUGAUGGAACUAUGACCUAUAUAAACAACUGCUUCUAUUUGUUUUACAUUGAUGAAUUGCUUAUCUUUGUGCAUUAUUUUGCGGAAAGGAUUUUUAUGAGCACUACCUUUUUUUUUUAUAUAUAUAUUUCGUUUUAUAUUGAUGCAUUUCAUAUUACUCCUUUUAGGUGGAUGCGCAAUGCUAAUCUAGCUUUCCCCCUUUUGGAUGUCCUUUUAACCAUGGUUAGGAUUCAUUAAAAAUGACUUUAAUCAUACCUAUAAUUUUUUUUAAGGUCAGUUAUAACUUAUACAAAUUAACCUUAUUAUGUAACUCGAAAUGCUUAUUUUUAAACCAAUAUAUUUCUACUGGCAAUUUAUGUGUUUUUCACUACAUUUUUUCCCAACAAUGAGGAAGAGAGACAAUUUUCUUGGUAGCAUACUAUGAUUCACAGAGUAUAAACUCUUGCAGAUUGAAAGAGAGACAAUUUACAUAUCAUUCAACAGUGAUCGGUAAGCAUUCUUAUAUGUUUACAACUUCUUCAUUUGUAUGGUUUGCCUUUUAUGGCAUUUACUCUCUUGUUACUCACAUAAAAAAAAAAUACCUAAUUUACCUUUCAAAUAUAAAAUGCAGUUAUGCAGGAAGGCCACAAAUUGAAUAUGAUAAAAUGGGAAAUGUGUUUCGAGACAAUUUUAUGUUCUUGCAUUAUAAGGUUUAGUAAUUGUAUUUAGUUUUAUAAUAAACAACCAUCUAUUGACUUUGGAUUUGGAAUUUAACGCUAAUGAGUGUUUACUUAUUUUUAAUACCUUUUUUAGGAAUCUAGUUAAUGAGAUUUUGCCGACAAAAAACCAGAGGUUUGUUAACUCUCCUACUAUUAGAGACUAGUUCUCUUGCAUAAAUUUCAAGCAAAAUUAUAACCCUCUUCAUUGAUAGUCUUUUAUAUUGGAAUUAAACAUAUUGGUGUCUUUGAAUUAUUUAAAUAUUGGAAACCAAUUAAGAAGUCAUGCAAUGGCAAUGUGAAUCUUGAUAUACAUACAAAUAAGAUCCAUUAUGUUAUUUUUCUUGCUAAAGAAUCAAAACAGAUGCUUUUGAUUUGGACUGUUUCAGACUUCAUAUCUUUUGUUUCACUUAUGAUACUGCCAUCAGUUUGUGAAUUGGGAAUGUCAUUAAGAACUUUGGAGCUUAACCAUCUGGCCUUUUUCAGUUCCUUAAAGAUUGGUAAUAAUGCAAGGAUCAAUUCUUUUCUCAAAGUGGCUUAUGGUCGCAUUGGCAGAUGUGAAAUUAUCAGUGACUGUUCAUUGUAAAGAAAUCUUGUUACUGUGGCAGGAGAAUAGAUUGCAACAUAAUCUCAAAAUUUUGGGGGACUUUGGUAUCAACACCUUUCUGGAACUCAGAUUUCUAAAUGAAAUAAUGCAAGACAUCAACACAUUCUCAGAACUCUUUAAGCUUUCCAAAUGUGAUGUUGGUGUCUUAAUGAGAGGCUAACUUUCUUCAAUGUUGCUAAAAUUGUUGUCCAUAUAUCCUAUAUGGGAGUCCACCCAUGGACAAGAAAUGCAUGUUGGUCUAUCUUCGACUUUCACUAUUUCACACCCUAUUGCCUGAAGUUGCAUUACCUGCCAUAAUUAAACAUUUUUUUAUUUAUCAUUAUGACAAACUCUUGAAUUACCCUCCUCAAGCAUCUGGCCUCACCUCAGGCUUUUGGAAUUAUCUAGUUGAUCACCAGACAACCUUCCAACUACCCUAAGGACUUGGUACAAAGUAGACUCAAUGCAAGUGAUUCAGAGUUACCCCUACCUAAUCCAUCUCGAUGUGUUUGGUAAAAUGAGGUCCAUCAGAUUUUAUGGCCAUUAUCUCAUGGUAGUGGAUGUUUUGAACCAGAGUCUAAAACGAAGUCAUCACUGCAGGUUAUGGCCAUUAUCCCAUUGCAACAGAUGUUUUGCACUAGAGUUUAAAACCAAGUCAUUGAUAAAGUCCAUAGUGAUGUCAUUGAUUUUAUUCUAAACCCAUCAAAAACAAUAUGAGAUUCACUUUGAUUUCAAGUUAUGCAAGAUCUAUAUGAGCUCAAAUGUUUUGAGACUUGAUUGAUGAAUAUCAUGUGUGGACUCGCAUUUUUCACAUGCAUCCCCACUCAAUCGACGAGACUCGCUUUUAUUUGUGAAAAAUUACUUUUGGAAAAGUCGAAGUCGCCACUUAUUUUAUUUUAUUUUAAAGGGAAAAUAAAACAAGAAAUAAAACCCUAAAAAAAUGACUCCAUAGUUUUUGGAAAAGAGCGUUUUUGAAAAACCCGAGUCUAGGUUCGGGGAUCAGGUUACCCAUUAGGAAAGUACCUCUAAAAGGUAGCACCCCUCUAGGCCUUAUAAAGGUCUCUACUGACUAAGUUGAGGAAGAUGAGGCAAUUAAUUGAUUAAUUGAAGAUACCUAGGUAGACUAAGGUGAUUUCAAAAAAUAGCAUGCCAAACAAGAAAGUCUGACCAUAAGAGAGAGUCAAAGUGCAUACCUGAACGGCUUCUCAAGCGCCAUAAAAAAGCAUCAAAGGUUAGUUUGAAAAUAUGACACAUAACAUACAUUUUUAUCAAAGACGAUCAAACAAUCAAAUAAAUAUCAAGACAAUCAAGCAUGACACCAAACAAAGGCAUGGUACACAGAGACAUGGAUAUUCAUGGAAUUUUGAAAAUGGGAUGAUGAAGAACGUACGUGGACAAUGAGUUGAGCGCUAAAGUGAGGAACAAGGUUAGCUCAAUAAUAGAUGUAAAAUAAUCUCAUGUACCAUAAAAAAGGAGGCACAAUCGAUCAUAUAUCAAGCAAACAAUAUCGAAGAGAAUAUCAUGAAUGUUGGGCCCCCACCAAAGCCUUAAUUAAUUUUGCAUGAAUUGGUUCAGUGAAUUCCGUUGCUUGGAAUCAUGAAGUUUCUUCAUGCUUACUUAAAAAUGAAAAUCAAGAAAAUCAUUUGAAAACAGUGAAAAUGCAUACCAGAGGAAAACUUGGCAGCAACGAGUUUGUUAAAAUCUAGAUCUUACUGCUUAAGGAAGGACUGAGGACGAUUCUUUAAAGUAAGAAUUAUUUGGAUGAAAAUGAUUUUGAGAACACAAUUUAAAAUACGUAAAAACACGAGGAUAACAAGAGGGUGCAAGAGGAAGAGGGUAAUGUGCACCAGAAUGGUCGUGCUAGAGUGGGGCUUGGGGGUCUAGCUAUGACUACGUGUCUGGUGAUUGUAGGUGCUGCUAUUAUUCUCUCUAAAUUUUUCCAUUCCUACUCUCUUGCACGCAUUCAAAUACCUUACAUCACUGCAUUUUAGAGCCUUUUCUAAUUCCUUGAAAUCUCCUACAUUCGAACUUACUUCCAAGAGCUUUGGCAUUAAUUCCUCGUAUGAAUCUCUGAAAUUUGCUGAGAAAUUUGUUCUUUUUGGACUUCCAUUUCUGAUAGUUGAAGAACUGAAGGCUGAAGAAUCAUAUCCAAUUGGAUUCAGCUUGAGAGGGUAACCAUAGGUCGUGGUCAAAAAUGAAGUUGAUUUCCUUUUCCUCAGACCUUUCUGUAUGUCCAUGUUCAUCUGUUAGCAGCAUGACUUCCUCCUUAGGCUUGUGGUGCAGGGAAUUGCCUAAGUCCUCUACAUGCAAUUGAGCCAUCAGCGAGCUGUUAAUUUUUCAGCUCAUGAUAUAAGUGAACGUUAAACUAUUGAAGAUAUACUAGUCCUUCCACGUCAACACAUCGAUCCGCUUGAAGUCGCCCAAUUUCUUUGGCAAAUCUCCAUUUUUUUUAUGUCUCAAACUAUAAUUCAGUUUCUUUACUUCUUCUACCUCAGAACAAAACUUACAAAUCAGAAUUCUCCAACUGCAAUUUUAUAUUAGGAUUCUUCAACUUUCCUACUUUGUUCUCUGAAUCAAGUUUGGACAUCACCACCUGUUUCAAUUUUUGGAGACCAAUUUCAGAUCCAAAGGUAGGGCUUUCUAUCCCUCUUGUAAUUGAGAGUGCAAAUUCUGCAGAUUCUACAAUUCUCCUAGCAUCUGCUUCUGGUUUUCCUCAAGCUCCUGGACAAGGGUUUCAUAGUAACACUCCAUCUGGUCCAUUUUUCUUGCAAGGCUUUCCCAUUCAGCUUUAGACCCAUCAAACUCUCUCUUUGAAGUUCAAAGAAUUUGUCUUUUAUUGUAUUGGUAGCAUCUAGAGAAUCAGGUACAAUAGAAACUAGGCCAGAUACACUAAACAAUGAAGAAAAUCUUUAGGUUGAUAUAAUUCAGCAUCAAACCCAAUUCCUGAUACAAAUUGUUGUCUUUCUCUCAUCUCCUUUAUGUUUGCAGUUUCUGAUGGUAAGGCAUUGAACAUAGAAAUUGCUUGUCCAAUUCUUUGUUUGAGGUCCUUAGUUUGAAACUCUCGUCUUUUCCUCCAUAUUUAAAAGUCCUUUUAGCAAUCUCAGCUGUGAAUCUUCAAAUCUAUGAUCCUAAUCUGUCCGGAUAAUUUCCUUCCUAGCGAAUUCGGGAAUUGACUUAGAAUUUCUAAGAUGUUCAAGGUCCUCCUUGAGUUUUGAACACUCUAAUUUCAGUACAGAAACCUCUUCUACAAAACCUCUCCUGAAGCAAUCUCAACAAGAAGUUGUUCAGCGAACUUUUGUGUUUCAACACCUAUUUCAUCAACAUGACUUUAUAGAGAGCUUACCUCCAGCUUAAGCUCAAUAAUAGAAGACUCUACAACUUCCGAGCUUCUUCUAAUCCUAUUAUUCUCUUCAUAAGCAAUUGCCCAGUCAUUAUUCGCAGAAUAAUCUGGACUCCAUCCAUGGACCCAAUCAUUGCUUCCCUGUGCCAAAAACCUCUGAUCUGAUGGGUCCCCUUUCUCCGUCUGAGGGCUUUGAAUGUAGGAAAGUCCAUUUAAAUCACCAGAGAUUAUGCUUUUAAGGCUAUCGAUUUCAUGUGUGCUGGAGGUAUCAUGCUGUUCAGCACAUAAACUUUCUGAUGUAUUCAAUGAGCCAUCAAAUCCAAUAGUUGAGUCAAAAUAUUCAUCAUUUAAUCCUCCAUCUUCUUCGAGUGAAGGAAGCUCCGUUAAUUCUGGUUUGAAUCUAACCCUUGCACUGAUUUUAUCCAUGUGUUCAUUGACAGUUUCUUUGGAUGAUAAUGCCUCUCCUCCAUUAGAUCCAUCACGCUUAUUUUGUCUAGUGUUCAUCUGCAACCCUCUCUCUCUCAGUUUCAUCUGCUGCUCAAACUCUCUGAACCCGUUUUUAGAAGUUAACAUCUUCACAAUAACAUGUAAUACAGAUUCAGAAUUGCAUCCAUGAAGAGGCAGUGCAACAAUAUAAGGCUUUAGAGCAAUGGAAUAAUCAGCAAGGAUGAUAUUAGCCUCACCCAGGAUAUUAGACCGUGAAGAACCUAUUGCGACAAUAACUUUAUAGAGCUUCUCAUCGUACUGAUUGGUUAGUCUUGUUUGGAAGUUGAGCGUUCACAUCAACUUUCAUACGUCAAAGGAGGUAUGGCAUACUCAAGUCACGUAGGACUACUGCACACCUGUAAACGGUGGAUACUUGUAAUGGAGAAGCAUUGCCAUAGCCACCAACAAAUAUAGGAACUGCAAAUUCUGCUUCAAAUAUAUGCAACACUCUCAACUUCCCAGGGAAUAUAAAAUCGAACAAAGACCACAGCUCAGCCAACUUAUUCUGAAUUGACGCACCAGUCGUUAUUAUACGAUGAACAGUCUGUAACUGUUUAUGGAGUAUGGUAACUUCAGCAUUUGAAUUCCGAAUUCGGUGUUCUUCAUCUAAAAUUGCAUAACCCCGUUUGAUAUCAAGUAGCUUUCCAGCUUGCAACCGGAUUGGCUCAUAAGUAGUGAUAAGUAAUCUACUCUGUGACCUCAAAACACGGUUUAUACUUGGUUUAUACAUAUUACUGAAAUGCAAUGCUCCAAGAAAAGACAAUACAUGGAUAGUCUUGCCAAGUCCCAUCUCAUCUCCAAUAAUUCCACCUACUUGUUGGCAAUGCAGUUCCCACAGCCACUGAACCUCCACCUUUUGAUAAUAAAAAAGUUUGCUGAAAAUGCUUUCAGGUAUUCUCAGACCACCUUCAAGUGUUACAUAAGGGGGGUUCAAUAUCAUCUAUAUCUUCAAUAUCUUUUUGGUUUACUUCUUCAUUAUUGGAGGUCACUAAGUUGUCAGUUGUAUCUUUCAUCAUGAUCUGUCUCCUCAAAUUCUAAGAUUAAAGCACCUGUAGAAAUAUUCUAAGCUAUGUCUAUGCUGGAAGAUAGACAAGAUUGCCUCUUAACUUCACUUCGAACAAUUGGAAUUUUUGAACCCUUACGAUUUGGAUGGCAAGGUGGCUCUGAAGGGGGCCAAUUUCUAAUCAGACUGCACAGCCUUCGAAUCGCAGUUUUUGCUUUAAGAAGUGGAACAGAUUCACCAAGAGAUGCAAGGCUUUGAUCCAGUUUUAAUGUAGAAUUUUUAGAACCAGUCAUUGUCAAACUACUCACUAUACAUUCUGAUUCAAACAAAAUCCUUUCUAUCAAAUGAGUUUCAUUCCAUCGCCUACCUCAAUCCUUUUUUAAUUUUGAACAUGAGAGAAAGAGAGCAUUAUAAAUUUUGUUUUGAUUUUCCAUUUCAAAUAGCAUUUACCUCAGCUUUUGGAGAAUAGUUUCAUCAUCUGGCCUAACCAUUUGCAAUGCUUCUGGAAAUUCUUACAGCCUGCAUUAUCUUGAUCACUUGGUUUGUUGUGAAAACUGCUUGUUUCUAUGAGAUGAGCAAAUAUUGAUUCUGCACUCUGCGUAUAGGUGGCUACCAGAAACUCCACUCUUUCAUCACAAACUGAGUCUUAAUUAUGGGCUAAGUUAUAUUGAAGCAUUAGAAAUCCUCCACUUAAAAUAUUUGAGCAUUCCAGAACCUCUUGGCAGAGUAUCAUCCAGAACUAUGGGAAACAAAGGCGAAAUGCUUGGCUGGAUUUAGGGCAAUGUAAUCCUCCAGUAGUGUAGUGAUUUCGAUGUGUUCCUGGCUGAUUUCAAAAGCAUUCUGUUAUUCUUUGAGGUUCUUAUAGCUGUUUGAACAUGAUGUGCUGUUGUUCCGACUGAAAAUCGUUAAACCUAGAUGGUUGUCUCGGACGAGGUUAUGGCAUAACUCGUUGUUGGGACUUGAUGAAAUGCUGCUGCACACCAAAGAAAGUUGAAAUUAGGAGUUUCAACAGUUUCAGACCUUUCUGAAUUUGUUGUCAGAGUAGGACUAUCCUCAGAAGCACUCUUUUGCUUGUUUGCAGAUUCUUGUGCCCAAAUAUAAGGUCAUUUGAAUUCAAUUAUUGGUAUCUACUGUAACUCUUUGAGAACUGAGGCCUCAGAAUUACAUGUGCAUGGUUUUGAUCAAAUGACACUCGCAAAGACUCACCACCAUGUCCUAUCAUAGAAUCUAAUUGUUGUACAUUGAGAUUAUUCAAAUUGAAAUUUAUAGCUUCUGCAAUCUGCCUCUAUUUUCCAACCCACUGAUUAUAAUUUAUAGGCCAACUCUCACCAACAGCUUGAGAUUGAAGGUGGCCCUGGGAAGAAUUGUCAUGCUCAAAGGAAUUGCAAAUCCUGUCUUCGACUUCGUUACUAGGCACAGAUAAUAAAGCCAAAAAAAAAUUAGCUAGUUCUUCUUUUCCGUGAAUAGGGACUGUUAAAUAAUGUAGUUAGUUAUACUCAGCUGUAGGUAAUGUUAAUUUGUGUUAGGAUCUGCCACGUGUAUGGUUGUUUUUUCCUUUCCUUCACUAUAUAAAUGUAUCCCAGGCUCAUUUUGCAUUGAGUUGGAAUUCUGUAACAUUCUCUAUUUUCCUUUUUUCUCCAGUCUCUCUUUUCUCUCUGUUUUCUCUUUUCUUCUUGCCUGCAUUUCAUCUUGGUAUCAGAGCCAAAAAUGUCCAACACUACUUCCUCUCCGACAACCCUAACUGCAAAUCCCCAAAAUAUUAACCCAACUCCAAUCUCCAGUCCGAACAUUACCCAAACCAAUUACCCAUCUCUUUCUUAGCCUCUAACUAUCAAACUAGAUGAAACGAACCUGCUUCUAUGGAAAAAUCAGCUUCUGAAUGUGAUCGUAACCAACAGGUUGGAAGAUUUCAUUGAGGGAGAAACGCCUAUACCAGCCAAAUUCUUGGAUGAUGCCCAACUGCAGAUCAACCCACUCUUCAUACAAUGGGAACGAAUGAAUAGACUUGUCAUGAGCUGGAUCUAUUCUUCCUUAACUCUUGCCAUGGUAAGAAGAAUUGUAGAAUACAAGACUGCUCGGGAAAUAUGGGGAGCUCUGAAUAGAGUCUAUUAGUCUCCUUCGAUUGCUACUGUGGUAGGGCUGAACUCUCAACUUCAGAAGAUUAAAAAGGAAGGUAUUACUAUUUCUGAGUAUCUUGCUCGUAUUAAGGAAGUCUUUGACAAGUAUUCUGCCAUGGGUGAGCCAUUAUCUUACAGAGAUAAACUGAUGUAUACCCUAAAUGGAUUGACUGAGGAAUAUGAUGGAUUUGUGACCUCCAUCUAUAAUAGAUCUGAUAAGUCUUCUUUAAAAGAGGUUCAUAGUCUUCUUUACACUUAUGCAUAUUGGUUGGAGCAAAGGAAUACUGCACAACAGCUUCAGUUUUCUCAGGUUAACCUCACUGCUUAUUCCGGCCAAAACAAAUUUCACAAAAAUCAGCAACCCAAUUUUCCAAAAUACCCACAAAAUUCAUAUUCAUCUUUUCCAAACAAGCCUAUUAAUCUCUAUCAGUCCUUUCGUCCAAACUCCCAACCUAGCAUCCUUGGAAAACCUCAAGGACAACCACAAUCAUCUUCUAAAUGGUUUCAGAAACAAGGAACAGGAAAUUUUGGACCAAGGCCACAAUGUCAAAUUUGUGGGAAGUUCGGUCAUAUGGCCUUAAAUUGUUAUCAUCGAGCAAACUUGAACUACCAACCACAGUUUCCAAAUUCUCAACCCAAGCCUCAACCUCCAAAUCCCAUAGCUGCAAUGCUCACUACUUCAACAUCUCCCACUAUGCCCUUUAAUAAUUGUGAUACUCCUUGGUAUAUGGAUUCUGGAGCAACACAUCACUUUACACCAGAGUUUGGCAACUUAACAGAUCCUUGUGUGUUAACUGGUGAUGAGCAAGCUAUGGUGGGCAAUGGUAAGUCAAUUAGAAUUUCACAUAUUGGUAAUGCUAUGAUUUCAAGCCUAUGAAACCGAUUCAUUUAAAACAUGUCUUGCACACUCCUCAAAUCUCAAAACAACUCAUCAGUGUCACUAAGCUUUGUUCUAAUAAUCAAGCUUUUGUUGAAUUCUAUUCCUCUCAUUUUCUUGUGAAGGAUCAAGCCUUGGGGAAGGUACUUCUUCAGGGAAUACUUGAAAAUGGACUCUACAAAGUUUCAUUAUCAGUCAGUACUUCACCAUCUCUUGUUGUCUCCUCUUCAUUAGCUUCACUUUUAGUUCCUGCUACUCAAUUAUCCUUCAAUCGUGCUCAAGCCUUCAUCACUCAGCAUAAUAAUAUCAUAUUGUGGCAUAAUAGACUAGGACACUGAUUCAUGCCCAGUCGGGUGUUUAUCAAAAUAUUUAUAAAAACUACAACACCUUAUACUAGGGUAGAAAGACAAAGCUACUAUAGUAUAGUGGUUCUAGGAUCGUCCACAGGGAUGGGUUUUCUUUGUACACUUGACAUUAAUGAAAUGAGAAAUGGUGAUUGCCUUUUUGAAAGUUAGUUUUUAAAUGAAAAUAAGAUUGAUUGGAAGGGUUGAUUUUAAGUUAAACAAACAUAAACAACUGAAAUUACUACAAAGAGAAAAUCUCUUGGAGCUAUAGGUUACUAGGAUCAGGUUCCUAUUGCAAAGUGGAAAAUUUCGGAUCUUCUCCUCACAUUGGGGACAAUAACAUAAAGGAUGGUUAUCUACCAAACCGGAUUUGUAUUUAACAAAUAAGUUUUGAUCCAAAGGGUUCUUGAAAAAUGGUAAUUGCUUCCCAUUAAUGGCUUCAAACACUAAAGACCCUCACCUUGAACCACCUUCCAAUGACUCGUACUUGAUAACUAAUGGACAUCCAUGGAUCUAGCAAUAAGCAUCCAUAGAAUCCUAAAAGCUUACCAAGUAUUGGCCAUUCAAGGUGAUUCUAAGGGAUUAAAGCUUAAACUUGAAAUACAAACCAUUAAUAAUACACAAGUACCUUCAUUUAAAGCAAGGAAAACUCCCACCUUUGCAUCUGGGUCCUUUACCUAGCUUCCAUCACUCAAAGAAACAUGAAACUUAGCCACUCAUCCUCUGAAAAAUCAUCAUUAGAGGGUGUUUGGCUAUAGAGAAUGUGAAGAGAAAAUGAGAAAGAAAGGUGGAGAAAAACUCCCGUAAAUUUCCUUCAAAAAUAGUCUUUACAAAAUAUCAAAAACAUCACAUCCUUUGAGAGGUUUUCCAACCCCUAUUUAUAGUUCCUAAACAAACCCUAAUGUCAUUUAUCUAUUAUAAAAGGAGAAAAAGGAAAAAUUACAAUUCUGGAGAAAAAUCUCGAAGGUCGAUGCGCACAAAGUGAUUUUCGCAAACCUUGCCAAAUUUUGGCACACCUUGUGAAAUCGAUGAUUUUGUCUUGCGAAAUGCUCUGUUUUCCUCCAUCUUACUUUUGAAAGUUUUGGUAACCCCUUGCCAAGUUUGCCAAGGGGUUUUGAAGUGCUCCAAAGCUCAAAAUUUUCAUGUGAUUGAUCUUCAACUUGCCUUGCCAUAGCUUGCAUAAAACUCUCCCUCAAUCUUGGCCUGUUUCAAUGAUCAAAAAGCUACCAAAAACAAUAAAACUUACCAAAAAUUGGUUAGUAACAAUUGCUAGGUUCUUAACAUGCCAAAUGAGAUAUAAAGGUCUAACUACUACUAAAAAGUGCUCAAUACAAUUAAGUUUAAGCUUAUAAAAAUGCACUUUUUGAGUAGUAAUCAGACACCCUACUUCUAAUGUAGUUACUCAAGUUAUGAGGAGCUAUAAUUUGAAAUUUUCUAAAUCUUUUGAUUUGUGUUCCUCUUGUCAAUUGGCUAAGAGCCAUGGAUUACCCUUUGUAAUUUCAAAAUCUAAAGCAAUGAAACCUUUUGAUUUGGUUCACUCUGAUCUUUAGGGUUCUUCUCCUGUCUUAUUUGUCACUGGUGCUCGUUACUUCCUUCUUUUUAUUGAUGAUUACUCUCGUUUUACUUGGUUUUAUUUGUUAAAAAGCAAAGAUGCAGUUUUCUCAUACUUUCUAAAAUUCAAAAAUCAAUUUAACACAACUAUUAAGGCUUUGCAAACUGACUGGGGUGGUGAAUUUCGUCCACUUAAGCCUUUUCUUGAAAAUCUUGGUAUUCAUCAUCGCCAUCCUUGUCCUUAUACUCCCCAACAAAAUGGGCGAGUUGAGCGCAAAAAUCGCCAUGUUGUUGAAGUUGUCUUGCCAUGUUAGCCCAUUCUUCUAUUCCUAUUUCCUAUUGGCCAUAUGCAUUCCAAUAUGUUGUGUAGUUAAUCAACAGAUUACCUACUACUGUCUUAAAUAACAAAACUCCUUUUGACUUGCUUUAUGAUAAAUCUCCUUCUUAUUCUUCAUUUCGAGUGUUUGGCUUCUCUUGUUUCCCAUUUUAAAGAGCUUUGAAUCAAUAUAAACUUCUUGAAUGUGUUCUUCUUGGGUUUAGUCCUCACCAUAAAGGUUAUUUGUGCUUAAAUAGACAAAUAGGUUAGAUUUAUGUUUCUUGUCAUGUUGUUUUCAAUGAGUUUUCUUUUCCAUUCUUUUUUUCUUCUUCUUCCUCUCCUCAUCUAUGCUUACUCCUAAUCUCCCCAUUUCCCUUUCCUUUCCCUCCUCAACCACUCUUCAUCCCAUAUCUAUCUCACCUUCUUCUUCUUCUUUUUCUCUUCAUCGAUCUACAUUCCCAUUGUCUUCUCAUUCUCUUUCUUCUCCUCCCACAUCUCUAUCUCAUUGUCUCUCAUAGGACAUUCAUCCCACUACUUCAGUACAUCCAAUUCCAUUGGUCGUACCUAUUGACUUACCAGAAUCUGUUCUUCAUCGCCCUCCACCUCCCACCAACACUCAUUCCAUGGUGACUAGAUCCAAGGCUGGGAUUUAUAAACCUAAAACUCUUGUGGUAGCACUUGAUAUCCCUAUUGAUCUUGCUCUUUUUUAGCCUACCUCAUUUCACCAAGCAGUCAAAUAUGAUCACUGGCAAAGGGCUUUGACUACAAAAUAUGAGGCACUUAUUAGAAAUGAUACUUGGACAUUGAUGCCUCUACCACUUGAUCACAAAGUAAUUGGAUGUAAGUGGGUCUUUAAGGUCAAGCUCAAACCGGAUGGAUCCCUUGAAAGAUAUAAAGCCUGGUUAGUUGCUAAAGGUUUUCAACAAACACUUGGCUUGGAUAUUUUGAAACCUUUAGCCCAGUUUUUAAGCCCACUACUAUACGAAUUGUUUUAAGUUUAGCUCUGUCACUUCAAUGGCACAUCAAACAGUUGGAUGUCCAUAAUGCAUUCUUAAAUGGUGACCUAUCAGAAACUGUUUUCAUGGAGCAACCCCCUGGUUUUAUCAGUACUACUAAUCCAGGCUAUGUUUGAAAGUUGAACAAGGCUUUAUACGACCUUAAACAAAGUUCUCGUGCGUGGUAUACAAAGCUCAGUACUUAUUUGCUGCAGUGUGGUUUCCAAGGCUCCAAACAUGAUACUUCAAUGUUCUUUUUCAACAAAGGCUCUUCCAUUAUUAUUUUGUUGAUUUAUGUGGAUGAUACUAUUAUCACAGGUAGUCAUUCUGCCUUGGUGAACUCCUUGAUUGACCAACUACAUAAUCAGUUUGCUCUCAAGGAUUUGGGGUCUCUCUUAUUUUUUGGGUAUUCAAGUUACUUUUACUCUAUCAUCCUUGCAUCUAUGUCAACACAAGUACAUUGUUGAUCUCCUUCAUCGGGCUUAAAUGUUUGAUUGUAAGCAUGCUUCUACUCCUAUGAGCACCUAGUUUUCCUUGUCCUUGUAUGAUGGUGAGCCUUUUUCGGAUCCAUCUUCGUAUCGCAGCAUUGUGGGGGCUCUAUAGUAUUGUACCAUCACCCGACCUGACAUCAGUUUUUCUGUCAACUAUGUCUACCAAUUCAUGCAUUCUCUGACCACUCAUUGGCAAGCUGUUAAGAGGAUUCUUCAUUAUCUCAAGAGUACAAUUUAUCAUGGUAUUUCUCUUCAACCAUCUACUGAUCUCUCUCUCAUUUGUUAUACUGAUGUUGAUUGGGCUAGCUGCCCGGAUGAUCGAAAAAGUACAAGUGGCCAUUGUUGUUUCCUUGGCCCUAUUUUGAUUUCCUGGUCUUGUACUAAACAAAAAGUUGUUUCUCGUUCAAGUGUUGAGUCCGAAUAUAGAGGCCUUGCUAAUGCCGCUUCAGAACUUAUUUAGAUUGAAACAUUUCUCACUGAACUACACAUUCCGUUCUUCACUCCACUAGUCUUUUUUUGUGAUAAUCUCAAUGCCACACAUCUUGCUGCUCAUCCCAUUUUUCAUGCUCGUACGAAGCACAUUAAAAUUGAUUAUCAUUUCAUUCAUGAUCGUGUGCUCCAUAAAUCCCUAUUGGUCAAAUUUACACUUUCUGAAGAGCAACUUGCAGACAUCCUGACCAAGCCACUGCCUGCACCUCACUUUCAAAGUCUACGAAACAAGUUGACUUUGCUUCACAGCCCUCUCAGCUUGCAGGGGGAUGUUAACUAAUGUAGUUAGUUAUACUCAACUGUAGGUAAUGUUAAUUUGUAUCAGGAUCUGCCACAUGUAUGGUUGUUUUUUCCUUUCCUUCACUAUAUAAAUGUAUCCUAGGCUCAUUUUGCAUUGAGUUGGAAUUCUAGAACAUUCUCUGUUUUCCUUUUUUCUCUAGCCUCCAUGUUCUCUCUGUUUUCUCUUUUCUUCUUACCUACACAUUUCAUCUGGGACACUCGGAGUUGAAUACUAAACUGAAGGAGACUAUUUUGCGUGAUGAAACCAUAUGCUACCCAGACACUAAUUGCCCAUGACAUCUGCCAAGCCAUGUCUAUACUAUAGGUAACAUUAAUCUGAUCCAGCCAGUCUAUGCAAUUGGUCCUAAGCAUCAAGAACCUAUUCACAUUCUGACUCUUCAACUCUAGAACAAUAAUUGACCCAAAGAAACUCUCAACAUUGACUAGGUUAGUCAAGACAUAAUUACCCCCAACCUCCUUAGUGGCAAGCGAGACAACCAAGAAUAUAACACUAUCCUUAUCCUUCCAAUUCACAUAUGGGUUUGUAGCAAAGGAGCCUAGCAUAUUUUGAAUCAAUACUAAAAUAAUAGCAGUCACCCUUUCCUUAUAAUUCAUAACAAGUACUCCUGAAACUUCCCCUCAUUUUCAUCCUUCAUGUUGAUGACUUGAAAGAUCAAAAAAAGAAAGAGUCAAUCAUUUGCACUGAUACAAUACUGCACAACUAAAUAAUCCUCACUAGUUUCAUAUACAACAUUAGGAAUUGGACAGAUGUUGGACUUUGUAUGAUUGACAUCGUAUUGAAGAUAUAUAUGCGUCUCUGAGAGAUCUUGUCAUAAAUGUUCAUGAAUAUUUUCCUCCCGUAACUAAGUCUCCUGUACUCUUUUCAAUUGCAGGUCCAUAAAUUCCCAAACUUAUAUCUGAGUUCUCUAUGGCCAUAUUGUUUGAAGCAUAUUCAGAAUGAAUUUCCACUCCCAUGUGCUUGAACUAAGCUUUAAUUUCAGACUCUUUCAUAAAUAAUCAACAAAUUUAGGAAUUUUCUAUAUUCUGUGAACCAGAACUGACGCAUGAAAGAUACAAAAUUAGAUCAAUCAUUCGUCACUGAUUUCUACAGCAGCUGAAUUUAUUAAACCAACCGAACAGCAAUGAUCAUCUUUUCUUCGUCUUUGGAAUCCAUUUCAAUCACGACAUUCCCAUUAAAUUUCCCUGUUGACCCCUUAACAUCAUCACCCUUUAUUGAAGCAAUUUAUGUCAAUAGUUUCAGUGGCCAUGUCAAGAAUGGUGCUUCUUAAUGAAGAUACAAAAUGUAAAAGGUUAUCCACAAAAAUGAUUGAGGGAGCAAUUGCUUCAUUCAUUGUUACUACAUAUUUAUUUAUGAUAGAGAUACUGAAAUUAAGGAGACGUAAAUGACAGACCCUAUUGCCUUCAAGACCUCAAAAGCCUCUUCUAUAUGUACAAUUGAUCAUCACCAUGUCCUGAGCUUCCACUCAAUGAAUAUUGAACCAUCAUUUGCUCUGGUUGAACCGAUAAUCCUAUAUGCCCCUAUAUGCAGCCUCUGUGCUUAAAAUUCUGCGUCCAUGAUUUCCGACGAAGUAAACUAUUGUACUGGAUAGUUUUGGCUGCAAUUACUUCUUCACAGCUAUCAUCCAACUCCAAAAUCCAUAAAAAAAAAAAAAAAAAUGAUCAACAAACCACCAGGCCAACCUGAACUGAAAGUAACCAAACUCCAUGGAUAUAAAAGUCUCCAAUUCUCUCCACAUCCACGUUGACUGAAUUUAUGAUUUUCUCACUAUUUGGAGCCAACAUUCUUGAUCGAUGGAGGCUUUGUGUAAACUAAUACCAUGAGAGCUACCCGCACAGAUGCCUAUUUGUUGCCCACCUAAGUACCAUUGUCUUUGUAAUAGAGACUCCACAGUCUUUGCCCUUAACAAGAUCAAUGCAAGAACCAAGGAAAUUUAGUCUAAAACACCUCCACCAUCUCUCAUUUUUCUCAAAAAACCUGCACCAAAACCUGCAUCAUAAGCGGCCAAAAGAAUGCCAGAUUAAUAAGACCCAGAGAGGAAUCCAACAGAGCUCCCCAAUGCAAAAAUCUUUAAAACGCCACCAUGUCUGCAAUCUCUAGAUAUGUUCAAGUAUGAAGAAAGCAUAUGGAUGCACCCCUUAAAAAUGUUGAUGUGGAAGGCUUUAUGCUUUACAUGAAGUGAGUCCGGGGGCUUUGAUCUCGUGGAAGGAGGCUCUAUCCUUUUGAUUGGUAUGUAUAAAUGAAAAAAACACCACACAAUGUCAUAAUCAAAAUUUCCCAAACGACUCACUGCUCAUAACCAUUAUCCAUAGAAUUUUUCCUUGCAAAUCCAAAUUCUCAACUCCCCAUUGCAUCUUCUUAUUAUUUCCCAUAUUUUUCCAUAGUCCCCAAAAUUUCCGAAUCAAUGUUGUCAAUGUUGUCCUUGAUUUCAGAUUCAUGCAUCCCUCUAAAGAACUGAUUAGAACUGUUGCUGAAGGUGAAUGGCCCAGAUUACUUUCAGAUUCUGACACAUCCUCUAUGGGAGCUCGUAAUACAUCCUUCUAAUGCAGAAUGGGAGGUUUUUUUUUUUUUUUUUUUUUUUUUACGAUUUUCUAUUUUUAAUUUCAAAACAAAGAACAAAUCUUGAAGGCUGGGAAUGGAACUUGUUGAGGUGUGGGCUAGAAAUAGAAGAAAACAAAAACAAAAACAAAAAAAAAAUCCAAAAAGAAGUGGAAAAUAACCAACAAAAGCCACAAUUUCACAUUUCAAUCCAUUGGUUUAGAAUAGGAGAGUGAUUCAAAACAAAUUUUUAAUAUAAACAGGGCAGGAUUUCUACCAUCAGAUUCAAGGAAAAAACCCAGAUGCAUACUAUUUUCAGAUGAAAUCAAUGGCAUUAACAGAAUGAAAAACAUAGCAAGCAAACAAUGAACCAAUUUCAACACAACAAUCUGUGAACCUUUCCGUCCACACUAAUCAACAAAAUAAAUGCCCAAAACCAUCAGAGAAUCAUCAAGAAUCAAACAUAAGAUAAAUCAUAGAAGAUAGUUGAAAACGUACCUGGGUAGUCUCCACCCAAUUACUUAGUUAUUUUGCUACAGUUCCUCUCCGAAAUCUCUCAAAGAAAACCUAGUGAACCGUUCUCUCUUUUCCUUGAAGAUAAUCCCUUCUCAUUCGUUCUCACUCUUAUGUGCUUUUCUACAAAGACAAUCCUAGCAUUCCCCUUUUUCAGCAUCCUUUCUUACGUAUAUAUUAGCCCCCAAAACCCAAAUUUGUUCCAAAAAGGAAAAUCUCCCAUUUCCUUUCUUUUAUUUUCUUCAUUUUUGCAAUCCUUUUUUUUUUUUUUUUUUUUGUAUGUAUUUGUAUUAGCCUCCCAAAAACUCAAUUUUUUUUUUUGAAGAAAAUCCACUUUCUUUUCUUUUAUUUCCCUUAUUUUCGAAAAUCAAAAUGUUUCUCUCUUUCCAUGUAGGAUCUCCUCUUUCCAUAUGUAUGCAGCCACAUUAAUCCUCUUUUCCCUCCAAUAUAUAUAUAUAUAUGUAUAUAUAUUUACCUUCUUUGAGUGCACAUGCCUUAGUGAGAGUUGAUCAAUAGCUCCCAAUUCUCUUGUCAAACGAUAAAAAAAUAAAAUAAAAUAAAAUAAAACCAAAAAGAGUUAGCAAUCUUGCAACACAUAAAAGAAUAAAGUAGAAUAAAAAUAAAUAAAUAAAGUAAAACAAAAUAAUUAAAUAAAAUAAAACAAAAUAGUCAAUCCUAUGCGGGCCAUGCAAGUCAUGCGACUAUGUGAGUCAUGCAAGAAACACUAAAAAUGUCUAAUAGGCUAAGUGUUCCUAAGAGGGCCUAAGUGAACCUAGAUAGACUUAAGGUAUCUACAUGACCUAAGGUGGUGCCUAAUGGGUCGGGUAUACCUAUACGGGCCUAGGGUGAGACUAAGUGGGCCUAACUAAGUCUAACCUGAAGUGCACCUAAAUGAAGCCUAAUCUAAACUUGAAGGGCAGCCAAGGUCAUAAUGUGAAGCCGGAUAAACCCCUCAACUAAAGUCUCCGAGGUGGCUCAGAAAAAGUAAGCUACAUGAGUAGUAAUGGGCCAUCAAUGAACCACUGUGGAACCCUGGAAGUGAACUUAAAGACAUGUGCUAAAGGGACAAAAUGGAGGGUCUACACCAUGCUUCGUUGGUCAGGUCUUCUUUAUACAUAAACCUAUUUUUUGUGCUUAACUUGGAGAAGCUGCCAAUAAGACUGAAUAGUCACAUAUCUCUUAGAGAAUUGAGAAUCACACAACUCUUUCAUUUUUUUUUUUAGGAUUGGCUUGUCAUCAAAUCUUUUGCUCAGUUGUUGUGAUGGUUUGAAAUUGCUAUCUGAUGGUUAUAACCUAUAUAAACAACAACUUGUAUUAACUUAUCCUGAGCAUUAUUUUGCAAACAUGAUUUUUAUGAGCACUUCUAUUUGGAUGUCUUUCUAACAGUUGUUAGUAUUCAAUAAAAAUGACCUUUACUAAACCUGCAGAUUUUUUCAGGUGAUAUUUUUUUUUUUUUUUACAACAAGGAAGGGAGGCAUUUUUCUUGGCAGUGUAUCCUAAUUCAUAGAGUAUAAACCCUUGCAAAUUGAAAGAAAGACAAUUUACAUAUCAUUAAAGGGUGAUCUAUAAGCACUCUUAUAGGCCUACAUCUUUCUCAUUUGGAUUUGGAAUUUAACCUCUAGUAAGCGUUUACUUGUUUUUAAUCUGUUUUUUAGGAAGCCAGUUGAUGAGAUUUUGCCAACCAAAAAUAGAGGUUUGUUAGCCCUCCUAUCUUCAGGCUAGUUCUCUUGCAUAUGCUUGAAAAAUAUUGGAAACCAAUUAAUUAGUCAUUGCAGUUUCAUAGUCUUACAAGAAAUCUUGUUAUGGUGGCAGGAGAACAAACUACAACAUAAUCUCAUUUCCCUUCAUGAUUUAGACAUUGUAAAGAUAAAAAAAAAUAUAUGUUCUUGGUAAUAUAAGAAGAAGAGAAGCCAAAAAACAGGAACAAAAUGUAUUGGAACCUUGUGGACUUGAAUAGCUGAUAUUCAAGUGGCAAAAAUACAUAAAAAUGCACUUAACAAACUACUAACCAGCAGGCUAAGAUUCUACUUCUAAGAGACAGGUUUGUCAUCAAUGUCAAGAAGGCUCGCACUUCAUUUUUGUGGGACUUUGGCAUCAACAAAUUUCUAUUCCCAGAAUUCUUUCGUAAAUGUCAUCAUCCUGGCCAACUUUCUUUAGUGUUGAAAAAUAGGGUGAUACCAUGUUGCUAAAAAUUGCAGUCCAUAUGUACUAGAUAGACAAGAACUAGAACACUUGUAUUAGAAACAUCUCUGUUGCCUGGAUUUGCAUUACCUGCCAUAAUUAAGCACAUUUAUAUUAUUGUAGAACUGUGUUUCAAAGUCACCCAUACCUAAUCCAUCUCCAUGUAUCUCAAACAACUAGGUUCAUUGGUAGCAGAAGAAGAGCAACUUGAAUAGCUAGUCAUUUCCUUUUAUAAUUUAGGGAUAAAGGUAAAAAAACUACAACACUUGAAUAGAUGGUAUUCAAGUGGACAAGAACUGCAACACUUUUCUCAAAAAUAUGUAUGUUCUUUCUUCAACUCUUACUCUAUUUCCUGGAGUUGCAUUAUCUUCUAUGAGUAAUCGCCUCCUAUUUAUUCUUGUGGAGAAACAAGUUUUGGUGUAUGCAGAGACUAUACUAUUGUUGCACCUCUUGAUUUUCAAGACCACCCAGCCUCACCCCAAGCAUUUGGAAUUGUCAAGCUAAUUUUUGGCUAACCUUCCAAUGACCUUAAGGGCUUCAUACAAAGUAGAUCUAGUGCAAGAGAUUUAGAAUUAUCUCUACCUAAUCCAUCUCUAUUUCUUUAGAAUAACUAGAUGCUAUGGCCAAAAUCUCACAUAAGGCGUCAAGUUCAUGUUGGGGCUUAUUCACAAGAUUAAGAUGAAUAUAGCAGGGAAUGUUCUUGAUCUACCACCAACCAUGUUGUCAAGUUGUUUAAUGCCCUUAUGUUGACUAUGGCCACAAUCACAGUUGGGUGUCGUUUCCUAAAAGAAAUGUCAUUUUGAAACUUUUAAUGUCAACAACAGAACUUUCAUGUUUCUACAUUCAGGUACCCAUAAAAAAUUGAGUCCAUGUUAGCAUCCAAUGAUGGAAGUAAUAUACCUCCUAGAAAUUGAUGUGGAAGGUGGUGACUAACAACAACAUAGAUGUAUAUAAGGGAUUUACACUUAGUCUUGUGCAUCAAACAACCCUCAUUUAGUAUAAACCAAAAAUUUUGGCAACUCAUGAUCCAUAAUUUAGAGCAUGGGAGGAAGAAGACCUGUUGGCAAGACAGGAGGAGACAGUUAAAAACAUGCAAGAAUUCCAUAGAUGAGUUGUUGUUAUGAAUUAUUCAGAAUCCAUGGGAAAAUUUAAAGCCCAUUGAUUUUGAAUGAAGGACCUACUUAGCAUGGAUCAAAAACCUAUUUUGGAGAAAGAAACCAAGUCUUGAGGACUAAUUCAAUUACCAAAUCUCUGGGAAGCACUGAGGCUUUUUUAGUAGCUUCCCAAUUAGUGCAUAAGGUGGCAAUGCUAUUUGCUUUUAUGUAAGCUCUUCUUCUUCUAGUACCAAGGAAAAUUCUAUAAUCCUAAAUCUCCAUUCUCCAUGUACAGAUGUUUUCUUCGAUGCAUGCUGUCAGAGAAGAUGAGUAAGCUUCAGAAUAUUAGUUUACUGAUUCGAGGAUGUAAAUCCAGUCGGGUCAUUUAAUCAAAAACAUUUAUAAAACCUAUGCCCUCAUACUAGUGUAGCAAAGCUACUAUAGUAUAGUGGCUCUAGGGUCAAACUCUAGGAUGGGUUUUCAUUCUACCAGUGAUAUACUCAUGAUUAGGAAUUGAAUUUAAUGAUUUCCUUUAUCAAAAACAUAGAGUUUAAAAGAAAAUAAAAUUUGUUUUGAAAGUGUUUGAAACUAAAUUAACAUAAACUAAUUAAAAAUGGAAGAAAGAAAGUCUCCCGGAGCUCAGGAUUGCUAGGAUCAAGUUUAGAAUGCAAAGUGGAAAAUUCUGGAUUUUUCUCCUCGCAUUGAGGAUUUAACCUAUAGUUAUUUCCUGAACCGGUAUAGGUUUAACAAUGAAGAUUUAAUCCAUAAAAAUCAAUAGAAAUGGUAGUCAAGGUUCAUUAAUGGCUUUAGACACUAUGGGUCUUCACCUUGAACCACUUUCCAAUGGCUCGUACAUGAUAACUAAUGGACUGAUAUGGAUCUAGUAAUAAGCAUCCACAGAGACCUGAAGCUUACCAUGUAUUGGCCAUUCAAAGUGAUUCUAAGGGAUUUAAAGCAAAACUUUGGAUUUAAAAGCCAUUUAUGAACUUCAACUACCUGUAUUUAAGGCACGAGCGUUUUCCACCUUGCAUCUGGACUUUUCACCUAACUUCCAUCACUCCAAGAAACCAAAAGUUUAGCCUCUCAUCCUCUGAGAAAACAUCCUCAGAGAAAACAUCCUCAGAGGUUGUUUGGCUUCCAAGAAAAAGAAAAUAGUAAAGAGAAAAGGGAAAACGAGAGAGCUCUGUAUAUUUUUCUAAGUGUAAAACAUAACACGCGUGAUACCUCCAAGAGGUGAUUUCCACCCCUUAUAUAGUUUUUACAAAAGCAAAGCUUGUGAUUGGCUUGUUACAAGGAGAAGAAAGGAAAUUACAUCAAAAAAUACAAAAGAAAAUAUCUAAAGUGGAAUCGGCAAAAACAGAGGAAAAUUCGCACCACGCAUGGGGUGUGCGAAUUUUCGCACACCUGAGGGGGGUGUGCGAGUUUCGCACACCAUUCGCACAGCUAAGGGGGUGUGCGAAUUUCGCACACCAUUGGCACACCAUUCGCACACCUGGAGCAGUUGUCUUCCGAAGGCCAUAUCUUCCUCGUUUCAGCUCCAAAUCGUACACGGUUUAAAGCGUUGGAUUCUUGACUUCCUGAUCUUUGAAAUGGUAUAUAGCAUGUAAAAAAUGGACUUCGGGAAGUGCUCCAAAAGUGCCAAAGAAGACUGCAGCUGAUGUCCUCUGUUUUCCUCCUUGCUUCUCUUUGCUUCUCUUUGGUUUUCUUUGCUUUUCUCCUUUGGAUGGCUUGUCUUAAUGAUCUAAAAAGAUGUCAAAAACACUAAAACUAGCCACAAAUAUGAUUAGGAGUCAUUGCUAGGUCCUUAACAUGCCAAUUGGAAUAAAGAUGAAGAAUUACUAACCAAAAGUGCUUAAAACAUAAUGACUUAAAGGUGUGAAAUAGCACUUUUUGGGUAGUAAUCACUCCCCCCAACUGACACAUUGCUAGUCCCUGAGCAAUGAAGGAGAGAAAAAGAAAGAAAAAUAGAUAAUAAAAUAAUUUACAAAAUCAUGCUGAUCACUCCAAAAAAUAAUCAAGUGGCAUGAUUGGAUCAAACUCUCACAUGGCAAGUCAAGGAUAUAAAACUCAAUCAUCAACAAGAGUUAUCAAAUAACUUACCUAUCACAACUUGCUAAGAGCGGACAUUAUGCAAAUUUGAGUAUCAAAAUAAUUUCCACUCCCAACGGAUCAAUUCUUAAUCUUCCACAAAAAUCUAAGUGUUAAGGUGCUUAGUUUCCAGUUAUAGUAUGUCAAACUAUAUUCUUCCCCCCAACUAAGGUUUUUCUCUAACUUUAGCAACACUAACUCAUAUAUAAAAGGCUAAGAACACACCUUUUUUUUUUUUUUUUUAAAGGGACUCCACCCAUCCACCCAUGUAACGAGCAGUGAGGUCGGUGACUCCCAACCAGUAAAGGCUUAGGGCACCAGGCUUUAAAGAUUUUCACCAUAUACCCCUCGGACCUUGCUCGGGUUUCAAAGCAAGUGAAGCAAAAAUUAUUCAUAAGACACAUUGGCCUUUUAUAAGGUGUCCCAACACUAAUAGAAUGAAGUCAAUGGCACCAAGUCGAAAAUUUCCUAAGUUUAGGGGGGUGAGAAAGUUUUCCAUCUUAUAACUGGAAUCUAAUGUGUUCAGUGUGUGAAAAGAUUAGAGUGGAAGACUUAAGAUUGAAAUCAAAAGGAUCUUCAACAAUUUAUCAACUUAAAUAAGCAUAAUACAAACUCUGAGACUAUGGCAAUAAGAUAAGAAUUUAAUUUCUCCCAUUUACUUUUGAGAAUUUAUCUUUGAGAAAACAAAAAGAGUUUGCAAAAAAAUUUGUUAGCAAAAUAACUUAACCAAAAAUUCAACAAAUUACUUCCUCAACUCUCCCCCCAACUAGGAUGAACAUUGUCCCCAAUGUUCCAAAAGCAAGAGAUAAUAAAAGGGAGGAAGUGAUACCUCCUGAUAGUAAGGAAGUCUCGACAUGAAAGUCUCUCGAUCGGCAAUCGGAGUUGCCCUCAAUGGGCAAGCUGGGUCUAGGGCGCCUGGCGGAAGAAGGCUGAGACUGUGAAUCCUGAGGUGCUCUAGAGGACUCUCCUGGCUCUGAAGUCUUGGCUUUCUUUGUAGGGGGGGUGUGCGAGUUUCGUAGACCUCAAGGGGGUGUGCGAAAUUUUCGCAUAGGGUACUAUUCACCCGCGCGUUUGAAAAAUUGUGGCUUGUUUGAGAUGGUGAAAAUUUGUGGCCUUUGAGGGUGGGAAAAGCUGGCUUAGGUAUGAAAAAGAUUUGUCAUGGUGAAUAGGCUUGGAAAUUGGAGCUUUUCAAGAGGAAAAUUGAAGAUUGGGAGCUCCCAUGGCCGGCGGCAAUGGGUUUCUUAUGAAGAAACCAUGGCUUGAAUGCUUAUGGUUUAGGCUUUGGUUUGGUAAGAACAAGGUUGGGAUUGGAUUGUGGAUGGAUUUAGAGGGUUGGGUGAAGAUUUGAAAGGAUUUUGAUGGUGGAAAGAGGUGAAAUUGCCGAAAAUGGGAAGUGGUGAAUAGUGAAUGCGCGGCUAUGGAAUGGAGCUAUGGAGAUGGGCUGCCAUGGUGGUGUUGAUGAUGAGGAAUGAUGAAGAAGAGAGGCUUUAUGGAUGGAAAUGGGUGAUCGGAAGAGAGGUUUUAAGAGAAUUGAAGAAGAAGUUAAGACUUUGAAGUGGAGAACAUAGCUUUUAAAGAGAAAAAUGAAUUUCGCACAGGGGAAAAUGGUGUGCGAAAUUUUCGCAUACCUGUGAUUCUCCAAGACAGAGAGCAUGGUUUUGAAAAUUGGCGCAAAAAAUGAAUUCGCACAAGGUUCGCACAAGGUUCGCAUUCCUGUGAAAUUCGCACAANNNNNNNNNNNNNNNNNNNNNNNNNNNNNNNNNNNNNNNNNNNNNNNNNNNNNNNNNNNNNNNNNNNNNNNNNNNNNNNNNNNNNNNNNNNNNNNNNNNNAAAAAAUAGAAAUCAAACCACAUUAGAAUGAAAUUAAAGUCAAAAAUAGAAAUCAAAACAUGCAUAAACACAAGAAAACAUUAGAUUAAACUAAAAUCAACUUAAAAGAGAACAAAAAGAGGAUAAACUUUUUAGUCUUUGGAGAGACUAAGUUCAACCAUGAACCAAGUGUUUUCAUGUUGGAGGUGGAUCAAGGAGGAUGAAUUCCUCCUUGUCUCGGGAAAAAGAUUCGAUAUAGGGCUUGAGACGAUGCCCAUUAACUUUGAAAGUUCGAGUGCUAUUGAAGUUGAGUAGUUCCACUACUCCAUUUGGUUGCACUUCAUGAAUUAUGAAAGGACCCGUCCAUCUUGAUUUCAAUUUUCCCGGAAAAAGAUGAAGCUUAGAGUUAUAAAGCAAGACUCUUUGCCCCUUGGCAAAAUUCUUCUGAUUUACCAAUUGAUCAUGCCAUUUCUUCAACCUCUCCUUUGCAAUUUUUGAAUUGAGGUAAGCAUCAUUCCUCAUUUCCUCCAAUUCAUUCAAAUCCAAACAUCUUUUCAACCCGGCUCUUGUCAAAUCCAUGUUGAGUUUUUUGAUUGCCCACCAUGCUUUGUAUUCAAUCUCCACUGGAAGAUGGCACGCUUUGCCAUAAACAAGGCAAUAAGGAGACAUUCCAAGAAUGGUCUUGUAAGCGGUCCUAUACGCCCAUAAGGAAUCUAGGAGCUUAAUAGACCAAUCCUUCUUAUUCACAUUCACCACCUUCAUUAAUAUAUUCUUGAUCUCCCGAUUGGCUAACUCAACUUGGCCACUUGUUUGAGGGUGAUAAGGUGUAGCUACCUUGUGCUUAACCCCAUAUUUGGCUAGAAGAGUCUCAAAAGGUUUAUUGCAAAAGUGGGUUCCUCCAUCACUUAUAAUGGCCUUAGGCACUCCAAAUCUUGCAAAGAUGUUAUCCUUGAGGAAUUUAAGAACCACCCUAUGAUCAUUGCUCCUACAUGGGAUUGAUUCAACCCACUUAGAGACAUAAUCCACUUCCACCAAAAUGAAGGAAUGUCCAAAUGACAUUGGAAAUGGUCCCAUGAAGUCUAUCCCCCAAACAUCAAAGACAUCCACUAUCAAAAUGGGGUUCAAGGGCAUCAUAUUUCGGCGUGUAAGCUUACCAAGCCUUUGACACCGAUCACAUCCCUUGCACAUAGAGUAGGCAUCCUUGAAAAGAGAGGGCCACCAAAACCCUGAUUGGAUCACUUUCAUAGCUGUUUUCUGGGAGGCAAAAUGACUUCCACAUGCACUAUCAUGGCAAUGGGAAAGAAUUCCUGAUUGCUCUUGUUCAGGAACACAUUUCCUUAUGAUUUGAUCCGCACAAUAUUUGAAGAGAAAAGGCUCCUUCCAAUAAUAGGCAUGGAUCUUAGCAAAGAAAUGCCUCUUGUCUUGGGCACUCCACUCGCUUGGAACUUCCCCAGUAACCAAGUAAUUUGCAAUGUGAGAAUACCAAGGAGCUACAUCUAUUGACAUGAGAGACUCCUCAGGGAAGUCAUCAUUGAUAGGCAGACCAUGUGAGUCAUGUGCUAUCACAAGUCUUGACAAAUGGUCAGCUACCACAUUUUCUACUCCCUUUUUAUCCCGGAUUUGGAGAUUGAAUUCUUGGAGCAAAAGGAUCCAUCUUAUCAAUCUUACCUUGGCAUCUUGCUUGGUUAGCAAGUACUUCAAAGCGGAAUGGUCAGUGAACACCACUAUAGAGGACCCUACUAAAUAGGCACGAAACUUAUCCAAGGCAAAAACUACUGCCAACAACUCCUUCUCAGUAGUUGUGUAGUUCCUUUGAGCCUCGUUCAAAGUUUUGCUCGUGUAAUAAAUCACAUAAGGCUUUCCAUCCUCUCUUUGCCCCAAAACAGCCCCCAUAGCAAGAUCACUUGCAUCACACAUUACCUCAAAAGGUAAUUUCCAAUUUGGGGCUCUCACUAUUGGUGCAGUUGUGAGGAAUUGCUUCAAUUCCUCAAAACUCUUCUGACACUUCUCAUCCCACACAAACUUGGCAUCCUUUACCAAGAGUUCACAAAGAGGCUUUGAGAUUUUUGAGAAAUCCUUAAUGAACCUCCUAUAGAACCUGGCAUGUCCUAGGAAUUGCCUAAUUCCUUUAACAUUUGUGGGAGGUGGCAACUUAACAAUUAGCUCCACCUUUGCCUUGUCUACCUCAAUGCCAUUUUUGGAGAUUACAUGUCCUAAGACAAUGCCUUGUUGUACCAUAAAAUGGCACUUCUCCCAAUUUAGCACUAGGUCUUUCUCAAUACAUCUGUGGAGAACAGCUUCUAAGUGCAACAAACACUCCUUAAAAGAACUUCCAUAUACAGUGAUGUCAUCCAUGAAGACUUUCAUGAUGCGUUCCACCAUAUCACUGAAGAUGCUUAGCAUACAUCUUUGGAAAGUUGUAGGAGCAUUACAUAAACCAAAGGGCAUUCUCCUAUACGCAAAAGUACCAAAGGGGCAUGUGAAGGUUGUUUUUUCUUGAUCUUCCAAAUAAAUCUCUAUUUGGAAGUACCCCGAGUAACCAUCUAGAAAACAGUAGAAAGGAUGUCUUGAGACUCUCUCAAGGACUUGGUCCAUGAAAGGCAAUGGGAAAUGGUCCUUCCUAGUCACUGAAUUCAACCUCCUGUAGUCUAUACACACCCUCCAUCCUGAGGUAGGACGUGUAGAGACUUCCUCCCCUUUCUCAUUCUGGAUCACAGUGAUUCCAGAUUUCUUUAGAACUACUUGGGUGGGGCUCACCCACAAGCUAUCUGAAAUGGGAUAUAUGAUCCCUGCUUGUAGUAGCUUCAGAACUUCACCCCUCACCACCUCUUGCAUGUGAGGAUUCAACCUCCUCUAGGGCUGCCUCACUGGUUUUGCAUCUUCCUCCAUGUAGAUAUGGUGGGUGCACACCAAAGGACUAAUCCCUUUAAGAUCAGAAAUUUUCCAUCCAAUGGCUUUCUUGCAUUUUCUGAGGACUCCCAAAAGACUAUCCUCUUGAUCACUUGUGAGAUUUGAAGAGACCACCACUGGACAUUUCUCAUCUUCCUCCAAGUAUGCAUACUUCAAAUUAACAGGAAGUGGCUUCAAAACAAGCUUUAGAGGGUCCUCCAUAGCUGCUCCUUGUGAGUCCUCCUUAUUGAACAGUGGUAAGAUCUCUUCCCGUCUCCUCCAAGGAGACAUGAUAGCUAGCACAUCAGAGGGUUCAGGUAACCCUUCUUCAAACACUUCAAGGUUUUCAUUCAAGCUCUCUUCUAAGCUCUUGUCACAAUGCUCUUCAACCAAGGUGUUGAUCAGGCACACCUCCUCCAAUCCUUCAUCCUCAUCUGGGUGAAGAUGCCUCUUGCAAAGAUGGAAUAUGUUUAAUUCCAAGGUCAUGUUUCCAAAUGUGAGUUGCAUCACCCCAUUUCUACAAUUGAUGAUGGCAUUGGAGGUAGCCAGGAAAGGUCUCCCAAGGAUGAUUGGCACGUAAUUGGCUUCCUUAACAGUGGGAUCAGUAUCAAGCACAACAAAAUCCACGGGAUAGUAGAAUUUGUCCACUUGAACUAGAACAUCCUCUAUCACCCCCCUUGGGAUUUUGACAGACCUAUCAGCUAAGGAGAGAGUGAUGGUUGUGGGCUUCAAUCCUCCAAGUCCCAGUUGCUUGUACACAGAGUAUGGGAGCAAAUUCACACUUGCCCCCAAGUCUAGUAAAGCUUUCUCCACAAGUGUCCCUCCAAUGUUGACUGCAAUGGUGGGGCAACCCGGAUCUUUAUACUUAACUGGAGACUUACUCUGAAUGAUAGCACUUACUUGCUCAGUGAGGAAUGCAUUCUUUGUCACAUGUAGCCCUCUCUUAACCGUGCACAAGUCCUUUAGAAACUUUGCAUAUGUGGGGACUUGCUUGAUCAUAUCAAGUAAGGGUAUAUUCACCUUCACUUGUCUCAAGACUUCAAGAAUUUCUGAUGAAUUCUUGAUUUCCUUUUUUCCAUGUAAAGCUUGAGGAAAAGGGGGAGGCAUAUGUUUCUUCAUCAUAUCUUCUUUAAUCACUAUCUCGGCUCUUCUUCAAUGCUUGAUUUGGAUGCACUUUUCUUCCCACUCUCCUCUUCUUGGUUAUUGCUCUCUUUAACCAAGGUUUUCUUUGACAAGAGUUCUUCAUCUUGCCUCACCUUAGGCAAGGGUUGAUCAACCUCCUUUCCACUCCUCAAGGUGAUCAUAGCUUUGACCUCCCUCAACUUUGAAGAAUCCCCCUCUUGGGUUUCAACUUCAUGAACACCCUUAGGAUUUUGGCUUGGUUGAGAGGGGAACUUUCCUUUCUCAUUCACUGUGUUGAGGUUGGUAAGCCUAGAGAUAGAGUAUUGAAUAUUAUCUAUCUUCUGAUAUAGAUCAUUUUGCAUCCCAUCCAUUCUCUUAUUUAGAGAACUCUCAACAUUCUCAAUCUUUUGGUGCAAUUGGGAGUUGAUUGCCCUUUGUUCACCCACAAAGUCAUUCAUGACUUUACUUAGGUUCGCAAUGGCUUGCUCCACUGAAGAGGUUUGUUGAGGUGCUUGAGUUUGGGCUUGUGGUUGGUAUAGAGGUGGUCUUGGUUUCCAAGAAAAAUUUGGAUGGUUUCUCUAGCUUGAAUUAUAGGUGUUUCCAUAAGGUGCAUUGUUGUUAGGCCUAAAUUGCCCCACAACAUUGGCUUGAUCACCUAACAUCUCCCUCACAGCUGGCAUGGUUGGGCACUCAUCUACCACAUGAUCACAUGAUUGGCAAAUGGUGCAUGGCAUGGCAUGGGCUUGAGUCUCGGAAAUGGCUUGGACUUCAUGCAUCUUUUUCAACUCAAGUUCUUCCAACCUCCUUGCUAUUGUUGCCACCUUAGCUUUCAUGUCCAUGUCUUCACUUAACAUGUACAUUCCACCCUUUGGAUUUACAGGAGCUUUCAUCCUUCCCAAUUCCUUUGAGUUGGGCUCAUCCCAUCCUCUUGUUACCUCAGAUACAUAACUUAAAAAAUCCAUGGCUUCUUCCGGAUUCUUACUCAUAAAAUCUCCCCCACACAUGGUUUCAAGAAUUUGCUUCAUGGAGGAAGACAUCCCAUCAUAGAAAUAGCUCACCAAGAGCCAUGUAUCAAAGCCAUGAUGAGGACAAGCAUUGAUGGCCUCCAUAUACCUUUCCCAACAUUCAUGGAACUUCUCAUUUUCUUUUGUAGAAAAUUUUGAGAUUUGUCUCUUCAACCCAUUGGUCCUAUGGGUGGGGAAAAAUUUCUUCAAAAACUCGGCCUGAAGAUCAACCCAAUUCCUUAUGCUCCUUGGCCUUAAAGAAUUAAGCCAUAUUUUUGCCUUGUCCUUCAAAGUGAAAGGGAAUAGCUUGAGUCUCAUCAAGUCUAUUGAAGCUCCUCCCUCUCUAAAGGUAUUGCACACCUCCUCAAACUCCUUGAUGUGGGCAUAUGGAUUCUCACUCUCCAUUCCAUGGAAAUUUGGUAGAAGGGGCACAAUAUGGGGCCUUAUAAUCAGCUGCUCAAGAGGAGGUAUGAUGCAUGAGGGUGCACUCAUCCUUGGUGGGUGCAUUCUAUCCCUCAUGGAUAGAUAUGCAUUUGGAUUACCCCCUUGACCUUGUUGAGAAUUCUGAUCCUCUUGUGGAGGGUCCAUGAUGUUUACACAGAUAUCCAACUCUGUGUCUUGAGGAUUCUCAAUCCUUACUAAUCUUCCCUCUUGGUCCUGAAUCCAAUAGGGCAUGCACAAAUCACUACUUGCCUGAAAACAAAACAAAGACAACAAAAACAAAAGAAAACUAGAAGAAAGUUAAAGUUAGAAAGAAAACAAAAGAAAUUCUACAAUAAAAAAAAAAGGAAAUAAAGUUAGUGAAAAAGGAAUUCACCAAACUUGUGAUGAAAAUCACAAGUAGCCUCUAAAAGGUUGUAUCACUGUAUCGUGGCACCAUCCCCGGCAGCGGCGCCAUUUUGAUUCGCGUAUGUAAAUCUAGUCGGGUCAUUUAAUCAAAAACAUUUAUAAAACCUAUGACCUCAUACUAGUGUAGCAAAGCUACUAUAGUAUAGUGGCUCUAGGGUCGAACUCUGGGAUGGGUUUUCAUUCUACCAGUGAUAUACUCAUGAUUAGGAAUUGAAUUUAAUGAUUUCCUUUAUAAAAAACUUAGAGUUUAAAAGAAAAUAAAAUUUGUUUUGAAAGUGUUUGAAACUAAAUUAACAUAAACUAAUUAAAAAUGGAAGAAAGAAAGUCUCCCGGAGCUCAGGAUUGCUAGGAUCAAGUUUAGAAUGCAAAGUGGAAAAUUCCAGAUUUUUCUCCUCGCAUUGGGGAUUUAAUCUAUAGUUAUUUCCCGAACCGGUAUAGGUUUAACAAUGAAGAUUUAAUCCAUAAAAAUCAAUAGAAAUGGUAGUCAAGGUCCAUUAAUGGCUUUAGACACUAUGGGUCUUCACAUUGAACCACUUUCCAAUGGCUCGUACAUGAUAACUAAUGGACUGAUAUGGAUCUAGCAAUAAGCAUCCACAGAGACCUGAAGCUUACCAUGUAUUGGCCAUUCAAAGUGAUUCUAAGGGAUUUAAAGCAAAACUUUGGAUUUAAAAGCCAUUUAUGAACUUCAACUACCUGUAUUUAAGGCACGAGCGUUUUCCACCUUGCAUCUGGACUUUUCACCUAACUUCCAUCACUCCAAGAAACCAAAAGUUUAGCCUCUCAUCCUCUGAGAAAACAUCCUCAGAGGUUGUUUGGCUUCCAAGAAAAAGAAAAUAGUAAAGAGAAAAGGGAAAACGAGAGAGCUCUGUAUAUUUUUCUAAGUGUAAAACAUAACACGCGUGAUACCUCCAAGAGGUGAUUUCCACCCCUUAUAUAGUUUUUACAAAAGCAAAGCUUGUGAUUGGCUUGUUACAAGGAGAAGAAAGGAAAUUACAUCAAAAAACACAAAAGAAAAUAUCUAAAGUGGAGUCGGCAAAAACAGAGGAAAAUUCGCACCACGCAUGGGGUGUGCGAAUUUUCGCACCACGCAUGGGGUGUGCGAAUUUUCGCACACCUGAGGGGGGUGUGUGAGUUUCGCACACCAUUCGCACACCAUUCGCACAGCUAAGGGGGUGUGCGAAUUUCGCACACCAUUCGCCCACCAUUCGCACACCUGGAGCAGUUUUCUUCCGAAGGUCAUAUCUUCCUCGUUUCAGCUCCAAAUCGUACACGGUUUGAAGCAUUGGAUUCUUGACUUCCUGAGAUUUGAAAUGGUAUAUAGAAUGUAAAAAAUAAACUUCGGGAAGUGCUCCAAAAGUGCCAAAUAAGACUGCAGCUGCUGUCCUCUAUUUUCCUCCUUGCUUCUCUUUGCUUCUCUUUGGUUUUCUUUGCUUUUCUCCUUUGGAUGGCUUGUCUUAAUGAUCUAAAAAGAUGUCAAAAACACUAAAACUAGCCACAAAUAUGAUUAGGAGUCAUUGCUAGGUCCUUAACAUGCCAAUUGGAAUAAAGAUGAAGAAUUACUAACCAAAAGUGCUUAAAACAUAAUGACUUAAAGGUGUAAAAUAGCACUUUUUGGGUAGUAAUCAUUUACAAAUUAAUUGGAGCAAUGGAAUUGGAACAGGACACAAACUUCAAAACAUUAAAAAUCAGUAAUGCAGAUAAGGGCAUUUAUAUGUACACAUAUUGAUCAGAAAAUGAACUUCAUCCUUUACCAACCUAAAAACUCAAAAGAAAGAAGUAUAAUUUCAGAUAUGCAAGAUUUUGAUCUAUUAAAGCCCAAAUCAUUUUAUGUUCAUAGAAAUGAGAAGACAAAAUGGCAGCCGACUUUUAGGAUUGAAAGAAAAAUGAAUUGAUGCUACUUCCCAAUGCUAAUGCCAUUAAUUUGUUAUUACUCUUUGUGGCCAUGUCGAGUCUGUCUAUCAAAUAAGAUAAUCCCUUCUUUUUUUCUUCUUUUUUUCUUUACAUAGUCAAUCAUCUUGUUUCAUGUUUGCCCUAUAGUUGGUCUGCUGAUGAUAGGCUUUUUUUUAGUGGAAGCAAGUACUCUAUACUGAAGGUAAAUUAUGGGAACUAUGUCUUUUUGUGGUAUCGACGGGGUUAUCAUAUAGCUGAAUGAUUCUAUACUUCCUUAUAGCUUUUCAAGGCAUUAAAAAAGAAAAGAACAAAGGUAGAACUAGGAAAAAUAUUUCUUUUUGAUUUCAAGUAUACUCUUUCCUUAUGAAGUUUUAUUUUGGUAAAUUACAGUUAGAUAUAAUCACAUGGCAAUAUUUUUUUCUUCCAAGUUUAAACAGUAAUUCAAGAGAGUGUAUUAUGAAAAUAUACUAAAAUAAAAAAAUCCCAUGAAUGCAUUCUACUUUGGAUAUUUCUUAUGAAUCUUCCCCUAUACUCCUGGCCAUCACAUACACUCCCAUCACACCAAUCCUUGUAGUUGUUCUAAAUUGUUUCAAAUCUGUCAUAAACCGAUUACUAAUAUUAAGGACUGCCAUGUCUACUAAUUUGGGGCUAGAAUUUUUAGAGCAUGUGGGAAAUUCUGGUUAUAGUGGGAAAUGUGAGUGCUACUGUUUUGCCAAAGUGGCUUUCCUUAUUCAUGCUAACAUCAACAACAUAGCAAUGAACUUGAUUUAAUAUUAUUUAUCAUAUAAGCUUGAGAUAUCUGGACACAAAAGUUAAAACAAGAUCUUCGAGGCUUUGAAGAUGAGGUAUUUUCCUCCUCUUAAGUACUAGUUAAUAUUCUUCUUUUGACAUUGUACUUGGUUUAAUUAAUGUUUUCCUUUUUUUUCGUAUUCUAGAAAGGUUUUUGUUGUUGAUUUGAGUCCAUAUGGUGAGAAGGUAGUCUCCGAUGGUACGAAACAGAGUACUCAAUUUAUGGAUGGCUUGAUGGCUGAAAAAGGAAGAGAUAUAUGAAAUGAAGAUUGACAUGAUUCUUCCACAACAUGAUGGACUUGGUAGGCACUCAAUUUUUGCCUACAGCUAAUAGUCUACCAUAUGUGUAACUUAAAGGUUGUGCACUAAGUUAUUAUGUUAUGAAGAAUCAAGGGUGGUUUGUGCACUAAGCUCUUCUAAAAUGUUUUUCUUUAUUGAGCUGUAAUGAUUGUAUUAUUUGGAUUUAAUUGUAUUCAUUAGGUUUGCACAUCACGAUAUAAUUAUUUUCCUCUUUGAUCAUGUAAAGUUGGGAAACAGUUAUGGGUUAUUGUAAUAGCGUGGUAUAUUGAUGCACACAGUUUGUGGCAUAACAGUUUGAUGAAAUAACAGAAGUGUAGCACUCAUGGGCAUAUCAUGUGAACCUUAUUCAAUGUGGCAUUGACAGUUAGCUUAAAUUUACAUGGGUGUAAUGUCGCACCAGUAUCUUCUAAUGAACCUUGGAUUCUUUUUUCUCCAUUUCUUCCUCUCUUGGUCAAACCAAACAAUUUAUCUUCAUGACUUCCUCAUGUUACCAAAAAACAACAUCUUGUGUUCUCCAUCUCUUUAUCCUCUUAUCAAGACAUAGCAAUCUAAUGCAUCUUUGCAUUGGGUUGCUUCCUCUCCUUCCCUUCUCCUUCCUCCUUAUAUCAUUGCUUAGUUUUGGCUACUCUAUUUCUUUGAUCGUUAUGGUAGAGCAUCAUUGCAAGAUGUACAAGAAAUGUGUUGUGGUGCAUUAUCCCCUUCUCUACCACCCGAAAUAUGUUUUCCAUGAUCAUUAAUACCAAGACGUUUAAGCAUCAAGUAAGGCAUCUCUUGACAAUUAUGUGAAAGAUAAGAGAUAAGCAACAUACUGGUAUUCAAGAGAAGUGAUGUUCUACAUUUGCAGUUGACAACGUGCAUUUAGUCUGAACUCCAAAUUUGGGCAACUCAGAAUCUCCACCUUCAUUAGGAUUGCAGAAAGUUGGCUUCUUGGAAAGAUGUGGAAAUGGGGCAUUUAGAAAUCAGAAAGAAUCCCAGUGGCCUGUUGCUACUUUCGAAUCAUUCCAAUCAACAACAACUCUAAAGAUAUAUAUACAAAUCUGUCCCUGGGAAAGAGAUCCAUGUUUCUUAGGCAUGCAACCAUCUCUCUUAACAGACUUAGGGUUCUACACCCUCUUGGUGUUUCUUAUAUAUUGCACCAUCUGAUUUGUAGAUAUCCAAUUGCCAAUUUCACUACACCUGAUGAACUAGAAGCUAUGCUAAAAGUGAAGUUAAACAACCCAUCGUAGAAAGAAUCCUAUAGGAAUACACUAAAAAGAAUAUCUUAUUAACAUAAAUGAACUCAUCCAAUUAAAGGAUAAAGUUGCAUGAAAAUUGAAUUGGGAGAGAUACAAAUACUGAUGCUUAUGUAGGACUAUGGAAAGGAUCAAAAAGAGGAACAAACAUUGAAUAGUAAAUGUAAAGUCAUAAAGCUUCUAACAUCUGUCAAAAGCUACUCUGUAGUGAAGUUUUUUUAACGAUAAAGGUAACUGAAAAAUUCACCAAAUAGCUCCACUUGAAGGAAAUUUCAGUGGUAUGAAACUAGGAUAUGGUGAACUCUCCUUGCUUAUACUAUUGUUGUGAGCCAUUAUAGAUCAAAGAUGAAUCUCACCAUAUGUUUUCACACAGAAGAUGUGGGCUAUCUUUGGGUCAUCUCUCAUCAUUGGAUUUAGGAGUUUGGUCUCUCAUAUAUAGUUUCACUUGCCAACUACAAAUGGAGCUUAGUAGAUGUCUCCAUGAUGUGGAGACUGAGCAACAUACAUAAUUCAAGGGAUGUGCAGUUGUUCUUGUGAAUCACCCAAUCUUCAUCUAAUAUAUAUAGACGCAUAAAUUUUAGCAACUUAUAAUCUCCAUAUUUUAGAGCACUGGAGGAAGCUAGCCUAUUCAACAAACAUAACAUAAUUAGAAAAAUGCAAGAAUUCCAGAGACAUGUUGUGCUAUCAUGUAUUCCAAUCAGUAAGGAAUCAAAGUGCUAUAAUUUUAAACUGUGCAAUAACAGACCUAUCUUAGGGAAGUAAAUUGUCUUGAGCACCAAAUCAAUUGUGAGUUCUUUGAGAGACUUGGACACCAACUCAAUCAAAGCUGCUAGUUGUUUAUGUGGCAGCUUGUAUUCGUCCACUAAUACUGGAGAAAAUGCUUUUGAAAACCCUUAAUCUUUAAAUCACAAAGGGAAAUUAAAUUAUGUUGUUAUUUGAUCUCCAAUCUCUUUGACACAAAUGGAUGAUUUCCUUGCUACAAACAAUGUCUAAUUCUAUCACUUGUACUCUAGCAUGUGAUUUAGGAGGAGAAUUAAGCUUUGGAAUAUUGCCAAUAAACAAGGAAUUGAGAAAGACCAAGUGGGCAGCCACCACAACUAGUUCACGAACAAAUGGAACCAUUGGGAGUGGAACAUGACACAAAAACAAAACAUGUUUUCCAUAUUCAUAAAUACCAAGGUGUUUAAGCAUCAGGUAAGACAUCUCUUCACAAUAAUAUGAGAGAUAGAGACAAGUAGCAUACCGUUAUUCAAGAGAAUUGGUGUUCUUCUUUUGUAUUUGACAACAUUCAUCCACUUUACACCCCUAUUUUGGCAACUUAGGAUAUCUCCACCUUCAUUAGGAAUAUUGCAGGAAGUUGACCUCUUAGAAAUACAUGAGAGGACAUUUAGAAAUCUGAAAGAAUUCUAGAGACUUGUUAUUGCUUGAAUUGUGAAUCAUUCCAAUCAGUAACAACUGGAGAGCCCCUAUACACAAUUUUUAAUUAUUAGCCUUCUUACAUUGGAUGAAAAAUCUAUCCCUAGAAAAGAGACAUGUCUUGGGCCAUGCAACCAUCAAUUACUCUCGAAGAGGCUUGAAGCUGUGCACCCUCUUGGUAGCUUAUCGUUCAUUACAACAUAUAAAUUCUAAAUAUCCAAUUGGCAUGUCACUAUAAUUGAACAUAAUAGGAAACACGGUGAAUAGGAAGUUAGAAACCCUGUCAUAAAAAGAAUCUUACAAUAAUACACCAAAUAGAACAUCUUGCUAAUUCAGUUAAACUAUUGUGUGAAAAUCUAAAUUGGGAGAGAGAAAACAUCAAUGCUUACAUGGGACUGUGGGAGGGACCAACAAGGGGAACAAACAUUGAAUAGAAAAUGUGAAGCCUUAAAGCUUGUAAUUGCUGUCAGAAGCUGCCCCCUAGUCAAGUUUUCAACAAAAAGGUUCAAUGCUAGGAUUCUCGCUCAACUUGUAGAAAAUUUCAAUAGUAUGACAAUUUAUACUCAAAAAGAAGAUAAAAUGUAAGAAUUAUGUGUUGGGAAUAGAUCACUCUUACUGAAUAUAUGGAUAGAAUAAGGUGAACUCCACCUGCUUCCAUUUUUGGAAUCCAAAUUAUUAUGGAUCAAAGAUGAAUCUCUCCAUCUAUUUACAAAUAGAACCUAUGGGCAAUCUUGAACUGAUGUCUCAUCAUUGGAUUUAGAACUGGUGUAUAGCUCUGAAACCAUGGCAUGGUUCUCCUUUAGUUGCCAAAUACCACUAGAGCUUAGGUGAGGUCUUGGUGAUGUAGGGAAGUCAUGGAUUCUUGAAUCUUUACAUGAAAAUAUACAUGAGAUACAUUGGAAGAAAGAGCAGGCCAUCUAAGAAGAAACACAUCUUAAAGUAUACCAUCAAUCAUGAGUUGUUUGAGAGUGAGGAGUCUUUGAAGGCCUCACUCAGAUAAGGGAUGUCUUUGACAUUUCUCACUCUUCAAUCUCAGGAAGGUACAUCAUCAAUUAGAACCUUAGGAAUGUGAGUCAUCAUGGGACAACUUGUUUAUGUUCUUUAUUCUUUUCUCACCAGAGGGCAUUGAAGGAUAUGUAGUUGCAAGGGCAAAAGACGUAGCCAGUAGUGAGAGCAUUGAACAAUCCUUCUCUAAUGCAGACCACCAAUUUUAGUAACUCAUGAUCUCCACAAUUUAAAGCACAAGGAAGUUGGCCUAUUGGAAAGAUGUCACAUGACAUUUAGAAAUGGGCAAGAAUUCCAUAGAUCAUUCCAAUCAUUAAGGAAUCCAAAGCCUUAUAAUUUGAAUAGGGCAUCUACUUGGCAUGGAUAAUGCACCUAUCUUGGGACAAAGACCACAUGUUGAGCACCAAUUCAAUUAUCAACUCUCUAUGAAACUAGAGAUACAAGGUAUUAAUGUUAGUACAAAUUAACUGGUAACUCUUCUUCUUUUACUGGUAUUGGAGGCAAAGCCUUGCAAAAACCCUCAAUCUACAAAUUACCAAGGACAUGAGAUCAUGUUGUAAUCUUAUCUCCAAUCUCCAACGGCAAAUAGAUUAUUUCUUUCAAUUAACAAUCUUUAAUGCUUUCGCUUCUAUCAUAGGAUAUGCAAUUUGGGAAAACAAGUAAGUUUUAUAAUAUUAAGAAUAUGCAAGGAAUUGAUGAAGGUCAUGAAUCAACUUAAAAUCAAAAAAUAAAAAAUGAAAAAACAAAGAUUUUUUCACCCAUGAAUACCGUAACCAACUUCCAAAAAGCAUUAGGUUUUGCAAUAACCAAAUGUUCCUCAGGUAUUAAAGUUAAAGUUCAAAGUUACCAAGAGUGCAUUUUUUUACCCGUGCAUAAAAUAAAAAGAAAAUAAGAACGCAUACCAUAUAACUCACAAUUGUGUCAAGUAUGAGUUCAGUUUAUGUUCAUGCAUAAUUGCAUUAAGUAUUUGAAAGCUAAAUAAGACUAUGUGUAAUUCAAAGAAUACCUACAAUGCUCACAGCUUAUCAUAGAAUGAGAACUCAAUUGUCUUUCUUCCAGUCAUAAGAGUUUGUGCUCUUUGAGCCUCUGACUUGCACAACUCAAGAUGGCAGGACGUGCCAAAAAGUCUUCUUCACCUUAAAUGUUAUUCAAAUCUGCAAUAUAAAUCUUGAUAAGAAAAUUUUCUACAAAUAUAACAUGUUACAAAAAAAAUAACAAUAUGUUAGUUUAAAAUUGAAGAGCAUUUCAAACCAAACAAAGUAGAAAAUUUUUCAAUGUUUAUCACUGACCUAAAAACUUGUAUGUUGGAUAAAAUUCAUGCUAAUGAAUCCUGACAAUUGCUUGCAAUCAAAAUUUAGUAAUGACUUAUAAAAAUAAAUUACAAAAUUCUUUAGCAAUGUUCCAUGAAAAACACAUUGUACAUUGAUUAAGAAAUUCAUAUGAAAUCCACUAAUUUGAAAGACACCAAAAACCAGAUGUUGUCUUAAGUUCUCCAUGUAUCAAAAUAGAUGCAAGUUUCUAUUCGAGCCACCACAAUCACGGAGUACGAGACUUCUUAGCAUGGAAGGCAUACUAGAUUUCAAACAAAGUUCUUAACUUUCCAAGAGACAUAAGAACAUGGUGUGUUGCAUAAACUGUAGAAUAAAUAAAUGGAAGUUAAACACACAUGCACUUGCUACUUAUUUUUUUUAAUCAUCUAUGAAAUAAAUAAAGAGGUGUUACUUGCAUUCAAUCCAAACUUGUGGUCUUCAAUGUGAAAUCCAAAUCUCAUUUUGUCAACACAAUAAGAGCAUUAAACAUACAACAAAUUGAAUCCUUCCCUUUAACAAUGUGAAAACCUGAAAGAAAUGACUUGGGAUCAUAAAUAAUUAUACGAUAAAGAAAACUUUCAUUAUUUUUUCUAAAAGAAAAAUCUGUUAUUUCCUUGAUUACGGAAGAUAGAUAUUAUUAAGGUAAACUUUGUGCAUUAUACAUUGAAAUUAGAAAAUUGUAUUUAAAUCCAGUUAGAAAGGUGCCACAAAAAAUGCAUAAUUGAAAUGAAGGCAUCCAUGCCAAUUUGUGACUGUUGUCAAAUAACAGCCUCCCUUGACAUUUUGGGUCCCAUGCCUGCAUGUCAAAUCUCCAACUAAGACUACUCAAAGAGCACCUAAAAGAAAAUUACCAAGAUUUCAUCACAUGCAGAACUCGAGAUGCUAACAUGGAACCAUGGGAGAAAUCGAAAAGAAACAAAAUACUCACCCAUAAGUUUGUAAUUUUUGUACUCAAAACCCGUUUCCUAGUCAAACUUUCAACACAACUCCAUAGAGACUUUCACAAAUAGUUAAGCCACUAGUAGAAAACAACAUCAAUAUGAGAAAUUGACAAGGUACUGUGUAGAUAAAAAAGUAUAAAUAUGUGUUGAGAAUAAGAGUUACCUUAAUGAAUGUAAGGAUAGGAUAGGGUUGAAUUAGCUCUGCACCUAUUUUUGCAAUUUGAAUUUGUGACGGUUCAAAUAUGAGAUUAUGAUCUAUCCUCACUUUAGGGGAAGCGGGCAAUCUCCUUGAAACAUCUUUGAUUUAGAGAUUCGAUAAAACUCAUCUUGAAGCACCUUAUUACUGAUGAAUUGAGCACCAAUAAAUCUUGGUGUUGAUAUAGCUAUGAAUGUGCGCAAGUGCUCCUUCUUAUAAAACCUUUCAAACUUUUUAAAUGUAUCAUAAUUAUCACAAACAAGUGAUGAAUGACGAGUACUUUUAGGAAUGAGAUAUUACAAAUUCUUUUUGAACUCAUCAUCCAAAUGCAAGCAUGUAUCUCUAGCAACAUAUUUAGCUAGAGCAUGGACAAGGUCAUGCAUCAUGAAUCGUGAUCUAUUGCUACUCGACGAUUGAAAAAAUGACCUUGACAAUAGCUCAUCAAAAUACUUAUCACCAAGAUCUUCCAUUUUCCUAUUAUCUUUUGAUUGUUAAAUUAACCCCUCCACCAUCCACAGGAGGAUUAACUCUUGCUUUGUAAACUCAUAAUCCUGUGAAAAAAUUGCACAAUAAGUAAAACACCUCUUUAAAUGUGAAGACAGAUGAUAGUAGUUCAAUCUCAAGGCAGGGAUGAUGUCAUAUUCAUUUUUCGUGAAAUCCCAUACUUUGUUGUACAAUACUCUUUCUCAUUCAUAUUCACGUAGUUCAGAGCGCAAAAGGCCACCAAAGGCUCUUGCUGCUAAGGGUGAACCUCCACACUUCUCUACAAUUCUCCUACCAAUUGAUUCCAAAUUUGGGUGCUCAUCGAUAUUCAUAUGUUCAAAAGCAUGUGUUUAAAUAUCUUCAAACAAUCAUCAUAAGGUAACUAUUUGAGCUUAUGUAAGUUCUUGCGUCCUCUCAUCUUGUUUGCAACAUUAUUAUUUCGAGUUGUGACUAGAAUUUUGCUUCCCUCUGCUCCCACCUAGAAAGUGGAGAAUAGCCUGUCCAACUCAAAGUAAUCAUCAUUCCACAAAUUAUCCAAAACUAUCAAAAAAUAUUUUCCCUUCAAUUCCUUCCUCAAAGUUUCUUGAAUUUGAUGCAGUCUUGUGAAUCACUGCUUUGAGAAUUAGUCACCAAGUUGAGAAUUGCCUUUGUUAUUCUCACUGCAUCGAACUGAUCUGAGACACAAACCCAGGCUAUUUUAUGAAAAUGCUCGGUUAUGGUCUUAUCGUCAUCGUACACUAGUCUUGCUAGUGUGGUCUUACCCAUCCCACCCAAGGCCAUGAUGGAAACUACAGAACAAUUGGUUUUAGUGGGUUCAUUCCUAAGCAGCAUAUCAAUUAUAAUAUCUUUUUCUGUCCCCCUGCCAUAAACCUGAGGUUCAUAUCCUAGAGAUAUAGUGAUUGGCCUUCCCCAAGCAAAGUUGGUUAUCGCAGCCACCUUUUCUAGAUGAAGCUUAGAUUUUUUAGCCGAAAUAUUGAUUACUACCAAAAAGUGCUAUUUUUUAGACCUAAUUAUAAUGGUUUUAAGCACCUUUGAGUAGUAAUCAUAUUCAUUUAACCCAAUUAAUUCAUUAAGGUCCUUAGUAAUUGGUUUUAACCAUUUUGUGGCAAGUUUACAUGUUUAUAUCAGCUUAUGAAUCAAUUCAAGCAUGCCAAAUGAUGGAGGAGCUACUUGGACAAGUUAAAGCAAGCUUUUAGCUACACCAAAGCAAGCCAACAAAAGGAGAAAAGCAAAGUGAAGCAAAGAGAAGCAAAAAGAAGCAAAGAGGAAAACAGAGGACAGCAGCUGCAGUCUUCUUUGGCACUUUUGGAGCACUUCCCGAAGUCCAUUUUCUACAUUCUAUAUACCAUUUCAAAUCUCAGGAAGUCAAGAAUCCAACGCUUCAAACCGUGUACGAUUUGGAGCUGAAAUGAGGAAGAUAUGGCCUUCGGAAGACAACUACUCCAGGGGUGUGCGAAAAUUUCGCACAACACCUUCCAAAUUCGCACACCCCCUUGCGUGGUGCGAAUUUUCCCCUGUUUCUGCCGACUCCAUACGAGAUCUUUUCUUUUGGAUAUUUUUGUAUAAAUUUCCAUUCUUCUCCUUGUAAUCCACCAAUCAUAAGAUUUCUUAGCUAGGAAGGUUGGAAAAACUUCUCUCUAUAUAUUCCCUUGCAUCCGGUGUAACAGAUAUCGAUCAAUAUAUAGAAUUUUUACAGAGCUCUCCCGUUUCUAUUUUCUUAGUAGCCAAACAGCCUCUGAGGGUUUUUCCUCAAAGGAUGAUUGGCUAAAACUUUUAGUUUCUCAAAGUAUGGAUGUUAUGUGAUGGCUUGGAUGCAAUCCCAUGGAAAUUUCUCGCACCCGGAAGGUAAGGUAGUCGUUUUUCAUUAAAGGUUCAUUAAUGCAAAGUUUGGUUUUUAUUUCCUUUGGACAACUUCCAACGGCCAAUACUUGAUAAGCUUUUAGAUUUCUAUCCAUUAGUUAUCUCCUACGAGCUAUUGGAAGGUGAGGUUUUCAAUUCCAAGUUUUGUAUUAAUCCGUUAGAACCAAUUUCAAUGGCCAUUGAAAGGUGAGUUUAUCACCUGGAAUGACUUUGAGUUGCCAAUAUUUGGUAAGCUUUUGGCUUUAGACCAUUAUUUAUCUCUUACGAGCCAUUCAAAGGAAGUCUAAGGUGAAUAACCAUUGAUGAAAUUCACUACCAUCUGUUUUGUCAUUUUAAAGGAUUAAAACUUGAUUUGCUAAAUCCAUACCGGUUCGGGAAGCAAGCAUCACCAUAGUUGCAACCCCAAUGCGAGGAGCCUAUCCUGAGAUUUCCAAUUUGCAUAAGAACCAGAGCAUAGCUAUCCUAUCUUUGAGAAACUUGUUUUUACACCCUUUCAUUUUAGUCUUUAAUGUUAGCUUAGAUUAGUUUAAAUCUUUCUAAAACAUUUACAUCUUCUUUUAAAGCUAACAUCCAUAAGAAAAUCACCUAUUUUCCUAAUUUGAAUAUCACUUGUGUUUGCGAAAACCCUUCCCAGUGAACGAUCCUAGAACCACUAUGCUAUAGUAGCUUGGCUACUUUAGUAAUAGUAUUCAAGGUAUAAAUUUUGUUGAUACGCCUUAAGCUAAGCUACCAUGAGUCGAAUCAAAUAUCUCGUAAGCGGCGAGUGAUUUCCAACACCUUGGACCUCAUGUUAAUAUAACGAAUAACCUCAGUAGGAUUGAAAAUGCCAAGACAAGUGGAGAUGAGCUUGCAUACCUUGCUUGGCCUGCCUUGAUGAUUAGCUUCGUUGGUCAUGAGCUCCCGUUGCAAAGCUUCCUAAGCGAACUCAUCCAAGAUGUCCUCCAUAUCAUAAGCCAAAUAUUUCAGAUUGCCCAACCACUCUUUCAUAGGGCAAUUCAUGAUCUGCUUGUCCUCCGUGUCAUUAAGCUCUUCACGAAUAUCUGACAAUUCUAUCUCUCAUUUCUUGAGAUCAGAAUACGUCCAUUGUUGGCGUGCAAAGUCAAGCAAAUCAGUGGAGGCCAACUUGUCAAACAAGAGGUCGAUGGUUGUAGAAAGAAGAGCCUUUCCCACAGCUUCCACCGCUGGUUUGUACUUUGUUUGCAGAGAGAGCAAAUCAAGCAAUGGGUAAAAAAAUAAAGCAGAAAGAAGGAGGUCUGCUCUGUGAAGGCUUUAAAUAUUAGAAACUCAUAAAACAUUUGUAAAAAAUGUUAUGCUGAUCAUAGAAGGAGACCCCUAGAGUUCCAUAUAGGAGAUCACGUGUUUUUAUCUGUAACACCUCGGAGAGGCCUAUUUCGAUUUGGUAAAAAGGGAAAGCUUACUCCAAGAUAUAUUGGGUCCUUUGAAAUCCUUCAAAAGAUUGGAGAGGUAGCAUACAAUUUAGCCUUACCACCACAGCUAUCAGGUAUACAUGAUAUGUUUCAUGUCUCCAUGUUGCGAAAGUAUGAGCCUGAUACCACACAUGUACUAGAUUGACAUGAUUUGAAUUUGCAAGAAGAUGCAACGUAUGAGGAAGGGCCGAGAGAAAUUUUAGAUAAGAAAAAGCAGGUACUACGAGCCAAAACCAUACCUCUAGUGAAAGUGUUAUGGGAUCAUCAUGUAGUGGAAGGAGUUACAUGGGAGUUGAAAUCAAAUAUGAGAAACAAGUACUCAAAACUCUUUACGGUUCGCUUUUUUAAAUUUCGAGGACGAAAUUUUUGUUAGGGGGAGUGGAUGUAAUACCUAGUACUAAUAAAUUAAAUAGGCAAUAAUGAUUAUCUUAGUACUUAACUUUAAAUGUGCUUAAUUAGAUGUUAAAACUAGUUUAGUGCUAAUCUUAUUUAAUUAUGAAUUAAACUUUGAUUAAGGUUAAGUGGGAUUAGUUAAUGACUUAAGCAUGCUUAUUAGGUUCUUAGGGGCUGAUUAGAGUUAUGAAAACCUAAAGGACUAAUGGGCAAUUGUAGGUUUAAUAUUGGCUAAUUUGGAGGACUGAAGUGCAAAAUUGGAAAGUUGGGGUUGAUGGCAGCCAUGUGGCCUGCCAUCUCCUACUUGGCUGCAUGGAGACCCCUUUAUAAGGGUUUGCAGCUCGUUUUGCAGCAUUUUACCUAUAGCAGCUUGGGUUAGAGAGAGGAUCUAGAGAGAGAAAGUGAAGAUUUGAGGUAAGCAAAUUGUUUAAUUUAGUAAUUUUGGUUUAUUUUGGUUCCUAAUAGUAUGUUGAAACAAAUUAACAAUAAAAUUUGUAUAAAACUUGAGUGUAAUUAGCUAUAAACAUAUUUUAGUUAAAAAUCACAAUUAAUUAAGGAUUAAAGUGUUUUACCUUAAGUAUUUUAUUAAUGGUGAGAUCAACAUAAAUCUUUGUUUAGUUUGGUUUGAUUGAAAAAGAGAUUGGUAAACAUGUGAUUAAUUAGGUUAUUUGGACAUCGAGACUUGUUAAUGGGUUAGGCUUUAGGAAAAAAAUCAAAACAAUUAGUGUUUGGUAAUUAUUUGGAGAAUAUGAGAAUUAAAAAUUAAUAAUAGUAAAUUGUUAAAAAUUAGUAAGAAAUGAAAAUUUCAUAAGUUUUAAUUGAAUAAAUUUUCAUGGUUAAGAAACCUAAAUUAUGUUAUUUUAUUUCAGUUCCUUGUAAUAGGUAAAGAUCACCUACAUAGAAGAAUCACAAAGGGCAAGUCAAUGUAAGGUAGGGAAGUUUAUGUUGUUCCAUGGUGUAUCUAAUUUCUUUCCUUGAAACAUUUAUUGGAAUUUCAUGUCAUUUCUAUGAUUUCAUAAAAUGUUUUAAUAUGUCAUUGCAUCUCGGUUUAUUGUAUUGAAAUGUUACAAUGAUAUUGGAACGUAUAUUGGUAUGAAGAUUCAUGGUUCUGUGUUGUGGAAAUGGUUCAUAGUGUGGCUGCAUUGCAAGAAGGAUAUGGAAUAAUCACAGAUGAUAUUCAGAGAAUUGAUUGUUGGGAAGUGUUUAUGUGAUGCUACAUGCAUUAUCCUUUGAUAUAUUGUUUAUGCGGGACCUUGGGUCCUUGGGUGAAAGUUCCUAAAGCCCUUGAGGAAGACACUCCAAUGUGGGUGUAUAGGGUUGGUCCUGCCACUAGGUUUUAGUCCCUAAAGACAUGGGGUUGGUCCUGUCCCUUUGUUUUAGUCCUUAAAGACACGGGGUUGGUCCCGCCCUUGGGCAUGAGUCCUAGAAAACACGGGGUAUGACUUACCCUUGGAUGAUGUCCUAGAAUAGUCAUUAUUAUAUUGACCGAGUAUCUUGUGGAGCAUUGAUAUCUGAUGUGUAGAUUGGUGGGGGUUAACAAUUUAUCAAUUGUGAAAGGAUAGAUAAGAAAAAGCAAAGAUGAAACUAGCAAACACAUGCAUACAUGUUUGACAUGAUUACAUAUUUGUUAAUGGUUAUGAAAUGUUUAUCAAGCAUGUUAUUAUACAUUUAAUUCAAGGUUUUUAAGGGUAUGCUUAGGAUGGUUAUAAACUUUCCUACUGAGUUGUGAACUCAUCCUAUCCCUUCCACCUUUAGAUGCAGGUCAGAAGACCUAUGCUGGAAAUAAUGUUUAAGCAUUGCUUUUAUGUUGAUUGGAUGUUGUUUGCUCGCAUUGAAAGUGUUUUGAGGCUUUGCCUUUGUAUUAAAGACUAAAUCUUUUUGAAGUAAUGAUGUAAUGUAUAUUUGUUCUGUACACUUGUAGUAUGGGCUACCCGUAGUGAACCAUGGGGUUUUGGUAUAUGUAAAUUAACGUAGUAUAAGUUUCUUUUGUGAAAAGAAUCAUAUUUUGUUAACUACUAGUUACAAAGUUUAAUACAGGAUGUACUCUUUAUAAUAGGUUUUGCAUAUUCUCUUUUUGUGCAAAAUCAAGCUGGAACUCAACAUUUAAAUUUUUCUAUCCCCAUAUUUUGUUUGAGAGCACUUAUGUUGUGAUUGAGUAUCAAUUGUUAUGUUUGAAAGAAAAAAAAUGGGGGUGUGACAUUUAUUAACUUAGGUUUACAAAUUAAAAGUAGGUUGAUCUCCUACCUAUUCUUUUUAAAUUAAUCUUAAGAUCAAUAAGAAUCAUACAGACCAUAAUCAUUAGAAGUGCCAAAACAAAAAUCGGUUUGAUAUUUAAUUAGUUCAUUUUAUUAACUAUAGAAGAUGUAAAAUUUGUUAGGAGGUGUCUUAAAUUCCAAAUUAUAAUAUAUUUUUUUCUUUUGUAAGAAGAAUAUUACAUAGAAUAUUUCCAAAGUUUAUAUGUGAUUGUAAUUAAAUUGAAGCUAAUACAAAUAUAUUAAUAAAUAUUUUAAGACAUGAAGAGAAAAAGUUAUGGAAGAUAUGAAAAAGAUAUGUGAUCAAGAGUGAGAGACGUUGAUAGAAUACGAGGGUUCACUAAGGAAGGGUGUAGAUGUGAAGAAGAAUGAGAAACACUUAGUGGAGCAAAAUGAUUCAUGGUUUAUGAUAGAGAUACAAAGAGCAGGAAAAGUGGGAUGUUUGGGCCUUUGUAGUUGUCUAACCUUUGUAUGUGGUUUGCUUUAUUAAUGUGUUCUUCCUUUAAUAUGUUUAAAUUGAGGUUUCCGCUUUCCUUUUGGUCCUAAGAUGGAUUUUUUCAUGUAAUCAAUUAUGCUCAUUUCCAAUUUCAUUAGAAACUUGUGUUCUACAAUUUGGCAAACGAAAAUAAUUAUUUUUGUAUAAUUUUGUUAGUUAAUAAAAAGUAGAAAAUAGAUAAUAUUAGUGUAGACCCCCAUUUUGGGGAGACAUCUCUACAGCCCGAUUAUGAAAAGUGUCAUCGUCUGGGAUGACCACGUGUCACUCCAGGACUGGUUGAUAAGGUAUCAAGUUAGUGGUUUUGAUGGUCAAUGGAAGCUUGACACGUGGAGAUUUCUUUCAGCAGAAAAAGCUGAAAACCGUUGAGGCUGGCAGCUGCAGGGUAGUGGGGGGCAGAGGCUCGGCCGUUAGAGGGUGAGAGAGAGGUAAGUUUUUGGGGAGUUGAGAGAGAUUCUUGGAGAAGCAAGCUGAGAGAACCAGAGUGCUGCCUGGAGAUUUUUGUCGGAGGAAAGAGGGAAAAAGAGAGAUUCUGGAGGAGCAAGCUGGAUAUUCAGAGGUGAGGGAGGCAGCUACAGGGAAGCUUAAGGGAGGAGAAAAUAGAGGUAUGACUGCCCUGUAUCCGGGGAUUUUCUUUAUCACACUAUAGUCUUAUUCCCUUUUUCUUGAUAUUUUCUGUGGAUUUGUUCGAUUAUACGUUCAGUUUUACGAUUCCUGUGUGGUCCAUGGAUUUUAUUAUGGCUAUUUCAUCUAUUUUCCUUGGGGUGAUUUGAGAAUGAUACUACUCUGUUUUAGUUUUUACUACGCAUCAUAUAGGAGUCUUAUUUUGUUCUUAUCUCCAUGGAACGUAUUCUAGAUCACUCACCUACAGCCAAGCCUGUUGAUCUAAACAUGAAACAUGGCUCUGGUUGUUUUAUUGGUUUCAUUGGUUUGUGCUCUGUUUUGUUUUGCCAUUCCCCUGUUCUUGGUAUCCUACCUUGUUGUACAUCAGGCUGUAUGUCCCUACCUGAGGGAUUCAGGUAAAGCUAUCGUAGAACUAAGCUUAUGAGGGUUAUGGAUGAAUAAAGCUCCUCCAGAUGGUUUGGGUUUGCGCAAAGAUCUCGGAUAGGAAAGAAGCAGGGUAAUGCUCAAGUUGUAUCUUGAGGAAAUACUACAGCCGUGGUUGAUCUGGAUCAGUUUGUCACUAAGGAUAUUAUACCGAUCAACGAGAAAGAAGUCGUGUUGCCAUUAACUCAAGAGUUUCCUAAUUUCUACAAUAAGGAGUACCUUGCCUUGCCUAGUGAACUAGAGCCAUUUUCAGAGAAAGCCUCCUUCAUGACUGCCAUUGACUAUGUCGUUUAUGAGAAGAGUGAUAUUUUCAUGCCAUCUCAUGCCGGAAAUCAUGUGCUCUGAGUUGUGAGUUUUAUUUCAUAUAUGAUUGAUUUUGGUUGACGAACCAGAUGCCAUUGCACCUUGCCGUGAGUGCACUCUUGCUGCUGUCUUCACCGAACUGCUCCAGUUUAGCUGACCUUGACCAUUCCGAAUGAAUAUUUGAGAAUGAUACAAGUAUUUGGAUGCCUUGUUCACUGCUGCAGGAGGAUCUCGGGUCUGGCUGAUACCAUCCGUGGCGCUAAGGAAGCUCAGAGGAGCAACAGUCGCGAGUUUCGUCUCCGGCGACGCCCACUGAAGAAGUCCAAUGUUUUUUUUCUCUUCAGAAUCACCCCGUCUGCACCACCGCUGCCGUCACCACCGCGAGCAUCAGUCGUCCAUCCACUCAUCGGACGAUCAGAAAUCUCAUGGCCUGGGACAGAGCCUCUCACCUCUGCUUGAGCGCACUCUAGUCUUUCAAACCAUCACUCCAAAGAUUGGCUGCNNNNNNNNNNNNNNNNNNNNNNNNNNNNNNNNNNNNNNNNNNNNNNNNNNNNNNNNNNNNNNNNNNNNNNNNNNNNNNNNNNNNNNNNNNNNNNNNNNNNGCUCUUUUGCUUGAACUAGAAAAUCUCUGCUCUGUAGGUUCCAAAAGUAUUUUAUUUAGCCAGUGGACUGCCUUUCUCGACCUCUUGCAGAUUCCCCUUUCUCGGAGUAACAUAUCAUUUGUUCGUCUGGAUGGAACUCUGAAUCAGCAGCAACGGGAAAAAGUGAUUAAACAAUUCUCAGAGGAAAGCCACAUCCUGGUCUUGCUAAUGUCAUUGAAGGCUGGUGGAGUUGGAAUAAACCUAAUGGCUGCGUCCCAUGCCUUUGUUUUGGAUCCAUGGUGGAAUCCAGCUGUAGAGGAACAAGCUGUUAUGCGCAUUCAUCGUAUUGGACAAACAAAAAGGGUAAUGAUCAAGCGGUUCAUUGCGAAGGGAACAAUACAGAGGAGUGCAUUGAUUGCUUCAAAGAUGCAAAGUAGAGCAACAUGAGAAAAUGCGCACUGCAUGGCCACCUUUCUGAGCCACGUGCCACCCCCCAAAAUUCUUUCCCUUUAGUUUCAAAAAUAAUUUCCUAACUCCGUUUUCAAAUGUUUUUCUAGCUUAUGUCAUUAUCAUUAUUAUUAUUAUUAUUAUUUUAUCUUUUUAUUUUUUUAAAGCGACUUCAAAUCAUCAAAUCUCUCAUCUUUAGAGUUUUAGGUAUCAAAAAUCCUAUUUUCAAUAAAAUUUGGCCGCCACUUUCUUUUUGGCGAGCCACCUUCGAAUUUUUCAUAAUUUUAAAAUAUUUUAAAAUAAACAUGAAUUUAAAUUCUGUAAUUCCGAGUGAUGGAAUUUACGGAAUUAAUUCAUGCAAAAAUAACGGGCUUUGGUGGGGGCCCUACAUAUGUGAUUUCAUGAUUGAUUUACUGAUUAGUUGAUUGGCUUUCCCGACAUGAUUGAUUUGCUCUGUUCUUGAUAUGCGCUUAAUUAUAUCUGUUCAUAAUUCACUAACCCUGUUCCAUGUUAGCGCGUUGCUGUUUGCUUCCCAGGUACGCAUCCGCUCAUAUUCUGGUUAUUUUCUAUACAUAUUCUGAUUCUCAUAUGUGCAUGAUUGAUUUGAGUAUUUAUUGAUUUCCUCAUCAUUGCCACACCAGCUUCAUUCUAUUAGUAGAGACCCGACAUUAGGGACUUAGAGGGAUGCUACGGUCCGUACCGUACCUUCCCGAUAAGUAACCUGACCCCUGAACCCGAUCCGGUUUUUCACAAACCGCCUUUUCCAAAAUAAGGAGUCACACUUAGGGUUUUUCUUUCUUAUUUUGUUUACCCUUUUAAAAAUAAAACAAAAAUAAGUGGCGACUCCAAGUCAUUUUUGAAUAAAUAAAAUUCAUUUUUCAAAUAAAAUAAAGAUCGAGCUCGUCAUCGAGUGGGAAACGCAUGAGCACGAAAUGCGGGGUCCACAAUUAGCCAUCAAAUAGAAAGAUAAAUAUGACAAUUAAUGUAUUUUCAAAUCAAAUUUGUACUUAGAUGGUUUUGCUUAUAUGAAGUAAUUUAAUGCAACUAUGAAGAUUUAUAUGUAGUAAACUUUAUAUAAUUUUAGAUUUAAUAAUCAAUUAAUUUUUAUUUGAAGAUAUAAAAACAUAAAAUAAAAGUCUUGUUUGAAAACUAUUAUUGAAAACAACAAGAAAAAUGGGGUUUUUUCACUUAGAAAUAUACAUUUGACAAACUUCUAAUAUAAAACAAUUUAUUUUUAGAAUUUAUUCUUAAAAUAAGUUAUUUUUUAGAACAAAAUUGAAAUGUUUUUAUUUUUUCACAACAAUUUAAAUAAAAAUUGAAGAUAUAGAUAAUAUAUAUUUUGGAAAAUUUUGUAUCAUAUUUAAGUGUACAAUUCCUUUGUAAAGAAUAAAUCGAAACGAAUAAUAGCUAUUUUCAAGAAUUUUGAAGAAUUAUUUUCACAAAUGUUGUGAAAUAAGCUCAAAACUUUCUACAACAUUUGUAUUAAUCUUGAAUUCGAUCAAAAUCUUGCCACAAUUGAAAAGAGAAAAAAAAUGUUAAUUAGUUGGUUAAUUUUUACAAUCCUAAUAAUAAUAAUAAUAAUAAUUCAAAAGUUUUAAAAUAAAAAUCUCACUAGCUAAAAUAAAUAUUAACUAUCAAAAUAAAAGAUUAUAUAAUAUUUUUCUAUUUUUGACUCUAUAAUCAAGAAUGUUCUUAUAAUUUCUUUUACAAUAACAAUAACAUACUAAAGUAGAAAGAGAUUAAAAUGGGAAAAAAAAUUAUUAACAAUAAAAUUCAUAAAAAGAAAUGAAAAUUAAGAAGAUUUCAAUCCACUUCAAAUGUAUUUCAAUGAAAUAGUAUUACAUUUAAAUUAUUGAAGGUCAUACCAAUUUAUUUUCUUCCUUUUUUAAUACUUAAUUUUGUUAUCAAUCAAUGAAAAUUUUAUUAAUCAAGGAAAAUGAGAAAAUAAAAUAUUUUUCUUGAAAGGUGAUGAAUUUGUUAAGAAAGGAAAACAAAAGGUCUUUUAUGGGAUACUUUAUUAAAUUAAGUUAAUAACUUAAUUUAAAUCAUUAAAUAAAUUAAGUAUGUUUAGUAAAAUAACAUAAUUGAUUUAAAUCAUUAAUAAUGUUUAUAUGAAAGCUUCUGGUAGCAUAACUUAAAGAAUGAAAGAAAUAUUUAAGUUAUGCAUACUUUCUAGAAAAUAUCAAGGAAAGAAAAAUAUUUUAAAAAAUAAUUUUUUUUAUAUUUGGGUUUAUCAUAAAAAGUAAGAAAGAAAAUCGGAUAUAGUUAAAGUUAAUUAGAGAUUAAUUUAUGCUUUUUAAAAUUAUUUAAUCUUUACACAAAAAUAUUAAAGUGUAAUGAAUUUGAAAUAACACAAAAUAAUUUAUUAACUUGAAAUCUAUUUUUUAUUUUUCUUUAUUUUUUCUUUCUUUCUAAUUUUCUCUUUGUUUUCUUUUUCUCUAACUCCCUCAAAUUUUCUAGAAACCAAAUAUAGUCUUAACAUGUGUUGGACAAUAAACUUGUUAUUUUAUGAACUUCAAAUAUUCAAAUUUCACGGAGAAGGAAUCUAAUAUCUAUCUCAAUUUAUAUGCAUCCCAUUUUUACCACUAGCAAACCUUAAUCACAACUUUGUUUAAUAAUGAAAGAACUUGUACAAGUAAAAAUAGAAUUUCUAUAAGAUGCAAAAAAAAUUUGGCUUCCACAUCUACUCAAAUAAGCAUAGAACUUUUUCUUCAACUUUUAAGUUUUUGACUUCUCAAAAAUCAAUUUAAAUUGGAUUGAUAAAUUAUAAAAGGUUACAAUAUAAUAUUACAAUGUAUAAAUAUUAUUUUUUCUACUAGAUUUUCCAUGAAAUUAUUUAUUUAUUGAAAUUGAAAUGUCCUUUGGUAUUUGUUUGUACCUAUAAAAAUUAAAGAAUUAUUUUAAAUCUUAGGUAUGGUGAUGCUUAAGUAUUUAAUAAUUUUAAUUAGAUAAUUACAUUUUACAUAUAAAAUAAUUAAUUACAUUUUUGUAGACCCUCGUUUUGAGGUCUUUGGUUUUAUUUUGAGAGCCUUUUUUGGGUGGGGCCACUUUGGAGGAUUUUUGGGCAGCACCACUUUUGAAAAAAAAAAACCGGGCAGCAGCUGGUUGUUUUUUGGGGGGAAAAAUAGAUACUUUUAGGAUAGGAGCAGCUGGGAGAUUUGAGAAAAAAAGAAGAGAAAACAGGGGCAAAAAGAAGAGAGGUUUUUUUUUGGGGGGAAAAGAAAAUCUGGAGAGAAAAACGGGCAGCCAGCAAGGGAAGUUUUUUUGGAGAAAAAAAAAAUCUGGAGAGUUGAACUGAAAACGGGCAGCAGCUGGGUGAUAUUUUGGAAGCGGAUUAGUUCAUGUUGGAAGGAGCAUUUCUGGAGGAAUCAAUCUCCGGAAGCAUUUGCCUCCAACAAAGAUCUGGUUUGUUUUUCUUCAUUUAAUCUUUUAGGGUUUUGAUAUCUUUGAGUAUCAGAGAAAUGUACUGAACAUAUGAAAACAUUUGUACUGCCUAGUUCUUAUUCGUGCUUUGCAUAGUGGUGAUUUUUCAUGAUAUUGAUGUUGGGUUUUUAUCUUGUUUCUCCAUGAAUGGUUUGGUUUGGAUUUGCUGAAUGAAAUAUUACCCUUCAGUGCAUUUACAGUGGCCACGUGUCAUUUUUUUAUUUUAUUUUUAUUAUUUUAUUAUUUUAAUGUUAAAAGUUUUGUUUAUUUGAUUAUUUUAUUUAUUCUUUUUCACGUAUAUAUUCUCCAAUAACUCUUUAAAAUUUCCUAAAAUUUCAAAGUUCCAAAUUUAUUUAUUUAUUUAUUUAUUUUAAAAAUACCAUUCUCGAAAUAGUUUUCUAAAAUUUGAUUUUAAAUUUAGUUUUCAAAACUUUAAUUCUCGACAUUCACUCUUCCAAAACUCUAUUUUUUAAAAUUUAAUCCUUUAAAAUUCAAUUCUCGAAAUAAUUUUCUAAAAUUCUAAUUUUAAAUUUAAUUUCCCAAGAUUCAAAUUUUUAAAAUUUAAUUUUCCGAAAAUUCCACAACCCCAAAUUUAAUUUUUAUUUUUAUUUUUUACUUUUUUUAUUUUAUUUUAUUUUUUUCUAUUUUUUUUAUGCCACCUUCAAAUAAAUUAUUGAAACUCCAAUUCCUUUUUAUUCAUUUACUUAUUAAUUUUUAAAAUUCCAUCUUUUAGAUAAUUCUUCAAAAUUCCGAUUUCCGAAUUUAAUUCUCAAUUUCUGAAAUUCCAAUUUUCUAAUUUCCGAAUGUAAUUUCUAAUUUUUAAAAUUCCAAAUUCUCAAAUAAUUUUCAAAGUUUCAAUUUCUUUCAAAUUUAAUUUCCGAAAUUCCAAUUUUUAAAUUUAAUUUGCGAAUCUCCAAUUCUCGAUUAAUUUUCGAAAUUCCAAUUCCUUUCAAAUUUAAUUCCCAAAAUUCCAUUUCUUAAAUUUAACUCCCAAGACUUCAAUUUUCAAAUAAUUUUCGAGACUCCAACUUUCAAAUAAACUUCAAAAAUUCAGUUUUCACCCGAACAAUUUUAAUUCUACUUUGAUUUUCAAAUAAUCUUCUUCUUCUCUUGAUUUUACAUAAGCACGAAUGCAAUUUUCAUAAUUCCUGAAUAAUGGAAUUUGUGAGACUAAUUCGUGCAAGAUAGAUCGAGCUUUGGUGAGGGCCCCACAUACGUGAUUUUAUGAUCGAUUAAUUGAUUGGUUGAUUGGAUUGUCAUGCGGAAUUGAUUUAUGCUAUUCUAUAAUAUGCACAUGAUUAUUCUAUGUUGGUUCACUAACCUUGGCUUCCCAUGAGACAAAUCUGUUCUUCACUUAGGUACGUUAUUUGUCUCUCCUAUUCAUUCAGUUAUUCUGUUUUGAAUUAUAUUUAUUGGUAUCCAUGCUUGAUUAAUCAAUUGCCAUGAUUACUUCAUUUUAUUAGUAGAGACCCAUUUUAGGGGCUUAGAGGGGUGCUACGGUCUUUACCGUACCUUCCCGAUAAGUAACCUGACUCCCGAACCCGAUCCAGUUUUUCACAGACCAUCUUUUCCGAAAUAAGGAGUCACACUUAGAGUUUUUCUUUUUUAUUUUGUUUACCCUUUAAAAAUAAAACAAAAAUAAGUGGCGACUCCAAGUCAAUUUUUUUUCGACCAAUUAAAUCAUUUUUCAAGUAAAAAUCGAGCUCACCAUUCGAGUGGGAAACGCAUGAACCAAAAUGCGGGGUUCACAAUUUUAUAUUAUAUUAUUUAAUUAAUGAUAUUUAAAUUUUAAUUAGUUUUUAAUAAUUUAAUUAAUAGUUAAAUAAUUAGAUUUAUUUAUGUUUAAAUCUAAUUAACAAUAAGUUCAAUGCAACAAGAAAAAAAAUAGCUUAUCGUUAUUAUUUUGAAGUGGAUUUUGAUUUUAAAUUUUACUAGUAGAUUUGCUUGACUAACCUUAUAAAUUAGUAGAAUUUAACAAGUUACAAAUAGUUCCCCCACCUAAUCUUUUAAAUUAAUCUUGAUGUUGACAACCAUAAUUAUAAAAAGACAAAUAAGUUGAGUUAAUUUACUAGAUUGCAAGUGGGUGCCCUUACCUAAUCUUUUAAAUUAAUCUUUAUGUUCACAAGCACUUUGCCAACCAUAAUUAUAAAGGACAGAUAAGUCAAGCUGAUUUUACUAAAUUGAGAUUAAUAAAUUGCAAGUGGGUGCCCUUUACCUAAUCUUUUAAUUUAAUCUUCAUAUUGAUAAGAACCAAAUCGGCCAUAAUUAUAAAAACAAGAAGACGACAAACUAUGAUUACUUUUAUUAACUAAAAUUUAAUAAAUCACAAAUUCUCUUACCAAACCUUUAGAUUAAUCUUGAUAACUUUGCAAUAGUAAUUAUAAAAAGAGGAAGAUGACAAACUAAUUUAAUUGCUAAUUUUAUUAACUUAGGUUUAAUAAAUUAAAAGUAGGUUGAUCUCUUACCUAUCCCUUUUAAAUUUAAUCUUGAGAUCAAUAAGAAUCAUACAGACCAUAAUCAUAAGAAUAGCCAAAACAAAAGUCGAUUUGAUAUUUAAUUAGUUAAUUUUAUUAACUAUAAGAUAUAAAAAAAAUUGUUAAGAGGUGUCUUAAAUUCUAAAUUAGAAUAUACGAUUUUUUGGUGAAAAGAAUAUUACAUAGAAUAUUUCCAAAGUUUAUAUGUGAUUGUAAUUAAAUUCAAGCUAGUACAAAUAUAUUUAUAAAUAUUUUAGGACAUGAAGAGAAAAAAUUAUGGAAGAUAUGAAAAAGAGGUGUGAUCAAGAGCGAGAGACAUUGGUAGAACAAGAGGGUUCACUAGGGAAGGGUGUAGAUGUGAAGAAGAAUGAGAAACACUUAGUGGAGCAAAAUGAUUCAUGGUUUAUGAUAGAGAUACAAAGAGCUAGAAAAGUGAGAUGUCUAGGCCUUGGUAGUUGUCUAACCUUUAUAUGUGGUUUGCUUUAUUCAUGUGUUCUUCCUUUAAUCUUUUUAAAUUGAGGUUUCCAUUUUUCUUUUGUUCCUAAGAUGGAUUUUCUCAUGUAAUCAAUUAUGCCCGUUUCCAAUUUCAUUAGAAACUUGUGUUCUACAAUUUGGGAAAUGAAAAUAAUUAUUUUUGUAUAAUUUUGUUAGUUAAUAAAAAGUAUAAUAUAGAUAAUAUUAGCCAUCAACUAUAAAGAUAAAUAUGACAAUUAAUGUGUUUUCACAUCAUAUUUGUACUUAGAUGGUUUUGCUUGUAUGCAGUAAUUUAAUGCAACUAUGAAGAUUUAUAUGAAAUAAGCUUUAUAUAAUUUUAGAUUUAAUAAUCGAUUAAUUUUUAUUUGAAGAUACAAAAACAUAAAAUAAAAGUCUUGUUCGAAAACUAUUAUUGAAAACAACAUGAAAAAUGGGGUUUCUUCACUUAGAAAUAUACAUUUGACAAACUUAUGAUAUAAAACAAUUUAUUUUUAGAAUUUAUUCUUAAAAUAAGUUAUUUUUCAUAACAAAAUUAAAAUUUUUAAAAUUUUUUCACAAUAAUUUAAAUAAAAAUUGAAGAUAUAGAUAAUAUAUAUUUUGGAAAAUUUUGUAUUGUAUUUAAGUGUACAAUUCCUUUGUAAAGAAUAAAUCGAAACGGGUAAUAACUAUUUUCAAAAAUUGUUUUGAAGAAUUAUUUUUUGAGAAUUAUUUUCACAAAUGUUAUCAAAUAAGCUCAAAACUUUCUACAUCAUUUAUAUUAGUCUUGAGUUCAAUCAAAAUCUUGCCACAAUUGAAAAGAGAAAAAAAAAAAGUUAAGUAGUUGGUUAAUUUUUACAAUCCUAAAAAAAAAAAAUAAUAAUAAUAAUAAUAAUAAUUAAAAAAAUUUUAAAUAAUAAUCUCACUAGCUAAAAUAAAAAUUCACUAUCAAAAUAAAAUAUUAUCUAUUAUUUUUCUAUUUUUGACUUAUAAUCAAGAAUGUUCAUAUAAUUUCUUUUACAAUAACAUACUAAAGUAGAAAGAUAUUAAAAUGGAAAAAGAAAAUGAUUAACAAUAAAAUUCAUGAAAAGAAAUGAAAAUUAAGAAGAUUUUAAUCCACUUGAAAUUUAUUUCAAUGAAAUAGUAUUGCUUUUAAAUUGUUUAAGGUUGUGAAAUCAAGGUUUGGUUAAUCUCGGUUUUGAUGAUAACAAAACAAGGUUUAGAACUAAUGACUAUAUUUCAAGUGUGAUUAGGCAAGACGAUUUCUAAAGUGGCAAUCACAAAGACAAUUCAAGCUAAAGAGAAAUCAUGAAGAAGAAGACCACCUCAAAGAGAAGAAUUUUUUCAAGACCAAAGCUUCAUAAGAUCUCUUUGUAAGGUUGUUGGUGCACUAGGAUUUUCAUGCAUUAUUUUCUUUACUUAUGCACCUAAAUCAUCCAAGAGUUAUUUUGUUUUAAAUAUUUUUAAAAUUGGAUGAUUUCAUGUUUUCAACUAAAACCUUGUGUCAAAUGUUGUUUCAAACUUGUUUAAAAGGUUUUAAAGUUGAAAAAAUUGGUUUUUGAGCCAAAAACGGCUCAAUCGACUAAAUCGGGUUAACCGGAUGAACAGUAACCGAUCGACCCCUAGCUCAACCGGUUGAGGUAUGAACAAUACCGGUUGACCCAUGAACAGUCUCGGUUGACCGGUACAAAAAUUUUCUCUCUCUUCCAGAAUGCUUGUUCAACCGGUCAAGGUUGAACCUCAACCGGUUGAGGUCCAGUUGAGGCCCAACGGUCACCUGCCAACAUUAAAUGCUAACGACUAGUCAACCAGUCGACCCCUAGCUCGACCGGUCGAACCUCCAACGGCUAGUUUAGUUUUUUUCUUCUAUAAAAAUGCUCUAAUCUUCAUUGUUUCAUAAGCUUAACCUUCUCAAAUUAUUCUUGAUUAUAUUUGAGUCUUGGAAGAGUAUUUUUUAGUGCACUAUUAUUCCAAAACUUGCAUAUCUUUAGUGCACCAUUCAAUCCUAGUUUUUCUUGUAUCAUUUGAGCUUAAAAGUUUUGUACUAGGAUUUUGUGAGAUAUUUAUUUGUAAACCUUUGAGAGGAAGUUUCUCAAGCGUGUGAUAUCACUUGAAGGGUUGUUCAAGAGUGGGAUAUCACUUGAGAAGUGUAAAGGGUGCUUGGAGCCAAAAGUCCAAGAGGGUGAAUUGGAACCAUAAUCCAAUUGUAUAGCUUGAAGGCUUGGUUUGGAAGCCUUGAAUUAGUGGAACCUCAAGCUCGGGAUUGAAGCUAGAGGAGAGUGGAUGUAAGUCGGGUUGCGUUGAACCACUAUAAAUCUUGUGUUUGCAUUCUCUCUUCUCUACUCUUUUAAAUUAUAUGCAAUUGUCAUUCUAUUGUUUAUUAUAUACUUGCAUAUAAUUGUUUCUUACUUUCACUUAGUUUAAAUUUGCAAAAAGAUACCAUCACCCUAUUCACACCCCCCCCCCCCCCCCCCUUUGGGGGAUUACCAUAGGGUGGAUUAACCCAAAUUUCCUAAAAAAAGGCAUACCAAAGGAUUUUCUUUCUUUUUUAAAACUUAAUUUUUUUAUCAAAAAAUGAAAAUUUUUCUAAUCAAGGGAAAUGAGAAAAAAAAAAAUUUUUUUUGAAAAUUUAUGAAUUUUUUAAAAAAAGAAAAAAAAAAGGCUUUUUUGGGAAACUUUUUUAAAUUUAAAUAAUAAACUAAUUUUAAAUUUUAAAAAAAAUAAAGAUGUUUAAAAAAAAAACAAAAAGGGAUGAUUUAAAAAAUAAAAAAAACUUUUAAAAAAAAAAAAAAAAAAAUAAAUUAUUCUUAAANNNNNNNNNNNNNNNNNNNNNNNNNNNNNNNNNNNNNNNNNNNNNNNNNNNNNNNNNNNNNNNNNNNNNNNNNNNNNNNNNNNNNNNNNNNNNNNNNNNNGUAGAAAGUUUUGAGCUUAUUUUGAUAACAUUUGUGAAAAUAAUUCUCAAAAAAUAAUUCUUCAAAACAAUUUUUGAAAAUAGUUAUUACCCGUUUCGAUUUAUUCUUUACAAAGGAAUUGUACACUUAAAUACAAUACAAAAUUUUCCAAAAUAUAUAUUAUCUAUAUCUUCAAUUUUUAUUUAAAUUAUUGUGAAAAAAUUUUAAAAAUUUUAAUUUUGUUAUGAAAAAUAACUUAUUUUAAGAAUAAAUUCUAAAAAUAAAUUGUUUUAUAUCAUAAGUUUGUCAAAUGUAUAUUUCUAAGUGAAGAAACCCCAUUUUUCAUGUUGUUUUCAAUAAUAGUUUUCGAACAAGACUUUUAUUUUAUGUUUUUGUAUCUUCAAAUAAAAAUUAAUCGAUUAUUAAAUCUAAAAUUAUAUAAAGCUUAUUUCAUAUAAAUCUUCAUAGUUGCAUUAAAUUACUGCAUACAAGCAAAACCAUCUAAGUACAAAUCCCCCCCCCCCCCCCCCUUUAGGGUGAUUACCAUAGGUUGGAUUAGCCUAAAUUUCCUAACAAAGGUCAUACCAAUGUAUUUUCUUUCUUUUUUAAUACUUAAUUUUGUUAUCAAACAAUGAAAAUUUUACUAAUCAAGGAAAAUGAGAAAAGAAAAUAUUUUUCUUGAAAGUUGAUGAAUUUGUUAAGAAAGGAAAACAAAAGGUCUUUUAUGGGAUACUUUAUUAAAUUAAAUUAAUAACUUAAUUUAAAUUAUUAAAUAAAUUAAGUAUGUUUAAUAAAAUAACAUAAUGGUAUGAUUUAAAAUAUAAAAAAAACUUUAAAUAAUAAAUAAAAAUAAUUAACUUAUUCUUAAAUUCAUAUUUUUAUUUUACCUUUUUAUCCCAAUUUGCCAUAAUUACCUUCACAAUCUCCUUUACUAUUCCACGACCUUUAUUUUUACACGACCUCAUUUACCCUAAUUAUAAUUUAUGAGGAUAAAUAUGUCAAUUUGAUCAUUUAGAAUUAAUCAUAAGUUAUUUUUAUCACACAAUCUUAAUACUUAAAAUAAGAAUUAAACAAUAAGUUUUAAGUUAACAAUUUAAGUUUAAUUUAACUAAAAGCCAACUUAAAUCAUUAAGUAAUUAGUAUUAAGUUUUAUCAAACACUUCCAUAUAAUUAGUUAAUUUUGAUUAAUCUAAUAAUAUAGAAAGUGAAAUAUACACAUUUUUUUAUUGGUAAGGUUGGUCUUGAACUUCUUUCACCAAAUCAUUUUUAUUAAUCUUAACAUCAUCAUUAGUUAAUUAUAUUUAAAGAAAAGAAAACCAAAAAAAAAAGUCAAUUUGGGUGACCAAUUUUUAUUGAAAAUUAAAACCAAACAAAAGUUGAUCAAUACAAAAGAAAAAAAAAUGAAUGGUAUGAAGUAGACAUUUUGUCUUUAUGAGAUUAUUGAUGGAAGUGUAAUAGACUAUAAACAAGUCUAUGAGAAUCAAUUCUAAUGAGUCCUAAAACAUAUCUAUAAGAAAUAAAAUAAAACCAUGAUAUAAAGAAAUGAUAUUUAAGUGUUUAUAAAUAGGAAUCGGAUACAUAUAAAUAAAAUUUAGAUUAAUUAUAAAUGAAACUAUUUUUAUUAUGUGGUUGUUUUUAAUGUACCACCAAUUUUUAUUUUUAUUUAUUUUUAUUUAUUUUUAUUUUUUUAUAUUCCAUAGAAAAAUUAAUUUCCAAUACCAUAGAAUCACCCUAAUUUCAAAUUGAGAUUUACUAUCUUAAAUUUUAAAUUUUUAAAAAAAUAAUUUUUAAGAGCAUGAACCAAAUCUAUAUUUUUUGUUAAGAAUUUCUAUUCUUUAUAUAGAAGUUUUUAUCAAUUUUUAUUUUUAAAAACAAAAAAUAAGUACUUAGAGUGCGUUUGACAAUAAUUUUAAGAAGUGUUUCUAAUAUUUUAAAUACUUGAAAAAUAAAUUUUUUUAUAUAUUGAAACAAUUGCAAAAUGCACUUUUAGUAUGUAAUGAUAUUAAUUUCUUCGAAGAGAGAGAUUUACAUUUUAGAUAAAAAUAAAUAAAUAAAACAAUACAAGGAUAAAAAAUUAUUUAAAAAAAAACUUUUAACUUCGUGUACUUUAUUAUUACACACUUUUUUCAUUAGAUGCUUUAAAUAAUUUUUUUGAAAUAAAAUUAUAAUUAUAUUGAUGGAGGGCUAAUUAACUUGGCUUUAGGUGAGAAAGAUAGAGAUAAGAUUGAAGUGGGUCCACAUCUAAAACAAAAAUGAAAUAAAAAGUAAAGAUGAAGAUAAGGUUGAGGUGGGUUCACAACUAAAAAAAGAAUGAAAUAAAAAGUAUGAGAUGAAUUGACCAAAGCUUAUGCCUUCUUCCAAAUAGUAAAAGCAAAGCCCAAUAGUAUAAAGUGAUGACACUAGUCCUAUUCAAGGCUCCACUUGCAUAAUUGCUACAUCUUUUGACUUGAUUUUAGUUCAAUUUCACUAAAAUGAAAUCAUUUAUUUGAGCCCAAAAAUUCAAAUCCAAAUCCAACCCACUUAUUUAUAUACAUUAUUGGCAUGGAAUGAGAAAAGUUAUAAAGUGAGAAAAUUUGAUCAUAUGAUAAAUAGUAAUUUUUCAAAGUUGGAGCCAAUCCAAUGCCCAAUGGGUAUAAAAGAAAAAUGAAAGAUGUGGAAAUUAUAGUGGAAUCUUGAAACAAAUUUUUGAGGUUUGAGGUGAUGUGACAACCGUUUCCAAGUAAUUGCCUAAGAAUGUGAGAUGUUAUUGCAUUGAAAAUUGAUAUUAAAUCUCAUUGGGUAACUAUAAGAAUUGCUUUACAUAAAGGCAAGUAAUAAAUAUAUCCUGCCUUUUCAAAAAGUUUAUGACCCUAACUAAGUGAAUAAAAUGGUGAAUAAAACUUUUAGAGUAGGAUGAAUGCAUUUCACGCGAGUCACGUCCUAAAUAUAUUUUUAGAAUUUUCUAGCAGGAUGUCGAGGAAAACUCUAUGAUGAGUGCUCUCUUUCUAGUUAAGGUAGGUCCAAUUUGGUGCAAUUUGCCAACAUAAUUCAAACCCAACAUAUGUUUUAGGGAUUUGAAUAGAGUAAAAUCAUAUUUAAAUUAAAUUAAUCAUAUGAAUCUACAUAACCUGUUUAAUAAAUAGAUUAUUUUUAGGUCUAUUUGGAUAACUCACAUUUGACUCAAAUUAACUUAUUUAAUAAUGGUAUUGAUUAACCUAAUAAUAACUUUAACUUAUUGAACUCAUAUUUGACUCAUGUAAAAUUUGUUUUUCAAUAAGUAUGUCAUAAUUGGGUCAUAAACAUGUCAUAUUAGAAUAUUAACCAUAUUAUUUCAUUCAACAUUUAACUUGACUUGAUUAUGAAAUAACAUCUUAUUAUUAAAUCAGUUAAACCGGUUAUAAUGUAUCACCUAGAUAAUAAUUAUAUUGUGUUUGAGUUUAUGUUUUAAAUUUUGAUUAUUAUUCAUGUCAUGUUUAGGUUGAGUUAUUUAGCGGAGGAUCUAACCUUUGAUAUAACACAAACACAACCCACUAACAUAAAUUGUCAUUCUCACUUCUACUAAUAAGUGAUUUGUUUAUUACAAUUAAGAAAAUUGAGAAGAUAUAAUUGUUUUAAAAAUCUUAAAUGCAUGAUUAAAAUUAAUUAUAACUUUUAAAAGUUUUAUAAUUCAUAUUCCAUCCAAACUAACAAAAUAUUAGAAAUCUUCAAUGGUUUUGUCUACAAUAAAUGUGUUGUGCUAAAUUAUCAACUUCUCUACUAACCAAAACAUGUUUUUUCUCAAUCAAAUAUCAACAUGUUUAAGCAGCCGGUGAGGCAUCUCUUGACAAUGAGGUGAAAGGUAGAAACAAGAAACAUACCUAUAUUCAAGAGAAGUGUUGCUUCUUCAUUUGCAUUAGACAACAUUCAUUUAGUCUAAACUUGAAGGUGGAUUGCUAGAAUCUGAGCUCUUGGAAAGACAUAAGAGAAGUACAUUUAGAAAUCUGAAAGAAGCCUAGAGACUUGUUGCUACUUAUGAAUCACUGUAAUCAGAAACAAUUCCAGAUAAUCCUGCAAUUUUGGACCUUUGAUUUGCUCUGUUCCAUUUUGCCAAGGACAGUUCUAAAAUUUUUCCUUUAUUGAGCUGUAAUGAUUUUUUUAUUAGGAUUUAAUUGUAUUCAUUAGGUUUGCAAAUCACAAAAAUGGUGUCGUGCGUAUGUAUAUUUUCCUCUUUGAUCAUGUAAAGUUGGGAAGCAAUUAUGGAAUACUAUGAUAGCACAAUAUAUUGAUCCACAGUUUGUGGCAUGACAGUUUAAUGAAAUUACAGAAGUGUAGCACUCAUGGGUAUGUCAUGUGAACCUUUUUCAAUGGAGAUACUUGUUUAAAUUUACAUGGGUGAAUUGUCACACCAAUAUCCUCUAAUGAACCUUGGGUUCUUUUUUCUGUUUCUUCAUCUCUUGGUCAAGACAAACAAUUUAUCUUCAUAAGGACUUUGUGUUACCAAUAAGCAGCAUCUUGUGUUCUCCUUCUCUUCAUCCCCUUGUCAAGACACAGCAAUCUGAUGCAUCUUUGCAUUGGGUUACUUCCUCUCCUCUCCCUUUCCUUCCUCCUUGAGGUAAAAUCGCAUCAUUGCUUAGUUUUGACUAUGUUUCUUUUGAUCAUUGUGAGAGAGCAUCAUUGUAAGAUGCACAAGAAACGUGUUGUGGUGCAUUAUCCCUUCCUCUACCACCUAAAAUCUAUUUUACACGAUCAUAAGAACCAAGGUGUUUUAAACAUCAGGUAAGGCAUUUGUUGAUAAUGAUGUGAGAGAUAGAGACAAGCAACAUACCAGUAUUCAAGAUGUGAUGUUCUUUUGCAUUUGACAACAUUCAUUUAGUUUGAACUCCACAUUUGGGCAACUCAGAAUCUCCACCUUCAUUAGGAUUGCAGGAAGUUGACUUCUUGGGAAGACAUGGAAAGAGAGCAUCUAGAAAUUUGAAAGAAUUAUAGAGGUUUAUUGCUACUUUUGAAUAAUUCCAAUUAAUAACAACUCCAAAAGAUAUAUACAAAUGUGUCCCUAGGAAAGAGAUGUGUCGUAUGCAUAUGCAACCAUCUCUCUAAUAGACUUAGGGUUAUGCACCCUCAUGGUAGUUUCUUAUAUAUUGCACCAUAUGAAUUGUAGAUAUCCAACUACCAAUAUCACUACACCUGAAUGAACUCGGAGCUAUGCUGAAAGUGAAGUUGACAACCCAUCAUCGAAAGAAUCUUGUAGGAAUACACCAAAAUGAAAAUCUUAUUAACAUAAAUGAAUUCAUCCAGUUAAAGGAUAAAGUUGCCUGAAAAAUUGAAUUGGGAGAGACAAAAAUAUUAAUGCUUUCAUAGGACUAUGGAAAUGACCAACAAGUGGAACAAACAUUGAAUAGUAAAUGUAAAGCCAUAAAGCUUGUAACUACUGUCAAAAGCUGCUCCCUAGUGAAGUUUUUUCACAAUAAAGGUAAGGGCAAAAUUCACCUAAUAGCUCCACUUAUAGAAAAUUUCAAUGGUGUGAAACUAGGAUAUGAUGAACUCGCUUCCGCUAUUGCAGUGAACCAUUAUGGAUCAAAAAUGAAUCUCACCAUCGGUUUUCACAUGGGAGAUGUGGGCUAUCUUUGGCCCAUAUCUCAAUAUUGGAUUUAGGAGUUCUGUCUCUCAUAUAUGGUUCCACUUGCAAAAUACAAAUGGAGCUUAGCUGAUGACAACAUAUUUAGAAAAAUGCAAGAAUUCCAUAGACAUUUUUUGUGCUAUCAUAAAUCAUUCCAAUCAAUAAGAAAUCAAAGUGCUAUAAUUUUGAAUUGUCUUAGGGAACAAACCCCAAUUCAAUCUUGUGGAAGUAAACUAUCUUGAGUACCAACUCAAUUCUGAGUUCUUUAGGAGACUUGAGACACCAAUUCAAUCAAAGAUGCUAGUUGUUUCUGAGGUAGAUUGUCUUCCUCCAUUGAUACUAGGGAAAAUGCUUUUGAAAACCAUUCAUCUGCAAAUUACAAAGGGGGAUGAGAUUAUGUGAUUUAGGAAGAGAAUUAAGCUUUGAAAUAUUGCCAAUAUGCAACCAACAAUUUCUAAUUCUAUCAUUUCUAUUUUAGCAUGUGAUUUGGGAAAAGGAUUAAGCUUCAAAAUAUUUCCAAUAUGCAAGGAAUUGAGAGAGGCCAAGUGGGCAACCACCAUAGCUAGUUCACAAACAAAUGACAGCAUUGGAAGUGGAACACAACACAUAAACUUCAAAAACAAAACAUGUUUGCCACAAUCAUAAAUACCAAGGUGUUUAAGCAUGAGGUAAGGCAUCUCUUGACAAUGAUGUGAGAGAGAGACAAACAACAUACCAGUAUUCAAGAGAAGUAGUAUUCUUCUUUUGCAUUUGAUAACAUUCAUCUAUUCUGCAUCCCAAAUUUUAGCAACUUAGGAUCUCCACUUUCAUUAGGAUUGCAGGAAGCUGGCCUCUUGGAAACACAUGAGAGGAUAUUUAGAAAUCUAAAAGAAUUCCAAAGACUUGCUAUUGCUUGAAUUGUGAAUCAUUCCAAUCAUAAAUACCAAGGUGUUUCAAGAUCAGGUAAGACAUUUCUUAGCAAUGAUGUGAGAGAUAGAGACAAGCAACAUACCAGCAUUUAAGAGAAGUAGUAUUCUUCUUUUGCAUUUGACAACAUUCAUCUACUCUACACCCCAAAUUUUAGCAACUCAGGAUCUCCACCUUCAUUAGGAUUGCAGGAAGUUGGCCUUUUGGAAACACGUGAGAGGACAUUUAGAAAUCUAAAAGAAUUCCAGAGACUUGUUGUUGCUUGAAUUGUGAAUCAUUCCAAUCAUAAAUACCAAGGUGUUUCAGGAUCAAGUAAGGCAUCUAUUAGCAAUGAUGUGAGAGAUAGAGACAAGCGCCAUACCAGUAUUUAAGAGAAGUAGUAUUCUUCUUUUGCAUUCGACAACAUUCAUCUACUCUACACCCCAAAUUUUAGCAAUUCGGGAUCUCCACCUUCAUUAGGAUUGCAGGAAGUUGGCCUCUUGGAGACACGUGAGAGGACAUUUAGAGAUUUGAAAUAAUUCCAAAGACUUGUUGUUGCUUGAAUUGUGAAUCAUUCCAAUCAGUAACAACCCCAAAGCCCUAUAUACAAUUUUGAACCAUCAACCUUCUUACAUUGAAUGAAAAACCUGUCCCUAGGAAAAAGGUGUCUUGGCCAUACAACCAUCAAUUAUUAGCUCUCGAGGAGGCUUAAAGUUGUGCACCUUCUUGGUAGCUUCUAAUUCGUUACAUCAUAUAACUUCCAGAUAUCUAAUUGACACGUCACUACACCUGAAUGAAGUAGAAAACAUGGUGAAUAGGAAGUUAGACAACCUUUCACAAAAAGAAUCCUGCAAUAAUACACCAAGCAAAACUUCUUGUUAACAUAAAUGAAUUCACUCAAUUAAAUUAUUGUGUUAAAAUUUAAAUUGGGAGAAAUAAAAAUACAAAUGCUUACAUGGGACUAUUGGAUAACCAACAAGAAGAACAUACUUUGAAUAGAAAAUGUGAAGCCAUAAAGCUUGUAAUUGUUGUUAGAUGUUGCUUCCUAGUAAGGUUUUCAACAAAAAGGUUCAGUGUAGGGAUUCUCUAGUAGUUGAAUUGGUAGAAAAUUUUAACAGUAUGACAAUUUAUACUUGUAACAAGAAGAUAAAAUGUAAGAAUUAUGUGUUGGGAAUAGAUGAAACUUGCUAAAUAUAUGGAUAGGAUAGGGUGAACCCUCUCUACUUCCAUUUUUGGAAUCCAAACUAUUAUGGAUCAAAGUUGGAUUUCUCCAUAUAUUAAAUACAAUUGGAGCUUAGGUGAGGUCUUGGUGAUGUAGGAAAUUCAUGGAUUCUGGAAUCUUUACAUGAAAAUAUACAUGAAUGAUACAUUGGAAGAAAGGGCAGGCCUUGGUCAUCUGAGAAGAAACAAAUCUUAAAUAUACUAUUAAUCUUGAGUUGUUUGAGAGUGAUGAGUCUGUGAAGGCCUCCCUCAGAUAAGGGAUGUCUUUGACAUUUCUCCUUCUUCAAUCUCAAGAAGGUACACCAUCAACUAGAACAUUAGGAAUGUGAGUCAUCAUGGACAACUUGUUUAAGUUUUUUAUUCUUUUUUCACUGAAGGGGAUUAAAAGAUAUGUAGUUGUAAGGACAAGAGAUGUAGCCAGUAGUGAGAGCAUCAAACAAAUCCUUCUCUAAUGCAGACCUCAAAUUUUAGCAACUCGUGAUCUCCACAAUUUAGAGCAUUGAAGGAAGUUGCCAUGUUGGAAAGAUGUGACAUGGCAUUUAGAAAUAUGCAGGAAUUCCAGAGUUCAUUCCAAUCAUUAAGGAAUCCAAAGCCCUAUAAUUUAAAUAGGGCAUCCCCUUGGCAUGGAUAACACACCUAUCUUGGGAAAAAGACUGGGCAUCAAUUCAAUGAUCAACUCUCUAUGAAACUUGAGAUACAAGGUACUAAUGUUAGUUGCUUCCAUGGCAGUUCUUUUACUGGUAUUAGGGCAAAGCCUUUUGAAAACCCUCAAUCUACAAAUUACCAAGGACAUGAGAUCAUGUUGUAAUGUCAUCUCCAAUCUCUAGCUACAAACAAAUUAUUUCUUUCAAUUAACAAUCUUUAAUGCAUUCACUUCUAUCAUACGAUAAGCAAUUUCGGAAAACAAGUAAGCUUUAUAAUAUUAGGAAUAUGCAAGAAAUUGAUAAAGGCCAUGAAUCUACCUUCAAAAAAUAAAUUAUUAAAAAAAAGAUUUUUUCACCCAUGAAUAUUGUAAUCAGCUUCCAAAAAACAUUAGGUAUUGCAAUAACCAAAUGUUCCUUAGGUUACCAAGAGUGUUUUUUUUACCCAUGCAUAAAAUAAAAAGAAAAUAAGAAAGCAUACCAUACAACUCACAACUGUGUCAAGUAUGAGUUCAAUUCAUGGUCAUGCACAAUUGCAUUAAGUAUUUGAAAGCCAAAUAAGGUUAUGUGCAAUUCAAAGAAUACCAUACAACUCACAACAGAAUCCUCACAGCUCACCAUAGAAUGAGAAUUCAAUUGUCUUUCCUCUAGUCAUAAGAGUUUGUGCUCUUCGAGCCUUUGACUUGCACAACUCAAGAUAGCAGGACAUGCCAAAAAGUCUCCUUCACCUCAAACAUUAUUCAAAUCCAUAGUAUAAAUCUAGAUAAGAUAAUUUUCUACAAAUAUAACAUGUUGCAAACAAAUAACAGUAUGUUGGUUUAAAAUUGAAAAGCAUUUCAAACCAAACAAAAUAGAAAAAAUUUCAGUGUAUAUCACUCACCUAAAAGCUUGUAUGUUGGAUAAAAUUCCUGCUAAUGAAUCCUCACAAUUAUUUGCAAUCAAAAUUUAGUAAUGAUUUAUAAACAAAAAAAAAAUCACAAAUUUUUUUAGCAAUGUUCCAUGACAAACACAUUGCAUAUUGAUUGAGAAAUUAAUAUGAAAUCCACUAAUUUGAAAGGCACUAAAUACCAUAUGUUCUCUUGAGUUCUCCAUGUAUCAAAACAGAUGCAAGUUGCUAUUUGAGCCACCACAAUCACGGAGCAAAAUACUUCUUAGCAUGGAAGGCAUACCAUAUUUUAAACAAUGUUCUUAACUUUCCAAGAGACAUAAGAACGUGGUGUGUUGUAGAAACUGUAGAAGAAAUAAAUGGAAGUUAAACAUAUGCACUUGCUACUUAGUUUUUUAAUCAUGUGUGAAAGAAAUAAAGAGGUGUUACUUGUAUUUAGGCCAAACUUGUAGUCUCCAAUGUGAAAUCCAAAUCUCAUUUUGUCAACAGAAUAAGAGCACUAAACAUAUAGCAAAUUGAAUCCUUCCUUUUGACAAUUUGAAAACCUUAAAGGAAUGACUUGAGAUCAUAAAUAACUAUACGAUAAAGAAAAUUUUCAUCAUUCUUUCUAAAAGGAAAAUUUGUCAUUUCCUUGAUUACAGAAGAUUGAUAUUUUAACAUAAAGUGCACUUAUUAAGGUAAACUUUAUGCAUUAUAUAUUGAAUUAGAAAAUUGUAUUCAAAUCCAAUUAGAAGGGUAUCACAAAAGAUGCUUAAUUGAAAUGAAGACAUCCAUGCCAAUUUGUAACUGUUAUCAAAUAACACCCUUCCUUGUCAUUUUACGUCCCAUGCUUGCAUGUCAAAUCUCUAACUAAGACCGCUCAAAGAGCACUUCAAAUAAAAUUACGAAGAUUUCAUUACAGGUAGAACUUAAGAUGCUUACAUUGACCAUGGGAGAGAUCGAUAAGAAACAAAAUACUCACCCAUAAGUUUGUAACUAUUGUACUCAAAACUUGCUUCCUAGUCAAACUUUCAACACAACUUCUUGGAAACUUCCACAAAUUGUUGAGCCACUAGUAAAACACAACAUCAAUAUGAGAAAUUUACAAGGUACUAUGCAAAUAAAAGAGUAAGAAAUGUGUAUUGAGAAUAAGAGUUACCUUAAUGAAUGUAAGGAUAGGAUAGGGUUGAAUUGGCUUUGCACCCAUUUUUGCAAUUUGAAUUUAUUAUGGUUCAAAAAUGAGUUUAUGAUGUAUCCUCAUUUUAGGGGAAGCGGGCAAUCUAGGGCCAAUCUCUAUCAUUCUCCUUGAAACAUCUUUGAUUUCGAAGUUUGAUAAAACUUAGAAGACAACCUUUCACUUGGUAAGAAGGACUAGAACAAGGCAUCCCUCAAUCUCUACAAGUUAAAGAAAUGAAGUUUUGAAGACCAAGGGAGGGGGCUAGGAUUUCAAAUUUGACAAUAUUUUCAUUGAAAGAUCAAUGAGUUGUAGCAAGAAAUCCUGUCAAAAGGAAAUUGCAUUUAACAAUGUACAAUAUAAAAUGAAUGAACUGAGUUUUUAGAGAGGUGAAUCUUUGGAGGCUCCACAAAGAUAAGGGGUUUUAAUACCCUUGCAAGUGUAUUCGUGAAAUUAUUUCCUCAAAGGAAACCUGAACCUGGACAAUGUGCAACACAAAGCUGUUAAAGAGAUGUAAGACUCUAAAUCUGAUGAGGUAGGACUUGAGAUCCACAUUUUCUUAAGUGAGGAAUUCUGAGGUUGUAAACACACCAGUAGUUUCCAGAUUUAAAUACUUCUCUUCAAAUAUUUGUAUAACGUACAUCUUCUUUGACAUUGCUGCUCCAACAGGAUGUCCAAUAGGAUGUGCAACCUAUUUGGGCAUACUACAUGUACAACAAAAAAUUUCAUUAAAACAAAAAACUUUUACUAAAACAAAAAUAUGAAGUUAAUGUAUAAGAAGAUAAGAUUUAUAUAUAGUGAAUGAGCAUGAUUGAUUUUAGCACAAAGGGAAUGACGCUAAAAUUUAUAAGAAUAUCAUCACCAUAAGUACCUAAUUUGCAUCAUUAAAAAUUCCACAAGGAUUUGAUGAUUAGGCAAUAAAAUAAUUCUAGUAAAUGAGUUAAAAUCAGCUGCGCUAAGAAAGAUUAAAUCCAAAUAAGCAUCAAUCAUUAAAGAAUUAACCAACUACAAAAGACUUCAAAUGACUUUGACUUUUUCUCCGUAAUUUCUUUUCCUAAUUGGCCUCAUUUGCUUAUACCAAAAUAUUAUUAAUUUGCUUUAAAGGAAGUGGGUGACUCAUAUCUCUGAAAGGAUGUGAGAGGUGGAAAUCCCUCGAUCUCUAGUGAUUCAAGAGGAUAAUUCAUAUGGCUAUUGUUGUCAUCAUACAUCAUUCAACUAGCUAUAGACCACAAAAUUGAACAAUCAUGAAUACGUUGAUGCUUAAAUAUGGUAUGUACUUUAACUAGUGGAAAAUCUUAUGAGACUUGGACAUCUCGAGAUUUCCAGGAAUUAAGAUAGAUACAAGUUGUUGCUUCCUGUUAUAAUUUAUCUGGAUUGCAAUCAUCAAGCACUAACUCCAUUCACUGCAUGUUUUGAGCCUUCAGCAUAAAACCCAAAUUCCAUUCUAUCAACUAAAAAUAAAAUAAAAAAAUCACUAAUAACUCCUUUGGAAACCAUUUUAUGUUGCUCAGAUUAUAAAAUGUAGGAUUUAACUGACUUCCAUCAUUGAAAAUGAAUUGAUAUAACUUUACAAUACUAGUAUAUUCAGCUUUUGACAUGGUUGAAACUGAUCCUGGAAUCAAAAAUCACAUACACAAGUAGAUAUUUAACAGAAGAGGAUCCAAAAUCUCUUCAAUUGAUUAAUGUAUAAAUGAAUUAAUAAAAAAUUUUCAAGAUAAUUAUGGGAAAAUGAACCUUGUACCUCUGAGUUUCUUAUUCUUCUUGAAUAGAGCAAUGAGCAUCAAGUGUUGAGCACCCAGGAAUCUCCCUUCCUCCACAGGCAAAGUCUGAACAAUCUAUCCUUUCUUCAUAUUCCACUUCCUUGCAAAAGUCAAAACAUGAAGAAAAUAUCAUCAAAAUUGAGACAAAAAUAAGUGCAUCAACUAUCUUAAGAAGAGAUUUAUGCCUACUGCUUACCUUUUGAAGAAGUCCACUUGGUUAGAGCACAUUUUACAUGGACGCCCAAUCACUGCAAGCUGCUGAACCAAAGGAGAGUUCAAGCAUCUAAAAAAUUUGACGAACUCAAGUAUCAUAGAAUACUUCAUAUGAAUUCUAAAUGAUCUCAUAUCUAAAAAACAUUGGCAUAAAAUUACUGUUGUUUACCUUACAUGUUUCUUCCAUGGUCAUAAUCAAAACUUUGUUUAUCAUAAGAAAUCUUCUAUGCUCAUCUUGAUUACUUACAAUGAACACUGAAAUGAAAAGAAAAAAAACACAAAAAAUGAUGAUUAGUUUGGUUUGAUAAAUUUAGCAAACAUAAUUUCCUUUUUCUUGCAUGAGAAAGGAAAGAGUAAUAUAUAUAUAUAUAUAUAUAUAUAUGAAUUUAAUAAUUUUUUAAAAUUAGCAAUUAUAAAACUAUUUUGGUUCUCAAAAAAUUUAUGGGAAAGUAGGGAAAAAAAAAUUAUAAACUUCUUUUCGUGUUUGAUUAUUUAUCGGAAAAUUAAGGGAAAAACAAAAAUCUAUGAGAAAUUUAUUUAACACUUCUGAGGAACCAAAAAUGUUUUAGAUGUUGUCAAAUCGAUAAUUUAAACGUGUUUAAUUCCAAUUAAAUGAGUUUAAUCAAACACAUGAAAUUGUGAAUAAAAUUAUUUAAAAGCAUUGAAAUUCAAGUCAUUAAAUAGAGAACACUUAUAAGUGGUUCAUUUCAUUUUUGCAAACUGCCAAAUCAAAAUAGAGCAUGAAAAUGUGUUCAAUAUUUGUUUCAGGCUUGAAGCUUCAAGAAAAAGAAAAUCUUAAAUCAAAUAAACAGGACUAGCGAAUGAAUGGGAACUUGAAAGAAAAGUUUAAGCGCAAAAGAAUUACCUGACUGUGUAUUGGCGAAGUGGCACUUUGAUUAGGAAUGAGAUCUAUAUAACGCCAUUCUUCCCCUUUCUCCAGUAAAUGACCUGAUUAGAACUACAAUAAGUGAAGUGAUAAUGUCAUCUAAUUAGUAAACCAAACCAAGUCAAUAAACUACAACUUCCUCUAGUAUAGCCUCGAUGUAAAAGAAAUUUAAAAUCUCAUUUAUUGCACUUGGCAAGGUAGAAGUAGUAAUGCUCAUUUUUUAUUGUGACAGAUUAUAGAGAAAAUUAGACACUGCGAAAAUACCAAGCCAAGAGCUGCUUUCUUGUUAAAAAUUAAGUCCAAUUAGAAAAUUACAUAGCGCGUAAGAGAAAUUCAAAGUGGUGUUGAGAAGAGAAAGAGGAAGAAUGAUGUGUUGGGAAUGAGAUGUAAUACCUUCUUUAUUACUCAGAUGGAUUAGUCAUGUAUGUCCACACAGGGGAUGUGGGCAAUCUUAAGCCAAUCAUCUCCUUCCUCCUUCGAGUACAUUUGUGUUAGAUGUGGGCAACGCCGCGCAUGCAGUCGUGAAAGGGUGUCAGGCAAUAGUCCUUCCCUUGGCAAAAUCGAUCGGAGCUUAGGGCAAUCGUAGAUUUCUAGCUCUUCAAGAGAGGUGAGGGUUUGGAGAGACAGGGAGGCUAGGGAUUCCAGAUUCUGGAAUCGUGAAAGGAUAAGGGAGGUGAGAGUUGUAGGAAAAAGAAUCGAGUGGGGGUCAUCCGAAAAGGAAGUUGCAUCUGGAAACAUGCCACUAAUCCAGAGGCGUUUAAGAGAGGUGAGUCUGGAAAGACCCCAUUGGGAUAGGGGGGUCUUGAUAUUCUCGCAAUCUUGAAUGAUAAGCGAUGUAAGACAAGUGAGGUUUUUUAUCUGAGGAAGCAACAAUUCCAGAUUUUCAGAAUCUUCAAUAACUAGAUAUGUGAGGGUGUUGAGGCAAUCUGGUAGGGUUUUGAGAUUAGGAUACCUCCCGAGGAUUAAAGAUUGAAGUGAAUUAUUAGUAGAGUGAAACAUCCCCUCUGAAAUUGACUCGAGGUGUUUACAACCCCGAAUGUGAAGUCGCUUAAGAGUAGAGGGAAACUUACCUCUUGGGAAGGAUGUGAGAGAUGGACAUGUACAGAUUUCCAAGGCUUGGAGAGCAGCAGCAUUGGUGGAAUGUUGGUGCAUUAUUCCCUCUGGUAGAGACUUUAGCCUUCUACAAUCAAAUAUAAUGAGCAUCUUGAGAGUGGCGGGUAACCCACCUUUCGGUAAUCCAAUAAGAGACGGACACCUCACUAUAGUUAACUCUUCAAGGGCACACAUGCCCAUCAUUCCUUCUGGAAGAGACUUGAGAUCGUCACAAAACUUUAUGCGUAGACUCUUAAGGGUGGUGGGUAAUUGCCCUUUUGGAAAGCAAAUGAGAGAUGGACAGUUCCAUAUACUUAAGCAUUCAAGAAGACACAAGUUGUUGCUGUCAGUACUGUCGUUCCUCAUCUUCAACAUCAUGCCAUCAGGUAGACUCUUUAGACCUUUACAAUUUCCAACAGUAAGACUUCUCAGCUUUGGUGGGAAACCUACAUCUGGAAAUGACGCUAGCUUUGGACAAUCCCUGAUUGCCAAUUUUUCAAGGCAUGUUAGACUCUGCCAUCCAUUUGGAAGCCUCUCUAGUUUAUCACAUUUAAUUAUUUCCAAAGACUGAAGAUUGCAUCCCAAGGAUACAAGUUGGUCACAAUCUCUAAUCUCAAGAGAAUGAGAGUUUUCCGAUCCAAAACCAUCCUCCCACAAAUAUACGAGUUCUUCGCAUUCCGAUACUUUCAAAACCCGAAGCCCUUGCAAAACUUGCACAAAUCCUUCAUGCAAUUUGAUAAGCCCUGAAAUCUCAGAAAUUGUUAACUUGCUCAAGACCGCCUCAUUACAUUGUCUUACUUGUAAUUUCUUCAGCAGUGGAAGUCUUGAAAGUGGAGACUCCAAUUUUGGACAGAAGUGUACAGAGAGCUUUGUAAGAGAAGGUAGGUAAGUGGGUAGUUUCAUAAUCAAUUUGGGGCAAUACUCAAUUAUAAGCUCAUGGAGACAAGGGAAUAAUGACUCUGUUGAGGAAGACCAGUCCUCCCAGUGCUCCCAUUCUGACAUGCUUUUAAAAUGUAGAGACUCUAGUGAUGGGAAAAACUUACCUCCAGAAACACGAGUCUCUCCAUAAAACUCUGCACCCACUUUUUUUACUCCAUCCAUUCUUUGGAUCCUCAACUGUUUGAGCGAUGGCAACUGCCCCAAGCACGGUAAAGACGUGCACUUUCUGCAAUCUAUGAGACUUAGAUCCACCAUCUUGGAGAACAAGGCAUCUCUUAUCCAACGUGGGAAUUCUGGACCACCAUAAAACUGAAUGCAGAGUUUAUUUAGAUUCAAACAAGGUUGUAGAGAGUCAAGGACAUCCAUUUGAUUCCGCUCAUUCCCUGAACCAUCCAGCUCAGAACUCCACUGCAUUAUCAAGCUUUCAAGGUUACGCUUCAAUUUUAAAUCGACAUCCCUUGCAUCUUGAAUAUUCACCACAUUUUCCAAUUUCGAAAUGCAAAGUUCUCCUCGCAGAUGUGACAUGUCUUUCAACCCUUUGAUUGUCAAACCGUUGUUUUUGUCCACAAUGAAAUUAGACAAUAUCCGCAAAUCUUUUAGUUUGCCAAUUUGUAUAGGCAUUUCUUGUAAUCUUAUUGCACCAGCAACAUCAAGAUGUCGAAGAUUGAUUAGGUUACCGAUGCUAAUAGGCAACCUAAUAAGCUCUUUACAGCAUGAUAAUUUCAAUGUCUGAAGGUAAAAAAGAUUACCAAUUGAAUCGGGUAACCAUUUUAUACUGGUGUAGGACAAAUUAAGGUAUCUCAAAUGUUUCAACUUACCAAAUGAAUCUGGUAUCUCACUUAUCGUGUAACGAGCCAAUGAGAGCACCCUUAAGUGCCCUAACUUUGGUAUCAAUUCUUCAAGCACCUUAUUACUUAUAUAGCAACGAUUUGGACUAGUUGGUACAUCAAUCGACAAAGCUAUGAACGUGCGCAAGCGCUCUUUCUUAUGAAACCUUUCAAAUUUUUUAAAGAUAUCACAAAAAUGACGGAUGAAUGAUGAAUGACGAGUAUUUUCAGAAAUGGGGCAUUGCAAAUCAUUCCACAACUCAUCAUCCAAAUGCAAGCAUGUGUCUCCAGCAAUAGAUUUAGCUAGAGCAUGGACAAGGUCAUGCAUCACGAAUCGUGAUCUAUUGCUGCUUGACGAUUGAAAAAAUGACCUUGACAAUAGCUCAUCAAAAUACUUAUCACCAUGAUCUUCCAUUUUCCUAUUAUCUUUUGAUUGUUCAAUUAACCCCUCCGCUAUCCACAAGAGGAUUAACUCUUGCUUUGUAAACUCAUAAUCCUGGGGAAAAUUUGCGCAAUAAGUAAAACACCUCUUUAAAUGUGAAGACAGAUGAUAGUAGCUCAAUCUCAAGGCAGGGAUGAUGUCACAUUCCUUGUCUGUUAAAUUCCAUACUUUGCUGUACAAUACUCUUUCCCAUUCACAUUCACGUAGUUCAGAGCGCAAAAGGCCACCAAGGGCUCUUGCCGCUAAGGGAGAACCUCCACACUUCUCUACAAUUCUCCUACCAAUUGAUUCCAAAUUUGGGUGCUCAUCGAUAUUCAUAUGUUCAAAAGCAUGUGUUUGAAAUAUCUUCAAACAAUCAUCAUAUGGUAACUGUUUGAGCUNNNNNNNNNNNNNNNNNNNNNNNNNNNNNNNNNNNNNNNNNNNNNNNNNNNNNNNNNNNNNNNNNNNNNNNNNNNNNNNNNNNNNNNNNNNNNNNNNNNNCCCCUAGCAGAGUNGGUUAUCGCAGCCACCUUUUUCUAGACGAAGCUCAGAUUUUGAGCCGAAAUAUCUCGUAAGCGGCGAGUGAUUUCCAACACCUUGGACCUCAUGUUAAUAUAACGCAUAACCUCAUUAGGAUUGAAAAUGCCAAGACAAGUGGAGAUGAGCUUGCGUACCUUGCUCGGCCUGCCUUGAUGAUCAGCUUCUUUGGCCGUGAGUUCCCGUUGCAAAGCUUCGUAGGCGAACUCAUCCAAGAUGUCCUCCAUAUCAUAAGCCAAAUCCUUCAGAUUGCCCAGCCACUCUUUCACAGAGUGAUCCGUGAUCUGCUUGUCCUCCGCGUCAUUAAGCUCUUCACGAAUAUUCGACAAUUCUAUCUCCCAUUUCUUGAGAUCAGAGUACACCCAUUGUUGGCGUGCAAAGUCGAGCAAAUCAGUGGAGGCCAACUUGUCAAACAAGAGGCCGAUGGCAGCAGAAAGAAGAGCGUCUCCCACAGCUUCCAUGGUUGGUUUGUACUUUGUUUGCAGAGAGAGAGAGAGCAAAUCAAGCAGUGGAUAAAAAGGUGAAGCAGAAAGAAGGGGGUCUGCUGUGUGAAGGCUUUAAAUAUUAGAAACCCAUUUUCAUUUUAAUUUAUUUGAAGGUCCUUGUAGAGACAGCUGGAUCAUAUUGGAGUUUGAGAUGGCCCGACUGCCCACCUGCAUGCCACUGUUGGUUUGUUUGUGUACUUUAAUUUAAAAAUGUCUCAAUUUUAUUAUAAAUUUUUUUUUUUAAUGUAACUAUAUAUAUAUAUAUAUAUAUAUCCCUCUUUUAUUAUUUUUUUAUUUGCAUGAUAUUUCUUUCAUACCAAUCAAAACUAUGAAGAGAUUUUUCUUAAAAUUCAUAAAAUAUCUUGUUUUUGUUGCAUCAAUAUGUUUCAUUUCAUUGUAAGAAAGCCCAGUAAAAUGUGAUAUUUUCUAAUUUCUGAUUUGUAACAUUUUUUUUUCUUAUUUAUUCCAAUCUUAUAUGCAUAUUACACUAUUAGGCAAAGUUGUCAAUGACAAUGAUUGUUAUUUAUAAUGGCUUGAACUUAGAAGCAUCCUAGCUUAUGAUACUCAAUUAUAUUCACCUCUACAACUUAAUUUCAAAAUGUUGGAAUGCAUACCAAAUUCCUAAUUAAUCAAGGUUUAUUUUUUUGUAAAAAAAUGUUGUAUAGAAUAUUUCCUAAGUUGAUACAUUAUUAUAAUAUUAAAUUUCCUUCUAGAAUAAGGAAUAUUAUUAGAAAUAUCUCUAUAAAUAUUAUAGGUAAAAGUGAACAUGAGCUUUUAGUGACUCUACGAAGUUAAUAAAGAUACUCAGUAAAGUGAGAGGGCUCGUGGUUCAAGGUAUGGAUACAAGGAGUGACACAAAAUAAUUUAUUAACUCAAAAUCUAUUUUUUAUUUUUCUUUAUUUUUUCUUUCUUUCUAAUUUUCUUUUUGUUUUCUUUUUCUCUAACUCCCUCAAAUCUUCUAGAAACCAAAUAUAGUCCUAAUGUGUUGGACGAUGAACUUGUUAUUUUAUAAACUUCAAAUAUUCAAUUUUCAUGGAGAAGGAAUCUCAUAUCUAUCUCAAGUUAAUUAUAUGCAUCCCAUUUUUACCACUAGCAAACCUUAAUCACCUUAUUAUAUGGAAAUUGGGUAUAACUAGAUGUAAUAAAAAACAAAGUUUUGUGAAUAAUGAAAGAACUUGUACAAGUAAAAAUAGAAUUUUAAUAAGAUGCAAAAAAAUUUUGGCUUCCAUAUCUAGUCAAAUAAGCAUAGAACCUUUUUCUUCAACUUUUAAGUUUUUGACUUCUCAAAAAUCAAUCUAAAUUGGAUUGAUAAAUUAUAAAAGGUUACAAUAUAAUAUUACAAUGUAUAAAUAUUAUUUUCACUUCUAUAUUUCCCAUGAAAUUAUUUAUUUAUUUAUUUAAAUUGAAAUGUCCUUUGUUAUUUGUUUCUACCUUUAAAAAGUAACAAAAAAAUUAUUUUAAAUCUUAGGUAUGGCAAUACUUAAGUAUUUAAUAAUUUUAAUUAGAUAAUUACAUUUUCUUUUACAUUUUACACAUAAAAUAAUUAAUUAUAUUUUAUAUUAUAUUAUUUAAUUAGUGAUAUUUAAAUUUUAAUUAGUUUUUAAGAAUUUAAUUAAUAGUUAAAUAAUUAGAUUUAUUUAUGUUUAAAUCUAAUUAACAAUAAGUUCAAUGCAACAAGAAAAAAAAAUAGGUUAUGGUUACUAUUUUGAAGUGGAUUUCAAUUUUAAAUUUUACAAGUAGACUUGCUUGACUAACCUUAUAAAUUAGUAGAAUUUAACAAGUUGCAAAUGGUUCCCUUACCUAAUCUUUUAAAUUAAUCUUGAUGUUGACAAGCACUUUACCAACCAUAAUUAUAAAAAGACAAAUAAGUCAAGUUGAUUUUACUAAAUUGCAAGUGGGUGCCCUUACCUAAUCUUUUAAAUUAAUCUUGAUGUUCACAAGCACUUUGCCAACCAUAAUUAUAAAAAGACAUAUAAGUCAAAUUGAUUUUACUCAAUUGAGAUUAAUAAAUUGCAAGUGGGUGCCCUUUACCUAAUCUUUUAAUUUAAUUUUCAUAUUGAUAAGAACCAAAUCAGCCAUAAUUAUAAAAACAAGAAGACGACAAGCUAUGAUUACUUUUAUUAACUAAAAUUUAAUAAAUCACAAUUUCUCUUACCUAACCUUUAGAUUAAUCUUGAUAACUUUGCCAACAGUAAUUAUAAAAAGAGAAAGACGACAAGCUAAUUUAAUUGGCUAAUUUUAUUAACUUAGGUUUAAUAAAUUUAAAGUAGGUUGAUCUCUUACCUAUCCUUUUUAAAUUAAUCUUGAGAUCAAUAAGAAUCAUACAACCAUAAUCAUAAGAAGAGCUAAAACAUAAGUCGAUUUGAUAUUUAAUUAGUUAAUUUUAUUAACUAUAAGAUAUAAAAAUUUGGUAGGAGGUGUCUUAAAUCCCAAAUUAGAAUAUACUUUUUUUUUCGUGAAAAGAAUAUUAUAUAGAAUAUUUUCAAAGUUUAUAUGUGAUUGUAAUUAAAUUCAAGUUAGUACAGAUAUAUUUAUAAAUAUUUUAAGACAUGAAGAGAAAAAGUUAUGGAAGAUAUGAAAAAGAGAUGCGAUCAAGAGCGAGAGAUGUUGAUAGAACAAGAGGGUUCACUAGGGAAGAGUAUAGAUGUGAAGAAGAAUGAGAAACACAUAGUGGAGCAAAAUGAUUCAUGGUUUAUGAUAGAGAUAUAAAGAGCAGGAAAAAUGGGAUGUUUGGGUUUUGGUAGUCGUCUAACCUUUGUAUGUGGUUUGCUUUAUUCAUGUGUUCUUCCUUUAAUAUGUUUAAAUUGAGGUUUUUGUUUUCCUUUUGGUCCUAAGAUGAGUUUUGUCAUGUAAUCAAUUAUGCCUGUUUCCAAUUUCAUUAAAAACUUGUGUUCUACGAUUUGACAAAUGAAAAUAAUUAUUUUUCUAUAAUUUUUUUUAUUAUAAUUUUGUUAGUUAAUAAAAAGUAGAAUAUAGAUAAUAUUAGCCGUCAAAUAGAAAGAUAAAUAUGACAAUUAAUGUGUUUUCACAGCAUAUUUGUACUUAGAUGGUUUUGCUUAUAUGAAGUAAUUUAAUGCAACUAUGAAGAUUUAUAUGAAGUAAACUUUAUAUAAUUUGAGAUUUAAUAAUCGGUUAAUUUUUAUUUGAAGAUACAAAAACAUAAAAUAAAAGUCUUGUUCAAAAAUUAUUAUUGAAAACAACAUGAAAAUGGGGUUUUUUCACUUAGAAAUAUACAUUUGACAAACUUCUCAUAUAAAACUUCUUAAAAUAAGUUAUUUUUUAGAACAAAUUUGAAAUGUUUUUAAUUUUUUCACAACAAUUUAAAUAAAAAUUGAAGAUAUAGAUAAUAUAUAUUUUGGGAAAUUUUGUAUUGUAUUUAAGUAUACAAUUCCUUUGUAAAGAAUAAAUCGAAACGAGUAAUAGCUAUUUUCAAGAAUUGUUUUGAAGAAUUAUUUUCACAAAUGUUGUCAAAUAUGCUCAAAACUUUCUACAUCAUUUAUAUUAAUCUUGGAUUCAAUCAAAAUCUUGCCACAAUUGAAAAGAAAAAAAAAUGUUAAUUAAUUGGUUAAUAUUUACAAUCCUAAAAAAAAUUAAAAAAAAAUAAUAAUUCAAAAUUUUUUAAAUAAAAAUCUCGCUAACUAAAAUAAAAAUUCACCAUCAAAAUAAAAGAUUAUCUAAUAGUUUUCUAUUUUUGACUCUAUAAUCAAGAAUGUUCAUAUAAUUUCUUUUACAAUAACAUACUAAAAUAGAAAGAGAUUAAAAUGGAAAAAGAAAAUGAUUAACAAUAAAAUUCAUAAAAAGAAAUGAAAAUUAAGAAGAUUUCAAUCCACUUCAAUAUUAUUUCAAUGAAAUAGUAUUGCAUUUAAAUUAUUGAAGGCCAUACCAAUUUAUUUUUCGUCCUUUUUUAAUACUUAAUUUUGUUAUCAAACAAUGAAAAUUUUACUAAUCAAGGAAAAUGAGAAAAGAAAAUAUUUUUCUUGAAAGUUAAUGAAUUUGUUAAGAAAGGAAAACAAAAGGUCUUUUAUGGGAUACUUUAUUAAAUUAAAUUAAUAACUUAAUUUAAAUCAUUAAAUAAAUUAAGUAUGUUUAACAAAAUAACAUAAUGGUAUGAUUUAAAAUAAAAAAAACUUUAAAUAAUAAAUAAAAAUAAUUAACUUAUUCUUAAAUUCACAUUUUUAUUUUACCUUUUUACCCCAAUUUGUCAUAAUUACCUCCACAAUUUCCUUUACUAUUCCACGACUUUUACUUUUACACGACCUCCUCUACUCUAGGUAUAAUUUAUGAGGAUAAAUAUGUCAAUUUGAAAAUUUAGAAUUAAUCAUAAGUUAGUUUUAUCACACAAUCGUAAUACUUAAAAUAAAAAUUAAGUAAUAAGUUUUAAGUUAACAAUUUAAGUAUAAUUUAACUAAAAGUCAACUUAAAUCAUUAAGUAAUUAGUAUUAAGUUUUAUCAAACACCUCCAUAUAAUUAGUUAAUUUUGAUUAAUCUAAAAAUAUAGAAAGUGAAAUAUACACAUUUUUUUAUUGGUUACGUUGGUCUUGAACUUCUUUCACCAAAUCAUUUUUAUUAAUCUUAACAUGCGCCAUUUGAUGCGACUGAUGGUAGCUUAGCUUUAAAGGCGUAUCAACAAAAUUUAUACCUUAAAUACUAUUAUUAAAGUAGCCAAGCUACUCUAGCAUAGUGGUUCUAGGAUCGUUCACUGGGAAGGGUUUUCGCGAACACUAGUGAUAUUCAAAUUAGGAAAAUAGGUGAUUUUCUUAUGGAUGUUAGCUUUAAAAGAAGAUGUAAAUGUUUUAGAAAGAUUUAAACUAAUCUAAGCUAACAUUAAAGACUAAAAUGAAAUGGUGUAAAAACAAGUUUCUCAAAUAUAGGAUAGCUAUGCUCUGGCUCUUAUGCAAAUUGGAAAUCUCAGGAUAGGCUCCUCGCGUCGGGGUUGCAACUAUGGUGAUGCUUGCUUCCCGAACCGGUAUGGAUUUAGCAAAUCAAGUUUUAAUCCUUUAAAAUGGCAAAACAGAUGGUAGUGAAUUUCAUCAAUGGUUAUUCACCUUAGACUUCCUUUGAAUGGCUCAUAAGAGAUAACUAAUGGUCUAAAGCCAAAAGCUUACCAAAUAUUGGCAACUCAAAGUCAUUCCAGGUGAUAAACUCACCUUUCAAUGGCCAUUGAAAUUGGUUCUAACGGAUUAAUGCAAAACUUGGAAUUGAAAACCUCACCUUCCAAUAGCUCGUAGGAGAUAACUAAUGGAUAGAAAUCCAAAAGCUUAUCAAGUAUUGGCCGUUGGAAGUUGUCCAAAGGAAAUAAAAACCAAACUUUGCAUUAAUGAACCAUUAAUGAAAAACGACUACCUUACCUUCCAGGUGCGAGAAAUUUCUAUGGGAUUGCAUCCAAGCCAUCACAUAGCAUCCAUACUUUGAGAAACUAAAAGUUUUAGCCAAUCAUCCUCUGAGGAAAAGUCCUCAGAGGCUAUUUGGCUACUAAGAAAAUAAAAAUGGGGAAGAACAGGAGAAGAGAGAAAAACAGAGCUUUAUAUAUUUCUAAGUUAAUGUACAGAGGAUCGAUCCCCCAAUAUCUUUUGGAGGCGUUGUGCACCUCUAUAUAUAGCAAAAUUACAAGAUAAAGCCUUAUGUCAGCUGAAUACAAGGUUACAAAAGGAAUUUACACGAGAAAAUAUCAAGCUAAAAAUAUCUGGGAAGUCGGUGGUGCGUGCGUGGAGAAACAGAGGAAAUUUGGCAAGGUAAAAGGUUACUUGCGAAAUUUUGGCAAGGUAAAAGGUUACUUGCGAAAUUUUGGCAAGGUAAAAGGUUACCUUGCGAAAUUUUCGCAAGGUGAAUUACUCAUGAUGCGAAGUGCCAUAUUUUCGCAUCAUGAAUAAAUUCACCUUGCCAAAUUUGGCAAGGUGCAUUUUCACCUUGCGAAAAUUGCAUUUUGGCAAGGUAUUUUGCCUUGCCUUGCGAAAUGGCUAUCCCUUUGUUUGUGCUCGUGUUUCCACUUGAAAUUCAAGCCUGUAAACUUCCAAAAUCCUUGCUUUAACUUGUCCAAGUAGCUCCUCCAUCAUUUGGCAUGCUUGAAUUGAUUCAUAAGCUGAUAAGAACAUGUAAACUUGCCACAAAAUGGUUAAAACCAAUUACUAAGGACCUUAAUGAAUUAAUUGGGUUAAAUGAAUAUGAUUACUACUCAAAGGUGCUUAAAACCAUUAUAAUUAGGUCUACAAAAUAGCACUUUUUGGUAGUAAUCACAUCAACAUUAGUUAAUUAUAAUUAAAGAAAAGAAAACCAAAAAAAUAAAAAUAAAAAAGUCAAUUUGGGUGACCAAUCUUUGUUGAAAAAUUAAAAACCAAACAAAAGUUGAUCAAUACAAAAAAAAAAAAAGAGAAAAAAAUUGUAUGAAGUAGACAUUUUGUCUUUUUGAGAUUAUUGAUGGAAGUGUAAUAGACUAUAAACAUGUCUAUGAGAAUCAAUCCCAAUGAGUCCUAAAACAUAUCUAUGAGACUAUUGUUGAAUAGAGAUUUAAAAUAAAAUAAAACCAUGUCAUAAAGAAAUGAUAUUUAAGUAUUAAUAAAUAGGAAUUGGAUACAUAUAAAUAAAAUUUAGAUUAAAGAAGAAAUGAAACUAUUUUUAUUAUGUGGUUGUUUUUAAUGGACCGCCAAUUUUUUAAAAAAUUAUAUAUAUAUAUAUAUAUAUAUAUAUAUAUAUAUAUAUAUAUAUAUAUAUAUAUAUAUAUAUAUAUAUAUAUAUUCCAUAGAAAAAUUACUUUCUAAUACCAUAGAAUCACCCUAAUUUCAAAUUGAGAUUUACUAUCUUAAAUUUUAAAUUUUUUAAAAAUAAUUUUUAAGGGCAUGAACUAAAUCUAUAUUUUUUGUGAAGAAUUUAUAUUCUUUAUAUGGAAGUUUUUAUCGAUUUUUAUUUUUAAAAACAAAAAAUAAGAAGCACUUAGAGUGUAUUUGACAAUGAUUUUAAGAAGUGAUUCUAAUCUUUCUAAUACUUGAAAAAUAAAAAUUCUUAUAUGUUGAAACAAUUGCAGAAUACACUUUUAGUAAGUAAUGAUAUUAAUUUCUUCGAAGAGAGAGAUUUACAUUUAGGAUAGAAAUAAAUAAAUAAAACAAGGAUAAAAAUUUAUUUUUUAAAAAAACUUUUAACUUCUUGUACUUUAUCAUUACACACUUUUUUCAUUAGAUGCUUUAAAUAAUUUUUAUUAAAUAAAAUUAUAUUGAUGGAGGGCUAAUUAACUUUGCUUAGGGUGAGAAAGAUAGAGAUAAAAUUGAAGUGGGUACACAUCUAAAACAAAAAUGAAAUAAAAAGUAAAGAUGAAGAUAAGAUUGAGGUGGGUUCACAACUAAAAAAAGAAUGAAAUAAAAAGUAUGAGAUGAAUUGACCAAAGCUUAUCCCUUCUUCCAAAUAGUAAAAGCAAAGCCUAGUAGUUAAAGUGAUGACAUUAGUCCUAUUCAAGGCCCCACUUGCAUAAUUGCUACAUCUUUUUGACUUGAUUUUAGUUCAAUUUCACUAAAAUGAAAUAAUUUAUUUGAGCCCAAAAAUCCAAAUCCAAAUCCAACCCACUUAUUUAUAUACAUUAUUGGCAUGGAAUGAGAAAAGUUAUAAAGUGAGAAAAUUUGAUCAUAUGAUAAAUAGUGAUUUUUCAAAGUUGGAGUCAAUCCAAUGCCCAAUGGCUAUAAAAGAAAAAGGAAAGAUGUGGAAAUUAUAGUGGAAUCUCGAAACAAAUUUUUGAGGUUUGAGGUGAUGUGACAACCGUUUCCAAGUAAUUGCCUAAGAAUGUGAGAUGUUGUUGCAUUGAAAAUUGAUAUUAAAGCUCACUGGGUAAUGGUAAGAAUUGCUUUACAUAAAGACAAAUAAUAAAUACAUCCCACUUUUUCAAAAAGUUUAUGAGUGAAUAAAACUUUUAGAGUAGGAUGAAUGCAUUUCACGUGAGUCAUGUCCUAGAUAUAUUUUUAGAAUUUUCUAGCAGGAUGUCGAGGAAAACUCUAUGAUGAGUGUUUUCUUUCUAGUUAAGGUAGGUCCAAUUUGGUGCAAUUCGUCAAUAUAAUUCAAACCCAACAUAUGUUUUAAGGAUUUGAAUUGAGUAAAAUCGUCUUUAAAUUAAAUUAAUCAUAUGAAUCAACGUAACCUGUUUAAUAAAUAGAUUAUUUUUAGGUCAAUCUAGAUAACCCACAUUUGACUUGAAUUAACUUAUUUAAUAAUGGUAUUGAUUAACCUAAUAAUAACUUUAACUUAUUGAACUUAUAUUUGACUCAUGUAAAUUUUUUUUUUUUCAAUAAUUAUGUCAUAAUUGGGCCAUAAACAUGACAUAUUAGAAUAUUAACCAUAUUAUUUCAUUCAACAUUUAAUUUGACUUGAUUAUGAAAUAACAUCUUAUUAUUAAAUCGGUUGAGCCGGUUAUAAUGUAUCACCUAGAUAAUAAUUAUAUGGUAUUUGAGUUUAUGUUUUAAAUUUUGAUUAUUAUUCAUGUCAUGUUUGGGUUGAGUUAUUUAGUGGAGGAUCUAACCUUUGAUAUAACACAAACACAACCGACUAACUUAAAUUGCCAUCAUCACUUCUACUAAUAAGUGAUUUGUUUAUUAUAAUUAAGAAAAUUGAGAAGAUAUAAUUUAUUUUUUAAUUUUAAAUGCAUGAUUAAAGUUAAUUAUAACUUUUAAAAAUUUUAUAAUUCAUAUUCCAUCCAAACUAACAAAAUAUUAGAAAUCUUCAAUGGUUUUGUCUACAAUAAAUAUGUUGUGUUAAAUUAUCCCCUUCUCUACUAACCAAAACAUGUUCUUUCACAAUCAAAUAUCAACAUGUUUGAGCAGCCGGUGAGACAUCUCUUGACAAUGAGGUGAGAGGUAGAAACAAGAAACAUACCUAUAUUCAAGAGAAGUGGUGUUUCUUCAUUUGCUUUAGACAACAUUCAUUUAGUCUAAACUUGAAGGCGGAUUGCUAGAAUUUGAGCUCUUGGAAAGACAUAAGAGAAGUACAUUUGGAAAUCUGAAAGAAGCCUAGAGACCUAUUGCUACUUGUGAAUCAUAGUAAUCAGAAACAAUUCCAUAUAAUCCUGCAAUUCUAGACCUUUGAUUUUCUCUGUUCCAUUUUGCCAAGAACAAUUCUAGAAUGUUUUUCUUUAUUGAGUCGUAAUGAUUUUAUUAUUAGGAUUUAAUUGUAUUCAUUAGGUUUGCAAAUCACAAAAACAGUAUUGUGCCUAUGAAUAUUUUCCUCUUUGAUCAUGUAAAGUUGGAAAACAGUUAUGGAAUUCUAUGAUAGCACAGUACAUUGAUCCACACGAUUUGUGGCAUGACAAUUUAAUGAAAUUACAAAAGUGUAGCACUCAUGGGUAUGUCAUGUGAACCUUUUUCAAUGGAGCUACUUGUUUAAAUUUACAUGGGUGAAUUGUCACACCAAUAUCCUCUAAUGAACCUUGGGUUCUUUUUUCUGUUUCUUCCUCUCUUGGUCAAGCCAAACAAUUUGUCUUUAUAAGGACUUCAUGUUACUAAUAAGCAGCAUCUUAUGUUCUCCUUCUCUUCAUCUCCUUGUCAAGACACAACGAUCUGAUGCAUUUUGCAUUGGGUUGCUUCCUCUCCUCUCCAUUUCCUUCCUCCUUGAGGCAAAAUUGCAUCAUUUCUUAGUUUUGAUUAUGUUUCUUUUUAUCAUUAUGAGAAAGCAUCAUUGUAAGAUGUACAAGAAACGUGUUGCGGUGCAUUAUCCCCUCCUCUACCACCUAAAAUCUGUUUUACACGAUCAUAAGGACCAAGGUGUUUUAAGCAUCAGGUAAGGCAUUUGUUGACAAUGAUGUGAGAGAUAGAGACAAGCAACAUACCAGUAUUCAAAAUACAUGAUGUUCUUCUUUUUCAUUUGACAACAUUCAUUUAGUCUGAACUCCACAUUUGGGCAACUCAGAAUCUCCACCUUCAUUAGGAUUGUUAGAAGUUGGCUUCUUAGAAAGACAUGGAAAUGGGGCAUCUAGAAAUCUGAAAGAAUUCCAAAGGCUUGUUGCUACUUUUGAAUCAUUCCAAUUAAUAACAACUUUAAAAGAUAUAUACAAAUCUGUCCCUGGGAAAGAGAUGUGUCAUGUGCAUAUGCAACCAUCUCUCUAAUAGACUCAGGGUUGUGCACCAUCAUGGUAGUUUCUUAUAUAUUACACCAUAUUAAUUGUAGAUAUCCAACUACCAAUAUCACUACACCUGAAUGAACUAGGAGCUAUGCUGAAAGUGAAGUUGGACAACCCAUCAUCGAAAGAAUCCUGUAGGAAUACCCCAAAAUGAAAAUUUUAUUAGCAUAAAUGAAUUCACCCAAAUUAAGGAUAAAGUUGCCUAAAAAGCUUGUGAGGCAUGUACCGGAUAUUCGGCUCAAUUUAAUCUCUGUUGGAAAGUUAGAUGAUGAGGGCUACAACAACAAUUUCAGUGAUGGAAAAUGGAAGCUCUCCAAAGGUUCUCUAGUGGUAGCAAAAGGAAAGAAGACUUGUUCUCUUUACACUGUGCAAGCAAAAAUCUGCAAGGGUGUUGUGAAUACCUUAGAGAAUGACUCAUCCACCGAUUUAUGGCAUAGAAGGCUUGGACAUAUGAGUGAGAAAGGAUUGCAAGUUUUAUCCAAGAAAGAGCUUCUAGCGAGGAUAAAAGGUACGCCUUUGAAAACAUGUGUUCAUUGUUUCCAUGGUAAACAAAAUAGAAUAUCAUUCCGUAGAAACAUUGCAUCUAGAAAAUCUCAUGUUCUAGAUUUGAUACAUUCUGAUGUAUGUGGUCCUUUGAAAGUUAGGACACUUGGUGGUGCUUUAUACUUUGUCACUUUUAUUGAUGAUCACUCGAGAAAAGUUUGGACUUAUACACUGAAAACUAAAGAUCAAGUUCUAGAUGUGUUUAAGCAUUUUCAGGCCAAGGUUGAAAGAGAAACUGGUAGACAGUUGAAAUGUGUCCGCUCGGAUAAUGGUGGUGAAUAUAUUGGACCAUUUGAUCAGUAUUGCAUUAAUCAUGGCAUCAGGCAUGAAAAGACAGUAAAAAAGACACCUCAACAGAACGGGGUUGCAGAGAGAAUGAAUCGCACCAUUCUUGAGAGAGUCAGAUGUUUGCUCUCACAUUCUAAAUUGCCAAGAUCUUUUUGGGGUGAGGCAAUGAGGACAGUAGUUGAUCUUAUCAAUUUAUCUCCUUGAGUUCCGUUGAAUGGUGAUGUGCCAGAGAAAGUUUGGACAAGGAAGGAAGUCUCCUAUGAUCACUUGAGGGUAUUCGGCUGCAGAGCUUUUGUUCAUAUUCCAAAAGAUGAGAGGUCCAAGCUUGAUCCAAAAGCAAAGCAGUGCAUAUUUAUUGGCUAUGGGCAUGAAGAAUUUGGCUACAGGUUGUAUGAUCCAGUUGAUAAGAAAGUUGUCAGAAGCCGAGAUGUUGUUUUCUUGGAAUAUCAUACUAUUGAAGACAUUGACAAGCUUGAGUCAGCUGAGUCUAGUACUAAUGAUCUUGUUGAUUUAGAUCCUCUUAAUCCACCUGUUAUUCAUGAUAUUGAUGAGGAAGUGCAGACACCUCAUGAUGAUGCAGCGGAAGAUGAUGUUGAGCCAGAGAUUGAGGGGGAACAGUCAGCCCAAGAGCCACUACCACAGACACCGUUGAGGAGAUCUACCAGAGAAAAACAGCCAUCCAGAAAAUAUUCUUCAAAUGAGUAUGUGAUGAUAUCAUAUCAGGGGGAGCUAGAGACUUAUCAAGAAGUCUUGAAGCAUGAGAACAAAACUGAAUGGCUCAAGGCAAUGAAAGAGGAAAUGAAGUCUUUGCAUGAGAAUCACACCUAUGAUUUGGUGAAGCCGCCUAAAGGGAAGAAAAUUUUGAAAAAUAAAUGGGUCUUCAGACGAAAGAAUGAUGGGAACAGUUCUCAACCGAGAUUCAAGGCACGACUUGUUGUGAAAGGUAUUGAUCAGAGGAAGGGAGUUGAUUUUGAUGAGAUCUUCUCACCAGUUGUGAAGAUGUCCUCCAUUCGAAUUGUGCUUGGUAUAGCUGCGAGUAUGAAUUUAGAAGUUGAGCAGCUUGAUGUGAAGACCGCAUUUUUGCAUGGUGACUUAGAAGAGGAAAUUUAUAUGGAGCAACCUGAGGGCUUCAUAGAUAAGGGUAAUGAUCAGUUAGUUUGCAAAUAGAAGAAGAGUUUGUAUGGAUUGAAGCAAGCACCGAGGCAGUGGUACAGAAAAUUCGAUUCUUUCAUGACUGAGCAUGGGUAUUCAAGAACCACUUCAGACCAUUGUGUGUUUGUGAAGAAAUAUCUAGAUGGUAAUUUUAUUAUUCUCUUGUUUUACGUUGAUGAUAUGCUUAUUGUGGGCCAAGACACGAGCAAGAUUAGCAAGUUGAAGUCAGAGUUGAGCAAGUCCUUUGCCAUGAAGGAUUUGGGUCCAGCAAAGCAAAUUCUUGGGAUAAGAAUUGUUCGCGACAGAUCACAUGGGCUGAUUUGGUUAUCUCAAGAGAAUUAUGUUAAAAAGGUUCUUGAGAGGUUCAAUAUGGACAAAACAAAGCCUGUUAAUUGUCCACUUGUAGGCCACUUCAAACUUAGCUCAAGUCAGUGUCCUACAAGUGAUGAAGAGAAAAAUGAGAUGCAGAAAAUUCCCUAUGCUUCAGCAAUUGGUUCUUUGAUGUAUGCCAUGGUUUGUACUCGACCGGAUAUUGCUCACGCAGUUGGGGUUGUUAGUCGAUUUCUGUCUAAUCCGGGAAAAGAACACUGGGCAGUAGUGAAAUGGAUUCUGAGGUAUCUUCAGGGCACUUCAAAGAUGAGUUUGUGUUUUGGUAAAGGCGAGCCUAUUCUUGAUGGGUUCAUAGAUUCUGAUAUGGGUGGUGAUGUUGAUAGUCGAAAAUCUACUUCUGGUUAUUUGAUUACUUUUGUAGGGGGGGCAGUGACAUGGCAAUCAAGAUUAUAGAAAUGUGUUGCUCUCUCCACCACAGAAGCUGAGUUCAUCGCCAUUACAGAAGCCUGCAAAGAAUUAUUAUGGUUGAAGAAAUUCUUACAAGAGUUGGGUUUGAAACAAGAAAGGUAUGUCCUUCAUUGUGAUAGUUAGAGUGCAAUCCACUUGAGUAAGAAUUCUUCAUUUCAUUCGAGGUCGAAACACAUUGAUGUUAGAUAUCAUUGGAUUCGUGAUGUCUUGAAUGAUAAGUUGUUGCAACUUGAAAAAGUUCACACUGAUGAUAACACUUCGGAUAUGUUGACUAAGGCAUUGACUAAGGACAAGCAUGAGAAGUGUCGACUAUUGGCGGGAAUGGUCGAUUCCUCCACAUAAGUCGGGAGGGGGAGAAUUGUUGGGUUUCCCUCCUUUGUGGGAUUCUUAAAUUUACUAAAUAUGGUUUUGCUAUUUUGGCCAACACCUUGGUUAGCACAUGACUCUUGGCAUAUUCAAGAUUGGUUUGAAGUCUUCAAGGAAAGAAAAAAAAAACUACAAGUCUUUUGUCUUUUCCUUUGGUUCAUCAUCUUGGUCGGCAAGAAGACUUUUGGGAUACCUUUUUGGUUCAAAACAAAAAUCAGCCUUCUUCUUCUCCAUUUUUUGGUGCUACACAAUCGGCAAGUUUGUUCUUCAAGUAGGUAACGUUUCUUCACUUGAUAUUUGGGGUUUCUUGCGGUUUGUUCUUGGAGAUUUGGUUUACUUUUGUGAGGUAUUUUCCUCUUGUGAUUUACACCUUGGUGUGUUUGUAAGGCUUAUGCCUUUUGGCCACUUUGUAAACUCUUUUGGUGAUAGUGGAAGAAACUGACCUCCCGGUCGUCGUGGACGUACCUCAAGUUAUUUGAGGGAACCACGUAAAUCUUGUGUGCUCAUUUAUUUUCUGUUAUUCUAUUUAUAUUGCUUCCAUUGAUUUACACUUGUGGGAAAGCCUAUUUUUUUUCAACAAAUUUGACCAACUAUCAUAAGGAAUUUCUUUCAAAAGAGAGAUAAGUAAUAAAUAUCUGUUAUUUAUUGGAAAAAAAAUAUUAUCAUACUAUUAAUGUGUUUAAUUUUUAUUUUUUUUUUAAAUAGAGAUUGUUAUAUCUUUUUGUAAAAAUAAGUUUCCUUAUAAAAUAAGAAAAAGUGGUAGAAGUAUUUCUAUAAAUAUUUUAUUAAGAGAAAAAACUAUAACAUGAAGAAAAACAUGUAAAGUUUAUAUUUAAAAGAUAGUGAUAUGGGAAAGAGUGGAAAACAUUCCUUGGAAUGACGACAUGUGAUUCAAAGUAAAAUCUCAUUUUUGUUUUCUAUAGUCCUUAUGACUUUUGGUUUUUCUAUUGAGUGCCAAUAAAUAAAAGAAAAAACCCUCCUUUUUUGAAAGUUCAUUUGAACAGUUGUUUGAAGAAAAAAUCUUUAUUAAUCCAAACCCUAUCAACUUAUAUAUGACCUAUUACAUGACUAUGAAGUUUUUUAAAGUAAUUUUAAAGACAACCAAAAAAAAAUUGAUAUGAUAAAUGAUUAAAACCACUUUAUAUUCUAAUAGUAUUUUCUAUCAUAUAACAUCUUAGUGAAAUGUUUCAUAACAAAAUGAAUUAUUCUAUGAAUAUGACUUUGGAUUCCAAAUUUUGAACUUUCUAAUGCCUUAACUUAGUGGUGAGUCUCAUAGAAAAUGAAAGUUAUGGAGAAGUAGAAUGUGGACGUACUUUUUGACUUAAUAAACUGAUGUUACAACACCUUCAAGUAAUUACCUUAAAAAUGAUAUGUCAUUGCAUUGAAAAUGAUAUUAAAUUUAAUGGAGAGAUAAUUUAUAAAAAUAUCACUAAUUUUUUAAAAAGAAUAAUGUGACCUUACUGUUGUGUUAGGUUGGAAAGAAAUUUAUGCUGGUGUUAAUUUAUUUAUUUAUUUUGCAUAUUGUAAGGUCUCAAACUCGUUUAGAAAUAUGAACAAUGAUGAAGAGUUAAAAAUUUAAAAACAUUAAAUGUAUGGUUAAAGGUAUGGUUAAAGCUAUGUUUAGAUAGUUGAAAUUGCAACCAAAAAAACAAGAAAAUGAAAGAAGUUCAAAUUUUAUUUGAUUAUCUUAAAAAUAUGAAAUAAAUUACAUAUAAUGAAAAUUGUUUAGAGUUUUAUAUACUUUUAAUAUUUACUCUUUACAAAAAAGAAAAAAAAGCAAGUCAAUUUUAAUGAACUUAUGGAAAAUAUUAAACUUAAGCUUAAUUUUUUAUUUUUCUUGAUUUUUCUUUCCUUCCAUAAUUUUCCUUCACAAUCUUUCCCACUUUAUUCAAACUUUCCAUGGUCUAUACUUUAUACAUGUUUUAUCUCCUUUUUAAUUAAAAAAAUUUAAAUUUUCCAAUUAAAAUUCCAAGAUAGGCUAAUAAAAACUUAAAAUUAAUAUUACAUUUUAAACAAACUAGAUUGAUUUGAUAGAUGAUUCAAAUCAAACCUAAAUUCAAACUUAACCCAUUCAAAUUUAGCCUCUAAUGUGAGGUAUUUGACCCAAACUUAGCUCAAACUCAUUUUUACCUACUAAAGUUAGGCUUAAAUUGACUCAUAGUACUUUUAGUUGAGUUGAUUAGGUUGUAUGAUCAUAACUAGGUUUGGUAAGGUUGAGUUAGUUUGAAACUAUUCAUAAUUUUUUUUCUUUUUUAUACUUCUUUUAUAUCAUAAUUUUAAAAAUUAAAUUGGAUAACUUUUCAACAUAAUAACAAAAAUAAAUCAAUUUAUGUAUCCGUCCAACAAAAAUGAAAUAAUACAAUUAAAAUUCAACAUUUUUCUUUAAAAACUAAAAAAAAUAAAAACACACACACAUACAAAAUAGGUAUCAUUAUAUAAAAUAAUAUAAAUUAUAAAUAUAUAAAAUUAGGUUUGGGCUAGCUUGGGUUGUCAAACCUUAGCCUAAGUAGUUUCACGAUUCUCUACUACUUGUAAAAGUUUUUGGUAAAUUUUAUUAAAAUUAAUAAAAAAGAAAAAAGAAAUAAAAUGUUUUUAAAAAAUAUAAAUGCAUAAUUAAAAUUAUGCUAAUGAAACAAAGGGAAGCAAACAAGAUCAAAAUUUUUCUCUCAAAAGGUGUAGUGUAAUGACUUCAAUUUUUAAGUUUUGAAGGUCAAUCUGCCUUCAAUUAUAGAGAUAAGAAGCUUGUAGAGAAUAAAAAAUAUAUAGCAAGUGGGUAUAUAUAGAUAUAAAAUAUAUAUAUAUAUAUAUAUUGUAUGCAUCCCACUUUUGUCACGAGCAAACCCACUAGUAAACCUUUAUCAUCUUAUUAUAUAACAAGUGGGUAUAACUAGAUAUAAUAAAAAUAGGUCCUUGUUUAUUAAAUUCAAAAGUUUAUGAUCAUCACUUAGCAUUUAACAAAGUGGUACAAAUGAAGGUAAAAAUAGUAGUAUAGUCAAUAUUUUCCUACAAAAAAAGUUACUUAAUUUAAAGAAUAUUAUAAUUGAUGUGUGAUUUUUAUUUUUAUUUUUAUCAAGAAGCGAUUUUAGAGAUAAGUUUUUAUCAAGAAACAAUCUUCAAUGUUAAUUUACCAUCAUUAUCUCUAAUAUUGUACCAUUGAAUGCAAUUGCAAAACAUCUAUGUAAUUGUUAGUAAAAAAAUUUUCAUGCUUAUUAUGCAAUAUUUGUUUUAAUUUUCAAGUUGCAAUUAUAUAGUCUAAAGGUUGAGGUUCUUAGAUAAUUAUUGUUUUGAUGAGAAGUCUAAUCAUGUUGUUGUUGCUCAUGUCACUUUAAUUAGACCAAGUUUAAUGAUACUUUAGACCAUAUUUAAGGAUCCUUUUCAAAUAUCUAUCUAACCUUUGGUAUGCAAUUUGAAAAGAGGAUGGAGAGAGGAUGGUUGUUCUCCAUAAUCCAUUAAUAAAUAAAUAAAAAUAAUUAUAUUUAGCAGGAAAAUGAAAAAUUAUUGAGAUCAUUAACAAGUAAUUUUGGUAAAACUUGAUAUUUAAUGAAGUAAGAUGACUUUAAGUUAAAUUAAUUGUAAUUAAGUCAUUAAGUCUUAGUUAUUAAGACGAUUUCUCAAAAUCAUUUUUAAAUUUAUUCUUAAAAUUAAGUCAUGAAAUUGAUUUAUCAUCACCCUCUAAAGUCUUUUCAAUUUUGUACAUUUUUAUGAUACAUAUUUAAUCAUGCAUAAACAAUAAAAAAAAGGUGUUACCUCAAAAUUUUUAAUUCAAACUCCUCCAAGAUUAUUCAUGACUAAAAUUCAUUAAUUAAUUUACAUUACAAGCUUUGAAAGAAACUUGUUUUAGAACAUAAAAUUGAUAGAGAUAGUACAUAUUUUAAACUUUUAAUUAAAAUAAAAAAAUCACAACAAAAUAAUUUGAUGGAUGUUUUAGUAUUCGAAAAUAUCAUAAGUCAUUUGGUCAUGAUUUUAGAAAAGUUAGAAAUGUUCUAUAAUGCUUAAAAACAUUUUUGUUACAAAAAUUAAGUAUUUGAUAAAGUUAAAAUUCAUUUUCUAGGUAAUUGGUGGUGCCUAUGAAAUAUUUUUUUUGGUUAUACAAAUUUAUUAGUGUGAGAUGAUAUGCAACAACUUUAAAGUAUAGCAAUUAUUGAAGUUUGGACCAACCAUAUAUGUUAAAGGUGCUUCACUCCACCUUCUCAUUUUGUAUAAUCUUGUACCCUAAAAGAUUUGAAAUGAGUCUUAUUUAUAAACAUUAUAAAUAAUGUUGUGGACCCCGUAUUUCAGCUCAUGCGUUUUCCACUCGAUAGCGAGCUCGAUUUUUGUUUAAAAAAAUGACUUGGAGUCGCCACUUAUUUUUGUUUUAUUUUUAAAAGGGUAAACAAAAUAAAAAAGAAAACUCUAAGUGUAACUCCUUAUUUUGGAAAAGGUGGUCUAUGGAAAACCGGAUCAGGCUUGGGGGUCAGGUACAUCAGGAAGGUACGGUAAAGAUCGUAGCCCCCCUCUAAGUCCCUAAAGUCGGGUCUCUACUAAUAAAAGGAAGCUGACGUGGCGAUCAAUAGGAAAAUCAACAUAUACUCAAAUCGAUCAUGCACACAUGAGAAUCAAAACAUGCAUAGAAAAUGACCAGAAUGGGAAUGGAUGCAUACCUGAGCCACGAACGAGCAAUGCGCUAUCAUAAAAAUGGGGUCAGUGUAUAAUAAAGAGCACAAAACUUAUCACAUGCGUCACCAAAUAGAAAUGAAAACUGUUCGAGGGAAAAUUGAAUUUUUGAAAAUUGGAGUUUUAGAGAUUAUUUGAAAAUUGGAGUUUUAGAUAUUGUUUGAAAAUUGGAUUUUUAGAAAUUAAAUAUAAGAAUGAGAAUUUUAGAAAUUAAAUUUGAAAGAAAUUGGAAUUUUGAAAAUUAUUUGAGAAUUUGAGAUUUUUUUUUUAGAAAUUAAAUUACGAAAAUUGAGACUUUAGAAAUUAAAUUUUGAAAGAAAUCAGAAUUGAAAGUUAUUUGAGAAAUAGAAACUAUGAAAAUUGAAUUAUAAAAAUUGGAAAUCUUGGAAAUCGUUCGAAGGCAGAAUUUUUAAAAAUAAAUGAAUAAAAUGAUAAUAAUAAUAAUGAUAAUAAUAAACAAGUAACGAAAUAAAUGCGAGAAUUGGAACAUUGGAAACUGAAAAAAAUUAAGUUCGGAAAUUGGAAAAUUGGAAUUUCAGAUAACUAAAUUUGGAAAUCGGAAUUUUGAAGAAUUAUUUAAAGACGAAAUUUUAAUAAACGAAUAAGUGAAUAAAUAAAUUAAUGGAAUAAUAAUAAUGACGAAAUAAUAAAGAUUAGGUAAAUAAUUGCGAAAAAUAAAAUUUUAGAUAUUGGAGAUUGAAUUUAGAGAUUGAAAAUUUUAAGAAAUUAUUUAGAGAUGAUAUUUUUAAUAAAUGAAUAAGUGAAGAAAUAAAUGAAUGGAAUAAUAAUAAUGACGAAAUAAUAAAAAUUAGAUAAAUAAUUGCGAAAAAUAGAAUUCUAGAGAUUGAAAUUUGAAUUUAGAGAUUGAAAAUUUGAGAAAUUAUUUAGAGAUGAGAUUUUAAAUAUAUGAAUAAGUGAAUAAAUAAAUGAACAAGAUAAUAAUAAUAACGAAGAUAAUCAUUUAAACAACUGAAUGUGAAUAGUGAGAUUUUUUAGAUUGGAAAUUAAAUUUGGAAAAUAGAAUUCUAAAAAAUUGAACUUUAAUUAUUGGAAUUUGUAAAAUAAAUAAAUGGAAUGAUAAUAAUAAUAAUUAAAAUAAUAUUUAAACGAAUGAACAUGAAUAGUAGAAUUUUUUAAAUUGAAGAUUAAAUUCGAAAGUCGGAUUUUUGAAUAAUUGAACUUUAAUGAUUUGAAUUUUUAAAAGAAAUAAAUAAAUAAAUAUAGAAUAAUAAUAAUAAUAACCAAAAUAAUGUUUAAACGAAUAAACAUGAAUAGUGGAAUUUUUAAGAUUGAAAAUUAAAUUUACAAAUCAGAUUUUUGAAGAAUUGAACUUUAAUGAUUAGAAUUUUUUUUUAAAAAAAAUAAAUAAAUAUAAAAUAAUAAUAAUAAUAACAAAAAUAAUGUUUAAACGAAUGAACGUGAAUAAUGGAAUUUUUUAGAUUGAAAAUUAAAUUCGAAAAUCAUAUUUUUUAAGAAUUGAACUUUAAUCAUUGGAAUUUUUAAAAGAAAUAAAUAACUAAAUAUGGAAUAAUAAUAAUGAUAAUAAAAAUAAUGUUUAACGAAUGAACGUGAAUAGUGAAAUUUUUUUGAGAAUAAAAAUUAAAUUCGAAAGUCAGAUUUUUGAAGAAUUGAACUUUAAUGAUUAGAAUUUUUAAAAUAAAUAAAUAAAAUAAUAAAAAUAAUAUUUAAACGAAUGAACGUGAAUAGUGGAAUUUUUUAUAUCGAAAAUUAAAUUCGAAAGUCAGAUUUUUGAAGAAUUGAACCUUAAUGAUUUGAAUUUUUUUAAAAUAAAUAAAUAAAUAAAUAUGGAAUAAUAAUAAUAAUAACAAAAAUAAUGUUUAAAUGAAUGAACGUGAAUAGUGGAAUUCUUGAGAUUGAAAAUUAAAUUCGAAAAUCAGAUUUUUGAAGAAUUAAACUUUAAUGAUUGAAAUUUUUAAAAGAAAUAAAUAAAUAGAAAAUAAUAAAAAUAAUGUUUAAACGAAUGAACAUGAAUAGUGGAAUUUUUUUAGAUUGAAAAUUAAACUCGAAAGUCAGAUUUUUGAAGAAUUGAACUUUAAUGAUUGGAUUUUUUUUAAAAGAAAUAAAUAAAUAAAUAUAGAAUAAUAAUAAUAACAACAGAAAUAAUAUUUAACGAAUGAACGUGAAUAGUGAAAUUUUUUAUAUUGAAAAUUAAAUUCGGAAGUCAAAUUUUUGAAGAAUUGAACUUUAAUGAUUGGAUUUUUUUUAAAAGAAAUAAAUAAAUAAAUAUGGAAUAAUAAUAAUAACAAAAAUAAUGUUUAACGAAUGAACGUGAAUAGUGAAAUUUUUUUUAAAUUGAAAAUUAAAUUCGGAAGUCAAAUUUUCGAAGAAUUGAACUUUAAUGAUUGGAAUUUUUAAAAAAAUAUAUAAGCAAAUAAAUAAAUAGAAUAAUAAUUAAAUAAAUAAACAUGAAUAUUGGAAUUUAAAAAUGUGAAUUUUAGACAGUUACAUGAUAACAGAAUUUUUUUACAAAAACUAUAUUUUUAACAUAUAAAGAAGAAGAAUCAAGAGGGCCAAACACUAGGCCAAUGGGGUCUACACCUAACAAGCAACGGACUAGGUCCAUAAAAACCAAAUAGCCUUCAGUAAAGCCCAAUCAUAGAGGGCCCAAAUGAACAUUACCAAUCAAGUUCAAGGUUCAUCAUUCAUCAUUGUGAGAAAUCAAAUGUGCCAAAGAGAGGCACACAGAAGGUUCAUUGAGUUCCAUUUCAUAAGAGUGUUUGUUCCACAUUCUAUCCCAGUCCACUAACAUGAUAAAACAACAGCAAAAACAAUAACGCAAGUCAACAAAUCUGAAUCUUCAAUCCUAAAAAAAAAACCAGACCCCUAAAAGGGGAACUAAAAUAAAGCCCCCGUUGAAAGCAGCUUGGUCCAUUCUCUGAAGACAAUAAACGAACAAACACAGAACUCAAAAUUUCAAGUUUGCUUAACGAACCUCUGUCUUCUCUCGCUGUGAUCUUCCCUUCUGGUCGUUCUCGUUCUCCUUCCUGUUAUGGAAUCUGCUUCAGCUCCAGGAAUCUUUUUUUUUUUUUCAGUUCCCUUCCCUCUCGUUUUCUGCAACCCUUCUCUUCUUGAAUCAGCCGACCCACAAUCCCUUCUCAAGAUACUCCAUUUUCAGUUCAGUUUCUCCAUAAAUAUCUCUCUAUUUCUUGCUUUCCUUUCGCUCCCCGAAAAAAAAUUCCUAUGCGCUCAACUCUCCAAAAAUUCCCUAGAACCCUCAAUCUCCGGAACUGAAAAUCUCCUCUGUUUUUCUUAUUCCUUCCUCAGCUGAAAAUCCCCCGGUCCCGAACCCAAAAAUCCUCCACCCAACUCUCCUUUUUUUUUUCUCAAUCUCCCCUUUUUCCCGCUACUUCUCGUCCUCUUCAGCCGCCCAAAUACUGCUCGCCCCGUCCCAUCUCAUGGCCGCCCAAAGCAGUCCAUUCUGUCAUCUCUGGCCGCCACCAACGGCUGACCCUCGGUGUGGUAAAAAGAGGGAAAAAAAAAAAAAAAAAAUUCUGUCUCCAAAGGGGUCUACAAAUGUAUUUAAAUAUUUGUUUGAUUCUUUAAAGAUAUUAUUUUUUAAUUAAUCAAAUAGGAAGAUUUGAAAAUUUAUAUUUUGAUAGUCUUAAUUAUUUUAAAUAUUAUUUUUUAAUUAAAAAUAAUAUUUAAAAAGAUUUAGAAGAUUAUAUUUAAAUUAUUUUUUUAUAGGACUUGAUAAUUACUUUUUUUUAGUUAUUGAAUUUAUCAAUUUUUGUUUUUUCUAACCAUUGAGUGUGUGACUCAUGUUUUAUAGAUUUUUUGUUUAAAUAUUAUUUAAAAAAAAAAAAGGGUAACCUACAAAAUAUUAAAGGUUCUACCAUAAAAUUGUCAACUAAAAUUUGUCUUUUCAAAAGAUGAGUUCAAUAUAAAAAAAUAAAUUUACAUUUUUCAUUGAACUCAUUUUUUAAGAGAUGAGCUUAAUAUAUAAAUACUAAACUCUUCUUUCCAAAAGAAAAGUUUGUUGAAAGAUACUAUACUUGUAUUUUCAUAAAACAAAUUUCAUGUAAAAAUGUUUAACUUGUUUUUUCAAAAGGCGAGGUUUAUAUGAAAAGAUAAAUCUUUUUUUUUUUCUUGAACUUAUUGUUCCUAAAAGGUGAGUUCAAUGUUGUUGUUGUUUUAAUUUAAUUUAAUUUUUUUUUACCCCACACUAUACAUGACAUUAUAGAUUUUAUUGACAAGAGAUAUAUACUAUGUGACAAUGUUCAACUUAUCAUAAUUAAAUUUAAAUAUUGAUAUUUAAUUUCUUAUUAGUUCCAUGAAUAAUUAACUUAGUUUGAAUAUACAAUGAUUUCAUUUGGAAUAACUUUCUUUUUUUCACUUUAGUGGGAAGCUGAAGUUAUAAUUUCUCAAUGAUAAUUUUGGGCAAUAUAAAAAUUUUAUUAAUCAUGAAAGAACUUAUAUUAGUCAAAAUAAAGCUUUCAUAAAAAGUAAAAAACAAACUUAGCUUCCGUAUCUUCAUUUUAAACCAUAAGCUCUCUGAAGAAAAUUUAUCAAAGAGAGAUAGAAGUCCUUGAGCUUAUGAAAGAGUUUUUGACUUCUCAAAAAUCAAUCCAAAUAGGAUUGAUAAAUUGUAGAUGGUUAUAAUAUAAUAUUGCACAAUAUAAAUGUUAUUUUCGCUUCUAUAUUUUCCAUGGAAUUAUUUAAUUAUUUGAAUAAAGAUUUUUCCUUCGUUAUUUUUUUGUGCCUUUAAAAAAUAAAAAAUUAUUUUAAAUCUUAGGCACGAUAAUGCUUAAGUAUUUAAUAAUUUUAAUUAGAUAAUUAAAUUUUAUUUUAUAUAUAAAAUAAUUAAUUAAAUUUUAUAUUAUAUUUUAUAUAUAUAUAAAUUUAAUUAAUAAUUCAAUAAUUAUAUUUAUUUAUGUUUAAAUCAAAUUAACAAUAAGUUCAAUGCAACUAGAAAAAGGUAGCAUAUAUUUAUUAUUUUAAAGUGGAUUUUGAUUUUAAAUUAUUGCAAGUGUAUUUACUUAACUAACCAAUUAGUUGAAGUUCACUCAGCUAAUCCUUCAAUUUAAUCUUGACGUUGACAAGAACCUUGCCGGCAAUAAUUAUAAAAAGAAAAAUGCAUCAAGCUAAAGCUAAUUUUAUUAAUUCGAGUUUAAUAAAUUUUAGGUGGGUGCCCUUACCUAAUCUUUAAAAUUAAUCUUCAAGUUGAUCAUAAGAACUAAGCCAACCAUAAUUAUAAAAACAAAAAAAACGACAAGCUAAUUCCAUCAAUUUUAUUCUCUCAAAUUUAAUAAAUUGUAAGUAAGUUCUCUUAUCUAAUGUUUUAAAUUAAUCUUGAUAUAGAUAAGAACCUUGCCAACCAUAAUUAUAAAGAGAGAGAAAUGACAAACUAAUUUAAUUGGCUAAUUUUAAAUAACUCAAGCUUAAUAAAUUGUAAGUAGGUUAAUCUCUUGCCUAACCUUUUAAAUUUAAUUUUGAGAUCAAUAAGAAUCAUAUAGGCCAUAAUUAUAAAAAGAGGAAGAACACAAGCUAAAGGAAUACAAUCACAAUCAAUUGUAUAUGAUGAUAGUGAUUACCUUUUAAAUCUUCACAAGGUUAGAUCUUGAACAUGAUAUGUAUUUACAUGUGGUAAUCAUAAUGAUGAUAUUAAACAAACAAUGGUAGUCAUUUUUUCAAAUCAUUAAAAAAUACAUAAUACAAUAUUAUAUAUAUAAUUGCACAUAUUAAAAGAAAAUAUAUUAAGGGUGAUAGAAGUAAGCAUAUAUCAUUCAAGUUCUUUUAUAUUCAUAAACUUCAAAAGAGUAGUAAGAUCAAUAUUCAAAAAGUAAAAUCAAAUUAUAAUUUAGUAAACUUAUUCACAAAAGCAUUGUCAACUUCAACUCUCAAGAAGCUUAUAGAUAAUAUUGGAAUGGGACAACUCAAAGAUCUUUACAUUGGGUUACUAUGAAUAUAAUCAUGUCAACAUGAGGGGAGCAGAUAAAUAAGGAUGUUUGUAACAUCCUAUGCCCCUAGGCUAGGGGCAACCUUAUCAAUUUCACAUAUCCAUAAAAAUAAUGAAAUCACAAUCACACACAAGACAAUCAAUUUUACGUGGAAAAAUCUCUUGCUAAUAUGGAGAUACAAAACUAUAGGGUCUAAGAUCUCUAAUCUAAUAAUCCACUAUAUUAGAUCAAAGUACAUAGAUUUAUCUGAUAGCUUUACCCUAAAAACUCACUCCUACCUAUAACUUGAUUCAUGUCUCAAUGCUCUAGUGAAUUCACCUCAGCCUUUAGGAAGAUGCAAGUCCUUGUAACAAACCAAAAUUCGAUUAGUGAAUUCUUUGUUGAGAGUUUGUGAAUGAUAGAGCAAGUUGGGGUUGAUUAUAUCAAAGCAUCCAACCCCAAAACAUAUUUAGGUAAAGUAUAUAUAAGCCUAAGAUCCUAGAUGGUUGGAAAUGAAAUUUUCUUAAAAAAUAAAAUAUCAAAUUUUCAAAAUUAAUUAAGAAAAGAAUUUUUGUUUAAAAAAUAAAAUAUCAACUUUCUAUAAAUUAAUUAAGAAAUUCUUAAAAAAAAUUCUCAAAAUUGCCAAAAUUUAAUUAAAAUAUUUUAACUCAAUUAAUUUUAAAAUUUCAUAUCCAACUCUACCUUAAUAUAAAAAUAACUUGCCUUUAAUAAAUAUUUUUACACUUACUUGUAACAAUAUGGUUAAAUGAGUAGUAACAUUUAAUCUUCAAUGGAGUAAAAAAAUUCCUAUACUAGAACAAAAAAGAUUUCUUACUGGAACUAAAAUCAAAUUGACAACAUCUAACAAUUAUUAUAGACUUCAAUAUAUUUUUAAAAUUAUUUUAUAAAUAUAUUCUAUUAAGUAAAAGAGCCCCAAUAAUUGCCACGUAUCCGAGCCAUCUCUUACCAAUAAUUGCAUACAAGGGCUCCGCUUGCAGACACCUAGCUAGCCUACACCCCAUGUUUUUUCCUUUUUUUAUUUCCCAUGAAAGAAAUGUAUAGAAUUAUGGUUUUAUUUUAUUCUAUGGCAUGUACCAAGAGAUGGAAAGAGAUUAUCAGGAAAUUGACUUUCCUUUAAUAUUAUAGAAAAUGUGAGAGCAAAAUUUUUUAUUUGGCAUGUCUCAAAUGGUAUCACAUGUUCACGCUCAAAUCUCAUUUGUUUACAUUAAAGUCUCAUUUAUUUGUCUUUUUAUUUCUUGAUCCAAAUUAUUUAUAUUUUUAUUCAAUAAUCUAAUUUUAUCACUUGAUGGCUUAGUAUUUUCCUUUUAUCUUUAGAGGCUACAAUAUUUUCAAUAACUCAACUUCCAUUUUCUAUUUCAUUGUCCUAUCUCAAGACCCAUUUCAAUGAUAUCUCUUUCUUUUGAAAAGAAAGUUAGUCAAUCAUUCAUCAAAUAAUUAUAAUUUUUUUAUAAUAGAUAAAAAUAUCAUUAAUAACACUUAAUUGCAAAAUAUUUUAAUAAGAAGUGAAAAGAUUAUAUCUAAUUUGUUUCUUUGUCUUAAAUUUAAAUAGAUCUUUAUUGAAUUUUAAAUAGAACUUAAACUCAUUAAGAUUAAAUUGUUUAUUUUUAUUAAUAUUUAAAUAUUCUUAAACAUUAAAUUACUUGUUCUUAUUAAUGUGUUAAUAUUGUUAUGUGUUAAACAAAUAUUUUUCUAUCCUUAAAAUAAUAAUUUGUAUCUUCUUAGUUUUUAUAAAAAGAUAAAUCUAAGGUUAUUAUAAUAUUUUUAUGUUAUACAUCUUUACGAAAGAAUUUUCAAAGUCUUGGACCUUUUUUGGAUCCUUGUCAUCUAUUUAUGCCUUCUUUGAUAAUUUUUUGGAGCAUUCAAAUAUAUGUAAAAUCCAGAUUAUUAAAUAAGAAUUUUGACCGUUCAAACAUAUAUAAAAUCUAGAUUAUUAAAUAAUGAUAAAAUAAAAAUACUUAGAACUCUUAUGGUACGUUUUAUAAAAAAUAAAAAAAAAGGAAAGAAUUUGAAUAUCUUAUGGUACGUUUAAAAGAAAAUAAAAAAUGUGGACAUUAAAGUGGAAUGUAAACACAAUUUUAAAGUAAAGUGAGAUGAUGUUAUAGCUCCUUAAUUAAUAUGGACAAAUUUUAUGGUGUAAAAAUUAGAACGACACAAUGGUGGUGGGCCUCCCACCAAAAACUAAAAAAUGUCAAAUUAAGCAUAUGAUCUGCUUGGAAGUGGAGCACUUAACCUAAAUUAUUUGUUUACAUCUUUGUAAGUUUCUCCCAUAUAUUUGUAACUUAUUUCUAUAUAUUAUUGAAGGAAAAGAUUUUGGAUCAUGCAUGUAAUCGUUAGAGAGGGUUUCCAAUCAAGAUUUAAAUUUGGUUGUUGCAUCCUUAAUGUAAGAAGUUUAAAAAACCUGGAACUAAUCUAGUUCAUUGGAUCUUAACAAUAUAUAUAUAUAUAUAUAAGAUUUUAAAAUUGUUUAGAUAAGUAUAAUAAUUUGUAAAUAAGAGUUAAGUGUAUAAAAAAACAAAUGAGCAACUACUUUGAUUACUUUAAUACAAAUUUUCCACGCAAUGACUUGUAACUUCAAGAUAAUUAAUUGAAGUUGUUGUAACAUCACAUCAAAUCUUAAUAAUUGUGUUUAUAUUUUACUUUAAUUUUCAUUUUCAUUUGGACCCAUAACUAGCAAGGAUGAAAAUUUUCAUAUAUAUCGGCAAAAUAUCUCGGAUAUAUCGUGUAUCAGGAGUGCCAAUAUAAAUUUUCACUGGCCCAAUUUUUCCAUUUUUAUUGUCGAUUCACCAAUAUAUCAAGUUGCUGCUACUAGGCCUCGGUCAAACACGGUAAAAAAUCAAGCUGUUGUUGAGGGGAUUUGAACCUGACAAUAACCGCUAGAGCAAGUUGCUCUUUGAUAAAAGUUAUACACCAAAUUGUAUAUAUAAGAACAUUAAAAAUUAUUUUAUUAAAUAAAUUAAUUUUAAUUAUUUUAUUUUUGCAUUUGAUUUAAUUUAUUACCAAAAAUGUAAAAACAUAAUUUUUUAUAUUUUUUAUGUAAUCUAUAUAUUUAUCAAAUAUAAAAAAUAUAAAUAUUAAAAAAAUUAUACAUAUUUUAUUAUUUAUUUGAUAUAAUUGAAUACAUUUAAAUUAAAAUUGAUCCUAAUUUUAAUAUUUUAAAAUUAAACAUAUUAUCAUAUUAUUGUUGUAAAAGAAUGUUGUGCAACUUAAUAAUAAAUGUAUGGUUAUAAAAUAUAUUUUUUUAUUGAUGCAUACAAUAUUAUUAUCAAAUAUGAUAAAUUAUAUAUAUAAAAAAUUUUUGAACAAAAUAAAUUUAAAAUGUCUAUUAUACUUUCAAAUUCAUUUUUAUGAAGUUUUUCUUAUAUUUUUAGGAGUUUUGAUAAUUUUAAGUCUAUUAAUAUUUUUUUCUAAAAUGUCUAUCGAUAUAUCUCUAAUAUAUCUAUAAAAUCAAUAUAUUAAUAUAUCCGUUAUUACCGAUAUUUUCAUAAUUCAUCAGUAGCAAGUUCGAAUUGACUCAAACAUUAGGAUCCAAAAGUCACCAUAGAGACAUUGCAUUGACACAACCUAGAGAAGCUUCCAAGUGGACUGCACAUGCUAACAUGUCUUGGAGGGUUGAAAAUCAAUGGUUGUCCAAAGUUGGUGUCAUUUCCAGAGUUAGGGUUCCUGCCCAUGCUUAGACAUCUUGUUAUUGUUAGUUGUGAAGGUCUACAAUGUCUAUCCAAUUAGAUGAUGGUGAUGAAGGAUGGUAGUAUUAACAGUAGCAACAUGCGUCUCUUUGAAUACUUGGAGAUAGAUACGUGCCCAUCUCUCAUUGCUUUUCCAGACGUUGAGUUACCCACCACGCUUAAGGAACUCAAGCUAUGGAGGUGUGAAAAACUGGAGUCUCUACCGAGGGGAUGAUGCACCAUGAUUCAAACACCACCACCACCACCAGUGAUGGUCUUCAUGUCUUGGUCAUUGGGGUAUGCCCAUCUCUCACAUUCCUCCCCACAGACAAGUUUCCCUCCACCAUCAAGAAACUUUAUAUUAUGAAUUGUACACAACUGGAGUCAAUUUCAGAAAAGAUAUUAUUACAAGGAAAAAUGGAGAGAAAAAUUGGCAGAUUCUCUUUUCAUUGAUUGAAAAAAUGAGCUGUAUAGAGAGCACCAAAACAGAGUAGCAAAAAUGUCUUUUAUAAUAGAAGUCACGCAUAAGGAGUUGUAGAGCUCUGUAGAGAAAAAACAACCUAACCAACUAUUGGUUAUAACAGAAAAAAUAAAAUAAAAAUAAAAAACUAAAACUAAUAUGCUAAAAUUCUCCCUCAAGAUGGAGAAUAUAGAUCAUGAAUUCCCAUCUUGCCCAAGAGACCAUGAAAUUGAUUGGGAUGGAAAGCCUUAGUAAGAAUGUCAGCAAGUUGGUUUUGUGAGGUAACAUGUAGAGUCUUGAGAAUCAUAGCUUGAAUCUUCUCUCAAAUGAUAUGACAAUCAAUCUCAAUAUGUUUGGUGCGCUCAUGGUAGACUGAGUUUGUUGCAAUGUGGAUAGCAGCUUGGUUGUCACAAUAAAGAACAGUUAGCCCAUGAUGGGCUAUCUUCAAGUCGUGAAGAAGAGACAAGAGCCACAGAAUCUCACAAGUAGUGUUGGCCAUGGAUUGGUACUCGGCUUCAACAGAUGAGCGAGAGACAAUCGGUUGUUUCUUGGACUUCCAAGAGAUGAGGGAGGUCCUAAGAAACACACAAAAACCAGAAAUAGAACGAUGAGUGUCAAGACAAAAGGCCCAAUCAGAAUCUGCGAAGGCUUUGAGUUGCACUUUGGAAUUUGAUGAAAAGAAAAGUCCUUGGUCUAGGGUUCGCUUGAUGUACUGUAAAAUGUGAAAAACAACCUGAAGAUGUGGCUUGCAAGGGGCUGCUAAGAAUUGGCUAAGACGAUUUAUAGAAUAACUAAGGUCAGGACGAGUAAUAGUAAGAUAUAGCAGCUUACCAAUGAGUUACCUAUAGUUGGUAGGAUUUUCAAUCAAGUCACCAUCAUCUUGAGAUAGUUUCAAAUUAGGAUCCAUGGGAAUGGUGGUAGGUUUGCAACCCAAAUGUUCAGUGUCUGAGAGCAAUUCCAACGCAUACUUGCAUUGACAAAUAGAGAUACCAACAAUAGAUCGAGCCACUUCCAAGCCUAGAAAAUAUCUGAGUGGCCCCAAGUUCUUCAUCUUAAACUUGUAGUUGAGGCGAUGCUUUAAAGUAUCCACAAUAAGUUGAUCAUUACUAGCAAUAAUGAUGUCAUCAACAUAGAUCAAAAGAGCUAAGAAAGAAGUACCUUGAUGUUUUGUGAACAAGGUGUGAUCACUAGUUGAUUGAACAAAACCUUCUGAUAAGAGAGCAUUGGAGAACUUGUGGAACCAUUGAUAGGAGACCUGUUUCAAACCAUAGAUAGACUUAUGCAGCCUGCACACAGCAUUAGGAGGCAAAUGUUCCCCCUCAUGGCAAGUGUAUCCAGGGGGAAGACUCAUGUAAACUUCCUCCAUAAGGUCACCAUGAAGGAAUGCAUUAGUGACAUCAAGUUAAGUGAGAGACCAACAAUGAAUUGCAGCUAAAGAAAACAACAUUUUAACAGUAACUAGCUUGGCAACAGGAGAUAAGGUAUCAAGAUAAUCAAUACCUUCUUGUUGUGCAAAUCCCUUAGACACAAGGCGUGCUUUGUAUCUAUCCACAGUGCCAUCAGCUCGAAACUUGACUUUGUACACCCAUUUACAACCAACCACUUGUUUGCUAAUGGGAAGAGAGCAAAUGGACCAAGUGUCAUUGCUUUCCAAUGCCUGCAAUUCAAUAUUCAUAGCAUCGCGCCACACUUGAGACUCAAUGGCCUGAGAGAAUGAUGUUUGGUUUUGUUUGAGAACUAAUGGUGAGAGCAAGUUCAUGGUAUGGCCUGGAAAGCUUGUGGUAACUCAAGCAAGAGGAAAUAGGAUAUAGAGAAGGCUUAGAAGAAACAUGUCCAAUGAGGUAAUAGUGAUAAUUAGACAAGUAAGUUGGUUUUGUGGUGACACGAUGUGGACAUAAGGCUGUUUGAAUUGGGGCUAGUGAGGAAAUGCACUCUGGACUAUGGGAAGAAGACAUGUUGGGCUGACUAUAAAAAGGCUCGGAGAUGGACUGAAUUGGCUUAGAAAAGACACGAUCAUUAAACAAAUCAAUUCAUGAAAAAUGACAUUCCAAGAAAUGUAGAUCUUAUUGCUUUCUAAGUCAAGUAACUUGUAACCCUUAUAACCAAAAGGAUAGCCAAGAAAAACAGAAGCUCGAGCACGAGGGACAAACUUUGUACGUUGGUUAGAAAGCGUGGAAGCAUAACAUAGACACCCAAAAAUGCGAAGAUGGUUGUAGGUGGGUUUGUUGUUAUUCAACAACUCAAAUGGGGUUUUAUUGGAUAGUAAUGGAGAGGGUGUACGAUUGAUUAAAUAAACAACAGUCAAAACACAAUCACCCUAAUAACAAGAAGGAACACAAGAUUGAAACAAUAAGGCUUGUGCCACAUUAAGUAUGUGUUGAUGUUUACGCUCUACAACUGAGUUUUGUUCAGGUGUAGCAACACAAGAAUGAUAAGGAAUAAUACCCUUGGUACGAAAAAAAAAUAAUGGAAAGCUAAUUUAGGGGCAUUAUCGAAAUGGACAUAUUUAAUUGCAGUGUUAUAUUGAGUAGAAAUCAAAUUGAAAAAUUUAGGAAAGAUAGUGAGAACAUCAGUUUUAGCACAAAGAAGAUAUACCCAAGUAGCACGUGUGCAGUCAUCAACAAUAGUGAGGAAAUAUAUGUGUCCAACUAGUGUACUAACAUUAAAUGGUCCCCAAAUGUCAAUGUGAACUAUAUCAAAAGGAUUAGUUGACAUAUUAUUAUGUGAAACAAAAGGUAAACGUUUUUGCUUGGCCAUAAGACAAAUUUUACAGUGAGAAGACAAACGGGAUAAAUAAUUGGCAAUGUGUAAUUCAUUGUGAAGAAUUUGAAUUUUUACAUGAGAUGGAUGUCCAAGGCGAAAAUGCCAAAAUAUCACUUUUCGACAUUACAGAAUUUAUAAAAAUAGAAUUACAAAAUUCAUUCCCUGAUUCUAGAAAAUAAAGGUUCUUUCGUCUUCUACCUUUCCCAAUCGUCAAGCCCCGAGUGAGGUCCUGAAUGAAACAUGAAUUUGAAAGGAAAUUAACACUACAAUUAUGGCUAAGAGUAAGAGCACUAAUGCUGAGAAGAUUGAAAGUGAACAUGGGGACAAACAAGACAUUAUCCAAGUUCAAAGUAUCAGACAACCUCACAGAACCUACACGAUUGAUUGCAACAGCAUGACCAUUAGGAAGAGUGAUUGUGGUAUUAUGAACCAGUCUGGAAUGAGAAAACAAAGAAAUAUUGCAACAGACAUGGUGGGUGGCCUCUGUGUCAAUCACCCAAGCAUGGGAAGGAACAAAAGGAUGAGAAAAAAACUGAGUAGAACAAUUGUUACCAUAGAUUUGAGAAAUUGAAGGUUCUGAUGUCGAUGGAGACUCAAGUGGGUUGAUAGUUUGUUGUUGAAGGUGCGUGCUAAGGUAGGCAAUGAGUUGUUGAACUUGAUCCGAUGAGAGAUAGACUGGUGGUGGGGAAGAUCCCACUGUAGCAACAGCAGCGGAAGGGAAAUAAUGAAUGCCCUUCAAUGGUUCAGUAAAGGAGCUUGGUGAAGUAGAUUGGGAUUGAAGGGGGCUUGUCUAGGCCAUUUAUGUUUGGGCUUUCCCUUUGGGCUUAUAACCUGGUGGAAAACUGAUUACUACUCAAAAAGUGCUCUUUGAUAGCUUGUAAUAAACUCUUUUAAACACUUUUGAGUAGUAUUUAUUGCCUUUUAACCCAAUUAACAUGUUAAGGACCCUUUAAAUCAAUUCUAAUCAAAUUGUGUUAAGUUUUAGUGUUUUGAUAGCCUUUUGAUCACCAAAGCAAUCCGAGAUUGAGGAGAGUUAUAUGGAAUCUUGGGCAAAGCAAUUGGAAGCUCAGAAACAUGAAGAACUAAAGCUUGGAAGUCCUUUGCCAUGAGUAAAUCAAGAAUGCAAGGAGAAGAAGUAAAGAGAAUCUGCCAUGAAGCAUAUUCUUGAUGACAGUCGUGUUAGCCACUUUUGGAGCACUUUUUGAAGUCCAAUUGAUGCAUGCUAUAUACCAUUUCAAAUCUCAGGAAGUCAACAAUCCAAUACUUCAAACGGUAUGCAAUUCGGAGUUGAAACGAAGAAGUUACAGCCACUACAAGUCAAUCACUCUAAGCUGAAGGAAGCAUUUUGCAAAGUGUUGCGAAAUCACCCUUUUGUUGCGAAAUGAUUUUGCAGCUUUUUUGUACAGUGUUGUGGAUUUCCACCUGAAGUUUCCCGAUAUAUGCCGCACGUUGGAAGGUGAGAACCUCAAGAUGAAAGCCAACUUCGCAGCCCUGCGAGAAUAGCCUUUUGCUGCGAAAUGAUUUCGCAGCCCUUUUUGUAUGUCUGUGAAAUCUCGCAGACAUCAUUUUCUCUUGCGAAAUGGUCCUUAGUGCUUCCCGAUAUUUGCUACCGACAUUGGGAGAUAUUUUCCAUUAGAUUUUUGUUGUCUAAAUCCCAAAAUUCUCCUUGUAAGCCACCAAUUACAAGAUUCCUUAGCUUUUAAGUUAGUAAAAAGAAUAAAUAUCCAUGUAAUAAUUAGUUUUGUAUUAUGUUCAUAUAUAUACUCCUCGAGAGCCUGUUCUCGAAGGAGGAGACUGUUUGUAAAUUUUUGGGGAAAGCAAGUAAAGUUCAGGUCCUUUGUUUAGCCUUACCUUCCCACUUUGUAUUUUUUAUUUCUUACUAAGUUAUGCACUCUCUGAGGAAUUUUCCCUAGAGAAUGAGUAACUAAACCUUUAGUUCCUUGGAGCUAAGGUUGCCGAGGAAGGUUCCAAGUGCAAGAAUGCAAAGCUUUGUGGUUUCAGCCAUUAAUGAAGAGGAAGUGAAAUCCUUUAGUGAUUUCUAUGUUUUUAGUUAACUUAAAACACCUUAGAGUCACCUGGGCCAACACUUGGUAAGGCAAGUGAUCUCCAACCAAGGAGAUGCACUAGUUUACCCCUUGCGAGCCUCUGGGAGGUGACUUUAAGGUAGGAUUUUCUGGAAUUGCCAACACUUGGUAAGCUUUUGGACUCCAAGGAGACAUCCAUUAGUUAUCUCUUGCGAGCUUGAGAAGGGAAAUCCAAGGUUAAAGAUCACCUUGAAUGGUUAAGGCUUAGUGAGAGGCUUGAACUAUUGCAAGUUGCAUCAGUGAGAGAAUUAAAGUUGAAAUCUAAUUAAAGGAUGUAUCUGUAUAACACCGGUUAGAGAAUUGACUAUAUGUUGAAUCUCUAACGCGAGGAAAUGAACCAUCUGACCGGAGCUAUGUCUUUUGCAUGAGGAACCACCUCAGUGAACCUGACCCUCCAAGGAAUGUUUUUCUUCCUAAGUUAUUCCCAUUACUUGUUUUGUAGUUAGUUUAAAUCUAAAUCUUUACCAAUUAAAGUUUGUGUUUUAUUUCUUAAGCUAACCUUGAAAUGAAACAAGACCAAUUCACUUUGAAUUGGUAUCAUUGAUAAUUUGCUAAUCCUUCCCAGUGAACGAUCCUAGAGCUGCUAUACUAUAGUAGCUUUUUCUUUGCUACCCUAGUAUAUGGUGUAAUAGGUUAAAAAUAUUGUUGAUUACUCCCUCAUCCAAGGAGCACCAACUGGACACGAAUCAUCUGAGACACCAAUUGGGCAUGAAUCAAAUGGCGCCGUUGCCGGGGAAGGUGUCAAGUCUAUAGUGAUACCAUUUUAGAGCACUUGUGAUUUUUUAUCACAAGUUUGGUAACGUUUCUUUCACUUUACUAAUUCUCAUUCUUUAUUUAUUUAUUCAUAAUCUAAGUUUAUCUUUUAAAUUUAGCCUAGUUUAAUUUUUUUGUAGCCCUGUUUUCUUUUGUUGUCCUUUAUUUUCAUUUAAGUUGCAGAUAGAUACUAGUUGUGUAUGCCAAAGUGGAUACGAGACAGUGGAGGAAGGCUUGUUAAGUGUGAUACAUCUCAUAACAAAGAAUUCGAAUUGAGCUUGAAUAUCAUGGAAGCUACACCUGAAGAUCAGCAUAGUCACCAAGGUCGUCAAGACAAUCUCAAUGAAUUCAGAUCAAUGAGGGACCGCAUGCAUCCACCUCGUAUGAGUGCACCAUCAUGUAUAGUGCCCCCUACAGAGCAGCUAGUGAUCAGACCGUAUCUUGUUCCACUUCUACCAACUUUCCAUGGGAUGGAAAGUGAGAAUCCCUAUGGACACAUCAAGGAAUUUGAAGAUGUUUGUAAUACAUUCCAAGAGGGGGGAGCUUCAAUUGAUUUGAUGAGGCUUAAGUUAUUUCCUUUUACUUUAAAGGAUAAGGCCAAAAUUUGGCUUAAUUCUUUAAGGCCAAGGAGUAUCCGCACUUGGAUUGACUUACAAGCUGAAUUCCUCAAGAAAUUUUUUCCCACUCAUAGAACAAAUGGCUUGAAAAGGCAAAUUUCGAACUUCUCAGCUAAAGAGAAUGAGAAAUUCUAUGAGUGUUGGGAAAGGUAUAUGGAAGCUAUAAAUGCUAGCCCUCACCAUGGCUUUGAUACUUGGCUAUUGGUGAGCUAUUUUUAUGAUGGGAUGUCUUUCUCAAUGAAGCAACUCCUCGAGACAAUGUGUGGAGGAGAUUUCAUGAGCAAAAAUCCGGAGGAAGCCAUGGAUUUCUUGAGCUAUGUAGCUGAAGUUUCAAGGGGAUGGGAUGAACCAACCAAAGGAGAAGUGGGUAAGAUGAAUUCUCAACUGAGUGCUUUCAAUGCUAAGGCUGGGAUGUAUACCCUGAAAGAAGAUGAUGAUAUGAAAGCAAAGUUGGCAGCUAUGACAAGAAGAUUGGAGGAGCUGGAGCUGAAAAGAAUACAUGAAGUGCAAGCUGUUGCUGAAGCACCAGUGCAAGUGAAGCUGUGUCCUAAUUGUCAAUCAUAUGAACAUUUGGUGGAGGAAUGCCCUGCAAUUUCAGCUGAAAGGGAAAUGUUUAGAGAUCAAGCAAAUGUUGUUGGACAAUUCAAGCCCAAUAACAAUGCACCUUAUGGAAAUACUUACAACUCAAGUUGGAGGAAUCAUCCAAAUUUCUCAUAGAAGGCCAGAGCAACUCAAUACCAACAGCCGGAUCCACCAUCUCAACAAUCUUCAAGUCUUGAACAAGCAAUAGCGAAUCUCAACAAGGUAGUGGGAGAUUUUGUUGGAAACCAAGAAGCCACCAAUGCUCAAAUCAAUCAAAGAAUUGACAGAGUGGAGAGUACUUUGAAUAAAAGGAUGGAUGGAAUGCAAAAUGAUAUAUCCCAAAAGUUUGAUAAUAUCCAAUACUCAAUUUCAAGGCUCACAAAUUUGAACACAGUGCAAGAAAAUGGAAGAUUUCCUUCUCAACCCCACCAAAACCCCAAAGGUGUCCAUGAAGUGGAAAGCCAAGAGGGAGAAUCAUCACAGAUGAAAGAUGUCAAAGCCUUGAUCACUCUAAGGAGUGGUAAAAAAAUUGAGAAGCCAACACCCAAGCCACAUGUUGAGAAAGAAGAAGAGAUAAAGAAAGGGGAAGAAAUGGAAGACAAAGAGAGUGAGAUCAGUGGAAAGAAGAAAGACUAUGAUUCAACAAUGAAUGAAAUUCCAGAGAAGGAACUUCUGAAGGAAGAAAUGCUGAAGAAAUCAACUUCUCCACCUUUUCCUCAAGCAUUACAUGAGAAAAAGGGGAUUAGAAAUGCAGCUGAAAUCCUUGAAGUAUUGAGACAAGUGAAAGUCAAUAUCCCACUGCUGGAUAUGAUUAAACAAGUUCCAACGUAUGCAAAAUUCCUAAACGACUUAUGUACUAUCAAAAGAGGGUUGACUGUAAACAAGAAAGCCUUCUUGACUAAGCAAGUAAGUGCAAUCCUACAAUGUAAGUCUCCAUUGAAGUACAAAGAUCCGGGAAGUCCUACCAUUUCAGUCAUGAUUGGAGGAAAGGUAGUGGAGAAAGCUUUGUUAGACUUGGGAGCAAGUGUGAAUUUGCUUCCAUAUUCCAUCUACAAGCAAUUGGGACUUGGAGAGUUGAAGCCAACGGCAAUCACUCUAUCUCUAGCAGAUAGAUCAGUAAAAAUUCCAAGGGGGGUAAUUGAGGCUGUCUUGGUUCAAGUGGAUAAUUUCUACUAUCCAGUAGAUUUUAUUGUUCUUGAUACAGAUCCUACUGUAAAGGAAGCUAAUUUAGUUCCUAUCAUCCUUGGAAGGCCAUUUCUUGCUACCUCAAAUGCAAUCAUCAACUGCAGGAAUGGGCUGAUGCAACUCACUUUUGGCAACAUGACACUUGAUCUCAAUAUUUUUUAUAUGUCUAAAAAGCAAACCACUCCGGAAGAAGAAGAGGGUUCAGAAGAGCUGUGCAUUAUUGACACUUUAGUGGAGGAGCACUGUAAUCAGAAUAUCCAAGACAAGUUGAAUGAAAGUCUUGGGGAUUUUAAGGAAGGGUUGUCUGAAUCCCCUAAUGUGCUUGCUACUCUACAAAGUUGGAGAAAGGUAGAAGAGAUUCUACCUUUGUUCAAUAAAGAAGAAGAGGCAGCUGCUGAAAAAGAAAUUCCAAAACUCAAUCUGAAGCCUCUACCUGUGGAGCUGAAAUAUAUAUAUCUUGAGGAAAAUAAUCAAUGUCCUGUUGUAAUAUCUUCAUCUCUGACCAGUCAUCAAGAGAAUUGUUUAAUAGAAGUUCUCAAGAGGUGUAAGAAGGCAAUAGGAUGACAAAUAUCUUACUUGAAAGGCAUUAGUCCUUUAGUUUGUACUCAUCAUAUAUAUAUGGAGGAGGAAGCAAAGCCAAUUCGUCAACUUCAAAGGAGAUUGAAUCCUCAUUUACAAGAGGUGGUGCGAGCUGAGGUGCUGAAGCUACUUCAAGCAUGCAUUAUUUACCCUAUAUUUGAUAGCCCUUGGGUGAGUCCUACUCAAGUGGUACCAAAGAAGUCAGGGAUUACAGUGGUUCAGAAUGAAAAAGGAGAAGAAAUUACUACACGCCUCACUUCAGGUUGGAGGGUGUGUAUUGAUUAUAGAAAGUUGAAUGCUGUAACCAGGAAAGGUCAUUUUCCAUUGCCAUUUAUUGACCAAGUGCUGGAGAGAGUCUCUGGACAUCCGUUCUAUUGCUUCUUAAACGGGUAUUCAGGGUAUUUUCAGAUUGAAAUUGAUGUGGCAGAUCAGGAAAAUACUACUUUUACAUGUCCAUUUGGAACAUAUGCUUACAGGAGAAUGCCUUUUGGUUUAUGCAAUGCACCUGCUACAUUUCAAAGAUGUAUGUUGAGUAUUUUCAGUGAUAUGGUGGAGCGAAUUAUAGAGGUUUUCAUGGAUGACAUCAUCGUAUAUGGAGGUACAUUUGAGGAAUGCUUAGUCAAUUUGGAAGCAGUUCUUCACAGAUGCAUUGAAAAAGACCUGGUGCUCAACUGGGAAAAAUGCCAUUUUAUGGUACGUCAAGGAAUUGUCCUUGGCCAUAUCAUCUCUGAAAAAGGCAUUGAAGUUGAUAAAGCAAAGGUGGAGCUUAUUGUCAAAUUACCAUCCCCAACAACUGUAAAAGGAGUAAGGCAGUUCCUUGGCCAUGCAGGGUUCUAUAGGAGGUUUAUAAAAGGUUUUUCAAGUCUUUCAAAACCUCUUUGUGAGCUGUUAGCUAAGGAUGCUAAGUUUAUAUGGGAUUAAAGAUGUCAAAAUAGCUUUGAUCAACUGAAGAAAUUUUUAACAACAACUCCAAUAUUGAGAGCCCCUAACUGGCAACUAAUUUUUGAACUGAUGUGUGAUGCCAGUGACUUUGCUAUAGGAGUUGUACUUGGCCAAAGAGAAGAUGGGAAGCCCUAUGUGAUUUACUAUGCGAGCAAAACACUGAAUGAAGCUCAAAGGAACUACACAACUACAGAGAAAGAAUUGUUAGCUGUGGUAUUUGCCUUGGACAAAUUUCGUGCUUAUUUAGUGGGGUCUUUCAUCAUUGUUUUCACUGACCAUUCAGCCUUGAAGUAUUUAUUGACAAAGCAAGAUGCAAAAUCAAGGUUGAUUAGAUGGAUUCUUUUGUUACAAGAAUUCGAUCUCCAAAUCAAAGAUAAGAAAGGAGUGGAAAAUGUGGUAGCUGACCACCUUUCAAGGUUAGUUAUAGCACAUAAUUCCCAUUCCUUACCUAUUAAUGAUGAUUUUCCUGAAAAAUCACUCAUGUUCCUAGUGAAAACUCCUUGGUAUGCUCAUAUUGCUAAUUAUUUAGUAACUGGUGAAAUUCCAAGUGAGUGGAAUGCACAGGACAGGAAGCACUUCUUUGCAAAAAUUCAUGCUUAUUAUUGGGAAGAGCCCUUUCUUUUUAAGUAUUGUGCAGAUCAGAUCAUAAGGAAGUGUGUCCUUGAAGAUGAGCAGCAAGGGAUUCUAAACCAUUGUCAUGAGAAUGCAUGUGGAGGCCACUUUGCCUCUCAGAAAACAGCCAUGAAGGUGUUGCAAUCAGGGUUUACUUGGCCAUCUCUUUUCAAAGAUGCCCACAUCAUGUGUAGGAGUUGUGAUAGAUGUCAAAGGCUUGGAAAUCUAACAAAAAGAAAUCAAAUGCCUAUGAACCCCAUUCUAAUAGUUGAGCUAUUUGAUGUAUGGGGCAUUGACUUCAUGGGGCCUUUCCCAAUGUCUUUUGGUAAUUCUUACAUCUUGGUGGGGGUGGAUUAUGUUUCUAAAUGGGUUGAGGCAAUCCCCUGUAAACAAAAUGAUCACAGGGUGGUUCUCAAGUUUCUUAAAGAGAACAUUUUCUCGAGGUUUGGGGUGCCCAAAGCCAUAAUCAGUGAUGGAGGUGCUCAUUUUUGCAACAAACCUUUUGAAGCUCUAUUAUCCAAGUAUGGAGUGAAGCAUAAGGUUGCUACACCUUAUCAUCCUCAGACUUCCGGGCAAGUUGAGCUAGCUAAUAGGGAAAUAAAGAACAUAUUGAUGAAAGUGGUGAAUUCAAGCAGAAAAGAUUGGUCUAUUAGGCUUCAUGAUUCAUUGUGGGCGUAUAGAACAGCUUAUAAGACUAUUCUUGGCAUGUCUCCCUAUCGUUUUGUAUAUGGCAAAGCAUGCCAUCUCCCUGUGGAGGUUGAAUACAAAGCUUGGUGGGCAAUUAAGAAGCUGAACAUGGACUUGAUCAGAGCCGGAGCAAAGAGAUAUCUAGACCUUAAUGAGAUGGAGGAAUUAAGAAAUGAUGCUUAUAUCAAUUCCAAAGUUGCAAAACAGAGGAUGAAGAAGUGGCAUGAUCAACUAAUCUCCAACAAGGAAUUUCAAAAAGGACAAAGGGUUUUACUGUAUGACACAAGACUCCAUAUCUUUCCUGGAAAGCUCAAGUCACGGUGGAUAGGCCCGUUCAUUAUUCACCAAGUAUAUGCCAAUGGAGUGGUGGAAUUAUUGAAUUCCAAUGGCAAAGACACCUUUAGAGUCAAUGGAUAUCGUCUCAAGCCAUUCAUGGAGCCAUUCAAACCAGAAAAUGAGGAAAUCAACCUCCUUGAGCCACAAAAAGCCUAAGCAAAUAAGGGUUUGGUGGACGUGGUUUUACCACAGUCCAAAAUUUUUGUAAAUUUUGUAAAUUUCAAAGUUUUUUCCAUACUUUUGAUCUUAGUUUUUUUUUAUCUUAAAUCAUGUUUUUAUUUGUGUUUUAAUCUUUUUGAAUGAUCUCAGGUGGAAGAAAAUGCAAAGAAAUUGAAAGGAAGAAAUCGAAGCGAAAUCGGAGCAAAAACAGAGUGAAAACAGAGCAAAAACAGGGCUCUGCGAGACUUCGCAACCUAAGGAAAUCUUCUGCGAAAUUAGCACUUUGCUGCCAAACCAUUCCGCAACUCAUUUGACUCCUUUGCGAGAAUUUUGGUAGCUGCGAAACUGAUUUUGGCACACGAGUGCCACUUCGCAACACAGGAGCCCCCAUUUCGCAUCUGCGAAAUGGAUGCGAAGCGAUAAAGCGUGAAAAUCCCUAAUUUCGCAACCAAAGUUCCAUUCUGCAGGGUAUUUCGCAAUUGCGAAAGCAAUUUUGGCACACGUGUGCCACUUCGCAGCACAAUGACACUCAAUUCGCAGCUGCGAAACGGAUUAAGAAAAUGGGCUGCGAAAAUGGCUUUUUGCUACGAAAUUAGCCUUUUUCUACGAAACUCAAAAUGACACUUAAUCUUCCGUUAUUUUUAUUUAUACCGGUCAUUUGAGCUGCGAAAGGGUUUCAAAAAUAGAGCGCGCCAUACUUGCAGACUAUUCAUUUCCUUGCUCGAGCCCGACACCGCACAAACCUCCGUUCAUCUUCUCCGGUCGUCACUUCCGGCCAAAUUUCGGAAUUCCGAAAUGGCGCGAACCAGAGGAGCUAAAUCUUCCUCUCCUUCAAGCCGCAAGAGAGACCUGCGAGGGGAGCCCAUUCUAGAUCCCACCUCUGAGCCUCUACGACCUAAAGCAGUUUCUCCUCCGGUGAAGCCCGCGCCGCAGAAGCCUCCGGCGAGGCGUUAUCUCACCAGGUCAGGGGGUCGGCCACUGCAAAAGAGAGCCAGGGUUGAAAGAUCAGAGCCCAUUGAUCUAACAGAGUAGUCCCCAGAACCCUCGCUGGUUCCAUUUCCAGUUCUAUCUUUGGUGCCAUCUCUGGCGCCGCCAAUAGAGCCUAAGGAGCCUCAGCCGCCACUUCCCAAACUCCAAAAUCCAUCUGAGAUAGCCCCUAAAGCAGUAAUCAGGCGGCCGAUGCUGACUCAACCUUCAAUUGAGGGGAAUUUGGACUGCAGAGCUCGGCCAUUCCACUCCGAGCUGUGCUUUGACACAGCCACGUUCCAAUUGCGGCCGAAGCUUGCACAAUCAUUCCACCUGCUGCGAAGAUACCACAUGGAGUAGCUGUUGGCUCCAAGAGACUUCUUCUACCCCAGGGUAGCCAUGGAUUUUUAUCAGUCCAUGACUACCAAACAGGUAAGGGAUCCUACUUUAAUCCAUUUUACCAUUGAUGGGAGGCAUGGCAUAUUGGGAGCUCGCCAUAUAGCUAAGGCCUUGCAAAUACCAUAUGAGCCAACUCAUUUUGAGGAUUUCAGAGUGUGGACCAGUCCUACUGAGCUGGAAAUGGUGCAUAUCCUAUCUAGAGGAGCUUCCACACGACCACAUCUAUUGAGGGGGGAGCUUCCUUCAAUCAUGUUUCUUAUUGAUGCAUUUUUGCAUCAUAACCUCUACCCACUGCAGCAUUGGACUCAGAGGAGAGAAGUGCUUCUAGAGGCCUUAUUCAAGAUUUCUGAGGGAUAUUUCUUCGACCCUCACCAUCUGAUUAUGGCUUCCAUUCUCUAUUUCGAAGAGAAUGUGCAUAAAAAGAAGCUGCAAAGAGCUGAUGCCAUUCCUCUUCUCUUUCCAAGGCUGCUGUGCCAAAUUCUAGAGCACCUGGGGUAUCCAUCAGAGCCUCAGUUGGAGCGCAAGCGCAUUUGCCGAGAGGUAUUUACUCUCGACAAAUGGAACAACAUGACAGUCGAUAGAGUUGAGCAGUCAGAGCACCCACAGCCAGCUACUAAGAGAGCAUCCCCACGACACAUACCUGAGGGUAUGCCUAUUGCUGCUCCUGCCAUUCCCAGAGCUCCACCAGUUACUCCAGCUUCAGCUGAGCCAUCCACUUCAGCUGAACCAAGGAUGGCCAUUCCCAUUUCUGAAUAUAGAGAGUUAUGUCGUUCAUUGCAGACCCUUACAGCAUCUCAGAGUAGCCUUGCUCAGGAGAUGGCAGCCAUUCGAGCAUGCCAAGAGCAGAUGUUGGCCACCCAGGCUCAGCACACUGCCAUCUUGAGGCAACUCCAGCAUCAUUUCGACCUGCCUUCAGCUGCUGAGCCCUCCACCUCCACCACUGCAGUGCCACACUCUCAUCCCACAGAGCCUCAAGCCCAUUCUGGAGCAGCUACUGAAGAGGCAGACCCAUCUGCCUAGCCCCAACACCACCCACUCAUCAGAUCAUUAUAUAUAUCUACUGCAUAUGUCUUUUAUGUAUUUCGUUUUUAGUUUUUUUUUAAAAAAUCCCAUUAUUUUGGUACCAUAUAUGGGAUUGCUUGUAUUGUCUUCUUUUUCAUUGUACUCAAAUGGAUUCAAAGUAAUACAAGUCUAAUAUUUUUUUUUGUUAACCUUUAGCAUUAAUUUAUUCUUAUUUCCUUUUCUCACAGCUUUUAUUCUUUUUGAAACAUGUGGUUUCUCCAAUUAGUAUUCGAAAUUGAUAUCACUCAGGAGGUACCACUUCCUCCCUUUAAUUGCAAUCACCCAUAUCACAUUGAGGACAAUGCUCAGUUUGGUUGGGGGGGAGAAAUGAGAAAGGAAUGAAGUAUGAUAAGUUAAAGGCAGUAUGCUAAAUCUUUUUGGUAAUGCAAUUAGGUUGGUAAUCAGUUGUAGUUUUUGCUUUUUACCCUUUUUAUUCUAUUCUCCAUGGAUUUUGAGGAAAAAUUUUCAAAUUAAAAUAAGAGAAAUUGAACUGUUGCUUUUCACUUGACUUAGAGUAUGGAUUAUGCUUACUAAAGUGGUUCAAUUGUUGAAGCUUCUAUUGAAAUCAAAUUUAGUUCUUCCACUUUAAGCUAUUCACACACUGUGCACAAUAGGUUCCGAGUAUAAGAUGAAAAACUAUUUCCCUCUUGACUUAGGAAAAUUGUGGGACUUGGUACCUUUGACCUCAUUUGAUAAAGUUGAGACACCUUGUGAAAGGCCAAUGAGCUUUUGAAAUAAAGAAAGAAAGUGUUUGCUUGCCUUGAAACCCGAGCAAGGUCUGAGGGGUAUAUGGUGAAAAUCCUUAAAGCCUGGUGCCCUAAGCCUUAAUUGGUUGGGAGUCACCGACCUCAAUGCUCGUUACAAGGGUGGAUAGGUGGAGUUAGCAUAUGGUAGGUGCAUGGGUAUUAAAAAUUCAUUCUCAAAAGUCCGGGGAAAAAUCCGAGGAGUUAGUGGUUGAAAGAUCCUUAAAGCUUGAUGCCCUAAACCUUAAUUGGUUGGGAGUCAUCGAUGGACCCCCGUUAUAUGGACAAUUCAGAAAGAAUACCCCUUUAAGCCUCCUUAAAAAAAAAAAAAAAAAAAAAAAAGUGUGUUCUUUUCUUAUUGAUUUUGGUCAGUUUGCUAAGUGUUAAAGAGAGAUAGGUUGGGGGGGGGGGGGGGAGAUUAGUUUAGCAUAUUAUAUUCGGAAGCUAAGGAACCAAUACACAUAGAUUUUUGUGGAAUAAUAAAGUUUGGUUCUUUGGAAGUGGAAAUGAUUUUAAAACUUCAGUUUGUAUAAUGCAUUCCCUUGAUUGACAGUGUUUAGCAUAGCUUGUUAUAACUCUUGUUGAAAUUUGGGUUUGUAUUUCUUUGAUGUCUCAUGUGAGAAUUAGAUUAUCAUGCCAUUUGAAAAUUGUUUUUCAGCAUGAUGUUGUAAAUUAUAGUUUAGUUUGCUUGUUUUAUCUCUCCUUUAUUGCUAAGGGACUAGCAAUAUGUCGGUUGGGGGGAGUGAUUACUACUCAAAAAGUGCUCUUUGAUAGCUUGUAAUAAACUCUUUUAAACACUUUUGAGUAGUAGUUAUUGCCUUUUAACCCAAUUAACAUGUUAAGGACCCUUUAAAUCAAUUCUAAUCAAAUUGUGUUAAGUUUUGGUGUUUUGAUAGCCUUUUGAUCACCAAAGCAAUCUGAGAUUGAGGAGAGUUAUAUGGAAUCUUGGGCAAAGCAAUUGGAAGCUCAGAAACAUGAAGAACUAAAGCUUGGAAGUCCUUUGCCAUGAGUAAAUCAGGAAUGCAAGGAGAAGAAGUAAAGAGAAUCUGCCAUGAAGCAUAUUCUUGAUGACAGUCGUGUCAGCCACUUUUGGAGCACUUUCUGAAGUCCAAUUGAUGCAUGCUAUAUACCAUUUCAAAGCUCAGGAAGUCAACCAUCCAAUUCUUCAAACGGUGUGCAAGUCGGAGCUAAAACGAAGAAGUUACAGCCACUGCAAGUCAAUCACUCUAAGCUAAAGGAAGCAUUUUGCAAAGUGUUGCGAAAUCACCCUUUUGUUGCGAAAUGAUUUCGCAGCUUUUUUGAACAGUGUUGUGGAUUUCCUCCUGAAGUUGCCCAAUAUAUGCCGCACGUUGGAAGGUGAGAACCUCAAGAUGAAAGCCAACUUCGCAGCCCUGCGAGAAUAGCCUUUUGCUGCGAAAUGAUUUCGCAACCCUUUUUGUAUGUCUGCGAAAUCUCGCAGACAUCAUUUUCUCUUGCGAAAUGGUCCUUAGUGCUUCCCGAUAUUUGCUACCGACAUUGGGAGAUAUUUUCCAUCAGAUUAUUGUUGUCUAAAUCCCAAAAUUCUCCUUGUAAGCCACCAAUUACAAGAUUCCUUAGCUUUUAAGUUAGUAAAAAGAAUAAAUAUCCAUGUAAUAAUUAGUUUUGUAUUAUGUUCAUAUAUAUACUCCUCGAGAGCCUGUUCUCGAAGGAGAAGACCUUUUGUAAAGUUUUGGGGAAAGCAAGUAAAGUUCAAGUCCUUUGAUUAGCCUUACCUUCUCACUUUGUAUUUUUUAUUUCUUACUAAGUUAUGCACUCUCUGAGGAAUUUUCCCCAGAGAAUGAGUAACUAAACCUUUAGUUCCUUGGAGCUAAGGUUGCCGGGGAAGGUUCCAAGUGCAAGAAUGCAAAGCUUUGUGGUUUCAGCCAUUAAUGAAGAGGAAGUGAAAUCCUUUAGUGAUUUCUAUGUUUUUAGUUAACUUAAAACACCUUAGAGUCACCUGGGCCAACACUUGGUAAGGCAAGUGAUCUCCAACCAAGGAGAUGCACUAGUUUACCCCUUGCGAGCCUCUGGGAGGUGACUUUAAGGUAGGAUUUUCUGGAAUUGCCAACACUUGGUAAGCUUUUGGACUCCAAGGAGACAUCCAUUAGUUAUCUCUUGCGAGCUUGAGAAAGGAAGUCCAAGGUUAAAGAUCACCUUGAAUGGUUAAGGCUUAGUGAGAGGCUUGAACUAUUGCAAGUUGCAUCAGUGAGAGAAUUAAAGUUGAAAUCUAAUUAAAGGAUGUAUCUGUAUAACACCGGUUAGAGAAUUGACUAUAUGUUGAAUCUCUAACGCGAGGAAAUGAACCAUCUGACUGGAGCUAUGUCUUUUGCAUGAGGAACCACCCCAGUGAACUUGACCCUCCAAGGAAUGUUUUUCUUCCUAAGUUAUUCCCAUUACUUGUUUUGUAGUUAGUUUAAAUCUAAAUCUUUACCAAUUAAAGUUUGUGUUUUAUUUCUUAAGCUAACCUUGAAAUGAAACAAGACCAAUUCACUUUGAAUUGGUAUCAUUGAUAAUUUGCUAAUCCUUCCCAGUGAACGAUCCUAGAGCCGCUAUACUAUAGUAGCUUUUUCUUUGCUACCCUAGUAUAUGGUGUAAUAGGUUAAAAAUAUUGUUGAUUACUCCCUCAUCCAAGGAGCACCAGCUGGACACGAAUCAGCUGAGACACCAAUUGGGCAUGAAUAAAAAACCAUGCAAUUUAUAACACCUAUCUACUGUAUGCCCUGUGAGCCCACAAUGGGUGCAAAUUGGGCAUUCACGUCUAGGCUUUUUGUGAGAUGAUGCACUAGCUACAGAAGGAGUGGAGAAGAGGCAUUGAACACCAUGGAAUUCGAUGGAGCGGAGGACCUAGAUCCAAUAAACCGUUGGCAUUCUUCUUGAACAACAAGAUUGAAUACUUUCGCCACAAGAGGGAGCGGAUCAAGCAUUAGAAUUUGCCCUCUUGUGCUAGCAUAAGAUUCGUUCAAACCCAUUAAAAAUUGCAUCACAUACUCCUGCUAUUGAUAAUCCAUCUAAGUUUUCGUACCUCCACAAUGGCAGACGGGAACUGGUUGAUAGUUUUUGAGUUCAUCCUAGAGAAUCUUCAAUCGAGUAUAAUAGGUAUUAACAUCGAGCGAGCCUUGUGAAAGACCAUGUAGUCGUUGCUUGAUUUGGAAAAUUUGUGGAGCAUUGCUCUGAUGGAAGCGUUUGUGCAGAUCUGCCCAAAUAGCAUGGGCACUCUUGAGAUAGAGAAGACUAUCAACUAUCUCUUUUGAGACAGCAUUGAGGAGCCAAGAUGUGACCAUGUUGUUGCAUCGGGACCAGAUUCCGGUUGUAGGGUCAUCGGUCAUGGGCUACAAAAGAGUGCCAUCAAACAAAUCCGAGCUUAUUCUUUGCAUUGAGAGCCAUCAGCAUAGCCCAACUCCAUGUAUUAUAGCUUGAACCAGUGAGGAGAUGCGAAAUGAGCACCAAGCCUGGAUGAUCACCACUAUGUAAGAAAAAUGGGUUAUUAGUGUUCUCCAUGAGAGAUUGAUCUGAUUGUGUUAUCGUGCUACUAGAGGUAGGAAUGUCAGGGGCUAAAAUCUAUUAUCAUUGUUAUGCUAACCACCAUGAGCCAUUUCAGUGAGCGGCAGAGGUAAGAAGCUCUGAUAUCAUAUUACAAGGGAAAAUGGAGAGAAAAAUUGACAGAUUCUCCUUUCAUUGAUUGAAAAAAUGAGUUGUACAGAGAGCCCCAAAACAGAGUAGCAAAAAUGCUUUUUAUAAUAGAAGUCACGCAUAAGGAGCUGUAGAGCUCUACAAAGAAAAAACAACCUAACCAACUAUUGGUUAUAACAUAAAAAAUAAAAUAAAAUAAAAAACUAAAACUAAUAUGUUAAAAGAUGUUUCACUCCAAUAAUAGUUUACUUUAAUAUUUGAGUAUUGGAGGUAUCCUUGUCUCAAAAUCAUACCAAGUUGCCUCUACAAACUCAGAGAAUUGGAUAUUGAUAAUUGUGAGAAUAUGGAGCUGCUACCUCAUCAGCUGCAAAACCUCACUACUCUUACAUCACUUACUAUCUCUUAUUGUGAGAAUAUCAAGACGCCCCUAUCCCGAUGGGGCCUUGCCACACUUACCUCUCUUAAAAAACUCACCAUUGCUAGCAUAUUUCCACAAGUUUCAAAUGCUCAAAGACUACCGCGUCUUCCGAAAACCCUCACCUUUCUUUGCAUUAAAGAUUUCUAGAAUCUGAAAUCUUUGUCCUCACUGGCUCUCCAAACCCUCACCUCACUUGAAGAGUUAUGGAUCCUAUGUUGCCCUAAGCUUCAGUUGUUUUGCCCAAGGGAAGGGCUGCUUGCCACUCUUUCACUACUAUAUAUCACAGACUGCCCACUCCUCAAACAAAGGUGCUCAAAGGGGAAAGGACAAGAUUAGCCCAACAUCGCCCACAUUCCCUGUGUGGAAAUGGAUAAUGAAAAUGUCUUUGAGCAAUAAUAAGAUGAGGGAUUGCAGAACAUAGAAGCAAACACCAUUCAACCCUCACCCAUCUUUUAUUUAAAUAAGGUACGCCUGUUCUUUCUUUUUCACUCCUUAAUACUGCAUUCAAUUUCUCAUAUACGUUAUAGCAGUUUCCCCUAUUAAUUACUUGUAAGUUUCUUACUGGAAUUUUUGUUGAAAAUUUGCCUAGGAAGUGACUUUUGAAAUGGCUUGUAGCUUGGUUUUCUCUUCAAUCUGCCAUAAUUCGAGGUAUCACUGUCUCUGCUUCUCCAAUUCUAUUUAUGAAAUCUUGUCCAUAAUCUCCAUGGGGUACUCAUUUUUCCUUUUUCCUUUGUUCUUUUUAGUUCUCAGUGACCAUUGAAGUUGAAGAGGUGAUAUGUGAUUCUUACGACUAUAAAAAGGAUAAGAGAUAAUCCAUUUAUUCCAUUCAAGGACAGGUGAAACAUUUAGCAAUAGCCACUAGUUAGUAAUGUCUUAUUCUAAUUUUUAUUCCAUCAAUUGUACUAUUCAAUUGCAUUUUUAAAUAUAAUAUUCUAAUUUCUAGAAUAUUGUUCAGGCUGACAUACAGAGGAGGCUAUACUAGAAGCAAAUGUAGUUUAUUAAUAUUCAAUUAUUGUGGUAAUUAGAUAGCCUUAUCAAUUCCUUUGUGCUGCCAUGAUUUUUUUAGUUCAACUUAUUAGAUGUCAUCAUAACUACUAUACAAUGUCUUGUCAUCUUGUUAUCAAAUUUUUACAUUUGUGAUGCAGGUUCUCAAAAAGGAUGGAACUCUGAUGAUUAUAUCAAAGACUUCAAAGUAUGGAAUGAAUGCAGCUAGUUCCGGUUGUCCCAUGUUGCUUUUUUUUUUUCUUUUUCUUUUUUUCUUUUUUUGUUUUUGAGUGUCAACAUGGGACAAAGAAUAACCCAGCAAGACUAUAGUGAGUGACCGUUAUCUAUAUAUUUUGUUUAUUUAUUUUUCUAUUUUAAUGACUAAUUUUCUUGAAUUUUCUUCUUGUCCACUGGAUGUUCAUUCCCAACAUGCAGUUCUUCCUCUUUCUCUCCUUAAUACCACUUUUUAUUUCCCAUACACAUGUUAUUUCAAUUAGUUGCCAUUUAGCUUGGCUACCUCUUAACAGUAAUAAUAAGUCUUAUAGUUUUUAUGUACCAAAUUGUUUACAUUGAUGAUGCAGGUGUCAAAAGGAUGGGUUCAAAGUAUCAUAGGAGGUACAUGUGGUCUUUUUAUUGUGUUGACUGAUUGGAAUUUUCCUCCUAUAUCAAAGGCUUGUUGGCACUUUAUUACCAUUUUUUAGUAUGACAAAAAGAGGAUAAAAUACAAUCUAGCAAAAUUGUGGUCCAUGACUUUCAUUUAUAUAGUUGAUUUUAUAUAUUAUUGUGUUCUAAAGACUAUCUUUGUAAAAUUUUAUUCCUUUUAUGACUUAUGAUGGAUUCUACAAUGCUUUAUAAAGGUCCUUUGAAUGAAUAUUUCAUCUGCAUCUUUAAUAAAUAAGAACCUUUUUUCUUUCCCUCCUAGGGAAGCUGCUCAUAAGGUUGUAUGAUCUUUAUAUAUCCUUCGAAAUUUGAGGACCAUCCAGUGCAUGAAACUCGUCUUUCACAAGAAACAAAGUGGUCUUUUCUUUGUGACUGUGAUAGCCCAAAACUACGUAAUGGAAUUAUGACAUAGCAACAACAGCAACUUGUAUUUGUUCUAAUGUAUCUAACUUGUUUCCAAAAUGUGAGCUACCAUCAUAUUUACAUACGCCUAGUAGUACAGAUUUGAGCAAAAAUAAAAUGGUUUUGCGUCCAAUUUCUAAAGUUUUUAAUUUGAUGAAACCAUAUCUCUUCUUUUAGAGUUUGUAGGCUUUAAAGGUGCAUGUCCUAGGUGCCAGAGUAUAAGUAUUUUUCUUCUUAUUGAAGGGAAUUUGGGUUUUACAUUUAGAGGCUCCAAGUCUAUAGUGAUUGUGGCAAAUGCCUAUUGCACUUGUUAUUUUUGUUUCUAUUGUUGAUGUUGAGGGUGUAGAAAGGGGAUAAACAAAAGCAUAACAAGAUCAUGGUGUGUUACAAUUUUAUUGGUCUUUUUAGAUUCGUAUUUUUACUGACUUUUUUUUUUUUCUAAAUUUUCUAUGUUUAUGACUUGAGGUGUUCCCUAAACACUUGCUACAGAGAGGAUUUUGGCACCAGAAUUAUCCUUGGACAUUGCUUAGUUCACCUGUCUUCCAUAGAUAUGAACCUAUUUUUGUGCCAUUUUGAAGAAGCUACUAGUAAGACUGAAUAGUCACACAUCUCUUGGAGAGUUGAGAAUCACACAUUUCUUUAGGUCUUUCUGAGGAUUGGUUUGUCAUCCAUGCUAUGAAGUCUUAUGCUCAGUUGUUGUGAUGGUUUGAAAUUACUCUCUGAUGAAACUAUGACCUAUAUAAACAACUGCUUGCAUUUGUUUUACACAGAUGAAUUGCUUGUCUUUUUGCAUUAUUUUGCAGAAAGGAUUUUUAUGAGCACUACUAUUUUUUUUUUCAUAUCCUUUUAUAUUGAUGCAUUUCCUAUUACUCCUUUUAGGUGGAUGCACAAUGCUGAUCAACUCUCCUCCUUUUGGAUGUCUUUCUAACCAUUGUUAGGAUUCAUUAAAAAUAACCUUUAUCAAACCUACAGAUUUUUUCAAGUCAGUUAUAACCAAUGUUUUAAAAACCGGACCGGUGAUCGAACCGGAAAAGUUACCGGUUCACGGUUCACUGGUCGGACCGGCGGUCGAACCGCUAUUGAACCGGUGAUGUAAUAAAAAAUUAAAAAUAUAUAAAAUUACAAAUUUUAAUAAUGUUUGAUUUUUAUAUUUGGUAUAUUAAAUUAAAUUAAAUGAUAAAGUUUAAUAUUUUAAAUUUGAUUAAAUAGAAAUAUGUAAUAUUUAAGAAAGAAUAUAUAUUUAAGAUAAAAAAAUUUAUAAUAUUUAAUUUUAUCUUUUUGUCUUUGUAUUUUAUUGUUUUAAAAUUAUUAUAUUAAUUAAUUUAUAUUAUUUUUUAUAAUUAUUAUUAUAAAAAUAAACAUGAAUUUAAAUAUUUACAUUUUUUUUAAAAGAUUUUAUAGGAUAAAAAUUUGAAAUAAAAUCAAAUUUCGUGCGUCCAACCCUCAAGAGGCAAUGUUUUCCUCUAAUGAGUCUCAUUCCCAAUCCCACAUUGGAAGCACAUGAAUUUUAUGUGCUCCAUGUGCUCUAUAAAUAGCUUCCCACUUGCCUUCUAUCCCAACUAGCCAGCAAGCUGGGCCUGGAAGCAUGGCCCAAGUUGAAGUGUUAUUUUAAAAUAAAAAAUGGCAGCAAAUUGGGCUUCUGUGGGGCAUGGCCCAUAUAAAGUGUUAAUUUUAUCUUUGGAUAAGGUCUAGGGACCUGGAAAAAGGAAGACCUUAGAUUGGGCCUGGAAUGGGCCUUUUACAUGGUAAACAAAAAAUUGUUUCUAAGGUGUAACCGGUUUGCAGAAAAUUGGACGAUUUGUCCGGUUCGACGGUUCAACCGUCGGUUUGACCGGUUCAAUGCCGGUUCGACCACAAACGGUUCAUUGAAACGGACCGAACCGGAAAGUUCACUGGUCGACAGUUCAACCGGUUGGACCGGCCGGUCCGGUCCUGUUUUUAAAACCAUGGUUAUAACUUGUACAAACCUUAUGUAACUCGAAACACUUUAUUUUUAAAACAAUCCAUGACUACUGGCAACUUACAUGUUUUUCACUACAUUUUUUUUCAAUGAGGAAAUGAGGCAUUUUUCUUUAGUAGUAUAUUGUGAUUCACAAAGUAUAAACUCUUGCAGAUUGAAAGAAAGACAAUUUACAUAUCAUUCAACAGUAAUCAGUAAGCACUUUUAUAUGUUUAUAGCUUCUUUUUAUAUGGUUUAUCUUUUAUGGCAUUUACUCUUUUGUUAUUCACAUAAAAAAAAACACUUGAUUUACCCUUCAAAUAUAAAAUUCAGUUAUGCAGGAAGGACAUAAAUUGAUUAUGAUAAGAUGGGAAAUGUGUUUCAGGACAACUUUGUGUUCUUGCAUUAUAAGGUUUAGUAAUUUUGUGUAGUUCUACAAUAAACAACAUUCUAUUGACUUUGGAUUUGGAAUUUAACUCUAAUGAGCAUUUACUUAUUUUUCAUACAUUUUUCAAGAAUCCGGUUAAUGAGAUUUUCCUUACAAAAAACUAGAGGUUUGUUAACUCUCCUAUAAUCAGAGCCUAGUUCUCUUGCAUAAAUUUCAAGCAAAUUUAUAACCCUCUUCUUUGACAGUCUUUUAUAUUGGAAUUAAACAUCUUGGUGUCUUUGAAUUAUUUAAAUAUUGGAAGCCAAUUAAGGAGUCAUGCAAUGGCAUAUUGUGAAACUUGAUACACAUAAAAAUAAGAUCUAUUAUGUUAUUUUUCUCGCUAAAGAACCAAAACAUAUGCUUUUGAUUUUGAAUGUUUCAGACUUCAUGUCUUCUCUUUCAUUUAUGAUAUUGUCGUUGGUGAAUUGGGAAUGUUGUUAAGAAUUUUGGAGCUUGACCAUCUGGCCUUUUCCAAUUCCUUAGAGAUUGGUAAUAAUCCAACGAUCAAUUGUUUUCCCAAAGUGGCUUACGCUAGCAUUAGCAGAUGUGAAAUUAUCAGUGACCGUUCAUUGUAAAGAAAUCUUGUUAUUAUGGCAGGAUAAUAGACUGUAAUUCAGUCACAAAAUUUUGGGACUUCGACAUCAACACCUUUUUAGGACUCAGAUUUCUAAAUGGAAUGAUGCAAGGCAUCAACACAUUCAUAGAAUUCUUUAAGAAUUCUAAAUAUGAUCUUGGUAUCUUAAUGACAGGCCAACUUUCUUUAAUGUUGCUAAAUAUACUAGAUGGGAAUCCACCCAUGGACAAGAAAUGUAUGUUGCUCUAUCCUCACCUCUCACUGUCUCACUCCCUAUUGCCUCAAGUUGCAUUACCUGCCAUAAUUAAACACCUCUUUUAUCAUUGUGACAAAACAAGUUUUGCCAAAACGAUAUGAGAUUCCCUUUGAUUUCAAGUUAUGCAAGAUCUAUAAGAGCUCAAUUGUUUUGAAAACAUGAUUCAUAAAUACUAUGCUAACAUUCAGUUCAUGAAUACCAUGUACCAGAAGAAGGCUCUAAGAAAUUUAUGUCAUUUACUUUCAGGAUUCUAUCUUCAACUCUAGUUCAUGCUCAAUUGUUUUAUUAACUACAGUUUCUUUGAAUGAACAUGUCGAAGUACAAGUACUAAACUAGUUCAUUUCCAGUCAAAUUACUAUCCCUAAUUUACAGAGUAUAAACCCUUGCAAAUUAAAAUAAAGAAAAUUUACAUAUCAUUCAAUAGUGAUCUGUAAGCACUCUUAUGUGUCUACAUCUUCCUCAUUUGGAUUUGGAAUUUAACUUCUGAUAAGCGUUUACUUGUUUUUAAUUUUUUUUUAGGAAUCCAGUUAAUGAGAUUUUUCCAACCAAAAAUAGGGGUUUGUUAGCCCUCCUACCCUCAUGCUGGUUCUCUUACAUAUGCUUGAAGAAUAUUGGAAGCCAAUUAAUUAGUCAUUGCAGUUUCAUAGUCUUACAAGAAAUCUUGUUAUCGUGGCAGGAAAACAGACUGCAACAUAGUCUCAUUUCCCUUCAUGAUUUAGACAUUGUGAAGAUUAAAAACUUGUUACCUGAUAAUAGAAGAAGAAAAGCAGCCAAAGAACAUCAACAAAAUGUAUUGGCACCUUGUGGACUUGAAUUGAUGGUAUUCAGGUGGCAUAAAUAUACAAAAAUACACUUAACAAACUACUAAUCAGCAGGCCAAGAUUCUACUUCCAAGAGACAGGGUUGUCAUCCAUGUCAAGAAGGCCCAAACUUUAUUGUUGUGGAACUUUGGCAUCAACAAAUCUCUGGAAUUAUUUCAGGUUUCUAAAUGGAAUGGUUCAAGUCAUCAACACAUUCCCAUAAUUCUUUUGUAAAUGUCAUCAUCAUGGCUAGCUUUCUUUAGUCCAUAUGUACUAGAUGGACAAUAACCACAGCACUUGUAUUAGAAACAUGUCUGUUGCCUGGAUUUGCAUUACCUGCCAUAAUUAAGAACCUUUUUAUUAUUGUAGUAGAGUGUUUCAGAGUCACCCAUACCUAGUCUAUCUCCAUGUCUCUCAAACAGCUAGGCCCAUUGGUAGCAAAAGAAGAGCAACUUGAAUAGUUGGUCAUUUCCUUUUCAGGAAUUAAUUGUACCGCAUUCCUAUACAUAGUGACUUUACCCUUUCUCUUCUUUGUUUUUUUCAAUCUAAAUUGGAGUGGUGUGACUGUGUCACUAUUGCCAAAUUUAAAUGUUAAUGUCAUAGAAUGCAUUAAUAGUUUUCUAUUAGAAUAAUAGAAUGCAAUUCGACUAGAUACUAGACAUAAGUAAGCGUAGAAUAUAGAGCAAAUGAUAAAUGAAAUGAGGGAAACAAAUGAUUCUAAGAAGGGUUAUUCAUCUUCCUAGUCUUCUACAUAAGAAAGGAAUUUUCUACAUCCCUUUCUUGUGUAUAAAUAAUAAUGAUCCUCAACACCUUUGUCAAAAAUUCCUAUUCUUAGCUUAGAUUUUUUUCUAGGUUUAUCAUAAUUUUAUAUUUAUUAUGUAUAAGAAGUAGUGGACAAACAAAAAAAAAAAAAAGGAAAUUUAUUGAACAAAUAGAACUUCUUCAAUGAAGUUAUAAAAAAAAAUUUCAACUUUGAUUAGAUACUAAAAUAAAUAAAGUAAGAAUCUAUUAGUAUAGAAAGGAUUUGUAUGAUAUCCGAUAUAGGGAAAUAUAUAUAUAUAUUAUACUGUGUCAUCACAAAAAUUGAGUGAUUCCUUAUUUCUUCUAACUUUGAAAGGAUCGAUAGAUACUAUCAAGGAGCAAAUGUUCUCAAUCAAUCAAUCAAGUUCGUUUUUCAAAAACAUCAUCAGAAAAAACAAUGAAAUGGAGUUUUUUUAAACAUUGUAAAAGAAGAUUUGUUUUAUCUGGCAUUUAUACGAAUAAAAUCUUAUGAUUAUUAAGAACUCAAUAGGACCUUCCCUCUCGAAUCAGAGCCAAAGAGGGGGUGGGUCCCAUUGAGUUCUUACGUUUUCAUGUCGACAACUCAAUUCAUCCAAUUACUAUAGGGAACCAUAAAAGAAAAAGCCUAUUAAACCAAUCACAGGAAUUUCAGUUAUAGUACCUAUUAGCCAAAGAGGAAUCCUUCCAGUAGUAUCGGCCAUUUACCCCACUUUCCUCCACAUUUCAUCAAGUGGUCAUACUAAAGACAUAAAUAGUCAUGGAUAAUUAUGAAAUGAGAUCCUUUCGAAUAAGAUAAGAGAAUUCUUACUAUUAUUAUUUAUUUUAUUAGUCUCUUUCGUUCUCUUAAUUCUUAAUUGAAAAAAUAAUUGGAAAAUAAAACAACAAGUACAAAAAUGAGUAAUAACCCCCAGCAAAGACCGGUACGAUUCAAUUCAACAUUUUGUUCGUUCGGGUUUAAUUGUGUCAUAGCUCUAUAAUUUGGAUUAGGUUUAUUGUUCGAUGAACUGCAUUGUUGAUAUUGACCCUAAAAAAGAAACGGUAGGUAUAGCUAGUCCGUGAACAGCCAAUCAUCGCACUGUAAAAAUUGGAUAGGUUCGAUCUAUGGUCAUUGGGGCCUCCUAAAAAGAUCUACUAAAUUCAUCGAAUUGUUCCAAAGGACCAAAAUGACUGGUUAUUAAUGGAAUUCCUUGUUGGCUCUCUAUAAAAUACUCGUUCGACUGAGGACUUCCAAACACAUCGUAAGCUAAACCUGUGCUGAUGAAUAACCAACCUGCAAUGAAUAGGGGAGGUAUAGUAAUGCUAUGAAUGACCCAGUAUCUAAUACUGGUAAUAAUACAGACUACCCAUUUCAAUUGUUGUGCUUUCUUAAAUUGCAUACCUAUACAAGGGUUCAAGUUUCGAUUGAUAUUUGGGGAGUUGAUCAUCCCUCUCGAAAACGAAGAUUUGAAGUGGUCUAUAAUUUAUUGAGUACUCAAUAUAACUCACGCAUUCGUGUACAAACCAGUGCAGAUGAAGUAACACGAAUAUCUUCGGUAGUAAGUCUAUUUCCAUCAUCCGUCCGGUGGGAGCGAGAAGUUUGGGAUAUGUUUGGUGUUUCUUCCAUCAAUCAUCUGGAUCUACACCGUUUAUCAACAGAUUAUGGUUUCGAGGGUCAUCCAUUACGAAAAGACCUUCCUCUGAGUGGAUAUGUGGAAGUACGCUAUGAUGAUCUAGAGAAACGUGUGGUUUCUGAACCCAUUGAGAUGACCCAAGAAUUUCGUUAUUUCGAUUCUGCUAGUCCUUGGGAACAGCGUAGCGACGGAUAAUUAAGAAUUUAAAUAGGUCCAGUCCAGGGGACAAAGAAAUAGGAAAUGUUAUUUGCUUCGUCAGAAUAAGUUCUAUGAAAUGAAAGAGUUUCAUGGGAAUUGUCUUGAUCGUUAGAUAUCAUUGAGAAAUAGUUAUCGAACAAUUUCCUGUAAUUCUUCCCAGUAUGGAAUGAGUAAAGAAUCAAGCUGUAAGUCUCGAUCUAUAUGAAACGCACUGGGUUUUUUUUUUGUCUUUCUUUAGGUUUCAUUGAUAGUGGAAGAGCCUUGUCUUACUCUAUAGGGGUGCUAGCACUUUACUUUAUAUUAAAAGUAAAGGGGCCUAAAAAAACGUAAUAGGCUGCUACUCUAGGCUCGCUUCGCUUCUUCAAGCUCCGCCCCUUAUUUCAAACUAAAGCACUAACGCGCCUUCUAUUAUUUAGUAAAGCAACCUUUAGCGCUAGGCACUCCUUUUUUUUUCUGGGUGGAAGCUAGCGAUAGGGCUGCAGAACAUGCAAGGCGAUAGAUUCUAUGAGACUCUUCUUGAAUGGGAACCUGUGAAGGAAAACCGUGAAGCUCCGCCGCUAUCGGAGAACCCUCAACCAUCAACCUCUCCAAAGAAAUGGCAACUCUUAAGAUCUACGACCACCAUCUCCUCUUCUUCAAAAAACAACGAAGGUAUCCAAGAUCAGAUGACAAAUUCGAUCGACGUUCCUAAUCAGCAACACGAGGACUUUCUUCAGAUUGAAGGAGAGGAAUGUGCUUCUAGACAUGCCAAGCUCCACAUAUUCUUGUACAGUCAAAGGACGAUCGAUUUCGUAAAAAAUGAGAUCAAUAAAUAGAAAUUCACUGAAAAUGGAUAUUUGUGAGAUCGUCAAUAUUGUACCGAGGAUGUCUUUAGAGUAUACUCAAUCAGUAUAGCUAUCCUUCUUCUACCAUAGCAACACAAUUUCAAAAACUACAGCAUUUGAAUAGCUUGUAUUCAGGUGGACAAGAACUACAACACUUCUCUUAAAAAACAUGUAUGUUCUUUCUUCAACUCUUACUCUAUUGCCUAGAGUUGCAAUACCUGCCAUGAUUAGUCAUCUCUUAUUUAUUCUCAUGGAGAAACAGGUUUUGGUGUAUGCAAAGACAAUAUACAAUUGUCGCACCUCUUGAUUUUUAAUCGUGUCAAACAUUUGGAAUUGUCAAGCUGAUUUAUGGCUAACCUUGCAAGGACAUCUAGUGCAAGAGAUUCAGAAUUAUACCUAUCGAAUCCAUCUCCAUUUCUUUAGAACAACUAGAUACUAUGGCUGAAAUCUCAUGUAAGGUGUCAGGUUCAUGUUGGGGCUCAUUCACGAGAUUAAAAUGAAUAUAGCAAGAGAUGUUCUUGAUCUACCACCACCCAUGUUGUCAAGUUGUUUAAUGCUCUCGUGUUGACCAUGGCCACAGUCACAGUUGUGUGUCCUUUCUCGAAAGAAAUAAUCAUUUUGAAACUUUUGUCAACAACAUAACUUUCAUGUAUCUACUUUCAAGUACCCACAAAAAAUUGAGUCCAGCUUAGCAUUUAAUAAAGAAAAAGUAAUAAUCUGAACAAGGGAACAAAUGUUUUCCUUACUCUUUUUCAGUAGGAACCUAGUUUAUUUCUAAAAAAUUGAAGAAAAAACUAAUUCUAAACAUGGAAGCCAGGUACUUGAUUUCUGUUUAACUAGUGGAACAAUUCGAACGUAUUUAUAGCUUUAGCAUUAGAAAAGUUUAACAAAAUCACUAAUUAACCCCCAAACCCCCACCCACCAUAGAGAUAUGUUACAAAGAUUCCUCUACUCUGCAUUGAAACAAAGUGUAAGGGGUUUUUUCCUUUCUUCAUCGUCAAAUGAAACAGCCAUUUUCAAUAAAAUAAUAUGAGAAAUUGAGAGUUAAAACCAUUUUAUUUCAUUGUACUCUCUAUUCCUCUGCUUCUUCCUAUCUUAGUCAAGCCAAAUAGUCUGUGGUUUCUCCGUUUCUUCUUCACUCCACAUCAAAAAGUAGCAUCUUGGGUUCUCCCAUCUCUCUAUCCCCUUGUCAAAACACGUAAUUUAAUGUAUUGUUGUCUUGGAUUCCUCCUAGUUAAAAGGAAGCUUGAAAUAUCUCCACUGCUUCUAUGUUUCUUUGAGUCAAGGGAUAGAGUCUUGCUUUUCUUUGUUUAUUUGAGAUGCUAGAAGAGGUUUGUAUAGAACUAAUGUGAUGUCAGAGAGGUAGGUAGUAUCUGAAUUCCCUCUAGUCAUGCAAAGUAGCCUUAGAGAUUUUUGGAGGCUUGGGUAUUAUAGUAUAUUAAGAUAUUCAAAAUGCAUUAUUGCACAUCUUCUUGACUUGUAACUGAACUUGUUUUUCACAAUCAUAAAUAUGGAGGUAUUUAAUUAUGGCAGGUGAUAUACCUCUUAGAAAUUGAUGUGAAAAGGUGGAGAUUAAGGGAUGUGCACUUGGUUUUGCGAAUCAAACAACCCUCAUUUAGUAUAAACCACAAAUUUUGGCAACUCAUGAUCCACAAUUUAGAGCAUGGGAGGAAGCAAGCCUGUUGGAAAGAUAGGAGGAGACAGUUAAAAACAUGCGAGAAUUCCAUGGAUGAGUUGCUCUUAUGAAUUAUUCAGAAUCCAUGAGAAAAUUCAAAGCUUUUUUUUUUUUUUUUUUCCUUUACAUAGUUAAUGAUCUUGUUUGAUGUUGGCCCUAUAGUUGGUCUACUGAUGGUAGGCUUCCUUUGAGUGGAAGCAAGGACUCUACACUAAAGGUAAAUUGUGGGAACUAUGUCUUUUUGUGGUAUUGAUGGGGUUAUCAUAUAGUUGAUUGAUUCUAUUGCUUCCUUAUAGCUUUUCAAGGCUCUAAAAAAGAAAAGAACAAAGGUAGACCUAGGAAAAAUAUUCUUCCUAAUUUCAGUUACUCUUUCUAUAUGAACUCUUUAUUUUGGUAAAUUACAGUUAGAGAUGAUCAUGUAGUUGAACUAGGUUUGCUUCCUCUCCUUUCCCUCUCCUUCCCCCUUGAGGAAAAUUUUUAUCAUUGCUUAGUUUUGACUACUCUAUUUCUUUUGAUCAUUAUGGAAGAGCAUCACUAUAAGAUGUGCAAGAAACGUGUUGUGGUGCAUUAUUCCUUUCUCUACCACCCAAAAUCUACUUUCCACAAUCAUAAAUAUCAAAUUGUUUAAGCAUUAGGUAAGACAUCUCUUGAUUACUACUCAAAAAGUGCUAUUUGAUAGCUUGUAAUUAACUCUUUUAAAAACUUUUGAGUAGUAGUUAUUGCCUAUUAACCCAAUUAACAUGUUAAGGACCCUUGCAAUCAAUUCUAAUCAAAUUGUGUUAAGUUUUGGUGUUUUGAUAGCUUUUUGAUCACCAAAGCAAUCUAAGAAUGAGGGAGAGCUGUAUAUAGUUCAUGGCAAAGCUUUUGGAAGCUCAAAUUCAUGAAGAACCAAGCUUUGGAGCCUCACAGUCCUUUGCCUUAGUCGUUCAAAGUAUGCAAGGAAAGAACAAUAGAGAGAGGAAAAACAAAGUGAAGAAAAUAGAGGACAGCAGCUACAGUCUUCUUUCAUACUUUUGGAGUACUUCCCAAAGUCCAUUUUCUACAUGCUAUAUACCAUUUCAAAGCUCAGGAAGUCAAAAAUCCAAUGCUUCAAACGGUGCGCAAUUUGGAGUUGAAAUGAAGGAGUUACAGCCAUUGCAAGCCGAUCACUCCAAGCUGAAGGAAGAAUUUUGCACAGCACUGCGAAAUCACCCUUUUGUUGCGAGAUGAUUUCGCAGCCUUUUUGUACAGUGCUGUGUUUCCCCCCUGAAUUUUCCCGUCACGAUGGAAGCCGAAUACCACAAGUUGAAAGACCACUUCGCAGCGUUGCGAAAUUAGCCUUUUGCUGCGAAGUGAUUUCGCAGCCCUUUUUGUGUGUCUACGAAAUCUCGCAGACCUCGUUUUCACCUGCGAAAUGGUCCUUAGUGCUUCCCGAUAUUUGUGCACCGACUCUUUUAGAUCUUUUCUUCAGAUAUUUUUGUAUAAAUUUCCAUUCUUCUCCUUGUAAUCCACCAACCAUAAGAUUUCUUAGUUAGGAAUGUUGGAAAAACAUCUCUAUAUAUAUUCCCUUGCAUCCAUUGUAAAAAGGAUCGAUCAAUAUAUAGAUAUAUCAUAUAUAGAAUCAAAGAACAGAGCACUUGCUCUGUUUUUCUUGUUUUCUCGUUAGUUUUCUUUCUAGCCAACCAAACUUUGAGGAUUUUUCCUCAGAGGAUGAGAGGCUAAGCUCUUUGUCUCUUGGAGUGAAGAAAGCCGGGUAAGUUUCCACAUGCAUAAAUUGGAAGUUUUGUUGUUUUAGUUUUUAAUGAAGAGAAAGUGUGACCCGUUAAUGGUUUUUAUCUUUUUAGUUAACUUAAAACGCCUUUAAAUCACUUGGGCCAACACUUGGUAAGGCAAGUGAUCUCUGUCCAUGGAGAUGCACUAGUUUACCCCUUGCGAGCCUUUGGGAGGUGGUUUGAAGGUAGGAUUUUCUAGAAUAGCCAACACUUGGUAAGCUUUUGGACUCUAAGGAGACAUCCAUUAGUUAUCUCUUGCGAGCUUUUGACGGGUAAUCCAAGGUUAAAGAUCACCUUGAAUGGCAAGUGUUAGGUGAGAGGUAUGAGUCAUUGCAAGGUGCAUCAAUGAGAGGGAUUUAGUGUUUGAACCCAUUAAUGGGAAGCAUCUGUAUAACACCGGUUGGAGAAGGAACUAUAUGUUAAUUCUCUAAUGCGAGGAAAAGAAACAAGUGACCGGAACUCCCUUUUUGUAUGAGGAAUCUGAGCCUAGUGAUCUGAAACUCCAAGAAACAACUUUUCUUUGUAAGUAAAAUCAGUUACUAUUUUUGGUUAGUUUAAAACCGAACCUUUUUCAUUCGAACAUCUUUAUGUUUUCUUUUAAAGCUAACCUUGAAAUGAAAAGGCACCAAUUCAGCUUUGAAUUAAUAUCAUUUGCAAAGUGAAAACCCAUCCCAGUGAACGAUCCUAGAGCCACUAUGCUAUAGUAGCUUUGUCUUUGCUACCCUAGUAUAUGGUGUAAUAGGUUAUAAAUUUUGUUGAUUACUCCCUCAAUCAAGGAGCACCAGCUGGACACGAAUCAGCUGAGACACCAAUUGGGCACGAAUCAAAUGGCGUCGUUGCCGAGGAUCGAACCCUGAAUCAAAUGGUGUCAUUGCCACUGCCGCUGUUAGGGACGAAUCAUCUCUUGAUAAUGAUGUGAGAGAUAUAGACAAGUAAUGUUACUAAAUAACAAGAAUAUGCAUAAAAAAAAAACAAGAAUACACAUAUUUAUGUGGAAAACCUUAGAUGGGAAAAACCAUGGGUAGAGGAGAAGAAAAUUCACUAUAUUAAAAAAUUGAUACAAAAUGGGAGAGAUGCGAGCGACUACUUUAUAAGCAUAGACAUCAUAGUCCUAAUCUUAUACAUAAUUGCAAAUAUAUAUAUAUAUAUAUAUAUAUAUAUAUGUGUGUGUGUGUGUGUGUGUGUGUGUGUGUGUGUGUGUGUGUGUGUGUGUGUGUGUGUGUGUGUGUGUGUGUGUGUGUGUGGGAGAGUAAUAAACAUCAUAACCCUAAAUUCUAUUAGCCCGAUCCCUCCGCUACCACCACAGACUCUCCAAAAAUCUCACAAAUUUUUCUUCACCACAUAUGUCGCAUCACGAGCUUUUUGGGUAAAACUAAAUAGAAUUCGAGUUACCAAACUCUAACAAACAACAUACCAGUAUUCACAAGAAGUGAUGUUAUGCUUUUUCACUUUACAAUAUUCAUUUAGUUUGAACUCCAGAUUCAGGCAACUCAAAAUCUCCGCCCUCAUUAGGAUUGUAGGAAGCUAGCUUCUUGGAAAGACAUGAAAAUGGGGCAUUUAUAAAUAUGGAAGAAUCGCAAAGGCCUGUUGCUACUUUUGAAUCAUUCCAAUCAAUAACAACUCCAAAGAUAUAUACAAAUUUGUCCCUGGGAAAGAGAUGUUUCCUGGGCAUCUAACCAUCUCUUUAAUAUACUCAGGGUUGUGCACCCUCUUGGUGAUUUUUAUAUAUUGUAGUGAACCUAUCACACCCCAAACCCACUCCAAGGGCAUUACGGUCAUUUCACACCUCAAGCCCAAAGGUUCAAAAUGGAAACAAUACAAACAUUCGUAUUGUAACUGAAAAUUUCCCAAUUACCAAAUUCCUAUUCAGAGUAGUAGGACAAAAUUCUAAAACCUCUAAGUAUCAACUUUUUUUUUUUUUUUUUAAAAAAAAAGAACUAAUAUAUCAACCAAAGUGUUAUUGUCCAAAUAACUCCAAACUUAAAAUAAUUCAAAUGAGAAUUAAAUUUUUAACAUUUAAACAAUGUCCAAAAUAAAAAGAGUUUAAACAAAUAUCCUAUUAAAGCCAAAUUUCCCUCCUAACGAUCACUCAUCGCUCGAACUGAGGUUACAUGAAAGAUUAUCAACAAAGGGGGAUGAGCUCAAAACCUAAUAAGAAACAUUAAUAUAGUUUCAUGGAUCAAACAUUUUCAAUCAUCCUUGCAAAUAGGAGAUAUAACAUAUACUUAUUUUCAUAAAAAAAAAAAUUUUGAGUUCAAAAUGUUAAUACAUUCAAACUUUUCAACAAAACUUUCUCAUAUUCAUUUCAAAACCAAAUCAAAUACAUUCAAAAUAUCUUUACUCAAGUUAUCAAAUGACAAAUGGUACCCAAUUAGGUGGUACUUCACAAUUGAGCAACUAGUUUCAAAUUUGUUCCAUUUAAGGUGAACGAAACCAAAUGUCAACAAUUACAACUUGUUGACUAGGGUCAUAUAAUCCAAAGUCAAACACUUUAUUUCAUUAAUUCAAACUUACAAAACAAAAUAUCGUAUCUCCUCAAUAUUACUGUUGUUACUGUUGCUCCUCUUCAGCAUCAGCAAGUACAAAUUUGAAGCAGGACAGUGUGUCCUUAUGCUUCAUAAACUCCUCUUGAACCAUACAUCUCUACGAAAACAAAAUACCCUAACUUCAUCAAAAGAUUGUCAACAAUAUUACUGAAUGAAAUUUGUUCAGCCAUCUUUCAAAGGUCUAAGGGAAAAUGAAAGGAGUUUUAGCAACAGAAAAAAUGAGAAAAGCCAAGUGAGGACUGAAGGGUCUGAAUAAACUUGGGUGUGUUUGCUCUGUUCAAUUCAAGUGGGAUUAAUUACUUGACCCUCAUGAUUGACCUACCCACCAUAUUUUUCAUUUUUUUUUCUUAUUAAAAUUUUCAGACAAAUAAAAUUACUUGAAAAUUAUUGGAUAUUACUUAUUAUUUAAAAAUUAAAAUAAAAAUUGCUAACCUUCUUGUAAUAUAAUUAGUAAACAUAUUUUCAUUUUAUAAGCUAUAAUCAAACUGGUUUAUAUAUCCUAUUUUUAAAAAUAACAAAGACAGAAAAUUGUCCAUUGAGCACCUAAAUAUUUUAAACUCAUUAUAAUGAAAAAAAAAUGUCCAAAAUAUUUAUUAAAAAAACUAGUUUAAUUUUAUAAUCAUUUUUCAACCCAUAAAUUAUCCAAAAAUAAACUAAAAUCUUUAUCAAGGUUUUUCUAAGUAGAAUUUAAAAAAUGAGAAAUUAAUAUUUGAAACUCCUAAAAAUCAUUAAAUUAAAAUUUAAAAAAAUAAAAUUUGUUUGAUUGUAUUAGAAUCGACAAUAGAAAUGCAAACAUGAGUUUAUAGCUCUUAACAGAUUAGAUUAUGAAACUAAAUGUAUUUUAGAUAGUGGAGUUAGUUCAUACAACAGAAAGGAUGAGGUAUCCAAGAUGUCAAAUAAGGUUGGGGUUGAAGGAAGUGAAGGGAAAUUACCAUAGAUGUGAAAUCGAAAAGGUUGUGAUCCCAUAAGACAUCACUUGACAAUAUCCAAGAAAAUGAAUGACAAAACAUCAGAAUAUCAACAAGCAGAUUGCAUACUUUAUAUCAAGGUAUUUAAUCGUUCUGAUGCAAGCAUUUGAAAUUUUUUUGUUGCAGAAGCUCAAACAUUUCCUAAUAGAUCAUAUCGGUGGGUUGAUGCUAGAGAUGUUGUCAAUGCACACAUUCAAGCAUAUGAGAUCCCAAAGCCAGUGGAAGAUACUGCUUAGUAGAGAGGGAUUUACACUAUUCUGAGACACUGAAGAUUUUGCACAAGCUCUACCCUAAUUUACCCCUGCCCAAAAAGUAAGUUUCUAUUAGUUAUUGCUAGUACUCGUUUGUGCCAUCAUUAGAGUACUUGCCAUUUAAUCUUCUUUUUUUAAUCUUUUGUAAUAUUGUUUGUUGUAAUAGUAGAAUGAUUGUUUCUAUCCAUUAGAUGUAAAUAUGGUGAGACAAACCAUAUUUAAAACCCUACAUGCGUCAUAUUAAUAAUUUAUUUUUAAUCUUUAUAUUAAUGCAUCAAUAAAUGGUAUUGAAGAAAUUACUAGUACAACAAAGGUUACAAGAUUAUAAGUGGGAUCACUCUGAUACAAUGAUGGGAUAAAAGAAAUAGAUGGGGUUAUUGAAUGCAAACCUCCAUACAUAAAUGAUAGAGACUUAACUUGUUCAAUAUAAGUUCCUUGAUGUAAAAUAUCAAUUUUGUUUUCCAAAGUCUUUAUGGCUAUUGGCUUUUCCAUGGAAUACCAAAGAAAGAAAAAAAAAAACAAACCCUCCUUACCUGAGAGUUCAUUUGAACCUUGUUUUUAUUAAUCCAAACCCUAUUGAUUUAUAUAUGACCUAUCAUGGGACUAUGAAGAGUUUUAAAACAACUCAAAGAUAACAAAAAAAAAAAAAUUGAGGUUAAAUAGUGAAAACUACAUUAGAUUCCAAUAAUAGUUUUUACGAUAUAAUGUUGCAUUGGCAGGUUUCAUAAAAAAAUGAAUUAUUCUAUGAAUACUAUUUUUGAUUCCAAAUUUUGAAUUUUCUAAUUCCUUAGUUUAGUGGUGGGUCCCAUAGAAAUUGAAAGUUGUGGAAAAGUAGAAUAUGGACACAAUUUUUUACUUAAUGAGUAGAUUUUACAACACCUUCAAGUAAUUACCCUAAAAAUGAUAGGUCAUUGCAUUGUAAAUAUAUUAAAUUUAAUUGAGAGAUUAUUUAUAAAAAAUAUCAUCAUUUUUUUAAAAGAAUAAUAUGAUCUUACCAUCGUCUCGGGUAGGAAAGCAAUUUAUGGUGGUGUUAGAUUUUUCUUAAUAUAUUCUUGUUCCUUUUUCUUUUUUUCUUUUUGGUGCAUAUUGUAAGUGUGGACCCCGCCCUUUCGAUUGCUCGAAUGCGUUUCCCACUCGAUGGCUAGCUCGAUUUAUUAUUUUAUUUCAAAAAUUGAUUUUUAUUGAUUAUUUGAAAAUGACUUGGAGUCGCCACUUAUUUUUGUUUUAUUUUUAAAGGGUAAACAAAAUAAGAAAGAAAAACCCUAAGUGUGACUCCUUAUUUUGGAAAAUGUGAUCUACGAAAAACCGGAUCAGGUUCGGGGGUCAGGUUACUUAUCGGGAAGGUACGGUAAAGACCGUAGCACCCCUCUAAGUCCCUAAAGUCGGGUCUCUACUAAUAAGAUGAAGCUGACGUGGCAGUCAAUAAGAAAAUCGAUGAAUACUCAAAUCGAUCAUGCACAAUACGAGAAGCAAAACAUGUAUAAAGAACGAACAAAAUAUGAAUAGAUGCGUACCUGGGCGGCAAUCACGAAUGCGCUAUCAUGAAACAUGGUGAGUGAACAAUGAACAUAUAUAAUUAAGCGCAUAUCAAGGAAUAGAGUAGAUCAACCAUGCAUGACAAAUAAAUAAAUCAAUCAGUCAAUCAAUCAUGAAGUCAAGUAUGUGGGGCCCCCACCAAAGCCCGAUUUAUCUUUGUAUGAAUUAGUUCCAUAAAUUCCACUAUUUGGAAUAACAGAAUUAAAUUCGUACUUAUUUUAAAACAUUUUAAAAGUCCAAGAAGGAUUUAAAAAUUGCUUACCGAAUAGAAAAUGGAAGCAAAUUUGAUUAGAAAGGGAUUUAUUGUCUUUAAGAUUACUAAGGAAAAAAAUAAAAUAAAAUGGAAAAUAAAUAAAUAAAUAAAUGAGAAAAUGAAAUAAUAAAAUGAAAAUAAUAGAAUAGAGUGAAAUAACGGAAAUAUUAAGGAGUAGAGAAAACUGUUUGAAAAACGAGUUUUUGAAAUCAAUUUUUGGAAGUAAAGAUGGAGAAAUUAAAAAAAAUGAAAUCCACUUGUUUUAAUAAUGGCUCACCCAAGGAGGCCAUGCGCGCCAUGCAUAAGUGGGUCUUAGGGAUUUGCGUGGCAGUGGGAAAUAAGAGAUUUUCAAUGCGUCAAACUGAUAACUUCCACAAUGGUUGAAAUGUCAUUCGUUCAUGCUACCCGCCAUCUAUAGAAGGAUGAUCCCGGCCGUUCGUUUUGACUCAAAUGCUUUCUUGUAGAUUCUGUUAGAUUAAUUUUUGUAAUUAAUCUAUAAUUUGGGCCACACAUGUAAAUAAUUAAAAUGUGUGUGCUAUCAUUUAAUUAAGCCUAAAUAUAGUGAUCUAAUUAAUAAUUGAUUAAUUGGCUUAAGGGUAUAAUUGUCAUGAGAUUAUUGUGUAGAUACCAUUAGACAAUUAUUAUUUCUAUGAGGGGCAGAAAUAUAAUUGUGAUAAAAUUAAAACUGCCCUAGCAGUUUAUAAAUAGGGUUAUGGUCCCCAUUCUACGACUACGCAUUCCAAUUUCUGAAAAUCCUCUCAGAGAGAAAUUGACACAGAAUCUAGUGGCUAGAAUUGGAAGACCAUCUCAAAGGGUUUUUUUUUCUAUAAGGUUUCUCCUUCAAUGGAUUCAGGUAUGCUUCCGCUAUUAUUUUUCUACUCAUUGUUUUUAAUCAGGAGAUUCCAGUGUAUAUAUAAAUUAAGGUAUUCACCUUGUUAAAUAUUUCAGUACAUAUGUAGUUAGGGUAUUCACCCUAUUAAAUAUUCCAGUACAUAUGUAGUUAGGGUAUUCACCCAGUUAACUAUUCCAGUAUAUAUGAAAUCAGGGUAUUCAUCUUGGUUGAAUACUAACAAGUGGUAUCAGAGCCUACUCCUUGAUUAAUUCUUUGAGUUAUUAUUUUAAUAUAUAUAUGUCAAUGGAUUAAGAUUUAUGAAAUAUUGAGUUGAUAAAUUUUUAUUUUAUUAUUAUUAUUAUUAUUAUUAUUAUUAUUAUUAUUUAAUAGCAUUUUAUGAUAUUAAUAUUUAAGUUAUUGAUCUAGCAUUUUAAAUAGGCUAAUUAAAGCGGAAAAUCACCAAAGUGACAUCUUCCGUGUAGAUUAGUCUGUUCGGGGUGUUAGAUAUUUGUGUGUAUGUGAUUCAUGCGGGUAUUGACUGGCCCAAAGGAAAGUUAAUAUUUGGUUAAAUUGCAUACAUACUUGUGGUGAUAAAUAUGUGAUGAUUAUAAAGGUAACUUAAUGUGAAUAAUAAAUCAAUCCAAAGAUAGAUUUAUUAUUUGACAUAACUUAUCAUCAAUGUUUGAUCACUACAACAAGAGUACCACUUACAGUUAAUAUUACUGUCCAAAGACUUAAUAUUAAUGUUGUGCUAGGUAUCUUGAAAUGUCAUAAUUUGCUUUUAAAUUUAAAGAUUAUGUGUUUAAUUGCUUAUUUUAUGUGAGCAUGAUGGUUUAUUUGAUUCAUUUNNNNNNNNNNNNNNNNNNNNNNNNNNNNNNNNNNNNNNNNNNNNNNNNNNNNNNNNNNNNNNNNNNNNNNNNNNNNNNNNNNNNNNNNNNNNNNNNNNNNNNNNNNNNNNNNNNNNNNNNNNNNNNNNNNNNNNNNNNNNNNNNNNNNNNNNNNNNNNNNNNNNNNNNNNNNNNNNNNNNNNNNNNNNNNNNNNNNNNNNNNNNNNNNNNNNNNNNNNNNNNNNNNNNNNNNNNNNNNNNNNNNNNNNNNNNNNNNNNNNNNNNNNNNNNNNNNNNNNNNNNNNNNNNNNNNNNNNNNNNNNNNNNNNNNNNNNNNNNNNNNNNNNNNNNNNNNNNNNNNNNNNNNNNNNNNNNNNNNNNNNNNNNNNNNNNNNNNNNNNNNNNNNNNNNNNNNNNNNNNNNNNNNNNNNNNNNNNNNNNNNNNNNNNNNNNNNNNNNNNNNNNNNNNNNNNNNNNNNNNNNNNNNNNNNNNNNNNNNNNNNNNNNNNNNNNNNNNNNNNNNNNNNNNNNNNNNNNNNNNNNNNNNNNNNNNNNNNNNNNNNNNNNNNNNNNNNNNNNNNNNNNNNNNNNNNNNNNNNNNNNNNNNNNNNNNNNNNNNNNNNNNNNNNNNNNNNNNNNNNNNNNNNNNNNNNNNNNNNNNNNNNNNNNNNNNNNNNNNNNNNNNNNNNNNNNNNNNNNNNNNNNNNNNNNNNNNNNNNNNNNNNNNNNNNNNNNNNNNNNNNNNNNNNNNNNNNNNNNNNNNNNNNNNNNNNNNNNNNNNNNNNNNNNNNNNNNNNNNNNNNNNNNNNNNNNNNNNNNNNNNNNNNNNNNNNNNNNNNNNNNNNNNNNNNNNNNNNNNNNNNNNNNNNNNNNNNNNNNNNNNNNNNNNNNNNNNNNNNNNNNNNNNNNNNNNNNNNNNNNNNNNNNNNNNNNNNNNNNNNNNNNNNNNNNNNNNNNNNNNNNNNNNNNNNNNNNNNNNNNNNNNNNNNNNNNNNNNNNNNNNNNNNNNNNNNNNNNNNNNNNNNNNNNNNNNNNNNNNNNNNNNNNNNNNNNNNNNNNNNNNNNNNNNNNNNNNNNNNNNNNNNNNNNNNNNNNNNNNNNNNNNNNNNNNNNNNNNNNNNNNNNNNNNNNNNNNNNNNNNNNNNNNNNNNNNNNNNNNNNNNNNNNNNNNNNNNNNNNNNNNNNNNNNNNNNNNNNNNNNNNNNNNNNNNNNNNNNNNNNNNNNNNNNNNNNNNNNNNNNNNNNNNNNNNNNNNNNNNNNNNNNNNNNNNNNNNNNNNNNNNNNNNNNNNNNNNNNNNNNNNNNNNNNNNNNNNNNNNNNNNNNNNNNNNNNNNNNNNNNNNNNNNNNNNNNNNNNNNNNNNNNNNNNNNNNNNNNNNNNNNNNNNNNNNNNNNNNNNNNNNNNNNNNNNNNNNNNNNNNNNNNNNNNNNNNNNNNNNNNNNNNNNNNNNNNNNNNNNNNNNNNNNNNNNNNNNNNNNNNNNNNNNNNNNNNNNNNNNNNNNNNNNNNNNNNNNNNNNNNNNNNNNNNNNNNNNNNNNNNNNNNNNNNNNNNNNNNNNNNNNNNNNNNNNNNNNNNNNNNNNNNNNNNNNNNNNNNNNNNNNNNNNNNNNNNNNNNNNNNNNNNNNNNNNNNNNNNNNNNNNNNNNNNNNNNNNNNNNNNNNNNNNNNNNNNNNNNNNNNNNNNNNNNNNNNNNNNNNNNNNNNNNNNNNNNNNNNNNNNNNNNNNNNNNNNNNNNNNNNNNNNNNNNNNNNNNNNNNNNNNNNNNNNNNNNNNNNNNNNNNNNNNNNNNNNNNNNNNNNNNNNNNNNNNNNNNNNNNNNNNNNNNNNNNNNNNNNNNNNNNNNNNNNNNNNNNNNNNNNNNNNNNNNNNNNNNNNNNNNNNNNNNNNNNNNNNNNNNNNNNNNNNNNNNNNNNNNNNNNNNNNNNNNNNNNNNNNNNNNNNNNNNNNNNNNNNNNNNNNNNNNNNNNNNNNNNNNNNNNNNNNNNNNNNNNNNNNNNNNNNNNNNNNNNNNNNNNNNNNNNNNNNNNNNNNNNNNNNNNNNNNNNNNNNNNNNNNNNNNNNNNNNNNNNNNNNNNNNNNNNNNNNNNNNNNNNNNNNNNNNNNNNNNNNNNNNNNNNNNNNNNNNNNNNNNNNNNNNNNNNNNNNNNNNNNNNNNNNNNNNNNNNNNNNNNNNNNNNNNNNNNNNNNNNNNNNNNNNNNNNNNNNNNNNNNNNNNNNNNNNNNNNNNNNNNNNNNNNNNNNNNNNNNNNNNNNNNNNNNNNNNNNNNNNNNNNNNNNNNNNNNNNNNNNNNNNNNNNNNNNNNNNNNNNNNNNNNNNNNNNNNNNNNNNNNNNNNNNNNNNNNNNNNNNNNNNNNNNNNNNNNNNNNNNNNNNNNNNNNNNNNNNNNNNNNNNNNNNNNNNNNNNNNNNNNNNNNNNNNNNNNNNNNNNNNNNNNNNNNNNNNNNNNNNNNNNNNNNNNNNNNNNNNNNNNNNNNNNNNNNNNNNNNNNNNNNNNNNNNNNNNNNNNNNNNNNNNNNNNNNNNNNNNNNNNNNNNNNNNNNNNNNNNNNNNNNNNNNNNNNNNNNNNNNNNNNNNNNNNNNNNNNNNNNNNNNNNNNNNNNNNNNNNNNNNNNNNNNNNNNNNNNNNNNNNNNNNNNNNNNNNNNNNNNNNNNNNNNNNNNNNNNNNNNNNNNNNNNNNNNNNNNNNNNNNNNNNNNNNNNNNNNNNNNNNNNNNNNNNNNNNNNNNNNNNNNNNNNNNNNNNNNNNNNNNNNNNNNNNNNNNNNNNNNNNNNNNNNNNNNNNNNNNNNNNNNNNNNNNNNNNNNNNNNNNNNNNNNNNNNNNNNNNNNNNNNNNNNNNNNNNNNNNNNNNNNNNNNNNNNNNNNNNNNNNNNNNNNNNNNNNNNNNNNNNNNNNNNNNNNNNNNNNNNNNNNNNNNNNNNNNNNNNNNNNNNNNNNNNNNNNNNNNNNNNNNNNNNNNNNNNNNNNNNNNNNNNNNNNNNNNNNNNNNNNNNNNNNNNNNNNNNNNNNNNNNNNNNNNNNNNNNNNNNNNNNNNNNNNNNNNNNNNNNNNNNNNNNNNNNNNNNNNNNNNNNNNNNNNNNNNNNNNNNNNNNNNNNNNNNNNNNNNNNNNNNNNNNNNNNNNNNNNNNNNNNNNNNNNNNNNNNNNNNNNNNNNNNNNNNNNNNNNNNNNNNNNNNNNNNNNNNNNNNNNNNNNNNNNNNNNNNNNNNNNNNNNNNNNNNNNNNNNNNNNNNNNNNNNNNNNNNNNNNNNNNNNNNNNNNNNNNNNNNNNNNNNNNNNNNNNNNNNNNNNNNNNNNNNNNNNNNNNNNNNNNNNNNNNNNNNNNNNNNNNNNNNNNNNNNNNNNNNNNNNNNNNNNNNNNNNNNNNNNNNNNNNNNNNNNNNNNNNNNNNNNNNNNNNNNNNNNNNNNNNNNNNNNNNNNNNNNNNNNNNNNNNNNNNNNNNNNNNNNNNNNNNNNNNNNNNNNNNNNNNNNNNNNNNNNNNNNNNNNNNNNNNNNNNNNNNNNNNNNNNNNNNNNNNNNNNNNNNNNNNNNNNNNNNNNNNNNNNNNNNNNNNNNNNNNNNNNNNNNNNNNNNNNNNNNNNNNNNNNNNNNNNNNNNNNNNNNNNNNNNNNNNNNNNNNNNNNNNNNNNNNNNNNNNNNNNNNNNNGAGCAAAUUUUGAGCUCAUAAGGUUAAACACAUUUAUUUGAUUACAUAUGCAUGUGGCCCAGUGGGAGAUUGUUAGAUUAAUUUUUGUAAUUAAUCUAUAAUUUGGGCCACACAUGUAAAUAAUUAAAAUGUGUGUGCUAUCAUUUAAUUAAGCCUAAAUAUAGUGAUCUAAUUAAUAAUUGAUUAAUUGGCUUAAGGGUAUAAUUGUCAUGAGAUUAUUGUGUAGAUACCAUUAGACAAUUAUUAUUUCUAUGAGGGGCAGAAAUAUAAUUGUGAUAAAAUUAAAACUGCCCUAGCAGUUUAUAAAUAGGGUUAUGGUCCCCAUUCUACGACUACGCAUUCCAAUUUCUGAAAAUCCUCUCAGAGAGAAAUUGACACAGAAUCUAGUGGCUAGAAUUGGAAGACCAUCUCAAAGGGUUUUUUUUUCUAUAAGGUUUCUCCUUCAAUGGAUUCAGGUAUGCUUCCGCUAUUAUUUUUCUACUCAUUGUUUUUAAUCAGGAGAUUCCAGUGUAUAUAUAAAUUAAGGUAUUCACCUUGUUAAAUAUUUCAGUACAUAUGUAGUUAGGGUAUUCACCUUAUUAAAUAUUCCAGUACAUAUGUAGUUAGGGUAUUCACCCAGUUAACUAUUCCAGUAUAUAUGAAAUCAGGGUAUUCAUCUUGGUUGAAUACUAACAGAUUCUUGAGCUACUCCUCUCGUGUCCUCUCAAACGCAUCGUAAUCCCCCAGGUAAGACUUCAGUCAUAAAACAUCAUGAAGGUCAAGAAGAUUCAUGGGUACAUCAAGUCGUAAUGAAUCAGGUUCUAUACACGGUGCACGAGCAAGAGCAAUUCGCGUUUGCCAACUUUCAGAAAAGGUUUUCUUGUUGCUCUAUGCCGCAUUCUAGGAGUGAAACCGAGAUCCACAAGAACGGAGCCUGCACGGGACUUAGCGGAGUAUGCAUCAAUGAACUCAAUCCUUUUGUAUGUCUCUUCAAGCCUUUGUCCAACAACAUCUUUGUCAAUAUCCCCAUUCAGUUUCUCUUGGCUCUCUAGUCUGCUACUCUCUGGAUCUUGGCGAAGGCUGUAAACGAUUCUACUGCUCAGCGUUCCAACUGAACCUCCUUUCCAUAGCAGCCAUUUUGAGUGGAUUCUCCUUUCUGCUUAGGUCCAUUAGCAUCAUGAAAGGCGUGACUUUUGCUGAAGGUGAUAGAAGCCAAUGUCGGGAAUCUUCUCUAACCGGACCCCAUCAAUACUUAAUAGCCCGAUUCCAAUAAGCCUUGAGUUCCGAGGACUGGGCGCGCUUUAAACAGAUUGAAAAUUCCCCGACUCUGUGAUUAUGAGGAUUGCCCUGUAAACUUGGAAAAAAUAACAUAGUUGAUGACAGAUUCUAAGUCUAGUCCCAGAAUAGAAUCUUUCUUGAAGAAGGUCAUGCCACCCUAAGGCCUUUAAGCAACUUGUGUGCUGUUGUCAUUACAAUAUCACAGGGCUUAAAGGGGUCAGCAACCACGGAAGCAGCAACAAGUCCAUUAAUGGGAGCCAUAUCCACCAUGAGAAAAAUCAUCAACGCCACCUGUAGAUUCAUCAAUUCGAUAAGGCAUAGACUCAAAAUGAAUUGAUGUGUCUGAUGCCCGUCUUUUAAGAGUCAUGAGACCAUGAGACAAGUGGCUCUAUGAGGUGAAUUUAAACCCAAGGCUCUGUCAUGUAGAUUAAGAAGGGCAGUAUACGCUUCAAAGUUAGCUGGAGAGCCAGAUAAUGCUUGAACAUUGAUACCCCACUUCCUAUCGUCUAAGUGAAAUGCUGCCAAAACCCUCUUCUGUCAGAGUGUUCCCAGCUCAUCAAUGAGCUCGUUAUCACCAUAAUACUUUUUACCAAGCAAUCCCUCAGAACAUUUGUUUGGUGAGGCAAGGAUCAAUGGCUUCCAUCAUUGUCCGGGAUGUAAAAUCCUCUGAAGCAAUAAACUCUAAACUCUUCAUUUGUUGUUUUUUCCCUCAGGAAAUCCCCUUCAUGAAACCGUCUUCUGGUCCCGAGCUUUGGAAACCGUGCCCAUAUGAAAACCCGAGGCUCAUGCUGGACCAAAACCCUUCUCCUUGAGGGUAUGAAUGGCCAUCGAGAACAGAGUAUAAACAGCAAGGGAGCAAAUACAAAAACAGAGUAUCAACUGAACCAAAGAAAACACUAACCCGAGCUCCAUUUCAUAUUGGAGCCAGUGGGCUUAUGCAUGGGUGGGAAAAACCAGGGGAAACUAAGAUCUCAAAGAUAUGACUCAAAUAUUCAAAUGAGAGUUAUAAAGGAAUCAGAUUAUACUAAAACAAUUUUUCAAUGAAGAGCAAAGCACGGAUACAUUAUCACAAAGUAACAGCAACCCAAAUGACAUCAAUGGAAAUCCAAAAUGUGGUCUAGCAAACGUACCUGAGGAUGUUCCUUUUCUUCCCUUUAUUUUCUUUUAAUUUCUCUCUGGUUUUCCUCUCGAACUCACCCACAAAACCAGUCUGCUCCUCUCUGUUUUCUCUCCAGUGUUUUUCCCCUCAAACGCUUUCUCUCAUCCUAAAAGCACUCUGGUUCUCUCAGCCUCCUUCUCCAGAAUCUCCCUUCUCUCACCUUAGCAGCCUGCUCACUGCAAAAUCCGCCACCAAAAGCCCCCACCACUACUCUGCAGCCUUCUCCUCUCUUUCAGCUCCCUGCUCCUCUCCAGCUUGCUCCUCCUUUUUCUCUCACUCUCCCUGCAGCUGCAUCCUCCCUCUCUACCCAAAGUAACCCAACCAAAAACUCCUGCCCCCACUCUAAUGGAAAAGCAUCUCCCUCUCUCAUCCGCUCCUCCCUGCAGCUGGCAAAACGGUUUGCAACUUUUGCAGAUUCCCUCACACCCCGUGUCACCUUCUCAUUGGCUCUUAAAACCACUAUUUUGAUUCCACAACAGCCAAUCUCAGGACAGCAUGUGGACUCCUAGGAUGGUGACAUCUGGCCAUAGCUAGCUGCAAGAAAGGAAACGUGAGAAAAAUCACAGCUCCCCAAAAUGGGGGUCUACAGUAAGGUUUCAAGUUCCUUUAGAAAUAUGAACAACGAUGAAGAGUUAGAAAUUUUGGAACAUUAAGUACAUAGUUAAAGCCAUGUUUAGAUAGUUGAAAUUCCUAUAAAAAAAAAAUACAAAAAUGAAAAAAUGAAAGAAGUUCAAAUUUUAUUUGAUUAUCUUAAAAAAUAAAAGAAAUUACAAAUAAUGAAAAUUGUUUAGAUUUUAUAUACUUUCUAAUGUUUACUCUUUAUAGACAAAAAAAACAAAUAAUUUUUUUUGAGGUUCUGAAAAUAAUUAAACUUAAGCUUAAUUUUUGUUUUUCUUGAUUUUUAAUGCCUUUCAUAAUUUUCCUUUACAAUUUUUCCCACUUAAUCCAAAACUUUCCAAGGUCUAAAUUUCAUAGGUGUUUCAUCUUCUUUUUAAUUAAGAAGUUUUGAAUGUUUCAAUUCAAAUUCCACAAUAAGGUAAUAAAACCUUAAAAUUAAUAUUACAUCUAGGUUGACUUGGUAAUCAACUUGAACCAAACCUAAAUUAAGAAACAUUCAGUCCUAACCUAACCAAAUAUAGCCUCAAAUAUGAGGUGUAUAGUUAAAACUCAACUUAUUUCUAUAUAUUAAAGUGAGGCUUAAAUUGACUCUGGUAUACUUGUAGUCGAGUUGAGUUGUUUAAGUUGUAUAAUCAGAGCUAAGUUUUGUAAGAUUGAAUUGGGGUGAACUCAUUCAUAAUGUUUAUUUUUUUUAACUUCUUUUAUAUCAUAAUUUAAAUAGCAAAUAGGACAACAUUUAAACAUAAUAAAAAAAAUGAGAAUGAAUUUAUGUAUCUUUCUUACAAAAAUGAAAUAAUAUAAUUAAAAUUUAAUAUUUUUUUAAAUACUAAAAAACAUAAAAUAGAUAUUAUUAUAUAAAAUACAAUAAAUUACAAAUAUUAUAAAAAUAUAAAAAUUAGGUUAUAUAUGUAUGUAUGUAUGAAUGUAUGUAUAAAAUAGUAGUGUGAUAGGUGUUUGCUACUUGUAAAAAGUAUUUUUGCUCAUUUUUAAAUUGAAAUUAAUAAAAAGAAAAAGAAAUAAAAUGUUUUCAAAAAUAUUAAAUGCAUAACUAAUAUUAUGCUAAUGAAGUUUUUUGUUCUUUGUAAUUUAGAGUUGUCUCAUUCAUAUUUUAAGGUAAACUAAUAGAACAUUAAACUCCCCAAUAUUGUAUCCAUCUAGAAUUUAUCACCAUUUUAUUUUAUAUCAUAUCACAAUUAUAUUAAUUAGUGGCUUCAAGAAAAAAAAAAAUUAUUUAUAUGUUAGACAACAUGGAAAAGAUAUAUUUUUUAAUGCUUAUUAAUAAUUUUUAUUUCAAAUUUUAAAACAUGAAUAUAUAAAUUUUAACAAUUAUGAAAUAUUAGUCUAAAUAUCUUUUAAUAUUUGGUUAUGUUUGCAAAGCAUUUUUAAUAAAAAUUAUGAAAAACAAUUUUUGAGAGUAAUUUACAAAAACAUUUUUUAUUUAUUUUUAAAUAUAUUUUAAAAAUAACUUUAUCUCAUAUAUAGUACUUUAUUUUAAUCGUUCUCUAUUUAAAAUAACUCUAUGAAAAGAAACGAAAAUAAUUAAAAGAUUUAUCUUAAAACAUUUUAUUUUUUUAUUUUUAUGAAUAGAAAACUUUUUUUUUUUGUCAAAUGUGUCUUCUUGUUUUUGUUUUUGUUUUUUUAAAAAACAAAAAACUGUUUUAAAAAAUAAUUACCAACCAUGCUUGAACACAAAGCCCGAAGCUCCCGUGGGGCUGGUUUUGGGCCUUUUAGGUUUGGGAAAAACAGUCGGGCCUGGCUGAGCACAAAUUCUUCUCUUUUAAAUCCAAAAAGCCCGUCUCAAGCCCAAACUUCAGGUUGGGCCGGGAAGCUCCUGGCUUAACACAAAUUAUUCUCUUUUAAGUCCAAAAAUACAGUCUGAAGCCCAAAAUUUCGGGUUGGUCCGGCCGGGCGGGCGGAUAUGAAAUAUAAGAAAAUAAAUAGGGAAAACUGUGUUUUGGUCCGCCCAUUUGGGCCUAAUAGCUUUUUGGUAACCCAACUUUCCAUAACCCAAAAAAUGUCCACUGUUGCCCAAAAAAAUAUCCCUUUCAUGCACUAUCCACUGUUUUAUAAUUUCAUUUCCAAAAUUACCCCUCCAGCCUUCCAUAUCAGCAGCCAUCUCCCUCUCCAUGUCACGGGUUGUGCUUUCAAAUAAACACAAAAAUCUUAAACAAGUUAGCAAAACCCACGCAAGACCUGACUCUGAAAUUUGGGAAACCAGGUUAGGGCAAAAGGAGAGAAAGUCACAGAGAGUCCUUAGCUUCUUUCUCUUCUCUCUCUUUUCUCUCUGUUGUGUGAAUUUCUCAGUGAAAAAUCGAAAGCUUGUAAGCUGUAAUCGAAAGUUAGGUUCAGUGCUUUUUUGGUACUUUGUCGGAUGGCCCAAGCAGCCAGUAGCAGAUACUCAAAUUUUAUGCUUGGGUUUUACUUGAAUGCUCAUACAUUAGCUGUCAUCUUCAAGGUCCAUUUGGUUUUAAUGCAUCUGGAUCACGCAGCUGAGCAGAGGAAAGAGGAAAUGAAUCUGUUACUGGUUUGAUAUUUUUGGGGCUUAGGUGCUUACGAGCUGUACGGUGUAAGCAAAAUCCUCGUUAAAAGUCUAACUUAAGACAACUGGCUCUAAAUAGCAUAUGGCCCGGCGUUGAAAGUGGCUGUAGCCUACAAUCUCAAAUCAAGGGGUAAGUCCCAUACCAUUUAAAAGAAUUGUGACCUUCAGUGUCAGAAAUUUUCAGUUAAAUACAAAUGAAUUGCAUCUUCUUCACUGAAUUUUCAGCCUCCGGUUUCAUCUUUGCGAGGUGAGAUUCACAUUCAUUUUCCAUUGAUCGAAUUCCCCCUCCUCUGCCACAGCCUGGCUAGGGACUCGGUUAAGUUAAGAUGCUAACACUGAAUGAAAAUUGAUUCCAACAAUUUUCAUCAAUCAAUUCCUCAAGUACAAAAGCAGAUGGUGUAUGGUGGAUUGCAGUAAUAGAUGAAGUUGGUUUAGUUUAUCCCUCCUUUGAUGGGCACAAGGAUAAAACCAUCUAUUGCUGGGCAAGGUAGCUAGAUGCAGCUUUCCCCAGAAGGCUCGAGGUAGCAGAAUGUCCAUUUUGGUCUCAAGUCGUUCAACAUUGCUGAAGUUCCUUUGCAAUCCUAAUGGAGACUGCCAUUGGGCAGUUUGUCUUAAUUGCGUUGGAGGCAAUGUGUGACCUGCUAACAGCAUAUCCCUCCUGCAACAACCAAAUCCAACAUAUGGACUGCAUCAGUUUCUGUAAACCAUUUGUUGGAGCUCCAGACCAUAGCAAAUAUCUCCAACUUCAAUUGGGAGUGAUCAGCUUCUAUAGAACAAUAAAAUGCCAUACCAUAUUAUAAUUUCCCCUUAUAUUUUUCCCAUUCUCCUAAGCUGGGGCUUGAUGAGUUUUUAGACCAAAAGACUUGUGCAAGUAAACAUCAUCUGGAUUAGGCAACAAAAAAAAAAAUACCUGACUCUGUUUCUUGGCUAAUGACAAUUGAAAAGCCUCUAAAAGAGAACACUAGGAGGAUACCUUGUUCAGGGCGCUCAUCAUGGUCAUGAGGGGAGGAGAGUUUAUUUUUGCACGGCUUGCUACCUAGGAACAUAAGAGGAAAAUCAAUAAUGAAAUUGCAUUCAAUUUCCAAGCCAUGCAACAGAGCCUGAGAAUUAAUUCACAACCAAAUCAAGAAUCUAAAACACAAAAUUAUGUUAUUUGCAAGUAAACCUCAUCCAAUUUGAUGUAUCCAAAUGGUAAUUUAGGGUCACUCUCAUCGAUCAUUUGCUUCAGAAGUUUUCCCAGAUGAGUUUCAGUGUCAUUGCCAGUCCAUCCCCAUUGCUCAGCUAAAUUUAGCAUUUCUGUAAGGUAGGAAGCAUUAUGGCAGAGAUUAUCAAAUACAGUGGUUUUGCUUUUAAGUUGCUUAGGUAUUACCUUAAUGACCUUUAGGUACUACCUUAGUGGCCUUCAGGUACUACCUUAAGGGCCCCUAGGUACUACCUUACCAAAACUUCAACUCAACCUCUCCUAAGCCUCGGGUUUUCCUUUGUGACCCUUAGACCAUGCCAUUAUAUGCUUCUCUUGAGUCCUCAAGUGGUCCACCAAUGGUUUUAUGCUACUGUUCCUUAGGUACUACCUUAGUGCCCUUAAGGUACUACCUUAGUGGCCUUCAGGUACUACCUUAAGGGACACUAGGUACUACCUUAGCAAACUUCAACUCAACAUCUCCCAAGCCUCGGGUCUUCCUUUGUCACCCUUAGACCAUGCCAUUAUAUGCUUCUCUUGAGUCCUCAAAUGGUCCACCAAUGGUUUUUUGCUACUGUUCCUUAGGUACUACCUUAGUGGCCUUAAGGUACUACCUUAGUGGCCUUCAGGUACUACCUUAGUGGCCUUCAGGUACUACCUUAAGGGACCCUAGGUACUACCUUCGCUAAACUUCAACUCAACAUCUCCCAAGCCUCGGGUCUUCCUUUGUCACCCUUAGACCAUGCCAUUAUAUGCUUCUCUUGAGUCCUCAAAUGGUCCACCAAUGGUUUUUUGCUACUGUUCCUUAGGUACUACCUUAGUGGCCUUAAGGUACUACCUUAGUGGCCUUCAGGUACUACCUUAGUGGNNNNNNNNNNNNNNNNNNNNNNNNNNNNNNNNNNNNNNNNNNNNNNNNNNNNNNNNNNNNNNNNNNNNNNNNNNNNNNNNNNNNNNNNNNNNNNNNNNNNNNNNNNNNNNNNNNNNNNNNNNNNNNNNNNNNNNNNNNNNNNNNNNNNNNNNNNNNNNNNNNNNNNNNNNNNNNNNNNNNNNNNNNNNNNNNNNNNNNNNNNNNNNNNNNNNNNNNNNNNNNNNNNNNNNNNNNNNNNNNNNNNNNNNNNNNNNNNNNNNNNNNNNNNNNNNNNNNNNNNNNNNNNNNNNNNNNNNNNNNNNNNNNNNNNNNNNNNNNNNNNNNNNNNNNNNNNNNNNNNNNNNNNNNNNNNNNNNNNNNNNNNNNNNNNNNNNNNNNNNNNNNNNNNNNNNNNNNNNNNNNNNNNNNNNNNNNNNNNNNNNNNNNNNNNNNNNNNNNNNNNNNNNNNNNNNNNNNNNNNNNNNNNNNNNNNNNNNNNNNNNNNNNNNNNNNNNNNNNNNNNNNNNNNNNNNNNNNNNNNNNNNNNNNNNNNNNNNNNNNNNNNNNNNNNNNNNNNNNNNNNNNNNNNNNNNNNNNNNNNNNNNNNNNNNNNNNNNNNNNNNNNNNNNNNNNNNNNNNNNNNNNNNNNNNNNNNNNNNNNNNNNNNNNNNNNNNNNNNNNNNNNNNNNNNNNNNNNNNNNNNNNNNNNNNNNNNNNNNNNNNNNNNNNNNNNNNNNNNNNNNNNNNNNNNNNNNNNNNNNNNNNNNNNNNNNNNNNNNNNNNNNNNNNNNNNNNNNNNNNNNNNNNNNNNNNNNNNNNNNNNNNNNNNNNNNNNNNNNNNNNNNNNNNNNNNNNNNNNNNNNNNNNNNNNNNNNNNNNNNNNNNNNNNNNNNNNNNNNNNNNNNNNNNNNNNNNNNNNNNNNNNNNNNNNNNNNNNNNNNNNNNNNNNNNNNNNNNNNNNNNNNNNNNNNNNNNNNNNNNNNNNNNNNNNNNNNNNNNNNNNNNNNNNNNNNNNNNNNNNNNNNNNNNNNNNNNNNNNNNNNNNNNNNNNNNNNNNNNNNNNNNNNNNNNNNNNNNNNNNNNNNNNNNNNNNNNNNNNNNNNNNNNNNNNNNNNNNNNNNNNNNNNNNNNNNNNNNNNNNNNNNNNNNNNNNNNNNNNNNNNNNNNNNNNNNNNNNNNNNNNNNNNNNNNNNNNNNNNNNNNNNNNNNNNNNNNNNNNNNNNNNNNNNNNNNNNNNNNNNNNNNNNNNNNNNNNNNNNNNNNNNNNNNNNNNNNNNNNNNNNNNNNNNNNNNNNNNNNNNNNNNNNNNNUUACUUUUCUUUAUGGCUUUAUUGUGGUGAAUAUUGGAAACAGCUUGGAUUUGUUUAAUUUCCAUGGAAGGUCCAAAUAGUCCAUGAGACAUGUCUUUGUAAUAUGAGUUAAGAGAAUGUUGACUUGUUAGUGUUAGUGUUGGACGGCCCAUCCAAAUGGCAUGUAUUUAAACUUGCCAUACAGGAAUCAUAGAGACAUGUCUUUAUUUUCCCUAUAAAGUCCCAUGUCUGUUCUGAUUAACUUUCCAUGGUUUAUAAUCAAUGAAGGUGUUCACUACUCACCAUUGGAUGGUUCGGAUAUACAAAUUAAAACCUCCGAAGAACAGGAUCCGUGUAAAAACAAAGAAAUCAAAAUCGGUAUGCAUGAUAAACACCUGUAGAUUGUAUUCGUUUCUGAUUCAGUGCAAAAUUACCCACUGACCUUUUGUUGCCUCCUCCCUUUGCAGAAAGCAAGCUCCACAACCAGCUCAAAAAAAUAAGUGGAAAAAAAAAAGAAGAAUCCCUGGCAAUGAAAGGCACUUUCAGAAGAUGUUGUCUCCAAUCAGUUACUUGUAACCCACAUAUUUAAUAUCCAAAACACUAAUUUGUUCUCUUAAAAGUAAUUUCUACAGCAAUUUUAUCGUGGUCAAUCCCAAACAGGCCUUUAUUAUGAUUUCUAUAUCCAUAUCCUCUCUUUUCAAUUUCUUCCUUUCAUUUUCCCUCUCAUGUGGGAUGGGUAAACUUUGCACUUUCUAAAGUCAUCUUUAAUGUUCUAACUGAGUGGUAUCCUACAUAAAUAUUUUCUACAAACUCAGAAUGACCUCAGCGACAAAAGCCAACCCCUUGAAGUAGAGGUAUAGAAGUAAAUUGCAUUCACAGCUAAUUUUGUCCCCUAUUUUCAAUCAAGUCACAGCUAACAAUUUUAUAUAUAGCAUUCAAAUUGCAUUCCACUCCACAGACUAUACAACAUUCAGAUGCAAAAUUGUCUUCUUACCCUUCCAGAAAGCCUAUAUCUCAACCAAUCAUUCAAAACUAGGACAUAGAAAUGCCAAAAGUGCAUAAACAGAAUGCCACCUUAUGAAUCUCCACAGUAAAAUUAUCAAUCUUUUCUCAUGUCAUUCAACAUUGUUUUCAUAAUUUUCUCACUUUCAUACAAGGAGUAUAUAUUCAAAAAACAAAGAAACAGAAAAAUCAAUUAAAUAGGCAAGAUUAAUUGGACAGAGUUUCUACUGGAUAUGAGGUAGUUGGCUGAAGAAGAGAAAAAUUGAUCACUGAUAUCUGCACACUUUCUUUGAGCAUAGAAACUCCCAAGCUUAAUUAAUCUUCCAAACCAUCGAUCAAAUACACUAUUCUGAGUGAGACCGUGGAAAGGGCAUCUCAGCGAAAAAAAUCCAACAACAAAUUUUACUAUACAGGAGCUAUAUUUUAUUCCAAAAGGAGACGGUCUUUGAUCUUGAAGCCCAAAUCAAUAUAUAUAUAUAUACUAGGAGCUUCUGACUUCUCCCUGGUGUAAUAAAAAGUGAGCUACAAAAUGACCCAGAGCAGGUCCCACCUCAGAAUUACCUUCAUCUGGUCAUUUUCUUGACACCUCAUAAUUGUUACAGUUUCUUAGGCAGGUUGUAAUUUUUAUUGAGAAUGCACAUACCAUUACUGUAAUAUAUAUUACAGUCCUCAAGCUUCCUCUAUAUUCAAUGGAAUGUGUCUUAAAAUAUAGAGGGAACUAAAGCCUAACUACCCUUAUCCAAAUAACAAAAUAAACCAAGGAGCCUAUUGUGAAGUCUUCAUCUUUGAUAUCUCCUCCAACAGUAAUCUGGAUUUAGCUGCAAAAUCAACUGCCACAACAGCCUUGGCUGUUAUCCACUGCCUUUUCUCAUUCAUGUAUUCAUGUUGUGCAACACUAAUCCGGAAAAGAUGAGGGACCCAAAUAGCUUCCUUCAAUUUCUGCUGGAAUCGGUUCUCCUCUCCCUCCUGCAGAGAAAAUUGGGUUUUUAAAACAUCAGAUUUUGAAUGCCAGAAGUUCAUCAUUUUUUUCUUCCAUAGAACCCAACUAGGCUACCAAAUAAGUAACCAACUACAUAUGAAUUAAUGCAUCAAUGAGCAACUCUUUCAAGUUAACUAAGAUUUGGACAAACUCCUAGAUAUUUCAAUAUUGCCAAGAGUUUACCUGUGAUUUAAGCUUAUCAAGCUCAUCAGCAGAGCACCCAAAUAUUCUCUCUGCUUGUUCAUUAAACAGAGCAAGGCAAGCUUCACCACUAUCAUCUGAAACUUUCACUACCAUUAUGUACCUGGAAAACAUAACAGAAUGUAACAAAGAAACAUCAUUCAUAGGACAACUUUUCCUAUUUUAAAUACUAUCACUGAAUUCUUAUUGAUUCAAAUUCCAUGAAUCCCUCACCUUCAACUGCACUCAUCAUCAUUCUUUUCACAUCCUUCACACCAAUACCCAGAUUCAAUAGCAUCUGUGACUUUCUUGUUGCAUGUCUUACAAGCCUGGUACCACAUUGUUUGCUCAGGCUUGAUGAAGCUUAUGUAUGCUCUGAUGCUAAAAAAUGAAGGCUAUACAGAGACAAGCCCACAUUAUCAAAACUUAAAAUGAUUUUAACUUAAAACUUUGGCUAAGACCAGUUUGAUCAUGUUAGGUUAUUUUAAUGACAGUAAUUAUUACCUUGUCUUCACCCAAAGAUGGGUUGCUGGUUACAUGAGAAAGGGAAACCCUGUCAUAGUACAUGGACCUCACUCCACCCUUAGAUGAAGGACUGAUAUCAGACCCAAUAGAAGCUAAUCAUGAUACCUGUGAACAAGAACAUGUGGUCAGAAACUCUUACUAGAAGAACUAACAAGGUAAUAGGUCACUGGAUGAUUCCUUACCAGGAUCUCAACUUUUUUUAUUCCGGUGUAUCUGGAUUUACCAGUGCAAUACUUUUACUCAAUGUUGACAGUGACACACCUAAAACAAGAUAUGAAGAGAACAUUACAAAGAGGACUUCUUAUCAUUCUCAAGUUUUUGAGAAUGUGCUUAAUUGCCAUAAUAAUACCAAACUUCAAGAAAACAAGGGGAAUUACCUUGGAAGUCUCCAACUUUGAGAGAUUUAAUUGCAAUAAUUGGAAAUUUAUCAGCAUUAUCCAACAAUUCCUACCCUACAUUAGUAGCAUGAUCAUUCCACAAAGAGACCACAACACUUUUCUUCCUACAAUUGAAACGUCCAUAAGUUCAAUAUGAAGCAACAUUAGACCAAAGUGACCAGUGCAAAAAAUAAAAUAUACACUCACGUCUUGUCCGCAAUAGUAAUAUCACGCUUAGGAACAAUCUCAUUGUUAUUCUUCCUUCGUAUCCUCAUUGUAGGAGAGACACUUUGAACAACUCCACUAACAUCUGGAAUUAAUAAUGAUAUGGGUCAUAUUACACAAAAGCACCUAAUGAAAUUCACAUCACAACAAAAAAAGGAAGUCAAUAGUAUAAUGAUAGCUCUUUCACAUGAUACUAACAACUUUAACAUACAGAUCCAAACCAUCCAAGAAAUGAGAACUUACAACUGGCAUGUGCAAGUGAGAUCGCAUUAAUGAGGAGAACCUUGGUAUUUUCUUGUUCUUCUUUUCUCAGUGCUUUCCCAGCUUACGAACCACCUCCAGAUUCUGCACCAUUAAAUUUCCACUGAUAAAGCCUACAUGCUCGAAUAUACAAACAAUAAGCCUCUAUAUUUUUCAGCAUAUAUAAUUCUAGUAUAAAGUUUUUAGUAAUAACUAUCAAAAUCACUUGACAAGGUACUUAUCACACAAAACAUAAAUUAAUAAAUAAAAUACUUCACGGGAUAUUCAUUCUAAUGUGCGUCUUCUCUUAUCAAAACUCGCAAGAACACUAAUAAAUGGGAGCUUGAUAUUUACAAUAUACCUUAAAUUGGAUUAAAAAAGUACACCACUAUAUGGUUUUCAACAAGAUUAGCCUACUAAGAAAUGAAGCAAAAGGAAUUAUGAUAAAAUUCUUGAUGUAAUAUUACCCAUUACAACACACCAAUGAUAAGUGUUACAUAUGUGUUCUUGGUUGGUAACAACCUUUAGAAGAGUGUUCAAAACAUGUAAUGGAUAUACAAAAAACACAUAGUUUCAGUCAUGGAAGAAUGUGACAGCAUUGCACUUAAGCCAAAGGGUUGUUGCACGUUUUCCUAUUGUGCCCGGAAGUAUGACAUCUUGAGCAAGAGACAGUCCGUUUAUCUUGCAAUUGGGACUCAAUGCGCUUCUUUCUUGGUCUGCCGGGAGGCCGCUUGGUAUGGGGUGGGUUAAGAGAGAAGAAAACUUCACCGGUGAUAGAUCGAACCAAACCAUCAUUAGCGACCAUUGGCAUGUCAUGGGUCUCUAUACCGGAGAAGGAGCCCGAGUAAAUCAGCUCUUGCAUUGGGAAUUUGUACCAAUCUUGAACAAAAUCAACAACAUUCUGACCGAUGGAAAGAAUAACGGCUGCCGCAUGUUCACAAGGGAUGCCCAACAUUUCCCAACCCCUACAUGUGCAAGUACGCUUUAUAAUGUCCACAUUCAAGAAGGUGGUUCCAAUAGAAACCCCAAAUAUUCCGUUCAUGAAAGGAGUGACCGGAUACACCUCACCCUUGGCAAUUUUCUGCUGAACUUUUUCUUCAAUUUUUGGCCCUAUGCAUCCUUUCCAAUUGUUUGAUUCCUCUUUAUGUUUGACAAGCAUAGAACCUAACUUAGCCAUAUGCUCCAUUAGAAAUGUACAAAUGGAGUGAUGUCUUUCAUUCCUUAGCCAAGCAUUAAACGACUCGGCAAGGUUUGUGGUCAUUUUAUCCCAUCUUUGUUUUGGGAAUUUGGACAUAGCCCAAUGUUCGGGUUCAUUUUCUUCAACCCAUUUGGCCAAAGCGUCAUUGUAUUGUCGUAGUUCAAACAUGGAAACAUUGUAAUCGUGCUCUAACCUUGCAUAGGCUAUACUAUCAAGGAAUUGGAGUGCAUUUUCUUUACCUUUGUUCCCUCUUGUGUUAUGUUUGCUCAAGAAAGAGCUGAAAUUUUCCUUCAAGUGACAGUAACAGUAGGCAUGGUUUUCAAGCCCAAACACUUUAGGAACACUACGAAGGAGGGCGGGAUGUCUAUCCGAGAUAAUAACGACUUCCUUAUCUCCAACAAGCUUCUUCAAAUUUUGCAAAAACCAAGACCAAUCGUCAUAAUUUUUUGAGCUCAUCACGCCAAAGGCUAAGGGGAACAUGGCAUCAUUAGCAUCGUAUGCGGUCGCCGAAAAUAACGCACCCCUAUAUGGCCCACUCAUAUGGGCGGAGUCAAUAGCUAUGAUUGGCCGACACCCCAUUGCAAACCAUUGGAUAGAUACCGAAUGAGCAACAAAGAGUUGCUCAAAAUGUCCAUCACUUGAAUGUCCCAACUCAACAAUGCUUCCCGGAUUUGUUGCAACCAUUUUCUCACACAUCCAAGGCAACAAUUUGUAAUAAUAUUUGGGUUCUCCAUAAAUGCGCUCAUUUGCCUUCUCCUUGAUAUUCCAUGCUUGAAGAUACGUCAAUUGCAUCCCAUGUUGCCUUUGAAAGUCCUUACAAAUUUGGCAGGGUUGGUAAUUGGGAGUGGACCGGAUGACAUCAUCAAUAAGCAAUGAUGCCCGAUUAGAUCUCACUAAAGGUUGGCAUGCAGCAACAUCUUCCAAACUAUGAUUAUGAUGGUUAUGAAAAGUGUGAACCUGGAUGAUGUUCGAAUCCCCAAUUGCACGAGCUGUGACUUUCCAAGGACAUUGAGUAACUGUGCAAACAACUGUCAUGUGUUUCAUAGUAUUCCUCUUGAAGCGAUAACGGAAUCUACCAGCAAUUGACAUCAAAUAAACGGCAUCACGGAACUUGGCAGCAUUGGAGAAGGUAUGUCCACUACCCAUAAUGGAAUUUUCAAACCGCCUUGAGUCACGUUCGAGUAUAUUUGCUUCCGCACAUCUAUGGGAAAACCCAUAUGACUCAAUUGUAAGAGAGUCAUUACAAAUAUUAAUUGGCAGAUCGCCACCGGAUGGAAGUAAGUGUGCAGAAUUCGAACCAACAAUAGGAGAAGGGGCACUACAAAGGAAGAAAAAAAAAAUCAUCCAUCUACAUAUAUUUGAAGAAAAGUUAAUAGACAUAGUGGAUGAGAUGUUGGGAAGGCUAUCAAUACCUAGUCGGUGCUAUAUAGCCUUCAACAACUUCACUUGAUGAUGAGACAUAGACGUGACAAAACAUUUCGUUGAAUCGAAACAUCUUAAGUAGGGCUGCAUCAUCAUGCAACGGUAGUAGACAUGAUGGCUCAAACUUGACCGUGAAUUCCAAUUUGAUAGAAUUCUGGUCAAAGUGCAAUGCAUCACACAGUUUUGAAACAAAAUCACUAUGUGACAUAUGUCGACUAACAACCAUCGAUUCGCUACGACCACCUUGAUAUUGAACAGACCCUCCAACACAUUUAACUAGCUGACCGCCUUCAUGAAUGUAACAGAACAUGUCCUCUUCCAUCACCUUAAUUAAAUAAAAACUUGUUACAAAAAAAAUGACAACAAAAGUAAAUAGGGAUUAUGUAUGAAUAUAAUGAUGAAGGAAAGAGGAGAAGAGAGGGUGGAGAGAAAGGCCAUAAAGGGGUCAUCGUCGGGCCAUGUGAUGGUAAUCGAACGUCUAAGAUUUUUUUCUUAGUGACACAUAAGAUGAAGAGGAAACGAGGGAGCAUGGAUUGAAGGGCCCCUUUCUAUAUUCAAAUCCUUAGUAUAUACAUGUAUCCAUAAUCUAAUGCCAUGAAGUUGCUUAAGGAAUAUGAAUGUUGGCUUCCUCCCUACCCACAUUUCCCAUGUCCUCAUCUACAACCGAUAUUCUAUGUUUCUUUCCACUUCCAUUCCUCAUCAUCCUAAAAACAUAAUUACAUCUUAUAACAGUUAUCGAAAAAAACCUUUUACAAGGGACAAGACAUUAAUAGUUAAAUGAUCGCACAUAUCGAAGAUGGACAUUAUUUUGAUGCAAGUAGUUUAUGACUCUCACUCUCACUCUCAUGUACAUAACUUUCUAUCUUAACUUUGUAGGUGUAUACCUAGGCCUAAUGUGUUUAUACAUGGACCUUGAUUCGAAAGUGAAAAGUCCAUCGUAUCUUCACAAAGAUCUCAAUAAAUCCCAUAUUAUAGUUUUGUUCGAAAUCAAUUUGUAUAAUGCAUCAAAUUCGUUCAUAGAGUUAAUAUUCAAUCACCUCAUCCUUUGAAGGUAAGAAAUUGAAAGCAAUUUUGGUAAACAAAGACAAAGCAAAAAUAUGUUGUAAACAAUGAGUGAUUAAUGGGGCUGACUAUAAACAAAUAAGUUACUGUCUUAGUGAACUUAAGAAAUGAUAAUAGUUGCACAGUUUGGAAGAAAAGUUGAUUGCAGAAACAUCACAAUAAUUAUGGGUUUUCCUUACAUUUGCAUGAUGUUCUCGCAAGAAAAUGAGGGAGAGACGGAGACAGACACACAGAGAAGAAAGAAGAAGGAGCAUAGGAAAAAGAGAAUACCUCAAAAACAGUUCCCAAGUAAUCUAUGAAUGCUACAAAGUUGGUUUCUUCAAAAAGUCCGUAUAUAUAUGUAGUCCAACAAGGAGAAGCUGAGAAUGGGAAGAGAAAAAGGGACAUUAGAGGAAUGGAAAAGCUUAGAUAUAGUACAUAAUGAAUAAACUAAGAAGGAUUAAUGUUUAUUGUAAAUAACAUAGGGCUUUUCUGGUAUGUUUGAACAAGAAGAAGUUAAAGUCACUUAUGUUUGGAAAUAAAUAUGACAACAAAACAAACAUUUUAUAUAGGUAACAUUUUUGCCCUCUCCUAAAAAUUAAAAUGGAAACCUACAACGAUCCCACCCCAACACUUUGCUACGCCAACCAGGUUUCAAGGGCUAUGAAAAGGGAGGCCAAAAUAAGCAUUGAAGACAACUUUUAAGAAGCAAGAACCAGCAAGAAAGAAUCUGGAAGCUAAUAUAUCACAAUAAUUAUUGUUUUACCGUAGAUGCGCUUGAUGUUCUACCAAGAAAAAGAUAGAUAGAGACAUAGACACACAUACAGAGAACAAAUAAGCAGCAACAUAGGAAAAAGCAAAUACCUCAACAACAAUUCCCAAGUAAUCUAUGAAUGUUGGAAUCUUGACUUUUGCAAACAGUCUAUAUAUAUCUGUAAUCCAACAAUGAGAAGUUGAGAAUGGGAAAAGAAAAAGGGACAGGGCAGAAAUUUCAAAGCUGACAUACAAUACAUAAUGAAAAAGCUAAAAAUCAUUAAUGCUUAUUGUAAAUAACAUAGGUUUCUUCUUGUAUGUUUUAACAGGAAGAAGUUAAAGUCACUUAUGUUUGUAAAUAAGUAUCACAACAAAAUAAACAUUUUAUAUAGGUAACAAUUUUUUCCUCCCCUGAAAAUGAAAUUGGAAACCUACCAGCAUCCCACCCCAACACUUUGCUACUUGAACCAAGUAUCAAGGGUUAUAACAAGUGGCAACAUAAUAAGCAUUUAAGACAACUUUUGAGAAGCAAGAACCAGCAAGAAACAAUCUCGUAGCUAAUAUAAACAAAUCUGAAUAAAAUUACAGCAUAUAAUUUCAAAUUAAAUAAUUAAAAUUGUAUUUUUGUAAUGAUGAACCUUAACAAAUUUAAAAUAAAUAUAUCUUAUCAAAGAGUAUCAUAGUCCAAUGGUAGCAGUGAUUGAACCCAACCCAUGGUUUUCAUUUAAUAAAAAUUAAGAUGGAUAAGAACCCAAGCUUUCGAUUUUUCACUGAGAAAUUCACACAACAGAGAGAAAAGAGAGAGAAGAGAGAGAAGCUAAGGACCCUCCAUUUGGCACAAAGUAAGAAAACCUUAUUUGCUGUUUGAUGUGAAGCUCUAUGCAUUAAAAAAAGGAAAAACAAAUUAUAAACUUAAUUUUAAAAUAUAUCAUAAAAAACAGCUCUCUAGGUGGCAGGAGAGGUGGGUUUUGGUUCAAAUAGCUUAUACUGCCUCUGGCAUCUGUUCUUGAAUUCUCCAACUUUGUCUCCCAAACAUGUCCUAAUUCCCAAGAGCUCAUAUUGCCACACCUACUCAUUAGGGUUUGCAUCAGUUUCCAUUAACAUUUAACUAAAAAGAGUUUAAAAAUUCAAUCAAGGUCAAACAAAAUCAACCAUCCCACAGAGCAGAAGUUACAUAGAUAUUCGAGAAAAUAAGUCAUGUCACAAACUAAGCAUCUAAUCACACAGCAGAAGUUCAGAAGUUCAGCUUUCCUCAAUCCAACCAGCUUUGAAUACAUGCUUAUAGGCUUAUAUAAUCUGCUCCUUACCACCUUUAAACAAAACCCUUGAACGAAUUAAACCAAAAAACCCAGAAAAAAAGAAAAGAAAAAAAAAAGCACAGAAAAUUAGGAUUACAAUCAAUCAAUCCACACAAAGUGCUAAAAAACAUUAAUAAACAAACACCCAACAUAAAAACAGCAAGCUUUUAUUAAAAGAACACAAAAACAAAUAAAAUAAAAACAUACCCACAACUUUAUCUUACCUCAAGAACCAAAUCCAAGAGCAAAAAAAGAGUUUAAAAAUUCAAUCAAGGUCAAACAAAAUCAACCAUCCCACAGAGCAGAAAUUACAUAGGUAUUCGAGAAAAUCAGUCAUGUCACAAACUAAGCAUCUAAUCACAGAACAGAAGUUUAGAAAUUCAGCUUUCCUCGGGUGCUAAAUUGCAAUUAAAAAUAAAAACACUAAUUAAUUGUCAAUCUCAAGAGAACCUAAAUCCCAAAAAUUAGGCCAGAAACCUAAAUUACGUGCACUGAAUAGUUCCAGAUGCAUGAAAUCAAUGAAAAAAAUUACCAAACAAAAAUAGUAAUCAGGAAAGACCAAGUAAAGAAUACACAAAAAUGUACAUAUUUAUCGUUCGUUCGUGUGGUCGCCGGAAGAAAAAAAACGGGAAUAAAGAACAAAGCUCAAGAUUUACAGCUGCGCCUAAACAUUUGCUCUCUUUCAUUGCAAAGAAACCAACAACAAUAGAAAAAAAAAUAAUCAUAUAAGUUUCGCCUCAUAUUUUCCUCAUUUACCUCAGUUUUCUGAGCAACCAAACAGAAGCUAAAAGAUGGACUAGAAAGCGAAUCUAACUUGAAUAGUGUAAGAGAGCUCAUAACAGAGUGGAAAUCUCUAAAUGAAGGCGAGAACCUGGAGAUGAAAUCGCUUUAUCUGAAGAAAUUUGCGGAUCAGUAGUACGGCGACACGCGUGAAUCGAUUACAGCUUACAAGCUUUCGAUUUUUCAUUGAGAAAUUCACACAACAGAGAGAGAAGAGAGAGAAGAGAGCGAAGCUAAGGACUCUCUGUGACUUUCUCUCCUUUUGCCCUAACUUGGGUUCCCCAAAUUUCAGAGUCGAGUGUCGCGUGGGCUUUAUUUGAAGAAAUUUGCGGAUCAGUAGUAUGGAGACACGCAUGAAUCGAUUACAGCUUACAAGCUUUCGAUUUUUCACUGAGAAAUUCACCCAACAGAGAGAAAAGAGAGAGAAGAGAAAGAAGCUAAGGACUCUCUCUGACUUUCUCUCCUUUUGCCCUAACCUGGUUUCCCCAAAUUUCACAGUCGGGUGUUGCGUGGGUUUUGCUAACUUGUUUAAGAUUUUUGUGUUUAUUUAUUAAAAGCACAACCCGUGACAUGGAGAGGGAGAUGGCUGCUAACAUGGAUGUGGAGGGGUAAUUUUGGAAAUGAAAUUAUAAAACAGUACAUAGUGCAUGAAAAGGAUAAUUUUUUGGGCAACAGUAGACAUAUUUUGGGUUAUGGAAAGUUGGGUUAUGAAAAAGCUAUUAGGCCCAAAUGGGCGGCCCAAAACACAGUUUUCCCUAUAUUGUAUCAUAAGAAAAAGAAAAGAAAAAAAAAGAGUGGAGGGGGAGGGGGAGAGGUGGGGGGCUAUGUUGUAAACAACAGGGUAGCCUGUGUAAAGCCCCCAGUUUUUACUUAGAGACCUCAUUACCCAUUAGGAAAAGGGUCAAUGACCUAUUAUUAAUAAUGCAAAAUUACCCAAAGAUGGAUAUUUGAAUUUUUUUUUUUUUUUGGAGAAUUUAAGAAUUGUUGACACAAUAUAGUGAAACUGCAUAUACAAAUAUUGGGGUCAUUAGUUCACUUGACUUAAGCGAUUAAGAACAUUGAAGAGGAGACAUGUUGCUUGAUAAGCCCACCUGUCUACAUCUUGAGCAGCCACAGUUUGUUGCUCAUGAGACUUUUUGGAAGACACCUCCAGGGAUAAGAUUGAGUAAUUUAAAUUCCAUUAACAGAGUUCCUCUCUUUCAUUAGCCUUUAGGCCCUUAGGAAUCAAGCUUAAACUCGAAAGAUUCUAAAAUCUUACUCCCUUCUAACCUCAGGAAAGUUUUGAGAGCUCAGGUAUCCACAAAUAUCUUGGUACAUUCUAACAAGUCCUAUACCACUUUCCACCAUUCAAUUUAUCCCAAAAUAGCAUAAAUGUCAAGGGGAUACAGGAGACCAGAACUAAUAAAGGCAAUGACAUUAAACGGGAGAAAAAAAUAUCAAAGCAUGAUAGAAGAGUUAAAUACUUAAACAAGUUAGUGUUGGUAUUUUAAUUAUAGUAUUCCAUUAAUACAGUACCAAAAUACUGGAUGCCAUAUACUUUUGUCUAACAAUGGAUGGAAUAAUAGAUAUACAAGCACAAGAAAUAUGUUUCACUAACAUGAAAAUGAAAUUUAUGAAAGGCGGCUAGAUUCGAGAAAUACAAACAGGAUAGAACACCUAUGAAGCAUGAAAUAUUUUUGAACACAAACUUUAACAAAUCCAUAACAUGAAUAAAUGUUUGGAACCACCACACUAGAUCAGCAAUCUGUAGCUUCUCAAUAUCAUAACUGUUACAGCUAUAUUCGACUUCUAACCAUAUAAGCUAAGCCUAUGUUUUGUUUCUAGAAAGUUUUAAGGAAAAAAAAAUAGAGCAGAGAAAUAUAAGAAAAAAUUAUAAAAGUUUUCUUUUAUUUGAUUGUCCAUUGAAAAGUUGAAGGAAAGAAAAUUAAAUUGCUAAAGAAUGUAAUUUCCACUAACUUUCCUCAUUUUUUGUUAAGGAAAAUGGACACCACCACCACCCCAACCCUUUUCUUUCGUUUUUUUUUUCUUCAUCUUUCGCAUGGUACCCAAACAUGAGAAAACCAUUUUCACUAGCAUUUUUUCCUUUCCUUUUCUUAUUACUUUCCAAGAACCAAACAUAAGGUAAGUUUAUGACACCCUUUCUAACACAACCAUUAAUAGACGGCUCAAGGUACUUCUAACAGUGAAAGAAGAAUUUCACAAAUACUUAUUGUAAAUUACAGAAUAAGCCAAAAGUGAAGAUAACAUCUAUUAAUACCUGCCUUUUUCAUCUUCCAAAUUCUGAAGAUGUUUUUCAUCUUCACUUAAGUCCAAUGCAACUUGGACGUAGGAAAAAUUAGAACAAAAAAAUAAUCAAGCAUUCUUUUCUCAGCAUCAUCAUGCAAAAUUUUCCACCAUAGCAUAAAAGGAAAUCAUGAAGAAAAAUAAAAAAUUAAAAAAUAAUACGCAUGCUCUCUACAAUAAUCACAAUAAAGGCAAACUACUCCAACAAAUUAUUAGAAAAAAUUGGAAAAAAUAAAAUUCAGAGAAUGGAAAUCCAUUUUCACCUCCAUAUAAAAUACACCAUGAAAAACAUUGGAAUCUAGUAAAGCUCUAGGUAAAAGAGGUAUUUCAGGCCAAUUUAAGAGCUCUAUCAGAAAUUCAAAUGUCCAUUCUGAAAUAGAAAAUUUAAAACCUAAUUGAAACUUAACUAUGUAAUCCGAGUACCAUAAAAACAUUGAAAAAGUCACACAAAUACUCGCAUAAUCUUAUCAAUCGAAAGGUUAUAAUACAAGGUGCAAAACACCAGAAUCAGAAAUAAGUUUCACAUUCUACAAAACUUACACUAAAAAGAGAAAGUUAAAAGGUCACAGACAGUCGAAAAUAACCAGAAAAUAAAGGAAAAUAAAAGAAAAGGGACCUGUUUGGCGAUAAGUUCUCUCUUAGAGUGGGAUGGGAGUUGGGAGACACUCAUCUAAUAUAUAGGGAAAGUUGUGUUUUUUUUCCCUCCCUCUGUUUUCUGGAUCUAGGGGUCUCUUUGCUUUUGUGCCAUUUGAAUUAAAUUUCACAAACCCUAAACCCACGAUUUUUUAGCCAGGCUGAAAAAUACCACCUUUGCCUGCAAAUCGUGAUCAGAUUACCAAAUAGCAUCUUAUUGUGCCAUUGGAAUUAAAUUUCACAAACCCUAACCCACGAUUUUUGAACCAGGCUCAAAAAUACCACAUUUGCCUGGAAAUCGUGGUCAGAUUACCAAAUAGCAUCUUAUUGUGCCAUUGGAAUUAAAUUUCAAAAACCCUAAACCCACGAUUUUUGAGCCAGCCAGAAAAAUACUACCUUUGCUUGCAAAUCGUAAUCAGAUCACGAAAUAGCAUCUUAUGUUUUUUUAAAAAAUAAAAAUCAAAAAGCUUGGACAGCUCGUGAACAAUGCAAAACAACAUUUAGCCCAAAUUUUUUCUCAACAGCCAAACAAAUUGUUAAAUGGAAACUCACCUGCGAUUACUCCAAAAGGAAGACGAAGCUCCACCGCCGAUUCCAGAAACCACCCAUGAAAAUGCAGGCAAAAGGAGAGAAUAGGGCAAAAAGCGAGGAAGUCAGAGCGUUUCCCCAAAUUUUUGAGUCGGGUCGUGGGUUUUGCAAAUCCUAACUCUAAAGCUUAAUAUUUUUGUGUUCAAUUAUUAAAAACACAACUUCCCGUGCUGACACGGAUAAGGAGAUGGCUGCUGACAUGGAAGGCUGGAGGGGUAAUUUUGGAAAUUAAAUUAUAAACAGUGGAUAGUGCAUGAAAGGGAUAUUUUUUUGGGCAACAGUGGACAUUUUUUGGGUUAUGGAAAGUUGGGUUACCAAAAAGCUAUUAGGCCCAAAUGGGCGAGCAAAACACAGUUUUCCCCAACUUUAAAGUGUAGCAAUUAUUCAAUUAUGAGAGAGAGAGAACAACUUUACAGUGGAGCAAUUAUGAGAGAGGGAGAGAGAACGACUUCACAGUGUAGCAAUUAUGAGAGAGAGGGAGCGAGAGUUAUUGCUAUGGGAUGGGAUGCACCAACUUUAAACUGUAGCAAUUAUUCAAUUUUGAAGUGUAGCAAUUAUUGAAUUUUUGACCAAGAGAGAGAGAGAGAAAAUUAUUGUUGUGGGUGGCAUGCAACAUCUUUAAAGUGUAGCAGUUUACAGUGUAGCAAUUAUUCAAUUUUGACAGUGAGAGGGAAUUAUUGCUGUGAGCUGGCAUGCAACAACUUUAAAGUUAGCAGUUAUUGAAUUUUGACCAAUUAUGUUAAUGGGGUUAUAUCCUCAUCCAAAGUUCCCAACCCAUCUUGGUUACUUCAACAAAUUUUUAUCCCGUACUAGAGUAAAUAAAUUAUUUUUCAUAAAUUUUACAUCCUAUCUUGAUAAAAAGUAAAUUGGCAGCUUCAAUUUAAAUACGUUUAAAGAGGAAGAAUGGAAAAAGAAAUUAAAUUAUUUUUACUUAAUUUUAUUUAUAAAUGAGAUGGAUUGAGAUAAUACUUUAAAGUUUGUUUGACAAUUAUUUUAAAAAAAUGUUUUUAAUUUAAAAAAUAUUUUUUUUUAAAAUAAAUUAAGGGUAUAUGUGACUACUUUCGAAAAUAGUUUUUGAGAAUAGUUGUUUUUUAAUAUUUUGUAUAAUAAAAGUUUGUUUGAAAACUUAAAAUAUUUUUGACCAAUUUUUAAUAUUUUUAAAUAUAUUUUAAAAAUAAUUUUUAUAUCUAAUAUUUUAUUUUUAAUCAUUCUAUAUUUAUAUAAUUAUUUUUAAAAACAAUCAUUAAAAAAUAAAUUAAAAAAGUAAAAAAUAACUAAAAGAUGUUAUUUAAAAGUACCCUAUUUUUUGUUCUUAAUAAUAGAAAAUGGAAAACAAUUUUUUAUUAUCAAAUGUGUUUUCUUGAUUUUUUGUUCUGGGGAACAAAAAACUAUUCUAAAAAAUAGUUGCUAAACAAGCAUUAGGUGUUAGACAAAAUUUUAAAAAAACUUCUACAAAUCUAAAAAAUCAUUUAUACUAUUUUUUUUAGAAAAUCACUUAUAGUGUUUUCUAAAAAAUUAUUUGAUAGAUAAUUUUCUUAAAAACACUUCAAGUAAAAAUACCGUCAAACACAUUAUUAAUAUUAUUUAAUCCAACCUUGGAGUUAAAAAAUAAUUUAUCAAAUCCAACCUCGAUCGGUUUAAACUCUCCCAAACCCAUUACCAUUUGUAAUACCUGGUUUUGAAAAAAUAAAAAUAAAAACAUAAUAUAAAGAGUAGGAGGAAUGUCAAAUAUAAAAAGAGGGUUAAAAAUGUUUUGUAAUGGUUGGAAGUGUUUUUCCUACAAAUAAUGAUGCAUUUUGAAAAUUUUUAAAAAUUAAGAGAAUCACUUUGAACUUACAUUCGAUACACACUUUAUCUAAAACCAUUUUUUAAAUUAUAUUUCUUAUGAUCAAAAACAUUUUUAAGACACUUCUUUUGAUUUGUAUCUUAAUGCUAACCUACAUUUAAAAAAAUGUCAAGAUAAUUUUUUUAUAAAAAAAAUCUUUUAAUUUAUUGUACUUUUGUGGACCCCGUAUUUCGGCUCAUGCGUUUUCCACUCAAUGGCGAGUUCGAUUUUUAUUUGAAAAUGAUUUCAUUUAUUAAAAAAAAAUGACUUGGAGUCGUCACUUAUUUUUGUUUUAUUUUUAAAAGGGUAAACAAAAUGAGAAAGAAAACCCUAAGUGUAACUCUUUAUUUUGGAAAAUGUGGUCUAUAAAAAAUCGGAUCAGACUCGAGGGUCAGGUUACUUAUCGGGAAGGUACGGUAAAGACCGUAGCACCCCUCUAAGUCCCUAAGUCGGGUAUCUACUUAUAAAAUGAAGUUGACGUGGCAAUCAAUAGGAAAAUUAAUGGAUACUCAAAUCGAUCAUGCACAUAUGAGAAUCAAAAUAUGCAUAGAGAAUGACCAAAAUGGGAGUGGAUGCGUACAUGGGCCACGAACGAGCAAUGCGCUAUCAUAAAAAUGAGGUCAGUGUACAAUAAAGAGCACAAAACAUAUCACAUGCAUCACCAAACAGAAAUUAAAAUUGUUUGAGGGAAAUCUGGAUUUUUUGAAAUUUAUUUGAAAAUUGGAGUCUUAGAGAUUAUUUGAAAAUUGGAGUUUUAGAGAUUUGAAAAUUGGAUUUUUAGAAAUUAAAUGUAAGAAUGAGAAUUUAGAAAUUAAAUUUGAAAGAAAUUGGGAUUUUGAAAAUUAUUUGAGAGUUUGAGAUUUGAAAAAAUUAAAUUACGAAAAUUGGGACCUUGGAAAUUAAAUUUUGAAAGAAAUCAGAAUUGAAAAUUAUUUGAGAAGUAGAAACUAUGAAAAUUAAAUUAUAAAAAUUGGAAAUCUUGGAAAUCAUUCGAAGGCAGAAUUUUUAGAAAUAAAUGAAUAAAAUGAUAAUAAUAAUGAUAAUAAUAAGUAAGUAACGAAAUAAAUGUGAGAAUUGGAAUAUUGGAAAUUGAAAAUUAAGUUCGGAAAUUGGAAAAUUGGAAUUUCAGAAAACUAAAUUUGGAAAUCGGAAUUUUGAAGAAUUAUUUAAAGACAGAAUAUUUUAAAUAAAUGAAUAAGUGAAUAAAUAAAUGAAUGGAAUAACGAAAAUAAUAAUGAUUGGAUAAAUAACUACGAAGAUAGGAAUUUUGAAAAUUGGAAAUUGAACUUAGGGAUUGGAAAUUUAAAAAAUUAUUUAGGGAUGAAAUUUUAAAUAAAUGAAAAAGUGAAUGAAUAAAUGAAUAGAAAAACAAAAAUAAUAAAGAUUGGAUAAAUAAGUGGGAAAAGUAGAAUUUUGGAAAUUGGAAAUUGAAUUUAAGGAUUGGAAAUUUAAAGAAUUAUUAAGGGAUUAAAUUUUAAAUAAAUGAAUAAGUGAAUAAAUAAAUGAAUGGAAUAAUAAUAAUGAUGAAAUAACAAAGAUUAGGUAAAUAAUUGCGAAAAAUAGAAUUUUAGAGAUUGGAGAUUGAAUUUAGAGAUUGAAAAUUUGAGAAAUUAUUUAAAGAUGAGAUUUUAAAUAUAUGAAUAAGUGAAUAAAUAAAUGAAUGGGAUAAUAAUAAUAACAAAAAUAAUCAUUAAAUAACUGAAUGUGAAUAGUGGAAUUUUUUAAAUUGGAAAUUAAAUUUGGAAAAAGGAAUUUUAAAAAAUUGAACUUUAAUGAUUGGAAUUUUAAAAAUAAAUAAAUAAAUGAAAUAAUAAUAAUAACAAUGAAAGUAAUAUUUAAACGAAUGAAUGUAAAUAGUGGAAUUUUUGGAAAUUUGAAAAAUUGUUUAAAGAUAGAAUUUUUAGUUAAAAUAAAUAAACAAAUAAAUGAAAUAAUGAUAAUAAUAACGAAAAUAAUACUUAAAUGAAUGAACGUGAAUAGUGGAAUUUUCGAAAUUGGAAAUUAAAUUUGGAGGACGGAAUUUUGAAAAAUUGUUUAAAGAUGGAAUUUUUAAAAUAAAUAAAUAAAUGGAAUAAUAGUAAUAAUGAAAAUAAUAAUGAUUAGAUAAAUAAUUGUGAAAAUUGGAAAGUGAAUUUAGAAAUUGGAAAAUUGAAGAA
rnacentral:lncRNA from 1 species